UCUUCCUAAAGCAGACUCGAGUGAGUGAGAUGGAGUGUGAGGGAAAAGAAAGUGUAAGCUUCACCAACAGCUAACUAUGCGAACGAAAACAGAAGGGAGGUCGAGUGAGGAGUUGUGAUAGCAAACUUGAGCAGCCUGCAACAUCGAACUUUAAGGGAACAGGUAAGAGCUAUAACCACUCUCUGUUUAGUUGAUUUAAUCCAUUAAACAUAAGCCUUAUACGUUGAAUUUAGCUAGAGGCUUAGUUCUGGUUCAAGAAAAUGUUAUGCAGAAUUUGUAACUAAGAGCAGAAAUGAGGUAUGGUUUUGUUUAGUUCUUGAAUUUAGUCUAACAUUUGUUAAGGACAACCUGUAACCGAAGAGAUGUUCCCUGCAUGCUAACUGGAACCUGAGAUUGAAGGGGGAUCCUAAGGAACUAACAAAUGAUACCUUGUUGCUAUACGCAUGUGAAAGCAUUCAAAUCUGAUGCAUGCUGCAAUGCACCAGAUUUGCAGCUAGCUGCAGAAACGAAGCAGAACUCAGUCUUUUUUCCUUUGAACCCUGGUCAUGAACGACCUUGUUUAGCUUAGAGUAACCCGCAGUAGGUUAAGUGUCCUCUGCAUAAAUGAUUGAGACCAAAACUCAGGAAGCUUAACUAGUUGAUGCAACCUGCUGUGAAUCCGAGAGGGAGGAAAUUAACCUUGGAAAGAAAAGCUGCAAACCCUUAAACUUCUAAACUAACUUACAGAGUUGAACCUGUUAUAAUGCCUCUAAAUCUCCACCAGAAAGACAGAAAUGAGUAGGAACUAAACUGAUUGUUGAAGGCAGAAUAAGUUUAGUGAUGGCAGGUAACUUGUCCGAGAGAAUGAAGCAGAAUGUGCUUCUGAUCGGCUAUUUUUUACCCUGAAAAUGUGAGAACUGGGUGUCGAUGCCACCAUAAGAAAUGUAGGUUCAUGUCUUAGUUUCGAAACAUUAUAAAAUUUACCUCAAUCCGAUAAGUAUAGCUCCAGUUAUGAUCAAAACACCAGAGGUUGGCAAAGCUGCCUUUCUCGUUGCCUUUCUCUUGUUUUUCCGAAUGCAUUCUACUUGAUGCUGGCCGUGAAGAAACUUAUUUUUUUAACAGCAUUUCAUCUAAUUCCCAACCCUGUAAGCAUUCAUAAAUGAUAGUUAAGGUUGCUCUGAGAUUUAACGACUAUAUCUAGUUCACGAGUAGAGUUAAAUUAAAGCAAAUGAGAGGAAAACUCAUGAUAGUUAUAUACCUAAAUUGGCUUCUAAUCACUUAAUAUUGUCUUUACAAAUAUGUUAAAAACUAUAAAAUUUGAGGGACGAGUGUAGUGGAAUAAAAUUUAAUUUACAAAUAACUUGGAGUUUAACUAAUUUAAAAAGGGGACCAAUGGAAUAUUCCUAAGCUUUAAACUUAGAAUCUUGAGUAGAAAAUGAUUAAUCCUAAUGUAAACAUUUUAUAAAUUAUUAACUUGAAAAGUAUGUAUAAUUCGUGAUUUAAGAUAAUAAAGUCAAUAAGUCUCGAAAUAAAUUGGGGAAUAAAUAUUGCGUAUAUUUUAUAUUUUAAAGUCAAACCUAAUUCGAAUAAUUUAAGUAAUAAGUGAACAUAUACAAAUUAUAAAUUUAUCAUGAAAUUAUAUAUUUAUCUCAGGAAGUAGCUGUGAGCCAGGAAACAAACCCGAGACUCGAGAGUAAAUUAUUUGGAUAAUUGGUGAGUGUUUUCCGAAUUUAUGUGUUUAACUGUUUAUGUGUAUCUAAGUGAAAUUAUGUGACAAAUGUGCUUAUCAUGAAUUAUUACUAAAUGAUUCCUUGUGAAGUGUAUCUCAAUUGUCCCUCACCUUCUAAGUCGAGAGUGUACUUUAUCACACUCGGCUUAGUUGAGUUUGAGGUCAAUAAUUGGCUGAAUGUUAUUGUAAGUGUGCAUGAAUGUAAGUCGUAUAUGUGCCUCACCGCAUCGGCUGAACUGGGCCCCAAAACUCUCUGUUCAACGGACUAUUCGGGCCAGCAAAGGGCUUGGUUGGGUAGGACCGUAGUUUUGAGUAAAUGUUUCGGUAUACUCGAGUAUUACCAUGAGGUUGGGAGUUAUUGAACUAAUUAUUGAAUAUAGGGGAUUGUUUGUUGUAUUGGAGGACAUAAGGAGGUGAAUCAGCGGAAUGUGCAAUGAUAUUGAAAUGAAUGUACAAUGAUGGUGAAAUAAGUGUCUCUUGAUACUGAAAUGAAUGCUCAAUGACCUUGAAGUGGCUCUAAUGCGAGCACCGUAUCCUGUUGAAAGUGAUUGUUUAGUGAAGUGUUUUUUCGAUUGCUUAAUGAAAGUGAUUGUAUAAUAAAAUGUGCACUACUUGCUUAAUUGUACUGAUUUAAGUGUUUAUUAAAUGUUGCCUACUAGGCAAACCUCACUGAGGUUUAGCUCAACCCUUUAGUUUUGUUUUCCUUAUAGGAGCUGGUGGUAGGGGAACGAACGAGGGAUCUUAGGGAGUUAACGUGAAGAUUUUUGUGAUUGUAAAUCCUUUAGUUUCAUAUUAUGGUUGAAACUUUUGUAUUGAACUUGGUAUUGUAAAAGAUUUGAGCGUUUGGUUUUGGUUAUCAAAAUGUUAUUUCUGAAGUUAAUGUAAGUGAGUGCGCCCUGGCGAGAGCCAGGCAGGCGAUCCGCUAACUUUUAGGGUAUGCCCUAGAAGAAGGUGAGGCCGUCACAACACAUGAUAUUCUUUCAAAAAAAAUUUGAAUUGUUCUCCCUGUUAUAGAACUCAAGGGUUUGGUCUCUAUCCAAUUAGUAAAAUAAUUUAUGGUUACCACCAAGUAUUCAUAAUCUCAAGAGCUCUAGGAAAGGAUCUAAGUAGAUCUAUUCUCUAUGGAGCAAAAGGCCAACAGCUUUGAAUAAGGAUUAUAUCCUAAGUAGGCUAAUGAUGAAUUGAUGUAUGUAUUUGGUAAGCUCUUCAUUUCAACACCAGUUCAGAAGCAUCUUUGAAGAUUGUGGGCCUAUAAUAACCCAUUAGCAUACAUUUCUUUGCUAACAUUCUUGACCCAAUGCGAUUUUCACAUAUCCCUUCAUAAUUUUCUUGGAGUACAUGCAUAAUCUCCUUCUUUUGGGGUGAUACACCUUAAUUGUGAAAAUAAAUAAGACUUCCUAUAAAGAGUUUCUCGAAAGCAGACAUACCUAGUAGUUCGGAGUUUUAUUUAUAUGCUUUCUACUUAUUUCUGGUAGCAUUCUCGAGUUGAGGUAUUCAAUUAUGGGUGACAACCAUGAAUCCGAGUUAUAAAUCGCUUGAACCUCUUGCUAUUCAAAACUAUGCUAUUUGACCACUUUUACUAAGAUUUCUUUAUUGAGAUGUAUAGAGGAUGAAAAAGUUAAUUUAGAUAGAGCAUUUGCCCUCUUGUUCUAGGAACGCAGAAUUUGCUCCAUCUCUACUUUCUCAAACAUCAUUACCAUUUUCCAAACUCUUGCCGGGUACUUCUUGAUCAGAUCUUCCUUAGCCUCAUAGUUCCCUUUUACUUGAUUGACUAUGAGUUGAGAAUCACCAUGAAUCUUUAAGGAAAUCACUCCUACUUGCCAAACUAACUUCAUUCCAAGCAUUAAUGCCUCAUACCCUACUUCAUUAUUGGAUGCUUUAAAGUCAAACCUUAAAGCAUAUAUCAGCUCUUCUCCUGUUGGACUGAUCAACAGUAGCCCUGCUUUACAUCAUUUCUUACUAGAGGACUCAUCCAUGAAUAAAAUUCAUGCUGAUCUAGUUUUAUCCAAGCCAUUUACUUCAAUUUGAGAUAUAACUACUCCUUCAGUUAUGAAAUCGGCUAAAACUAGUGCUUUUAUCGCUGUUCUUAACUUAUAAGAGAUAUCAUGCUUAGCUAAUUCAAUAGCCCAUUUUGUCAUCCUUCCUGAUACCUUUGAUUUUGUGAGUAUUUGCUUAAGUGGUUGAUCUGUUAUGACUAUUAUACUGUGAGAUUGAAAAUAAGGUUUGAGUUUUUUAGUUGCAUGAACAAGAUCCAAGACAAGCUUAUCUACGGAUAUGUAUACCACAUCUUGACUCCAUGAAAUGUUGUAUAACAUAAUAUACUGGUUUUUGAAUACCUUGACUUUCUUGAACUAAGACAACAUUGGUGGCUUCUUUGCACAAAUAUAAGUAGACGAGCAGGAUUUCUCCCUGUUUUAGUGAGAUAAGAGUGGGCAGGUCAACCAAAUACCUUUUCAGCACUUCAAAGGCCUUCUGGCUGUCCUUAAUCCAUUCAAAAUUGAUACUUAUUUUGAGUAUUUUGAAGAAGGGAAGCUUUUUGGUAUUCAUAAUUGAUACCUAGAUAGAGACUAUUCAAUGCUACCAUCCUUCCCAUGCACUUCUUUGACAUUUUUUGAAAGAGUCAUUUUGAUGAUAGCAUUGAGUUUAUUCGAAUUAACUCAUAUUCCAUCUUUGGAUACCAUGUAUCCUAGGAAUUUUCUAGACUUCACCGCAAAUAUACAGUUUUUUGGGAUUAAAUGCAUCCUGCUAUCAUGCAAGAUCUCAAAAACAUUCCUUAAGUCAGGAAUGAGCUGUUAAGUAGUUCAACUCUUUACGAAUAUAUCGCCUACAUAGACCUCCAUGUUCUUGAUGAUCUGCUUUUGAAACAACUUGUUUACUAGCCUUUGUAGGUAGAUCCAACAUUUUUUAAUCUAAACAGCUAUAACAAUAUAUACCUCCUUCUUUAAUAAAAGAGGUCUUUUCCUUAUCGCUUUUCUUCAUUUCUAUCUGGUGAUAGCUCUUAAAAGUAUUCAGAAAAAUAAUAUCACAUCCAAUAAUAUAAUCUACUGGCCUGUCCACCUGAGAAAGUGGGUAACAAUUCUUUAGAAAUGCCUUAUCCAGAUUGGUGAAGUCUACACACAUUCUCUAGGAUUUGUCUUCUUUUUUCACCAAUACUGGAUUAGCUAGCCAGUUCGGAUAGCAUACCUCAGUUAUGAUCCGAGAUUCUAAAAGUUUUUCCACCUCCUAAUUAAUGAUCUCAUUUCUUUCCAAGGCAAAAUUUUGCUUCUUCAACUUUACUGGUUUAGCACUUAGGUCUGCAUUUGGUUUAUGGACAACCAGCUCUACUAGUAUUCCCUAAACAGCUCCUUCAACUAUUCCUUCUCACGCUAGAGUAGAGAAAACCCAAUUUUAAUCACCUGAACUUGUAUUUUCUCUUCCACUACAACAAAAAUGGCUUUUCUUGACACAUGUAUAAGGACACUUGUUGGUUUGUAUCAUUAUAGCACUUCUAUCAUGACAUUUGUUAUCAAAUCAAUAAUAUAUACUUUAAUUUUUUUUUAUUUUAUCUGAUAUAAAAAUAAUAAUGUGUCUUUAGAUUUCCUAUCAUGACACUUGAGAAAAUGUGAGAUACACCAAAAAAAUUAAAACAUAAAACGAUGUCGUUUGAUUUUGGCGGAAGAUUCCUUUGCCAAAACACUUAUAGUGAAAUCUCAAAAUUUCAUUUUGCCGGCCAGCAAAAUUUUGGCUCUUCUCAUCUCUCUCGGCAAACUAUCUCUCAAAGCUCUCUGCCAAAAUUUUCCUUUCCCCACAAAGUUUUUUCUGCUGAAUCUCUCCGCAAUCAAACUACUUUUGCUUCCCUAUUGAAGGUAUGUAAUUGCAUGGUUACUUUUUGCCCUAAAUUGUACAAUUUUCUGAUUUCCUGCUCCUGCUCUGUAAACCAACUGAUGUGAAAAUAAUUAACUCCUGUAAGCUGCAAUAAGAUUCUGUGGUAUGCUAGUUCAAGUUCGAUACUGAUUUUUCUUCUAAAAGUUGCUUCAUUCUCAAUCUUGUUUUCAUGAUUUUCUGUUUCGGCUGACAGGUAAGAACUAUAUAUUAGUUGGCAUGGUUCACAAGCCCAAUUAAUUAUAAUAGAUGCAGAGCUAAUCAAAGAAUUACUAACCAACAGAGAAGGCGCUUACCAGAAAAUGGAUAUGGAAGGCAUUGCAAAGAAAUUAUCAAAUUAAUAGGUGAGCCGCUUAUAACAAAUGAGGGUAAAAAAUGGGCAAAAGUACACAAACUGGCUAACCACUCAUUCCUUGCAGAGAGCCUAAAGGUAAGCCUUCUUCUAUGUUAAUCACAUCACGAGUCAAGAAUAAGAAAGUUCGUUGUCCCAUAUAUGAAAAUGGGAAGUGAAUUUGGCAUAUAAUAUUGCUCGAGUAAUUCCCUAUACAUGAUUUGCUUCUCAUAAGAAUAACCUUUUGCAUAGAGCAAGGUACCAGAAAUGAUUGCUAGUGUCGAGGCGUUGCUGGAAAGCAAAGGUAUCAGCCCUCGUCUUAUGCCAAAAAAUCUCCUCUUGCCCCCUGCCCUGUACCCCGGCUUCUCCCACAUAAGUGACCACUACCCUUUAUACUGGAUUUGUUGUCCAUAACCUGUUCGAUAAAAUGUCAACCUUCUUUCCUUUGGUACUGAUAUUAAUUUACUCAAUAAUAUAUAAACUAAUAGAAUUAUUGUAAUUAAGAUGCUUUAUCCUCUUUCAUAUCUGUGAGCGCAUUUGAUGUGUUUCUGUUGCUUUGACAUAUGCUUGUUUAUUGCUGAUCUCUUUCUUCAGUCUGUAAUUAAGAAGAAGUAUGGCCAAGAUGCAACAAAUGUUGGUGAUGAGGGUGACAUUGCUCUAAUAUCCAGGUUAGUUCAUGGCAUUUUGCUAAUAUGCUUCCUGUUCAUUGUUCAAUUCGGUUGUCAUAUAUUUUACAACUUUGUGACUUUGACAUUUCAGGAGAACAAGGAAGGUCUUGAAUUGCUUAAAACAGCUAUUGCUAAAGCUGGUUACACUGGUAAAGUAAGUAUUGGAAUGGAUGUUUAUACUGGUUACACUGUUCUUGAAUGCUAUGGGUAUAUGUUUUGCUGGUGAAAAUGGAGCAGAUGUCAAAGGCGGAUGUUUGUAUGGAAGCAGGCUGCAUCCAAGCUUAGGGGUGUACAAGUUUUUACUUACACAGAGCUUGAGAUUGCAACAAACAAAUUUAGUGCAGCAAAUGUGAUAGGAAAUGGAGGGUAUGGGGUAGUGUAUAGAGGGAUUUUGAGUGAUGGCACUGUGGCUGCAAUUAAGAUGUUGCACAGAGAAGGGAAACAAUGAGGAACGUGCCUUUCGGUUAGAGGUUAGUGGACUUCAUUUAUUGCUAGUUUUCAUAUUAUCCAAUUUUUUAAGCUACAUAAGCUUGUCAAUUAAACUCAUCUGUACACUCAAUUGAAGAUUUUUUUUUUGUUUUUUGGUAUUUUCCCCUCUUUGGCUAAAUACAUUGGGGAAUAAAGGGAAGUGGUGAGUGAGAAUGGAAGUGAGAUAUUUGCCUAAAAAAUUAAUGGUACUUCUGGCAUUGGUCCAGCCAUUGCUUUCUUGAACAUCCUAAUUGAACUUAUUUGAUGGGUGCUUGUCUGUGGUAUGGUUUAUUUCAACAAGUCUGUAUUGAAAUCAGUUUGAAGAGUUUGAAAUUGCUGCAGGUUGUGAUUGGGAUGGAUGUGGCUGCUUCUGAGUUUUAUGGUAAAGACAAGACUUAUGAUCUAAACUUCAAAGAAGAGGUAUUGCUUUUUCACAUUUUCUCCCCAGAUUGUUAUGUCAAACGUUCGAAUUCAUUGCUAAGCCAAAGGAUAAAAUUACAUCUAGAUUCAUAAAUUCUAGUCUUCUAAAGGGGGGUAAUUUCAAUCAUGACAUCUAUCUUUUUGGUCAUUCUUCUUCUUUAUUUAGUAUGUUUGCUGCUUUAGUAGUAUGUUUGGUGAUAGCAAGUAGAAAUUUCAGUGCAAUGAUGGCAACUGGAUCAGUGUGUUAUUCCAAAACCUUUUGAUAUACAAGAAAAUAUAACUUGCGUUAUCACCUUUGCUUUUGCCAGUUAAGUUUUGCAAACCUGCUUGGUACCAAAAUUUGGCUAUUCAGCAAUCAACUUUAUUUCGAAUGAAAUGAAUCCUGUUUGGUAUCGUUACUUUACAUUAGAACGUAAUUGCUAGGUGCUGAUAUCUUUAAUUUAUUUUUUUAUUUCUGGUCUUUCUUUGCAGAAUAAUGAUGGCUCACAAAAGAUAUCAGGUUAUGACUGAAGGCUCUCAUUUCAUUGGAAAGUUUGGAAGCUACUGCAAGUUCUUUCUACUUGCUAGGGAUGAGAAUAUUUUAGUUUGUGCACAAGAGAAUCUUUUAAGUUUGUGCACAUGAGAAUCUUUCAAGUUUGUAUUUGUUAGGGAUUUGUUAUGUUAGUACUUGUUACUGACUUUUAGUUCAACAAAUUAUAUUUGAGUAUUGACUUUUGCUUUAAGAUUACUAUAUGCAUUCUGUUCUUUGGGAUAAUUUUACAAGUCCUUUGGGUUUCUGAUUGACGGAAUGUAUAGCAGGGAGCACUACCUGCAGGUUGCUUCUAUAUAAAAAAAAAAAAGAAAAAAAAAACUCCUGGCAGUUAAAAGUGUCAGCAUAGCUCAGUUAAAAAAACUCCUACUUGUUACUGACUAUAACUAUCCUGACACUUUCGAUUAUCAAGAAAAUGGAAUUUUGUUGGCAGAUGGGAUGCUAUAACAGCAUAGUUUUCCUGACACUUUGAAUGCUACGAGCCUAUCCCCACAUUGGAAGGGACGACACUCGUCCGAGAUGUGAGGAAAGGUAAAGUGUCAGGUUAGAUUAUUUAUACUGACACUUUUAAAUGCCGUUAAAAGUCAUUUUUGUUGUAGUGUUCUAAUGAAAAUUCUUUUACAAUGUCCUCAGUUCUGAGUUGAUUUGCUUUUUCCUUGGGUAUAAAGGGAUCCAAAUUGGUUGCUUGAGCCACCAAUUUUUCUUUCCCUUUGAGGAUGGCUAUAUAACAUGUCCUAACCACCUCAAGAUCUCCAUGAACCUCUGCUGUCCCACUGGAAGUCAGAAACUUCAUGCUCAAAUGUAAAGUUGAGGUAUUGGCUUUUAAAGAGUUAUGAGUAGAUUAGCCAAGGAACAUAUUGUAUGAUGAAGGUCCUUUAGCAACCACGAAAUUGACUGGAACAAUUCGAUAUCUAGGGACUUUUCCAUUAGUUACCAUUAGAGUAAUCAUCUUUCAGGUUUUAUAGGAGGGCUAAAAUAUCCUACCUAUGGCCUCCUUACUAGAGUAAAUUGCCUAUCUUUUAACUUAAGGUUCUUGAAAGUUUUGUAAUAUGAUACAUCUACUAUGCUUCCUGGAUCUAUAAACACUUAUCUGAAAUUAUUAGUGAUCACAUCUAGAUAAUUGGCUCUUGAUGGCUUGAUGCCAAUGAGACAAAAUCCUCAGGUCCAUUUAUGAUUUCUCAUAUAUGUUCAAUUCAUUGGGUAGAAUUAUCCUCUUCUAGUAGAGUUUGGUUAUUUUUUUGGGUUGAAUGACUAUUCUCACUAGUAGGUCCUCUAGCUAUUGCAUUGAUGACUCGAACUAGAUUUUGUGAAUCAAGGUCAAGUGAACGAUCUCGAGGUGAUCUCUGUUGAUCUCGUUUGUCGUUUUCUCCUUUAUCAUUUUGAUUGUUCGGACUAUAAUCUUUUCUUUCUCCCUAGGAAGCUUGGUUAUUUUGAACGUACUCUUUCAAGUUUCUCAUUUGAUCAACUCCUCUAUUUCUUUUUUUUAAUCCUUGCAUUUCUCAAUGUCGUGACUGAUAUCCCUAUGAAAGUACAAUAAAGGAUUUUAUUCCUUUAUUUUUGGAACCAGACAUCCUAGGAGACCUUCUUUCAAUAUCUUUUGCUUCCAUUACUGCCAAGAUUUGAGAUCUUGGUAUUGAUAAGGGCGUGAAAUUCUUUUCCUGAGAUGGACUCUUCCUUUUAGAAAGUUGGUCAAAAAUGUUCCUCUUGAUCUGCCCAACUUUAAGGUCAAUGGUUCCAUUCUUUCUUCAUCUGUCUUCAAAGUCUUUCUCAGAUUCUUGUUUAAGACGAGUAGCCUUCUCGGCAGUUCCAUCUACGUGAGCUCUAUUCAAUAGUUCUUCCAAUGUCAUAGGUGGUUUCUUGGCAAAUUUAUAAUAUAACUCGUUACUUCUCAAGCCAUUUAUAAAUGCUACCAUCAUCACCUUAUCAUCUUUAUCUCAGGUUUGGAGACUCAUUAUUAAAAUUAGUCAUAUAAUUCCUAAUAGAUUUAUCAUGCCUUUGUUUUAUCACCAUUAAUGUGCUGCAUUCUUGUAGUAAACUUUGGAAGAGACGAAUUGUGCUACAAAUUGCCUAGCUAGUUCAAGGAAAGACUUGACUAAUCUUAGUGGUAAUAGUGGAACCAAAGCUGAGCCCUUUCCUUCAAGAACAUAGGAAAGGUCUUGCAAUGAUUCUCAUCUAUAGUGCUUUGCAGUCAUAUAUGAGUAAGAAACACAAACAGGUGAUCCUCUAGAUUUGUAGAUGCAUCAUACAUAUCCAUGAAUUUUAAAUCUUUUUGGUGGAGGAUAUUCUUCAAUUUCCUUGACAAAGGGAGAAAACUAUGUAAAGAUCUGCAUAUUGAUUUGGCUGCAGGAUUAGAUCGAGUUCAUCCUGAAUUGGAUCCUUAGGCAUAUGGUAUUCCAAAUAACUUUUAUUAACCGAGGAUGAGAGCAAUGAGAGUAGUGCUUACUAGUUUUUGAGAUAAAAAUAUGCUUCCUAAAGGGAGAAUAAACCCAUUUCCUCUUAGGGGGAUGAUCAUCAUCAGAGCUAUUUUAGGACGACAAAGCUUGCCUUUCUAUCAUCUUUAUCAGAGCUUUUGAAUUUUACACCUCUUCUGCCUUAUUUUUCCUUUCACCAGGCUGACAAUAUCAUCAAAUAAAGGGAAAUUAUUUGGUACAAAAUUCAUAAUUUUCUCUUUCUUCUCCUCUAAAAUCUAAUAGUCAUUGUUACCCUAAGUUUGCCCAGGGAUGUCAUGAGGUUCUUUGGGGUAACUUUAAUUGGUAUUGCCUAUAGAUUACUUGGAGGCUGUCUUUGUCAUAAGGAAGUUAUAUUACUCCACUUCCCAUAGAGAGCGCAAAUUGUUGAAGCAGUAUUUCCUUCCACUGAGUUGGACUAGACAGGUAAGAAGGGAGCUCAAUCGCAUAAAGGUAGAACUCUCUAAGAAACAUACAAGGAAAGUACCAAUUCAUGAAGAUCCUCGGGGUCAAGUCUCUAAGGUCACUCUGAUUCUCAAGUCAUUUUUUGACUUGAGGAGAAGAAUAUCCUCCUAAUUAGGUGUUAGGUAUCCCUAUAUAUAGGUUUUCGUACAAGAGAGUGAUAAGAGAUUAAGACUAACAAGAUAAAGAGACAAAGAUUACCUCUUUUUGAUUAGUUGAAUAGACAUUAGUUCAUAUGAUGAUUUUCUUAAGAUUAGGAUAGUUAUUAUCACUAACCAACUCAGAUCACCCUUAUUUUAGGAAGUCAAAAACUUAUCCUACCCCUAAAGUCUUCAGUGUCUGAAAUGGAAAAGUCAGACGUUGUUGUUUCUCUUCUUAUGAUUCUACUAUUUCAUGUGGGAAUAGCAAUAGCUGCUGGAAGUCAAGAUGGAUCAGAAGCGUGAGGAUAUGUUCAAAUCAGGCCAAGUAUGUUUCUGAUGUUUUAAGUGCCCAUUACAUGUAUUACUUGUCAAUGUUGAUAUUGAGUUCUUGUGUAUGUUUCAAAGGCUCACAUGCUCUGGUGGUACUAUAGAAGUCCAAACAUGAUUCAAGAUCUCGAAAAGCCUUGGCCAAUUAUUCUUUGGCUGUAGAUAGGGCUACAAAUGAGCUAAAUCGAGUCAAAUGUUGAUUUAAUUUUAGCAAGUUCGAGGUUGAAUUCGAGUUCGACGAGCUCUCAAUGUAAAGGUCGAAGUCAAACUUGACCUCAAAUUUGAACCAAGUCGAGCUCGAUCUCGAGUUUAAAAAAUAAAAAAAAAAUUAUCUUAUUUUUAAAAGAAUGAAUAAAAUAAUAAUUUUUCUUAAUAAAUAACAAAAUAUUAUGGAUAUAUACAUGUAAUUUUAUUAUGUAAAUAAUAUAUAUAUAUAAUUGAGUCAACUCACGAGUUAACAAGUUGAUUAUCUUUGUAUUCAAGCUUGACUUAGUCAGUUCAAACUCGACUCAAGUUCAGUGUUGCCCGACCUCGAGUUGAAUAUUGAUUCGAGUUACUCGUGAUCAGUCAUGAGUGGCUCUACUUGUAUGCAGCCUUAGCUGCAAAGUAGACCUGUGAGUAUCAGAAUUCCCAUAGGGUUCCCUCAAAUUUCAAUCUUGAUUAUUUUUAUGAUAAAACAAUCUGUUUUUGUAGUGAAGGGAGCUUCAGGUGUGGGAAUUGGUAACUUUGAGGAGAUUGGGCCUCUAGAUGUUUUCCUAAAGCGAGGAAAUUCAACAUGGUUGCAGAAAGUUGAUCUCCUGUUUGUGUAGGUAAUGGUUGGUACAUUAAUGUUAGUGAAUUAUCUCAUUAAUAUGCAGCUUUUUCAAAAAUCAAUAUGAGAUUUUCCUGGAGGGGUUUUUUGUAUUUUCUUACCUGAUUUUGUUUUCUAGUAAUUGUGCAUAGAAUUAUCUAGUUGGGAUGGUCAUAGUUUUGUGGAAGACACGGAAGACACCACAUUGUUUGUGAAAAGUGAUUUUGAGGCAACAACUGACGAAACUACAUUCUUGAUCGAAUUUUUCAAAGGGAAUGAGAUCCUUUAGAAGAGUCCUCUGUACAUUAUAGAAGAGUUUUAUGGAGGCAAAUUUGCUAUUAAGGCUUUAUCUGCUUUAAAGGCUAUUAAAGCUAGAAAAUUGAAGCUAAAUCUUGGACUUAAAAAUUGAAUUUAGAGCCCUAAAAUUGAAUAUGGAGUACCUUUUUUCUUAAAUCCCAAAGUAUUGAGCUAUUACCUUUAUAAAUAUAAGUUGCAUUAAGGGAUAGUUGGAUCUCACUAGAAGAUUCUUCAGUUUGUAGUCAGUAUUUUUUUUCUUUACUUGUUCACUAGUGUCAUGAUUAGGGCAGCUGAAUUGAGUCUUAUAUUGAAAUGCAGUCUUCAUGGGUCCUCUUAUAAAAGAUGUCUCGUUGCUUGACAGCAAUGAUUUGAAGAAAUCAAACAGGUCUUCAAUGUUUAUGCUUUAAACUAGUAGUACAUAUUAGCAUAAUUCUCUAAUCUAAUCAAGCUCAAAGAUUUUGGUUCUCUAAUAAGUCUAUAUUUAAUGUAGGGUAGUUCUUCAAAUUAAGAAGCAAAUUGCAGCAGGUAAGUUUGCAGAGGCCACAGAAACAUGGAAGGAAUUGAUAGCAGUCAUUAGCCAUUAUAGUAAUAAUAUGGUAUGAAUUCUUUUGACUUUUUUCCUAGCCUAUCUAAACUUAAAGGUAAUCACAAUAAAUUGGUAAAUUUAUGCUUGCCGAUUUCAUUUGUGUAUAAAUAGAGUAUUUCUACAAUUUCCUCUCAAUUUUACAUGAGGAUGAGCCUUUAUCAUUAUCAGCUGAAUCCAAACUAAAACACAAAAUUGCAGUAAGAAGGUACUCAGUAUACCCUCAAAGAUUGAGGUGCCCUUCCGAAGGUGAUGGUAAUGAUGAUAAUGUUACCUAGAUGAAUGGUUAUAUUAGAAAGAAGUUAAGGACUAUAUCACUGAAUGUCACGUGAGUUUUUCUCCUUAGAAAAUUUUUUACUUCUCAGAGUUGGAGAAGUAAUAAUGGCUAGAACAGAUGGGAAUUUUCAACUUGUUGCUAGAGCCAUCCAAGGUGAUUUCAUUAGGACAUGGAUUAGGGAGGCAAAUAUAUCAGCUUUUGUGUUUUAGUUGAGAACGAAAAGUCGGGAAGUUUUCAGGAACUAUAUCAGUUUGUAAUUUUGAAUUAUACCAAAAAUGAUUUUUUUUCCUCAUUUGAUCAGCAUUCUUCAAUCACAUCUCAAUUGAGAUAAGACCAGCUUAUCCAAUUACAUGCAGUAAAUUCUCAAGCAUUUGUUCAACUACUUUUUGCAGGUCGAUGAACUUUGAGCAAAUGGAGUAAAUGUUAAUAUCUAAAAUGGACAAGCACAAUUCUGCAAUGGUUUAAGAAAUAUAGAGCAGGAAUGAUGCUUUAUUUUCCAUGCUAUCAAUUUGACUUUCUUUAGUUUGAUUAGAAUGUUAUUUAUUGUUGCUGAUAGCUUCAUCUCAUCUGUCCAACCAACGUAUCCAAUGCCCACAUGGGUUGAAAAGCUCAAGUAGGAAUUAAUUAAUCCCACAAGUAAUUGAGAACCCAAAUCCCUCUUUCUAAGAAAAACACUCUCUUAUCAAAAUCAGUAACUUUUUUCCUAUUUCAUUGGUGGGAUGGGAUCACAUUUUUCUUGAACAUGGAUAGAACUCCUGCGUAUUUUGAAGAUGACAAAGAGUAUAAAGGGUUUCACCAAAUCAUACAGAAAUUUACAUUUCUACUGGAUUCUUAAUGCUGGCCACUUUGUAGGUCAACUAACUAUUGUCAUAUUUCUGCUGUAUUUGUCUCUGUUGGUCUAAAAUUACUAUGACUCUUGCCUACUAGAGGCAAGGUUGAGAAGACAACACAUCCAAUAGUUUUAGUACGUCAUAGCCAAUCUCCUAAUUUUGGAAGGCUAAAGUUUUGCACAAUUUUAUCAUGAAUGUUGAAGAAAAUGUAAGGUUUGCUUGGCAUCCAUGCUUUUUGCUAGUUUAUUUUGGACAAAUUUUUUCCCCAACUUUAAGUUACACUUUUAAAAAUAGGGUUAUUAUCACUUUAAUGGAGUUUGUUAAUUCAAUUAAAAAGACAUGUUUAGCCCUUAAAAUUAUUAUCAUUUUCCUUUCAUAAACUAUAGCUUUAUUAUCAAUUUACCCCCUAGAAUUAUUUUUUAGACAAUUUAUCCCACAAUUAAACCAAUUUAGUGAGUUAAAAAACUUUAGAAAAAAAGUAUUCUCCUCUUUAAAUAAUAAAAAUAAUAAAAAAUUUAGAGUGGUUGUUCUCUUUUUUAGUAUCAAGAGAAAAAGUCAAAGUAUUAAUCUCUUUCUUCUUGGUAAUCUUAUUAAUACUAAAAAAAAUAGAAAGGUUGGGAAAAGAGAGAGAGAGAGAGAGAGAGAGAGAGAGAGAGAAAGAGCUCAAUUCUUAUUUUAAAAAAAUACAAAUAAGAAAGAAUUCAAUAUUUUUAUUUUUUUUAAAGUUACUUUACUUUUUUGUUUACUAUCCAAUUCUAAUCCUAAUCUCGGUGAUGUUAAAGUAAUACGAUAAUAUUAGAUUCUUUCUUAUUUUUUUCUUUGCAAAAUCUAAUUUUUUCUGUCUCCUUUUCUCCUAUCUAUUUUUCUUUUCUUAGUAUUAAUAAGUAUGAAAAAAGAAAUUUGAAAAAAAUCAUUUUUUAUGUUUUUGGAACUCUUAGAGUGAGAAAAAAAGGACGAAUAAUCAUUCCAAUUUUUUUUUAAUUAUAUAUAGAAAGAAUAGAUACAUUAAUAUUUUUUUGAACAUACUAUUGUGGCUAAUAAUGGAGUAAAAUGCCUAGAAAAUAUUGUUAGGAAGUAAAGUGAUUGUAUCACUGUAAUUUAAAGGGGUGAAAUGAUAAUGAUAAUGUAGUAAUGCUAAUAAAUAAAAGGGUAUUUUUAUCCAAAAUUUGUUAACAUGUUGAGUUGAACUACUUAUGGGGGUGGAAUGAUUAAAAGAUAAUGUUAGAAAAUAAAUUGAUAGUAGUGAUAUAGUUUAAGAGAGUAAAGUGAUAAUAAUCCUUAAAAAUACUCCAAAGUUUUUAAAAUAUACACCCAAAAUACCCCAAAGCAUACAAAAAAGUCUUUUCCUUCUUUCCUUUCUUCCCCCCACCUCAACCUGCUAUCACCACCAUCGACCACCUCAGCCUCUCCUUUUUUUUUAAUUCUCUCAUUCUCUCUCCCUCACCUCCUCCCCCUCACUUGUCCUCUCCUAGUCUCGGGAAGGGGGGAGGGGGAUGGGGUCAGGGAGAGGAGGGAGAGAGAGUGGCAGGGGAAAGGGAGAGGGAAGGUGAGGGUGGCGGUUGCACUAGGGAGGGUGGGAGAAGGAGAGCGAUGGUGGUGUGGGGAAGGAAGAAGAAAGAGAAACAAAAGGAAAAAAAAAAGAAAGAAAAGGAAAAGAAAAAAAAGAAAGUUUUUAAUUUUUCAAACUCUCAAAUAUACAAAGUUUUUUUACGAGUUCUACAUUAAGUUUUAUGAUAAAAUUUUAUAUAGACACCACAAAAUACACCAUCCAGGUGAACCCAUUGUUUUUCUUGAUCCUUCCCAUUGAAAUGGUUAUUCUCAUUUUUGUGCAUCUAAAUAUAUUUGUCAUAUUCAAAAAGUAAGAACAUAAUGUUUACUCUUUUUAUGCUCCAAAUCAUUGUCUUUUUGUGGAAGACAUGCAUGUCGUUCCAUUCAGAUGUUCAAUUCGAGAGCAUAAACUUCGAAAAAGUUUAGCUAAUUGUCUCUACCAAAAAGCAACAAAACACUAGCACGAAGUAAUUGAUGGGCUUGUAUGGAUGGAAUUUAUAUAUGAAGAUAGCAAGAUGUGUAACAUGUGCAUCUAAUACAAGAAUUAAAUGAAUUUAAGAGGUAAUAAGACACCACAUCACUACUACUGGAUAGUCAAACUGGUUUUGCUUUACCACGCACUAACAGAUGUCUGCCAUUUACUGGUAAAUUUACUAAUCAAGAAUGGAACAUGAAUUUUAAAGAAGAAAGAAAGCUAUGGAAGUCAAAAUUUCACGCACCAUUUAUUUAUUGAAGUUAUUGACAGAUAUCAGCAGUUUCGAUCAAAGGAAAUUAAGAUCAUAUGCUGAACGAAUUCUUGCAAAAUUAAUGUAUGUUAGGUCUUGUCCUAGAAAAUUGAACAAGAAGAACAAAAAGACUCUUGACAACCCAACAAAGGCAACUGCACAACAAAUAAAUCAAACAGAGAGAUAUCAAAAUUUAAGUGGUUCAAUAGAAUUGGCCUACAUCCACGGGUGAAAGAGAAACAUAAUAUUACUACAAACUAGAGAGUACAAAAGAGAGACAGUACAAAAUCAUAGAAAAUCAUUCUAAAAUCUAAAGGCACCUAAAACUAAAAAUACAAAAGAGACUAAAUAGCACAAAAAAGUUUAAUGGUCCAAAGGUUCACUAACUUGCUCUUUUAGUUUGACGCAUAAACAAAAUCUCUCUCGACUUGGGGCAUGAGACCCCAAAAAACUUCUCUUGAAUGGAGCCUUGAAACUUGGAUUGGUACGCUUAAUAUAUUUUAACUCAUUAAGUCCAUUGUAUUUAGAACCACCAAGAGAGAGAUUUCUUUGUAAAUUUUUUGAUAAGGGAUACAAAGAUAAACUCAACAAAUCUCCACCUUGGCAUGUAUCCAACAUCAACAAAUGACAGACAAGUGGCAAAUAUGCUACACUUCCCCACAAAAGUUCCUACAGAACCCAAUGAGUCACAAAAAUCCCAAAAGAUCCCAACGCACCAUCAAAAAAUCAAAAUACAAAAGACUCAACGGAUUCCAACUGGCAAAACACGCAAAGGAUUCAACAGAUCCCAAAGGGUUAAAAACAUGAAUAUGAUAAUUUUGCUUUUCAAGUUCACUAUGUAGGACGACUCCCAAAUUGUCCUCUCUCGUGCUCAGGAAAGACCAAUUUUUUUUUUAUCAUAGAAAAAAAGUGGGAAUAUGAUAUGGUGACAAUUGAGAUGGCAUCUAGUAGGGCUCGUGGUCAAUUUGGUGGUGGAAGUGCAUCACCAAACUCGAAAAGUUGCUUUCAUUCUUGCUGAAUAACUGAACAUCAAUCUUUCCAAGAUUAGAAACUCAAUUUCCUCACGUUUGCUGCUACUGGAAUUUUAAUUUUCUUUGCAUUUGUUGCUGCUGAAAAUUGGGCUUCGCCAAACUUUAGUCGUUGGUGUUUGAAUUCAUUAGUGUAGCCUUGCACCUCAAUUGUUUGUCAAUUUGCCUCAACGAAUUUUAUGCCAAAAUAGACAUCAGCUCUACGUCCCUACUUGCCGGAGAUGGCGGCCUGUGGGCCGUCUGACAAGCUUCCGGACAGUGGGACUUCAGUUUUGAGGUCCUUUGCAUCAGUACUAGCAGAUGGUACGAAACAAACUGAUGCCUUAGCCUUGGGAGAGGUCUCAACCUUUAGAGGAGAGCCAGCCUUGCGCAUCUCUCGCAGGGAAAUAGAGCAGCUUUCUGUUCCAUUUCAGAACUCUUUGGUGGGGCGCUUCUUGUUCAACAGACCACCCAUGGAAGUUAUUAGGAAAUUCUUUCUUUCGCUGGGUUUACGAGGUGCUGUAAGGUUGGGCUCCUUGACCAGAAACAUGUUCUGAUCCGUCCGGUGUUGGAGGAAGACUACACCCGUCUUUUUGCACGUAGAAUCUGGUAUGUUAGCAGCUCGCCAAUGUCAAUUUCCAAGUGGUCGCUAGAGUUCAAGGCAGACCAGGAAUUAUCGAUAGCUCCAAUUUGGGUUUGUUUCCCAGAGUUGCCAAUUCCAUUUUUUCAGCAGACCCAAUUAUUCAAGCUUGCGUCUACUUUGGGAAGGCCUCUUAAGAUUGAUGCAUCAACUAGUGACAUGCGUCGUCCUUCUGUAGCCAGAGUUUUGGUGGAGCUUAACUUUGCAUCUAAUCCUGUGCGGCGUAUUUGGAUAGGUGAUGAGAACUUCGGGUUCUGGCAGCCUGUUGAGAUGGAAACGUGGCCAUCUUACUAUGGGUUUUCCAGUAGGUUUGGCCCUGCAGAGGAGCAAUGCUUUCAUAAAAAUCCUUUCUUGCGAUCUGAUCCGCCAAUUCACAAAGUCCCUUCUAAAACACAGAAACAGCGCCAAAUCUAUGUUCCAAAAGUAGUGAAUGAGAAGGAGAAGGAGUUGGAGGUGACGACAGUCCAGAGCAAACCGGCCGCAGAUGUCAACAAGGAACAAGGAAUGUCUGCUGCUCAUGCUCAGACAAUUCCGGAGGCUGCCACUUUAGGGAAUAAUUCGCAGUUUGUUUUGGAUAGUAUUAAUCCUGAUGAUUUUCAAUUGAAUAUUGGGCAAAAUCAUAAGGGUAAGGAAAAGAUGUCUGAUGUUCAAUCUUUGGUUUUACCAAACCUGCAAAUGAAUAAGCCGUUGGUUAUACGGGAGCCUCAAGAGUCUGGUGUGGAUUGAAAUUUGAGUGGGGUUGUAUCUCGGAUAGGAAAAGCUGCAAAGUCUGUUAUUGUCACAGAUCGGGUUGUGGUGCCGGAGCAUGGAACAGAUGUUGGGCUGCAGACUUCGACUUCGAAUCCACUUGAGGAUGGGGAAUUCACUGAUCCGGAGUCUGAGAAUGACCAUUCCAUUCAACCAGCUAAUGGCGCAUUCACAGAGGCUGCUUCGGAAGAGAAGGCGAUGGAGGUUGGCGACUCCUCAUAGCAAGGUAAUGGAAUUACGCCUGAUGUGGCUAACGAUGCGCUCGUGAAGGUAGACCAACUUCAUGACCCACGUGAUAUGGUGUCAGUUGGAGACACACCCCUUGUGGGUACAAGUACAAGUACAAGAACAGACACGAAAUCCUCUAUGCCUCAAAAUCCAUGGUUUAAAAAUGUGCCACAAUUUAAAGAUGUGUUCGAAGAGCUUAAAUGGAAGAAAUUACAUGGUAGGAUCCCCCUCGUUGAUAGGUUGCAAUUUUAUUAUUAAUUUUCCCUAUUACCUGACUCGAUGUGGAUUAAUUGUUGGAUUCUACUCACUUUUAAUAUUUUGCAUUUAUUUCAGGGAGUAGAACAAAAAUAUGAUAACAAGUGCCGAUUUGACAGAAGAGGAAUCCAAAUAAUAGAACUUAUCCCAGGGGCAUUUUUGGAAAAGAAAAACUUAUCCCCAUUUUGGUAAUUACUGCAAAGGCAAGGAUGAAGGCAGGGCUUCCUUUUUGCUGAUGGGGAGCCGCCGCACAAUAGUUAGGCAUUAGAUAGGAUUGCAAUUAGAUAGGAAUAAAUAGAAAAUGGGAGCAGAGGGUUUUCUCUCCUUUACCUUUAGUUUAUAGCUUUGACUUUUCUUUUGGUUCUUAGUAGCUUAGCUCUCGUAUGUCAGAGGCAAAUAAGAGCAAUUGAAUGAUUCCUUGUAGUUUUUUUUCUUUUGACUUUUCCUUGUGGUCUGUGGUGGAUUCCUCCUGCCGCAUGAUGGCCGCGACUAUUGCUUCAGCUUUACAUGGGUUUUUUGCAACGAAUAUGAACUAAUUUCCUUACUCUAGCCAAGGAGCAACGGAGGCCUUGGUUCGCCUAAGAAUUGUGAGAUCGAUUUAAUUUAAUCUUUUCCUUUUAUUUAUUGGUAUUCGCAUAUUUCUUGAUUGCUAAGCUUAUGCUUAUUUAAUUAAUUGAUUGUCUUGGAUCCGGAUAAUUAGUUAAUUUGGUAAUCUAUUGUCAAUUAGGGCAUUUAAAUCCGUAAUUGUUUAAUUGCCUUGAAUUAGUGACAAUUGGCACGAUUGGAUUCGUGUCAGGGGGAUACGCGGGCUAAUCUAAAAUAACCCUGGUAGUGCGUUAUUUGGUUAGAAUAGGGCUCCUCUAAUACGUAAGGCAAUUGGGGAAUUAAAUCUUACGGGCGUACCUAGGAUUAUUUCUCAAUUAGAGCAGUGAUUAAUGGGCGUACCUUAAUCACCGACACAGUAAGGAGGGGUUGACUGUCAUCGCUUGUUUGGCAGUUAUAACCUAUUUAUUAAUAAAUAAUUGAAAUCGCUUGUGCAUCGAUGAUCAAUUAGGUGAAUCAUUGCCGAAGUUAUUUCUUGGUUAGAUCCUUAAUUAUCACCCAUUUGACUUUAGUAAUUUGUUAUUUAAUUUUUAGUAGUUUUUUAGAUUUUAUUUGAAUUUCUUUGAUUGUCACCUUCUGCACAAAAACACCCCCUUUGUUACUGUGAAUUUGAGAAGAAACAGUUACACCCAGUCCCUGUGGAUUCGACCCUACUUACCACUAUCUAUAGAAAUUAACUUUAGUUGAGCAGGUUUUUGUUAUUGCACAGGCUGACAACCUGGCACUCGUAUAUCAAAAGCCUUUUCUUCAUUCAAAUACAACAUGCAAUGGUGACAAAAUUGAAGAAGAAGAAGAUGAUUCACAACGCGAUAAAGACAAAGACCAAGACCAGAAACUAGUUCACGAGCAAUUUACCCAAGUGAUUUCAAAGAAAGCGAGGAAGCAGCUUUCAAAAAAAGGUAAAACAAUGCAAACACGUCAAGAUGUUAAAUCAAAUUCCCAUGCUCACUCACAAUCCCACAAAUGUGGGGCACCAUCAUGUGGAUGAUUCGUUCGAUUCAUCUGUUAUGUAUUUAGAUUCGCAGAUUUUUUCAUAUGUGCGUAUUAUUGUUGAUCCUUAGCUGUCCCUUUUACUUUAACAGAGGUCAGGUUUGGCCCCCCUCUAAUUCGUUGUACUCUUUUCGGAUAUAAAUAAAUUAAGGGAUGGAUCUCUAUUUAAAAAAAAAAAAAGUUCACUAUGUAGGAAAGUUGUCUUAACAUCAAGCUGUUCCAACUCCAAAUCAUAUAUGACAACUAAAGUAAGUAAAAUACGAAUAUAGCUAUGCUUAACAACAAACGAAAAUACAUAAUUGAAAUCAACAAUUUGUACCCAACUGUAAUCCUUUGCAAUCAAUUGUACUUUGUACAUUGCAUUUUCAACUACUGAAACACCUUCAUUCUUCUUGAAUACUCAUUUGCAUUCAACUUCUUAUCUAAAGAUAAUUUUACAAGAACCCAAGUUCCAUUUUGGUAGAGACUCAAUUUCUUCAUUUAUUGCAAUAUAUCACUAAGUAGAAUCAUCACAAUAAACUAACAUCUAAAUAGGUAAAAGACUUGUAAACUCCAUCAUUCUGUUUUGUAAUAGACAAAGCAUAUGCAAUCAAAUUUACAUAUCCUUGAGGUAGUCGAAGAUCCCUCCUUGAACUAUUUUUGGCUAUUGAAUAUUGCUUCUCUUCUGGAUUAUUUUCAUUAGUAGAUUCAAGUGCAUCUACUAGCAUUUGCUGAAUAGAAGAACUAGACUAAGAAAGAACAAAACUGCCAAUUUCAAUUUUCACCUAUUUCUACAUACUAUCAUCUGUACCACAAGAACUGGAAGACUCCUUGGAAGACAGUAUAGAGAAUAUAUCGGAAAUAACAUCUCUACUGAUCAUAAAUUUUGGGAAUUUCAGAUGAAGAAAACACAAUAUAUGCACUUUUACCCCAAAAGCAUACCCAAGAAAAGUACUUUUUUUUGCCCAAAACUUCAAUUUUUCAUUAUUCACAUGCAUGUGUGUUGUACACCCAAAAGCUAUUAAAUUAGAGUAGUUAGCAGUAGUGCACAACCAAACUUCCUCAAGAGUUUGAAAAUCAAGAGAUGUAGAAGGAACGCGAUUGACAAUAUAACAAGCCAUAUAGAUAGCCUCUGCCCAAAAAUCCUUUAUCAACUGUGCAUUAAAGAUCAUACAUCUAUCUCUUUUCAAAAGCGUUCUAUUUAUGUGUUCUACCAUACCAUUUUAUUGAGAUGUCAUUCUAACAAUGCGGUCUUGAAUAAUUCCUUCAUUCUUGUAUAAUUCAUCAAAUUCACCUUCACAGAAUUUCAUGUCAUUAUCUAUUUUAAGCCCUUAAUGUGUUUAUCUAUCUGUUUCUCAAUCAAAACUUCUAUUGUUUGAAAGUUAGGCAAACAUGAUUCUUAUGUUUAAGAAAAUAAACUCAAAUUUUCCUUAAAUAAUCAUCAAUGAAAGUCAAUAUAUAGCUUGCACCACCCUUAGAUGAAACACGAAUUGAACCCUAUAGAUCUAAAUAAAUAUAAUCAAGACCUUUAGUCUUGUGAAUUGUUGAUGAAUUGAAACUGACCUUUUUUCGUUUUUCGAAGACACAGUGUUCAUAGAAUUCCAAUGACUCAAUACUUUGUCCACAAAGAAGUCCCCUUUUGUUUAGUAUGUCCAAGUCUUUCUCACUUGCAUUUUAAAUGCAUAUGCUACAAUUUGAUGAUGUCAAAAUCAAAUAAAGAUGAUAGUAGAUCCUGUGCUAAUAGAUCCUUGCAAAAUAUACAAAUGACUAGACUUGCAAGUUUUUAUAACAACAAAAACAUCUCUAGAAACCUUCAAAAUGCCAUUUUCAGCUGUGUAUUUGAAUCCAAGGGCCUCCUAGAUUCGUCAAGAGAUGAAAUUCUUUUCUAAAUCAAGAACAUGUCUAACAUUAGUGAGUGUUCUCACAAUACAUCAUGCAUUUUAAUUCAGACUGUACUCUUACGAAUAAUAUCAUAAAUGGCAUUAUUGCCCAUUAAAACAAAUCCACCAUUACCAGGCUCAUAAGUAGAAAGCAAAUCCCUAUUGAGACACAUGUGAUAAGAACACCUUGAAUCUAAAAUUCUUUCUUUUUUAGACCUUGUUCUAUCAUUAGUCACAAAGAAAAUAUUUCUAUCACUCUCAUUAGCUGCAACACAAGUUUCAACAAUGUCAAUAUAUUCCUUACAAUGUUUUCCCUUUUUCUUUAGUUUAUUUUUCAAUAUAAAGCAAUUAGCCAUAAUAUGCCACAUUUUGUGACAAUAAUUACACUCCAAAUUUCUAUGUCUGGAUUUAGAUCUAAAUUUAGACCUACUACUAGCAGAUUCUUUUUUAUCAAUUCUGCCACUAAGGCCUUUUGCCUGACCCCCCAUUAAUUUUUCUAAUGAUAUCUCUGUCUAUCUACUCCUUAGUUUUUAAUGCAGAUUUAAGUUUUCAAUAUGAAACUGUUUCUUUUCCAUAAACCAUAUUAUUGUGAAAUACUUAAACGAUUGGGGAAGGGAACACAACAAUAAUAGGAUCUAAUCUUCAUUAUCAAUUUUCGAAUAAAUAUUCUCCAAAUCCAUAAUAAUGAUGUACCUUCAGUCAUCUAAAAUAUAUAUAGACUUUGCCUUAGAUAAACUUGAUUCUCAACUAUCUUCUUCGUAUACAAAACUUUAAUCUUGUCCCAAAUGGCCUUAGUUGAAGUCUUAGCGGCUAUCUCCCAUAAAAUCUCGUCAUAGAGAUUUAAAAUAAUACUUGAUCUUGUCUUCUUAUCCAUUUUAGCAAAAUUCGCAUAUGUCAUAUUCUUUAAUUUUUUUCAACUUCCUGUAUCACUAGAUCAACUCCGUGUCGAACCAAGGUCGCCUCCAUCUUAAGCUGCCACAAUCCGAAGUUGACACUCCUGUAUAAUUUUUCGACUACCGUCUUUAUUAUUGUCAUUGUCGCCACAUAAUCUAGAGAGAAAUUUUGAUACUAGUUCCUCAGGUCUAAUCCCAUGAAAUUGACCAACAAAAAUAAUAGUACUCUUGGCAAUCUAACAAAGAGAAUAACAUAGCAAAUAAAUCAAAUAGAGAGAUAUCAAAAUUUAUGUGGCUCAGUCAAAUUGACUUACAUCCAUGAGCGAAGGAGUAAUAUAAUAUUACUAUGAGUAAGAGAGUACAAAAGAAAAAGUACAAAACCGUAAAAAAUAAUUCUAAGGUCCAAAGGUACCUAAAACUGAAAAUACAAAAAAGACUAAAACUGAAAGUAUAAAAGAGUCUAAAUAGUAUAAUAGACUUAAUGGUUCAAAGGCCCACUAAUUUGUCCUUUUCAUUUGAUAUUUAACCAAAAUUUCUCUUAACAUAGUACAUUUAAACUCAUUUAAAUCCAUUGUAAUUAAAACCACUAAGAGAAGAGAUCUCUUUAUAAAAUUCUCAAUAUGGGAUAUAGAAACAAAUUCAACAAUAUAUAUGUGCUGAAUCUAUGGCCCCAUUUGGUAAGUGAGUUUUUUAGCUAUUUGUCUAAAACUUUACUGUAGAAGUUGUAAAAAAAAAAUUUUAAAUGUGUCAAUUUUUGGAUAUUUUGAAGUGUAUAGUUUAAAAAUUUUAAGAAAUUUUUUGAGAUUAUUUAGUUAAAGUUGUUAAAAAACUUGUAGCAGACAAACUUUGCCAAAAACUUGCCUGCCAAACAAGGUAUAUUAAAAUUUCUUCUAUUUGUCCCACUAUUUUAUUUUCCCUUCUUGUUUUCUUUGUAGGUUCUUAUUGACCAGCCGUGCGUAGCAUUGAAGAUGAUAGGAAGCAUCACAAAUCACUUGCAGCUUUAGAGUAGACAUUGGCUUUCCAAUUUAACCCCACACGAGACAGACUCUGAAGAAAUAAGAAGAGAAGAGAUGACCUAUAGAUAGCCUGCUCAGGGAGGGGAAAAGAAUAACAGAAAAGAAGUCCAUUGAUUGCCAAAGAAAAAUAUCACAAGAAUGAGAAUCAUUUCAGAAGAAAAAGGAGAUUAAUCGGGACCUUGUUUUUCACAUUAUUGUGUCACAGUAGUUUUUUCAGUUUAUGACGUGAUUUUAAUUUGCUUGUGCUGAUAGAGAUUAACUCUGAGGCGUUAUAUUUGACCAGCUGGUGAAUGACAUUGGGUUCGGUGCACAAAUGCACAUUAGGGGUAUUAAUACCUUUUCAUUGUUGGGCAAAAAAAAAAAACAUUUCAUUAGGGUUGCAACUCAAUAAAAAUUAAAAAAGAAAUGCACAGAUGCUUCCUAGCGUUUCACGCAAUUAUAUGCCUAAAAUCAUAUGCUGAAACAAGUUCUAUUUUUAAGAUUUGGAGAUUAAGUUGCAGCAAAAAGUAGCCUCAAUUUCUGUCUUAAGAGAAAAAACAUAGAAUUCUUUGAAAUCCAAAAUAACUGUAAAGCUUCUAAAAUUCACCCAGAGAAUGAAUAUUUGUACAUAAUUGAACACCACAUAUCUAAUUUUAAUCAUAAACGGAAAGUAUUUUGCCAAACUCAGACUCUUUGAAAUAUUUAGAGUCAACUAAACCAUACUCCAAACUUUGGGAGUUAUGAUGUAAAGUCAAAACGUUGACUAACAUCAAUUCAAUUUCAUUGUAAGCCAUUGUUAAAUUUCUGUCGAUUAUACCUAAAAUUAAAGAUUUUAAGAAUCAUAUUUAUUACCCUCGAAAGAUUAUAAACGAGUUUUGCUUAUAAGGCAAACGUUGCAAACUACAAUUGCAUUUUUCCCUUCUCCAAAAAGGAAAAAUGAAAAAAAAAUCCCCCCAGUCAGUCCAGGUGAAUAAUCUAAGGUGUUUUCUCUUGCAUUCAACUUCUCUAAAUUCUAAUUCACGCUUACUGCUAAUCCUCGAUUCAUGUCAGUUGAAGACCCAUCGCAAUAUUUUGACUGAACCAUAAUUUUCUUAUAAUUCCUCGAGUUUUAGCAAUGAGUUCUAAAAUUUGAACUAACCUUGUUUAACAUGAAGAGACAUUUCACAUAAUUAUCUGUUGCUUUUGACUUUGAAACUAAAUGAUAAAAAUUAACCAAUUGAAUAAUUUGUUAGAAGCACAGUACAAUUUUAUUUUAAAAAUUGUCGUAGAUUAUCAAUUCAACUUAUCCUUGUCCUGUUCUCCAACUUCUAAAAUGCCUAUUUUUUUGAUACAAAGAAAAUAAAUAGGCUUUUUUUGUUCUAAAAAGCCUAUUUAUGAAACGGGUAUAAAAAAUUUGAAGCAAUUUGUAAUAAGUAUAUGAAACGGUGACUCAAUAACGCUUAUUUGAUUUAUUUCAUUUAAUAACAAUAAUUUUCUGGUUUAUUUGAAUUGUGAACCUCCCCACUGUCCUCAAAAAAAUAUUGACUAACAAUACGAUAUGAAACAAUUUACCUGGGUCCGUGAUGGACUAGAGUCCUAAACAAGUUUAAUAUGCUUCAAGCUUUUUACAUUUUAGAAGGAUACAAAAGAUUUAUUUUACAAAGACUUGCCAGAGUAAAGAAGAAGUGGGGAACAAGCACACUUGGAGAGCGCAAUACAACAGAGAGUUGUAUGCUGCGUUCGGGAAGGAUGAAUUACUCCCGAAAAGGAAUCUAUUAAUUCGUUAUUAUCACUUUACUCCUAUAAUAACGUCUUGUUUAACUAUCAUUAUUCCCUUUAUUAUUAUUUUCUAGUUAUUUUACUCUCAAGACUAAUGGCAAAUGUAAUAAAGUUUAUUGACUCAAGUGAAAGAUAUGUUUAGCUUUAUGAUUAUCAAUUUACUCUGUUAAACUAUAACAUUAUUAUCAAUUUACCCCAUAAUAUUAUUUUUAGACACUUUACCCUAUCAUUAACUAACUCAGCAAGUUAAACAAAUUUAGAUGAAAGUGUGUUCGUUACUUGCAUAGUUAAAAAAUAAAGGAAAAAAUAUAGAAAAGCCCCUUGAGGUUAAUUGAACAUAAACUUUAGUACCUCGUGAUUUAAACUAAUUUAAAAUAGCUACAAAAAUUGUUUGAAUUAACGGGUUUGAAAUACAUGCGUUUUUUUUUUUUGCAAGUAUUUGUAGUGGAAACAAACAAAAUUUCAGUUGAUAUAUCUAUUAUACCCUUAGAGUUAUAAUACAGAAAAGUUUCAUGUGGUUAAGCAAACCUACACAAAAAGGCCCUUGUAGUUUCAAAUCAUGUAAUCUAGUACCUCAUGGUUUGAACUAAUAUAAAAAUCAACAAAAAUAAUUUAAAUUAACAAGUUUGAGGUUGCUUGAUGUGAAAAAUAAUUUUUUUAAAUCAAAUUUUUAGCUAAUGUAGAACUUUCAAAAACAACCCAAAACUCCCAAAUACAACUCACCUUAUUUCUAUACAUAAAAUAAAUAAAUAAAAAUUCCUAAAUAAAGCUCACCUUAUUUCUAUACACAAAUUAAAUAAAUAAAAACUUUCAAAUACAACUUACCUUAUUCCUAUGCACAAAAUAAAUAAAUAAAUAAAAAUAACAUGUAACCAUAUGGGCUUUUUCAUUGGCUUAAUCAUAGAGGAUUUUUCCAUGAGUUUGCCUAAUAGGAUGAUUGCUAGAAGGUCUUUUAUUACUUAUAUAUAUUAGGAUAAUUGUAUCAUUUCACCUGUCUUUGUUAGUUUUGAUGAUUUCCAUUACUAUUUCAAAUUAGUUCAAACAUGUUGAGCCGAAAUGUACGAUUUGAAACCAAAAAGGGCUUUAUUGUAAGUUAGCUUAACCACCGGGGACUUUCUUGUAUUUUAUUGAUAGGGUGUUAAUUGUUAGUAAUUUUAUUGUUAAUUUCCCCUUUUAUUCUUGCCAAAUAUUGUUUUAAUUAUUAAUAUUUACUUAUAUUUGGUAUUGGGGUUUAAUUUCAGGAACAAAGCAGAAAAUUACCAAAAAGGAGGGACUUUUAUGGGAAAAUGGAGACUUCUAAGGACCUUGGACUCUUGAAUUGGUGGGGACCACAAGCUAGUGCAAGGCAUUUAGUCAUGUGGGCUUUUCAAAGAAAGUUACGUAAGAGACUUGGAGCAAGAAGUACUUUGGAGGUUUUGUCCACAUGUGCGGGGACCACGGAUAAGAAACAUGAGUCAUUUGGACUCUAGGAAAAGAAACGUACAAGACUUUGAAUUUGGUGUGGGGACCACUAGAGAUAGCAUUAGACUUCCUUUUGGCUUUAAAAAGGGAGAAACGUACGAGAGAUGGGGAAUCAAUAGUUCUUAGUUUAGUUUUAGUUUUCUUUUCUGGGCUCUUUCGCAUGGUUGUUCUCCAUUAAUGGAGAACUAACCUCUUAAUUCUAGUCAAGGGGACAACUGAAGAUUUGGUUCAACAAUUACUGUGAGAUCGAAUUUAUUUUAAUUGUUUCCUCCAUUUAUUGGUAUUCAUAUGUUUCCUGCUUUUAACUGUUAUAGCUCUUGUGUAUGAUUGAUUAGUGCGCAAUAAUUAAUUAUUCAUAUGGACUAUUUUGCUAAAUAGGGGUAAUUGAAUCCGUAAUUGUUCGUUAUCUCUACCUCAGUAGCAACUGGCGUAAUCGGGUUUAUGUCAGGGGAGCAUAUGAUCUAGCUUAAACAAACCCUCGUAGCGUGUUUGUUGGUUAGGAUUGGGCCUUUCUAAUUAUUAAUGCAAUCUAGAAAUUAAAUUCCACGGUCGUACCUGGGGUUAUUUUUGGGUUAGAGAAAUAGCUAACGGUCGUACCUUAGCUAUCGAGAAAUUAAGGAAGGGUUGGUUGUUUAUCGCGUACAUGACAACUAUAACUAAUCUAUUACUAAAUGUUGGAAUUAUCUGUGAAUCAAUGAUCAGUGCCCGAACCAUUUCUGAAGUAUACCCUUGGCUAGAGCUAUCUUAAUUAUUUCUUUUACUUAUUUUCUGCAGUUAAUUUAUUUAGUUAGCAUUUAAUCCAAAACCCCCCAUAUCUUGAACUCUAGAAGAAACGAAUUAUCCCCAGUCCCUGUGGAUUCGACCCUACUCACCGCUAUAUACAAAAUCUGUAUUUUUCUUGAGUAGGUAUUUAUUAUUGUACAGGUUCGGCACCUGUCAAUUUUUGGCGCCGUUGCCGGGGACUGGCGCUAGUUAUUUGUUUCUUUUUAAGUUCAUCUUGUUUUCUUUCUUUUUUUUUUUUUAUAGUUUAUGGCUGCUAGCAUUCCAUAUUUUGAUGAUAGACCGGACUUUGUUCCUGAAUGGGGUUAUGAGACUCAUGUUCUUCCUAAUGAUCAAUGGGCUGUUGCAAAUUGUGGAACUUAUUUUGACUCAGGUUAUUCAACUGACACAUGCCCCGCAUUUCAAGACAAUCUAAGUGCUCCAAUUGAUACUUUCGGAGAUUUUCCACCCCAAUAUCAAAUGCAGUAUGACCCUUAUUCAAACGGGUAUGAUCAAGGAUGGUGGGAUAAUUCCAGUUUUGAUUAUGCGACCGGGCCAAUGGAUUUUCAACAGCAAGAGUCUCAACAACCAUCGUCCCUGUCAGGGUACCAGCAGCAAUACCAACCCCGACCACCUCCGCCCCCAAGCUCUGGUCCAUCUUUGGAGGAGAUGAUAAAACAAGUGAUGACAAACAUGGCGCAAAAUCAGCAAAGGACGGAGGCAAUUCUUAUGCAAAAUCAACAAAGGACGGACUCCGAAAUGCAGGAUAUAAGGAAUCAGAUAAGUCAAAUGGCUACAACAAUCAAUCGUUUGGAUUCCCAGAACCAAGGUGAAUUGCCAUCUCAACCUGAGUUGAACCCGAAGAAUGUCAGCGCCAUGACCUUGAGGAGUGGCAAAGAGGUUCAAGGGCCUGAGCUUGUAAUCCCUAAGGACAAGGAUGAGGAGAUGCAAGAAUGUCAAAAUGAGAAAUCUACAGAUGCAGUUGAAAAAGAAGCCGAAAAUGAAGAAAUGGAACCCCAACCGCAACCCAUUGAAGUGAAAGAAUCCAGUGAAGAAUCAUCAAAUGUGGUGACACCACCUCCAUUCCCUAACCCGCAUUUUCUUAACUUUUAUUCCAUGAUUUCUGUUAAUGAGAUUGAUUUUGUUAUACCGGAAGUUUUUGAGUCUCAUGGCAGAAAUAAGUUAAGAGUAGCUAUGGUCAAAUAUCUUGAACCGUUGAGUGCUCUUGAUGGAGGGGUGGAGGAAAAAUUGAGAUCACUGCUUGAUUAUUUGGCACCAUCAACUAAUCCAUGGAAGACCGUAGCUCGUGUGCUCAAAGAUUACUCCAUCUAUGAGGGUUACCAGGAUCAUAUAGAGGAUGAAGCAUUAAGACGAGCUACACGAUUUUAUCCUCCAUGAACAAAACAUGAUAAUGUCUAGCCAAAGACAUUAAAGAAAGGCGCUCAUUGGGAGACAACCCAAUUUCUUUUAGUUGUUUGUUUGAUUUUAUUUGUUAGUUUAAAUCUGUCUUCCUUGAAUUUGAUUGAUUUUGGGUGUUAAUUUUCGUUUUUUGCUGAUUUGUAGGUGAUCUUCAAUCAUGACGCGCCCGUGUGGUGAUGUGCAGGACGCUCACGAUCAGAAAAUUCUGAAACUUCUGGGAGCUCUCUUACCCUCAUGACGCGCCCGCGUCACGUUCGCGGGAAAGGUAAGGAUUCAAAAAAAAAAAAAAAAAUCUUUUAACCGUAGCUACCUCUUUUCUUUUUUGUUACAAAAGAAAAAAAAAUAAAAAAUAAAAUAAAAAAAUAAAAAUAAAAAAUUUUGAAAAAAUAAAAAAAAAAAAAAGAAAAAAGGAAAAAAAAGAGGAAGUAAUACGGAAUCAAAAGGAAAAAAUUUUUCUUUCUCCUUAACCGUAGCUAGUUCUUGACUUGUCAACGUAAAAACAAAAAAAAAUAAAAAAUAAAAAAAAAUCCUUUCUUUUUCUUUCUUCUUUCUUUCUUUUCUUUCUUUCUUUCUUCUUCUUUCUUUUUCUUUCUUUCUUUCUUCUACUCUGUUCUCCUGCUGGUCCGUCGCUCCUGCUACACGCGCACCUCCAGCUCAGUGCCGCCCUCAGCCCUCUCUCCACCACCAAAUCUGCCCCCACCGCUCGUCACUGCCGACGCGAGAGUGACGCGGCCGCACGCUGCCGGCUCCAACUACACGGCUCUCCUCCAUCUCCCUCCAGCUCCUCUGAGCUCUGUUGCUCACCCGGCGUCGACCACCACCACAAGCCGUCCCUCGCAGCAGCUUCCUCUUUCUGUCCGCUGCUUCUUCCUCUCGCUCGAUUGGACCCAUCGAGCGCCGCCGCUGCUGAAGCUUGCCAGCCGCCCCCUUCGCUGUCCGCGCGCCAAGUUCAGCCACGCGACGCAGGCCACGGACAGGGCCCGUACGCCACUUCGCGAAGGCCCAGCUCAUCUGAGUUCCGCCGCCCGCAGCUCCACCUCCGACCGCUGCUGUUCACGACACCAAACGCUGCACCUCCUCUCUCUUCGCCGCACGCCACCCGCUGCUGUCCCCUUUCAUUUGGUUGUCAUCCAAGGUGGAGGUAAUUGGAACUUGUCCCCCAUUCUCUUAAUAACUAAUUGGUGCUGCCUGGGUUGCUCAAUAGUUAAUGUUGUUGACGAUUGAAGUUUAUUUUCUCAAUUGGUGAAUUCCACCAGUGGUACUGGUCGGACUAUUUUCGCUUGGAAUUGCUAUUUCUUUUGGGUUGGGUGAAAUUGUGCAAUUAAUUGGCCAACUGGAGCCAUUUGUUGGGACUUUGGGUGAGCUGAAAUAUUGCAGUUGUUUGUUAAAUUGGGAGGCCUCUGUACCAUUUACAUUGCUUAUUCCAGUUCAGUGCAUCUAGUUGAAAUGCUGGGGUUCAUUAUUAGAUUUGACUGAGAAUCCUGUGGAUACAUUGCUUGUUGUGUGAAUUGAGCUACAUUAUUUGGGGGAUCUCACUAGUGUGGGUUAGUAGCCGUUGAACUUGUUUCAUCCAUUGUUUGGGUAUUUUGGCUUCGCUGGGUCACUUCUACUCUUUUGGCUGACUGUUGGAGGCUGGGCACUUGGAGUUACUCUGCUACUGUCGAAUUUAUGAGUUAUUAUUGAUUGCAUUGUUAUUUCUUGGGGCUGUUGCUACAAUUUCAGUUGAUUGAGUUGUGCAUUUCAUUUUCCGCCAGUUGUACUAGUUGGAGUGUUUUCCCCCGAAUGUGUUUCCUCUAGCUGGUUAGAUAUUCGAUCAAACUGCCAGGAUCUUGUGGUUGUGUUGCUCUUGAUAAACUUUAGGGUUGCUAUUGCUAGAUUUAGCAUAUUACUGGGGUAUUCGUUAAAAUUUUAGAGUGCAUUUGUUGAGAUUAUGAAUGGCCAAGUUUGCUUGUUGACUGACUGAAUUAGGUAGUCCCUGUGCUUAUUGACGUGACUUUGCUAGUUCCCAGUUAUUGAUAAUAGUUUCUGGUUGUUGAUUUUGGAGUGCAACUAUUGCUUUAUUGACCAUAUUUGGGCUUGAGUGGCCCGUGUUUGCUUUUGCAUUUGACUAUUGAGUUGGGGAACACCAGUGACUAUGGAUUUGCAUUUGUUGGUUGCUAUCUUUGUUGGAUAUUCUGUCUUUUGUUAUUUGGGGUGAUAAUUGGCGUCAAUGGUGAGUGGCGCCACUUACAAGUACAGGUUCACAACGGAGAUGAGCGAAUGACGAAUAUCACCCGCCAAGUGGCAAGGAUGUCUCAGAACUCGGCUUCCCUCCACUGUUCCCUCCUAUCCCUUAGCUGUUCAACAGGGAAGUUUCAUUGUUCUCUUCGUUUUCAUUACUUUAUUACCUCCAUUGAGGACAAUGUAGGAUUUAGGUGUGGGGGGAGCAGUUAUGGUGCUAGUGUCUUUCAUUCAUUUUUUUUUCUUUUUAGUGAUUGGCUCGUAAGUGCAUGCCAAGGUUUGAUGUUGGAUUAUUACCUCUAUUUCUACUAUUGCCAAUUUUAAUAAUAAAAGGGUAUCAAGUUAAUGUGGUUGAAUCCAAAAACAUCUCUUUGGUGAAUAUCGAUGAUUGUUUUACUCUUAUAAUUUUUGGUUAACUUUCCUAGGCAUAGGGAAUGAUUAUUGGCAUUUUCAUGUGAAUUGGUCCGGUUAUUAACUUUAGUUCUCCAUGUUUGAAAAUGAGGCUAGCUGAUGCAAGUUUUCUUUUGGUUCUUGUAUUAUAUUGAGUUUUUGUGAUUUUUAGCUAUGAAUAAACUUGACUGUACUCCGCUAUUAGUUACUACUGAGUAACCGGGGAUCUGCACCUAAAAGUGUUGAUUCUCGCGUCAAAAGGUAGUAAUUGCUAUGAGUACGUGGUCACGUGGCGAUAGAAGCUGAGUAACCGGGCUCCUUCAUAUGGCCAAUGUUGGAGUUCGCGUCAAAAGGCUCAAAUGGCUAGCGACUAAGUCUUUUGUUACUAUUGAAAAAAAAAAAAAAAAAAAAAAAAAAAAAUAGAAAAACGAAAAAAAAAAAAGUGAAGGUUGUGUUAGUGUGUAAUAAAAAUCAGCUUGCCGAAUUAUGGAUUUAAUGUUGAGAUUUUGGUUAAUAGUUGGACCAUUUGCUGAUAAAUGUGAGCAACCAUUCCUUUUUCUUAGAUUAGUUUGCUUUAAAUUGGAGGAGUUGGUAGUUCAGAUGCUAACCGGGGUGAUUUUUCUUGGAUCUUGACCUGUGUCGCUUGAUAUAUGAUUUUCUCGGUGUCCUGGCAAUAUGGUAGUUGGAGUAACAGCCAUGGUCAAAUUUUGGUAUUCAAUUGUUGUUCCCAUGCUUGAGGGCAAGCAUGAUUUAGGUGCGGGGGGAAUUGAUAGGGUGUUAAUUGUUAGUAAUUUUAUUGUUAAUUUCCCCUUUUAUUCUUGCCAAAUAUUGUUUUAAUUAUUAAUAUUUACUUAUAUUUGGUAUUGGGGUUUAAUUUCAGGAACAAAGCAGAAAAUUACCAAAAAGGAGGGACUUUUAUGGGAAAAUGGAGACUUCUAAGGACCUUGGACUCUUGAAUUGGUGGGGACCACAAGCUAGUGCAAGGCAUUUAGUCAUGUGGGCUUUUCAAAGAAAGUUACGUAAGAGACUUGGAGCAAGAAGUACUUUGGAGGUUUUGUCCACAUGUGCGGGGACCACGGAUAAGAAGCAUGAGUCAUUUGGACUCUAGGAAAAGAAACGUACAAGACUUUGAAUUUGGUGUGGGGACCACUAGAGAUAGCAUUAGACUUCCUUUUGGCUUUAAAAAGGGAGAAACGUACGAGAGAUGGGGAAUCAAUAGUUCUUAGUUUAGUUUUAGUUUUCUUUUCUGGGCUCUUUCGCAUGGUUGUUCUCCAUUAAUGGAGAACUAACCUCUUAAUUCUAGUCAAGGGGACAACUGAAGAUUUGGUUCAACAAUUACUGUGAGAUCGAAUUUAUUUUAAUUGUUUCCUCCAUUUAUUGGUAUUCAUAUGUUUCCUGCUUUUAACUGUUAUAGCUCUUGUGUAUGAUUGAUUAGUGCGCAAUAAUUAAUUAUUCAUAUGGACUAUUUUGCUAAAUAGGGGUAAUUGAAUCCGUAAUUGUUCGUUAUCUCUACCUUAUUUUCUUACUUUUUAAAAUUGAGUUUUCUAGCUCCCUCUCCUUCUACUUUUAUUUUCUUGAUGUUAAUAAGAGUGAAAAAAAAAUAACGGAAAAACUGUUUUGCUUUUAUUUUCUUUGUACAUUUAGAGUGGAAAAAAGAGAGGAGAAUAGCCGUUUCAAUCUUUUAUUAUUUUUACUUAUAUAUGAGAGAAGGGUAUUUCCUUCACAAAAAUUUCAACGCGCUAAGUUUAACUGUGUAAUAAAAUGCAUAAUGCUUGGGAAUAAAUCGGCUUAGGGGUGCAGAUAAAGUAAUGAAAAAAAUAACAUUGGGGUAAAGUGAAAAUAGUACUAUGGGGAUAAAGUAAUAAUAAUUCAGAUAAAUGAUUAAAGUUUUGGUAGAAGUGGACCGGAAGUAGACAACAAUUUCCCAUGUAAGGCGGUGGCUUCUAAUUCAUUACUCCAAUAAUUUGUCUCCGCGGAUAAAUUUUGGUUUUCGUUUAAUAUUUAAAAGUCGCCUUUAUAUGAUUUGCUAUAAGUAAUAAAACUUGAGUGUACAAGAUGGUUAAACAAUUAAGGUGGGAUUUAAAAUGGGCUUCUUUGUACUUAAAAUAUAGGCUUGAUUGCAAAGUGCACCCUUAAACUAUUACCGGUUUGUACAUUGCACCCCUAACUAUGAACUGUAGCAAUAUACUACCUUUAUCUUUGAAUUUUUAGCACAUUACUCAAUUAUCAUUAAUUUGGUGGGAUACAGGUUAGUGAAAAGACUUCAACAACCUUGCAAAAUAUACGGUGCCAAAUUUGAUCUUUUACUACUCCUACAAUUGCGGCCACAAUCAUAUUUACAACUAAUUAAUGGCAACAAGCAAUUUUAGAAGGUCACAUGCAAGGAUUUUAUUUUCUCUUCUUAUCUACUAUUUUUCCAUUUUUUUCACAGCAAAAGCAAGGAAAAAUCUCUUCACCUAUGCUUUUGUCUUGGUAAUUAGAAUGUUUAAUCUCUUAUUUACUAAUACAAAAUUAGUUUCCAUCAAAUUCCACUUCAGAUUCCCUAUCAGCAAUAUAGAUCAAAACUAAUUAUCACCAAACUCAUAACCACAGCAAACACAUGGCAAACCAACCAAAUUAGAAAAACCAAAACAAGCCACCAAGAUAAACCCAUCAUUAAUGAAACCAAAACCAUAGACCUAAAAACAACUCGUACCCUAAUUCAUUUGGAUGGAGGAAUUGAGAUAAUAGAUAGGCGUUAUCUUUGAGAUUAGGAUAGAAAGACGAAGGUUAGUGGGGUUUUAGAGGAACUGCAAUUGAUUCAUAUGUUUUACAAGAGUGGAAAGGAGAAUUCGAGACCUGCUUGAGAACAAAGAAUCAGAGGGGUGAGGGAGUUUAAAAAAUGGAUAAGGGAUUUGUUUGAGGACAAAUAAUCAGUGAAGAAAAGGAAAUGGAAAUGGAUUGGGGUUGUUCCAGAGAUUAGAGAGUGGAGUGUAUCCCAUAUGGAGAGGCAAAAGAAUGUGAGCAUAGGAAAUGGUCACCAUAGGGAUUUUGGUUACUCAGAAUGGGGCAAAAUAGUCAUCAAAGUUUUUUCUUGACUUAUUUAUAAUCGAUUGAGGUAAGGUGCUAAAAAUAAAUAGAUGAAGGUAUUAUAGUGCUACAAUUCAUAGUUUAAGAUGCAACCUAUAAUCCAAAGAUAGUUUGAGGGUGCAUUUUGUUAUUAACCCUAAAAUAUAUGGAACUGGGCAAAGAAUUGGGUUGGAUGGCAAGAUAGCACAAAAUAAGAGGUGUAUCUGGUGCUAUUUUGUAUAAAAAAAAAGAUUUAAAUUUAUGAUGCUAAAUAUGUAUCUGUAACGCUAAAAUAUGCAAUUAAUGGAUAUUGAUAAUGUUAGAAUUUUGUAAUAGGCUCAUUCUCUCUUUUUGGUUGAUUAUCCUGUGCCCUUUGGGGCAAAAAAUAGGAAGCGUCAAAUUAAAAUAACAUAAAAAGCAAGUAUAGUCAAGAUCUGGAAUUGGUCGAUGAAAUGGCUGGUGCCUGGUGUCAUCUUGAUAUGAUUUGUUUAUCAUAUAUACACGCUUUCUCAAUCUGACAAGCUAAGAUACACCAUUUCACUAACAAAUAAGAAGAAAAUUUAAUCCCCUUGAUAUAUGUGUGUGUAUAUAUAUAUAUCAAGUCAGCUGCUUAGAAGAUCUUAGUGAUUAUUUUAUAGACAUAUAAUUGCAUUUAUUUUUUCUUAAAAAGUAGUAUUCAAUAAUGUCGUGUAUUUGCUACAUAUGUGAAGAACUUGAUUUUCGACGAAUGGCAAUAACUUUGGUCAUGCGGCGUAGCCAAGAACUCGUUUUGAUUGAAUUUUUUAGGAGUUUUUGGAAAUUUUUUUAUAAAAAUAAUUAUACUAUAAUAUUUUUUGAAAUAUGGUAUAUCAGUUAAAAAAUAGUUGAAAAAUGUGUCCAGAGAGUGUUUAAAUAAAGGUAAGAUAUUUAGACUAAGAUUCAAGCGCCAAUUUUCUUACAUAUUCUUCCAGUUCUGUUUCUUUUAACUUAGGAAUGGAAUAAAUACCCAAAUAAUUAAAGUAUUGGGUAAAAAACAAAAAGUCUCUUGUGGUAAAUCUAAUAUACAGAAAACCCCCUAUAGUUUCAAAAUGUAUAAAACGAUACCUUACGCUUUGAAUUAAAUUGUAAAGGUGACAGAAUCCGUUAAAAUUAACGAAAAUGACUUAUUGGAACCUAAAAAAUUUUUUUUAUGCCUAAUUUUUAACAAAUAUACCUACUCUACCCUUAGCCCCCAAUUAUCUCUCUCCAAAGAAUGAAACAAAUGAUUUUGUUGAGCUAUCCUUUGCUUAGUUAUAUCAGGGCAUUUUUAUCAUUUCAUCUAUCCCCGUUAAGUUUAACAGAUUCCAUCAUCUUUACAAUUUAGUUCAAAAUAUGAGGUAUCGUUUUAUACGUUUUGAAACUAUCUGGAGUUUUUCUGUAUAUUAGAUUUAUCACAGGGGAUUUUUUUUAUUUUUUAUUUGUUGCAUCGAUGAAAUGUUAUUUGCACUCUAUAUUUUGUUUUUUGCAUUCCUACCAUUUGUUUUAUCAUAAGUCUAAUAAAUGAAAAUUAUAUGAUUAAAAUAAUAGUGGGAGUGUAAUUAACAAAAAUUAAAGUGUGAAUAACAUUUCUCCAAGUUUUUUGUUUAAAAAUAAAUAUUGAAAAGACUUGUAUUUUCCAAAACAAUUUUGAUUCCAAAAAUCCAAAAUUAUACAAAUGGUGCCCAAACAAAAAUUCCAAAACUAUUAAUUGCCUAGUACCUUUCUUCUUCUUUUUUUUUUUUUAAUCAGAUGGCGAAGGUCGAAUAAGAUCUAGAGAAACAUAGAGAUACUACGCACCCUUAUCAAUUUAGAAGAAAUCAUAUAUAAUGACACGUUGACGAAAGGAAAAGUUUGAAUGGUUGACCUUCCGUCGCACCAAAAUUUAAAAGUCUUUGGGAGUGGUUUUGGGUUGUUGGUUAAUUGCCUGGUACUUUUCGCUUCAUAAAAGUACACAUAAUGCUAAAAAGCUGCUAUUACUUUCCAAAAUAAUUUCUACAUAGAAAGCAGGACCGUAGACUUCACACUGCAGCUUCUCUCCGACUGUACCUCUCAACUUUCCAUAACUUUGUCUUCAAGAAAACGCCGAAAAAAAUGAAAAUGAAAACUUUCCAAAUUUCUUAGUAUUAACUAAUCAGCGUAACGGUAGCAUAUAUAUAUAUAUAUAUAUAUUCUCAGGGCCCAGACAUCAGUCUAAAUUAGUCCCAAGCUCUUUAGUUCUCAAAUCAUCAGGUAGUAUUAAAACUCCGGAUUUUCUUCAAUUUUUGCAAGAAUGGCAAUUUUGAGUUCUCAGAAGAGAGAAGAGAUGAGAAGAAAUGAAAGUUUUCGCCGACGCCCUCGAAAGAGCAGCAAGCCCUGUAGAGCUAGUACCAAUUCUGUUGCAGAUCAGUUUCGUUUUUGGCCCUUUUUGGUUGAAAAAACCGAAGCACCAACCCAGAAAUCUUGUGUAAAUAAGGGCAAGAAAAUGAUCGGAUUAGCACUGCCUAAUCUUGAUCAAGAACUGCCCUCCAAGAAAUCUUGUGGAAAGCUACGUGCUGAAGCUAAAACUAGCCAAGAAAGCCGAAAAAUCGAGAUCAUUUUCAAGAAAAAAUUAGUGAAAGCCAAAGCUCAAGUUUUUCCACCUCCAUCGCACAACUUCCAACUGACUUCAAGAAUUACAUGAGCAGGAAACUGGGGCGACGGGGGACCCUGUUUUGGUGAUUGAGAAGAGUUUGUUUCCAUCAGAUGUUUCAGCCAAGCUUCACAGAUUGUCGAUACCAGUCAAGCAAGUUGCCAAUCACGAGUUCUUGACAGAAGAAGAGAGGAAAAGAUUCAACAAUGGGAACAAACAAGAAAAAAUUGAUGCCAUCUGGUUGAGCCAUCACUUUCUGAAUCGAAAAUCAGGUUCAAGAAAUGGUACAUCCAUGAUUCUGGAAUGUAUAUUUUGACUAGUGGUUGGAAUGAUGUUGUGGAGAGGAAUGGAUUGAAACAAGGAACAUUAGUGCAGCUAUGGUCAUUCCGGAAAGAAUCCCAAUUGUACUUUGCUCUGAUUAGGCUCUAAUUACACGGUUAAAACUUUUGUGUAAUUAAUUGCAAGCUAAUCAAUUAAAUGAAGUUCUGAAGUUGAUUUUCUUUUGUCGUUUUGGAAGUUGGAACUUGGAAGGGUGGAAACUAUUACAUAGCUAUAAAUUAUAUCUUAAUUUGCUCAAAAAGAUUAUUAAUAAUUUAAUUUAAUUUUAAUUUGUACUUGUUUAUAGGGAUAAUUUCAGUAACCUCCCUUGAGGUUUUUGACAAUUUCACUCGGCUCCCCUAGGUUUAAGAAAUCACACUUACCUCUCUUGAUAUAGUAAAAUACCUAUAAUGCCCUUCACUCAAUAGGCAAUUUUAAAUUUAAAAUAAUAAAUUUAAAAAUCUAAAAAAAAAUCUAUUUUGCCGUCUCUUGUCUAUUUUCUAGUUUAUAUAACAUCUUUUUAUUAUUUUCAAUUUUGUGGAUAUUAGCAAAUUGAAAUUACAAAAUCUACAAAGGGACCAGAUUAUGUGUCAAAUUAGAAGGAAAUGAAGAGACUCACAAUGAUAGAAAAAUAAAUAAUGAAAUUGAUGAUUGAAAUAGGAAAAAUAACUAAAGAUGUGGAAUUUGUCAUAUUUUGUUUGUUGUUAAGAAAAUUUUUUAUAAAAUAUCAAUAAUUACAUAAUGCUUUCUUCCAUUGGAUUAGAAAUUUUUUAUUAUGAUUUUAUUGUGAAGGUAGAAUUUAUAAUAUUUUGUUUGUUGUUAAGAAAACCUUUUAUAAAAUGUCAAUAAUUACAUAAUGUUUUUUUUCAUUGGAUUAGAAAUUUUUUAUUAUGAUUUUAUUGUGGAGGUAGAAUUUUUGCUCUAUUUUUGAGAUAUGAAUAUUUUUAAGGCUAUUGGGGAUUUAUAAUGGUGAUUCUAGAUCAAAUUAGUUUGUAUUUGAGUAUUGAUAUUUAAUUUGGGGUAUAACAUUAGUUGUCAAUAGGAUUUUGUGUGUGUAUGUGUAUUUUGUGGUAAGUAUAGAUACUGUGUAUGUAAUUUGGGAUCUUUUGGAUAGCUAUUUGAUUUUAGAACUUAUAUUUGGAUGGUUCAUAGGGAUUUAACUUAUUAAUAUAUGUAAAGUGUGAAAGAAAAUGAUUGAAUAUAUUAUAUUUUUCUUUCUUAGUUUUGUACAAAAGGACAAUUUAGGAAUUUUGAAAGAAAAUCUAAAUUCUUGGACCUGUAUUAUUAUUAAACAGUAAAAGUAGGGGAGGUAUAUAUAAUUUUUAAAACCAGAGGACAGCUCUUUGUAAUUGUGAGAAACCUCAAGGGAGGUUUGUGAAAUUAUCCCUUGUUUAUAUGCUAUAGCUGUAGUGGAAUGAUCAAUUCUCGCUGUCAAGCCAACCCAAUGGUGGGAUUGUGGGGUUCUGCUUUUACUGUUUUUCUUUUUACUUAUUUAAUUUAAACUUGGGGAGCAAGAUUUAGACCUUGCACUGACUAGCCGCGUUGACCAAGAAGGUCUGAAUCUUUUGCAGGGUUAAGAAAUGCAAGAUGACUUAUUAUAAUGGGUCUCGGAGUUUACUUGUAUUACAUUGUAGCCCCUCAAUAGUGUAUGUUGAAAAAACACAUGAUUUAUUUUGAGUGCUUUCUUGUAUACUAAAUUGUAAAAUUUUGCCCUGUUAUUUUUACUUUCACGGAAUGCAUGUUUUUGUGCUAAGAUUACAUUGAACAGGUGCAAAAAAAAAAAAAAGGUAUAAUUGAUGUGAUCAAAAAGAUUUGAGUAAUGUGCAAAUUGGAUAAAUGUUGGAGGUAAAUUUUCAAUAUUAACUGUAAAAGAAAUCAAUAAAUUGGUUGGAUAGACUAGUAAUGACUUUAAUUUCAUAAAGGGCCCGUUUGGCAAGUGAGUUUUUUGGAUGCUUAUCUAAAAUUUUACUGUAUCUUUCUGUAGAUGUUGUAGAAAAAAAUUUUGAAGUGUAUAUCUGGAUAUUUUGAAGUGUAUAGUUUAAAAAUUUUGAAAAUUUUUUGAGAUUACUCUAGCUAAAAUUAUUAAAAAAACUUGUAGCAGACAAACUUGGCAAAAAACUUGCUUGCUAAACAAGGAAGGCUAGCUAAAUUUUUUUAUAAAAGUAAUAUUAAUAUGACUUUAAUUUAAUAAAGGCUGGCUAAAUUUUUUUUUGGUAAAAGUAUUAUUAAUUUGAUAAAGUCUAUAAAUGCAAGGGUGUAAUAACUAUGAUUUUAGGUCUUUGCAUGGCAUGUGAAGUAGAAAGCCAAGUAGUAAAAUUUGAUUAUCUCAUAUUGUUGAAUGUUACAUUGAUGCCCACAUUGCACCUUGCCCAAAGAUUAAAUUAUCACCCAGGAUAAGAUCCAUGCGGUAGUUUAAUUGGAAGAUAUUUUGGAGUUUGAGGGUACAAUCUUUGUUAAUUUUUCUAAUAUAUUAUAUCUCAUUUAGUUUUAGAUAUGUUGGAAUCUAUUGUAAGUUUGAUGUAAUUUAUGCCAUUAGUAUAAAGCGCAUAAAAUUGGGUGCUCUAACUGGUUUGAAUUUUGUAGUUUAAUAAAAAAAAAAAUAGCUUUUAUAGGUUAAUUGAUUAGCACGUGAGUUAUUAUUCCUUAAUCUUGCUGUUUAAAAUUAGGUGCUACUUUAUUUUUGCUUUUUAAAUUUAAUUUAACAGACAUAUAACUGUACGUGACUCUUAUCAAUAAUUAAACAAACUCUUCAGAUAUCUUAAAUUUGCUUUGAAUUAGAUACAACAGGGACUAGAUUUGUUUUUACCAAAAUAUCAAGGACUAAAAUUGCACAAGUACUAAAUAGCCAAAAUUACAUUUUUCCCCAAAUCCUAGUACUUGUAAUAAACAAUAAACUCCUAUUAUUUAGCGGCCACUCACGUCCAACACUAAAACAAAUUUUAUAUUUUUACUAUUAUAAUCUAAAGAGAUUCAGGGCUUUCAAUUUUAAAUUUGCUUAUGGAAUUUAUUAAAAAAAAAAAAAAGAGCAUAAUCCUCAAUGAUCGGAAACCAUUUUUAUCAAUAAAAAAAAUCCCAGCAACCAAAAAAGGAAACUUUCCUAAACAUUACUUCCGCAAACUAACACAACGGUAAUAUGACCUUCCCGAAUCCGAAUAGAAUUCAGGAUUAAGAGGUUUCCGGGUUUCAGUUUUAAAUUUGCUCUUGGAGAAAAUGGAAUGAAAAAUGGUUACAUUUUCUAAAUAUAGUUCUCAAAAUAUUAAUACGGGCAACAAAUUACCUUUAGGCAUUGAACAUCAAGUACUAUUACUAAAAUCCCAGAAUCCCAGAACCAGAAAGCAAAAAAGGAAACUUCCAAAACUAUUACUCCCACAAACUAACAUAACGGUAAUAUGCCCCACCUGAGUCCUAAUAGGAUUCAGAUACCAACUUAAACUAUCCAACACAAAUAGCUGUAUAAAUUCUGAAUCCUCACAUUGCCGCAGAAUUUCUUCGUAGGAGUCCUUAAACCUAGUUUUUUUCAACAUCAGCAGCAGUUGUUCUUGAGAAGAAGACGAGAGACAGAGAUUUCUGAUCACUGGGCUUCAUCAUUCCAGUCCGUUUUAGGUUUUCUUCAAUUAUUUCUUUUCAUUGUUAGUUUUAAGUAAUCAUUAAUAGGAAGAAAUCGUAGUUCUAGCAUCUAAGUUGGUGGAAGGGAAGAUCAAGAAAAUUUCCGCCGACGCCCUCGAUAGAGCAAGUAUCCUCAAAGAUCAAAGUUCGAUUCNNNNNNNNNNNNNNNNNNNNNNNNNNNNNNNNNNNNNNNNNNNNNNNNNNNNNNNNNNNNNNNNNNNNNNNNNNNNNNNNNNNNNNNNNNNNNNNNNNNNNNNNNNNNNNNNNNNNNNNNNNNNNNNNNNNNNNNNNNNNNNNNNNNNNNNNNNNNNNNNNNNNNNNNNNNNNNNNNNNNNNNNNNNNNNNNNNNNNNNNNNNNNNNNNNNNNNNNNNNNNNNNNNNNNNNNNNNNNNNNNNNNNNNNNNNNNNNNNNNNNNNNNNNNNNNNNNNNNNNNNNNNNNNNNNNNNNNNNNNNNNNNNNNNNNNNNNNNNNNNNNNNNNNNNNNNNNNNNNNNNNNNNNNNNNNNNNNNNNNNNNNNNNNNNNNNNNNNNNNNNNNNNNNNNNNNNNNNNNNNNNNNNNNNNNNNNNNNNNNNNNNNNNNNNNNNNNNNNNNNNNNNNNNNNNNNNNNNNNNNNNNNNNNNNNNNNNNNNNNNNNNNNNNNNNNNNNNNNNNNNNNNNNNNNNNNNNNNNNNNNNNNNNNNNNNNNNNNNNNNNNNNNNNNNNNNNNNNNNNNNNNNNNNNNNNNNNNNNNNNNNNNNNNNNNNNNNNNNNNNNNNNNNNNNNNNNNNNNNNNNNNNNNNNNNNNNNNNNNNNNNNNNNNNNNNNNNNNNNNNNNNNNNNNNNNNNNNNNNNNNNNNNNNNNNNNNNNNNNNNNNNNNNNNNNNNNNNNNNNNNNNNNNNNNNNNNNNNNNNNNNNNNNNNNNNNNNNNNNNNNNNNNNNNNNNNNNNNNNNNNNNNNNNNNNNNNNNNNNNNNNNNNNNNNNNNNNNNNNNNNNNNNNNNNNNNNNNNNNNNNNNNNNNNNNNNNNNNNNNNNNNNNNNNNNNNNNNNNNNNNNNNNNNNNNNNNNNNNNNNNNNNNNNNNNNNNNNNNNNNNNNNNNNNNNNNNNNNNNNNNNNNNNNNNNNNNNNNNNNNNNNNNNNNNNNNNNNNNNNNNNNNNNNNNNNNNNNNNNNNNNNNNNNNNNNNNNNNNNNNNNNNNNNNNNNNNNNNNNNNNNNNNNNNNNNNNNNNNNNNNNNNNNNNNNNNNNNNNNNNNNNNNNNNNNNNNNNNNNNNNNNNNNNNNNNNNNNNNNNNNNNNNNNNNNNNNNNNNNNNNNNNNNNNNNNNNNNNNNNNNNNNNNNNNNNNNNNNNNNNNNNNNNNNNNNNNNNNNNNNNNNNNNNNNNNNNNNNNNNNNNNNNNNNNNNNNNNNNNNNNNNNNNNNNNNNNNNNNNNNNNNNNNNNNNNNNNNNNNNNNNNNNNNNNNNNNNNNNNNNNNNNNNNNNNNNNNNNNNNNNNNNNNNNNNNNNNNNNNNNNNNNNNNNNNNNNNNNNNNNNNNNNNNNNNNNNNNNNNNNNNNNNNNNNNNNNNNNNNNNNNNNNNNNNNNNNNNNNNNNNNNNNNNNNNNNNNNNNNNNNNNNNNNNNNNNNNNNNNNNNNNNNNNNNNNNNNNNNNNNNNNNNNNNNNNNNNNNNNNNNNNNNNNNNNNNNNNNNNNNNNNNNNNNNNNNNNNNNNNNNNNNNNNNNNNNNNNNNNNNNNNNNNNNNNNNNNNNNNNNNNNNNNNNNNNNNNNNNNNNNNNNNNNNNNNNNNNNNNNNNNNNNNNNNNNNNNNNNNNNNNNNNNNNNNNNNNNNNNNNNNNNNNNNNNNNNNNNNNNNNNNNNNNNNNNNNNNNNNNNNNNNNNNNNNNNNNNNNNNNNNNNNNNNNNNNNNNNNNNNNNNNNNNNNNNNNNNNNNNNNNNNNNNNNNNNNNNNNNNNNNNNNNNNNNNNNNNNNNNNNNNNNNNNNNNNNNNNNNNNNNNNNNNNNNNNNNNNNNNNNNNNNNNNNNNNNNNNNNNNNNNNNNNNNNNNNNNNNNNNNNNNNNNNNNNNNNNNNNNNNNNNNNNNNNNNNNNNNNNNNNNNNNNNNNNNNNNNNNNNNNNNNNNNNNNNNNNNNNNNNNNNNNNNNNNNNNNNNNNNNNNNNNNNNNNNNNNNNNNNNNNNNNNNNNNNNNNNNNNNNNNNNNNNNNNNNNNNNNNNNNNNNNNNNNNNNNNNNNNNNNNNNNNNNNNNNNNNNNNNNNNNNNNNNNNNNNNNNNNNNNNNNNNNNNNNNNNNNNNNNNNNNNNNNNNNNNNNNNNNNNNNNNNNNNNNNNNNNNNNNNNNNNNNNNNNNNNNNNNNNNNNNNNNNNNNNNNNNNNNNNNNNNNNNNNNNNNNNNNNNNNNNNNNNNNNNNNNNNNNNNNNNNNNNNNNNNNNNNNNNNNNNNNNNNNNNNNNNNNNNNNNNNNNNNNNNNNNNNNNNNNNNNNNNNNNNNNNNNNNNNNNNNNNNNNNNNNNNNNNNNNNNNNNNNNNNNNNNNNNNNNNNNNNNNNNNNNNNNNNNNNNNNNNNNNNNNNNNNNNNNNNNNNNNNNNNNNNNNNNNNNNNNNNNNNNNNNNNNNNNNNNNNNNNNNNNNNNNNNNNNNNNNNNNNNNNNNNNNNNNNNNNNNNNNNNNNNNNNNNNNNNNNNNNNNNNNNNNNNNNNNNNNNNNNNNNNNNNNNNNNNNNNNNNNNNNNNNNNNNNNNNNNNNNNNNNNNNNNNNNNNNNNNNNNNNNNNNNNNNNNNNNNNNNNNNNNNNNNNNNNNNNNNNNNNNNNNNNNNNNNNNNNNNNNNNNNNNNNNNNNNNNNNNNNNNNNNNNNNNNNNNNNNNNNNNNNNNNNNNNNNNNNNNNNNNNNNNNNNNNNNNNNNNNNNNNNNNNNNNNNNNNNNNNNNNNNNNNNNNNNNNNNNNNNNNNNNNNNNNNNNNNNNNNNNNNNNNNNNNNNNNNNNNNNNNNNNNNNNNNNNNNNNNNNNNNNNNNNNNNNNNNNNNNNNNNNNNNNNNNNNNNNNNNNNNNNNNNNNNNNNNNNNNNNNNNNNNNNNNNNNNNNNNNNNNNNNNNNNNNNNNNNNNNNNNNNNNNNNNNNNNNNNNNNNNNNNNNNNNNNNNNNNNNNNNNNNNNNNNNNNNNNNNNNNNNNNNNNNNNNNNNNNNNNNNNNNNNNNNNNNNNNNNNNNNNNNNNNNNNNNNNNNNNNNNNNNNNNNNNNNNNNNNNNNNNNNNNNNNNNNNNNNNNNNNNNNNNNNNNNNNNNNNNNNNNNNNNNNNNNNNNNNNNNNNNNNNNNNNNNNNNNNNNNNNNNNNNNNNNNNNNNNNNNNNNNNNNNNNNNNNNNNNNNNNNNNNNNNNNNNNNNNNNNNNNNNNNNNNNNNNNNNNNNNNNNNNNNNNNNNNNNNNNNNNNNNNNNNNNNNNNNNNNNNNNNNNNNNNNNNNNNNNNNNNNNNNNNNNNNNNNNNNNNNNNNNNNNNNNNNNNNNNNNNNNNNNNNNNNNNNNNNNNNNNNNNNNNNNNNNNNNNNNNNNNNNNNNNNNNNNNNNNNNNNNNNNNNNNNNNNNNNNNNNNNNNNNNNNNNNNNNNNNNNNNNNNNNNNNNNNNNNNNNNNNNNNNNNNNNNNNNNNNNNNNNNNNNNNNNNNNNNNNNNNNNNNNNNNNNNNNNNNNNNNNNNNNNNNNNNNNNNNNNNNNNNNNNNNNNNNNNNNNNNNNNNNNNNNNNNNNNNNNNNNNNNNNNNNNNNNNNNNNNNNNNNNNNNNNNNNNNNNNNNNNNNNNNNNNNNNNNNNNNNNNNNNNNNNNNNNNNNNNNNNNNNNNNNNNNNNNNNNNNNNNNNNNNNNNNNNNNNNNNNNNNNNNNNNNNNNNNNNNNNNNNNNNNNNNNNNNNNNNNNNNNNNNNNNNNNNNNNNNNNNNNNNNNNNNNNNNNNNNNNNNNNNNNNNNNNNNNNNNNNNNNNNNNNNNNNNNNNNNNNNNNNNNNNNNNNNNNNNNNNNNNNNNNNNNNNNNNNNNNNNNNNNNNNNNNNNNNNNNNNNNNNNNNNNNNNNNNNNNNNNNNNNNNNNNNNNNNNNNNNNNNNNNNNNNNNNNNNNNNNNNNNNNNNNNNNNNNNNNNNNNNNNNNNNNNNNNNNNNNNNNNNNNNNNNNNNNNNNNNNNNNNNNNNNNNNNNNNNNNNNNNNNNNNNNNNNNNNNNNNNNNNNNNNNNNNNNNNNNNNNNNNNNNNNNNNNNNNNNNNNNNNNNNNNNNNNNNNNNNNNNNNNNNNNNNNNNNNNNNNNNNNNNNNNNNNNNNNNNNNNNNNNNNNNNNNNNNNNNNNNNNNNNNNNNNNNNNNNNNNNNNNNNNNNNNNNNNNNNNNNNNNNNNNNNNNNNNNNNNNNNNNNNNNNNNNNNNNNNNNNNNNNNNNNNNNNNNNNNNNNNNNNNNNNNNNNNNNNNNNNNNNNNNNNNNNNNNNNNNNNNNNNNNNNNNNNNNNNNNNNNNNNNNNNNNNNNNNNNNNNNNNNNNNNNNNNNNNNNNNNNNNNNNNNNNNNNNNNNNNNNNNNNNNNNNNNNNNNNNNNNNNNNNNNNNNNNNNNNNNNNNNNNNNNNNNNNNNNNNNNNNNNNNNNNNNNNNNNNNNNNNNNNNNNNNNNNNNNNNNNNNNNNNNNNNNNNNNNNNNNNNNNNNNNNNNNNNNNNNNNNNNNNNNNNNNNNNNNNNNNNNNNNNNNNNNNNNNNNNNNNNNNNNNNNNNNNNNNNNNNNNNNNNNNNNNNNNNNNNNNNNNNNNNNNNNNNNNNNNNNNNNNNNNNNNNNNNNNNNNNNNNNNNNNNNNNNNNNNNNNNNNNNNNNNNNNNNNNNNNNNNNNNNNNNNNNNNNNNNNNNNNNNNNNNNNNNNNNNNNNNNNNNNNNNNNNNNNNNNNNNNNNNNNNNNNNNNNNNNNNNNNNNNNNNNNNNNNNNNNNNNNNNNNNNNNNNNNNNNNNNNNNNNNNNNNNNNNNNNNNNNNNNNNNNNNNNNNNNNNNNNNNNNNNNNNNNNNNNNNNNNNNNNNNNNNNNNNNNNNNNNNNNNNNNNNNNNNNNNNNNNNNNNNNNNNNNNNNNNNNNNNNNNNNNNNNNNNNNNNNNNNNNNNNNNNNNNNNNNNNNNNNNNNNNNNNNNNNNNNNNNNNNNNNNNNNNNNNNNNNNNNNNNNNNNNNNNNNNNNNNNNNNNNNNNNNNNNNNNNNNNNNNNNNNNNNNNNNNNNNNNNNNNNNNNNNNNNNNNNNNNNNNNNNNNNNNNNNNNNNNNNNNNNNNNNNNNNNNNNNNNNNNNNNNNNNNNNNNNNNNNNNNNNNNNNNNNNNNNNNNNNNNNNNNNNNNNNNNNNNNNNNNNNNNNNNNNNNNNNNNNNNNNNNNNNNNNNNNNNNNNNNNNNNNNNNNNNNNNNNNNNNNNNNNNNNNNNNNNNNNNNNNNNNNNNNNNNNNNNNNNNNNNNNNNNNNNNNNNNNNNNNNNNNNNNNNNNNNNNNNNNNNNNNNNNNNNNNNNNNNNNNNNNNNNNNNNNNNNNNNNNNNNNNNNNNNNNNNNNNNNNNNNNNNNNNNNNNNNNNNNNNNNNNNNNNNNNNNNNNNNNNNNNNNNNNNNNNNNNNNNNNNNNNNNNNNNNNNNNNNNNNNNNNNNNNNNNNNNNNNNNNNNNNNNNNNNNNNNNNNNNNNNNNNNNNNNNNNNNNNNNNNNNNNNNNNNNNNNNNNNNNNNNNNNNNNNNNNNNNNNNNNNNNNNNNNNNNNNNNNNNNNNNNNNNNNNNNNNNNNNNNNNNNNNNNNNNNNNNNNNNNNNNNNNNNNNNNNNNNNNNNNNNNNNNNNNNNNNNNNNNNNNNNNNNNNNNNNNNNNNNNNNNNNNNNNNNNNNNNNNNNNNNNNNNNNNNNNNNNNNNNNNNNNNNNNNNNNNNNNNNNNNNNNNNNNNNNNNNNNNNNNNNNNNNNNNNNNNNNNNNNNNNNNNNNNNNNNNNNNNNNNNNNNNNNNNNNNNNNNNNNNNNNNNNNNNNNNNNNNNNNNNNNNNNNNNNNNNNNNNNNNNNNNNNNNNNNNNNNNNNNNNNNNNNNNNNNNNNNNNNNNNNNNNNNNNNNNNNNNNNNNNNNNNNNNNNNNNNNNNNNNNNNNNNNNNNNNNNNNNNNNNNNNNNNNNNNNNNNNNNNNNNNNNNNNNNNNNNNNNNNNNNNNNNNNNNNNNNNNNNNNNNNNNNNNNNNNNNNNNNNNNNNNNNNNNNNNNNNNNNNNNNNNNNNNNNNNNNNNNNNNNNNNNNNNNNNNNNNNNNNNNNNNNNNNNNNNNNNNNNNNNNNNNNNNNNNNNNNNNNNNNNNNNNNNNNNNNNNNNNNNNNNNNNNNNNNNNNNNNNNNNNNNNNNNNNNNNNNNNNNNNNNNNNNNNNNNNNNNNNNNNNNNNNNNNNNNNNNNNNNNNNNNNNNNNNNNNNNNNNNNNNNNNNNNNNNNNNNNNNNNNNNNNNNNNNNNNNNNNNNNNNNNNNNNNNNNNNNNNNNNNNNNNNNNNNNNNNNNNNNNNNNNNNNNNNNNNNNNNNNNNNNNNNNNNNNNNNNNNNNNNNNNNNNNNNNNNNNNNNNNNNNNNNNNNNNNNNNNNNNNNNNNNNNNNNNNNNNNNNNNNNNNNNNNNNNNNNNNNNNNNNNNNNNNNNNNNNNNNNNNNNNNNNNNNNNNNNNNNNNNNNNNNNNNNNNNNNNNNNNNNNNNNNNNNNNNNNNNNNNNNNNNNNNNNNNNNNNNNNNNNNNNNNNNNNNNNNNNNNNNNNNNNNNNNNNNNNNNNNNNNNNNNNNNNNNNNNNNNNNNNNNNNNNNNNNNNNNNNNNNNNNNNNNNNNNNNNNNNNNNNNNNNNNNNNNNNNNNNNNNNNNNNNNNNNNNNNNNNNNNNNNNNNNNNNNNNNNNNNNNNNNNNNNNNNNNNNNNNNNNNNNNNNNNNNNNNNNNNNNNNNNNNNNNNNNNNNNNNNNNNNNNNNNNNNNNNNNNNNNNNNNNNNNNNNNNNNNNNNNNNNNNNNNNNNNNNNNNNNNNNNNNNNNNNNNNNNNNNNNNNNNNNNNNNNNNNNNNNNNNNNNNNNNNNNNNNNNNNNNNNNNNNNNNNNNNNNNNNNNNNNNNUGGUGGAGAACCUUCCAAGGUACUGCUCACAUUGUUUCCGCCAAGGUCACGAUGUGGAGACUUGUCAUGUUUUAAAGCCCGAGUUGCGAGGAGCAUCUGGUCACCAUACCAAGACUACUGGAACAACACAACUACGGUUGGCAGAGACGUCGAAUACAGACAUGCCUGAUGGCCCUUUGGAGGGUAAUGGAGAAAGGCCAUCGGUAUUGAUACAAGAUGCGGCAGUAAUUGAUGGGGCAAAGGGAGAAGUUAAUGAGACUGUGACUGGCAAAGCGCUAGUUGCUCACGAUCAGUUAAUAGGUGGUACGCCUCACGAAGCUGAGCAAGGUGACCAGGUGCAGCAGUCCUGUGCUACUAUACCAGCGCAGCAGGAGAGGAAAAUGGAGGAGAAUUAUGGGACGGUGGCGGUAGAAGGUAUCGAGGUGGUGCUGCCACAUGACAAAGGAGAGGAACGUUCUGAGGAUGUGGGGAGUGGGUUGCCCGCGAGGGUGGUCGUACGUUCUGCUGAGGGGCAAGUUGAAGACAUACAAGAUACUCAACGAAGGGACGGUACCCUCUCCCCUAGGGGCAAGGAUCUUAUCCGACAAGAAGAGUCAUCACUAGAGACCGGGCAUAUAGACACGGGGGGUACCCUGGAACUAGAAGAAGUUGUUCGUAAGGAGCGAAUGGAUGCAAGGUCGCGUGGUCUCCGGGUUGGUCUCCCGUCAGAUAGAACACUACGCUCCAUGGUUAGUUCUUCAACAAAUUCUUUUUCUGUCCUUUCUGAUGAUUAAGUUACUUUUUUGGAAUAUAAGAGGGGUAGCUCGUGCUCCUAAUUUAAGGCGGUUAAGGAAACUUAUUAAAUUGUAUGAUCUUCAAUUGGUGGUUGUUGUUGAACCUAAGUUGAGGGUGGAGUCAAUUACUGAUAUUAGAAUUAAAUUGGGGAUGGAUUGUUGCAUGUUCAAUCAUUGGGGUUCUGUUUGGAUUUUCUACCGGUCAUUGUUUACGUGUCAGAUUACAGGGGAGUCUCCCCAACAUAUAACUAUUAGAGUACAAUCUCAUCUUUUCCAAGACUCCAUUAUUUUGUCUUGUAUACACGCGAAGUGUACGCAGCAGGACAGAGAGGAUUUGUGGAAUGCACUUUUGCAGGAUAAACCCGCCUUCAAUCCUUGGUUUUUGGUGGGGGAUUUCAAUGUGGUCACAAAUACAGAGGAGAAGAGGGGUGGAUUGCCAUUUAGACCGUCGGAGGGAUCAGACUUUCUGAAUUUUAUGGCGCUAGCUGGUGUCAGUGAUGCGGGAUUCUCUGGGUCAAGGUUUACAUGGUGUAAUAAUCGUUCGGGAACGGCGCGGAUCUGGAAGCGUCUGGAUCGCUUACUUCUGUGUGGGAGUGCAAUGGAGCUACCGUACCAAUUCAUGGUGCAACAUUUAGGCCGUGACCCGUCGGAUCAUGCUCCCUUGUUGCUAUCGGUGGAUACGAGGCUAGACAAUAAACCCAAGCCGUUUCGUUUCUUAAACAUCUGGACCACUCAUCCUGAUUUUCUGGGGGUUAUCAAGGACUGUUGGGUUCAUCCAGUCAAUGGCUCUCCUUUGCAAGUAUUGGCAUCGAAGUUGAGGAAUGUUAAAAAUGCCCUCAAGCAGUGGUCUAGGACGACAUUCGGGGAUAUUUUUGAAGGGGUACGUAGUGCAGAGCGUGUGGUAACCGAGUCUGAGACAGCAUACGACCUCGAUCCUACUGAGCAGCGACGGAGCGAGUUACAUCAUGCUCGGGCUCGAUUGCGCCGAGCGCUUGUAGUUGAGGAGGGUUUUUGGAGACAAAAGGCGCGGGUUAAGUGGCUUUCGGACGGAGAUAGGAACACCAAAUAUUUCCACUCCUUGGUUUCGGAAAGGAGACGUAGGGCAGUAAUUCAUCGAGUCAGGGGUACUGCUGGAGAAUGGAUCGAGGGGGAAUGCCAAAUUGGGGAGGCAGCGGUGGGUUUCUUUAAGGAACUUUUCACGGCAGAGGGGGAUCUUCCCUCCCUUACCGGUCUGGAGAUCAUACCUAAACUGAUAACAGACCAGGAAAACUCACGGUUAACGGACAUUCCAUCUCUUACAGAAGUUAAAGACAUAGUCUUUGCUAUGGAUGGAGAGAGCGCAGCCGGCCCGGACGGGUUUACAGGGAAAUUCUUUACCUUUGCUUGGGAGGUAGUGGCAUCGGAUUUAUACCGGGCGGUUGUCAGCUUUUUCUGCGGUGCUGAACUACCUAGGAGUAUCACGGCUACCUCAAUUGUGUUGCUGCCAAAAGUGGAGAACCCCCAAGAUUUUAAGCAUUUUCGUCCAAUCAGUCUGUGCAACUUUACUAACAAAAUCAUCUCCAAGCUGUUAUCGGCAAGGUUGGCGAUGAUAUUACCCCGGAUUAUAUCUCCACAGCAAAGCGGGUUUGUCCAAGGGAGGCAGAUUACAGAUAAUUUCUUGUUAGCUCAGGAGUUAGUAGCCGAUAUCGGGAAAUCAAAUCGGGGUGGCAAUGUGGUCAUCAAGUUAGACAUGAUGAAGGCUUAUGAUAAAGUCUCAUGGCCCUUUCUCCUACAGGUGCUACGAUAUUUCGGAUUCAGUGAGACCUGGAUAGACAUGAUUUGGCGAUUAAUAUCGAAUGUGUGGUUCUCGGUACUUGUUAAUGGUGGUUCAAACGGCUUUUUCAGAUCUUCACGGGGUUUACGGCAAGGGGAUCCAAUUUCACCAGCCUUAUUCGUUAUCGGAGCUGAGGUGCUGUCUAGAACCCUCAACACGCUACCCACACAAAGAGGAUUUACUCCGUUCAAAGUUCCUCCUCAUUGUUCUAUAAUUACGCAUUUGGCAUUCGCCGAUGACGUGAUUAUCUUUUCCAGUGGGGCCAAGUCAUCCCUACGUCUGAUUACACGGGUUUUGGAUGAUUAUAAUGAGGCAUCAGGUCAGCGAAUCAACCCUCAGAAGAGUUGUUUCCUUACUCAUCCACGGGCACCAUCUCAGAGGGCAGCGGUUGUUAACCAGAUACUAGGGUAUAAUAAACGCGACUUUCCAAUACGGUACCUUGGUUGUCCCUUGUAUACCGGAAGGAGCAAGAAGGUUUACUAUACGGAUAUAUACAAUGCGGUGGCGAAUCGGAUUUUGAGUUGGAAAAACCAGAUUUUAUCGCUAGGAGGCAGGGUGGUGUUGAUUCAGAGCGUGUUAUCCUCUAUGCCAAUUCACUUGCUGGCAGCCGCGUCCCCUCCAAAAGGGAUGUUGAUGGUCAUAGAGAAAUUGUUCGCCAAGUUCUUGUGGGGAUCUUCGAAUUUCGGGGAUAAAUUCCAUUGGAUACGUUGGGCAGAUUUGUGUCGGCCGAAGGAUGAAGGGGGUGUAGGCCUGCGGGGUUUGAAACAGGUCUACGACUCAUUUUCCAUUAAACUCUGGUGGAAAUUUCGACAACAACAAUCAUUAUGGGCAAAGUUUAUGUCCCAGAAGUAUUGUGCAGGUCAUCACCCUUGUCUUGCUGAUAUUGGGCAUCCGGGAUCCCAAGUUUGGCAGAGGAUGGUCACAAUGCAGCGUUUUGGGGAGGAUAAUAUUAGCUGGGUAGUUCGGGAGGGGGCUUUGGACUUUUGGCAUGAUAAUUGGAUGGGGUCAGGUGCGCUUUGUGACAAGGUUGAGGUCUUCCAUGAUCAUUCGGUGGUUGAUUUUGUAGAUCGGCGGGCUUGGAAUGUGGACAUGCUCCAUCAAUUCUUGGAUGGAGAAUUGGUUACGCAGGUUUUGGAGAUUGACCCUCCUACCGAUAGGGGAAAUGAUACAAUGGUAUGGGCAUUGACGAACUCGGGUGUUUUUUCCACUGCAUCGGCUUACUCAUUGAUCCGUCAAUCCAAUGACAAUUCUUGGCUUUUUGGUCGUAUAUGGCAGCAGGGUCUUCCAGUCAAGGUUUCUUUCUUUAUGCUGCGACUACUACAGGGGAGGCUCCCUCUUAUGGAUCGCCUAAAGAGGUUUGGGGUUUGUGGCCCAUCUAGAUGCUUGUGUUGUCAGAAUCCCCAGGAGGAGGAUUUGAAUCAUGUGUUUUGCUCAGGAGAAGGGGCACGAUUGGUCUGGCGACACUUCGAGAGUACUGCUGGUGAGUUUAGUGGGGUGCAUACGGUGCGUCAUAUGGUGUGGUCUUGUUGGUUAAGGAGGGGGACUAAUGAUCGUGUAAAGUUUUUGCAUAAUAUACUUCCUUCGGUGGUAUGCUGGGUUUUAUGGAAGGCUAGGAAUGAAGGGGUGUUUGAAGGUCGGAAGAUGAGGAUCAGGCCUACGGUGAAUCGGAUUGUUCAGUUUCUGCAUGAUUUCCUUCAGUCACGGUUCCCGGGGGUGCAGCCUUCUGCCCCUACAUGGGAAGGGUUGCUUCUCGAAUUAGGUAGUCAUCAAAGGCGGAUGGUUAUUAGGCCAGUUUACUGGGUAACUCCACGUAGAGGCUAUAAGUUGAAUUCAGAUGGAUGUUCUCGGGGGAACCCAGGAAGGAGUGGGGGGGGUGGGCUUGUGCGGGAUAGUCGAGGAAAUUUUGUAUUCGGCUACGCGGAGCCCUUCGGGGUGAUAACCAGCAUGCAGGCGGAACUUCGAGCGUUGCUAUGGGGCGUUAGACAUUGUGUGAUUCGAGGGUGCUUGGAGUUACACUUAGAGGCGGAUUCUCUCACCCUGGUUCACAUUGUUCAAGGGACUAGUGCUUGUCCUUGGCGUUUACAGAGAGAUCUGGAUGAGUUGAUGAUGUUCAAGCAAUAUUUCACAUCGAUCACACACUGCUACAGGGAAGCAAACGCACCUGCAGAUCGUUUGGCAAAUUUUGGUGCUGAUUCUAGUACAGGUCAUGUGUUUAAUACAUUCUCAGAAUUGCCGCAAUUGGUUAGGGGGGCUAUUAGAUUAGAUCGAUUAGGAUUUCCUACGUUUCGUACACGGUGUCUGGCAUGAAUUGGAAUAAGAAGCAGAAAAGGCCAAUGAAGGUGAAAAUGGCGGUUAGAAGGACAUCAAGGGAGGAAGAUUGACUGCUAAAAUCUUCAAAGAUCAUCCUUCAGAUUCACUGGAAGACAUCCUGAUAUGGAAAAAUGAAGAUUUAAUCUUAAUUUCAGUUUUUAAAUGCUUAAACUUUCACUAGCUUGUAAAUUUAUUGUCAAAUUGUGGUUUGAUGGCAGGGAGUUUCGUCCUUUUUUAAGGGGAAACUCUGCCGAAAUUUUUAUAAAAUAAUAAAAUUUCAAUUAAAAAAAAAAGUAUAUAUUUGUUGGUAGUGAAAGUAGAGAGAAAUUUAUACUUUUAUUCACUAGUUUGUUUGGAGUUCACAAGAUUGCAAAUGAGGUUGGAAUAACAUCUAUUUUUACGGAAAGCAGAAUGAAUAAUACAUUAACUAACUUUAAUACUUAUACAUGGAAUAGUACAUCAAGAUGAUAAAAUUGAGUUGUUUCAUGAGAAGAUAAGUGUAUCACAUUAAUCUAGGGGGAAAAUACAUGUAUUAAUCCUCUAGGGGAAUUGAAUGGACAUCCACAUCUAUUUGUAUUUGUUUCAUAACAAGUUUGGUGUUUUUGCCAUUUUUGUUUUGGGUAAUCAUGAAAAGUUUUAAGUCUCACAAAAAAUGAUAACUCUUUUUGUUUUAAUCCGUCGAGACAUUGGUUUACACUAUUAUCUCGCUGCAACAUAGUUUCAACAUAUUUCUCAAAAUAUUUUCAUCUAACUUUGAAUUCAUGUAUAUUCCUGUUUGGUUAAGUUACACUAAAUUUCUUUAACAAUUAUCAUUCAAUUCAAUAUACUUUAAAAUAAGUUAAAUUAAAAGAACCGUUUUCUCUUAGUCUUAAAAAGAAUUAAGUUAGUAAUAUUCAUAUUUGAGAACAACACGUUACCCACACUAAGUCUAGAAAAGAAUUACUGAUGUAUCAGAAUUAUCGUUUUCGAAAAAAAAGAUGUACCUGUUUAUUCAAAAAAAAAAAAUCAUUGUUUCACUAAUUUAGAUAAAAAAAAUCAACAAAAUUGAGAUGAUGUACAGAUUAUUGAAAAGGGGCCAAUUUUGUCAAGACUUCAUGUUUUCUCACCAAAGCUAUUGAGCACCAAUCUCAAAAAAGUCAUAAAGAGCCAAGCCAAAGCAAAAAAAAAAAUCAAUAAGGAAGGCAACAAACUGGCCUGUACGGUGACCUUAUCCUUUUGGAUUCAUUUCAGCGGAUAAUGAUUCAUUUACACUUGAUAGUGAUGUAAAUCUGCAUCCAUCUUCAAAAGCAAAAAAUACCUCCCUUGUUUCCUGUUAAUGAUCAUGGAAGUCAUCUAUAGCAUCCUAGUUCUCAGUUUCUUGGUAGUCUUAGUUGCUAUAAAACAUCUUCAAGAAAACAAGAGAACACUAAAGCCUCCAAGUCCACCAGCUCUCCCAAUUCUAGGCCAUCUGCACCUCCUGAAAGCUGCCCCUCACCGUGCUCUUCAACUUCUCUCCAUCAAAUACGGCCCCCUGAUUUCCCUUCGAUUUGGGAUUCGUCCUAUACUUGUUGUUUCCUCACCAUCUCUUGCAGAGGAAUGCUUCACUAAGACUAAUGAUGUUAUCUUUGCUAACCGACCAGGGUCCAUUUCUGGCAAAAUCCUUGGCUACAACAACAGUACUAUCGGAUUCUCUCCUUAUGGAGACCACUGGCGAAAUCUCCGCCGUGUUACCACCAUCCAUAUUUUUUCUUCCGCUAGUCUCCACAACUUUUCCUCAAUCUGGACAGAGGAAAUCCGUUUCAGUGUCAGGAAAUUGUUCUCAAUGAACUCUGAUGACAAAGUGUGGAAAGAUGUAAACAUGAACUCUGUGUUCUUGGAUUUGGUAUUCAAUGUGAUCAUGAAAAUGCUUGCAGGAAAAAAAUGGCCAUCUGAUAAAACAGCUGAUUUGUUUUCGCUGAUCUCCUUCAUGGGUAUUUGUGAUUAUGUCCCUGUCUUGAGAUGGAUUGGAUUUCGAGGGUUGGAGAAAAAUUUGAGCAAUUUACAGCAAAAGAGGGACAAAUUAUUCAGGGAUCUCAUUGAUCAAACUAGGAAAAAGGAAGGUGAAGGUGGCUCAUGCUCGACUGAGCAGAGAAGAACUGUUAUCCAAGCAUUGCUGUCCCUUCAAGAUGCUGAACCUGAAUUCUUAACUGAUGAAACUGUCAAAGGGAUCAUACUAGUAAGCCAACUUGCCAUUUCUCUUUUCUCCUUAACAUAAUAUUUUUUGCUUUGGUAAUUAUUGCUCUUUAUAUCCGGUUUCUAUUUUCAUAUUUCAUUUUUUUUUAAUGCAAAUCAACCUUUUCUCCAAUUAGUCAGUGAACUCCUCUUCUAGCUGGUAAUCUCUUAUGUUGGGCUUUACAUUCAUUUUGACAAUACAUGCCUUGUUGUUCUUCUAGAUUAUGUUCACUGCUGGAGUACACACUUCAGCUCUGACCAUGGAGUGGGCUAUGUCCCUUAUGCUAAACCACCCCCAGGUAUUGAAGAAGGCAAGGAGUGAAAUAGACAACAACGUUACACAAUCAGGGCAAUUGAUUGAGGAUUCAGAUCUCUCCAAAUUGCCAUAUUUGCGUUGCAUAAUCAAAGAAACACUUAGACUUUUUCCUGCAGCACCAACUCUUUUGCCUCAUUAUUCAUCUGAGGAUUGCACCAUAGGAGGCUUCAAAGUUCCUAAAGGCACAACUUUGUUAGUAAAUGCUUGGGCUAUUCACAGAGAUCCGAAGGUUUGGGAAGAGCCAGCCAAGUUUAAGCCAGAAAGGUUUGAGGGAAUUAAUGAAGGGGCUUGCGAUGAAGGGUUCAAAUUUAUUCCAUUUGGAAAAGGUAGGAGGGCUUGUCCAGGUGCUGCCUUAGGCAUGAGAUUUAUUAGCCUGACGUUGGGAACAAUGCUACAAUGUUUUGAUUGGGAAAGAGUAGGGCCUCAAUUGGUGGAUUUAGAAGAAAAAUCUGGUAUAACUUUGGACAAGGCCAAGCCUUUGGAAGCAUUGUUCAGGCCACGCUCAUCCAUGAUUGAAUUGGUUUCUCAGCUUUGACUAAAGAACAUGACUGGUGGCUUUUGAAGAUUGUAUCAUAAUACUAUCUGAAAUACUUAAAGCUCAAACUACAAAGGUGCACCUAUUGCAAAGUGUGAAAAAAAGUGAAAAUAAGAGGAAGGAGAAUAUAAGCAUGAAAAUCUUUCAGUCUAUGCAGUUAUUAAAUAUUAAAUAGGCUUUGAACUAAACCGUGUUUGGCUUUUUCUUUUUGCUUUUAAUAUUGGUCUUUUCAAUUCACUGUAAGUGCAUCUACUCGAGGUCUUUGGUUUUCCACAUUUGUAAUUAUAGAAAAUCUUCAACCUUAACUGCGUUUCUUUGUUGUUACAUAAAGUGGUUUUGGGGCUUCAACAAAACAAGCAAAAAGAAUGUCUUAUGAGUAGAGAUGUCAAUCAAAAUCCAAUUAUAUUGGUUCGUCCAAAUCCGCCCACCAAUGAUCGGCUCAAACUCACCCACUAAUUUUGAAUAAAUUUAAAUGAGUACCCAAUUAAAUUCAUUUAAUUAGUGAAUAGUGAGUUGACUCGAUUCAUCCAUUUGUAUCCAUUUAAAAAUAAUUAGACACUUAAACUCAAUUUUUAAUUAGUGUUAAGCAAAUAAAUUUGAAUUUCUAAUCAAUUUAAUAACAAUAAAUACCGUUAUUUCUUAUCAAAUAGCAUGCAAAAAAAAGUAGAAUUGUAAGUGACUCAUAAAUAGAUAAUUGGGUAUAUCUAUACUCAUUUAUUAAAUGGGUAUAAAUGAAUUGACUUAAUUAUACCAACUACUUAAUUAUGACCACCCAAAUCACUCAUUUUAGCACAUCUACUCAUGAGUAGCGAGGUUACCGAGCUAACUCGAACCCAAUUAUGGGUAACUCGAGCUAGACUUCAAAGAAAAUUAGCUAAGCUCAAAUUCAAGUUUAAGUUCGACAGUGAAUUUCCUUUCUAUGUCAUAACUCAGUGUAUCACCAUCUUCAAUUUAUCCACCAAAACCGUUGCUAAGUUAGCUUAAGAACUCUUUUAUUGGUAUCAGUCUCUUUUAUUUCACAUUCACUCAAAACUUUUACAUGUUUAACUUCCUUUGGCAUACUUUUUUCUUUGUCAAAUUUUUGUUGGCGGUGUAUAAAGCUUUCAAGUUUUUCAUAUAUCUGUUUGAUGUAUUAGAUAUGCAUAAUUUUGAUGUUGCAAGUAAAUUUAUGAAGAUACAACUCUUUUCGUGAGUUACAGGUACACAUUCACCACUUCGAAUCCCAGAUUAUUAGAUUUUUUUUUUGUUUUGCAUUUUUUUGAAUUUUCAAUUUAUUUGUGAACUUUUCAAAUUUUUGCAAAAAUUUGUUCUUUUAGAAUGAUGACAGGUAUUUUAGAAGAUGUCUGUAGGUAAUUAUAAGUUCAAUUUAUCCACAGUCUCGUGUAGGGAUGGCAAUGGGGGCGGGUGCCCGCGAGGGGCUCUCGGGGCGGGGGGUGGGGCGGGGGCGGGAGGGAAUUUUUUCCCCCCGCUUAGAAACGGGGCGGGGGACGGGGGAGUAUACCCCCGUCCCGCCCCCCCGCCACCGCAAAAAAAAAUAAAUAUAUAUAUAAUUAUAUAUAAUAUGUAAGUUAAUUAGUUAUAAACUUAUGAUAAUGAUAUUAUUAGUUAGAUGUAUUAUAUAAUGUAUAUUAGUUUAUGUAAUAUAAUUGAUAUUAUCAAUUAUAUGAAUAAUUAUACAUGUCUACUAAUAAAAUUUAUUAAUUAGUUAUACUAAAUUUACUAAUACAUUUAUACUAAAUUUCUAAUUACACUUAAUAGAAUAACACUUUUUUCUCAAAAAAAAGCACAAACACAAUAAUGAAUUAGUGAUUGCAUUUGUACUAAAAGUGAAAACUUGACUAUUUUAGUUAUAUUUAUUUCAUCAUAUUGGAUUGUAUUCAAAUAACUUUUGUUUGAUUGUUUUUAUGAGUUUCAAUUGUAAAAUUACAAUGAAUAAUAAUUUGGUGAUGUGUUCAUAUUUUAGUACUUGAUUAUUUAUUAAAAUUUAAUUAUAAUAAAAUUAUAUAAUAAAAUUUUAUUAACCCCGCGGGGGAAGCAGGGCAAGGCGGGGCGGGGGCGGGGGACGGGGGAGGGUCUCCCGCCCCAACCCCGCCCCGUUGCCAUCCCUAAUUUCGUGAACGUUGAAGGACCAAUACCUAUUAAGAUCGCAAAACUAAUUUUGGAGUCUCCAGAACACAUAAUUCUUAAAGAAUAUUCAAGCCAUUUUUUUUUUCAGGGUUCGUUUUCACACUCUAAUUUUUUAACUCUACAUCAGUUAAUCAAAUGACUUCAAUUUAUUAGUGCCACUAAUUUCAAGGUCAAAUUUGCUUAAAUUUUCAGUUUUGCAAGUCCCUGGAAACUUUUAUCAUCUUCAUCUCAAGUAUCCCUGUAUUCUUGCUUUUAUUAUUCACCCAUGUAAACUUGAUUCUAAAUGCACAUAUGCCUCGUUGCUAAAGUUUUUAUUCAAUGUUACUUGAUAACAACUCAUAAGUAUGCCCUUAUGAAACAGCAACAAGGAAGAUCUUGAAUGCGCCUAUUCGCAACCCAGGAAUAAAUUAACCUAAGUACAUCCCAGUAACAUGGAGAAUCAAAUCAUGGUUUCACAUAAAAUAUGAUGGACCAAACCUUUUUUCACAUAUCAAAAUAAAGAAAUAUAACUUGAAGCAACUUGACAUAAGUUACCCUGGAAUGAUAAUGCAAUAAUAUCUACUAUAGGGGGAGGGUUGGGUUGGGUGGUACGGGGGAAGGAGUGUAAGCAAGAGGCCUCGGGUUCGAAUCCUACUGUUUACACUAAAAAAAACAAUAAUAUCUGCUACAUAAACUUCUCAAUUAUGUCUGUUUUUUUUUUAACUUCUCAUUUAUGUCUAACUGCUUCUAAAAAAUGUCAGUGUCAAUAUAAUCAUUAAGAAGAAAAAUAUUGGACUGCAAAAGUGGACUUUAAGAGAAGGUUCAAGAAAAAAGGAGACUGUGCAAUUAAAUGGCAAACAUCACUUUGAUAACAAUACAUAUUUACUUAAGAAGAAUUGUAUAAAAGAAUAAACGCAAAGACUAAGAUUGUAAUUUUUUUUUAUUUUUUUUAAAUAUAAGAAUCACCUAUUAAGCUCUAUAAUUAAUAUUAAAUCUAAAAAGUCAAUUAUUUGGCCUUUAAAACUGUGUUCACAAACUUUUUAUCUCUUCAUACUCAGAUUUUAUAUAAUGUUUUAGUAAAAUCAAUAAGAACACAUGAGAAAACUAUCUCUAAAAGGCUAAGGCCGUAAAAUAAAGAGAAUGACCAAGGCAAACAAAGAGCAAAAAUGAGCAAAAUAUGACAUGAAAUAUUUGUCUCUAAAAAAGGACAAGCUCAGUGCUAAGAAAGAUAUAAAAGCUUCUUAGAAAAAGAAGCUUAGAACCAUACAAUUUUAACUAACCUAUAUUACAUUUGAAGUUUGAAUAAUUAAAAGUUCAAUGGACCGAACUAUUGUCUUGAAAUAAUAUGAGUUUUGCAAUUCUACGGUAGAUUCAUAAAAGUGCUUAAGAAACACGUGGGAUAACACUGUUGAGAAUGAUGUGUUCACUGAAUAACGAAAUUGACGGGAUUUUUAUAUAUCAAUGCAAGUUUAAUUCCGAUUUUACACCCGUUGGACUGCAAGUAUACAGGUCGCAAUUGUAGUACAAGAUGUGUAUCGGGUCGAUCCCACGAGGAGCUAUUAAAACAAUUAUUAGACACUAAUUUACUCUAUUAUUUAGACUCACAAUAAAUUUGAGCAGAAAAAUUCAGAAUUUAAUUCAACUACAAAAAUUCUUAACUAGAUAAAUGCAAUUUCACAAAAGGAAUAGAAUUCACUAAAUAUUAAGAUCUAGGGAUGUAGAUUCCACUUAUGACUCAAAAGAUCUAAAAUGAAUUAAUUCAACACUUGUUAUUGCUCUUGUUUAACCAAGGAUUCAUUUCCAGAAAUACCAAAAUCACAUUCUCAUGAUAAUAAUGGGUUAAAACAGAUUAGUUUUUCCUAAUCUCUUGGUAAAUACUAAAUCUGUUCUUAUUCACACAUGAAAUGCAGAUUUCAUCCACUUGAAUGUAUUUCUAUUCUCAUGAAUAUACAACUCAAGUUCUACUUGUGUCAUUCCAUUAUUUUUACCAUUUCUUAAUGAAUAAAAACAACUAUAAACCUGUUAUUGGUGAUCAAACAACAACAAGUAAUCAAGCAUACACAAGUAGAUAAGUUAAUACAAGAUAUAACAAGUAUAAAUCACAAUCACUUCAUAUCACUUGGCCAUAAGCUUCAUCUACUCCCUAGAUAAAGGAAAUUAGCUACUCAUGAAUGAUGAAACACUCAUAAUUUCAUUAAUGCAAAUCAUCAUGAAUUUACAAAUACAAAAAGAGUAAAGAAAGUCUUAGCCAAGAUAUGGUGAAGCCUUCCAAAAAUCUCCUUGUCUUGAAUUUAGAUGAUUACAAGAUGAAACCUCAAUUGUCCCUUUGCAAGUACCUAGCUAGAGAGAAUAUGUUUUUCUGUAAGAAACUAAGCUACGUAUGGCUCUCCCAGACCUCUCUCAAUGUCUUAGCAUAAAAACUACUCAAAGGCUCUAUUUUUCCAAGUCAAAUUCUAACCUUUGAUUCCCCAAAUCUGCACUUUGUUAGCAUAGUCAAAAACCAAUAUUUUUGACUUGAAAAUAAGCCAUCUUUAUUGCCCUUUUGUCUUCUGAGGCAUGUGCACCGAAUUCUCUUGCAGAUUGUAGCUGGAAAGUAGUUUGAACAUAAGAGAAUUGACUGAGCAAAUUGCAGAAUUACGGCCAGAAAACGCGCCUACACAAAACGCGGUUACAAGUCACGUUUUGUGUACUCGCGUAUUCACUUUGGCCUUACUUCAUCUGCGAUUUUCUCUAUCAUAAAGGCCGAACUGGCUUUUGUGCAAAACACCAAAGUUGUAGCUCUUUGAGUUAGCUUUCCAAUGCUAUAAAAAUCAUCCAAAUCGGAGUUGUGCAGCCUGAGAUAUGGUCGAAAUAGUCUCACCUGGUCAAACCUCUGUUUCCAGUUUCGACCACAGAGUGCAGCUUCUGUAUUCCGACUUUUUUUCCAUGAAAUGGGCAGAAUUGGAUUUCGAUGUCUUCAUACGAAUUGUAGGUCUCUUUCUUAGCUUUAAAAUGGUAUAAAUAUCACCUUAAUCCGAUAAGUGUAGCUCCAGAUAUGAUCAAAAUACUGAAGAGUGUUAAAACUGAUUUGUAUUGCAUUUCCUCACUUGAACGUUUUUCACUUCAUUCUUCUUGUUACCACUUGAAUUCAUCACCAACUUUCUAUUUUUCAUCUCAUUUGACAUCCUUUGGUGAUUGAAUCAUCAUUCCUGCAUAAAAAUGAAGUUUUUAUCAUUAAAAUCACUAAAAAUGCAAUAUUAUCCACUUUUACCAACAAUAUAUAAUUUUACCAAAAACCUCUUUAUUUUAUUUAUAAAACUAGAUAAUCAACUCAAAAUUAACUAAUAAAAUGCACUUAAAAAUACGUAAAAUAAACUCUUAUCAGAAAUAUGAUUUCAUCACAACUCCAAAUAUUAUCAUAGAAAUUUAUAAGUAAGAUAAUUAAGUAGUAUUAUCUUAAAACUAAAGGGAGAAAUUUUGUUUCAAUGUCGACAAAUGCAACGUGCAUUUUCUUAGUCUAUUAUUAAAAACUUGUCCAAGGAUUCUUCCAUUUUUAUAAUAGGUGUUAUCUCAUUUUAUAUGCUAAAAUUACUAAAUUAAUUUUGAGAGGUCGUUAAGUCUAUUCUAUAUCUAAAGUACCCCUUCAGAUGAUAAACUAUUUAGGGGGAAAAAACUGUGAAUUUGAACAUGCCUAAAAGAAUUAAGAAAUAAAUUUACAAUAAGGAAAGAUAGACUUAUUAUCAUUAGUGGUGACUGAAAGCAUUUUUUGUUUGAGUGAGAAUGGCCCCUAUUUUUUAUUAGAUAAAAAAUUUAAAGAAUUAAAGAUGCUCAUAAAAUAAGAUGAAACAAUAAGGGAAGGAAAUAAAUCAAUCCAUUAAGGCUGUAGGCGAGGAGCUUUAAAACUUCCUACAAAGAUAUUCUAGAAUAAGUCUGAAAAUAAUAGUAACAAAGUUGGUUUACAUUAAUAGCUUGAACAACACAAGAAAAUUAUUAAAAAAUUUUUAGUAGUUUGCCAUAGAACACAAACCACCUUAUGAAUUAUACUUGUUUGACAAUAUCAAAACUCUUUCCACAAAGCACUUAAACACCACAUACAUCAUCACACUUGAGCUCGAAUCUAGCUCAAAUCUCGGAUCGUUUACACCUAAUACAUGAGUGGUUGAGUGAUCUAGAAGUGGGCCGGAAUUUUUAAACUGAAAAAAAAUCUUUUUAUAUUUGUAAUGAUUUGACUAUUUAGAUUGAAUCAUAUAAUAAGUCCAGAUUUGGAUGUAUUGGAUGGUACCGGAGAAGCGAACGUAGAACAAGAUUUUAAAAGAAAAGGUCCUUAGUUAAACUGCAAAUUAACUCAUGUGAUUAGCUCGUGAUUGUCCACACGGCGGAUCGAAAGUGGUAAGAGAUGACACUAAAGUAUCAAAUAUAUGUUGUCCCGUACUAUUUGGAUUUCAGUGAGGUUUAUGGAGUAAUGUGAAAUCUCAGCGUGCAAAAAGGGGCCGCAAUCAAGAAUAUUUUGACUGAUCAAGCGCCUGCAUUUUGUCUUCUUCCUAUUAUUUGUUUCUAAAAUGCCAUCCUAAGGUGCAUUACUAAAUAAAGGCUCAUUUGGUAAAUAAAUUUUUUAGGUGUUUGUUUAAAAUUUUACUGUAAUUUACUGUAAGAGUUGUAGAAAAUAUUUUUGAAGUGUGUAAAUUUUUGGAUAUUUUGAUGUGCAUAGUUUUAAAGUUUUAAGAAAUUUUUUGAGAUUAAUAUAGUUAAAAUAAUUUAAAAACUUGUAACAGACAAAUUUGACAAAAAACUUGCUUGCCAAACAUGCCCAAAAUUUGCUUUUGACCACUUUGCAGAUCAAAAUAGUCUUCGGAUUAGUAAACAUUAUUAGUUUAAAGAAUUACUCUAGAGUGCAAUUUAGAAAUCCAUUGUAAACGAGAGCAAGCCAUGUAACAAGAUGUCAAACAAACUGUAAGGAUUCAAAUACGGAAUAAACAACUAUUGAGAUAUCAAAUGUAUAACAAUUUAAUGAAAAACAAGCCACAAGUAUGAAAGAUAAACGACACACAACAUUUAACGUGGUUUGACUCCACCAUUGAGCCUACAUCCACGGAGAGAAACUUGUUCUUUAUUAUGAGAGAAAAAUCUUAUACAAGAAUACAACUUGAACCCAAAUCCAACCCUUGUAUACCAUCUCUCAUGUCCCAAAAACCCUCUCUCACACCCCAUGUAUAAGGUUACAUAAUACCCCUUGUGUUUGCUUGUGUAUCUUUGUAGUAUGCCAAUCUACCUAUUUAUAGAGAACAUUACUGUCAAAAAAUCAAAUAACAAUUGGAAACCAAUACUAUUUUCUAAACUCAUAUAAAGUAGAAAAUAGUAUCUAAUUCUAGCUAAAUAGGGCUUUACUUGACUACUAUUUCAAGUAACUAAAUCCAAUUAGAAAACUAGUUACUUCCCACACCAAAUAGGAAUCUUGACUAAAAGAAAUUAAGCCAAUUUCCUAACAAAUCUCUACCUUGGCGAAUAUUUCUUUUAGCAAACACAGCAAACCAUCCAAAAACUCCAUUUGCCUUUAACUAGCAAAUAAUAUGGUACCAAAUUACACACCCGAAUCAAUACAGUCCUGCCACCAAAUUGAUUCAAUCGGCAAAUGAACAUGUGUAGUUACCAUGAGUCCAACCUGCAGUUGACUCGUGAGAAGGUGCCUCAAUUCACCAUCUCCCUUUGCAGGAUUUCUUCUCACCACCACUUGCAAUCUGGGAUCCCCUUCUGUGAGCUCUAACCCUAACCAUUGAGGCAAUUAAGUGGUAAAGUCGCCAUACUUCUUCCCAUCCUCAGGACUGUCUCGCCACAUAUAAUUUCCAAGACUCCACCUAAAACAAAAAACUCGUAUCUGUCAGAGUCUUCUGGCGUAUAGAAAUUAGAUCUCCUUGUUUCUUUGGGACACGUGCCACACCAUCCAAAAAACAUAACCAAAAUUUAAAAUCCACCGGGAUGAAGUAUCAACCGUUGGAGGUGUGAAAAGUCUCCACCAAUUCACGUCUAAAAUCAAUAUUGGAUUCCAUCUUUUCCUUGACCCUUGAAUCACCUGCCUAGAUUCACCGUCAAGCAUCUCCAUAUUUUUCGACUUUUCAUCCUUUACCAUCAAUGCUUUUUGUCAAGCUAUUGAAACAAGGAUACUACCUAUUAAAUUGUUCAAUUGAUGACAGCUACCAAUCCACUUGAUCUCAAUAGUUAACUAGGAUCCAACUACGAAUCUUGAGCAGCCCAGUCUCGCAACCAAGCUCUGAUACCACUUGUUAGGAUUCAGGCGUGGAAUAAACAACUAUUGAGAUAUUAAGUGCAUAACAAUUUAAUGAGAAACAAGCCACAAGUAUGAAAGAUAAAUGACACACAACAUUUAACGUGGUUCGACUCCACCAUUGAGCCUACGUCCACGAAGAGAAACCUGUCUUUAUUAUGAGAGGAAAAUCCUAUACAAGAAUACAACUUGAAUCCAAGUCCAACCCUUGUAUACCAUCUCUCAUCUUCCAAGAACCCUCUUUCACAACCCAUGUAUAAGGCUACAUGAUGCCCCUUGUGUCUCCUUGUGUAUCUUUGUAGUAUGUCAAUCUACCUAUUUAUAGAGAACAUUACUGCCAAAAAACCAAAUAACAAUUGGAAACCAAUACUAUUUUCUAAACUCAUAUAGAGUAGAAAAUAGUAUCUAAUUCUAGCUAAAUAGGGCUUUACUUGACUACUACUUCAAGUAACUAAAUCCAAUUAGGAAACUAGUUACUUUCCAUACCAAAUAGGAAUCUUGACUAAAAGAAAUUAAGCCAAUUUCCUAACACAAACUAAGAAGAAUUUUUUUCAACAACAGUCCUUUAUUCAACCUUUAAAAUAUCCUUUUCAUUUGUUCCAGUUGAAAAGAAUUACUCCACGAUCAAUUUUUUACAAAAGUCCUUUUGAAUAUCUGUUGGUGCAUACAAAAUUUAAAGUUGUAUUGUUAUGUUAGGCUUUACUUUCAUUUUGACAAUAAAUGCCUUGUUGUUUUGAGUGAUUAUGUUUACUGCAGGAAUACACACUUCAACUCUAACCAUGGAGUGGUUUAUGUCCCUUAUGCUAAACCACCUUGAGGUAUUGGAGAAGGUAAGAAAUGAAAUAGACAACAAUGCCACACAAUCAGGGCAACUGAUUGAGGAUUCAGAUCUCUCCAAAUUGCCGUAUUUAUGUUGAAUAAUUAAAGAAACAGUCGGACUUUUUCCGGCAGCACCAACGCUUGUGCCUCAUUAUUCAUUUGGGGAUUGCAGUAUAGGAGGCUUUAAAAUUCCUAAAAGGCAAACUUCAUUAGUAAAUACUUGGGUUAUUCAUAGAGACCCUAAUGUCUGGGAAGAACCAAACAAGUUUAAGCCAGAAAGCCAGAAAUUCGAGAGAAUGAAGAGGUAUGUGAAGAAGGGUUCAAAUUUCUUCCAUUUGGAAAAGAUAGGAGGGCUUGUCCAGGGACAGCCUUGAGCAUGAGAUUGAUUAACCUGUCAUUGGGAACAAUGCUACAAAGUUUUGAUUGGGAAAGAUUGGGUCCUCGGUUGGUGGAUUUGGAAGAAAAACUAGUUUUGACUUUGGGCAAGGCCAAGUCUUUGGAAGCAUUGUGCACAAGUCAUGCUCAUCCAUGAUUGAUAAUCAUUCCGCAGCUCUGAGUUAGCUUCCAAGGUAACUAAAGAAAUAUUUAUUUAGGGGCUGCUUGUUUCACAGAUUGGAAUCGGAAAUGGAAAUGAAAUCAUAGACUCUGGUUUUGGAAUUAAAACUUUUCAUUCCAAUAUCUUGCUUGGUUCACACAUUGGAAUUAGCAUUGUUCCAAUUCCUGAUGCUGGUUUGAUGAGUGUUUCGGAAUUAAAUGCAAUUAAAUUCCAAAAUUACCCCUGAUAUAACAAUUCUUCUAAAACAAAAGAAUUACACAUACGACAAAUUAACAUCUUCAUAAUUGUAACUACAAUAGUUAUUAACUUUUUGAUAAAACAUAAGAAAAUCAUAAAUAAUAAAAAAAUUAAUACCAGAAAAUAAAUAUAGUGGCUGCAUUAACAAGGAGUAAAUUCCCAGAAAAAGGAGUUUUUAAACAAUCAUCCAAAAGGUGACAAUUUUUGAGUCUCUUCCCAAAGGGUGAAAAAUGCAUCCAAGGAAUGUGUUCUUCCAAAUAAAAACGCAUCUUUCAAAUACGUUAUUUUAUGUUUUGGAAAUUUGUUUAAAUAUGAAAAAUUGGUUAAAUAGCCCAUAAGAUACCAGCUCUUUAUGAGAAAUUGGCAGGUUUUGUAAUAUGUUUUGUACCAGUUUUAUGAGAAACAUACAUUUAUGGGAAAAAUUGAUUAAAUAGUGCCCAAAGGAAAACUAGUAUGUUUUGUAUUUAAUAUAAAUUAAAUAUGUGAAAGUUAAAAAAAAAAAAAAGAAAUUGCCCAUAAGAUACCAGCUCUUUAAGGGAAACUGGCAGGUUUUAUAGUAUGUUUUGUAGCAACUCUUUAUGGGAAACAUACCAGCUCUUUAUGGGAAAAAUUGGUUAAAUAGCGUCCAAAGGAAUACUAGUAUGUUUUGUAUUUAACAUAAAUUAAAUAUGUGAAAGUUAAAAAAAAAAAAGGAAAUUACCCAUAAGAUACCAGCUCUUUAUGGAAAAUUAGCAGGUUUUGUAUUUAAUACGCUAUUUAACCAAUUUUUUAUAUUUAAACAAAUUUACGAAAAUUAAAAUAAUGUAUUUGAAAGUUGCAUUUUUAUUUGGAAGAACGCAUUUCUUGAAUGUGUUUUUCACCCUUUGGGAAGAGACUCAAAAAUUGUCACCCUUUAGGAAGUUAGUUUAAAAACUCUUUCUUUUUGGAAAUUUACUCUAUUAACAAGUCGUUUGUAGUUCCUAAAUUAGAUAAUGAUAUGAAAUAGAUCUCUCCUUACAUAUAUGAAUAAAAGAAGGAGACUCAAAUCACAAAAGCUAACCAUACCAAAUACAAAUCAAUUGUCUAAUCCAGUCGAGAGUGCCAGUCAAUGUCCACAAUCUCCAAAAGACUAAUCAUAUCACCAUAACAAAAAGAAAUUGCCAUCAAAUCAUCACUUUCCAGCUAACAAUAAUUUUACUUCAGCGAGUAGAUGGAGGACAAAGGAGGUUAAUUACAUAUUGUCAUUUCAUUUCUGCAGGAAGAUUGUAGAACACAUGAAGCUUGGAAAUCUGCUCCGAAAGUAUGUCGGCUGCAUUCAUUACAUCUCCACUCGGUAAAGCAAGUUUCAUUAACUCAGCAACAACUUGAUCUCUUCUAUCGGAGACCAAUUGCUCACGUUUAUCGUCAUUUGACAUGGCUGCUGCCAUAGUUGUGAAAUUAGCUUGAAUUCUCUCCACGAAAUCUCCAAAUUUGCUGGUGAGAAGUUGCAAUGAUGCAUCAAGAUCACCCCUUGUUGUUGAUGCAGAUUUUAUUUUUUUUGACACAUUUGCAAUGGGAGGUGAUUGUUUCUUUUGUUUCUUGGAAUUUCUUGUGCCUGUUGAGCUUGGUUGAGUUGAUUGCUCCAUGGAAUUUACUUCAUCUUCUUCUACCUUAUCAUUAUCCGAGUUUGACAUAGCAUCAAACCCUUCAUCUCCUUCCUCCAAAUUUUGGACAUCUUCCAUAUCUUGGACAGCUUGUGCAAAAUCUUCAGCAACAUUUCCAGUGACUCUGUCUCUUCCAUAUACAAUUUCAAGAUCUCCUAAAUAUGAAAAUUUGACAUCCCAAAAGCCCUUCGCAUCCUUAUGAGUCUAGGGGUAAGAUAAAUGAUAAUCCUAAUAAAAGGUUGAAAAAGAACAUAUCAGAAUGUAAAAAGUAAUCAAUUUCUUACCUUGCACCAAUCAUCAUACCACUGUUUUUCACAAGAAAUCUUUUUCUUAGCAUCAUUCCAACUACAACCACUUUCUUUGCACAUUUCAACAAUUGCAUGGAACCUAUUUUUGAUUCAAUAUGUGGGCUGACUUGUUUGGUACAAGUAGGUUGCUUACUCAAGAUAAUUUUAAGCAAUUCGCUCAUAUAAUUAUUUUUAAAUCCUCCAUCUGAUUUUCACAUUGGAUCACAAGCCAACUCUUGCAAUGCUUCUAUGAGCACUUUUACCUCUUCACCAGUCCAAAAACAUUUAUUUUUCCAUCUUCCACGUACAAUUUCAUCAUUCUCCAUCCUAUCAUUUAGAAGUCAACCCAUAUAUAUCAAUUAAUUUUGAUACACAAUAGCAUAUAAACUGAAAUUUAUAAUAUAACAAAACACAUAAAAGAACAUACAAUUAAAAGUCAAUCCAAAUUUAAAAGAACAUACAUCAAGUGUCAAUCUAAUUCACAAAUCCACUACAAGAGUACAUCAAAUGUCAAUCCAAAUUUAAUGAGUCUAAGAGCUAAACAUCCAUUCAUAGCUAAAUACUAAGUCUAGCCCUUCAAUUGUCAAACAUUUCAUGUGCUAAAUUAUUUCUAGAAUUUGCCCAUUGAUCACUUGGCAAAAUAGUGGAUAUGUACUCUACUUCUUCAUCACUGUCUUCAUCUUCACUUUCAUUUUCUUCACUUUGUAGUAAUUCUUGUGGAUCAAAAGUCAUGAACUUCCUUAUCAAGUUGUGCAGUAGACAACAUGCCAUAAUUAUUCGCACUUGUGUUUGAAUUGGAAAAAAUGAAGGGGAUGCUAGAAUCUUCCACCUUCCUUUUAGCAAUCCAAAACAUCUUUCUAUGAUAUUUCUAGCUUUAGAAUGUUUCAUGUUGAAAUAUUCCUCUGGUCUUUGUGGUCGAUAACCAUUGAAUUCAUUAAGGUAAUAUCUUUGCCCUCGAUAAGGGGCAAGAAAUCCAUCAGCAUUACAAUAUCAAGCAUCCACCAAGUAAUAACAACCUUCAAAAUUCAAUCAUGCACAAAUUAAUACUAGACUACCUUAUUUUCGAAAAAAAAUUGAUUGAAUGGUAUUGAAUACUGCAAUAUAUGUUUACCUUGUGGGACUCUAAGACCAUUUGGUCUAGAGAUAGCAUUUCGAAGCACACGACCAUCAUGUGCCGAACCUUCCCAACCAGGCAAGACAUAGAUAAAUUGCAUAUUAGGAGAACAAACCCCUAAUACAUUCGUUGCAAUACUUCCUUUUCUCGUUCGAUAUCUUGAUUUUUGUUCGGUGGGUGGUGUCACAUCUAUUAAUGUCCCAUCUAAGGCACCUAAACAAUUCUAUUUUAAGAAAAAUAAAAAAUAUAACAGAGUUAAAAUGUCUAUAUUGGAUAGUUUAGAUGAAAAUAUAUAUUUUAUUAAAUGAUUGUAUUUUAAUGUUUGAAUUACCUUAAAACAUUUCCAUCUCUCAUCUGUGCAAUCUUCGGUAAUAGGCUCAGGCUUCUUAAGUAAUAUAGUAUGCAAUUUCAAAACUGCUAGGAGGCAAAGAUUAAAUUGACGACUCAUCGUUUCUCUCCUUCUCCAAAAUAGACCACAAAUUGUUCUACUUUUCUUGUGGUGAGCCAAAACAUAUACAAACAUGGCAACAAUUUCUUCUAUUGACAUGUUUCUUGUAGCUUUCAAACCUCCAGUGUCUCUAAUCAUUUCACAUAAUAUCCCAAAUGUUCGUCUAUCCAUACGAAGUUCGCUAAUACAAUAAGCAUCACUCUCCCUAGUCAAAUUGAAUAAGUGUUGCAUGCGCUCAGUGACUUUUUCUUCUUUUGAUUUUAUUUGGCGUCUUCUACUUUUGAGAUGAAUAAAUAUUAACUGGUACCACAUCAUAAACAGUGCAAUAACAACCAUUAUCAUUCCUGAUAAAAUCUGGCUUUGCCCUUGAUAUUUUUUGCUUCUUCUGUUUUCAAUAGGCAAACGUGGCAUCUUUGUCUACAUAACAAUAUGACAACCAAACGUAAGUAUUCACAAUAAGACAGGUUUGACGUUGUUUGGCGGAAUGAACACAACUGAAGCUACACUUAUUGGAUUAAGGUGUAAUUUACACCGUUUCGAAGCUAAGAUAAAGGGCUACAACUUUGAUGAGAACCACUCAGUCCAGUUCAUAGUGUAGCAAGGUCAAAUUUCAAGAUACCAAACCAGAAUUGCACAAACAGGUUAGCUACCGUAUUAUGGUUAAACGACCAUAACUUAGGCUACCAAGGUCCAAUCGGGGCGUUUCCAGUGCUGUUAGAAAGCUAAGACACCGCACUAAAACUUUUGUGUUUUGGCCAAAUUCUAAUUCGGUAAGGAUCAGGGUGAAAAGUCUCGGUCAGAUUGGGUGAAGUGUCAACUCUGUCCACCGAACUCUACCUAGGGCAAUCUGGGGGUAUUUCUGUCUUUUUACAGGCUACGGAGCUUAGAUUGGGCUGAAAAUUUACAGAAAACUAUAAAACAUCAUUUUCUACAACUUUUAUGUUUUAACCUAAGGCUGAUUUGGCCUCCAACCUAGCCGAAUAGAACCGGGCAGAAUAGGGGUUAAUUGAGACCCUAAUCUGGAAAUUUCAGUACAAAGCGGAAAUUUUCCGCAAAUAGCUACAAUUUACGCAUCAAAGCUUCAUUCUAGACCAUUCCAACCCAUCAUAUAUGGCCAACCAACAUUAAACAUAUAAAAUAGAAAAAUCAUAGAUAAAAAUAAAAAUUUCACCAAUCUCUACCAAAAGUCAAGAAAUCUUCCACAAAAUCACAUCUUUAACCAACACAAGUCAUUAAUUUGACAUUAUCAAGACCAAAGAAAGAAUUCCCUAGCUACUCACCUUGCAACCUCAAGAAAGGAAGCAACUUAGCACCAAUUUCUUCCAAACCACUUCACCCACUACCUCAAAACCACCUAGCUAAGGGUUUUUAUGGAAAGAUUUGAGGUUUAAACGGUUAAAUUGCAAGAUUAAGCAAGGUUAGUUGAAGAAGAUUGAAGGGUUUUCUUUUCUUUUCUCCCUUGUGAGAGUCGGCCAAGAGAUGUAUGAAGAAGGUGAAUUUUUGGGUCAAUUUCUUGGUUAUUUAGUAAAGUUGGUAAAAUGGUCAAAGUCCAACUUUAAGUCACCAAGUGACACUUGUCACCUUUUUAGUGCAACUCUAUCCUUUUGUCUCUCCAAUGAUAAUCCAUCUAGGUAAUCUCUAAUUAUCUCUUAACACUUGAUAAAUUAAAUCCGGUAUACCCAACUAAACCUAAUUGGCCGAAUUUUACCGAACUUACCGCACUAGUGGGUCCCAUAUCCGGUAUAUACUCUUAAAACCUCAUGAACUAACUUAUACUAGAAAAAUAAUUUAAAAACCAUAUUUGCUCAUAAAAAUUAAUUUAAAAAUUUUUCGAAUAAAGAAAAUGUGAAAAGCGUGCAAUUAGAAUAAAAUAAAAUCUAAAAAUUAAGAAAAUUACGGGUUCUCACAGAUGUCAUGCCAAGAAUUUCACUUUUACAUUAUAUAUUUGGGAGUAGCCACAGUAUCCCAAAUAUUUGAUGUGAAAAGUUUUUCAUCAUAUACAGUUUGGUGAUUGAAAUUAUGGAUUUUUAGUCAACAUAUUGGCUAGUUGACAAUUUUUCUUAUAACGCCAUAUACAUAGGAGUAGCCAUAGCAUCUUAAGUAUAUUAGUGUCUGGAGAAAUUUUGUAUUUUUUUCACAUAUUGUUGAGUGAGUAAAGAAAUUAAAAAAAAGGAAUCUAUAUAAAGUUGCAAUUAAUUCACUAAGAUAGUUAUUCGGCCCCACAAGGAGGUAAUUAUUUUGCUGAGAUUAAUUGACAUGAGAUGGUAAAUUAGAAAGUAAAUUAAGAGAUAUUUCUAUGCCCACAGGUACUAAUUAUUUCUUGAAUUUAUUGUUUUAGAUUACUAGUCUUAUGAUUAAGGAAAGUAAAUUAUAUGCAUUUUUCAACCUUUGGCCAUAGGAAGGUUUGAAAUUACUAUUUGAAUUGACAUAAGGUUGAUUAAAAUCAAGGUACAAACUUCAUAGCAUUUUUAUAAUAUAGUUUUUGAUUGUUAAUUUAGUGUUUCAUUCCAAUGAUUUUAUGGUUCUUAUUAGGUUGACUUUAAAUUCGUUCUCCUUUGUUUUGGGUGCAAGUUUUAAAUUAGCACUUUUAUGAGAAUGAACAAACCAUUCUCAUAAUAUGGAUAUACUUGCUAAUAUAGAGGUUGAGUAUGAGAAUUAGAAGCAAUUUAGUAGUUUGCUCAUUCUGUCUCAUAUUCACAUAAAAUAGGGUUCAAAUCCUAAUUAUUUAUAGUUAAAUCUUGCAUGAAAGUCAUAAAGAAAUUAUUGCAAGUUUUAACUAGCACCAUUAGAAGGCUUUCUUUUGUGACACUUAAAUAUUAAAGUGUAUUUUGAAAAGAUGAGAAUUUUGCUAUAUCGUGAAUUAAAGUCCCAUCAAGUUGAGAUUGAGUUAUUUCUGUUGCAUUUCAUUCUUGAUUCUUUCAUAAAUAAUUUCUUAGCCAUUCAAACCUUUAUAAUACACAUAAAGAUAUAUGGUUAAUCACUUGUUUAACCAUGUGUAUUAAAAAAGAAUAAAGAGGUUAAGAAAUAAGAGAAACUUAACCUUCAUGAAGAAGAAAUGUAAAAAAAGAUAAUUUUGUUCUCAGUAAGUCAAACAACAAUAAAGACCAAUAUUAUUUGUAAGAGAGUGAUACUUGAUGCUUUACCUUGAGAGAAAGUAACUCAAAAGAAAAUCUCAAUUGUUGAGUGUUAUAACUUGUGAUAUAUUCGUGAAUUGGCUAAAGUUGUGAAUUUGCAUUGCUAGUAUAAUAAGUUUCUGAUUAUAUGCAAAGUGAACAAAAGUUUCUUUAUAGAAACUAAAAAUAUUCACAUAAAGUGAUGUAUUAUUGCUCAUUUCAAGAAAAUUUAUUUUUCUAAAACAUUAUUUUCUUAUUACUUUAAAAUUUUUAUUUUCAAAUUAAUUACUAUCGGGUAUGAUUACGAACCUCAUUAUCCAGUAGUAGAUUUUGAAAAUAGUGAAGUUAUUAAUUCUAAAGUUUCCAGUACCAUCUUUUGAAUUGAGCAAAAUCAUACACUUGACCACAAUAAUUAUAUUGGCAGCAAAUAUGUUUAUCACUAGGGGAAACUCCUUAAAUUUUGGCAUAGGAAAUUGAGAUAUAUCUCAAUAAAAAAUAAAGAGUUGAUAAAUCAUAAAUUUUUAAAGAUUUUAGAUUUAUUAACUAUGAUAUUUUAAGUAGACUACAUAAGUAAAGAGACUACUCAACCUGGAUGCCAUAAGAGUUUCAUUAUAACACUAAAAUUUUGUGAAUUAUUUGCUACCCUUUUUUAUUGGUGAGGGAUAUUUAUCUCAUUAUUAGAUAACUAUUCAUCAAAUACAAAGCUCCUUUCUUAUUUGAUAAAGAAUUAAUAUUUGAUACCUAUGCAAGUAUUCAAACGAGAAAGGAAAUUUGAAAUUUGAAGGAUAGAAAAUAAAAUGAAGGCACACCAAAAAAAAGGGCUAUCCUAUUUGUGCUCAUUAAAUAGGAAACAUUGCUAAUGAGUAAAAGCAAUGCUUGAUUGGUUUCAUCCAAUGGUGUACUUUAAGGAAAUAAUGAGAUACUUGUGGAUAUAGCAUAUUGGCAAUAUUUAUAUCUUGUGCGUAAUGCCUUGAAAUUGAAGUAUAUUCUUAAACAAUUUCUUCCAAAAUUAUUUAAACACCACUUUGAUUAUGAUAUGGAUGAAAAUCAAGUUUAAGAUAUUAUGUUUAGUUUUGUGAGGGUGAUCAACCUACACAUAAAGAAACUAUACAAAAGAAACAAGACUAUCUUGCUCCAAGAAAUUUAGAUUCUUUUACACUUCAAAAAUUAUUAGAACUGAAGAUUUAAAUUUCUUAAGAGCAUGAAGUAAGUGGGAGUGUUUUGACUCUAGAAUGGAGUAUUGAAAAGCUAAGGAUUCAUAUUUGACUCCUUUGAAUAUGGAAAAUUGAUAGCUUUUCUCAAAAUUAUUAUUUAAUUAUUUUAGAUAAGCAAUCGAAUGAAAAAUUCCUUGUCAAAUAAACACAUGAAGUAAAUCUACAUUGAACCCACUGGUUGAGUUAUCUUAUAGACAGCGGGAGGAAAAAUGUUCUCUAUAAAAAAUUGAAGUUCUUUAAUUACUAUGUUAUAUAUCUACAAGAGUUUAAGGAUGAAUUGUGUAAUGUUUUCAUGAGGUGCAAAUGGAGAAAUCUCCACGUUCAAGAAUAGUGUCACAAAUUACCACAAAAUCUCUACCAAAUUUGAGAGAUUAUAUUUGGGGUAAUUAUGGCACUAGUAACUCACUAUUAGAAGAACAUUAGAUAAAUAUGAAAAUGAAUGUCCUUAAUGCAAUUCUUGAUAAUCAGGCAUAUACAUGUGUCACCAUGGUAGAGAAUGUAAUUUAAACCAAAUUAUUGCUCCUCAAUAGUAUAUUAAUUUGUUCUUCAUUUGAUCUUAGAAGAAUUUUUCUAGUAAAUUAAUAUACAUUAAGGUUAGUGGGAGUAAUACUAUGAGAGUUUUUCUCAAUCAUGAUAUUUGUGAAACCCUUCUAUCAUUAAUAUUCACAAAAUAGAAUGUAAAAGAUAGUUAAUCUGUCUUAGAACCUUCAUGCAAGAGUUCCUUGAUAAUAAAGAACAAAUAUUGCUUUUAAAUAAUAAUAGUGAACAAUUGCAUAAUGUUCACAUCAUGCAUUGGAAUGAAUAUAAAUUCACCAAGAACGCUAUGAAGUUGUACUACAGGUAUCUAUUAUUUGGCCUAAAGUUUGUCGAUAUUGUAUUUUGGCUAAUAUAGAUAUUUGAUUUGAUUAUACCCUUUCAUUAUGUAUACAUAAAAGAGUGGGAGUCAAGACAUUCAGGUCGACACAAGGUAUUCAAUAGUUAUUUAGAAAGUAAAAUGUAGCUAUUGAGUACACAGCAAGGACUUAUUAUUGUUGAUCAACAAUUAAAGGUUGCCGGGUAAGUUGUUAAUGAUCAAAUAACUCAUAUAGAACUCACUAGGUCAUUUAGUAUUUUGCUAUCAUUCUAAAACUAUUGUUGUUGUCUAGACACUCAAAAUACUUAUGUUACAUGAUUUUGUGCACAUUAUUGUUUAUGUAUAAAGUAAAGAUCAUGUGAUCCAUAAAGUUGAAUCCUGAAUAACUUAUAUGAAGUUAUUCAUAAAAUUUUUUUAAAGCACUUGAUUAGAAAGUAUAAUAUAUUGUAAUACAUAGAAGGAAGUGUUUGUCAUGAGAACAUAAUCGCCAUGAUUCAUGUAUUAUUAUUUUCUGAUUAAGCGACUAUUACAUAAUUGUUGAAUUUGGUGAGUGACAAACAAAACUUAUGGCCAUUUUAAGUAUCUAGUCACUCAUAUGUUAACUGACUAUUUCAUGUGGGUCAAGUGGAAGAAAGUAAAACUUGCCUCUUUUAGAGGCAAUUGUGACCCAUAUGAUUGAUUCUAAAUUGAUUGAUAUCCUAAUUAAUUGAUUGAUAUUUUCAAUAAUUAAUUUUUUUGAUGGAAGGAAACCCUAGAGAUUUUGAUAAUUGCUAGUAAGGGUUCCUGGCCUAACCUAUAAAUAGCCUAUGGUAUCCCAUCAACACUACACUCUCUGAUUAGGUAUAGACUAGAAACUCCUUACUCUAACUUUUUCUUCUAUAUAUAUAUAUAUAUAUAUAUAUAUUGGAAUAGACAAGAAAGAGUCAAAGAGAUGAGGAGAGACCAAUUUGUACUUAAUAAUGAUGGUUAGAGGUAAGUCUAUUUAGAUUUUCGCUGCAUAGUACAUUCAUAUGUACAUAAUUAGUAUAGCAAGCUCAACCCUAUUGACAAUUCUAUUUUGUAUGUAUAUAUUCUUGCUGUGACGACUCUCAAUAGUUCACAAGUACCGCGUUUACUCUUGUCAAACUGUGUCUGCAAUUAGAUUGAUUUUGAUUACAGAGCUCAGGGGACAAUGCGAAAGAAAUGCUGUGUAAGGGACCUCUGUAUUUUCUCAGUGCAAAAUUCAUCCAAAAUGAGCUCGUGCUAGGCUCCUGCUUGAUAGGAUCUUGGUUUUGAGCUGAAAUUUAACUCAAUUAGUUGGUAAGGCUAGCUGGAAUCAGUUAGAGCCAUUUAUUGGGUAAGCAAAGCUCAGAGUUUUCUAACCAAGACAUAAAAAGCAUGAUAAUGCAGCAGAGGACGAUGUGUGCUGGCCUCCUUUUGAUAAAAUCCAACUUUGGUGGGGUAGGAGGUUGGCUAAAAUGUAAGUUGAAAUUUUGGAAAAUGAGAAUAUAGGAACAUUCAAAUUUCAUAGGGAUAAUUUUAGAAACCUCCCCUAAGGUUUCUGAUAGUUUCACUGUCUUCCCCUAAAGUUUUAAAUAUAUCACUAACCUCUCUUAAAACUAAAUUUUCUUGUAACAAAUUAGCGCAAUUCAAAAAAAUUAAUAAUAAAAAAAUGAUUUCAAGAGUGAGAAAAAUAUUUCAUACAAAAGUGCCCCUCAACUAAUUACUAGUUGGUUGACUUAGAAUCAAAAGGGAUUAUUAGUUAAGAAUAGAAAAUAAAAACCAUAGUUAGAAUGUGUCAGUGUAAGUAAGGCAAAUUACAAUACUAGCAUGAGCCCACUAGAAUUCAAUAACAAUGGCUCGCAAAAUCAAAGAAUUGGAAGGAAAUUUUAUUAAUUUAGAAUCAAUAUUUACACAUUGAAUUCCUCAAUUCUUAGUGGUGAAAUUUGGAAGAUUUUGAGUAAGAAUUAAAUAAGACUAAGUAUGACCUUUUCAAGAAAAAUGCCACAUUAAAUAAAAAAUAUAAAAUAUGAUCAAAUAUUGUUUUGAAUUAUUUCUUUUACUUACAAGGUCCAUUAUUUCACAUGAUUACUAAGAAAUUUCUAUCAUUUGUAACAAAAAAAACAACUCUCAGGCAAUGUUUGCAUGAAUAGAAUGGAAAUGACUUUAAUGGAAAAUAAGUAAAUCAAAGUGGAGAAAAUCAUUUUAAACAAUCUUUUUGGAAUUAUGUAUACAAAGAAAAAGAAAAAAAAUUGAAAAUAGGGAGAGAAUAGAUUAUGUGCAGUUACACUUUAUCUAAACUUAAUAAAAUUUAUUUGUAAACAUAUUUUAACAAUUUAUCCUUUUUGUGCAUUUUUGUAUUCAUCUUGUUAUUUUUAUAAAAAAAACUUAUGAAAUAAUAAUCUCUCAAUAUAAAUUUUAAUCUUUUUUGGGGGAAGAAAUUACAAGAACUACUAAAAUUAGAAAAAGAAUUUAAAAUGUUAACAAUUAUUGUUAUAAAAUUUGGUAUUCAAGAUUUUCAAGCUUUUUUACAUUCCAAAUUAUGGGAGUACAAGUGGCUCAACUAUCUCUCCAUACAACUAUGUAAAAUUUCCCAAGUUGCAGGGUAAUAAAGUCAUUUGACCAUUGAUGUGGUAAGCAUUGAAUUCCAAUUGGUUGACCGGGGGAGGGUAAGUGAUAUUUUAAGAAUCUUGGGGGAGGGCAGUAAAAUUGUCAUUGAAAUUAUCCCAAUUUCAUAAGUAGGGCGAAACUUUUAUUAAGUUUGUGGAUGGGGUAUGGGUUACUACUAUUCACCAAACGAACAGAUUUUUGGCUAAGUAAUUAAAUCACACUUGUAACAAUGUACACUUUGUCAAGAGCAAAAAAAUUCUUUUUUGAAAUGUGCAUCUUAUCGAACAAUAAUAUGCACCUAAAUGAUAAAAAUAUGUAGUUUGGUAAAAUGUACAUAAAUCCAAAUAUGCACAUCUAAAUUGAUACAGCUGUGUAUAGGUAUAAUCAAAUUACACACAUACAAGUCGCAAUAUGUGCACAUAAGGGUAAUUUUCUUAUUAUACUUACAAUAUUUCUUUUAAUAGUUCAUGACCAUUAACUCGCACCUCAUGCAAGGGGUAGGGAUGGAUUGGAUGUUAGAAGGAAGGGAAUGUAAGUGAAAUGUCCUGGAAUCGAGACAUCCCGCCUAUAUUAAAAAAAAAGAAAAAAAAACUCAAACGUCAUUCAUAAAUUUUCCAAAACUUACACCUUCUUUUAAAUUUUAAAUCUUUCUAUUCCCUUUCUCCCAAUUAUCCCAAAAUUUAAAUUGGCUGGUGGGAACAUGAAAAAAUAACUACGGUAGUAGGUUUUAACAAUUUAUCCUUUUUGUGCAUUUUUGUAUUCAUCUUGUUAUUUUUAUAAAAAAACUUAUGAAAUAAUAAUCUCUCAAUAUAAAUUUUAAUCUUUUUUGGGGGAAGAAAUUACAAGAACUACUAAAAUUAGAAAAAGAAUUUAAAAUGUUAACAAUUAUUGUUAUAAAAUUUGGUAUUCAAGAUUUUCAAGCUUUUUUACAUUCCAAAUUAUGGGAGUACAAGUGGCUCAACUAUCUCUCCAUACAACUAUGUAAAAUUUCCCAAGUUGCAGGGUAAUAAAGUCAUUUGACCAUUGAUGUGGUAAGCAUUGGAUUCCAAUUGGUUGACCGGGGAGGGUAAGUGAUAUUUUAAGAAUCUUGGGGGAGGGCAGUAAAAUUGUCAUUGAAAUUAUCCCAAUUUCAUAAGUACGGCGAAACUUUUAUUAAGUUUGUGGAUGGGGUAUGGGUUACUACUAUUCACCAAACGAACAGAUUUUUGGCUAAGUAAUUAAAUCACACUUGUAACAAUGUACACUUUGUCAAGAGCAAAAAAAUUCUUUUUUGAAAUGUGCAUCUUAUCGAACAAUAAUAUGCACCUAAAUGAUAAAAAUAUGUAGUUUGGUAAAAUGUACAUAAAUCCAAAUAUGCACAUCUAAAUUGAUACAGCUGUGUAUAGGUAUAAUCAAAUUACACACAUACAAGUCGCAAUAUGUGCACAUAAGGGUAAUUUUCUUAUUAUACUUACAAUAUUUCUUUUAAUAGUUCAUGACCAUUAACUCGCACCUCAUUCAAGGGGUAGGGAUGGGUUGGAUGUUAGAAGGAAGGGAAUGUAAGUGAAAUGCUAUUGAGCACCAAUCUCAAAAAAGUCAUAAAGAGCCAAGCCAAAGCAAAAAAAAAAAUCAAUAAGGAAGGCAACAAACUGGCCUGUACGGUGACCUUAUCCUUUUGGAUUCAUUUCAGCGGAUAAUGAUUCAUUUACACUUGAUAGUGAUGUAAAUCUGCAUCCAUCUUCAAAAGCAAAAAAUACCUCCCUUGUUUCCUGUUAAUGAUCAUGGAAGUCAUCUAUAGCAUCCUAGUUCUCAGUUUCUUGGUAGUCUUAGUUGCUAUAAAACAUCUUCAAGAAAACAAGAGAACACUAAAGCCUCCAAGUCCACCAGCUCUCCCAAUUCUAGGCCAUCUGCACCUCCUGAAAGCUGCCCCUCACCGUGCUCUUCAACUUCUCUCCAUCAAAUACGGCCCCCUGAUUUCCCUUCGAUUUGGGAUUCGUCCUAUACUUGUUGUUUCCUCACCAUCUCUUGCAGAGGAAUGCUUCACUAAGACUAAUGAUGUUAUCUUUGCUAACCGACCAGGGUCCAUUUCUGGCAAAAUCCUUGGCUACAACAACAGUACUAUCGGAUUCUCUCCUUAUGGAGACCACUGGCGAAAUCUCCGCCGUGUUACCACCAUCCAUAUUUUUUCUUCCGCUAGUCUCCACAACUUUUCCUCAAUCUGGACAGAGGAAAUCCGUUUCAGUGUCAGGAAAUUGUUCUCAAUGAACUCUGAUGACAAAGUGUGGAAAGAUGUAAACAUGAACUCUGUGUUCUUGGAUUUGGUAUUCAAUGUGAUCAUGAAAAUGCUUGCAGGAAAAAAAUGGCCAUCUGAUAAAACAGCUGAUUUGUUUUCGCUGAUCUCCUUCAUGGGUAUUUGUGAUUAUGUCCCUGUCUUGAGAUGGAUUGGAUUUCGAGGGUUGGAGAAAAAUUUGAGCAAUUUACAGCAAAAGAGGGACAAAUUAUUCAGGGAUCUCAUUGAUCAAACUAGGAAAAAGGAAGGUGAAGGUGGCUCAUGCUCGACUGAGCAGAGAAGAACUGUUAUCCAAGCAUUGCUGUCCCUUCAAGAUGCUGAACCUGAAUUCUUAACUGAUGAAACUGUCAAAGGGAUCAUACUAGUAAGCCAACUUGCCAUUUCUCUUUUCUCCUUAACAUAAUAUUUUUUGCUUUGGUAAUUAUUGCUCUUUAUAUCCGGUUUCUAUUUUCAUAUUUCAUUUUUUUUUAAUGCAAAUCAACCUUUUCUCCAAUUAGUCAGUGAACUCCUCUUCUAGCUGGUAAUCUCUUAUGUUAGGCUUUACAUUCAUUUUGACAAUACAUGCCUUGUUGUUCUUCUAGAUUAUGUUCACUGCUGGAGUACACACUUCAGCUCUGACCAUGGAGUGGGCUAUGUCCCUUAUGCUAAACCACCCCCAGGUAUUGAAGAAGGCAAGGAGUGAAAUAGACAACAACGUUACACAAUCAGGGCAAUUGAUUGAGGAUUCAGAUCUCUCCAAAUUGCCAUAUUUGCGUUGCAUAAUCAAAGAAACACUUAGACUUUUUCCUGCAGCACCAACUCUUUUGCCUCAUUAUUCAUCUGAGGAUUGCACCAUAGGAGGCUUCAAAGUUCCUAAAGGCACAACUUUGUUAGUAAAUGCUUGGGCUAUUCACAGAGAUCCGAAGGUUUGGGAAGAGCCAGCCAAGUUUAAGCCAGAAAGGUUUGAGGGAAUUAAUGAAGGGGCUUGCGAUGAAGGGUUCAAAUUUAUUCCAUUUGGAAAAGGUAGGAGGGCUUGUCCAGGUGCUGCCUUAGGCAUGAGAUUUAUUAGCCUGACGUUGGGAACAAUGCUACAAUGUUUUGAUUGGGAAAGAGUAGGGCCUCAAUUGGUGGAUUUAGAAGAAAAAUCUGGUAUAACUUUGGACAAGGCCAAGCCUUUGGAAGCAUUGUUCAGGCCACGCUCAUCCAUGAUUGAAUUGGUUUCUCAGCUUUGACUAAAGAACAUGACUGGUGGCUUUUGAAGAUUGUAUCAUAAUACUAUCUGAAAUACUUAAAGCUCAAACUACAAAGGUGCACCUAUUGCAAAGUGUGAAAAAAAGUGAAAAUAAGAGGAAGGAGAAUAUAAGCAUGAAAAUCUUUCAGUCUAUGCAGUUAUUAAAGAUUAAAUAGGCUUUGAACUAAACCGUGUUUGGCUUUUUCUUUUUGUUUUUUAAUAUUGGUCUUUUCAAUUCACUGUAAGUGCAUCUACUGGAGGUCUUUGGUUUUCCACAUUUGUAAUUAUAGAAAAUCUUCAACCUUAACUGCGUUUCUUUAUUGUUACAUAAAGUGGUUUUGGGGCUUCAACAAAACAAGCAAAAAGAAUGUCUUAUGACUAGAGAUGCCAAUCACAAUCCAAUUAUAUUGAUUCGUCCAAAUCCGCCCACCAAUGAUCGGCUCAAACUCACCCCAUUUGUACCCCAUUUAAUUAGUGAAUACUGACUCUUGAUUAAUCCAUUUGUAUCCAUUUAAAAAUAAUUAGACAUUUAUACUCAACUAAGCAAAUAAAUUUGAAUUUCUUAUCAAUUUAAUAACAAUAAAUACCGUUAUUUCUUAUCAAAUAGCAUGCAAAAAAAGUAGAAUUGUAAGUGACUCAUAAAUAGAUAAUUGGGUAUAUCUAUACUCAUAAAUGAAUUGACUUAAUUAUACCAACUACUUAAUUAUGACCGUAGCACAUCUACUCAUGAGUAGCGAGGUUACCGAGCUAACUCGAACCCAAUUAUGGGUAACUCGAGCAUCAAAGAAAAUUAGCUAAGCUCAAAUUCAAGUUUAAGUUCGACAAAAUGUCAUAACUCAGUGCAUGACCAUCUUAAAUUUAUCCACCAAAACCGUUGCUAAGUUAGCUUAAGAACUCUUUUAUUGGUAUCAGUGUCUUUUAUUUCACAUUCACUCAAAACUUUUACAUGUUUAACUUCCUUUGGCAUACUUUUUUCUUUGUCAAAUUUUUGUUGGCGGUGUAUAAAGCUUUCAUGUUUUUCAUAUAUCUGUUUGAUGUAUUAGACAUGCAUAAUUUUGAUGUUGCAACUAAGUUUAUGAAGAUAUAACUCUUUUCGCGAGUUAUAGGUACAUAUUCACCAUUUCGAAUCCCAGAUUAUUAGAUUUUUUUUUUUUUGGUUUUGCAUUUUUUUGAAUUUUCAAUUUAUUUGUGAACUUUUCAAAUUAAAAUUUGUUCUAUUAGAAUGAUGACAGGUAUUUUAGAAGAUGUCUGUAGCUAAUUAUAAGUUCAAUUUAUCCGCAGUCUGGUGAACGUUGAAGGACCAAUACCUGUUAAGAUCGCAAAACUAAUUUUGGAGUCUCCAGAACACAUAAUUCUUAAAGAAUAUUCAAGCCAUUUUUUUUUUUCAGGGUUCGUUUUCACACUCUAAUUUUUUAACUCUACAUCAGUUAAUCAAAUGACUUCAAAAUUUUUUCACAUAUCAAAAUAAAGAAAUAUAACUUGAAGCAACUUGACAUAAAUUACCCUGGAAUGAUAAUGCAAUAAUAUCUGCUACAUAAACUUCUCAUUUAUGUCCCUUUUUUUUUUUUUUUUUAACUUCUCAGUUAUGUCUAACUGCUUCUAAAAAAUGUCAGUGUCAAUAUAAUCAUUAAGAAGAAUAAUGUUGGACUGCAAAAGUGGACUUUAAGAGUAGGUUCAAGAAAAAAGGAGACUGUGCAAUUAAAUGGCAAACAACACUUUGAUAACAAUACAUAUUUACUUAAGAAGAAUUGUAUAAAAGAAUAAACGCAAAGACUAAGAUUGUAAAUUUUUUUUAUUUUUUUUAAAUAUAAGAAUCACCUAUUAAGCUCUAUAAUUAAUAUUAAAUCUAAAAAGUCAAUUAUUUGGCCUUUAAAACUGUGUUCACAAACUUUUUAUCUCUUCAUAUUCAGAUUUUAUAUAAUGUUUUAGCAAAAUCAAUACGAACACAUGAGAAAACUAUCUCUAAAAGGCUAAGGCCGUAAAAUAAAGAGAAUGACCAAGGCAAACAAAGAGCAAAAAUGAGCAAAAUAUGACAUGAAAUAUUUGUCUCUAAAAAAGGACAAGCUCAGUGCUAAGAAAGGUAUAAAAGUUUCCUAGAAAAAGAAGCUUAGAACCAUACAAUUUUAACUAACCUAUUUCACAUUUGAAGUUAGAAUAAUUAAAAAUUCAAUGGACCGAACUAUUGUCUUGAAAUAAUAUGAUGAGUUUUGCAAUUCUACGGUAGAUUCAUAAAAGUGCAUAAGAAACACGUGGGAUAACACUGUUGAGAAUGAUUGUUCACUGACUAACGAAAUAUGAUUUCAUCACAACUCCAAAUAUUAUCAUAUAAAUUUAUAAGUAAGAUAAUUAAGUAGUAUUAUCUUAAAACUAAAGGGAGAAAUUUUGUUUCAAUGUCGACAAAUGCAACGUGCAUUUUCUUAGUGUAUUAUUAAAAACUUGUCCAAGGAUUCUUCCAUUUUUAUAAUAGGUGUUAUCUCAUUUUAUAUGCUAAAAUUACUAAAUUAAUUUUGAGAGGUCGUUAAGUCUAUUCUAUAUCCAAAGUACCCCUUCAGAUGAUAAACUAUUUAGGGGGAAAAAACUGUGAAUUUGAACAUGCCUAAAAGAAUUAAGAAAUAAAUUUACAAUAAGGAAAGAUAGACUUAUUAUCAUUAGUGGUGACUGAAAGCAUUUUUUGUUUGAGUGAGAAUGGCCCCUAUUUUUUAUUAGAUAAAAAAUUUAAAGAACUAAAGAUGCUCAUAAAAUAAGAUGAAACAAUAAGGGAAGGAAAUAAAUCAAUCCAUUAAGGCUGUAGGCGAGGAACUUUAAAACUUCCUACAAAGAUAUUCUAGAAUAAGUCUGAAAAUAAUAGUAACAAAGUUGGUUUACAUUAAUAGCUUGAACAACACAAGAAAAUUAUUAAAAAUUUUUAGUAUUUUGCCAUAGAACACAAGCCACCUUAUGAAUUAUACUUGUUUGACAAUAUCAAAACUCUUUCCACAAAGCACUUAAACACCACAUACAUUCUCACACUCGAGCUCGAAUCUAGCUCAAAUCUAGGAUCGUUUACACCCAAUACAUGAGUGGUUGAGUGAUCCAGAAAUGGGCUGGAUUUUUUAAACUGAAAAAAAAAAUCUUUUUAUAUUUGUAAUGAUUUGACAAUUUAGAUUUAAUCAUUUAAUAAGUCCAGAUUUAGGGGGGAGGGUUGGGUUGGGUGGUACGGGGGGAGGGAGUGUAAGCAAGAGGUCUCGGGUUCGAGUCCUCCCGCUUACACAAAAAAAAAAAAAAAAAAUUCCAGAUUUGGAUGUAUUGGAUGGUAACGGAGAAGCGAACGUAGAACAAGAUUUUAAAAGAAAAGGUCCUUAGUUAAACUGCAAAUUAACUCAUGUGAUUAGCUCGUGAUUGUCCACACGGCGGAUCGAAAGUGGUAAGAGAUGACACUAAAGUAUCAAAUAUAUGUUGUCCCGUACUAUUUGGAUUUCAGUGAGGUUUAUGGAGUAAUGUGAAAUCUCAGCGUGCAAAAAGGGGCCGCAAUCAAGAAUAUUUUGACUGAUCAAGCGCCUGCAUUUUGUCUUCUUCCUAUUAUUUGUUUCUAAAAUGCCAUCCUAAGGUGCAUUACUAAAUAAAGGCCCAUUUGGUAAAUAAGUUUUUUGGGUGUUUGUUUAAAAUUUUACUGUAAUUUACUGUAAGAGUUGUAGGAAAUAUUUUUGAAGUGUGUAAAUUUUUGGAUAUUUUGAUGUGCAUAGUUUUAAAGUUUUAAGAAAUUUUUUGAGAUUAAUAUAGUUAAAAUAAUUUAAAAACUUGUAACAGACAAAUUUGACAAAAAGCUUGCUUGCCAAACAUGCCCAAAAUUUGCUUUUGACCACUUUGCAGAUCAAAAUAGCCUUCGGAUUUGUAAACAUUAUUAGUUUAAAGAAUUACUCUAGAGUGCAAUUUAGAAAUCCAUUGUAAACGAGAACAAGCCAUAUAACAAGAUGUCAAACAAACUGUAAGGAUUCAAACGCGGAAUAAACAACUAUUGAGAUAUCAAAUGUAUAACAAUUUAAUGAAAAACAAACCACAAGUAUGAAAGAUAAACGACACACAACAUUUAACGUGGUUUGACUCCACCAUUGAGCCUACAUCUACGGAGAGAAACUUGUUCUUUAUUAUGAGAGAAAAAUCUUAUACAAGAAUACAACUUGAACCCAAAACCCAACCCUUGUAUACCAUCUCUCAUGUCCCAAAAACCCUCUCUCACACCCCAUGUAUAAGGUUACAUAAUACCCCUUGUGUUUGCUUGUGUAUCUUUGUAGUAUGCCAAUCUACCUAUUUAUAGAGAACAUUACUGUCAAAAAAUCAAAUAACAAUUGGAAACCAAUACUAUUUUCUAAACUCAUAUAAAGUAGAAAAUAGUAUCUAAUUCUAGUUAAAUAGGGCUUUACUUGACUACUACUUCAAGUAACUAAUUCCAAUUAGGAAACUAGCUACUUCCCACACCAAAUAGGAAUCUUGACUAAAAGAAAUUAAGCCAAUUUCCUAACAAAUCUCUACCUUGGCGAAUAUUUCUUUUAGCAAACCAUCCAAAAACUCCAUUUGCCUUUAACUAUCAAAUAAUAUGGUACCAAACUACACACCCGAAUCAAUACAGUCCUGCCACCAAAUUGAUUCAAUCGGCAAAUGAACAUGUGUAGUUACCAUGAGUCCAACCUGCAGUUGACUCGUGAGAAGGUGCCUCAAUUCACCAUCUCCCUUUGCAGGAUUUCUUCUCACCACCACUUGCAAUCUAGGAUGCCCUUCUGUGAGCUCUAACCCUAACCAUUGAGGCAAUUAAGUGGUAAAGUCGCCAUACUUCUUCCCAUCUUCAGGACUGUCUCGCCACAUAUAGUUUCCAAGACUCCACCUAAAACAAAAAACUCGUAUCUGUCAGAGUCUUUUGGCGCAUAGAAAUUAGAUCUCCUUGUUUCUUUGGGACACGUGCCAUACUAUCCAAAAAACAUAACAAAAAUCUAAAAUCCACCGGGAUGAAGUAUCAACCAUUGGAGGUGUGAGAAAGUCUCCACCGAUUCACGUCCAAAAUCAACAUUGGAAUUCACCUUUUCCUUGACCCUUGAAUCACCUGCCUAGAUUCACCGUCAAGCAUCUCCAUAUUUUUUGACUUUUCAUCCUUUACCAUCAAUGCUUUUUGUCAAGCUAUUGAAACAAGGAUACUACCUAUUAAAUUGUUCAAUUGGUGACAGCUACCAAUCCACUUGAUCUCAAUAGUUAACUAGGAUCCAACUACGAAUCUUGAGCAGUCCAAUCUCGCAACCAACCUCUGAUACCACUUGUUAGGAUUCAGGUGCGGAAUAAGCAACUAUUGAGAUAUCAAGUGCAUAACAAUUUAAUGAGAAACAAGCCACAAGUAUGAAAGAUAAAUGACACACAACAUUUAACGUGGUUCGACUCCACCAUUGAGCCUACGUCUACGAAGAGAAACCCGUCUUUAUUAUGAGGGGAAAAUCCUAUACAAUAAUACAACUUGAAUCCAAACCCAACCCUUGUAUACCAUCUCUCAUCUCCCAAGAACCCUCUUUCACAACCCAUGUAUAAGGCUACAUGAUGCCCCUUGUGUCUCCUUAUGUAUCUUUGUAGUAUGUCAAUCUAUUUAUUUAUAGAGAACAUUACUGCCAAAAAAUCAAAUAACAAUUGGAAACCAAUACUAUUUUCUAAACUCAUAUAGAGUAGAAAAUAGUAUCUAAUUCUAGCUAAAUAGGGCUUUACUUGACUACUACUUCAAGUAACUAAAUCCAAUUAGGAAAUUAGUUACUUUCCAUACCAAAUAGGAAUCUUGACUAAAAGAAAUUAAGUCAAUAUCCUAACACAAACUAAGAAGAAUUUUUUUCAACAACAGUCCUUUAUUCAACCUUUAAAAUAUCCUUUUCAUUUGUUCCAGUUGAAAAGAAUUACUCAACGAUCAAUUUUUUACAAAAGUCCUUUUGAAUAUCUGUUGGCGCAUACAAAAUUUAAAAUUGUAUUGUUAUGUUAGGCUUUACUUUCAUUUUGACAAUAAAUGCCUUGUUAUUUUGAGUGAUUAUGUUUACUGCAGGAAUACACACUUCAACUCUGACCAUGGAGUGGUUUAUGUCCCUUAUGCUAAACCACCUUGAGGUAUUGGAGAAGGUAAGAAAUGAAAUAGACAACAAUGCCACACAAUCAGGGCAACUGAUUGAGGAUUCAGAUCUCUCCAAAUUGCCGUAUUUAUGUUGAAUAAUUAAAGAAACAGUCGGACUUUUUCCGGCAGCACCAACGCUUGUGCCUCAUUAUUCAUUUGGGGAUUGCAGUAUAGGAGGCUUUAAAAUUCCUAAAAGGCAAACUUCAUUAGUAAAUACUUGGGUUAUUCAUAGAGACCCUAAUGUCUGGGAAGAACCAAACAAGUUUAAGCCAGAAAUUCGAGAGAAUGAAGAGGUAUGUGAAGAAGGGUUCAAAUUUCUUCCAUUUGGAAAAGAUAGGAGGGCUUGUCCAGGGACAGCCUUGAGCAUGAGAUUGAUUAACCUGUCAUUGGGAACAAUGCUACAAAGUUUUGAUUGGGAAAGAUUGGGUCCUCGGUUGGUGGAUUUGGAAGAAAAACUGGUUUUGACUUUGGGCAAGGCCAAGUCUUUGGAAGCAUUGUGCACAAGUCACGCUCAUCCAUGAUUGAUAAUCAUUCCGCAGCUCUGAGUUAGCUUCCAAGGUAACUAAAGAAACAUUUAUUUAGGGGCUGCUUGUUUCACAGAUUGGAAUCGGAAAUGGAAAUGAAAUCAUAGACUUUGGUUUUGGAAUUAAAACUUUUCAUUCCAAUAUCUAACUUGGUUCGCACAUUGGAAUUAGUAUUGUUCCAAUUCCUGAUGCUGGUUUGAUGAGUGUUUCGGAAUUAAAUGCAAUUAAAUUCCAAAAUUACCCCUGAUAUAACAAUUCUUCUAAAACAAAAGAAUUACACAUACGACAAAUUAACAUCUUCAUAAUUGUAACUACAAUAGUUAUUAACUUUUUGAUAAAACAUAAGAAAAUCAUAAAUAAUAAAAAAAUUAAUACCAGAAAAUAAAUAUAGUGGCUACAUUAACAAGGAGUAAAUUCCCAAAAAAAGGAGUUUUUAAACAAUCAUCCAAAAGGUGACGAUUUUUGAGUCUCUUCCCAAAGGGUGAAAAAUGCAUCCAAGGAAUGUGUUUUUCCAAAUAAAAACGCAACUUUCAAAUACGUUAUUUUAUGUUUUGGAAAUUUGUUUAAAUAUGAAAAAUUGGUUAAAUAGCCCAUAAGAUACCAGCUCUUUAUGGGAAAUUGGCAGGUUUUGUAAUAUGUUUUGUACCAGUUUUAUGAGAAACAUACCAGUUAUUUAUGGGAAAAAUUGAUUAAAUAGUGCUCAAAGGAAAACUAGUAUGUUUUGUAUUUAAUAUAAAUUAAAUAUGUGAAAGUUAAAAAAAAAAGAAAUUGCCUAUAAGAUACCAGCUCUUUAAGGGAAACUGGCAGGUUUUGUUGUAUGUUUUGUAGCAACUCUUUAUGGGAAACAUACCAGCUCUUUAUGGGAAAAAUUGGUUAAAUAGCGUCCAAAGGAAUACUAGUAUGUUUUGUAUUUAACAUAAAUUAAAUAUGUGAAAGUUAAAAAAAAAAAGAAAUUACCCAUAAGAUACCAGCUCUUUAUGGGAAAUUAGCAGGUUUUGUAUUUAAUACGCUAUUUAACCAAUUUUUUGUAUUUAAACAAAUUUACGAAAAUUAAAAUAAUGUAUUUGAAAGUUACAUUUUUAUUUGGAAGAACGCAUUUCUUGAAUGUGUUUUUUCCCUUUGGGAAGAGACUCAAAAAUUGCCACCCUUUAGGAAGUUAGUUUAAAAACUCUUUCUUUUUGGAAAUUUACUCCAUUAACAAGUCGUUUGUGGUUCCUACAUUAGAUAAUUGUGAGGACUCGAAAAUCUAUUAUUUUUAAAAUCCCUAAUUUUGGCUUAAUUAAUUAUUUAUUUGGAUUUGUGCCACGAAUAAUAUUUUCUAGUCUUAUUAGACCUAAGUACAUGAUUUUAUAGUUUCGUUAUAUUUUUAAAGCGUCUCAUUUCAAGAAUUUUUUUUUCUUAAAAGCUUGAUUAGUGAAAAGUGAAAACGUGUCUAAAAAACUUUAGCUAAUUGGGAGUACAAUAAACUCAAAAAUUUGAGACAUAUACAAUGGUCCUAAAAUAGGCAAUUUUAGGUUUAAAAACUCAAGUGAUAGUUAGUAGUACGAUCGUUAUAAGAAUUUCUUGAAGGUUUCAUUUUUUCGCGCCUAAAUUGGAAAUACGUGUUUUCACGUACGCUCUUAAUUGAGGGACUUUGGACCAUUAUUUUGGAACAAUUAAGAAUGAAUAAUAUUUAUAUGAAUAUAGGUGCCCUAGAGGUUUAGUGCACUAGUGCAACAAACUUAAGAGAAAUCGAGCACAAAACGCGCGCGUAGGCGCACUAUUUGCAAUUGAUUCUUUUCCGCACUUAAACUAUUAGACGAUUAGCAUUCCUUAUACGCCAAAGGGUCAGACCCAUCAAGUCAUUUCUCCAACCUCCAUGGUCGGCUAGCAGCUGCAGAGAAACAACUGAAAACUUUUCCAACAUUACCUCUACAAAACUCACUAAAAUCACCACCAAACCUUCAUAGAUUCACACCAAACUUCACAUACACUUAGCUCUUCACUUGGACAACACUUUGAGCUUCAAAAGGGAGGAGCUUUCAUGGUUUCUUGGAGCUUCAAGGAGGGCCGAAAUUCUGGUCUUAAGCACCAAGGAGGUAUAUAGUGAUCUAACAUUCUAAACUUAGUUUAUAAGAGUAGGAUUACACUUAUGAGCUUAAAUUUGCAUAUGGGUUGUGGUUGUUGUUGGAAAAAUUGGAAAAGUGGGCUCUAUGAACUUCCACUCUUGAGUUGUUGCUGAUUUUAUGCUUGAUGAUGUUUAUAAUGUUGGAUUAGUGUUUAAAUUAGUGGUUUGUUGAUGGAAAAUUGAUGCAAACUCACGUUGGGUGCAAAGGCCAAAUCUGACCAUUUUGCCCCUGCUUUGUUCAGCCACUUUAAUGCAGAUAUUUGAGGAUUUAAUGGCUUGAUUGUGUUGUUUACAUGUUGUAGUAGUUGUGUAAAAAUUUUCAUUGAAAAAUGUUGAGUUUUGGUUGGUCAAAUGAAUUUAUUCCCAAAGCUAGUAAUCUGGAAGCUGUUCACGUCAUGGCCAGACCAGUAUUCGUAUUUCGUCCAUAACUCCAUGUUCCGACGUCAAAAUCAAGUGCCGUUAGUGGCAUUUGAAAAUAGACAUCCCCUUAUUUCCAACGGUAUAAAAUGCACAUUUUGGUUCCAUGUGUGUGAACUGCACCACUCUUCUGAAUUCAGCUAUUCUGUCUCUCUGUUCUGCUAGAAUGAAAUACAGAAGCUGUGACUUGAAGCUAGAUUUCGAGCUAGUUGUGUACCAAAAUUCAAAAUGAUUUCUUCUGUGAAAUUAUAUCCCUAUGAAUUUAUUUUCCAACACUAUCAACCAUUUCCAAUUCCGAGUUCAAUUGAGUGAGUUAUGAUCAAAAUACGGCGACUGCCUCGUUUUCGAAAACUCUUAGAUUUGGACAGAUUAGAUGUGAGACUUGUUAUGGUCUUACUAAAUGAAUUUCUUGGUGCUAAACACCUACCAGAUGUACCAUGUAGGUUCCUUGGACUUUUAUUGCACAAAUGAACCAUGUUUGGAGGUUUUCUUAGCCGAAUGUUUGGAAACGGGGAGAAAUAGAGCUAAAGGCAGUUUUGCCUUAGUAAUUUCAAAACUUUGGUUGAUUGGUUAACUACCUUUCCGAAAGUAUCUUUCCACGAAAUUUGAUAGAGAGAUACCCUUCAUAUAGGAGUACUAUACUGCAAAAUUUGGUACUAAUCCAAAUCCGUUCCGACACUUAACUAAAGGUCCAAAGUCGGAAAUCCAAAUCUGAAAAAUUGUUUAACAGUCUUGAAUUUUUCCCAACUUUGAGAUACCAUAUCUUGGUGCUCGAAACUCCGAUUCUUGAUUCGCUUGUUCUAUCCUAAACCUUACUUGCACCUCUAAUUGAGUUAUAAAAUUCGAGGGCUGGUUUGCAACGGGUGAAUUCUGCCGAAUUUCCAAAGUUAGCGAAAAACCAACCCCGACUCAAUCCUGGGUGAUCUGGAACAGCAACUUUAAGCUCAUUUUUGAAUAUGUUCCAUUUAGAUUCAUGGAACAGUGUCUUCUAAGAACAUUUAGUACUUUCAAAGACGAUUCCAACGGUACCAAGUUUAUAAAUUUUUGACUAGUAGAAAAGAAGUUAUGAUUUUUCAAAAAUUUUACUAAAAAUCGAAAAUUCUGGAAUUUCAAAAGAAAUCCACGCGGGAAGCAUUUUUCUAGAAUCCGGCCUUGAAUCCGGCCAGUUUCUGGCCAGAUAGGCGGCCGGAUUGUAGUUGGAAUUUGAAAAAAAUGAGGAUGGCUACUGCCUCCAAUCCAGCCAGGUUCCGGCCGAAUUGUGACGUGGCCAGCCCACUUACGAUUUCGAUCGUUCGUUUUCCAAUCAUUUCGCUUGUACUCGUUUCCAACCAAUGAUUCUAAGGAUAAUAAUCCGAUUUUUCUCGAGUCUUGCACCUUUUUGCGAAUCCAACUUCAAAGACAAACUCAAACGAAAUUUUCUAAAAUAUUUCCGAACCCUACUCGUGUUCAAUCUUUCUCGCCACUUGGGGACUUAUAGAAAUUGUCUACUAUUCGAUGUUUAGGCACGCACGAGAACCUCCAAGAGGACCCUACCGUGGAAGUUUGAACACUCAAUCCAACCUGCUUGCUUGCUUAACUUGGUGAGUGUCAAGUGUUUGACUACUUGAACUCUAUGGACUUGAUUACAUGCUUAGCCUACUUGAUUUUUUGAAAAUGGAGUCGAGUGUGUACUUUAUUGCACUCGUUCUCAUUUGAAAACAAAUGACUCAUGCUUAACAUGAUUUACCUGGUUUACAUGACUUGAAAUACCUGCUUAGAUCUGUCAAAUGUUUGAAUACAUGACAUGAUAUGCUAUGGCUGCAUACGUCGUUGGAGUGAAUCUCCUCGACACUUACAUGAUACAUGGGGGACGCCCAAACUCAUAGGGGCGAUCUUGGAACUCGAGCCGGCAUGGGCUUGGUCGGGAACCUCGGUGAGCCAUGAGAUUCACAUGAUAAGCUUGAUCUAUUGAGAGAUCUCGCUUGGCAUACUCGUGAAGUAUCGCCCUAUAAAUGUCGUGCGGGCCCGAAGCGGUGUAUGGUGGAUGGAUGAGGAGUAAGUGGUGAACUACGGAUAUGAAAUAUCAACCCGGUUGACGGAGAGUCAUCGUGGGGAGGUAUACGAAUGACAUCGGUAAAAUGUGAAAAUUAGCUCCUGAGAGCUACCAUAUCCUUGAAUUGUUCUUUUGUUACAUUUUGUUGGCAUUAUUAAUUACUUGCAAUUUAUUACUUGAAUUGUUACUUGGGCUUGUUACCCGAGCUAUGUGCCUGCAUGUGUGUUCUUGGCUUCACGAGAGUUUUGCUCACCCUGUAGAUUUGUUUUCCUUAACAGGAUUGAACUUGGCGAGGUAUCGAAGAAACCUUCCUGAUACACUUUUGUUUAGGGUUUCUAUUACUUUUGACUAUGUCUUGGCUUUUGGGUUGUAUUUUGGAAUCCGAAUGUAACUUUUAGGGCAUGAUGUAUAUUUGGGAUUUAUGAUGGUUGUUGAACACCCGAUGUAUGGAUCGGAUAAUGGAUGACUAUUAUUAAACUUGAACGCUUCCGCAUUUAUUGUAUCUAAGUUAUUGGCUUGUAUUGUGUGGUCCGGCAAUAAGUUUAAAUGGAAUUGCUUGAGUCCUGGCGAGAGUUAAGCAAGCGUCCCGCGGAUACCCUUUGGUUCGCCUUAGGGAGAAGUGGGGGUGUCACAAUAAUGAUAUGAAAUAGAUCUGUCCUUACAUAUAUGAAUAAAAGAAUGAGACUCAAAUCACAAAAGCUAACCAUACCAAAUACAAAUCAAUUAUCUAAUCCAGUCGAGAGUGCCACUCAAUGUCCACAAUCUCCAAAAGACUAAUCAUAUCACCAUAACAAAAAGAAAUUGCCAUCAAAUCAUCACUUUCCAGCUAACAAUAAUUUUACUUCAGCGAGUAGAUGGAGGACAAAGGAGGUUAAUUACAUAUUGUCGUUUCAUUUCUACAGGAAGAUUGUAGAACACAUGAAGCUUGGAAAUCUGCUCCGAAAGUAUGUCGGCUGCAUUCAUUACAUCUCCACUCGGUAAAGCAAGUUUCAUUAACUCAGCAACAACUUGAUCUCUUCUAUCGGAGACCAAUUGCUCACGUUUAUCCUCAUUUGACAUGGCUGCUGCCAUAGUUGUGAAAUUAGCUUGAAUUCCCUCCAUGAAAUCUCCAAAUUUGCUGGUGAGAAGUUGCAAUGAUGCAUCAAGAUCACCCCUUGUUGUUGAUGCAGAUUUCAUUUUUUUUUGACACAUUUGCAAUGGGAGGUGAUUGUUUCUUUUGUUUCUUGGAAUUUCUUGUGCUUGUUGAGCUUGGUUGAGUUGAUUGCUCCAUGGAAUUUACUUCAUCUUCUUCUACCUUAUCAUUAUCCGAGUUUGACAUAGCAUCAAACCCUUCAUCUCCUUCCUCCAAAUUUUGGACAUCUUCCAUAUCUUGGACAGCUUGUGCAAAAUCUUCAGCAACAUUUCUAGUGGCUCUGUCUCUUCCAUAUACAAUUUCAAGAUCUCCUAAAUAUGGAAAUUUGACAUCCCAAAAGCCCUUCGCAUCCUUAUGAGUCUAGAGAUAGAAUAGAAAGACAAAUGAUAAUCUUAAUAAAAGGUUGAAAAAGAACAUAUCAGAAUGUAAAAAGUAACCAAUUUCUUACCUUGCACCAAUCAUCAUACCACUGUUUUUCACAAGAAAUCUUUUUCUCAGCAUCAUUCCAACUACAACCACUUUCUUUGCACAUUUCAACAAUUGCAUGGAACCUAUUUUUCAGCCACUUAACUUUUGAUUCAAUAUGUGGGCUGACUUGUUUGGUAAAAGUAGGUUGCUUACUCAAGAUAAUUUUAAGCAAUUCGCUCAUAUAAUUAUAUUUUUAAAUCCUCCAUCUGAUUUUCACAUUGGAUCACAAGCCAACUCUUGCAAUGCUUCUAUGAGCACAUUUACCUCUUCACCAGUCCAAAAACAUUUAUUUUUCCAUCUUCCACGUACAAUUUCAUCAUUCUCCAUCCUAUCAUUUAGAAGUCAACCCAUAUAUAUCAAUUAAUUUUGAUACACAAUAGAAUAUAACUGAAAUUUAUAAUAUAACAAAACACAUAAAAGAACAUACAAUUAAAAGUCAAUCCAAAUUUAAAAGAACAUACAUCAAGUGUCAAUCUAAUUCACAAAUCCACUACAAGAGUACAUCAAAUGUCAAUCCAAAUUUAAUGAGUCUAAGAGCUAAACAUCCAUUCAUAGCUAAAUACUAAGUCCAGCCCUCCAAUUGUCAAACAUUUCAUGUGCUAAAUUAUUUCUAAAAUUUGCCCAUUGAUCACUUGGCAAAAUAGUGGAUAUGUACUCUACUUCUUCAUCACUGUCUUCAUCUUCACUUUCAUUUUCUUCACUUUGUAGUAAUUCUUGUGGAUCAAAAGUCAUGAACUUCCUUAUCAAGUUGUGCAGCAGACAACAUGCCAUAAUUAUUCGCACUUGUGUUUGAAUUGGAAAAAAUGAAGGGGAUGCUAGAAUCUUCCACCUUCCUUUUAGCAAUCCAAAACAUCUUUCUAUGAUAUUUCUAGCUUUAGAAUGUUUCAUGUUGAAAUAUUCCUCUGGUCUUUGUGGUCGAUAACCAUUGAAUUCAUUAAGGUGAUAUCUUUGCCCUCGAUAAGGGGCAAGAAAUCCAUCAGCAUUACAAUAUCCAGCAUCCACCAAGUAAUAACAACCUUCAAAAUUCAAUCAUGUACAAAUUAAUACUAGACUACCUUAUUUUCGAAAAAAAAUUGAUUGAAUGGUAUUGAAUACUGCAAUAUAUGUUUACCUUGUGGGACUCUAAGACCAUUUGGUCUAGAGAUAGCAUUUCGAAGCACACGACCAUCAUGUGCCGAACCUUCCCAACCAGGCAAGACAUAGAUAAAUUGCAUAUUAGGAGAACAAACCCCUAAUACAUUCGUUGCAAUACUUCCUUUUCUCGUUCGAUAUCUUGAUUUUUGUUCGGUGGGUGGUGUCACAUCUAUUAAUGUCCCAUCUAAGGCACCUAAACAAUUCUAUUUUAAGAAAAAUAAAAAAUAUAACAGAGUUAAAAUGUCUAUAUUGGAUAGUUUAGAUGAAAAUAUAUAUUUUAUUAAAUGAUUGUAUUUUAAUGUUUGAAUUACCUUAAAACAUUUCCAUCUCUCAUCUGUGCAAUCUUCGGUAAUAGGCUCAGGCUUCUUAAGUAAUAUAGUAUGCAAUUUCAAAACUGCUAGGAGGCAAAGAUUAAAUUGACGACUCAUCGUUUCUCUCCUUCUCCAAAAUAGACCACAAAUUGUUCUACUUUUCUUGUGGUGAGCCAAAACAUAUACAAACAUGGCAACAAUUUCUUCUAUUGACAUGUUUCUUGUAGCUUUCAAACCUCCAGUGUCUCUAAUCAUUUCACAUAAUAUCCCAAAUGUUCGUCUAUCCAUACGAAGUUCGCUAAUACAAUAAGCAUCACUCUCCCUAGUCAAAUUGAAUAAGUGUUGCAUGCGCUCAGUGACUUUUUCUUCUUUUGAUUUUAUUUGGCGUCUUCUACUUUUGAGAUGAAUAAAUAUUAACUGGUACCACAUCAUAAACAGUGCAAUAACAACCAUUAUCAUUCCUGAUAAAAUCUGGCUUUGCCCUUGAUAUUUUUUGCUUCUUCUGUUUUCAAUAGGCAAACGUGGCAUCUUUGUCUACAUAACAAUAUGACAACCAAACGUAAGUAUUCACAAUAAGACAGGUUUGACGUUGUUUGGCGGAAUGAACACAACUGAAGCUACACUUAUUGGAUUAAGGUGUAAUUUACACCGUUUCGAAGCUAAGAUAAAGGGCUACAACUUUGAUGAGAACCACUCAGUCCAGUUCAUAGUGUAGCAAGGUCAAAUUUCAAGAUACCAAACCAGAAUUGCACAAACAGGUUAGCUACCGUAUUAUGGUUAAACGACCAUAACUUAGGCUACCAAGGUCCAAUCGGGGCGUUUCCAGUGCUGUUAGAAAGCUAAGACACCGCACUAAAACUUUUGUGUUUUGGCCAAAUUCUAAUUCGGUAAGGAUCAGGGUGAAAAGUCUCGGUCAGAUUGGGUGAAGUGUCAACUCUGUCCACCGAACUCUACCUAGGGCAAUCUGGGGGUAUUUCUGUCUUUUUACAGGCUACGGAGCUUAGAUUGGGCUGAAAAUUUACAGAAAACUAUAAAACAUCAUUUUCUACAACUUUUAUGUUUUAACCUAAGGCUGAUUUGGCCUCCAACCUAGCCGAAUAGAACCGGGCAGAAUAGGGGUUAAUUGAGACCCUAAUCUGGAAAUUUCAGUACAAAGCGGAAAUUUUCCGCAAAUAGCUACAAUUUACGCAUCAAAGCUUCAUUCUAGACCAUUCCAACCCAUCAUAUAUGGCCAACCAACAUUAAACAUAUAAAAUAGAAAAAUCAUAGAUAAAAAUAAAAAUUUCACCAAUCUCUACCAAAAGUCAAGAAAUCUUCCACAAAAUCACAUCUUUAACCAACACAAGUCAUUAAUUUGACAUUAUCAAGACCAAAGAAAGAAUUCCCUAGCUACUCACCUUGCAACCUCAAGAAAGGAAGCAACUUAGCACCAAUUUCUUCCAAACCACUUCACCCACUACCUCAAAACCACCUAGCUAAGGGUUUUUAUGGAAAGAUUUGAGGUUUAAACGGUUAAAUUGCAAGAUUAAGCAAGGUUAGUUGAAGAAGAUUGAAGGGUUUUCUUUUCUUUUCUCCCUUGUGAGAGUCGGCCAAGAGAUGUAUGAAGAAGGUGAAUUUUUGGGUCAAUUUCUUGGUUAUUUAGUAAAGUUGGUAAAAUGGUCAAAGUCCAACUUUAAGUCACCAAGUGACACUUGUCACCUUUUUAGUGCAACUCUAUCCUUUUGUCUCUCCAAUGAUAAUCCAUCUAGGUAAUCUCUAAUUAUCUCUUAACACUUGAUAAAUUAAAUCCGGUAUACCCAACUAAACCUAAUUGGCCGAAUUUUACCGAACUUACCGCACUAGUGGGUCCCAUAUCCGGUAUAUACUCUUAAAACCUCAUGAACUAACUUAUACUAGAAAAAUAAUUUAAAAACCAUAUUUGCUCAUAAAAAUUAAUUUAAAAAUUUUUCGAAUAAAGAAAAUGUGAAAAGCGUGCAAUUAGAAUAAAAUAAAAUCUAAAAAUUAAGAAAAUUACGGGUUCUCACAGAUGUCAUGCCAAGAAUUUCACUUUUACAUUAUAUAUUUGGGAGUAGCCACAGUAUCCCAAAUAUUUGAUGUGAAAAGUUUUUCAUCAUAUACAGUUUGGUGAUUGAAAUUAUGGAUUUUUAGUCAACAUAUUGGCUAGUUGACAAUUUUUCUUAUAACGCCAUAUACAUAGGAGUAGCCAUAGCAUCUUAAGUAUAUUAGUGUCUGGAGAAAUUUUGUAUUUUUUUCACAUAUUGUUGAGUGAGUAAAGAAAUUAAAAAAAAGGAAUCUAUAUAAAGUUGCAAUUAAUUCACUAAGAUAGUUAUUCGGCCCCACAAGGAGGUAAUUAUUUUGCUGAGAUUAAUUGACAUGAGAUGGUAAAUUAGAAAGUAAAUUAAGAGAUAUUUCUAUGCCCACAGGUACUAAUUAUUUCUUGAAUUUAUUGUUUUAGAUUACUAGUCUUAUGAUGAAGGAAAGUAAAUUAUAUGCAUUUUUCAACCUUUGGCCAUAGGAAGGUUUGAAAUUACUAUUUGAAUUGACAUGAGGUUGAUUAAAAUCAAGGUACAAACUUCAUAGCAUUUUUAUAAUAUAGUUUUUGAUUGUUAAUUUAGUGUUUCAUUCCAAUGAUUUUAUGGUUCUUAUUAGGUUGACUUUAAAUUCGUUCUCCUUUGUUUUGGGUGCAAGUUUUAAAUUAGCACUUUUAUGAGAAUGAACAAACCAUUCUCAUAAUAUGGAUAUACUUGCUAAUAUAGAGGUUGAGUAUGAGAAUUAGAAGCAAUUUAGUAGUUUGCUCAUUCUGUCUCAUAUUCACAUAAAAUAGGGUUCAAAUCCUAAUUAUUUAUAGUUAAAUCUUGCAUGAAAGUCAUAAAGAAAUUAUUGCAAGUUUUAACUAGCACCAUUAGAAGGCUUUCUUUUGUGACACUUAAAUAUUAAAGUGUAUUUUGAAAAGAUGAGAAUUUUGCUAUAUCGUGAAUUAAAGUCCCAUCAAGUUGAGAUUGAGUUAUUUCUGUUGCAUUUCAUUCUUGAUUCUUUCAUAAAUAAUUUCUUAGCCAUUCAAACCUUUAUAAUACACAUAAAGAUAUAUGGUUAAUCACUUGUUUAACCAUGUGUAUUAAAAAAGAAUAAAGAGGUUAAGAAAUAAGAGAAACUUAACCUUCAUGAAGAAGAAAUGUAAAAAACGUAAUUUUGUUCUUAGUAAGUCAAACAACAAUAAAGACCAAUAUUAUUUGUAAGAGAGUAAUACUUGAUGCUUUACCUUGAGAGAAAGUAACUCAAAAGAAAAUCUCAAUUGUUGAGUGUUAUAACUUGUGAUAUAUUCGUGAAUUGGCUAAAGUUUGUGAAUUUGCAUUGCUAGUAUAAUAAGUUUCUGAUUAUAUGCAAAGUGAACAAAAGUUUCUUUAUAGAAACUAAAAAUAUUCACAUAAAGUGAUGUAUUCUCAUUUCAAGAAAAUUUAUUUUUCUAAUACAUUAUUUUCUUAUUACUUUAAACUUUUUAUUUUCAAAUUAAUUACUAGCGGGUAUGAUUACGAACCUCAUUAUCCAGUAGUAGAUUUUGAAAAUAGUGAAGUUAUUAAUUCUAAAGUUUCCAGUACCAUCUUUUGAAUUGAGCAAAAUGCUACACUUGACCACAAUAAUUAUAUUGGCAGCAAAUAUGUUUAUCACUAGGGGAAACUCCAUAAAUUUUGGCAUAGGAAAUUGACAUAUAUCUCAAUAAAAAAUAAAGAGUUGAUAAAUCAUAAAUUUUUAAAGAUUUUAGAUUUAUUAACUAUGAUAUUUUAAGUAGACUGCAUAAGUAAAGAGACUACUCAACCAUUAUGGAUGCCAUAAGAGUUUCAUUAUAACACUAAAAUUUUGUGAAUUAUUUGCUAUCCUUUUUUAUUGGUGAGGGAUAUUUAUCUCAUUAUUAGAUAACUAUUCAUCAAAUACAAACUCCUUUCUUAUUUGAUAAAGAAUUAAUAUUUGAUACCUAUGCAAGUAUUCAAACGAGAAAGGAAAUUUGAAAUUUGAAGGUGUGACGCCCCCCCCACUUCUCCCAAGGGCGAACCCAAGGGUAUCCGCGAGACGCCUGCCCAACUCUCGCCAGGACUCAAGACAAAUCAAAUCGAACUUAACGAUACAUACCAAAUACUACGAGUCAAAAUAAAGAAAAGUCGCUUCCUUAACUAAAUAUUUAAAUCUUACAUCAUGUUCACAAAAGAUACAUCAAGUUCCAAAAUGCAACCAUUAAAAGUCGACUACACAUUUACAGCUCCGAUUCCAAUCAAAAGUAUAAUCUAGUCGGCUUUACCAAAAUCUUCCAAUCCAACCUGUUAAGGAAAACAAACUAAUAGGAUGAGCCAAUACUCAGUGAGGCCAAGAAAACACACAUGCAAACACAUAAUCCAAGUAGCGACAACAAUUACAUUGUAGGUAAGGCUAUCAAAUUCGAAUAAUUCACAUUUCGAAUAGGAUAAAUAAACAGAAACAAUUCAAGGAUACUGUAGCUCUCAGGAGCUAAAUUCCACGUAGUCGAGUCGAAAUCUUGAUCACAUCUCACGUUGACACUCCGUCAACCACAUAAGUAUCAAAUCCGUAGAUACACCACUUUUUUUCGAAUCCCGUCACCGUUACACCCCCUUACCGGGCCCGCUCAUCAAAGUUUUUGAUAAUACUCGAGUAUCUCAUGGCAAUAUUGCACGAGUAAUGCCGAGCAAGAUCUCUCCAAUAGAUCAUGCUCUACGAAUAUCUCAUGGUUUGCUAAGCUUAUCGACCAAGCCCAUGCUGGCUCGAUUCGCAAAGUUAACCAACGAGUUUUGGGCGUCCCCCGAAUAUGAAUACGAAUACGAAUAUAAGUCGAUGAGCAACGCUCAAAUCGACGAUUCCAAAUAGGAAUCACAAAUACGGAUCACAUAUACGAAUCACAAGUACAAAUCACAUUACCAUGUACAAGUUGGAUACGAAUUCACAUAGCAAAAUUCGAAUAUAAUUUCAUUUGAAAGAGAACGAGUGCGAUAAAUUACACACUCGUCUCAAAAUUUCAAAUUUACAUAACGGAUAAGAAACAGAUAACCACUUAACAACAAGUUCAUGCACUUGACACACACAGUGAUUCAAGUAGCGAGUUCAAAUGAUGGUUUAGGCGUCUCCCGUGAGAUCCUCUGGAAGGUCCUCUUGAGCGCCUGAGCAUUUAAUAGUGAAUUAUCAUUCACACAUCCCAAUUAUCAAGGAAGAUUGUGCACUAGUACAAUCUGGGGAAAUUUCAUGAAAAUGAACCUCAAUUACUAGUAAAUCGAGGUUCAAGUGGAGUUUCUUAAUGUACAAGAGCAAUCGAGUUUUGUUAUCUUGGAAAUCAAGCAUAAACGUUCAAGUAUUAUCGAAGGAAUAAGGAAUACUUGAAAAACUCCAUUUCUUUGAAAUUCCGAAAAUUUCAGUUUUGAUACGAUAUUUUGAAAAAAUCGUAUCUCAGAUUCCACAUUCGAAAAUUGGAAAAUUUGGUACCGUUGGAAACCUCUUCCAAAGUACUAAAAGUUCUUAGAAGACACUUUUCCAUGAAUCUAAGUGGAAGGUGUUCAAAAAUGAGCUUAAAGUUGCUGUUCCAAAUCACCCAGGAUUGAGCCGGGGUUGGUUUUUCGCUAACUUUGAAAAUUCAGCAGAAUUCACUCGUUGCAAACCAGCCCUUGAAAUUUGUAGCUCAAUUAGAGGUGCAAGUAAGGUUUAGGACAGAACAAGCGGAUCAAGAAUCGGAGUUUCGAGCACCAAGAUAUGGUAGCUCAAAGUUGGGUAAAUUUCAAGACUGUUAACAAAUUUCCAGAUUUGGUUCCGACUUUGGACCUUUAGUUAAGUGUCGAAACGGACUUGGAUUGAUACCAAAUUUUGUAGUAUAAUACUCCUAUAUGAAGGGUAUCUCUCUAUCAAAUUUCAUGGAAAAAUACCUUCGGAAAGGUGGUUAACCAAUCAACCAAAGUUUGGAAAAAUCCUUAAGGCAAUCUGUCCAAAUCUAAGGUUUCAAAAACGAGGCAGUCGCCGUAUUUUGAUCAUAACUCCCUCAAUUUAAUUCAGAAUUGGGAAUGGUUGAUAGUGUUAGAAAAUACAUUCACAGGGCUAAAAUUUCACAGAAGAAAUAGUUUCAAGUUUCAGCAUGCAACUAGCUCGAAAUUAAGCCUAAAGUUGCAGCAUCAUCAAAUCAUUUCGGCAGAACGGAGAAACAGGACAGCCGACUUCAGAUGAAUGGUGUGGCUCACACACAUGAAACCAGAAUGUGCAUUAUACACCGUUGGAAACAUGGGAACGUCUAGUUUCAAAUGCCACUAACGGCACUUGAUUUCGACAUCGGAGUACGGAGUUAUGGAUGAAAUACAAACACUGGUCUGGUUACGACGAAACCGUUUUCCAGAUUACUAGUUUUUGAAAUAAAUUCGUUUGACCCACCAAAACUCAGUAUUUUUCAAUGAAAAUUUUUACACAACUACUACAACAUAUAAACAACACAAUCAAGCCAUUAAAUCCUCAAAUUUCUGCAUUAAAGUGACCGAACAGAGCAGGGGUAAAAUGGGAACUUUUUGCUUCAAGAGUUCAAUAACGUUUCUGGCAACAAUGCACCUUUAAUCUACUUCCUUAAGCUCUAAUUCAGCAACAAAACCAUCAUCAAACAUCAUCACAGCCAUCAACCCAAAGUGGGAGUUCAUAGAGCCCACGUUUAACAAUUUUCCCAACAAUACAAGCUACUAAAGUGACGAUUCUAGCUCAAAUGCAUAAAUCAAACUCCAAAAGACAAGUUUAAGGUGAUGGAUUACUACCUACUUUGAUGGCUGGUUAGGACAGAAGUUUCGGCCCCUUUGAAGCUUGAAGAACCGUGAAAGCUCCUCCCUUUUCCAGCUAAAUGUGUUGUCCAAGACUUAGAGCUAAGUGGUAUGUGAAGUUUUGGUUGAAUCUAUGGAGGUUUGGUUGUGAUUUUUGUGAGAUUGUUAGAAGGAAAUGGUGAAGAGCUGCGGCUGUGCUAUCCGUCCAUUGCAGUAGCAGAAAUGAAAUGUGAUUCGGAUCCUUUGCGUACAAAAGACGCUUGACGUCUAAUAUUUUAAAUACGUAAAAUUUUAAUUGCAACUAGUGCCCUACGCGCGCGUUUUGUGUUCGAUUUCUCUCACGUUUGUUGCACUAGUGCACUAAACCUCUAGGGCACUUACAUUCAUAUAAAUAUUAUUCAUUCUUAAUUGUCCCAAAAUAAUGGUCCAAAAUCCCUCAAUUAAGCGCGCACGUGAAAACGCGUAUUUCUAAUUUAGGCGCAAUAAAAUUGAAACCUUUGAGAAAAUCUUAUAACGAUCGUACCACUAACUAUCACUUCAAUAUUUAAACCUAAAAUUGCCUAUUUUAGGACCAUUGUAUAUGUCUUAAAUUUUUGAGCUUAUUGUACUCCUAAUUGGCUAAAGUUUUCAGACACGUUUUCACUUUUUCACUAAACAAACUUCUAAGAAAAUAAUUUUUUUUGAAACGAGACACUUUAAAAAUAUAACGAAGCUAUAAAACCAUAUAUUUAGGUCUAAUAAGCAUAGAAAAUAAUAUUCGGGCAAAAAUCCAAAUAGAUAAUUAAUUGAGCCAAAAUUAGGGGUUUAAAAAUAAUAAUUUUACGAGUCCUCACGUGAAUUGAGUAUUAAUUCCUCAAUUAUCCUUUCUUAAUCUAUUAUUGAUCGUUCUUAAUUCUCCAAUAUUAAUACACUCUCGAUUCAAAUAUAGUCUCGAAAAACGUGCACUCGUUGUUUCGAACUAAACGAGUUUUCGAAGAGUGAAUUUUUCCAACAAAACUCUUUUAAAAAUAUAAAAGAGGCGUCGUUCCAUAUAAAUGGAUUUUAAAUGAUGGAAAUAAAUAAUUUGGAGAAAAAUGAGUAAAUAAAUAUUUAAACAAACUACUAAUAUUCGAUAAAAUAAAAUAAAAAAUUUCGGGUCCUCACAGAAGGAUAGAAAAUAAAAUGAAGGCACACCAAAAAAAAAGGGCUAUCCUAUUUGUGCUCAUUAAAUAGGAAACAUUGCUAAUGAGUAAAAGCAAUGCUUGAUUGGUUUCAUCCAAUGGUGUACUUUAAGGAAAUAAUGAGAUACUUGUGGAUAUAGCAUAUUGGCAAUAUUUAUAUCUUGUGCGUAAUGCCUUGAAAUUGAAGUAUAUUCUUAAACAAUUUCUUCCAAAAUUAUUUAAACGCCACUUUGAUUAUGAUAUGGAUGAAAAUCAAGUUUAAGAUAUUAUGUUUAGUUUUGUGAGGGUGAUCAACCUACACAUAAAGAAACUAUACAAAAGAAACAAGACUAUCUUGCUCCAAGAAAUUUAGAUUCUUUUACACUUCAAAAAUUAUUAGAACUGAAGAUUUAAAUUUCUUAAGAGCAUGAAGUAAGUGGGAGUGUUUUGACUCUGGAAUGGAGUAUUGAAAAGGUAAGGAUUCAUAUUUGACUCCUUUGAAUAUGGAAAAUUGAUAGCUUUUCUCAAAAUUAUUAUUUAAUUAUUUUAGAUAAGCAAUCGAAUGAAAAAUUCCUUGUCAAAUAAACACAUGAAGUAAAUCUACAUUGAACCCACUGGUUGAGUUAUCUUAUAGACAGCGGGAGGAAAAAUGUUCUCUAUAAAAAAUUGAAGUUCUUUAAUUACUAUGUUGUAUAUCUACAAGAGUUUAAGGAUGAAUUGUGUAAUGUUUUCAUGAGGUGCAAAUGGAGAAAUCUCCGUGUUUCAAGAAUAGUGUCACAAAUUACCACAAAAUCUCUACCAAAUUUGAGAGAUUAUAUUUGGGGUAAUUAUGGCACUAGUAACUCACUAUUAGAGAUACAUUAGAUAAAUAUGAAAAUGAAUGUCCUUAACGCAAUUCUUGAUAAUUAGGCAUAUACAUGUGUCACCAUGGUAGAGAAUGUAAUUUAAACCAAAUUAUUGCUCCUCAAUAGUAUAUUAAUUUGUUCUUCAUUUGAUCUUAGAAGAAUUUUUCUAGUAAAUUAAUAUACAUUAAGGUUAGUGGGAGUAAUACUAUGAGAGUUUUUCUCAAUCAUGAUAUUUGUGAAACCCUUCUAUCAUUAAUAUUCACAAAAUAGAAUGUAAAAGAUAGUUAAUCUGUCUUAGAACCUUCAUGCAAGAGUUCCUUGGUAAUAAAGAACAAAUAUUACUUUUAAAUAAUAAUAGUGAACAAUUGCAUAAUGUUCACAUCAUGCAUUGGAAUGAAUAUAAAUUCACCAAGAACGCUAUGAAGUUGUACUACAGGCAUCUAUUGUUUGGCCUAAAGUUUGUCGAUAUUGUAUUUUGGCUAAUAUAGAUAUUUGAUUUGAUUAUACCCUUUCAUUAUGUAUACAUAAAAGAGUGGAAGUCAAGACAUUCAGGUCGACACAAGGUAUUCAAUAGUUAUUUAGAAAGUAAAAUGUAGCUAUUGAGUACACAUCAAGGUGUUAUUAUUGUUGAUCAACAAUUAAAGGUUGCCGGGUAAGUUGUUAAUGAUCAAAUAACUCAUAUAGAACUCACUAGGUCAUUUAGUAUUUUGCUAUCAUUCUAAAACUAUUGUUGUUGUCUAGACACUCAAAAUACUUAUGUUUACAUGAUUUUGUGCACAUUAUUGUUCAUGUAUAAAGUAAAGAUCAUGUGAUCCAUAAAGUUGAAUCCUGAAUAACUUAUAUGAAGUUAUUCAUAAAAUUUUUUUAAAGCACUUGAUUAGAAAGUAUAAUAUAUUGUAAUACAUAGAAGGAAGUGUUUGUCAUGAGAACAUAAUCGCCAUGAUUCAUGUAUUAUUAUUUUCUGAUUAAGCGACUAUUACAUAAUUGUUGAAUUUGGUGAGUGACAAACAAAACUUAUGGCCAUUUUAAGUAUCUAAUCACUCAUAUGUUAACUGACUAUUUCAUGUGGGUCAAGUGGAAGAAAGUAAAACUUGCCUCUUUUAGAGGCAAUUGUGACCCAUAUGAUUGAUUCUAAAUUAAUUGAUAUCCUAAUUAAUUGAUUGAUAUUUUCAAUAAUUAAUUAGUAUUUUCCAUUUGUUAAUGAUUGAUUGAUAUCUUUUGCUAAUUGAUAUAUGAUUCAAUCAAUUAACCAACCAAAUCAAUCAAUUAGUCAGAAAAGAUUAUGGAUUAUGACAAGAUUUUUUUGAUGGAAGGAAACCCUAGAGAUUUUGAUAAUUGCUAGUAAGGGUUCCUGGCCUAACCUAUAAAUAGCCUAUGGUAUCCCAUCAACACUACACUCUCUGAUUAGGUAUAGACUAGAAACUCCUUACUCUAACUUUUUCUUCUAUAUAUAUAUAUAUAUAUAUAUAUUGGAAUAGACAAGAAAGAGUCAAAGAGAUGAGGAGAGACCAAUUUGUACUUAAUAAUGAUGGUUAGAGGUAAGUCUAUUUAGAUUUUCGCUGCAUAGUACAUUCAUAUGUACAUAAUUAGUAUAGCAAGCUCAACCCUAUUGACAAUUCUAUUUUGUAUGUAUAUAUUCUUGCUGUGACGACUCUCAAUAGUGCACAAGUACCGCGUUUACUCUUGUCAAACUGUGUCUGCAAUUAGAUUGAUUUUGAUUACAGAGCUCAGGGGACAAUGCGAAAGAAAUGCUGUGUAAGGGACCUCUGUAUUUUCUCAGUGCAAAAUUCAUCCAAAAUGAGCUCGUGCUAGGCUCCUGCUUGAUAGGAUCUUGGUUUUGAGCUGAAAUUUAACUCAAUUAGUUGGUAAGGCUAGCUGGAAUCAGUUAGAGCCAUUUAUUGGGUAAGCAAAGCUCAGAGUUUUCUAACCAAGACAUAAAAAGCAUGAUAAUGCAGCAGAGGACGAUGUGUCCUGGCCUCCUUUUGAUAAAAUCCAACUUUGGUGGGGUAGGAGGUUGGCUAAAAUGUAAGUUGAAAUUUUGGAAAAUGAGAAUAUAGGAACAUUCAAAUUUCAUAGGGAUAAUUUUAGAAACCUCCCCUAAGGUUUCUGAUAGUUUCACUGUCUUCCCCUAAAGUUUUAAAUAUAUCACUAACCUCCCUUAAAACUAAAUUUUCUUGUAACAAAUUAGCGCAAUUCAAAAAAAUUAAUAAUAAAAAAAUGAUUUCAAGAGUGAGAAAAAUAUUUCAUACAAAAGUGCCCCUCAACUAAUUACUAGUUGGUUGACUUAGAAUCAAAAGGGAUUAUUAGUUAAGAAUAGAAAAUAAAAACCAUAGUUAGAAUGUGUCAGUGUAAGUAAGGCAAAUUACAAUACUAGCAUGAGCCCACUAGAAUUCAAUAACAAUGGCUCGCAAAAUCAAAGAAUUGGAAGGAAAUUUUAUUAAUUUAGAAUCAAUAUUUACACAUUGAAUUCCUCAAUUCUUAGUGGUGAAAUUUGGAAGAUUUUGAGUAAGAAUUAAAUAAGACUAAGUAUGACCUUUUCAAGAAAAAUGCCACAUUAAAUAAAAAAUAUAAAAUAUGAUCAAAUAUUGUUUUGAAUUAUUUCUUUUACUUACAAGGUCCAUUAUUUCACAUGAUUACUAAGAAAUUUCUAUCAUUUGUAACAAAAAAAACAACUCUCAGGCAAUGUUUGCAUGAAUAGAAUGGAAAUGACUUUAAUGGAAAAUAAGUAAAUCAAAGUGGAGAAAAUCAUUUUAAACAAUCUUUUUGGAAUUAUGUAUACAAAGAAAAAGAAAAAAAAUUGAAAAUAGGGAGAGAAUAGAUUAUGUGCAGUUACACUUUAUCUAAACUUAAUAAAAUUUAUUUGUAAACAUAUUUUAACAAUUUAUCCUUUUUGUGCAUUUUUGUAUUCAUCUUGUUAUUUUUAUAAAAAAAACUUAUGAAAUAAUAAUCUCUCAAUAUAAAUUUUAAUCUUUUUUGGGGGAAGAAAUUACAAGAACUACUAAAAUUAGAAAAAGAAUUUAAAAUGUUAACAAUUAUUGUUAUAAAAUUUGGUAUUCAAGAUUUUCAAGCUUUUUUACAUUCCAAAUUAUGGGAGUACAAGUGGCUCAACUAUCUCUCCAUACAACUAUGUAAAAUUUCCCAAGUUGCAGGGUAAUAAAGUCAUUUGACCAUUGAUGUGGUAAGCAUUGAAUUCCAAUUGGUUGACCGGGGGAGGGUAAGUGAUAUUUUAAGAAUCUUGGGGGAGGGCAGUAAAAUUGUCAUUGAAAUUAUCCCAAUUUCAUAAGUAGGGCGAAACUUUUAUUAAGUUUGUGGAUGGGGUAUGGGUUACUACUAUUCACCAAACGAACAGAUUUUUGGCUAAGUAAUUAAAUCACACUUGUAACAAUGUACACUUUGUCAAGAGCAAAAAAAUUCUUUUUUGAAAUGUGCAUCUUAUCGAACAAUAAUAUGCACCUAAAUGAUAAAAAUAUGUAGUUUGGUAAAAUGUACAUAAAUCCAAAUAUGCACAUCUAAAUUGAUACAGCUGUGUAUAGGUAUAAUCAAAUUACACACAUACAAGUCGCAAUAUGUGCACAUAAGGGUAAUUUUCUUAUUAUACUUACAAUAUUUCUUUUAAUAGUUCAUGACCAUUAACUCGCACCUCAUGCAAGGGGUAGGGAUGGAUUGGAUGUUAGAAGGAAGGGAAUGUAAGUGAAAUGUCCUGGAAUCGAGACAUCCCGCCUAUAUUAAAAAAAAAGAAAAAAAAACUCAAACGUCAUUCAUAAAUUUUCCAAAACUUACACCUUCUUUUAAAUUUUAAAUCUUUCUAUUCCCUUUCUCCCAAUUAUCCCAAAAUUUAAAUUGGCUGGUGGGAACAUGAAAAAAUAACUACGGUAGUAGGGAUCUAGACUCCUUCACUUGAAUGGGCCAAAUUUGAGUGAUGUUAUUUUCAGCAGCACGAAAGACACCGUAACUUCUAAAAUUAUAAACAAACACAAAACUCCCUCAGUCAUUGAAAGUUAUAAACAUAUAUAAAGGUCCCUUGGUCGUUACAUGUAUUGUUCGGGAUUUUAAAUAUUCGUGAAAGUGUAUAAAAAUCACAAGUCAAAUAUCUAAGCUAUAGGGUUAACGAUAUAGGAUGACGAUUGAGAAAAAUUACAGUUAAAGAGUUUUUUGUGGCUUUCAAAAUUACAAUGGUUUUUCGCAUUCCUAUUUUCCUUUUAUUAUACACUUAAAUCGAUGUUGUUUGCCAGGAUAAAUAUAAACGUGGCCCAAAAAGAGUAGGAACUAUCUCGUGCACCAGCAUACGUAGUUUUAUUGUAUAACUGAUACUAAUACGUAUAUAUUUGUUGGUAUCCAUUCCGGUUCAAUAGAAAAAAGUUCUACAUUCUUUAAGGAUUUGGUGCUAAGGUUUCCAAGGCGCGGCUUGGGUAGUGGUGCGGCAGUCCAUGGCUGCCAUCUGCCCACCUGAUGGAGGGCAGCCUGCCCCUCCUACCUUUCAACGCAAAUCCUUUUCAGAGUUGUUCACGAAGAAUUCACAGCAGCCGACGCUAUCCUUUGCGGCACAGGAGGCUACACACAAAGGGGAACCUGCGUUGAUUUUCCCACAGGCAGCGGUCGAAGCUCUAGCCAGUCCAUUUCGUUUCGCAUUGAUUGGGAAAUUCUCUAGACGUAGACCGAAGUUGGAGGAGGUGAGGAAGUUCAUUGCAUCGCUGGAUUUACGUGAGAACCCGGUGGUGGGCUUGUUGGACGUAAGACAUGUGUUAAUUCAGUUGAACAAUGAAACUGAUUUCCAUCGUGUAUGGUUUAGGAGGAUCUGGUAUGUGUCUUCCUUCCCCAUGAGAGUAUUCAAAUGGACCACGGACUUCCAUGUUGACAGGGAGUCGUCGGUGGUUCCGCUCUGGCUUCAAUUACCAAAACUCCCGCUGCACUUUUUCAAUAAGGAGGUGAUUUUCCAGAUUGCGUCUAUGGUAGGUAACCCUUUGCUAGUUGAUGCGGCUACCCUUGCAGUGUCACGGCCAAGUGUUGCACGGGUGUGUGUUGAGAUGGAUUUGUUGCGUUCGACACCGUCGCGGGUUUGGAUUGGCAAUGGAAAUCACGCUGGUUUUUGGCAAGAGCUGGUGGUGGAGAACCUUCCAAGGUACUGCUCACAUUGUUUCCGCCAAGGUCACGAUGUGGAGACUUGUCAUGUUUUAAAGCCCGAGUUGCGAGGAGCAUCUGGUCACCAUACCAAGACUACUGGAACAACACAACUACGGUUGGCAGAGACGUCGAAUACAGACAUGCCUGAUGGCCCUUUGGAGGGUAAUGGAGAAAGGCCAUCGGUAUUGAUACAAGAUGCGGCAGUAAUUGAUGGGGCAAAGGGAGAAGUUAAUGAGACUGUGACUGGCAAAGCGCUAGUUGCUCACGAUCAGUUAAUAGGUGGUACGCCUCACGAAGCUGAGCAAGGUGACCAGGUGCAGCAGUCCUGUGCUACUAUACCAGCGCAGCAGGAGAGGAAAAUGGAGGAGAAUUAUGGGACGGUGGCGGUAGAAGGUAUCGAGGUGGUGCUGCCACAUGACAAAGGAGAGGAACGUUCUGAGGAUGUGGGGAGUGGGUUGCCCGCGAGGGUGGUCGUACGUUCUGCUGAGGGGCAAGUUGAAGACAUACAAGAUACUCAACGAAGGGACGGUACCCUCUCCCCUAGGGGCAAGGAUCUUAUCCGACAAGAAGAGUCAUCACUAGAGACCGGGCAUAUAGACACGGGGGGUACCCUGGAACUAGAAGAAGUUGUUCGUAAGGAGCGAAUGGAUGCAAGGUCGCGUGGUCUCCGGGUUGGUCUCCCGUCAGAUAGAACACUACGCUCCAUGGUUAGUUCUUCAACAAAUUCUUUUUCUGUCCUUUCUGAUGAUUAAGUUACUUUUUUGGAAUAUAAGAGGGGUAGCUCGUGCUCCUAAUUUAAGGCGGUUAAGGAAACUUAUUAAAUUGUAUGAUCUUCAAUUGGUGGUUGUUGUUGAACCUAAGUUGAGGGUGGAGUCAAUUACUGAUAUUAGAAUUAAAUUGGGGAUGGAUUGUUGCAUGUUCAAUCAUUGGGGUUCUGUUUGGAUUUUCUACCGGUCAUUGUUUACGUGUCAGAUUACAGGGGAGUCUCCCCAACAUAUAACUAUUAGAGUACAAUCUCAUCUUUUCCAAGACUCCAUUAUUUUGUCUUGUAUACACGCGAAGUGUACGCAGCAGGACAGAGAGGAUUUGUGGAAUGCACUUUUGCAGGAUAAACCCGCCUUCAAUCCUUGGUUUUUGGUGGGGGAUUUCAAUGUGGUCACAAAUACAGAGGAGAAGAGGGGUGGAUUGCCAUUUAGACCGUCGGAGGGAUCAGACUUUCUGAAUUUUAUGGCGCUAGCUGGUGUCAGUGAUGCGGGAUUCUCUGGGUCAAGGUUUACAUGGUGUAAUAAUCGUUCGGGAACGGCGCGGAUCUGGAAGCGUCUGGAUCGCUUACUUCUGUGUGGGAGUGCAAUGGAGCUACCGUACCAAUUCAUGGUGCAACAUUUAGGCCGUGACCCGUCGGAUCAUGCUCCCUUGUUGCUAUCGGUGGAUACGAGGCUAGACAAUAAACCCAAGCCGUUUCGUUUCUUAAACAUCUGGACCACUCAUCCUGAUUUUCUGGGGGUUAUCAAGGACUGUUGGGUUCAUCCAGUCAAUGGCUCUCCUUUGCAAGUAUUGGCAUCGAAGUUGAGGAAUGUUAAAAAUGCCCUCAAGCAGUGGUCUAGGACGACAUUCGGGGAUAUUUUUGAAGGGGUACGUAGUGCAGAGCGUGUGGUAACCGAGUCUGAGACAGCAUACGACCUCGAUCCUACUGAGCAGCGACGGAGCGAGUUACAUCAUGCUCGGGCUCGAUUGCGCCGAGCGCUUGUAGUUGAGGAGGGUUUUUGGAGACAAAAGGCGCGGGUUAAGUGGCUUUCGGACGGAGAUAGGAACACCAAAUAUUUCCACUCCUUGGUUUCGGAAAGGAGACGUAGGGCAGUAAUUCAUCGAGUCAGGGGUACUGCUGGAGAAUGGAUCGAGGGGGAAUGCCAAAUUGGGGAGGCAGCGGUGGGUUUCUUUAAGGAACUUUUCACGGCAGAGGGGGAUCUUCCCUCCCUUACCGGUCUGGAGAUCAUACCUAAACUGAUAACAGACCAGGAAAACUCACGGUUAACGGACAUUCCAUCUCUUACAGAAGUUAAAGACAUAGUCUUUGCUAUGGAUGGAGAGAGCGCAGCCGGCCCGGACGGGUUUACAGGGAAAUUCUUUACCUUUGCUUGGGAGGUAGUGGCAUCGGAUUUAUACCGGGCGGUUGUCAGCUUUUUCUGCGGUGCUGAACUACCUAGGAGUAUCACGGCUACCUCAAUUGUGUUGCUGCCAAAAGUGGAGAACCCCCAAGAUUUUAAGCAUUUUCGUCCAAUCAGUCUGUGCAACUUUACUAACAAAAUCAUCUCCAAGCUGUUAUCGGCAAGGUUGGCGAUGAUAUUACCCCGGAUUAUAUCUCCACAGCAAAGCGGGUUUGUCCAAGGGAGGCAGAUUACAGAUAAUUUCUUGUUAGCUCAGGAGUUAGUAGCCGAUAUCGGGAAAUCAAAUCGGGGUGGCAAUGUGGUCAUCAAGUUAGACAUGAUGAAGGCUUAUGAUAAAGUCUCAUGGCCCUUUCUCCUACAGGUGCUACGAUAUUUCGGAUUCAGUGAGACCUGGAUAGACAUGAUUUGGCGAUUAAUAUCGAAUGUGUGGUUCUCGGUACUUGUUAAUGGUGGUUCAAACGGCUUUUUCAGAUCUUCACGGGGUUUACGGCAAGGGGAUCCAAUUUCACCAGCCUUAUUCGUUAUCGGAGCUGAGGUGCUGUCUAGAACCCUCAACACGCUACCCACACAAAGAGGAUUUACUCCGUUCAAAGUUCCUCCUCAUUGUUCUAUAAUUACGCAUUUGGCAUUCGCCGAUGACGUGAUUAUCUUUUCCAGUGGGGCCAAGUCAUCCCUACGUCUGAUUACACGGGUUUUGGAUGAUUAUAAUGAGGCAUCAGGUCAGCGAAUCAACCCUCAGAAGAGUUGUUUCCUUACUCAUCCACGGGCACCAUCUCAGAGGGCAGCGGUUGUUAACCAGAUACUAGGGUAUAAUAAACGCGACUUUCCAAUACGGUACCUUGGUUGUCCCUUGUAUACCGGAAGGAGCAAGAAGGUUUACUAUACGGAUAUAUACAAUGCGGUGGCGAAUCGGAUUUUGAGUUGGAAAAACCAGAUUUUAUCGCUAGGAGGCAGGGUGGUGUUGAUUCAGAGCGUGUUAUCCUCUAUGCCAAUUCACUUGCUGGCAGCCGCGUCCCCUCCAAAAGGGAUGUUGAUGGUCAUAGAGAAAUUGUUCGCCAAGUUCUUGUGGGGAUCUUCGAAUUUCGGGGAUAAAUUCCAUUGGAUACGUUGGGCAGAUUUGUGUCGGCCGAAGGAUGAAGGGGGUGUAGGCCUGCGGGGUUUGAAACAGGUCUACGACUCAUUUUCCAUUAAACUCUGGUGGAAAUUUCGACAACAACAAUCAUUAUGGGCAAAGUUUAUGUCCCAGAAGUAUUGUGCAGGUCAUCACCCUUGUCUUGCUGAUAUUGGGCAUCCGGGAUCCCAAGUUUGGCAGAGGAUGGUCACAAUGCAGCGUUUUGGGGAGGAUAAUAUUAGCUGGGUAGUUCGGGAGGGGGCUUUGGACUUUUGGCAUGAUAAUUGGAUGGGGUCAGGUGCGCUUUGUGACAAGGUUGAGGUCUUCCAUGAUCAUUCGGUGGUUGAUUUUGUAGAUCGGCGGGCUUGGAAUGUGGACAUGCUCCAUCAAUUCUUGGAUGGAGAAUUGGUUACGCAGGUUUUGGAGAUUGACCCUCCUACCGAUAGGGGAAAUGAUACAAUGGUAUGGGCAUUGACGAACUCGGGUGUUUUUUCCACUGCAUCGGCUUACUCAUUGAUCCGUCAAUCCAAUGACAAUUCUUGGCUUUUUGGUCGUAUAUGGCAGCAGGGUCUUCCAGUCAAGGUUUCUUUCUUUAUGCUGCGACUACUACAGGGGAGGCUCCCUCUUAUGGAUCGCCUAAAGAGGUUUGGGGUUUGUGGCCCAUCUAGAUGCUUGUGUUGUCAGAAUCCCCAGGAGGAGGAUUUGAAUCAUGUGUUUUGCUCAGGAGAAGGGGCACGAUUGGUCUGGCGACACUUCGAGAGUACUGCUGGUGAGUUUAGUGGGGUGCAUACGGUGCGUCAUAUGGUGUGGUCUUGUUGGUUAAGGAGGGGGACUAAUGAUCGUGUAAAGUUUUUGCAUAAUAUACUUCCUUCGGUGGUAUGCUGGGUUUUAUGGAAGGCUAGGAAUGAAGGGGUGUUUGAAGGUCGGAAGAUGAGGAUCAGGCCUACGGUGAAUCGGAUUGUUCAGUUUCUGCAUGAUUUCCUUCAGUCACGGUUCCCGGGGGUGCAGCCUUCUGCCCCUACAUGGGAAGGGUUGCUUCUCGAAUUAGGUAGUCAUCAAAGGCGGAUGGUUAUUAGGCCAGUUUACUGGGUAACUCCACGUAGAGGCUAUAAGUUGAAUUCAGAUGGAUGUUCUCGGGGGAACCCAGGAAGGAGUGGGGGGGGUGGGCUUGUGCGGGAUAGUCGAGGAAAUUUUGUAUUCGGCUACGCGGAGCCCUUCGGGGUGAUAACCAGCAUGCAGGCGGAACUUCGAGCGUUGCUAUGGGGCGUUAGACAUUGUGUGAUUCGAGGGUGCUUGGAGUUACACUUAGAGGCGGAUUCUCUCACCCUGGUUCACAUUGUUCAAGGGACUAGUGCUUGUCCUUGGCGUUUACAGAGAGAUCUGGAUGAGUUGAUGAUGUUCAAGCAAUAUUUCACAUCGAUCACACACUGCUACAGGGAAGCAAACGCACCUGCAGAUCGUUUGGCAAAUUUUGGUGCUGAUUCUAGUACAGGUCAUGUGUUUAAUACAUUCUCAGAAUUGCCGCAAUUGGUUAGGGGGGCUAUUAGAUUAGAUCGAUUAGGAUUUCCUACGUUUCGUACACGGUGUCUGGCAUGAAUUGGAAUAAGAAGCAGAAAAGGCCAAUGAAGGUGAAAAUGGCGGUUAGAAGGACAUCAAGGGAGGAAGAUUGACUGCUAAAAUCUUCAAAGAUCAUCCUUCAGAUUCACUGGAAGACAUCCUGAUAUGGAAAAAUGAAGAUUUAAUCUUAAUUUCAGUUUUUAAAUGCUUAAACUUUCACUAGCUUGUAAAUUUAUUGUCAAAUUGUGGUUUGAUGGCAGGGAGUUUCGUCCUUUUUUAAGGGGAAACUCUGCCGAAAUUUUUAUAAAAUAAUAAAAUUUCAAUUAAAAAAAAAAGUAUAUAUUUGUUGGUAGUGAAAGUAGAGAGAAAUUUAUACUUUUAUUCACUAGUUUGUUUGGAGUUCACAAGAUUGCAAAUGAGGUUGGAAUAACAUCUAUUUUUACGGAAAGCAGAAUGAAUAAUACAUUAACUAACUUUAAUACUUAUACAUGGAAUAGUACAUCAAGAUGAUAAAAUUGAGUUGUUUCAUGAGAAGAUAAGUGUAUCACAUUAAUCUAGGGGGAAAAUACAUGUAUUAAUCCUCUAGGGGAAUUGAAUGGACAUCCACAUCUAUUUGUAUUUGUUUCAUAACAAGUUUGGUGUUUUUGCCAUUUUUGUUUUGGGUAAUCAUGAAAAGUUUUAAGUCUCACAAAAAAUGAUAACUCUUUUUGUUUUAAUCCGUCGAGACAUUGGUUUACACUAUUAUCUCGCUGCAACAUAGUUUCAACAUAUUUCUCAAAAUAUUUUCAUCUAACUUUGAAUUCAUGUAUAUUCCUGUUUGGUUAAGUUACACUAAAUUUCUUUAACAAUUAUCAUUCAAUUCAAUAUACUUUAAAAUAAGUUAAAUUAAAAGAACCGUUUUCUCUUAGUCUUAAAAAGAAUUAAGUUAGUAAUAUUCAUAUUUGAGAACAACACGUUACCCACACUAAGUCUAGAAAAGAAUUACUGAUGUAUCAGAAUUAUCGUUUUCGAAAAAAAAGAUGUACCUGUUUAUUCAAAAAAAAAAAAUCAUUGUUUCACUAAUUUAGAUAAAAAAAAUCAACAAAAUUGAGAUGAUGUACAGAUUAUUGAAAAGGGGCCAAUUUUGUCAAGACUUCAUGUUUUCUCACCAAAGCUAUUGAGCACCAAUCUCAAAAAAGUCAUAAAGAGCCAAGCCAAAGCAAAAAAAAAAAUCAAUAAGGAAGGCAACAAACUGGCCUGUACGGUGACCUUAUCCUUUUGGAUUCAUUUCAGCGGAUAAUGAUUCAUUUACACUUGAUAGUGAUGUAAAUCUGCAUCCAUCUUCAAAAGCAAAAAAUACCUCCCUUGUUUCCUGUUAAUGAUCAUGGAAGUCAUCUAUAGCAUCCUAGUUCUCAGUUUCUUGGUAGUCUUAGUUGCUAUAAAACAUCUUCAAGAAAACAAGAGAACACUAAAGCCUCCAAGUCCACCAGCUCUCCCAAUUCUAGGCCAUCUGCACCUCCUGAAAGCUGCCCCUCACCGUGCUCUUCAACUUCUCUCCAUCAAAUACGGCCCCCUGAUUUCCCUUCGAUUUGGGAUUCGUCCUAUACUUGUUGUUUCCUCACCAUCUCUUGCAGAGGAAUGCUUCACUAAGACUAAUGAUGUUAUCUUUGCUAACCGACCAGGGUCCAUUUCUGGCAAAAUCCUUGGCUACAACAACAGUACUAUCGGAUUCUCUCCUUAUGGAGACCACUGGCGAAAUCUCCGCCGUGUUACCACCAUCCAUAUUUUUUCUUCCGCUAGUCUCCACAACUUUUCCUCAAUCUGGACAGAGGAAAUCCGUUUCAGUGUCAGGAAAUUGUUCUCAAUGAACUCUGAUGACAAAGUGUGGAAAGAUGUAAACAUGAACUCUGUGUUCUUGGAUUUGGUAUUCAAUGUGAUCAUGAAAAUGCUUGCAGGAAAAAAAUGGCCAUCUGAUAAAACAGCUGAUUUGUUUUCGCUGAUCUCCUUCAUGGGUAUUUGUGAUUAUGUCCCUGUCUUGAGAUGGAUUGGAUUUCGAGGGUUGGAGAAAAAUUUGAGCAAUUUACAGCAAAAGAGGGACAAAUUAUUCAGGGAUCUCAUUGAUCAAACUAGGAAAAAGGAAGGUGAAGGUGGCUCAUGCUCGACUGAGCAGAGAAGAACUGUUAUCCAAGCAUUGCUGUCCCUUCAAGAUGCUGAACCUGAAUUCUUAACUGAUGAAACUGUCAAAGGGAUCAUACUAGUAAGCCAACUUGCCAUUUCUCUUUUCUCCUUAACAUAAUAUUUUUUGCUUUGGUAAUUAUUGCUCUUUAUAUCCGGUUUCUAUUUUCAUAUUUCAUUUUUUUUUAAUGCAAAUCAACCUUUUCUCCAAUUAGUCAGUGAACUCCUCUUCUAGCUGGUAAUCUCUUAUGUUGGGCUUUACAUUCAUUUUGACAAUACAUGCCUUGUUGUUCUUCUAGAUUAUGUUCACUGCUGGAGUACACACUUCAGCUCUGACCAUGGAGUGGGCUAUGUCCCUUAUGCUAAACCACCCCCAGGUAUUGAAGAAGGCAAGGAGUGAAAUAGACAACAACGUUACACAAUCAGGGCAAUUGAUUGAGGAUUCAGAUCUCUCCAAAUUGCCAUAUUUGCGUUGCAUAAUCAAAGAAACACUUAGACUUUUUCCUGCAGCACCAACUCUUUUGCCUCAUUAUUCAUCUGAGGAUUGCACCAUAGGAGGCUUCAAAGUUCCUAAAGGCACAACUUUGUUAGUAAAUGCUUGGGCUAUUCACAGAGAUCCGAAGGUUUGGGAAGAGCCAGCCAAGUUUAAGCCAGAAAGGUUUGAGGGAAUUAAUGAAGGGGCUUGCGAUGAAGGGUUCAAAUUUAUUCCAUUUGGAAAAGGUAGGAGGGCUUGUCCAGGUGCUGCCUUAGGCAUGAGAUUUAUUAGCCUGACGUUGGGAACAAUGCUACAAUGUUUUGAUUGGGAAAGAGUAGGGCCUCAAUUGGUGGAUUUAGAAGAAAAAUCUGGUAUAACUUUGGACAAGGCCAAGCCUUUGGAAGCAUUGUUCAGGCCACGCUCAUCCAUGAUUGAAUUGGUUUCUCAGCUUUGACUAAAGAACAUGACUGGUGGCUUUUGAAGAUUGUAUCAUAAUACUAUCUGAAAUACUUAAAGCUCAAACUACAAAGGUGCACCUAUUGCAAAGUGUGAAAAAAAGUGAAAAUAAGAGGAAGGAGAAUAUAAGCAUGAAAAUCUUUCAGUCUAUGCAGUUAUUAAAUAUUAAAUAGGCUUUGAACUAAACCGUGUUUGGCUUUUUCUUUUUGCUUUUAAUAUUGGUCUUUUCAAUUCACUGUAAGUGCAUCUACUCGAGGUCUUUGGUUUUCCACAUUUGUAAUUAUAGAAAAUCUUCAACCUUAACUGCGUUUCUUUGUUGUUACAUAAAGUGGUUUUGGGGCUUCAACAAAACAAGCAAAAAGAAUGUCUUAUGAGUAGAGAUGUCAAUCAAAAUCCAAUUAUAUUGGUUCGUCCAAAUCCGCCCACCAAUGAUCGGCUCAAACUCACCCACUAAUUUUGAAUAAAUUUAAAUGAGUACCCAAUUAAAUUCAUUUAAUUAGUGAAUAGUGAGUUGACUCGAUUCAUCCAUUUGUAUCCAUUUAAAAAUAAUUAGACACUUAAACUCAAUUUUUAAUUAGUGUUAAGCAAAUAAAUUUGAAUUUCUAAUCAAUUUAAUAACAAUAAAUACCGUUAUUUCUUAUCAAAUAGCAUGCAAAAAAAAGUAGAAUUGUAAGUGACUCAUAAAUAGAUAAUUGGGUAUAUCUAUACUCAUUUAUUAAAUGGGUAUAAAUGAAUUGACUUAAUUAUACCAACUACUUAAUUAUGACCACCCAAAUCACUCAUUUUAGCACAUCUACUCAUGAGUAGCGAGGUUACCGAGCUAACUCGAACCCAAUUAUGGGUAACUCGAGCUAGACUUCAAAGAAAAUUAGCUAAGCUCAAAUUCAAGUUUAAGUUCGACAGUGAAUUUCCUUUCUAUGUCAUAACUCAGUGUAUCACCAUCUUCAAUUUAUCCACCAAAACCGUUGCUAAGUUAGCUUAAGAACUCUUUUAUUGGUAUCAGUCUCUUUUAUUUCACAUUCACUCAAAACUUUUACAUGUUUAACUUCCUUUGGCAUACUUUUUUCUUUGUCAAAUUUUUGUUGGCGGUGUAUAAAGCUUUCAAGUUUUUCAUAUAUCUGUUUGAUGUAUUAGAUAUGCAUAAUUUUGAUGUUGCAAGUAAAUUUAUGAAGAUACAACUCUUUUCGUGAGUUACAGGUACACAUUCACCACUUCGAAUCCCAGAUUAUUAGAUUUUUUUUUUGUUUUGCAUUUUUUUGAAUUUUCAAUUUAUUUGUGAACUUUUCAAAUUUUUGCAAAAAUUUGUUCUUUUAGAAUGAUGACAGGUAUUUUAGAAGAUGUCUGUAGGUAAUUAUAAGUUCAAUUUAUCCACAGUCUCGUGUAGGGAUGGCAAUGGGGGCGGGUGCCCGCGAGGGGCUCUCGGGGCGGGGGGUGGGGCGGGGGCGGGAGGGAAUUUUUUCCCCCCGCUUAGAAACGGGGCGGGGGACGGGGGAGUAUACCCCCGUCCCGCCCCCCCGCCACCGCAAAAAAAAAUAAAUAUAUAUAUAAUUAUAUAUAAUAUGUAAGUUAAUUAGUUAUAAACUUAUGAUAAUGAUAUUAUUAGUUAGAUGUAUUAUAUAAUGUAUAUUAGUUUAUGUAAUAUAAUUGAUAUUAUCAAUUAUAUGAAUAAUUAUACAUGUCUACUAAUAAAAUUUAUUAAUUAGUUAUACUAAAUUUACUAAUACAUUUAUACUAAAUUUCUAAUUACACUUAAUAGAAUAACACUUUUUUCUCAAAAAAAAGCACAAACACAAUAAUGAAUUAGUGAUUGCAUUUGUACUAAAAGUGAAAACUUGACUAUUUUAGUUAUAUUUAUUUCAUCAUAUUGGAUUGUAUUCAAAUAACUUUUGUUUGAUUGUUUUUAUGAGUUUCAAUUGUAAAAUUACAAUGAAUAAUAAUUUGGUGAUGUGUUCAUAUUUUAGUACUUGAUUAUUUAUUAAAAUUUAAUUAUAAUAAAAUUAUAUAAUAAAAUUUUAUUAACCCCGCGGGGGAAGCAGGGCAAGGCGGGGCGGGGGCGGGGGACGGGGGAGGGUCUCCCGCCCCAACCCCGCCCCGUUGCCAUCCCUAAUUUCGUGAACGUUGAAGGACCAAUACCUAUUAAGAUCGCAAAACUAAUUUUGGAGUCUCCAGAACACAUAAUUCUUAAAGAAUAUUCAAGCCAUUUUUUUUUUCAGGGUUCGUUUUCACACUCUAAUUUUUUAACUCUACAUCAGUUAAUCAAAUGACUUCAAUUUAUUAGUGCCACUAAUUUCAAGGUCAAAUUUGCUUAAAUUUUCAGUUUUGCAAGUCCCUGGAAACUUUUAUCAUCUUCAUCUCAAGUAUCCCUGUAUUCUUGCUUUUAUUAUUCACCCAUGUAAACUUGAUUCUAAAUGCACAUAUGCCUCGUUGCUAAAGUUUUUAUUCAAUGUUACUUGAUAACAACUCAUAAGUAUGCCCUUAUGAAACAGCAACAAGGAAGAUCUUGAAUGCGCCUAUUCGCAACCCAGGAAUAAAUUAACCUAAGUACAUCCCAGUAACAUGGAGAAUCAAAUCAUGGUUUCACAUAAAAUAUGAUGGACCAAACCUUUUUUCACAUAUCAAAAUAAAGAAAUAUAACUUGAAGCAACUUGACAUAAGUUACCCUGGAAUGAUAAUGCAAUAAUAUCUACUAUAGGGGGAGGGUUGGGUUGGGUGGUACGGGGGAAGGAGUGUAAGCAAGAGGCCUCGGGUUCGAAUCCUACUGUUUACACUAAAAAAAACAAUAAUAUCUGCUACAUAAACUUCUCAAUUAUGUCUGUUUUUUUUUUAACUUCUCAUUUAUGUCUAACUGCUUCUAAAAAAUGUCAGUGUCAAUAUAAUCAUUAAGAAGAAAAAUAUUGGACUGCAAAAGUGGACUUUAAGAGAAGGUUCAAGAAAAAAGGAGACUGUGCAAUUAAAUGGCAAACAUCACUUUGAUAACAAUACAUAUUUACUUAAGAAGAAUUGUAUAAAAGAAUAAACGCAAAGACUAAGAUUGUAAUUUUUUUUUAUUUUUUUUAAAUAUAAGAAUCACCUAUUAAGCUCUAUAAUUAAUAUUAAAUCUAAAAAGUCAAUUAUUUGGCCUUUAAAACUGUGUUCACAAACUUUUUAUCUCUUCAUACUCAGAUUUUAUAUAAUGUUUUAGUAAAAUCAAUAAGAACACAUGAGAAAACUAUCUCUAAAAGGCUAAGGCCGUAAAAUAAAGAGAAUGACCAAGGCAAACAAAGAGCAAAAAUGAGCAAAAUAUGACAUGAAAUAUUUGUCUCUAAAAAAGGACAAGCUCAGUGCUAAGAAAGAUAUAAAAGCUUCUUAGAAAAAGAAGCUUAGAACCAUACAAUUUUAACUAACCUAUAUUACAUUUGAAGUUUGAAUAAUUAAAAGUUCAAUGGACCGAACUAUUGUCUUGAAAUAAUAUGAGUUUUGCAAUUCUACGGUAGAUUCAUAAAAGUGCUUAAGAAACACGUGGGAUAACACUGUUGAGAAUGAUGUGUUCACUGAAUAACGAAAUUGACGGGAUUUUUAUAUAUCAAUGCAAGUUUAAUUCCGAUUUUACACCCGUUGGACUGCAAGUAUACAGGUCGCAAUUGUAGUACAAGAUGUGUAUCGGGUCGAUCCCACGAGGAGCUAUUAAAACAAUUAUUAGACACUAAUUUACUCUAUUAUUUAGACUCACAAUAAAUUUGAGCAGAAAAAUUCAGAAUUUAAUUCAACUACAAAAAUUCUUAACUAGAUAAAUGCAAUUUCACAAAAGGAAUAGAAUUCACUAAAUAUUAAGAUCUAGGGAUGUAGAUUCCACUUAUGACUCAAAAGAUCUAAAAUGAAUUAAUUCAACACUUGUUAUUGCUCUUGUUUAACCAAGGAUUCAUUUCCAGAAAUACCAAAAUCACAUUCUCAUGAUAAUAAUGGGUUAAAACAGAUUAGUUUUUCCUAAUCUCUUGGUAAAUACUAAAUCUGUUCUUAUUCACACAUGAAAUGCAGAUUUCAUCCACUUGAAUGUAUUUCUAUUCUCAUGAAUAUACAACUCAAGUUCUACUUGUGUCAUUCCAUUAUUUUUACCAUUUCUUAAUGAAUAAAAACAACUAUAAACCUGUUAUUGGUGAUCAAACAACAACAAGUAAUCAAGCAUACACAAGUAGAUAAGUUAAUACAAGAUAUAACAAGUAUAAAUCACAAUCACUUCAUAUCACUUGGCCAUAAGCUUCAUCUACUCCCUAGAUAAAGGAAAUUAGCUACUCAUGAAUGAUGAAACACUCAUAAUUUCAUUAAUGCAAAUCAUCAUGAAUUUACAAAUACAAAAAGAGUAAAGAAAGUCUUAGCCAAGAUAUGGUGAAGCCUUCCAAAAAUCUCCUUGUCUUGAAUUUAGAUGAUUACAAGAUGAAACCUCAAUUGUCCCUUUGCAAGUACCUAGCUAGAGAGAAUAUGUUUUUCUGUAAGAAACUAAGCUACGUAUGGCUCUCCCAGACCUCUCUCAAUGUCUUAGCAUAAAAACUACUCAAAGGCUCUAUUUUUCCAAGUCAAAUUCUAACCUUUGAUUCCCCAAAUCUGCACUUUGUUAGCAUAGUCAAAAACCAAUAUUUUUGACUUGAAAAUAAGCCAUCUUUAUUGCCCUUUUGUCUUCUGAGGCAUGUGCACCGAAUUCUCUUGCAGAUUGUAGCUGGAAAGUAGUUUGAACAUAAGAGAAUUGACUGAGCAAAUUGCAGAAUUACGGCCAGAAAACGCGCCUACACAAAACGCGGUUACAAGUCACGUUUUGUGUACUCGCGUAUUCACUUUGGCCUUACUUCAUCUGCGAUUUUCUCUAUCAUAAAGGCCGAACUGGCUUUUGUGCAAAACACCAAAGUUGUAGCUCUUUGAGUUAGCUUUCCAAUGCUAUAAAAAUCAUCCAAAUCGGAGUUGUGCAGCCUGAGAUAUGGUCGAAAUAGUCUCACCUGGUCAAACCUCUGUUUCCAGUUUCGACCACAGAGUGCAGCUUCUGUAUUCCGACUUUUUUUCCAUGAAAUGGGCAGAAUUGGAUUUCGAUGUCUUCAUACGAAUUGUAGGUCUCUUUCUUAGCUUUAAAAUGGUAUAAAUAUCACCUUAAUCCGAUAAGUGUAGCUCCAGAUAUGAUCAAAAUACUGAAGAGUGUUAAAACUGAUUUGUAUUGCAUUUCCUCACUUGAACGUUUUUCACUUCAUUCUUCUUGUUACCACUUGAAUUCAUCACCAACUUUCUAUUUUUCAUCUCAUUUGACAUCCUUUGGUGAUUGAAUCAUCAUUCCUGCAUAAAAAUGAAGUUUUUAUCAUUAAAAUCACUAAAAAUGCAAUAUUAUCCACUUUUACCAACAAUAUAUAAUUUUACCAAAAACCUCUUUAUUUUAUUUAUAAAACUAGAUAAUCAACUCAAAAUUAACUAAUAAAAUGCACUUAAAAAUACGUAAAAUAAACUCUUAUCAGAAAUAUGAUUUCAUCACAACUCCAAAUAUUAUCAUAGAAAUUUAUAAGUAAGAUAAUUAAGUAGUAUUAUCUUAAAACUAAAGGGAGAAAUUUUGUUUCAAUGUCGACAAAUGCAACGUGCAUUUUCUUAGUCUAUUAUUAAAAACUUGUCCAAGGAUUCUUCCAUUUUUAUAAUAGGUGUUAUCUCAUUUUAUAUGCUAAAAUUACUAAAUUAAUUUUGAGAGGUCGUUAAGUCUAUUCUAUAUCUAAAGUACCCCUUCAGAUGAUAAACUAUUUAGGGGGAAAAAACUGUGAAUUUGAACAUGCCUAAAAGAAUUAAGAAAUAAAUUUACAAUAAGGAAAGAUAGACUUAUUAUCAUUAGUGGUGACUGAAAGCAUUUUUUGUUUGAGUGAGAAUGGCCCCUAUUUUUUAUUAGAUAAAAAAUUUAAAGAAUUAAAGAUGCUCAUAAAAUAAGAUGAAACAAUAAGGGAAGGAAAUAAAUCAAUCCAUUAAGGCUGUAGGCGAGGAGCUUUAAAACUUCCUACAAAGAUAUUCUAGAAUAAGUCUGAAAAUAAUAGUAACAAAGUUGGUUUACAUUAAUAGCUUGAACAACACAAGAAAAUUAUUAAAAAAUUUUUAGUAGUUUGCCAUAGAACACAAACCACCUUAUGAAUUAUACUUGUUUGACAAUAUCAAAACUCUUUCCACAAAGCACUUAAACACCACAUACAUCAUCACACUUGAGCUCGAAUCUAGCUCAAAUCUCGGAUCGUUUACACCUAAUACAUGAGUGGUUGAGUGAUCUAGAAGUGGGCCGGAAUUUUUAAACUGAAAAAAAAUCUUUUUAUAUUUGUAAUGAUUUGACUAUUUAGAUUGAAUCAUAUAAUAAGUCCAGAUUUGGAUGUAUUGGAUGGUACCGGAGAAGCGAACGUAGAACAAGAUUUUAAAAGAAAAGGUCCUUAGUUAAACUGCAAAUUAACUCAUGUGAUUAGCUCGUGAUUGUCCACACGGCGGAUCGAAAGUGGUAAGAGAUGACACUAAAGUAUCAAAUAUAUGUUGUCCCGUACUAUUUGGAUUUCAGUGAGGUUUAUGGAGUAAUGUGAAAUCUCAGCGUGCAAAAAGGGGCCGCAAUCAAGAAUAUUUUGACUGAUCAAGCGCCUGCAUUUUGUCUUCUUCCUAUUAUUUGUUUCUAAAAUGCCAUCCUAAGGUGCAUUACUAAAUAAAGGCUCAUUUGGUAAAUAAAUUUUUUAGGUGUUUGUUUAAAAUUUUACUGUAAUUUACUGUAAGAGUUGUAGAAAAUAUUUUUGAAGUGUGUAAAUUUUUGGAUAUUUUGAUGUGCAUAGUUUUAAAGUUUUAAGAAAUUUUUUGAGAUUAAUAUAGUUAAAAUAAUUUAAAAACUUGUAACAGACAAAUUUGACAAAAAACUUGCUUGCCAAACAUGCCCAAAAUUUGCUUUUGACCACUUUGCAGAUCAAAAUAGUCUUCGGAUUAGUAAACAUUAUUAGUUUAAAGAAUUACUCUAGAGUGCAAUUUAGAAAUCCAUUGUAAACGAGAGCAAGCCAUGUAACAAGAUGUCAAACAAACUGUAAGGAUUCAAAUACGGAAUAAACAACUAUUGAGAUAUCAAAUGUAUAACAAUUUAAUGAAAAACAAGCCACAAGUAUGAAAGAUAAACGACACACAACAUUUAACGUGGUUUGACUCCACCAUUGAGCCUACAUCCACGGAGAGAAACUUGUUCUUUAUUAUGAGAGAAAAAUCUUAUACAAGAAUACAACUUGAACCCAAAUCCAACCCUUGUAUACCAUCUCUCAUGUCCCAAAAACCCUCUCUCACACCCCAUGUAUAAGGUUACAUAAUACCCCUUGUGUUUGCUUGUGUAUCUUUGUAGUAUGCCAAUCUACCUAUUUAUAGAGAACAUUACUGUCAAAAAAUCAAAUAACAAUUGGAAACCAAUACUAUUUUCUAAACUCAUAUAAAGUAGAAAAUAGUAUCUAAUUCUAGCUAAAUAGGGCUUUACUUGACUACUAUUUCAAGUAACUAAAUCCAAUUAGAAAACUAGUUACUUCCCACACCAAAUAGGAAUCUUGACUAAAAGAAAUUAAGCCAAUUUCCUAACAAAUCUCUACCUUGGCGAAUAUUUCUUUUAGCAAACACAGCAAACCAUCCAAAAACUCCAUUUGCCUUUAACUAGCAAAUAAUAUGGUACCAAAUUACACACCCGAAUCAAUACAGUCCUGCCACCAAAUUGAUUCAAUCGGCAAAUGAACAUGUGUAGUUACCAUGAGUCCAACCUGCAGUUGACUCGUGAGAAGGUGCCUCAAUUCACCAUCUCCCUUUGCAGGAUUUCUUCUCACCACCACUUGCAAUCUGGGAUCCCCUUCUGUGAGCUCUAACCCUAACCAUUGAGGCAAUUAAGUGGUAAAGUCGCCAUACUUCUUCCCAUCCUCAGGACUGUCUCGCCACAUAUAAUUUCCAAGACUCCACCUAAAACAAAAAACUCGUAUCUGUCAGAGUCUUCUGGCGUAUAGAAAUUAGAUCUCCUUGUUUCUUUGGGACACGUGCCACACCAUCCAAAAAACAUAACCAAAAUUUAAAAUCCACCGGGAUGAAGUAUCAACCGUUGGAGGUGUGAAAAGUCUCCACCAAUUCACGUCUAAAAUCAAUAUUGGAUUCCAUCUUUUCCUUGACCCUUGAAUCACCUGCCUAGAUUCACCGUCAAGCAUCUCCAUAUUUUUCGACUUUUCAUCCUUUACCAUCAAUGCUUUUUGUCAAGCUAUUGAAACAAGGAUACUACCUAUUAAAUUGUUCAAUUGAUGACAGCUACCAAUCCACUUGAUCUCAAUAGUUAACUAGGAUCCAACUACGAAUCUUGAGCAGCCCAGUCUCGCAACCAAGCUCUGAUACCACUUGUUAGGAUUCAGGCGUGGAAUAAACAACUAUUGAGAUAUUAAGUGCAUAACAAUUUAAUGAGAAACAAGCCACAAGUAUGAAAGAUAAAUGACACACAACAUUUAACGUGGUUCGACUCCACCAUUGAGCCUACGUCCACGAAGAGAAACCUGUCUUUAUUAUGAGAGGAAAAUCCUAUACAAGAAUACAACUUGAAUCCAAGUCCAACCCUUGUAUACCAUCUCUCAUCUUCCAAGAACCCUCUUUCACAACCCAUGUAUAAGGCUACAUGAUGCCCCUUGUGUCUCCUUGUGUAUCUUUGUAGUAUGUCAAUCUACCUAUUUAUAGAGAACAUUACUGCCAAAAAACCAAAUAACAAUUGGAAACCAAUACUAUUUUCUAAACUCAUAUAGAGUAGAAAAUAGUAUCUAAUUCUAGCUAAAUAGGGCUUUACUUGACUACUACUUCAAGUAACUAAAUCCAAUUAGGAAACUAGUUACUUUCCAUACCAAAUAGGAAUCUUGACUAAAAGAAAUUAAGCCAAUUUCCUAACACAAACUAAGAAGAAUUUUUUUCAACAACAGUCCUUUAUUCAACCUUUAAAAUAUCCUUUUCAUUUGUUCCAGUUGAAAAGAAUUACUCCACGAUCAAUUUUUUACAAAAGUCCUUUUGAAUAUCUGUUGGUGCAUACAAAAUUUAAAGUUGUAUUGUUAUGUUAGGCUUUACUUUCAUUUUGACAAUAAAUGCCUUGUUGUUUUGAGUGAUUAUGUUUACUGCAGGAAUACACACUUCAACUCUAACCAUGGAGUGGUUUAUGUCCCUUAUGCUAAACCACCUUGAGGUAUUGGAGAAGGUAAGAAAUGAAAUAGACAACAAUGCCACACAAUCAGGGCAACUGAUUGAGGAUUCAGAUCUCUCCAAAUUGCCGUAUUUAUGUUGAAUAAUUAAAGAAACAGUCGGACUUUUUCCGGCAGCACCAACGCUUGUGCCUCAUUAUUCAUUUGGGGAUUGCAGUAUAGGAGGCUUUAAAAUUCCUAAAAGGCAAACUUCAUUAGUAAAUACUUGGGUUAUUCAUAGAGACCCUAAUGUCUGGGAAGAACCAAACAAGUUUAAGCCAGAAAGCCAGAAAUUCGAGAGAAUGAAGAGGUAUGUGAAGAAGGGUUCAAAUUUCUUCCAUUUGGAAAAGAUAGGAGGGCUUGUCCAGGGACAGCCUUGAGCAUGAGAUUGAUUAACCUGUCAUUGGGAACAAUGCUACAAAGUUUUGAUUGGGAAAGAUUGGGUCCUCGGUUGGUGGAUUUGGAAGAAAAACUAGUUUUGACUUUGGGCAAGGCCAAGUCUUUGGAAGCAUUGUGCACAAGUCAUGCUCAUCCAUGAUUGAUAAUCAUUCCGCAGCUCUGAGUUAGCUUCCAAGGUAACUAAAGAAAUAUUUAUUUAGGGGCUGCUUGUUUCACAGAUUGGAAUCGGAAAUGGAAAUGAAAUCAUAGACUCUGGUUUUGGAAUUAAAACUUUUCAUUCCAAUAUCUUGCUUGGUUCACACAUUGGAAUUAGCAUUGUUCCAAUUCCUGAUGCUGGUUUGAUGAGUGUUUCGGAAUUAAAUGCAAUUAAAUUCCAAAAUUACCCCUGAUAUAACAAUUCUUCUAAAACAAAAGAAUUACACAUACGACAAAUUAACAUCUUCAUAAUUGUAACUACAAUAGUUAUUAACUUUUUGAUAAAACAUAAGAAAAUCAUAAAUAAUAAAAAAAUUAAUACCAGAAAAUAAAUAUAGUGGCUGCAUUAACAAGGAGUAAAUUCCCAGAAAAAGGAGUUUUUAAACAAUCAUCCAAAAGGUGACAAUUUUUGAGUCUCUUCCCAAAGGGUGAAAAAUGCAUCCAAGGAAUGUGUUCUUCCAAAUAAAAACGCAUCUUUCAAAUACGUUAUUUUAUGUUUUGGAAAUUUGUUUAAAUAUGAAAAAUUGGUUAAAUAGCCCAUAAGAUACCAGCUCUUUAUGAGAAAUUGGCAGGUUUUGUAAUAUGUUUUGUACCAGUUUUAUGAGAAACAUACAUUUAUGGGAAAAAUUGAUUAAAUAGUGCCCAAAGGAAAACUAGUAUGUUUUGUAUUUAAUAUAAAUUAAAUAUGUGAAAGUUAAAAAAAAAAAAAAGAAAUUGCCCAUAAGAUACCAGCUCUUUAAGGGAAACUGGCAGGUUUUAUAGUAUGUUUUGUAGCAACUCUUUAUGGGAAACAUACCAGCUCUUUAUGGGAAAAAUUGGUUAAAUAGCGUCCAAAGGAAUACUAGUAUGUUUUGUAUUUAACAUAAAUUAAAUAUGUGAAAGUUAAAAAAAAAAAAGGAAAUUACCCAUAAGAUACCAGCUCUUUAUGGAAAAUUAGCAGGUUUUGUAUUUAAUACGCUAUUUAACCAAUUUUUUAUAUUUAAACAAAUUUACGAAAAUUAAAAUAAUGUAUUUGAAAGUUGCAUUUUUAUUUGGAAGAACGCAUUUCUUGAAUGUGUUUUUCACCCUUUGGGAAGAGACUCAAAAAUUGUCACCCUUUAGGAAGUUAGUUUAAAAACUCUUUCUUUUUGGAAAUUUACUCUAUUAACAAGUCGUUUGUAGUUCCUAAAUUAGAUAAUGAUAUGAAAUAGAUCUCUCCUUACAUAUAUGAAUAAAAGAAGGAGACUCAAAUCACAAAAGCUAACCAUACCAAAUACAAAUCAAUUGUCUAAUCCAGUCGAGAGUGCCAGUCAAUGUCCACAAUCUCCAAAAGACUAAUCAUAUCACCAUAACAAAAAGAAAUUGCCAUCAAAUCAUCACUUUCCAGCUAACAAUAAUUUUACUUCAGCGAGUAGAUGGAGGACAAAGGAGGUUAAUUACAUAUUGUCAUUUCAUUUCUGCAGGAAGAUUGUAGAACACAUGAAGCUUGGAAAUCUGCUCCGAAAGUAUGUCGGCUGCAUUCAUUACAUCUCCACUCGGUAAAGCAAGUUUCAUUAACUCAGCAACAACUUGAUCUCUUCUAUCGGAGACCAAUUGCUCACGUUUAUCGUCAUUUGACAUGGCUGCUGCCAUAGUUGUGAAAUUAGCUUGAAUUCUCUCCACGAAAUCUCCAAAUUUGCUGGUGAGAAGUUGCAAUGAUGCAUCAAGAUCACCCCUUGUUGUUGAUGCAGAUUUUAUUUUUUUUGACACAUUUGCAAUGGGAGGUGAUUGUUUCUUUUGUUUCUUGGAAUUUCUUGUGCCUGUUGAGCUUGGUUGAGUUGAUUGCUCCAUGGAAUUUACUUCAUCUUCUUCUACCUUAUCAUUAUCCGAGUUUGACAUAGCAUCAAACCCUUCAUCUCCUUCCUCCAAAUUUUGGACAUCUUCCAUAUCUUGGACAGCUUGUGCAAAAUCUUCAGCAACAUUUCCAGUGACUCUGUCUCUUCCAUAUACAAUUUCAAGAUCUCCUAAAUAUGAAAAUUUGACAUCCCAAAAGCCCUUCGCAUCCUUAUGAGUCUAGGGGUAAGAUAAAUGAUAAUCCUAAUAAAAGGUUGAAAAAGAACAUAUCAGAAUGUAAAAAGUAAUCAAUUUCUUACCUUGCACCAAUCAUCAUACCACUGUUUUUCACAAGAAAUCUUUUUCUUAGCAUCAUUCCAACUACAACCACUUUCUUUGCACAUUUCAACAAUUGCAUGGAACCUAUUUUUGAUUCAAUAUGUGGGCUGACUUGUUUGGUACAAGUAGGUUGCUUACUCAAGAUAAUUUUAAGCAAUUCGCUCAUAUAAUUAUUUUUAAAUCCUCCAUCUGAUUUUCACAUUGGAUCACAAGCCAACUCUUGCAAUGCUUCUAUGAGCACUUUUACCUCUUCACCAGUCCAAAAACAUUUAUUUUUCCAUCUUCCACGUACAAUUUCAUCAUUCUCCAUCCUAUCAUUUAGAAGUCAACCCAUAUAUAUCAAUUAAUUUUGAUACACAAUAGCAUAUAAACUGAAAUUUAUAAUAUAACAAAACACAUAAAAGAACAUACAAUUAAAAGUCAAUCCAAAUUUAAAAGAACAUACAUCAAGUGUCAAUCUAAUUCACAAAUCCACUACAAGAGUACAUCAAAUGUCAAUCCAAAUUUAAUGAGUCUAAGAGCUAAACAUCCAUUCAUAGCUAAAUACUAAGUCUAGCCCUUCAAUUGUCAAACAUUUCAUGUGCUAAAUUAUUUCUAGAAUUUGCCCAUUGAUCACUUGGCAAAAUAGUGGAUAUGUACUCUACUUCUUCAUCACUGUCUUCAUCUUCACUUUCAUUUUCUUCACUUUGUAGUAAUUCUUGUGGAUCAAAAGUCAUGAACUUCCUUAUCAAGUUGUGCAGUAGACAACAUGCCAUAAUUAUUCGCACUUGUGUUUGAAUUGGAAAAAAUGAAGGGGAUGCUAGAAUCUUCCACCUUCCUUUUAGCAAUCCAAAACAUCUUUCUAUGAUAUUUCUAGCUUUAGAAUGUUUCAUGUUGAAAUAUUCCUCUGGUCUUUGUGGUCGAUAACCAUUGAAUUCAUUAAGGUAAUAUCUUUGCCCUCGAUAAGGGGCAAGAAAUCCAUCAGCAUUACAAUAUCAAGCAUCCACCAAGUAAUAACAACCUUCAAAAUUCAAUCAUGCACAAAUUAAUACUAGACUACCUUAUUUUCGAAAAAAAAUUGAUUGAAUGGUAUUGAAUACUGCAAUAUAUGUUUACCUUGUGGGACUCUAAGACCAUUUGGUCUAGAGAUAGCAUUUCGAAGCACACGACCAUCAUGUGCCGAACCUUCCCAACCAGGCAAGACAUAGAUAAAUUGCAUAUUAGGAGAACAAACCCCUAAUACAUUCGUUGCAAUACUUCCUUUUCUCGUUCGAUAUCUUGAUUUUUGUUCGGUGGGUGGUGUCACAUCUAUUAAUGUCCCAUCUAAGGCACCUAAACAAUUCUAUUUUAAGAAAAAUAAAAAAUAUAACAGAGUUAAAAUGUCUAUAUUGGAUAGUUUAGAUGAAAAUAUAUAUUUUAUUAAAUGAUUGUAUUUUAAUGUUUGAAUUACCUUAAAACAUUUCCAUCUCUCAUCUGUGCAAUCUUCGGUAAUAGGCUCAGGCUUCUUAAGUAAUAUAGUAUGCAAUUUCAAAACUGCUAGGAGGCAAAGAUUAAAUUGACGACUCAUCGUUUCUCUCCUUCUCCAAAAUAGACCACAAAUUGUUCUACUUUUCUUGUGGUGAGCCAAAACAUAUACAAACAUGGCAACAAUUUCUUCUAUUGACAUGUUUCUUGUAGCUUUCAAACCUCCAGUGUCUCUAAUCAUUUCACAUAAUAUCCCAAAUGUUCGUCUAUCCAUACGAAGUUCGCUAAUACAAUAAGCAUCACUCUCCCUAGUCAAAUUGAAUAAGUGUUGCAUGCGCUCAGUGACUUUUUCUUCUUUUGAUUUUAUUUGGCGUCUUCUACUUUUGAGAUGAAUAAAUAUUAACUGGUACCACAUCAUAAACAGUGCAAUAACAACCAUUAUCAUUCCUGAUAAAAUCUGGCUUUGCCCUUGAUAUUUUUUGCUUCUUCUGUUUUCAAUAGGCAAACGUGGCAUCUUUGUCUACAUAACAAUAUGACAACCAAACGUAAGUAUUCACAAUAAGACAGGUUUGACGUUGUUUGGCGGAAUGAACACAACUGAAGCUACACUUAUUGGAUUAAGGUGUAAUUUACACCGUUUCGAAGCUAAGAUAAAGGGCUACAACUUUGAUGAGAACCACUCAGUCCAGUUCAUAGUGUAGCAAGGUCAAAUUUCAAGAUACCAAACCAGAAUUGCACAAACAGGUUAGCUACCGUAUUAUGGUUAAACGACCAUAACUUAGGCUACCAAGGUCCAAUCGGGGCGUUUCCAGUGCUGUUAGAAAGCUAAGACACCGCACUAAAACUUUUGUGUUUUGGCCAAAUUCUAAUUCGGUAAGGAUCAGGGUGAAAAGUCUCGGUCAGAUUGGGUGAAGUGUCAACUCUGUCCACCGAACUCUACCUAGGGCAAUCUGGGGGUAUUUCUGUCUUUUUACAGGCUACGGAGCUUAGAUUGGGCUGAAAAUUUACAGAAAACUAUAAAACAUCAUUUUCUACAACUUUUAUGUUUUAACCUAAGGCUGAUUUGGCCUCCAACCUAGCCGAAUAGAACCGGGCAGAAUAGGGGUUAAUUGAGACCCUAAUCUGGAAAUUUCAGUACAAAGCGGAAAUUUUCCGCAAAUAGCUACAAUUUACGCAUCAAAGCUUCAUUCUAGACCAUUCCAACCCAUCAUAUAUGGCCAACCAACAUUAAACAUAUAAAAUAGAAAAAUCAUAGAUAAAAAUAAAAAUUUCACCAAUCUCUACCAAAAGUCAAGAAAUCUUCCACAAAAUCACAUCUUUAACCAACACAAGUCAUUAAUUUGACAUUAUCAAGACCAAAGAAAGAAUUCCCUAGCUACUCACCUUGCAACCUCAAGAAAGGAAGCAACUUAGCACCAAUUUCUUCCAAACCACUUCACCCACUACCUCAAAACCACCUAGCUAAGGGUUUUUAUGGAAAGAUUUGAGGUUUAAACGGUUAAAUUGCAAGAUUAAGCAAGGUUAGUUGAAGAAGAUUGAAGGGUUUUCUUUUCUUUUCUCCCUUGUGAGAGUCGGCCAAGAGAUGUAUGAAGAAGGUGAAUUUUUGGGUCAAUUUCUUGGUUAUUUAGUAAAGUUGGUAAAAUGGUCAAAGUCCAACUUUAAGUCACCAAGUGACACUUGUCACCUUUUUAGUGCAACUCUAUCCUUUUGUCUCUCCAAUGAUAAUCCAUCUAGGUAAUCUCUAAUUAUCUCUUAACACUUGAUAAAUUAAAUCCGGUAUACCCAACUAAACCUAAUUGGCCGAAUUUUACCGAACUUACCGCACUAGUGGGUCCCAUAUCCGGUAUAUACUCUUAAAACCUCAUGAACUAACUUAUACUAGAAAAAUAAUUUAAAAACCAUAUUUGCUCAUAAAAAUUAAUUUAAAAAUUUUUCGAAUAAAGAAAAUGUGAAAAGCGUGCAAUUAGAAUAAAAUAAAAUCUAAAAAUUAAGAAAAUUACGGGUUCUCACAGAUGUCAUGCCAAGAAUUUCACUUUUACAUUAUAUAUUUGGGAGUAGCCACAGUAUCCCAAAUAUUUGAUGUGAAAAGUUUUUCAUCAUAUACAGUUUGGUGAUUGAAAUUAUGGAUUUUUAGUCAACAUAUUGGCUAGUUGACAAUUUUUCUUAUAACGCCAUAUACAUAGGAGUAGCCAUAGCAUCUUAAGUAUAUUAGUGUCUGGAGAAAUUUUGUAUUUUUUUCACAUAUUGUUGAGUGAGUAAAGAAAUUAAAAAAAAGGAAUCUAUAUAAAGUUGCAAUUAAUUCACUAAGAUAGUUAUUCGGCCCCACAAGGAGGUAAUUAUUUUGCUGAGAUUAAUUGACAUGAGAUGGUAAAUUAGAAAGUAAAUUAAGAGAUAUUUCUAUGCCCACAGGUACUAAUUAUUUCUUGAAUUUAUUGUUUUAGAUUACUAGUCUUAUGAUUAAGGAAAGUAAAUUAUAUGCAUUUUUCAACCUUUGGCCAUAGGAAGGUUUGAAAUUACUAUUUGAAUUGACAUAAGGUUGAUUAAAAUCAAGGUACAAACUUCAUAGCAUUUUUAUAAUAUAGUUUUUGAUUGUUAAUUUAGUGUUUCAUUCCAAUGAUUUUAUGGUUCUUAUUAGGUUGACUUUAAAUUCGUUCUCCUUUGUUUUGGGUGCAAGUUUUAAAUUAGCACUUUUAUGAGAAUGAACAAACCAUUCUCAUAAUAUGGAUAUACUUGCUAAUAUAGAGGUUGAGUAUGAGAAUUAGAAGCAAUUUAGUAGUUUGCUCAUUCUGUCUCAUAUUCACAUAAAAUAGGGUUCAAAUCCUAAUUAUUUAUAGUUAAAUCUUGCAUGAAAGUCAUAAAGAAAUUAUUGCAAGUUUUAACUAGCACCAUUAGAAGGCUUUCUUUUGUGACACUUAAAUAUUAAAGUGUAUUUUGAAAAGAUGAGAAUUUUGCUAUAUCGUGAAUUAAAGUCCCAUCAAGUUGAGAUUGAGUUAUUUCUGUUGCAUUUCAUUCUUGAUUCUUUCAUAAAUAAUUUCUUAGCCAUUCAAACCUUUAUAAUACACAUAAAGAUAUAUGGUUAAUCACUUGUUUAACCAUGUGUAUUAAAAAAGAAUAAAGAGGUUAAGAAAUAAGAGAAACUUAACCUUCAUGAAGAAGAAAUGUAAAAAAAGAUAAUUUUGUUCUCAGUAAGUCAAACAACAAUAAAGACCAAUAUUAUUUGUAAGAGAGUGAUACUUGAUGCUUUACCUUGAGAGAAAGUAACUCAAAAGAAAAUCUCAAUUGUUGAGUGUUAUAACUUGUGAUAUAUUCGUGAAUUGGCUAAAGUUGUGAAUUUGCAUUGCUAGUAUAAUAAGUUUCUGAUUAUAUGCAAAGUGAACAAAAGUUUCUUUAUAGAAACUAAAAAUAUUCACAUAAAGUGAUGUAUUAUUGCUCAUUUCAAGAAAAUUUAUUUUUCUAAAACAUUAUUUUCUUAUUACUUUAAAAUUUUUAUUUUCAAAUUAAUUACUAUCGGGUAUGAUUACGAACCUCAUUAUCCAGUAGUAGAUUUUGAAAAUAGUGAAGUUAUUAAUUCUAAAGUUUCCAGUACCAUCUUUUGAAUUGAGCAAAAUCAUACACUUGACCACAAUAAUUAUAUUGGCAGCAAAUAUGUUUAUCACUAGGGGAAACUCCUUAAAUUUUGGCAUAGGAAAUUGAGAUAUAUCUCAAUAAAAAAUAAAGAGUUGAUAAAUCAUAAAUUUUUAAAGAUUUUAGAUUUAUUAACUAUGAUAUUUUAAGUAGACUACAUAAGUAAAGAGACUACUCAACCUGGAUGCCAUAAGAGUUUCAUUAUAACACUAAAAUUUUGUGAAUUAUUUGCUACCCUUUUUUAUUGGUGAGGGAUAUUUAUCUCAUUAUUAGAUAACUAUUCAUCAAAUACAAAGCUCCUUUCUUAUUUGAUAAAGAAUUAAUAUUUGAUACCUAUGCAAGUAUUCAAACGAGAAAGGAAAUUUGAAAUUUGAAGGAUAGAAAAUAAAAUGAAGGCACACCAAAAAAAAGGGCUAUCCUAUUUGUGCUCAUUAAAUAGGAAACAUUGCUAAUGAGUAAAAGCAAUGCUUGAUUGGUUUCAUCCAAUGGUGUACUUUAAGGAAAUAAUGAGAUACUUGUGGAUAUAGCAUAUUGGCAAUAUUUAUAUCUUGUGCGUAAUGCCUUGAAAUUGAAGUAUAUUCUUAAACAAUUUCUUCCAAAAUUAUUUAAACACCACUUUGAUUAUGAUAUGGAUGAAAAUCAAGUUUAAGAUAUUAUGUUUAGUUUUGUGAGGGUGAUCAACCUACACAUAAAGAAACUAUACAAAAGAAACAAGACUAUCUUGCUCCAAGAAAUUUAGAUUCUUUUACACUUCAAAAAUUAUUAGAACUGAAGAUUUAAAUUUCUUAAGAGCAUGAAGUAAGUGGGAGUGUUUUGACUCUAGAAUGGAGUAUUGAAAAGCUAAGGAUUCAUAUUUGACUCCUUUGAAUAUGGAAAAUUGAUAGCUUUUCUCAAAAUUAUUAUUUAAUUAUUUUAGAUAAGCAAUCGAAUGAAAAAUUCCUUGUCAAAUAAACACAUGAAGUAAAUCUACAUUGAACCCACUGGUUGAGUUAUCUUAUAGACAGCGGGAGGAAAAAUGUUCUCUAUAAAAAAUUGAAGUUCUUUAAUUACUAUGUUAUAUAUCUACAAGAGUUUAAGGAUGAAUUGUGUAAUGUUUUCAUGAGGUGCAAAUGGAGAAAUCUCCACGUUCAAGAAUAGUGUCACAAAUUACCACAAAAUCUCUACCAAAUUUGAGAGAUUAUAUUUGGGGUAAUUAUGGCACUAGUAACUCACUAUUAGAAGAACAUUAGAUAAAUAUGAAAAUGAAUGUCCUUAAUGCAAUUCUUGAUAAUCAGGCAUAUACAUGUGUCACCAUGGUAGAGAAUGUAAUUUAAACCAAAUUAUUGCUCCUCAAUAGUAUAUUAAUUUGUUCUUCAUUUGAUCUUAGAAGAAUUUUUCUAGUAAAUUAAUAUACAUUAAGGUUAGUGGGAGUAAUACUAUGAGAGUUUUUCUCAAUCAUGAUAUUUGUGAAACCCUUCUAUCAUUAAUAUUCACAAAAUAGAAUGUAAAAGAUAGUUAAUCUGUCUUAGAACCUUCAUGCAAGAGUUCCUUGAUAAUAAAGAACAAAUAUUGCUUUUAAAUAAUAAUAGUGAACAAUUGCAUAAUGUUCACAUCAUGCAUUGGAAUGAAUAUAAAUUCACCAAGAACGCUAUGAAGUUGUACUACAGGUAUCUAUUAUUUGGCCUAAAGUUUGUCGAUAUUGUAUUUUGGCUAAUAUAGAUAUUUGAUUUGAUUAUACCCUUUCAUUAUGUAUACAUAAAAGAGUGGGAGUCAAGACAUUCAGGUCGACACAAGGUAUUCAAUAGUUAUUUAGAAAGUAAAAUGUAGCUAUUGAGUACACAGCAAGGACUUAUUAUUGUUGAUCAACAAUUAAAGGUUGCCGGGUAAGUUGUUAAUGAUCAAAUAACUCAUAUAGAACUCACUAGGUCAUUUAGUAUUUUGCUAUCAUUCUAAAACUAUUGUUGUUGUCUAGACACUCAAAAUACUUAUGUUACAUGAUUUUGUGCACAUUAUUGUUUAUGUAUAAAGUAAAGAUCAUGUGAUCCAUAAAGUUGAAUCCUGAAUAACUUAUAUGAAGUUAUUCAUAAAAUUUUUUUAAAGCACUUGAUUAGAAAGUAUAAUAUAUUGUAAUACAUAGAAGGAAGUGUUUGUCAUGAGAACAUAAUCGCCAUGAUUCAUGUAUUAUUAUUUUCUGAUUAAGCGACUAUUACAUAAUUGUUGAAUUUGGUGAGUGACAAACAAAACUUAUGGCCAUUUUAAGUAUCUAGUCACUCAUAUGUUAACUGACUAUUUCAUGUGGGUCAAGUGGAAGAAAGUAAAACUUGCCUCUUUUAGAGGCAAUUGUGACCCAUAUGAUUGAUUCUAAAUUGAUUGAUAUCCUAAUUAAUUGAUUGAUAUUUUCAAUAAUUAAUUUUUUUGAUGGAAGGAAACCCUAGAGAUUUUGAUAAUUGCUAGUAAGGGUUCCUGGCCUAACCUAUAAAUAGCCUAUGGUAUCCCAUCAACACUACACUCUCUGAUUAGGUAUAGACUAGAAACUCCUUACUCUAACUUUUUCUUCUAUAUAUAUAUAUAUAUAUAUAUAUAUUGGAAUAGACAAGAAAGAGUCAAAGAGAUGAGGAGAGACCAAUUUGUACUUAAUAAUGAUGGUUAGAGGUAAGUCUAUUUAGAUUUUCGCUGCAUAGUACAUUCAUAUGUACAUAAUUAGUAUAGCAAGCUCAACCCUAUUGACAAUUCUAUUUUGUAUGUAUAUAUUCUUGCUGUGACGACUCUCAAUAGUUCACAAGUACCGCGUUUACUCUUGUCAAACUGUGUCUGCAAUUAGAUUGAUUUUGAUUACAGAGCUCAGGGGACAAUGCGAAAGAAAUGCUGUGUAAGGGACCUCUGUAUUUUCUCAGUGCAAAAUUCAUCCAAAAUGAGCUCGUGCUAGGCUCCUGCUUGAUAGGAUCUUGGUUUUGAGCUGAAAUUUAACUCAAUUAGUUGGUAAGGCUAGCUGGAAUCAGUUAGAGCCAUUUAUUGGGUAAGCAAAGCUCAGAGUUUUCUAACCAAGACAUAAAAAGCAUGAUAAUGCAGCAGAGGACGAUGUGUGCUGGCCUCCUUUUGAUAAAAUCCAACUUUGGUGGGGUAGGAGGUUGGCUAAAAUGUAAGUUGAAAUUUUGGAAAAUGAGAAUAUAGGAACAUUCAAAUUUCAUAGGGAUAAUUUUAGAAACCUCCCCUAAGGUUUCUGAUAGUUUCACUGUCUUCCCCUAAAGUUUUAAAUAUAUCACUAACCUCUCUUAAAACUAAAUUUUCUUGUAACAAAUUAGCGCAAUUCAAAAAAAUUAAUAAUAAAAAAAUGAUUUCAAGAGUGAGAAAAAUAUUUCAUACAAAAGUGCCCCUCAACUAAUUACUAGUUGGUUGACUUAGAAUCAAAAGGGAUUAUUAGUUAAGAAUAGAAAAUAAAAACCAUAGUUAGAAUGUGUCAGUGUAAGUAAGGCAAAUUACAAUACUAGCAUGAGCCCACUAGAAUUCAAUAACAAUGGCUCGCAAAAUCAAAGAAUUGGAAGGAAAUUUUAUUAAUUUAGAAUCAAUAUUUACACAUUGAAUUCCUCAAUUCUUAGUGGUGAAAUUUGGAAGAUUUUGAGUAAGAAUUAAAUAAGACUAAGUAUGACCUUUUCAAGAAAAAUGCCACAUUAAAUAAAAAAUAUAAAAUAUGAUCAAAUAUUGUUUUGAAUUAUUUCUUUUACUUACAAGGUCCAUUAUUUCACAUGAUUACUAAGAAAUUUCUAUCAUUUGUAACAAAAAAAACAACUCUCAGGCAAUGUUUGCAUGAAUAGAAUGGAAAUGACUUUAAUGGAAAAUAAGUAAAUCAAAGUGGAGAAAAUCAUUUUAAACAAUCUUUUUGGAAUUAUGUAUACAAAGAAAAAGAAAAAAAAUUGAAAAUAGGGAGAGAAUAGAUUAUGUGCAGUUACACUUUAUCUAAACUUAAUAAAAUUUAUUUGUAAACAUAUUUUAACAAUUUAUCCUUUUUGUGCAUUUUUGUAUUCAUCUUGUUAUUUUUAUAAAAAAAACUUAUGAAAUAAUAAUCUCUCAAUAUAAAUUUUAAUCUUUUUUGGGGGAAGAAAUUACAAGAACUACUAAAAUUAGAAAAAGAAUUUAAAAUGUUAACAAUUAUUGUUAUAAAAUUUGGUAUUCAAGAUUUUCAAGCUUUUUUACAUUCCAAAUUAUGGGAGUACAAGUGGCUCAACUAUCUCUCCAUACAACUAUGUAAAAUUUCCCAAGUUGCAGGGUAAUAAAGUCAUUUGACCAUUGAUGUGGUAAGCAUUGAAUUCCAAUUGGUUGACCGGGGGAGGGUAAGUGAUAUUUUAAGAAUCUUGGGGGAGGGCAGUAAAAUUGUCAUUGAAAUUAUCCCAAUUUCAUAAGUAGGGCGAAACUUUUAUUAAGUUUGUGGAUGGGGUAUGGGUUACUACUAUUCACCAAACGAACAGAUUUUUGGCUAAGUAAUUAAAUCACACUUGUAACAAUGUACACUUUGUCAAGAGCAAAAAAAUUCUUUUUUGAAAUGUGCAUCUUAUCGAACAAUAAUAUGCACCUAAAUGAUAAAAAUAUGUAGUUUGGUAAAAUGUACAUAAAUCCAAAUAUGCACAUCUAAAUUGAUACAGCUGUGUAUAGGUAUAAUCAAAUUACACACAUACAAGUCGCAAUAUGUGCACAUAAGGGUAAUUUUCUUAUUAUACUUACAAUAUUUCUUUUAAUAGUUCAUGACCAUUAACUCGCACCUCAUGCAAGGGGUAGGGAUGGAUUGGAUGUUAGAAGGAAGGGAAUGUAAGUGAAAUGUCCUGGAAUCGAGACAUCCCGCCUAUAUUAAAAAAAAAGAAAAAAAAACUCAAACGUCAUUCAUAAAUUUUCCAAAACUUACACCUUCUUUUAAAUUUUAAAUCUUUCUAUUCCCUUUCUCCCAAUUAUCCCAAAAUUUAAAUUGGCUGGUGGGAACAUGAAAAAAUAACUACGGUAGUAGGGAUCUAGACUCCUUCACUUGAAUGGGCCAAAUUUGAGUGAUGUUAUUUUCAGCAGCACGAAAGACACCGUAACUUCUAAAAUUAUAAACAAACACAAAACUCCCUCAGUCAUUGAAAGUUAUAAACAUAUAUAAAGGUCCCUUGGUCGUUACAUGUAUUGUUCGGGAUUUUAAAUAUUCGUGAAAGUGUAUAAAAAUCACAAGUCAAAUAUCUAAGCUAUAGGGUUAACGAUAUAGGAUGACGAUUGAGAAAAAUUACAGUUAAAGAGUUUUUUGUGGCUUUCAAAAUUACAAUGGUUUUUCGCAUUCCUAUUUUCCUUUUAUUAUACACUUAAAUCGAUGUUGUUUGCCAGGAUAAAUAUAAACGUGGCCCAAAAAGAGUAGGAACUAUCUCGUGCACCAGCAUACGUAGUUUUAUUGUAUAACUGAUACUAAUACGUAUAUAUUUGUUGGUAGUGAAAGUAGAGAGAAAUUUAUACUUUUAUUCACUAGUUUGUUUGGAGUUCACAAGAUUGCAAAUGAGGUUGGAAUAACAUCUAGUUUUACGGAAAGCAGAAUGAAUAAUACAUUAACUAACUUUAAUACUUAUACAUGGAAUAGUACAUCAAGAUGAUAAAAUUGAGUUGUUUCAUGAGAAGAUAAGUGUAUCACAUUAAUCUAGGGGGAAAAUACAUGUAUUAAUCCUCUAGGGGAAUUGAAUGGACAUCCACAUCUAUUGAGCACCAAUCUCAAAAAAGUCAUAAAGAGCCAAGCCAAAGCAAAAAAAAAAAUCAAUAAGGAAGGCAACAAACUGGCCUGUACGGUGACCUUAUCCUUUUGGAUUCAUUUCAGCGGAUAAUGAUUCAUUUACACUUGAUAGUGAUGUAAAUCUGCAUCCAUCUUCAAAAGCAAAAAAUACCUCCCUUGUUUCCUGUUAAUGAUCAUGGAAGUCAUCUAUAGCAUCCUAGUUCUCAGUUUCUUGGUAGUCUUAGUUGCUAUAAAACACCUUCAAGAAAACAAGAGAACUCUAAAGCCUCCAAGUCCACCAGCUCUCCCAAUUCUAGGCCAUCUGCACCUCCUGAAAGCUGCCCCUCACCGUGCUCUUCAACUUCUCUCCAUCAAAUACGGCCCCCUGAUUUCCCUUCGAUUUGGGAUUCGUCCUAUACUUAUUGUUUCCUCACCAUCUCUUGCAGAGGAAUGCUUCAGUAAGACUAAUGAUGUUAUCUUUGCUAACCGACCAGGGUCCAUUUCUGGCAAAAUCCUUGGCUACAACAACAGUACUAUCGGAUUCUCUCCUUAUGGAGACCACUGGCGAAAUCUCCGCCGUGUUACCACCAUCCAUAUUUUUUCUUCCGCUAGUCUCCACAACUUUUCCUCAAUCUGGACAGAGGAAAUCCGUUUCAGUGUCAGGAAAUUGUUCUCAAUGAACUCUGAUGACAAAGUGUGGAAAGAUGUAAACAUGAACUCUGUGUUCUUGGAUUUGGUAUUCAAUGUGAUCAUGAAAAUGCUUGCAGGAAAAAAAUGGCCAUCUGAUAAAACAGCUGAUUUGUUUUCGCUGAUCUCCUUCAUGGGUAUUUGUGAUUAUGUCCCUGUCUUGAGAUGGAUUGGAUUUCGAGGGUUGGAGAAAAAUUUGAGCAAUUUACAGCAAAAGAGGGACAAAUUAUUCAGGGAUCUCAUUGAUCAAACUAGGAAAAAGGAAGGUGAAGGUGGCUCAUGCUCGACUGAGCAGAGAAGAACUGUUAUCCAAGCAUUGCUGUCCCUUCAAGAUGCUGAACCUGAAUUCUUAACUGAUGAAACUGUCAAAGGGAUCAUACUAGUAAGCCAACUUGCCAUUUCUCUUUUCUCCUUAACAUAAUAUUUUUUGCUUUGGUAAUUAUUGCUCUUUAUAUCCGGUUUCUAUUUUCAUAUUUCAUAUUUUUUAAUGCAAAUCAACCUUUUCUCCAAUUAGUCAGUGAACUCCUCUUCUAGCUGGUAAUCUCUUAUGUUAGGCUUUACAUUCAUUUUGACAAUACAUGCCUUGUUGUUCUUCUAGAUUAUGUUCACUGCUGGAGUACACACUUCAGCUCUGACCAUGGAGUGGGCUAUGUCCCUUAUGCUAAACCACCCCCAGGUAUUGAAGAAGGCAAGGAGUGAAAUAGACAACAACGUUACACAAUCAGGGCAAUUGAUUGAGGAUUCAGAUCUCUCCAAAUUGCCAUAUUUGCGUUGCAUAAUCAAAGAAACACUUAGACUUUUUCCUGCAGCACCAACUCUUUUGCCUCAUUAUUCAUCUGAGGAUUGCACCAUAGGAGGCUUCAAAGUUCCUAAAGGCACAACUUUGUUAGUAAAUGCUUGGGCUAUUCACAGAGAUCCGAAGGUUUGGGAAGAGCCAGCCAAGUUUAAGCCAGAAAGGUUUGAGGGAAUUAAUGAAGGGGCUUGCGAUGAAGGGUUCAAAUUUAUUCCAUUUGGAAAAGGUAGGAGGGCUUGUCCAGGUGCUGCCUUAGGCAUGAGAUUUAUUAGCCUGACGUUGGGAACAAUGCUACAAUGUUUUGAUUGGGAAAGAGUAGGGCCUCAAUUGGUGGAUUUAGAAGAAAAAUCUGGUAUAACUUUGGACAAGGCCAAGCCUUUGGAAGCAUUGUUCAGGCCACGCUCAUCCAUGAUUGAAUUGGUUUCUCAGCUUUGACUAAAGAACAUGACUGGUGGCUUUUGAAGAUUGUAUCAUAAUACUAUCUGAAAUACUUAAAGCUCAAACUACAAAGGUGCACCUAUUGCAAAGUGUGAAAAAAAGUGAAAAUAAGAGGAAGGAGAAUAUAAGCAUGAAAAUCUUUCAGUCUAUGCAGUUAUUAAAUAUUAAAUAGGCUUUGAACUAAACCGUGUUUGGCUUUUUCUUUUUGCUUUUAAUAUUGGUCUUUUCAAUUCACUGUAAGUGCAUCUACUCGAGGUCUUUGGUUUUCCACAUUUGUAAUUAUAGAAAAUCUUCAACCUUAACUGCGUUUCUUUGUUGUUACAUAAAGUGGUUUUGGGGCUUCAACAAAACAAGCAAAAAGAAUGUCUUAUGAGUAGAGAUGUCAAUCAAAAUCCAAUUAUAUUGGUUCGUCCAAAUCCGCCCACCAAUGAUCGGCUCAAACUCACCCACUAAUUUUGAAUAAAUUUAAAUGAGUACCCAAUUAAAUUCAUUUAAUUAGUGAAUAGUGAGUUGACUCGAUUCAUCCAUUUGUAUCCAUUUAAAAAUAAUUAGACACUUAAACUCAAUUUUUAAUUAGUGUUAAGCAAAUAAAUUUGAAUUUCUAAUCAAUUUAAUAACAAUAAAUACCGUUAUUUCUUAUCAAAUAGCAUGCAAAAAAAAGUAGAAUUGUAAGUGACUCAUAAAUAGAUAAUUGGGUAUAUCUAUACUCAUUUAUUAAAUGGGUAUAAAUGAAUUGACUUAAUUAUACCAACUACUUAAUUAUGACCCGCCCAAACCACCCAAAUAACUCAUUUUAGCACAUCUACUCAUGAGUAGCGAGGUUAUCGAGCUAACUCGAACCCAAUUGUGGGUAACUCGAGCUAGACUUCAAAGAAAAUUAGCUAAGCUCAAAUUCAAGUUUAAGUUCGACAGUGAAUUUCCUUUCUAUGUCAUAACUCAGUGUAUCACCAUCUUCAAUUUAUCCACCAAAACCGUUGCUAAGUUAGCUUAAGAACUCUUUUAUUGGUAUCAGUCUCUUUUAUUUCACAUUCACUCAAAACUUUUACAUGUUUAACUUCCUUUGGCAUACUUUUUUCUUUGUCAAAUUUUUGUUGGCGGUGUAUAAAGCUUUCAAGUUUUUCAUAUAUCUGUUUGAUGUAUUAGAUAUGCAUAAUCUUGAUGUUGCAAGUAAAUUUAUGAAGAUACAACUCUUUUCGUGAGUUACAGGUACACAUUCACCAUUUCGAAUCCCAGAUUAUUAGAUUUUUUUUUGUUUUGCAUUUUUUUGAAUUUUCAAUUUAUUUGUGAACUUUUCAAAUUUUUGCAAAAAUUUGUUCUUUUAGAAUGAUGACAGGUAUUUUAGAAGAUGUCUGUAGGUAAUUAUAAGUUCAAUUUAUCCACAGUCUCGUGUAGGGAUGGCAAUGGGGGCGGGUGCCCGCGGGGGCUCUCGGGGCGGGGGGUGGGGCGGGGGCGGGGGUGAAUUUUUUCCCCCCGCUUAGAAACGGGGCGGGGGACGGGGGAGUAUACCCCCGCCCCGCCACCCGCAAAAAAAAAAUAAUAUAUAUAUAUAUAUAUAUAAUUAUAUAUAAUAUGUAAGUUAAUUAGUUAUAAACUUAUGAUAAUGAUAUUAUUAGUUAGAUGUAUUAUAUAAUGUAUAGUAGUUUAUGUAAUAUAAUUGAUAUUAUCAAUUAUAUGAAUAAUUAUACAUGUCUACUAAUAAAAUUUAUUAAUUAGUUAUACUAAAUUUACUAAUACAUUUAUACUAAAUUUCUAAUUACACUUAAUAGAAUAACACUUUUUUCUCAAAAAAAAGCACAAACACAAUAAUGAAUUAGUGAUUGCAUUUGUACUAAAAGUGAAAACUUGACUAUUUUAGUUAUAUUUAUUUCAUCAUAUUGGAUUGUAUUCAAAUAACUUUUGUUUGAUUGUUUUUAUGAGUUUCAAUUGUAAAAUUACAAUGAAUAAUAAUUUGGUGAUGUGUUCAUAUUUUAGUACUUGAUUAUUUAUUAAAAUUUAAUUAUAAUAAAAUUAUAUAAUAAAAUUUUAUUAACCCCGCGGGGGAAGCAGGGCAAGGCGGGGCGGGGGCGGGGGACGGGGGAGGGUCUCCCGCCCCAACCCCGCCCCGUUGCCAUCCCUAAUUUCGUGAACGUUGAAGGACCAAUACCUAUUAAGAUCGCAAAACUAAUUUUGGAGUCUCCAGAACACAUAAUUCUUAAAGAAUAUUCAAGCCAUUUUUUUUUUCAGGGUUCGUUUUCACACUCUAAUUUUUUAACUCUACAUCAGUUAAUCAAAUGACUUCAAUUUAUUAGUGCCACUAAUUUCAAGGUCAAAUUUGCUUAAAUUUUCAGUUUUGCAAGUCCCUGGAAACUUUUAUCAUCUUCAUCUCAAGUAUCCCUGUAUUCUUGCUUUUAUUAUUCACCCAUGUAAUCUUGAUUCUAAAUGCACAUAUGCCUCAUUGCUAAAGUUUUUAUUCAAUGUUACUUGAUAACAACUCAUAAGUAUGCCCUUAUGAAACAGCAACAAGGAAGAUCUUGAAUGCGCCUAUUCGCAACCCAGGAAUAAAUUAACCUAAGUACAUCCCAGUAACAUGGAGAAUCAAAUCAUGGUUUCACAUAAAAUAUGAUGGACCAAACCUUUUUUCACAUAUCAAAAUAAAGAAAUAUAACUUGACAUAAGUUACCCUGGAAUGAUAAUGCAAUAAUAUCUACUAUAGGGGGAGGGUUGGGUUGGGUGGUACGGGGGAAGGAGUGUAAGCAAGAGGCCUCGGGUUCGAAUCCUACUGUUUACACUAAAAAAAAACAAUAAUAUCUGCUACAUAAACUUCUCAAUUAUGUCUGUUUUUUUUUUUAACUUCUCAUUUAUGUCUAACUGCUUCUAAAAAAUGUCAGUGUCAAUAUAAUCAUUAAGAAGAAAAAUAUUGGACUGCAAAAGUGGACUUUAAGAGAAGGUUCAAGAAAAAAGGAGACUGUGCAAUUAAAUGGCAAACAUCACUUUGAUAACAAUACAUAUUUACUUAAGACGAAUUGUAUAAAAGAAUAAACGCAAAGACUAAGAUUGUAAUUUUUUUUAUUUUUUUUAAAUAUAAGAAUCACCUAUUAAGCUCUAUAAUUAAUAUUAAAUCUAAAAAGUCAAUUAUUUGGCCUUUAAAACUGUGUUCACAAACUUUUUAUCUCUUCAUACUCAGAUUUUAUAUAAUGUUUUAGCAAAAUCAAUAAGAACACAUGAGAAAACUAUCUCUAAAAGGCUAAGGCCGUAAAAUAAAGAGAAUGACCAAGGCAAACAAAGAGCAAAAAUGAGCAAAAUAUGACAUGAAAUAUUUGUCUCUAAAAAAGGACAAGCUCAGUGCUAAGAAAGAUAUAAAAGCUUCUUAGAAAAAGAAGCUUAGAACCAUACAAUUUUAACUAACCUAUAUCACAUUUGAAGUUUGAAUAAUUAAAAGUUCAAUGGACCGAACUAUUGUCUUGAAAUAAUAUGAGUUUUGCAAUUCUACGGUAGAUUCAUAAAAGUGCUUAAGAAACACGUGGGAUAACACUGUUGAGAAUGAUGUGUUCACUGAAUAACGAAAUAUGAUUUCAUCACAACUCCAAAUAUUAUCAUAGAAAUUUAUAAGUAAGAUAAUUAAGUAGUAUUAUCUUAAAACUAAAGGGAGAAAUUUUGUUUCAAUGUCGACAAAUGCAACGUGCAUUUUCUUAGUCUAUUAUUAAAAACUUGUCCAAGGAUUCUUCCAUUUUUAUAAUAGGUGUUAUCUCAUUUUAUAUGCUAAAAUUACUAAAUUAAUUUUGAGAGGUCGUUAAGUCUAUUCUAUAUCUAAAGUACCCCUUCAGAUGAUAAACUAUUUAGGGGGAAAAAACUGUGAAUUUGAACAUGCCUAAAAGAAUUAAGAAAUAAAUUUACAAUAAGGAAAGAUAGACUUAUUAUCAUUAGUGGUGACUGAAAGCAUUUUUUGUUUGAGUGAGAAUGACCCCUAUUUUUUAUUAGAUAAAAAAUUUAAAGAAUUAAAGAUGCUCAUAAAAUAAGAUGAAACAAUAAGGGAAGGAAAUAAAUCAAUCCAUUAAGGCUGUAGGCGAGGAACUUUAAAACUUCCUACAAAGAUAUUCUAGAAUAAGUCUGAAAAUAAUAGUAACAAAGUUGGUUUACAUUAAUAGCUUGAACAACACAAGAAAAUUAUUAAAAAAUAUUUAGUAGUUUGCCAUAGAACACAAACCACCUUAUGAAUUAUACUUGUUUGACAAUAUCAAAACUCUUUCCACAAAGCACUUAAACACCACAUACAUCAUCACACUUGAGCUCGAAUCUAGCUCAAAUCUCGGAUCGUUUACACCCAAUACAUGAGUGGUUGAGUGAUCUAGAAAUGCGCUGGAUUUUUGAAACUGAAAAAAAAUAUCUUUUUAUAUUUGUAAUGAUUUGACAAUUUAGAUUGAAUCAUAUAAUAAGUCCAGAUUUGAAUGUAUUGGAUGGUACCGGAGAAGCGAACGUAAAACAAGAUGGUAAAAGAAAAGGUCCUUAGUUAAACUGCAAAUUAACUCAUGUGAUUAGCUCGUGAUUGUCCACACGGCGGAUCGAAAGUGGUAAGAGAUGAAACUAAAGUAUCAAAUUUUUGUUGUCCCAUACUAUUUGGAUUUCAGUGAGGUUUAUGGAGUAAUGUGAAAUCUCAGCGUACAAAAAGGGGCCGCAAUCAAGAAUAUUUUGACUGAUCAAGCGCUUGCAUUUUGUCUUCUUCCUAUUAUUUGUUUCUAAAAUGCCAUCCUAAGGUGCAUUACUAAAUAAAGGCCCACUUGGCAAAUAAGUUUUUUGGGUAUUUGUUUAAAAUUUUACUGUAAUUUACUGUAAAAGUUGUAGGGAAUAUUUUUGAAGUGUGUAAAUUUUUCAAUAUUUUGAUGUGUAUAGUUUAAAAGUUUUAAAAAAAUUUUUGAGAUUAAUAUAGUUAAAAUAAUUUAAAAAUUUGUAACAGACAAAUUUGACAAAAAACUUGCUUGUCAAACAUGCCCAAAAUUUGCUUUUGACCACUUUGCAGAUCAAAAUAGUCUUCAGAUUUGUAAACAUUAUUAGUUUAAAGAAUUACUCUAGAGUGCAAUUUAGAAAUCCAUUGUAAACGAGAACAAGCCAUGUAACAAGAUGUCAAACAAACUAAGAAGAAUUUUUUUCAACAAAAGUCCUUUAUUCAACCUUUAAAAUAUCUUUUUCAUUUGUUCCAGUUGAAAAGAAUUACUCCACGAUCAAUUUUUUACAAAAGUCCUUUUGAAUAUCUGUUGGCGCAUACAAAAUUUAAAAUUGUAUUGUUAUGGUAGGCUUUACUUUCAUUUUGACAAUAAAUGCCUUGUUGUUUUGCCUGAUUAUGUUUACUGCAGGAAUACACACUUCAGCUCUGACCAUGGAGUGGUUUAUGUCCCUUGUGCUAAACCACCUUGAGGUAUUGGAGAAGGUAAGAAAUGAAAUAGACAACAAUGCCACACAAUCAGGGCAACUGAUUGAGGAUUCAGAUCUCUCCAAAUUGCCGUAUUUAUGUUGAAUAAUUAAAGAAACAUUUGGACUUUUUCCGGCAGCACCAACGCUUGUGCCUCAUUUUUCAUUUGGGGAUUGCAGUAUAGGAGGCUUUAAAAUUCCUAAAAGGCAAACUUCGUUAGUAAAUACUUGGGUUAUUCAUAGAGACCCUAAUGUCUGGGAAGAACCAAACAAGUUUAAGCCAGAAAGCCAGAAAUUCGAGGGAAUGAAGAGGUAUGUGAAGAAGGGUUCAAAUUUCUUCCAUUUGGGAAAGAUAGGAGGGCUUGUCCAGGGACAGCCCCGAGCAUGAGAUUGAUUAACCUGUCAUUGGGAACAAUGCUACAAAGUUUUGAUUGGUAAAGACUGGGUCCACGGUUGGUGGAUUUGGAAGAAAAAUCUGGUUUUGACUUUGGGCAAGGCCAAGUCUUUGGAAGGGAAACCUUUAUGGUAGGAAGGCGUUCUACCGUAGGUAGAGGAGCAGAGCAUGACACGUGUAUUUGGAAAUAAAGGUGCUAACGGACCGGUUAUGUUGUAGUCCUAAUGCGCGUGGAGAAUGUCAGCCAUAUAGAAACAUUGUAUGUGAUUUGGUAUAUUUUAAUACUGUAUCAUUUUCAAGACAUUGAUCAAACAUGAUCAGUUCAAUUUCUUUCAUUUUCUCCAAAAACUCUCAUUUUUUUCUUCUCGUAUCUUUUUCGUUUUCAAUAGAUCAGUUUGGACCAAAAAAAUAAAAUAAAAUUGAAACUAUGUAAAAGAUUCAUAAAUUAAUUGAAAAACACUUAAUAGACUACCCAAAACAUUAUCUUUGUAACUUGCAAAAACUUCAAAUAAACAUUCAAGUACUAACUAUUGGUAUUUAAAAAAUGCACUAUAUUUUAUCGAAUCAGAAUAAAUCCUUAUACUUUUUUAUUUUUAUUUGUUUUUAAUAUACUCAAGUUUUGGUAAUAAAAAGUAAGACAACAAAAGGGUAAAUUUGGAAUUACAUAAUUUAAUGUACUCAAAAUGAAUUUUUUAAAUAUUAUAUUUUAAAAUGAGCUGUAAAUAAACAAAUAGUUUAAAGUAAGGGAGGCAAGUGAGUUUCACACCCAAAAAAAAAAAAAGAGAGGCAAGCGAGAUUUUUUAAAAUUUGUGAGUGCCAAGUAAAAUUGUUAGAAACCUCCGGGGAGGUCUAUGAAAUUAUCCCAAACAAAAAUUUAGAAUGAAUAAGUUGCUUUUUAUAACGGUUCUAAAGGUUGCUUGAGACUUUAUAAAUUAGGUGUCUUGAGUUUGCAAAAACAAUUUCUUGCAUAUCUAUAGCUAGUGGAAACGGAGUUUAAACUUGCUAUAGGUUAGUUUCUUUCUUUCCAUUGUAUCCUAAAGGGUAAUUUGCCAUUCAACCUAAUUUUAUUCUGAUUUUAUCCAACUAAUAAAUUAGCUUAUGGAAAAAUGGGUAAAUGGAUAAUUUAUGGAGGAAAACCAUAAAGAGCUGGUGUUUUAUUGGAAAACGGGUUUUUUUUAUUUUAUCCGAUAAAUAAAUUUGUUUAUGAAAAAAUAGGUACUCUGUUCCUAUAAUGGAGGAAAUCCAUAAAGAGUUGGUGUUUUAUUGGAAAACGGAUUUAUUUUUAUUUUAUCCGAUAAAUAAAUUUGUGUAUGGGAAAAUGGGUAUUCUGUUUUUAUAAUAGAGGAAAGCCAUAAAGAGUUGGUGUUUUAUUGGAAACGGGUUUAUUUUUAUUUUAUCUAAUAAAUAAAUUUGUUUAUGGGAACAUAGGUACUCUGUUCUUAUAGUGGAGGAAAGCCAUAAAGAACUGAUAUUUGAUGGGAAAAUGAUAUUUUAGGAUACCAAUAGAUAACAGUUAAAACACAUUCACAGAUUUGGUAUUUUAAAUAAUGAGAUUGUUUUUAGAGGUGUUUUUAUGGUUGUAUUUUGGGAUAUUUUUAGAAUUUAAGAAUUCUUUGACAUAUUUUAUAAAAAUUUCAACCACCCACUACCACACAUUGGGACCACGGGCUAGCGAUUUUGUACAUUUUGCACACCGACCCAUAAAGAGCGGGUGCUUUGUUCAUAUGUUGGAGGAGUGCCAUAAAGAGCUGGUAUAUUAUGGGUAAAUGGGCACUUCAUGCAGCAAAACUGUAAAUUGGUAGCAUUUCUAUAAAGAAUAAAUGAAAAACGGGUAUAAUUGGCAAUUUGCUCUGAUUUUAUCUAAUAAAUAAAUUAUUAAUCCUAUGAUACCCUGCAUAAUUAAUAAAAAAUUUAUGAAAAAAUAGGUAUAACAUGUUAAACCCACAUAUUCGCCAUUUACUCUGACUGUAUUUGAUAAAUAAAUUAUUAAUCCUUCGGUACCCUAGACUUAUGAAAUGGACACUGGUGGGUUAUGCAUGCAACAUGAAUUAAAUAAAUAAUUCAUGGAGGAGUGGUAUAAAGAGCUGGUAAUUCAUUGAAAAAAGGGGAAAAUAAGCACUUUAUGGAGGAAAGCCAAAAAUAAAUAGUAAUUAAUGGGAACAUGGGUAUUACAUAUUAAACCCAUUUAUUCACUAGAAAUUUUACUUUGAUUUUAUCCUGUGAAUAAAUUAGCAUUUUUGGAAUUUAUACAUAAUUAAUUUUUUCUUUUGCAUUUCUAUAAAAAAUUAAUCGAAAAUUUUUUUUUGAGAGCACAAAAAUUCACAAGUCAAAAGUUUGGUCUAAAAGGGAAAGAAACAACUGAAUAUCAUUGUUUUAAGUACUAAAUAAAUAGAUGUAAAAUACUCGUUAAAAGUUGGUACUUUGAUCAUAUAAUGAAGGAAAGCUAUAAAGAGCAGGCCAUUUACGGGAAAAGUUUUCAUUAAUAAAAAUACGUAACGUGAGGGGGAGAGGAGGCCAAUUAGGGUGAGAGUGGCAGUAGCAGUGUGUGGUGGGUGGUGACAGGGGUGGUGGUGGGAGAGAGAAGAAAAGGGAGGAAGGAGAGGGAGAAGAGAGGAGAGUGAAAGAGGAAGAAGAGAGAGAGAGAGAGAGAGAGAGAGAGAGAGAGAGGGAGGAGAAGGGGGGUGGCAGUGGGUGGGAUGAGGGGCAGGAGUGGUCAUCAGAUGGACCGCUCUUGAGCUGUUCACGGGCCAAGGUUUGGCCCAAAAAAAUUGUACGGUUCAGAUCACUUCUUGUACCUCGUUUUUAACGAAGUGUGUGGGGCCCACAAAAAUUUGUUCUAAAGUUAUGCGUUGUGUAAAUAAAGCUACAUUGUGUGCAAAUAAAAUUACGCGGUGUGCAAAAUAUACAAAAUCGCUAGCCCGUAGUCCCAGUGGGUGGUGGUGGGUGGUUGAAAUUUUUAUAAACUAUCUCAAAUAAUUCUUAAAUUCUAAAAAUAUCCCAAAAUACAACCAAAAAAACACCCCUAAAAACAAUCUCAUUAUUUAAAAUACCAAAUCUGUGAAUGUGUUUUAACUGUUAUCCAUUGGUAUCCUAAAGUAUCAUUUUUUCCUCAAAUAUCAGCUCUUUAUGGCUUUCUUCCAUUAUAAGAAUAGAGUACCUAUGUUCCUAUAAACAAAUUUAUUUAUCAGAUAAAAUAAAAAUAAACCCGUUUCCAAUAAAAUACCAGUUCUUUAUGGCUUUCCUCUAUUAUAAGAACAGAAUACACAUUUUCCCAUGCACAAAUUUAUUUAUCGGAUAAAAUAAAAAUAAAUCCGUUUUCCAAUAAAACACCAGCUCUUUAUGGCUUUCCUCCAUUAUAAGAACAGAGUACCCAUUUUUUCAUAAACAAAUUUAUUUAUCGGAUAAAAUAAAAAUAAACCCGUUUUCCAAUAAAACACUAGCUCUUUAUGGCCUUCCCCCAUAAAUUAUCCAUUUUUCCAUAAGCUAAUUUAUUAGUUGGAUAAAAUUAGAAUAAAAUUAGGUUGAAUGGCAAAUUAUCCUUUGGGAUACAAUGGAAAACAAGAAACUAACCUAUAGCAAGUUUAAACUCCGUUUCCACUAGGUAUAGAUAUGCAAGAAAUUGUUUUUGCAAACUCAACACACCUAAUUUAUAAAGUCUCAAGCAACCUUUAGAACCGUUAUAAAAAGCAACUUAUUCAUUCUAAAUUUUUGUUUGGGAUAAUUUCAUAAACCUCCCCGGAGGUUUCUAACAAUUUUACUUGACACUCACAAAUAUUGAAAAAUCUCACUUGCCUCCCUUACUUUAAACUAUUUGUUUAUUUACAGCUCAUUUUAAAAUAUAAUAUUUAAAAAAAUCAUUUUGAGUACAUUAAAAAAUGUAAUUCUAAAUUUACCCUUUUAUUGUCUUAAAAAAUGUAAUUCUAAAUUUACCCUUUUGUUGUCUUAUUUUUAUUACCAAAACUUGAGUAUAUUAAAAACAAAUAAAAAUAAAAAAGUAUAGUGCAUUUUUAAAAUACCAAUAGUUAGAAUUUGAAUGUUUAUUUGAAGUUUUUGCAAGUUACAAAGAUAAUGUUUUGGGUAGUCUAUAAAGUGUUUUUCAGUUAAUUUAUGAAUCUUUUACAUAUUUUCAAUUUUAUUUUAUUUUUUUGGGUCCAAAUUGAUGUAUUGAAAAUGAAAAAGAUACAAGAAGAAAAAAUGAGAGUUUUUGGAGAAAAUGAAAGAAAUUGAACUGAUCAUGUUUGAUCAAUGUCUUGAAAAUGGUAGAGUAUUAAAAUAUACCAAAUCACAUACAAUGCUUCUAUAUGGCUGACAUUCUCCAUGUGCGUUAGGACUAUAACAUAACCGGUCUGUUAGUACCUUUAUUUCCAAAUACAUGUGUCAUGCUUGCUCCUCAACCUACGGUAGGACGGUCAAUGCCCUUCCUACCAUAAAGGUAUCCUCUUUGGAAGCAUUGUGCACAAGUCACACUCAUCCAUGAUUGAUAAUCAUUUCGCAGCUCUGAGUUAGGCUCCCAAGGUAACUAAAGAAACAUUUAUUUAGUUGUUUAUGAAGAUUGUAUCACGAUAAGAUCGAAAAUCGAUGCGCUCAAUCAUUCAACAAAAAAAAUAAAAUAAAAUAAAAAUAGAUGCGCUCAAACGAAAAAGGUGCACCCAAUGCUAAGCGUGUGCAACCGUCAAAAUGAGAGCAAAGAAAUAUUUAUGGAUUAAAUAAAAACAUUAUAGAUAAAUAGGCUUUGAAUAAAACUAUAUCUGGUUUUCUUUCAUUUUUUAUUUUUUCGGCCUUCUGAAAUUACUGCAAAUAUCAUCUAUUAGUUCUUUGGUUUCCAAAUUUGUGAUUGUAGAACUCCCAUAGUUCAAUAACCUUAAAUGAUUUUCUGUUGGUAGUCAUAAAUUGGUUUUGGGGCGUUUUACAACUCAAGCAACUGAAAAUACAUAUCUCAUGUGUAGGAUGCUAUCAAGUUGAGUCAAACCCAUAUGUACAAGGUUCUCGAGUUCGAGUUCAAAAAAAAAUUAGUUAAACUUGAAUUUGAACUCGAGUUCAACAAAUAUCAUAUAUUAGUGCUCAAUCUUGAUUAAAGAAAAAUAUGAGGAGCUCAAUUAGCUUGUUUAAGCAAAUUGAGCUCGGCAAAAUAAAAUUGUAAUUUGUCCUAAAAAAACUAUUAUGUAGAUAAUUUUACAUUUAUAUUAAAAACAUGUACACAGACACACAGAUUCACACAUAUUUAUUCAACAAGCUUGAUGAAAUUUUGAGUAGUAUUAUGUGGAGAUCUUGAUGUGUUAAGUUCAUGAGUAAAGAAUUGUAUCUCACCUUGAUUUCAACGAAAGAGAAAGAGUCCUUAAUAUGUUAGUAAGGGUUCAGAAUCUAAUAGUUUAAGUUUUUGGGUUAGCAUUGGAUUUCUGACUUAUAUUAUUGGGUAUCUUUGGUGAGCUCUCACGAGUGUUUCUCCCUAAUAAGUUGUAUCAGAGUUUCUAGUUACGGAACUGGACUACUUAUAGGCAAGUCGACUCUUCUCGGAUUUGGACCAGUGAAAUUCUCAUCUUGGUGGUGGAUCAAAGUGCUAAGGAAUUUGAUUGAUGUUAGACCAGAUGCACUAGGAGUUUGGUAAGGAUCUAGUUGGUGUUAGAUCAAGGAGUUAAGGGUUGGUAGGGUCUAAGAUCCGAUUUGGAUGUUGAAGAAGAGUCGGUCCAUGAGUUGAGAAGAGGUGACCUUGAGUGUUAAGGUGCAAGGUCCACUAAGAGUUUGGUAGGGGAUCCAGUUGUUGUUAGGCCAAGAUGGUAAGGGUUGGUAGAGUUCGAUAUUCGAUUUGGAUGUUGAAGAAGUGUAGGUCCAUGAAUUGAGAAGAAGUGAACUUGAGUGUUAAGGUGAGUUUUUAUUGAGUAUUAAAGUGAACUCAGUAGAACUUCUAAACUUGGAUUCAAUAUAAGUGCCAAGGGAUUUGAUUGGUGCUGGACCAAGUGCAUCAAGAGUUUGGAAGGGAGUUCAGUUGGUAUUAGACUAAGUAGGUAAGGGUUGGCAGGGGGUCCAAGAUCCAGUUUGGAUGUUAAAAAAGAGUGGGUCCAAGAGUUGAAAAGAUGUGAUUUUGAAUGUUCAAAUGAGUUUGCACUGAGUGUUAAACCAAGGAGCUAAGGAUUGAUUGGGGUUGGAGAUCUAGUUUAGAUGUUGAAGAAGAAUGAGUCCACGAGUUGAAAAGAGGUGACCUUGAAUGUUAACAUGAGCUUAUAUUGUGUAUUAAAGUGGAAUCAAAAUAGAUCUUGUAAACAUGGAUUCAAUGUGAGUAUCAAGGAAUUUGGUUGGUGUUGGACCAAGUUUAGGGGAGGUUCGAGAUCCGUUGUAAAAGAGUAGAUCCAUGUGUUGAGAAGAGGUCACCUUGAUUGUUAAGGUGAGUGUACAUUGAGUACUAAAAUGGGUCAAAGAAGAGUUUGUAAAUUUGGGUCCAAUGUAAGGAGCUACACAUGAAGGGGAAAAUUAUUAGGUUCACGAGUAAAGAAUUUUGUUUGACAUUGGUUUGAAAGAUGGAGAAAGAGUUCUUAAUUUAAGUUCAUGAGUAAAGAAUUGUGUUUAAUAUUGGUUGAAAGAUGGAAAAAAAGUCCUUAAUAUAUAAGUAAGAGCCCAAAAUCUAGUAGAUUAAACUUUUAGGUUAAUCCCAAAAUCUAGUAGAUUAAACUUUUAGGUUAUCGUUAGAUUCCUAACUUGUAUAUUAGGUCUCUUUGAUGAGGUCUCGAUUUAUGGAUCAACUUGAAGUACUUGAAUUCGACUUGACUUUUGAAUUUCACUGAACACUUUUGAGUCUUUGACUGAGCUGCCUGAUCUAUUGCCUUUUUUUUUUUUUUUUAAAUCCUAGCAAAAAGUCAAGAUCUCUAAUUUCUGGGCCCUCAAUUUUAACCACUACACUAAACCAAGGCAUCUUUGACCUUUUUUUUCUAAUUAUUUUCGUAACAAAGGAAGGGUAGAAUUUAAGAAACGAGAAAGAAGCAAGUGACUAGAAUUUAGAACCUCUAACUCUUGGGGCCUCAACCCACUGCCUACUUGCGAAAAAUGAAAAAUGUGAUAGAGGCAUGUAAAUUAUUCCCAAUAAAGAUAUAAAAAUUGGUCAAAAAAAUAUAUAAAAAUUUUAGAAAAUAUUAUUUACACUUGUGUUGGUGUUAGCGGUACUCUUUUUUUUUUCUUCCAUGUGCUUUUGCAAAGAUUUGAAACAAAAUGGACCGUCAAUCGUCAUUAACAAUAAUUGGACAAUUCGUCAAUAAAAUUAGCCAAAUAUUAAUUCCUUUCAUUGAUGAAUUGGACUGAAGUGUUCAUUGAAUUGUUACUUUGAAGCUGUAUAUUGUCUUCUACCUAGACGCAAUGAGGUAAGACUACUUACUCCUUCCGCAAAAGAUUUGCAGCAAUCUUAAAAAUGUCAAAAGAGACAAAGGUAAAAACAAUAAAUUUAAAAGAACAAAAUUGCCCUGCGUAUUGCACUUAUCAGUUAAGUCUUCUUGUAACUUUUAUAACCACAUCAUUUACUAUUGAUUGAGACAGAUAUUAAUCCAUCCGGUCAUACACAAUCUAUAUCUAUAUGUAUUCACGAAGGGGUUUUUAGCAGAAACCCUCUCAAUGGCUUCUAAACUUCUCAUUAUUUUUUCUAGAUUUUUGUAUUUAUUUUAAUCAUAAAAGUAGUGGAUUAUAACCCACCUUAUCACCAAUCAAAUUUAAAUUUGAAAUAUUCCCACUAUCCUCCAAUUUAAAAAUUUCACUCCAAUUAAAACUCCUCCAAACAUAGCAUCCUCCAUCAAUUUAAAUAAUUAAUUAAUAUGUUAUUCAAUAUUUAUAGAUAUUUGAUAUACACCUCUGAUUUAUCUGGACCUUCAAAGAUGUACAUGGAAUAUAAAGGUUAGAUUAUUUAGAUUAAUUGAUAUGACGAUAUCUGGAGUGUUUUAGCGUUCAAGGUGCAUCAAAAUGAUUUUUAUUAAUGAUCAGGUAAUCAUUCAAAUCAUAUCUUAUUUAUUAUGUUGAGUUUUAAUAUUUACUAACUUUUUAAAAAAAUUAUCAGAAAUUUGACAUGCAAGGAAUAAUAAGAGGGAGUAGUAUGCUUAGUAUUUUCGGACAACACCUCCGUGAAGGUAAGAUAUAUUUGUUUCAGAAUAUACAUGUAAUCCCAGCAGAUGCCAAGUACCGGAUUGCACCACAUCAGUUCCAGUUAUCAUUUGAGAAUGAUACAAAAAUAGUGAAGAUUUUAGAUAAUUGUGCAACCAUCCCCCGUUUCAAGUUUAAUUUGGUCAAAUUGAGACGUAUAGAACAGUACAUGGAUAAUGAUAUGCAAUUGAUAGGUACGUCCUCACAAUUAAUAUCAUUUUUAUUAUAUUUCUGCAAAUCACUUGCUAUUAAUUAAAAUUUUUUUAUUUAUUACAGAUGUAAUUGGUUUAGUUGUAUCUGUUGGUUCAUACUAUCAGAUAUCUACUAAUAACAAAAUUGGUCGGGAGAUACUAUUGGUUGACAAAAGGUUAGUUAACAAAUCUCGACAUCUUUAAAACUUUUUAUUUUUAGAGAAUUUAGAUUUGCACUUAUCAAAAUUUUGUUAACACAGUUUGACAGUAGCUCGAUUCAUAUUGUGGGAUAAAUUUGCUAAUGAUAAUGGUGAAUAGUUAUAUCAAUCUGCUACAAAAAAUAAUAUUUUACUAGCAUGUGGUAUUUGCGUAUGAAAUUUCAGAGAUAAAUCAAUUGCUUUUAGUUAUAUUCUAUAUAUUUUGAAUAGCUUUUGAGCGAACAUAAUCAUACUAUGCAGGACCAUCACUGUGCACAAUUGGAGCUAGCAAAUUGUAUAUUAAUCACAAUUUAAAUUUUGCUCGAUACCUGCGCAGUUAGUGAGUUCCUUAGUAACACUAUAUCAAACUAUUAAUAUUGUUUCGUACUCUUAUUGACAUGUAUUUCAAAAAAAUUGCAGGUUUGAAAAUAAUACAUUUGCUUGCAAGUUAGUUACGUGGUUGAGAUCAAGCAAUUUCACAACACCACAAGCACUGUUGAUAGCAAAUUUAAAGAGAAUAUGGAUAUCUGAAUAUACAAUCAUGCCUACGGUAAGUUUACUCAAUUUUAAUUAAUUACUGAACGAUUUUUUUAAAUUUAUAAUCAUAACCUAUAUCUUCUUUCAUUCUUAUUAGGUUAAAUAUUUUCGAAUACUUGAUUAUAUUCAGAGCAUUAACAUAGAAAAUAUGUUCAACGAGCUAUGCAAAAAUUGUGGACAACUAUGUGAAGAUCAUUUUUCAAAGACAGUGUGUAUGCAUUGUAAUGACGUGGUUGAUACUGUUAUUAGGUAAUUAAUUUCAUGUAUAUUUAACUUCAAUAUAUUUUUCUGUAUUGCAUAUAAUAUUUUAUUUGUCAAACAGGUACAAUGUUAACAUAUAACUUAGAGAUUCCAGUGGUAACAUACAUAUUAAUCUACAAGACAGACAUGCACGAUUUGUAUUUUGUUGUGAUGCUUUUUAUCUCAGAGAAUUACAAAGGAAGGUAGAAUUUCUUAAUAUAUAUUUAUUUUUUAUAAUACUAUUUAUAAACUAUGUAAAAAAUAUACUAAUUUUGUACGUUCUUAAUUAUCAGGAAAAUGGUGAUAGGUUGUUCGGCCAAUGAAUUAAUUCAUGCAAAAAUCGUGUAUUUUCAUUUGUAGUACGCACUCCACAAAAUUGAACAGAAUUAAUUAAAUCACCAAUUUUGGAAUUUGUAAUAAAAGUGGAUUGGUGUGAAGAGUGUUCACACCUUCAAGCAAGAUUAUCAAAUCGAAUGCUUAGUAUUUGUAAGUAUUUCAUUUUAACAACAUUCAAUUACAUUCAUUUGUAGAAAUAUAUCAUUCCCUUUUUUAAUAUAAAUUUUUUUUUCAGGAUCCAUCUUCCGAAAAAAGACAGUUCUUGAAUGAUAUACACAUUCGAUUAUAUUUCAAACUAUUAUUAAACAGAUAUUACAUUUUGAUUUUGUUGGUACAAUUUUUUCACCUUUAUUUGUUCACCAUUUUAUUUUUAUUAUUUUCAAUAAUGUUAGCACCGUGCGUAGCACGGGUGUUCACACUAGUGUAAGAGUAUUGAAGUGAAUAAUCAACACCAAAAUUUCCCUCUUGCUUCUUGAUCAAGGAGGUUCUCUUCAGCAUUCUACUUUUGAGCUUCGCCAUGUUCUUGACUCUGAAGCAUUCCCUGGAGCAAAAGAAGAACAAACAGCCUCCAAGUCCACCAGCCCUUCCAAUUGUAGGUCAUAUACACCUCAUGAGAAAUACUGCUCCUCGCUUGGCAUUCCAUAAGCUCUCCAUCAAAUACGGCCCCUUGAUUUCCCUUUAUUUUGGGACCCGCCGCAUCCUUGUCGUGUCAUCUCCAUCACUUGCAAAGGAAUGCUUCACCAAGAAUAACGAUAUUGCCUUUUGUAAACCGGCCUGAUUCCAUUUCCGCUCAGCACCUUGGCUAUAACUACACUAGCCUUGCGUUUUCUCCAUAUGGAGAUCACUGGCGUAAUCUCUGCCGUCUAACGGCCAUCCAUAUAUUUUCUUUACUUACUCUCCAACAAUAUUCAUCAAUCUGGAGAGAUGAACUACGUUUUGUUGUCAAAAAACUGUUCUCAAGUAGCUCUGAUGAGAAAACAUGGAAAGUUGCAGACCUGAACUCUUUGUUCUUGGAAUUGCUUUUCAAUGUGGUAAUGAAAAUGGUUGCAGGAAAAAGAUGGCCAUCCGAACAAUCAGGGGAUAUAUUUACACCAAGAUCGUUCUUGGAAAUUUGUGUGCGUUCCAAUUUUAAGGUGGAUCAGUUUUGGAUGGCCGGAGAAGAGUAUGAUUUACUUGCACAGGAAAAGAGACAGAGUUCCACAGGGUCUGAUUGAUAAAAUGCGAAAAAAAGGAAGGUAAAGAUGUUGCAUGUUCAACCAAGAGAAAAGAUAUUAUUCAAGCAUUGAUGUCUCUGCAAGAAGCUGAUCCUGAAUACUACACCGAUGUAUGAAUGUAAGCCCCUUUUCAUUUCAAAAAUUUCAAUUAGAAUUUCCCUCAGUUAUGUUUUUUAAGCAAGAUGAUUCACGGAGUGAUAAACCUUGUGCCUUGUAACCACAUCCAAGGUCAUAUAUCACUUUCCAGCCUGUACUGUCUGUCAUUGCAGUUGCAGGUUCAACCGCAGAGAGCAAUUUCUGGUUUCAAUCAGUAGCUAAUGUGGCCGGACAUAGGCUGCUGAUCCCAAAUGUUCUUUUAUUUCAUUUGCUAAAUUAGAUUUGAUAAUCAAGCAAACAUUUUGAUGGGGCCGGUGAUUAACUUUCACAGUUGCACCUAGUAAGGAUCACAUUCACUGUGUUGAAAUUUGGGGGCAUGACGUUAAAAUCAUUGAGUUUUACAAAAUUUCAUCUGCAUUAACGGACAAAUCCUCGUUGUUAGGUGUUGCUAAUGGUCACUAGCUCAGCUUUGAACAACUAUGUUUCCUAUAUACCAUUUUAUAAUUCAUGAUUUCUGUUUCUGCAUGUCUCAAAUUUUUUUUUGGUGGCUCAAAAGGGAAACAGAAAAAUACUAAUAUCCUUGUUUUUACCCUUAUAAAAUUUUUAACAAAGAACAUUAAAAUCAUGUUUCAACAAUAAAUACUCCAAUAAACCACUUCAGACUUUAACACUCCAAAUAUAACUACAAAAUCUUUUAGAUACAAAUUGAGGGACAAUCAGGAAAAAAAGUAAAUUGCAACUCGUCAAACAUCAAUUUCUUGAACUGUGAGCAAAAUUAAGUAUAACUAACGAAAAGGAAAGGAAAAAUUAUCCGUAACCUUGGUCGCGUAAAAAGAGUCAAGACUUCAACUGCUGAGGUUCCAGAUUGAUAUGACUUGAUGAAAGAUCUCAAAAACUAGGCAGAUGAAAGCGUCCAGAAAAGAGCUUCUGAAUUCUUAGUUCCAGAUUGAUGUGUGCUGAUGAAAAGGGUAAAAAGAGUCAAGACUUCAACUGCUGAGGUUCCAGAUUGAUAUGACUUGAUGAAAGAUCUCAAAAACUAGGCAGUUGAAAGCGUCCAGAAAAGAGCUUCUGAAUUAUUAGUUCCAGAUUGAUAUGUGCUGAUGAAAGCUCUCAAAAUCUGGGCAGUUGAAUUGAAAGUGUCUAGAAAAGAGCUUUGAAGCAUAAGGAGUCGAUUAAUUUGGUGCACUAAAGAAUUUUUUUUUUAAGUGGUGACAUGUAUAAGCAUCUAUAUUAUAGUUUAACUGUUAAAAUGGAUAGAUUUUUUUUUCUUUUUUUUUUACGCAAAAAAUAUCGUAAAGAUCUUAAUCAUAGUUUUCACAAGAGGAGACCAUCAAAUACAUCAUAGGAAUUAAAAACAUGGAUAGUUGAGAGAAAUUUCCAAAAUUAUGAUGAUUUUUAAAAAAUUUCUGUAAAAGGGGCAUUUUGAGUAUGCAAUUCCAUCCAAAGAGUCUUCGCAUUCAGCGAAUGUGAGCCAUGGAGCUCACAUUUGCUGAACGCGAAGUCACUCUGAAUUUUUAGACCCACAAAGUCCAAAAAAAAAAAAAAAAAAAAAACAGAAAACCAGACCUCGCAUUCAAAAAAUGCGAGGUCUGGCACCUCGCAACAAAUUGAAAGCUUUGGUAUUUGCUGAAACGAACUCGUGUUAAGAAGUAGAACCGCUAAAAUUUUAUUGGCAUUGACCUCUCAGUUUGUUUUCUCCUCAUUUGCUGUGUUUUAUGUUCUUUGUGGGAAUUCUUUGCUAACAUUAGUAGUUCCUCUAGAGAACGUCCACUUUUGAAACCAGUUAGGAGAUUCUAAAAAUUGACCAUUACUACAAUUGGUGCAAGCCAUUUUGCUAAACGUGAGAUCUAAAUUUUUUUUUUUUAUGUUAGAGCUAUCAUGAUAUGAAAAAUAUAUGUUCUGUCAGAGAAAAUAAAUAUUUUUUAAAUAUUUAUUGUAACUGUGAUCAUUUUGCUCUUUUUGACGACUUUGCAUAUUGUCAUUUACUAAAUGCAAGCUCCUAAAAAAAUUAAAUUUAAAUAAUAUUUGUUUUCUUCUAGCGAGCUUCUACAAAAUUAAAUUUAAAAAAGAUUUGUUCUCUUAACGGUACUUAAUGCGAGCUCCUAGCGAAUUAAAUUUAAAAAAUAUUUGUUUUGCAGAUCUCUCAUUUACUAAAUGCAAUCUUUAAUAAAAUCUUAUUUUUUUUUUAAAAAUAAUUGCUUAUGCAUUCAUUGAGUGCAAGGAGUAAAUAUUUUGGAUCUCGCAUUCGAUAAAUACGAAUUCAUAGAAAAUUCCUUUCAAAAAUUGGGGUACCAAAUAAAUGCAAAUUCGAUAAAUGAUUUAGGAUGUAUUUUGAGUAAUUGGGGGUACCAAAUGUGAUUUUCAAAAGUUAACAUUUCUGCAAAAAUUCGCAUAAGAAAACGCAGUUUGCAGCAAUACGUGACUUCUAGUCGCGUAUUACAGAAAGUGCAUUUUCAAUUCUGGAAGCUUAAGGCAUAAAACGCGACUUGAAUACGCAACUUGAAGGUGCGUAUUCAUGAUGGCGCAUUUUCAAUUCUGCAAAUACAACAGAAUACGCAGCUUGAAAACGCGACUUUAAGUUGCGUAUUCUUGAAGUCAUGUUUUGACUUCUACAAGGAACAUGAAGAAAACGUGACUUAGCAAUAUGUGACUUGAAUGCGUGUUUUGUGAAGUCGUGUAUUGUCUCACUUGUACAAAGCUUUAAAACGCGAAUUCUCUCUCAGUUUUCUUCUUCAUCUCUUUCUUCCAGCCGCGUUUUCUCUCUACUCUUCACACACAAUUCACCAAUUCUAUUUUUGCUCCAUAUCUUGGUUAAAAAUCAUUAAGCCAACACCUUUUGAGCAUUAUAUAGUCUUUCUAAUAUAUUAAAAUCCAAUAAAAACACCUCAAAAUCGGUUUUAAGGAGAUUGAAAGCUAGGGUUUCUAGUUUUAAAUUUCUUCAAUUGGAGGUCAAUUGGAGGGCGUUUCAUAGGGCUUUUUACACAGUCAUCAUCUCCAAAUAUCCUUCUGCAUAAUUGAGGUAAGUUUCUUCAUCAAAUUUACGUAUUUUAGAAGUUGAUAUUUUUCAAUUUCCUGAGCUUUUUGACAUGUUUUAAUUUCGAAAGUUUGAUGAUGUUUAUAGAUGUUUUUGGCCUCUAUUAUGCUUGUUGAUGGUAAUUAAGUAUGUUUACAAAUUCAAAUGUAGAAAAUUGAUGAUUACUAGUUCUUUAAAUUUUUAAGUUGCUAUAUUUGGCUAAAAUUGGAAAGUUGGUUUGGAAUGUUGUUGAGCCAUUGGUGAUCAAUGAUUAUGGUAUAAAAUGGUUAGUUGAUGAUGUUUUAACAUGUGCAUUGUGUAGAGAGAGUGAUUUGAUGAAUUUUGUGAGUUAUUAGAAUACAUCUUGCUUAAUCAUGUUUAUAGCUAAAUGUGUAUUAUUGUUGCUAAAAUUUGGCUGCUAUUAUCUUGAUUAGUGCUAAUUUCACUGAUUUUGAUAUAUUUGUGGCCUAUUUUGAUAGAUUGAUGAUUUUAGUAAUUUUUGACAUUUUGACUAUGUCAUUUCUCUUAUGUCAUAAUAAUGAUUGUUUAACUAUAUGUAUUUGAUUUCUUAUGACAUGGAGGGAUGUAUUUGUGGUCAUUUGAAUCAAUUCAUGUUAUUUAUUGUCAAAAAUAUGAAAUAUGUCUUAGUACAUGUGAAUAAUUGAAUCCUUCUUAUUAGGUACUAUGGCUAGGGGAAGACAGGUUGUAUAUUCAUCCUCUAGUAGUGAUGAUAUGGAUGUUAGUGAGGAGGUCGAAGUAAGUGAGGAGGAGAGGUCACCUUCUCCUCAACUGGUUAGAGGACGACCAGGUGAGGGUACUUCUCGUGGUGCCGAAGCGUCUGUCUUUGAUAGUGCUAGGUUUUCUACCCUGAGGAAUCAAGAGUGGCAUGAGGCGCACGCUAAUUUGGAGUUCCUUUUUGAGAUGCACGUGAGUCCAGGAGUUGAAAUAGUUUAUCGCAUCUCGGAGGCUUCAAUCAACUUGGUUGGGCGUCAAUUCUCACCUUGCCGAUUCACUACUACCUUGACUUGGUGCACGAGUUCUGCGGCAACAUUGAUUAUAAAGCGCGCCACAGUGGUGAGAUGGUGGAGUCAUGGGUGUGUGGGAGACAUGUUGUCUUGUCGAGGGAGCGCCUAGCUACCAUUUUGGAUUGUAACAACCAGGAUCGAGCUAUCGACUUGCAAAAGGGAUUCGUCACACUAAAUAGGCGGUGGGAUCCAUCACAUGACAUGACUAGGUUUGGUCUUGAUUACCAACCUUUUCGAUCCUCGAGGAAGGAGACAAUGUUGGCGAGUAUUUUUGAAUCCCGCCAUCAUCUCAUUAUCUAUAUGAUGGCCCACAACGUCAUACCCAAGAAGACGGGGCAUACGAAGUCCGCAAAAAUUACAUCUACUUUCUCGACUACAUGUUUCAUAAUCGGGACUCCUCCUACGCUCGAAUUCCCUUGCCGAACAUCAUUAUUAGCCACAUAAGGUCUACAGUGAGGUGGAGAAUGACGCCAUUCAAAUUGGCAUUUCCUCGUUUGCUUUCCUUGGUGUUCGAGAAUUUUGAGGUUAAUUUGCAAGGUAUACAGCAGGAAUUUGUUACACCUAAAACCAAAUUGUAGGUUUCUUCCCUUUGUCGUCUCAGUAUUGGCACGGAGAACAUUCCUCGACCUAUUCGAGAAAGUGGACAAAAGGCAAGACAUGCCCGAGAGGAAGUCGGACCUUCUACUACGGAACCUCCUCCUCCACCGUCACAAUCGAAUUGGCAGCGACUCUUCACUCGCUUGGACGAUAUCGAGUAUCGGUUGGGACGGAUGGACACUUGCCUGGAGCGGAUCGAGUAUUUAGGCAUUCCUCCACCUCGUGAUGGUGAUGAAGAUGAAGAUGACGACUGAAGCUGCACCUUUAGGAUGGCUAUUUUGUUGCUUCAGGAUUUAAUUGUCAUUUUGUUUUUAAUUUGUUGGAUGUAGAGUGUUUAACUUGACCUUUUCUGUUUUCAAGUUUUCUGUUGGAAUAUGAAUUGCAUUCAAAUGUUGUUAAUCUUGAGUCUGCUGGCAGGGUAUUUAGUCCAGUUUUAAGGGGAAAUUCUAUCAAAAAUAUUUCAAAAUCUUGUCCAAAAUUACAAAAUUGCCCUAAAAGGUUUCAAAUUUUUUCGAUUUUAUCCAAAGGGCAACAAGUUCCCUACAAGUAGUAACUCAAAUUCAUUCUACUUUUGAGAUAAAUAUAUGUGACUUUAGAACUUCCUCAUCUGUACCCCAACUGUAAUAGAGAGUCACUAAUAUCGCACUAAAAUCAAUUGUGCAAAUGAUUACAAAUGAGUUCUGAAGAAAAUUUUAUCUACUACUAAUCCUUUGUAUAUAAAUUACAAAAAAGUUAUAUUUCUUCUAUAUUAAAAGAUUUGAUAAUUAUACGGUUGGAAACACUUAAUUUUAUUAUUAAAUAAUUUUGUAAAGAAAUAACUAUACAUGUAUAAUUCUUUAUUUUCACAGGUCAAUAUAAAAUACAAUAAAAUUGUUAAUAUGUUAAGUCUUAACUUUUGAUGAAUAAAAUUCUCUUUUUUUAUACUUCUCAUACGCAAGCAUCAAAAUUUUUUGUCAUAUGUUUAAUAGAAGAAAUUUUUUCUCAUACAAGAGCAUCAAAAUUGUUCGUGGGAAAAGAGAAUUUCUUUGUAAUUUUAUGAAAGUUUCUAGUUUUGUAAAAAAGGAUCGAUAAGAUAUACGUGAUUAAGUUUUUCUGCUAAUAUUCGGGAAAGUAAAAAAUAUAAACAGGAAAUGACACAAUAAAGUAUGUCAGCCAUAAUUAGUUAGUUUAUACAAUAGCUACACAAUCAGGACAUCAUCAAUGAUGUCCAAAUUUUUCAUGAGUACUACAUCCUCUGGGUUUGCGUACUCUUUAUGUUCGACGUGACUAGUUUUGCAUUACUAUAUCGACUUGAGUAAUCUCUGACUCAAGUGUAAUAUCAUGAUAUUGGGUACUUUGACCUUCAUCUAUACCUCCUGCAUAUUGUGCAGAAGUGCCAUGAUGUAAGUCUGUAUAGGGCGUAAACUGUAAAAAAGUCACUAGAGACCUAGAAUGGCCAAUGGAUGCACUGUGCAGUUGCAUGACUUCAGUCUGAGGUAUGACUAAAGAAGAUGCGUCAACAUGGUGCUCAGUAGCCUGUGACCCUUCAUCGAAUCCAGUUUGGAUAGUGGGUUCUGGUGAUCAGAGUCUACGAUGUCGUCCACCGCCAUGCUGACCUCCGUGAAUAUUCCUAGGAGCUUGUUGAACACGACUUGCAUCUGCGUGUUGUGGAAUGUCCUAUGGUACUUGUGGACGGCGAAUGCAAGUCAGGAUGACUCCCCGACAUGAUGCAAUGUUAUUGAUGCAAAGUCCUUCAUUGUAUUAAAAUAAUUCCUGUGCUGUUCGUCACUAUGUGCUAGAGAGUCCUCAGCCAUAUAAUAUACCUGAGACAUAGCAUUCAUCUGGAGUGCAAAUAUUGGAAUGAAUAAGUAUUAAUAACGUUAAACCUUAAAAAAUUCACUACUACAAAAAUAUCCUUUUAUGAAAUUUGAAAGCUCAUUAUAGCUCCAUGUUAUGACGUUUUAACUAUAAUGACGCUCUGUCAGAAGUGUCAUCCAUUCUAACGUCACUAUAAGUUUUAUGACAGUUUCUAUGCGUCCUAAUUUGUAGUUCUUCUGGCACUUAUAAAUGUCAUUAGUUAUCGCUAUUAUGACACUUUGAAAUGACAAGAAAUGCCAGGGCACAGUUGAUGUUAUAUAAACUUAAGUGAUGCACAUAAUUAUCAUAUUUUGAAACUAUCUUGACACUUCUGCCAUGCAAGUAUAAUAAGAUAUUAUAAUACACUCACAUAAGUAGAAUAAAGUAUUAUGACACUUUUUGGUGUAACUAGAUUAAGUUAUUAUGACACUUUUUAACAUGAAAUUUUGUGAAUAUUAUGUAUAAUAAAAGUCGAAGUGAUGACCUUUUAAGUGUUAGAACUGCAUGUUGCAUUACAGCGGGCUCUAUUAAAGCAAGAGGGUCUGUGAAGUCUGCUGACGAAGAAGAAAUCGGAUUCCGUUGAUGAAGAGUUGAUGAGUCUGGAGGAAAAGGCUCACUCGACAAUCAUGAUGUGCCUGUCAGAUGAUGUCAUCACUGAGGUCGCCGGUGAAGAAACUGCUGCGGGUUUGUGGGCUAAACUUGAAAGUCUCUAUAUGACAAAGUCUUUAACCAACAAGUUGCUCCUAAAGCAACAUCUAUUCGGUCUGCGUAUGCAGGAAGGUACUCCUUUUCGAGAAAUUUAAAUCAAUUAAAUACAAUUCUUCUUGAGUUACGUAAUAUUGAUGUUAAAAUUGAGGGUGAGGAUGCCGCGUUGAUUCUGUUAGUGUCUCUAUCGUUAUCGUAUGAGAAUUUCGUUCAGUCGUUUAUUGGCGGCAAAGAUACUGUGACUCUAGAAGAAAUAAGAUCAGCACUGCAUACUAGAGUGUUGCACCAUAAGGCGGUUGGUAAUGUUACAGAUAAUCAGGUUGCUGGGUUAGUGGUCACCAGUGGUAAAGGAAAAUUUGGAAAAAAGAAGCCUGGAAAUAAGAAGCAGUUCUCUAAAGGUCCCAAGCCGGAUGAUAUCUGUAACUACUGCAAGAAAAAGGGUUAUUGGAAAUCAGAUUGCCCUAAGAAGAAGAAGCAGCAGGAAAAACAACAUGCUUCAGUUUCAGUUUCAGAAAAAGAAGCGAUAAAUUCAGAUAAAAAUCUAGCCCUAAUUGCAAACGAACCAACACAUCACUCUGAUGUGUGGGUUCUUGAUUCUGGGGCAUCCUAUCACAUAUGUCCAAAUAGGGAAUGAUUUACAAAAUAUGAGCAGAUAGAUGGCGAAAAUGUCGUGAUGGCUAAUAGCGCUAUCUGCAAGGCUUUGGGAUUGGUUCUAUCAAGAUCAGAACACAUGCUGAAAAAGUUGCCACACUGAACGAAAUUAGGCACCUUCCCAAAAUGACGAAGAAUCUGAUAUCACUUAAUACUCUUGACAGUAAGGGUUUUAGGUUCAGCGGAGGAAGUGGAGAUUUGUGCAUCAGUAAAGAUUCAUUAGUGGUUCUCAAAGGAAUUAAGCAUGGCAUCCUGUACAUCUUACAGGGUUCAACGCUAACAGGUUCUGCCACUGCUGCUGUUGCAUCUUUUGAAGAUCGUAGGUCUAAUAUGACCAAGCUGUGGCAGAUUAGGCUUGGUCAUAUGAGCGAAAUGGGGAUGCAGAUUCUGUCUAAACGUGAUCUUCUAAAAGACCACAAGGUCACCGAUCUUGGAUUCUGUGAACAUUGUACUUUCGGUAUACCACAUCGCAGAAAGUUUGGGAAGGCAAUUCACAGGACAAAAGGCACACUUGAUUACAUCCAUUCUUACUGUUGAGGUCCUUCACGAGUUGAGUUUUUGGGAAGCUAUCAAUAUUUUUUUAUCCAUGAUUGAUGAUUAUUCAAGGAUGACUUGGGUAAUCGUUAUGAAGAAAAAAGGUGAAACUUUCAAGAACUUCAAGCAGUGGAAGGCCUUAAUGGAGAAUCAAACUGGAAAGAAGAUCAAAAGGCUGAGAACUGAUUAUGGUCUAGAAUUCUAUUCAAAGGAGUUUGAUAAGUUCUGUAAAAAUGAAAGAAUUACUCGGUAUCACACAGUUCGACACACACCACAACAAAAUGGUGUAGCAGAACGCAUGAAUCAGACACUUCUAGAGAGAGCACGGUGUAUGCUCUUCAAUGCUGAGUUGCCAAGGAGGUUCUGGCCGGAAGCAGUGAGCACAGCCUGCUUCUUAAUCAAUCGUACACCUUAUACAGGUAUAAAUUACAAGAUACCUUAUGAAGUGUGGUCUGGUAUGUUCCCUACUUACUCAAAUCUGAAGGUUUUUGGUUGUACUGCAUAUUAUCAUGUCAGUGAGGGCAAACUAGAACCAAGGGCUAAAAAAGGAGUGUUUCUGGGAUAUGGAGACGGGGUUAAAGGGUAUAGAAUCUGGUCACCCUCAGAAAAGAAAGUUAUACUUAACAGAAGUGUAAUUUUUGAUGAAAACUCGAUAUUUAACCACCCCUAUGAAGACUGUUGUUGAAGAAAGUGCAAGUGUUGAUAAACAGGUAGAGCUACAAAUCAUUCAAAAUGAUUUUGAAUCACAGCAGAAAUUUGAUGAUCAUCAACAACUAUCCUUUGAAACUGAACCUCCUGCAGAAGUAGAGUCUCCAGAACCUACAUCAGCAGAAAGGUUGGCACCUAUAUCCCAUACUGUGUCAGUAACUCAGCAACACGAUAUUGGUUAUGAUCAUGCGGGGAGAGUGGGAGUACGACUUCCCAGCAGGUAUCGAGAUUUUGUAGGUUAUGCAUUUCAGGUUGUUGAGGAGGUGGAUUCCCCUGAACCCUCUACCUAUAGAGAAUCUAUUUCAGGCAGUGAGUCAGCUCAAUGGCUUGCUGCAAUGGAUGAUGAAAUGGAGUCGUUACACAAGAACGGCACUUGAGAAUUGGUCAAACGGCCAGCAGAGAGAAAGGUUGCGACUUGCAAAUGGGUCUUUAAAAGGAAGGAAGGUAUUUCUCCAGCUGAGAGCAUCAAGUAUAAAGCACGUUUUGUUGCAAGAGGGUUCACUCGAAGAGAAGGAGUAGACUACAAUGAGAUUUUCUCACCAGUGAUCAGACACACUUCUAUCAGGGUGCUACUAGCAAUGGUUGCACAUCAGAACUUAGAACUUGAGCAGUUAGACGUGAAGACAGCUUUCCUACAUGGAGAGUUAGAUAAAGAGAUUUAUAUGACUCAACCAGAUGGAUUCCAUGUUCCGGAAAAAGAAGAUUAUGUAUGCAAGUUGAAGAAAUCCUUGUAUGGAUUAAAGCAGUCCCUAAGAUAGUGGUACAAAAGGUUUGACGGCUACAUGAUUGAGCUCGGCUACAACAGAAGUCAGUGCGAUUGUUAUGUAUAUCACAACAAACUUGAAGAUGGUUCGAUGAUCUACUUGAUUCUGUAUGUAGAUAAUAUGCUUAUAGUUGUGAGGAACAAAGCUGAUAUACAGAAGUUGAAAAGUUUUCUCAGUGCAGAAUUUGAGAUGAAAGACUUGUGUGCAGCACAGAAAAUUCUGGGAAUGGAGAUUUUUAGGGAUAGAAGUCAGAAGAAGCUUUUUUUAUCACAGAAGAGUUAUAUUGAGAAUGUACUAUCCAGAUUUGGCAUGUCUACAGCAAAUCCUUGAAUACUUCGAGUGCAGUGAAUGGUCAACUAUCAAUUACACUCGCACCACAGUCAGAAGCAGAGAUAGAGUAUAUGGCUAAGGUUCCCUAUUCUAGUGCAGUGGGUAGUUUGAUAUAUGUCAUGGUCUGCAUUAGACCUGAUCUGGCACAUGCAGUCAGUGUUGUUAGCAGAUUUAUGGCUAAUCCUGGGAAGGAGCGCUGGCUGGCCGUGAAGCGAAUUUUUCGUUACCUGAGGGAUGCGUCUGAUGUUGGUCUCAUCUAUGGAGGUGAUAUAGAGUGUUUGAUUACAGGCUAUUCAGAUUCUGAUUAUACUGGAGAUAUUGAUAGUAGAAGGUCGAUGGCUGGUUAUGUUUUCACUUUUGGGCAUUCUGUAGCUAGUUGGAAAGCAACUCUACAACCUACAGUGACUCUGUCCACUAUUGAGGCAGAGUAUAUGGCACUGACGGUGGCUACUAAAGAGGGAAUUUGGUUAAGGGGACUGGUUGGAGAUCUUGGCCUACAUUAGGAUCAGGCUAAUAUAUAUUGUAAUAGUCUCAGUGCAAUAUGUCUAGCCAAGGAUCAAGUUCAUCAUGAGAGGACUAAACACAUUGAUGUUCGAUAUCACUUCUUGAGAUCCGAGACAAGGAUCAAGGUGAAGAAAAUUGGCACUGCUGACAGUCCUGCUGACAUGUUCACCAAGCCGGUUCCUCAUAAUAAGUUCAAACAUUGUUUGGACUUGCUAAAUGUCCUAAGUUUUUUAUAACCCUUAUGGGCAUUCUGAUGGUACUUAGAGACAAUUCUGAUAGUAAAAGAAGACUCUGAGUACGUCUGGCACUUCAUCAGUGCUUCUGUUACAUUUGUUUCUGAGAAGAUUCAAGUCAAAGUGGAGAUUUGUUGAAAUGUCUUGAAUCAGAUUUUCGACCUCCACUGAGUUGUUCAAAGGUCUUGAUUUUUGGGCCUAAUUUUUGGGUCCAGUCCGUUUUGAUUAUUUGGUUGUAUAUAUAUAUAUAUAUCUUAUAUCCAUUCUAUACAAAAAUAUUUGAUACAUUCCGAACCCUAAUAGAAAAAUCUGAUUUUUUCCAAAUUUGUUCUUGUUUGUUCUUCCGUUCCGCUGCAUCUGUUUUAACACCAUCCGUGUUUUAUACUUAUAAGCAGAAAUCACAUUUCAUCCUGCCUGCAUAUUGUAAAUCCUAAUUUUUGGAAUGAUAAAGUAGUUAGUCCCAUCAUAUAAAGGAAAACCAAAGUUAUUUACAUCUUCAUAGUAACUGGUGCAAUACAAUAAUCCAAACUGGUGCAAAAAUAUAUCAUCUAAGCAACUCACCUUAAAACUAUGUCAACAAAUUACAUGCUAAUUCAAAGAUUUUCCACUAGUGAGGAGUAUUGCAGUAGCAUUGUCAAUAUAUAUAAUGGAAGCAGUAGCUUGACAGGAACUCAACUAAAAAGCAUUAACAAUGUCUACAAAAAAUAGCCAUUUGAUCCAAGGAUCAUUUAGUUUUCUUCAAGAUUCACCUACAUGUGUCAUAAACCAAGCAAUUGGAGUUACCAAUCACACAGCUCUGCUUUUACAGUUUUAAUCUUAGAAAACAAAUAAAAACUAAGUUAGAGUAAAGAUUACCAAGUUUAUUGGCCAAGUAAUGGCCACUCCAAUUGCAUCUCCAAUCUUGUGGAAAUUAUGGUAUGGCCUUAUCAGCUCUUCAUCACUCUCCACAAACACAUUCACAUGGAUUUCACACCAAUGUAAUCCCAAAGGCGUGUCACCAAGAUAAAUCAUAGUUUCUGUGAAUGCAUAUUCAUGACAAAUAUUUAAGUAGGCUCAUGAUUAAAAGAGAACCAAAUGUUAGAUUAGGUAUGUCAUUAAAGGUAAUUUUCUAGUAGUAAGCAAUGUAGAUUGACCCUUAAGUCACAAGGAUAGCUAUGCACAUAAAUAACUUAGAAGAGCAAACACAAGUCAUGAGGAUUUAUGUAAAGUUUUAUUAAAGAAUUCAGUAAUAUAAAUUUAGACAUUUAGCGACGAUAAACAAUUCCAAAAUUAGAGCUACAAGUACAUGGUUUUGGUCAAUCAUGUUAAUCAGAAUAAUAAUUUUCAUCUAUGUCUUGUUGUAAGAUUUCAAUUUAUGAAGUUAAAUGUGCACUAGUGUGUAGUGAACAUAUAUUUAUUACAUUGGACUUACAUAACAUUUAAUAGCAAUUGGAAAAAAAGAAAGACUAAUAGUAACUGAAACAAGGACAAAACAAGAGGGGAAAAGCUAGACAAAUAUUAGGACCAAGAGUUUUGCCAUUUCCUGUCAGUAGUAUUCUGGUGACCCUAAUUAACAACGUUGCUAGACAAAGACCCAGUGAAAACUAAAGUCAUUAGAAAUUAAACUAACCACUGGAAUUUAUAAAAGGUGUACACUUCAUCACUGUCUUUGUACCUUGUGCAACGAGAAAUUGAAAAAAAGAAUAGAACAAAUUUCAUAGUAUAAUGCACUUUGUCCCAACCAUCUAAAAUGUCUCUGUCACCUAUUAAUUUUGUCAAAUUAAACUUAUGAGAUAUUUUAGUUGUACAAACACAUCCACAAGUAGGUCUAAUAUAAUCAAUGAAAUUAGAACAACACGAACAUAAAUGUAAGAUUAGCCCUGCUUAUGUCAUGCUCCAAUUUAAUAUAAAUGUAACAUGAGCCCUAAAAGCAUUAGCUUGACACCAAAUAGUAGAAGCUUCCUUAUGCUUUUCUAUAAGCAACAUGUUUUUUUCCUCAUUCUUGAAACUAUAAUAUCCAAAUCUUUGAUCAGUAUCUGAAUAAAAAUAGACAAAGUGAUUUCCUAAGUGAAAUGAGAUUGUGAGAGUGUCCAAACUUUUUAAAAGGCAAGAAACAACUUUACAUAUUGUCUUCACUCAAUAUAUAUCAUGCAUAAAUACUUAAUGAACAAACAAUAAUAUCACAUGACAAGAGUUGCCAAGCUACUGCUUCAUUAGGCAAUGGUCUGAGACAAAAGUAGCUAAAUACCUCAAAUAGAAAAUGCAUGUUCAAACUAAAGAUCCAAAGAGAAAACAUAAAGACACAUUCAACCAUGUUGCAAUAUUUCAGUUCUCUAUUCAACUCAAGAUUAGUUUAUAAAAUUGAUUUCAAGAAAAGAAGGCAGAGCCUUGGCAAAAAACUAAAGGGCAUGCUGCUUGGAAGAAUUGAGUAAACUAUAGAACAAAUCCAUUUGGCCCGCAAUGAAAAACUCAUUUAGUCAAUUUAUCAAAUAUGUGGUGGGUCACGGAUGCUACCAAACCGAUGCUAAAGAAGGCUAUAACAUUUACUUGGAAUCUUUCGACGGCAUCCAAUCAUCAAGAAACUUCAGUAUAACCAUCAAGAACCUUCUAUUGUUUGCUAAAAAACAAAAAGAAAAAAUUCCAAACAUGAGAAUAAAUCAAAACAAUGACACAUCAAAUCAACUAACAUUUUGAUGGCAUACUCAAAUAGCUAAGUAGAAGACAACCCUAAAUUGUUGAUGCCAUCAACCUUUUUGCUUAUUUUAGACAAAAUUGGAGAUGUAUAUGUAGACCUAAAGUUAAAAUUAUCUCUUAAAUACAAGAAAUCAAAAAGAAAACAAUCUUGAUGUUAACAAAAAAUUGAAUAAUUGAUAUUCAAUAAACUAAAAAAACAUCUUAAUCAUUGUACCUCCAUCGGUGGGAUGAAUCCCAGUUGCUUCCUCCUUGAAAAAUUAGUUGAUUGGCAAGAAAAUUGGCUAAAUUUACCCUAAAUUGAGAGAAACAAGAGAGGGAGGGAAAGGUCACAGUACAAAGAGAGAGAAAAUGCAGCGGGUGAGCAGAGAAGUAAUGAGAUGUGGUAAGUAAGAAAAGGGAGGAAAUAUUAGAAUUUUGGGUGAAAAUAAUCACGCGCUAAAGCAUAGCACCAACUUUCAAAAUUAAGGGUGAUACGAUAUAGUUUUGUCUACUUUUGGCACCUUUUUAAUGACACUCCUUACUGACUGUUAUGUUAACACCCUAUUAUGACGUUUAGGAAAUAUGUCAUAAUACAAGUGUCAUUAAAAGCUAUUUUUCUAGUAGUGAUUAUUUAAAUAAAUUUUUAUAAACGGGUAGUGGUUAGGCAAAAACUUACAAGAUAUUGUGCUCUAGCGCUAUCACCUUGAAAGUCCUCUGGAAAAGUGGGAUACCUACUUGGAUUUGAAAUAUAAAGCAUUGUCUGCUCUCGAUACUAAUGACGAUACUCAUCCGAUGGAUAUGUAGGAUCUUCAACUACAACAAUAUCUUGUACAUGCACACGCCGAUCAGUCCACACAUCUAUAUAUGCUCUAUGCGUAGUUAUCCAGUCUUGAUUCUCCCUUACCACGACGAUCUAGAGAAUGUAGGGUUACUUGAUUUUCAGUCAACUUAAGAUCAGGCAGGGAUUGAUAAUAUCUAAAUUGUCAUAUACCUAGAUGCGGAAGAUGCGGCUCGACAACUUCCCAACAUAUAAGAUACUGUCACCUCCAAAUGUCACGACCUGCAGUAUAAUAUGCAGGCAGAAAAGUGAGAACAUCCUCCGAAUAUGGCUACCAUAUGAACUGCAAAAAAGAUAAAUGAAUAUGCACAGACCACUAAGUUAAAUUGGUCUCCACAAACAAUUUACUAUAUGCACCAUUGAAUAUUGUCAAAUGCAAAAAACACAACAAAUUUAAGCAAAUUUCUGUCAUUUUUCAUAUUUUUUAAGAAAAUUUCGACAGCAUCUCCCCUAUAACUGGAAGAAAACUCCCUGUCAACAAAUCCAAGUUUGAAAUAAUCAAAUACAAUCUGUAUCUAUUCAUCUAACAGUUACAUAUUUUAUUAUCUUAUUCAAAAAAGGUAAAGUAUUAGAUGUUCAACGUCAUUGCACAAUUACAAUACCUCUUGAGGAUGUAGACCUAUCAACUGAUCUCGAAAUAUUGACACGACAUGUCUUACAACUCUGUGUAGAUAAAACCCAACAUUCCACCUAAAUAGAAUAAAUGAAGAUUUUUUUAAAACAAAUGAUUGUUAUUUAAAUUACAAAUUAUGGUCACAACUACAAUUGAUUUAUACACACCGAACUCCAUAUGGACCAGGAUAGUGCUCUAACGGCUGCACUCGAUCGGAACGCAUUAUAGGUAUACAUUCCCAUACCCAUAUCUGUAAUAAAAAUUGGAAUCAUUUCAUAAUUGUAAUAAAAUAAUAAGUAAAUAACCUUACUUUUAUUGAGUUUAAUGUAUCUGUAGCAAAACUAAUGGUCCUACAAUAAUCGAUCUAGAGGGUGAUGUGACUAUACACAGGGAUCGAUAGAGAGUCACUAAUAUCGUACUACCCCAAUUGUACCGCCCAACAAUUUUCAAGUCUCAUAAUAAGGGAAGAUAUAUUAACGGGACUUUAUUAUCAGAUUUAUCGGACAAUAAAUGACCACCUAAUAACAGGAGGAGGUAUAUGCAUGCUUGCUGUCUACAUUCGACAUCCGAAGCAUCAGUUGGCAACUCUGUAUCUAAUGCCCUGGAUAAACACCCCAAUUUUAACCUUUGUUCAUCAAAAUCCGACAGGGACGGAGAAAAACUAAUAAGCUCCUCACAUAUGAGUCCCCAUUCCUGAACACUAUAAGAUGUAUCUAUCCCUGUAAUUGGAGGACUAUUGAUCGGUAAUCCCCAUAGGACCUCUACAUCCUGUAAGGCAACUGUAACCUCUCCAACGGGUAGAUGAAAGGUAUGAAUUUCAGGCCGCCAUUGCUCCAUUAAACUAGUGAUCAGAGCAUGAUCAAUCAUCAUAUAUCCACUCUCGAGCACCCCUUCAAACCCAACCAAACGAAAAUAAUGCCAAACAGUUUCGGGAAUAGGUGUAUGCUCCCAAAAAUCCUUAUCACAUCGUCUGACAUCGAGCUAAUUGUCCAAAAUAUGCCAGAAAAAUAUGAAAUGUGCCCAUUGUGCAGUUCUUGCAGAGAUAAUAUCGUACAUGAAUGGCCCCAGAUGCAGAUCUGUUGGUGCAAGAAUGUCAAUCAUAUCGAUGUGAAUAUCUGCAAGAAUAAGUACAAUAAUGCAAAAUUUGUCAUUCCUUAUAACCAUAAACCGAAUCAUCAAAUACAAAAUAUUGAAAGAUUCAACUAAUAUAUAAGACUACACACUAUAAUGCCUAGAAUAGGAGUUUGAGAACCCAUACUAACUUGACACUUUAAGAACUAAGACCCCUUCAAACUAAAAAAAAAACAAAAAUAUUAUUUUCAUAAUUUAUCAACAAAUAGUAUAUAGCAAAAUAUACUAAUUUCAUAAUGCCUUCUAAUAGAAUUACAUGGGUUCCUAUCUCUAAAUUAUUUCAUUCAAGGUUUAUAAUUUGAGCAAUUUCUUCUAUUGUGACCCGACUGAUGAUAAUUUGUACAUUUUCUUGGUUCUUCUGGAUCUCUCUCAUCCAUCUCAUUUCGAAUUCUUCUUGCUCGUACUCUUCCUGCCCGAAAUGUAAUAUAUUUACUUCUAUCUACAUGUAACUCCCAAUCAGGUUGGAGCCAAGUAUUUGGAUGCGGUAAAGGGUUAAACCUUUCUGAAUACUGUACCGGCCACCACUUUUUUAUAAAUUGGGGCCUGUACUGCUACCACUUGGCACAAGAGCAAGUUUUAUCAAAAAAUUUGACCGUUUGUGUAUUACCCCCUUUGCCAUCCAUACGUCGGCCUGUCACAACUUUGUACACCCCUGUUGAGACAUCAAACUCCACAACCCUAUGGAGUUCGGCUUUCUGAUCAAAAAUUUUAAAUCGCCGCCAUAUCUUUGGAGGAAAAGGGUUACAGUAAUGUCUGGCAUUCUCACUUCUCGUUUCAAACAACUCAACUGUCCCGAUGAAAUGUCAUAUUGAUACAAGCCCAAAUUGGCAAAUGGCGUGCCCCUCUAAGUACAUUAUUAUAGCUUUCGGAUAUGUUGAUUGUAAGAAUACCCCCAACGAUGGCCACCGUCAUGUGUUAGACACCACUUUUCAGGUCCAAUAUCAGACAAAUAAGUUCAUGCAUCAGAAACAUGUUUCUUAUUUCUCGUUUGAACCCCCGCCACUUGCGCAAUUGUCUAGCUUUUUCCAUUGCUCAACACAACCUUUUAAGAUGCAGGCCUUUGAAGUGUGUCAUUAGUUUGCUCCUAACGUGUCGUAGGCAAAACUUAUGAAACGCCAAAGAUUCUUUUCAAUAAUCAAACUGUGUCAUGGCAUGAAUGAUACCAUUAUGACGAUCCGAAAUGACAAAAAGAGGAUACCGGUCACGAGCCACAUGGUAUCUAAAUUGCUCCAUAAAUCAUGACCAACUAGAAAUAGUCUCUUCAUCACCAAUGGCAUAAGCAAUUGGAAUUAUCUUGUUGUUGGCAUCUUGCGCAAUUGCAACAAAUAGUUUGCCUUUAUAUUCACUAUGCAAAUGAGCGCCAUCAACAUAUAUAACCGGUCUACACAUGCAAAAUGCAUCAAUAGCCGGUCCAAAAGCCCAGAAUACAAACUUAAAUGUUUUUACUCGAUCUGUACUUUCCAAAUGGUGCUACCACUUGACCACAGUUCCCGGAUUUGACUGAACAAGUGCAUCAAUAUAUUUUGGUAGUUUAGCAAAAUUGGCAUCCCAAGAUCCAAAUAUAAGUUCAAUAGCUUUGUAUCUGGCAUACCAUGCCUUUUUGUAAGAAACAUCCACCUUCAAGCCUUCCUUAACAUGACUCAUUAUAUUCUUAACUUUAAAUCUAGGAUCAUUUUCAAUGCUACAAAGUAUGUGUCUAGCAAUAACUGAAGAUGUGAGACUUGUAUUGCUAUUACUCAUCAAAUCACCUAGACAAUUAUUGUCGUUGACCCAUUUGAUUAUUUGCCACAAACUAUGAGUCUUCUUUUUCACUGCUCUAACACACUAGUCGCAUGCCGAAUACGAUGGGGUGACUGUAGUGCUAGUACUCCUAUCAAAUACAGAUUUGCAUUUGACAACCCACGUGUUACUCUCGCUCUCAACCACCCUGAACUCCCUGUUAUGAUUGAUAGACUACAUCCUAACAGCCCUACUGAGCUGUUGUUUGCUCUCAAAUAUUAUAUGUAGGCGUAUAUUAUUAUUUUUCUCACUGAAUAUAACAAUGCGCUCUAACUUACUUUUAUCAGUGAGUUGGUCAUCAUUAUGUAUGUUUCCAAGGUCAGAGAAAAAUCUAAGACCUCUUGGAACAUAUGAGAGGCCCACAAUUGCAUUGUUUGACCUACUAUCUCCUCGCUCAGUAUUCGCAACGCUCAUACCAUUAAAAGGCUAUUGGGUCUCGAGAUCCGGGUGAAAACCACAAGCUUCAUGUUCGUCAUCUGAGCCACUGUCGGACACAUCAAUUGACUCAGAUACUUCUAUGUCUUCUGUGUCAUGUUCCGAAUCAUCGUCUCCUCUAAAGCAGGGAGCUUGUCAUAUCCACUGGCAUACACAUUAUCUAUAGUUGUUGUUGGACAACUUAGACCAGGGGUGAAAUCUAAGCCAUAACAAGAUAAAUGAUACAGUGAUCCUGGAUCUCUACAACUUGGAAUCGAGUCAAGGCCGUGAACAUAUUCAACAUCACGCCUUAACCCUGAUGUGAUGCUUGACUCUGACGAGUCCCUAUCCCAAUCUCCAUGUGUAUAUUGGGAGGCCGAUGCAGUCUCUGAUACUACUGUACUAGAGUGGGACCGGAAUCUUGUUGGAUUCAUGCAUGCAUGGACAAGUGACAUCAUCGGACCAACAUUGGUAGUUGAUGAAAUGAAUAUGCUACUGACUCGAGAAUUUUGGAAAAUUUCGUCCUUCUCGAUAUAAAGCUCGGCUAUGUAUGGAACAAUUUCAUUCCAUAUAUCGUACAUUAUCUCCAGAGUUUCAUCAUCCACCACUGUGGAGACAUUAUAAGAGGUACGGCCACACGAUUGACGGAGAAAUAAAUUCAACUUGAACGUCUCCCGAUUAACCCCCAUAUAUUGAUAAAUUAUGUCAACCAAUUCCUCAUAUCCAAUUCUAUGCCGCAAUGUGAACGUACGGUUGGAGGUAUGAGGCAAGUAACAAAUUGACCCAUCCUCGUAAUGUAUUUUACCUCCCCAAUAAAGAGACACUCGCAGAGGUCUUUCUACAAACAUAUGUGUGAAAUGAUCCUUAUUUUGGGGAAAAUAAAUUAGAAUUUGUAAUACAAAAGUAUGAAACAAAUGACUAUCGGAUUAGGACUCUCUUCAAAAUAAUUUUCGCAUCAUCUCUCCCAAAUAUUAGCUCAAACUUUUCAUUAACCAUUGACCAAUUUUUUUUAGCUAUCAAUGCACUGUAAAUAAUUACUAUUUCUUAACUAGCUAAAGAAAAAACUAUAUUAAUUAUAUGAUGCAUAUAAUAGAAUGUGAAACUACAAUAAUUUGGAGGAGAAUCCCCUAUCUCAAUGUUAGAAGCAGCCUGCUUGUAAAAGUUAAUAUUUUUAGUUAAUUUUUUAUAGAAUUUGAAAGCAUAUUUUAAGUUAAUAUUCCCUCUAAAUCCCCUAUAAAUUUCGAUAGAAUGUUAUUCAUGAAUUCUUAUUCUGCAAAAAAAAAAAAGAAGAUAAGUUGAUUAAGUUCAAUAGCUUUCCUUGUUUUAUUUCACGUUUCAAAACACCCCCUUUGAGUCACUCUUGUCACCACUCCUCAAAAAAACUUUUAAGUUAAUAACUAACCAAAAAAGCCCAAAAUUAUAUCUAAGCAUGUAAAUGUCAAAACUUUUUGAAAACUUAGUAGAAUUUUUGAAAAAAUUUCAACAGAAUCUCCCCUAUAACUACGCUAAAACUCCUUGCCAACCAAUCCAAGCACGUAUCAAUUUUCAAAGCUAGUUUAUUUAAUUGCCUAAAAUAUUACGAUGCAUUCGCUAAAUCUUUCUACAUCCACCAAAUUCAUCAAAUUCGUCAUCUUUAUGGUUCAAAAGUAAAACUACAUAAAAGACCAUUCAAAUAAAAUAAUAAAGCCAAAACAAAAUGGCCAAUCAAAAUUUCCAAAUCCCUGAUAAUUUGGUCAAAAAAAGAUGUAUAUCUCAUUUUGUCAUGUUCGAGACAACCGGAGGGAUCAAAUAAAACCUACUUGUUCAAGUAAAAUGAACUUGUUCAUAUAGUUGGACAAAUAUCAUAAAUAUAAAGAGAGGCAACUUUGUUAAAGUUGUAAACUUAUAAAUUUACCUAAUAAUUAGUCUCAGAUUCCAUACAUGCACUCCAACAGAGAUUUGAUCCUACUAUUAUCAACCAAAGCCUCUUCAACUGAUAAUGUGCUCGUGUCACCAACUUUGUGCGCAUCUGUAUGAACAUGAUGGAAUUAAUGACAAAACAAAAAAAUUUAAAAAUUAGUCGUAGCAUGUAUUUGUCAAAAAUUUUUAAACAACUUUGAUAGUUUUUAAAGAGAUUUUGAUAGAAUCUCCCCUAUAAAUGGGCUAAAACUCCCUGCAGCUGAACAAAUCACAUCAAUUUAGAACACUGCAAACUAUAAUCUCCUAUUUUGCUAUAAGAGUUUAUUGCAAGGGUUAAAACUGAAAAUUCUGCUAAAAUGUCCGGGUUUAACAACAUUGCCCCCUCCAGCUUUUAAAUUGGACUUGAACUUUUUCCAUUAGCAUAAAAAUGAAAUUUAUAAGUAAAAAUUCAAUCUACUCGAAUGAAUGAAUUCAAUAAACACUCAUUCGGGUCCAAAAUCCAACUUAUUUGAAAAAUUAUAGCCUUUGGUCAUGUCUUUCAUAAUAUCUUCCAAUUUUCUAUUUUUAUUUGUACUUUGGUCCAAUAAAUCUGACCUUUUAUAAGUCCAUUUUAGAGAUUUUUGAGUUAAAGUCUUCUUGUUCCUUUUUUUUGUUCCCCCUCGAGGAUGAUCCUUUGGUCAUUGUGGCUAUCUUAUGGCCCGUUCAAUUGGAUAACAUCCACAAACAAGAACUUGUACCAAGCAUUCAUUACCAGUUUGUAUUUGUUUAUCAUAAUAUAAAGUUGAAUGGACUUAUAAAUGGCCCAUAUUUUUGUCAAUUCACCAUUGUAUUGGCUACCUAAACGUCCUGCAUCUCCUCCCACAUAUUGUAGUAUUAGUUAAUUGAGUUAAUAAAAAAUUGGGCCCUGCUUUGUGUUGCCUAAUGCUGGAUUAGUGCAAAACAACUUAAAAUCCAAAGAUGUCUGUAAUCUCUAUGAUGCAUUGUAUUUACCUUCAAAUCCAAGUUCAUGUACAACUUACAAAUCUAUUAAAUUAGGAUUGAAUGUCCCAAACUCAAGAUUUAAUUGAAUUCCUAAUCCUCAAUCCAUUUUCAUCUACUAAUACACUGGUAUCUCAAUUUGUCAUUAACCUUUUAUGUUUGUUCUCAAAAUCUCCUUCAUUAAUUGUCACUCCAGCUAACAUUUUCAUCAAAUAUAACCCAACUCAGCAGUCUUGACCCCUUAAACCACUUUCCAGGCUAGGAUAUACCACCACAAUUAAUGAUACCAAAACAGAGGGAAUGUAUUAAAUGUCAAUGUUGAUUUGUCAAAUUUCCUCCACCAAGGCAAAUUAUGCAUCGGACAAUUAUCUAUUGAUGGGACCAAAUUAUUGUCGGCAAUUGAAAUUCUGAGCAGUCAAAUUAACUGCUGUGAUUCUUGAGAGGGCAGGCCAUUAAGGAUAGUGAUUAAGAACUAUAUGUUGACUUUAGUCCCUAGCUUUUGAUAUUUACAAAACAAUGGAUGAUACUAAUACCUCUUCAAGAAAUAUUUUCAGCUAUGAAGCAAAUCUGAUUCAAAGAACAAGAGCAUUUGAAAGAGAUAAAAGAAAUUGAAAGCUGUCGGACGCUCGCGAAAACAACAUCGGACAUCCGAAAAACAAUGCAGCACUUCGGACGCAUGAAGAACUCCAUUACUGGAUGUCCGAAAGAAUUAACAUGAUUUCUCAAACUCACUAUUUAUAUAAAUAGUGUAUGGGCAGAAACUUCAAACAACUUUUGCACACUGAAGAUUACAAAAGAUAUAGAGUAGUUUUAGUGAGAAAACACUCUCUAAGGAAGAUUUGUAGUCUUGGUGGUGUGAAGUUUGUUGUAAGCUUUUCAUUUGUAAGUGAAUACUUCAAUAGUGUAACUCUGUGAGGGUUGUCCUGAGGGAUAAUAAAACUUCCUAACUUGAUCGAGUGGAGUUUAGGGCAAAGAGGAAGUGAGCCUUCUUUUGUACACAAGAUUGGUUGUAUUUCAUCAACUUGAAGAAGUUUGUUUGAAUUGAUCUACAAGCUCAAGAGGGUAAUCAAAUAGUUUGCAAUUCUUCCUUUCUUAUUUACUUAUUGUUAUCUUGUGAUCUUUAAAUUGCUUAUAUCUUCUACUUUUCUCAAGUGAUUUUGUUCAUUCAUUGAUUGAUUCAUUAUGUGAUCACUUAGAAAAGAGGGUAAAUUUCAUAUUGAGCAAAAAGUGCCCAUAAUCUGAUUAAUUUCUUAAUCAACCUAAUUCACCCCCCUCUUAGGUUGUCUUCGAUCAUUACACUAUAAAUAAGUGGGAUUUUGUAAUUUUAACUCCACAAUAAGAACAUUUGUAUUCUCUUCAUGUCCUUAAGAACAUCUGUACCAUGAAUGAACAUUAAUGUUUAACAAAAGAAAAAAAUAGCGAUUAUUCGUAGCAUUCAUUUUCACCAGAAAAAGAAACAAAAUCAAUAACUACGGGCAUUUCAGCAUCUUCUUCCGUCACUGGCCAUAGCAUCACAAAGCUUACCUUAUUCACCGAAAGAUGGCUGUACCUUCAACAUUUUCCGGUCUCCAUUUUGCAGCUUUUCGGGCCUUCAACUUUCCGAUCUCCGUUUUGCAGCUUUCUGGUGAGAGCUUCCGAGAUGACCAGAGUUGGACUCCUUCCCUCCAACGGCUGCACUCUUGAUGAAUGCUGCUGCUUCCGAGGAUUUCAAUGGCGGAUUUGGGAUGCAAUUUCCCCUCAAUUUGUAUUUCCCAAUUUUGUUGUUUCUUACGGUUUUCUGGUUAAAUGAGUCAAAGAGAGGACUGAGGUUGAAGGAGCUGGGUUUUUGUUUUUGAUCGACAGACAAAGGACCUCGCAUUUCUCAAAUGCAAGGUCUAUUUAAAAAAAAAAAAUGCUACCUGGCUUUUUGUUAGCUCGCAUUUGCUGAAUGCGAACUAAGCUAGUUCGCAUUCAGAAAAUGCGAACCACUUGAUUUUAGAAAUUACCCCACAAAUACCGUCUCUUGUAGAAAAAUUUUUUUCCAUAAUAAUUUAAGAAUUUACUCGGAUAGUUUAUUACUAUUAUAAGAUAAAUCCAUGACGAAGUAAGGGAAGUGGAGGUCAUUCCAUGUCAGUAGUUAGGCAGCGUUGAAAGAUCCCCUAAUACUUCUUUUUAUAGAGGAAAUUCUUAAAUUAUUAUGGAAAACAAAAUUUUUACAAGAGAGGCUAUUUGUGGGGGUGAUUUCUAAAAUCAGGUGGUUUGCAUUUGCUGAAUGCGAACUAGCUUAGCUCGCAUUCAACAAAUGCGAGCUAACAAAAAGCCAGGUAUAAUUUUUUUUUUUUUUAAAUUGACUUCACAUUUCUCAAAUGUGAGGUCCUUUGUCUGUCAGUCAAAAACGAAACCCAGCUCCUUCAACCUCAGUCCUCUCUUUGACUCAUUUAACCAGAAAAAUCCUAAGCAACCACAAAAUUGGAAAAUGCAAAUUGAGGGGAAAUUGCAUCCCAAAUCCGUCAUUGAAAUCCUCGGAAGUAGCAGCAUUCAUCAAGAGUGCAGCCGUUGGAGGGAAGAAGUCCAACUCUAGUCAUUUCGGAAGCUCUCGCCAGAAAGUUGAAUCCCCGAAAAGCUGCAAAAUGAAGACCGGAAACUGUUGAAGCUACAGCCAUCUUUCGGUGAAUAAGGUAAGCUUUCUGAUGUUAUUGUCCAAUAACGGAAGAAGAUGCUGAAAUGCCAGUGACGGAAGAAGAUGCUAUUGUCCAGUUACGGAAUCUCGCAUAUGCAAUGCUGACCUCGCAUGUGUCAAACGUGGGGUUGCCUAACCUUUUGACAAGGUAACCUCGCAUUUGACAAAUGCUUGAAGCAAUUUUUUUUAAAAUUUUUGCAAAAUCAGAAAUUCAAUAAUAAAUCGCAUUUGCGAAAUGCGAACUUAGUGAGCUCGCAUUUUAUAAACGUGAACAACACUUAAGCAGAAUGCUACACUCAAAAAGCUCCAUUUAUAGAAAAAUUUUAAAUUUCAUCAUAAAUUUAGAAAUUUCUCCGUAAAAUCAAGAGCAAUUUUUAGUGGAUGUGACGAGGCCGUGACGACAUUUUUACUCAAUUCCUAGGCUGCAGCAAGCAGAUCUAAAGGACCGUUCCAAAUCCCCAAAUUUGGCCUGGAAAUAUAGCAAUCUUGACAAUUUUCUCAAAAAAUCUGGCAAAUUUCACUCAUCAGCUAGCAACUCCCAUAAUAUAGCAACCUUGAUAAUUCUUAUCCAAAAAUUUACUAGCAAUUUUUACUCAUCAGCUUGCAACUGUUCCCCAAUUCUUGACAUAGCUUAUACGACAUGAUGCUACUUAACCAAAACUGAAUGAAGCUGACAGCAUUUACAAGGAACUUGGGUCAGACUUCGACCAAGAUCAAGUAAACUACGAUCUCGGUUCUAUUGUGUCAACAACAAAUUGGAACCUAAGCACUUGGAACAAAUAUUGAACAUCCCAAUAUGCUCUGCCCAAUUAUGCUCUGUCAAAGGGAUUACUGACCGCAUCAAUGUGUACGGACCUGGAAUGCUGGGAUCCCAACCUUCACCACUUUUACUGAAACCUCUAUAGUACAUGAUAACAGCAUUACAGUAAAAUAUUUGUGCUCAAUAUAGCUAGUCAAGUUGUUUCGUCCAGUCAAAUGGAUCCCAAUCUUGGGCAAAAGCAGCAACAGCUUGUUUCUGCAUCUCCAACGAUAUAUGCUUCUGUCGACAGUGCAUGUCUUCAGCAGGCAAGCGUAGCAUACCUCUUAUCACAUUUAGGCCAAAGUUGCUCUUAAAUUGCUUUUCAUCAUCAAUCACAUGAACGAAUCCCUUGUCUAGGCCAAAUUCGACAUGAAAGUAAGGGAAGUUCUUUGGAACUGAAGCACGGAGGCCCUUCUGACUGGUAUCAAUCAGCUUCUUGGCAUUAUGUUGACUCCACUCCUCCUCUGCCUCAUCAAUUGCCUGUGACAUAUCAAAAAGUAGCCAAAUGUUAAGUAUCCAAGCAUGAAACUCGAGCAGUUUUUUAUUUUAAAGACAUCAACAUGUUAAACCAAAAUAAUCAAUCAAAAAGAUCCGAUUCAUCAAUGACUAACUAAUCUAUAAACAACAAACAACAGGAGUAAGUACGAUUGGUUUAGUAAGGAAAUUCUUGCUCUAAAAGGACACAAAAGAGAAUUUACUCUCUUCAGUUUUCAAGUACAAUCAUAAGAAUAUAGAUUUACUUCCAACAUGUCACAAACAUCUCAUAUGUCUCCUUCUAGCUGAAUCACAACUAUCAGAGUUGGAUAGAACACCUGCACCAGAUCAUGACAAAUUAUUUUUAAGGUUUUCUGAUGCACAAACUGAGUAAUUCAUAAUCAUCAUUGCUCUCCAUACAAAUCAAUCAAUUUCUGCUUUUGCUUUGCAUGCCUUGAUCAAUCAACAAUUUCGUCAAGAACUCAAAGGACUACUUUUACACUUGAUUCAGGUAACACCUAGAAAAGCUAUUGCAAGACUUCUUAAACAGUUAACACUGUCAAUAAUAAAAAUGAAAAGUGGACACCACCCUCCAUGCCCUUAUCUACGCAGCAAACUCCAUAUCGUUAAACACUUUAUCAUACCAAACUAAACACCACAAAAUUUUGGUCUAGAAGGAACCCCAUGAGCUCCAAUUUAUAUUUUUCUCCAAUCUUCAGCAAGUACUGAUUGGUCAAAAUUGAAAAAGAAUUAAAAAAAAAACACAUUCACACACACGGAUGGCCUCCAGAGUCAGGAUCACCUUUAAGAUUAACCAUCAGAAAGAUGCAAAAAAAAGAAGAAACUGAAGAAAACUAACCUUCUUGAAAUACAAAGGUGCCUGUUUUGCAACUUCAUGGGGCAGCGGAAUGCAAUCCAGCAAACAAUGGCGGCGUUGCUGUGCCAAGCCCAUCACUGUUUCAAGAAACACAACAUCCUUAUCCUGCUUAGCAAACAUCAUUAUCAGGCACUUCUUGAAAUUCCGGAUUUCGUCCCAUAUAUUGUUGUCUACAGUUCUUGUCCGAGACUCAUGCUGCACAUGUCAAAAACCAUUGUUAGCGCUGUGGGAUGAUGACAAUAAUUACAAGAUCAACUCAGCAGCAAAGUUAACUUUCUUUCGUUUCCUUUUCAACACUAUUAGUGCGUAAAAACUUAAAUGUCCAUCACAAAGUUCUACGUGGCAAGCAGAAACGAUAAUCUGGGUUACCAAGGUUUCACAUUUUUCAGCAACUAAUGAAAUGUUAAUUUGGAGUAUAUUACCUUUUGCUGCCCUAUGGAUUAAGCACAAACACUUGUAAGAAUAUACCCUGAACCCCAAUUUGGUUUUAAAGAUGCAAAUGCACAACCUUCACUAGGGCAUACAAGUAGCUAUAACAUAUCAUGAAACAUCUGUAAUGCAUAUCCGUUUUGGUUCUCUUAAUUGGUUGUUUAACUGAAGAAUGCAGACCUAACCACUUUUUUGUAUACAGGGUACCUCUAAAAGAAAGGAGAAAGCAAUUCCUAUGAGUCUAAGUUUGUGAAGCACAGUGCUGAGAUAUCUCUAAAGGAUUAGGGAGAUAUCUCUAAAGGAUUAGGGACAUGCAUCUUUAUCAUAUAACAGACUAGAAAAGAGGCAUUCGUCGUACACGCUCAAGCUCCAGAAUUACAGUGGAGCAAUCCUGCUCUGGCCUAGAUAUAAACUGUAAAUAUGGGGAGAGAGAGAGAGAGAGAGAGUUCACCUGCAUAGUUAAAAUGCAGCAAUGACCAGGGACAACAGGCUGCCAAUGAGGUCGAAACAAAAUUGACACCUCUCUUUCUGUGUCAAGAGGCGAUUUGCAAUCCUAGUUGCCUGACUUAUCUCAUUUGGUUUUUGGUCUGUACCCAUUCCUUUGUGCCGAGUCUUUUUCCUUGGACCAUCAUCAUAAUCAUACUCAUCAUCUGCCUAACCAGAGAUGUUAUACUGCUGGUUCCACAUUAUCUUUUGAGCCAGAUACAAGUCAGCGUCGUCCUCCUUCAUCUUUUGUCGAGCAGAUACACCAUGAAUGAUAUAUCUGCUUGUGCUCCCAUCAAUCCGUGGUCUGUGAGACUCAUCCUCAGCAUCUGGCUUUGCCUUUGUGUUUUCAGCCUCCUUCACAAGUUUUUCAGCCUCUUCAUGUUUCCCUUUCAUGCGAAGCUGCAUGACUUUGGCAGCCAACUGGUUUGCCUUCAAUGCUGGCUUCACAGUUGGACCAUCUUCACCAUGUCUUUCAACCAAAUUUGAUUCCACUAGUCUGUCAUUUUUUGCAUUUGAAGAACUGACAGGAUCAUUUGAACUAUCAUUUUUCUUUUGCAUAAAGUCACGCAUAAAGCUUCCAUCAUUGGAAAACUUAUUUAAGCUAGACACUGCAGCAGAGAGGUUGAUAUCCUGAGCAGGCAUCUUACGCUUUCCCCAGGAUAAAGAAUCCUGAACUUUUGGUAUUCUCAUAUUAGCAUGGCACGAAGACCCAUCCUGCAAAAAGUUACUGUUAGGAUUCUAAAACUUAUCAGGAAAGGGAAGAAAACCAUCCAUAAAGAAAUAUGACUGGGAAAGUCUGGGAAGUUUUUGAAAAAUUACCAAAAACUAAUCACAUACUUCUUUUGAAAUUGGAAAAUUUUGUAUCAUUAAGCCAACGUCUUUCAGAAACAACACAGUCUGGAGAAAUCAUACCUUCUCAAUAAAUAUUCCCUUGUCUCUAUCUGCAUCUGUUUGUUCUCCGUCCUUUAGCCUUCUCCUCCGACUUUUUAUCGCAUGAAGAUGAGCAUGAUUUGGUGCCACUCUAUGGGAUGCCACAGAAACUGCCAGCUCUCCAAGAGAGCCCCACCGAUCUUCAACCACCUGUACAAAGUUAGUUCAUUACACAAUACUAGCUUGAAUGAAGAAUCUAAAUAAGAAACCUAAGACAAUCCCACAUACCUCCUCAAGCUUCCGUCCUUCACAGGCUGCUUGCUCCUGAGCUCGUUUCAAUGCUUUCAACCUCCAGCUUGCACCUCCAUCACCCACAAGUGAAGAAAAAAGAACUUGGUUCUGACAAGCAUUAACAUCUGAAUCUUCUGGAUACCCACUACCAUUAUUCUUCAAAUAUGGAUUCAAGUCCCUGGGAUUCAUCUUCUUAGUCUGAACCAAAAAAUAUACCAGGAAAUAGAAUAACCAAACUGUAUUUGAAAAUGCAUGAUAACAGCAAUUUGGCAUCUACAGAUAAAAUCAGCCCAGAGAACAAUCCACAACAGGCAAGAUAAACACUCUCAACGUUGACAAGAAAACACAAGUAUUGGCAGAUCGGUCAAACCAAUCAUAUAAAAAAUUACAUGAAGGCACAACUCAACUGAACAAAAGCCACAGGGCAAUGCUUCCUGCAAGAACAUGUAGUUUUGUGCAUAGACGAGUUGAUUUCAGACCCAAAAAUAAAUAAAUAAAUCAAUAAAGCACACACACACACAAGUUUGGAGAAAAGAACUAAAUAAAAAUGGAAAAAAUCCAGAAGGGAAUUUAGAUUAUCACUUUGAAUUGAGAUUGACUCAUUCAAGGUCAUCCAGGAUUGAAAUGUUACCAUUGCUACUAAGCUAAUAGCACGUGAGAAUAUACUACAAAAGAACCAAGUCCUUAAUCCAAUUACUCCAAGAGAGCCGUUAAAGCCUCUCCAAGUGUCUCUAGUCUCCCCUGUCUCAUUUUUAUUGAUCCUAAAUGCUUGUUCUGUCUAUUAUCCAUUAACACCAAAGUUCCUCAAACUCCAAUUACCAACAGGCAGCCCCUAUCCAUUUCUCGUCUUUUCUUGACAAUCAAAAGAAGAAAGCGGGGCAAACGAUUGAACCCAAAAAUGUCAAUCGCAGCCUUUUUUUUUUUGGGGGGGGAACCAAAGCACAUAGAAGUUCCUUUACCAACUGUUGUUCCCAAGGUUUCUCCAUCACCAAAAUUCUGGCCUUUUUAAACUAAAACGUUGCCGCUACAGUAUGUUCAAUGGUAGAGAACAAACAUCAGAUUUACGCGUUUGCAGAUUUUACAUUAAAAAAAAAGUCUAAAUAAUUUGAAAGCUAACCUCUUCACGUUCAACCUGAACCUCCUGUUGCUUGUCCGAAACCGUUGCCGGAGUCUUUUCCAUGGUAUCCUUCGGUCGCAGCAUCCAGUCCAAACCCAUCUCUUUCCUUGAAAUAUCUCUCAAGUUCUGGGAUUCAGAACCUCCACCAUUAUCUGACCAAUUUAGCAAAAGAAUAGACAGAUUAGUGGAGUCAAAUAAUUUCAUCAAUGAAUGGACUUUCACCAUGAUUUUCAGAUAUUUUCAGGGUAUAAACAAAUUUUUAAAAAAAGGGGAAAAAAACCUUACCCGUAUCCCAUUUACACAAGAAAUCGCACAGAAAGGCAGCCAUAACAAAUCAAUCUUUAACCCAAAAUUAAUUCUCUGUUUGAAGACUCUUCACCAAACAGCAAGUCGGUAGCAGAAGUUCAAGAGAAGGAGAAGGAAAAAUAAAAGGGCGAAGAAAACGAGGAGGCUUUCAUAUCAUAUGCGCGGUGGGUGGUGGUGAAAUUCGAAGCACAGAGGGAGAAUAGAAUAACAGACUCGAGUCGGAAACCUCCCUUGAAGAGGUUUCUGGCGGUGCUUCACAAACCUCCCUUGAAAAAGUUUCCAACGGUAUUAGUAUUUUUUUUUUCAGAGAUAACAAUUAUAGUAUAACCUAUGUAUCCUAAAUUAUAGGGAAUGAGAGUCGAAAAAGGCAUUGUAUUAGGAACUAAUAGGUACACAAAUUUUACUAAAUCAAGGGAGUGCUUUAGUAUAAUUCUUCAAUUUUUUUUACCGCAUAUGAGAUUUAAACCACCCAACUACAGCACAAGGAGGUGUUAAAGGGACUUAACACUAUGCCACUUAGCCAAGCACAGUAGUUUCUAACGGUAUUAGUGGUACCCUUAAUUCUGAAAAAUCUCACUUCUCUUAAUUAUUUUUUUGGGAUAAUUUCAGAAACCUCCCUUUCAUGCAGCCACGACCAAAUAUCACCAUUAGAAACCUUCAAAUGAUCAAAUUGCCCUUAAAAACUUGUGCCAACAAAUAUUGAAAAUAUGAGAAAAAGAAAUUAUUUUAAAGUAUAAUUUUUUUCUGCUACUUGGCACCAAAUAGUUGGAGGUAUAUAUAUGUUUAAAGCGUCAAAUAACACUUAUAAUGGCAUUAUCUAAGAAAAUCCAAAAUAGCUUUAAAAAAAAAACAAGGAACUAGAGGCUCAACCGUUCGUGAUACUUCACUUGGUGAAGGAUUUGUGCUAAAAGGUGACAAAUAUACCACAAUUUAGGUUGCAGCAAAUUCACUAGAUGUAAAAAGAUCAAAGCUUUUUUUGGUUUAUUAAACCUACUUAUAAGUUUUCUAAGUAUUGAUUGUUAUUUGUCAUAUUAAUGCACCUAAUGCUUGUCAUGGAUAUAAUUUAAAUUAGAAGAUUAUUAAGUUUUCCAAGUAUUGAUUGUUAUUUAUCAUAUUAAUGCUUGUCAUGGAUAUAAUUUAAAUUAGAAGAUUAUGCUAUACUUGUGAAUGUGCCUUUAUGCUAUUUUAUGAUGGUUACAGAUGACUUUGUUUAUAGAAUAUUUUCAACUAAAGUUCCCAUGAAUUUUUCUUUUGGCAAUUUUGCUAGCCUUAUAUGCUGACACCAAAUUUUUUAUUUAAUUUUAGCUUUACUUGUUUUCAAUUUUAGGUUUAUUUUAUUUUUAUUUUUAUUUUAUUAUUUAUUUUGCCUUCAUACCAAAUUUCAAAAAAAAAAGAAAAGAGAAAAAAGAGAAGAAAGGAAAAAUCCCCACAAAAAAUUAAAUUUGUUUUAGCCCUUUAGAUUUGGAUUUAAAGCACUUUAAUAGCAAUAAAUUUUCUAUUAAGAAUUAAUUUCUGUUGUUUAAACUUGAAUAAAAAAAAAGAAAAAAAAGAGAAAAAAGGACACACGUUAUUUCCUCAUUUUUACAGGCUUCGGACAACACAGAAAAUUGCAGCUGGCCAUUUCUUCCAUUUUUUACUCAUUUUCCGUUGCAUUUUUUUUUUCCUCCAAGUACUCUCAGUACAAGGCCAACGCAUCUUGGUGUUAAGUUCCAGGAUCAAUGCCCAUCUAAGGGCCCAAAUUCUUGCCAAAAAUGCAGCUCCAAUCUCCUCCCUUUGUUCUAGGUUUUGGAGGGUUUCGGCAGCUAUAAAAGCUAAGGAUAACAAGCAAAGAGAGGGGGGGUGGUGACGGCUGAGAAUCGAAAGGAAAAACAAAUGGACAGGAGCGGCUAGGUUUAGAGGAAGAGAAUUUGGUGAGUAUAAGAGAUAGAGAGAGCGUGGGAUAGAGCAAAAAGAAAACAGCAAGAGAAGGAAAACAGGGAGUGAAUAGCAGCGGAGAAAAGAGCGAGAGAGGUAGGAGAUCGAGGGUGGCGUUCGGCUGCACAAGAGGAAGAACCAAGCGAGGAAAACUGAGGGAAGGCAAGGUGAAGUGAGGUUUCGGCUAGAGGAAGGAAACCGAGAAAACAAGAAAGAAGAAACUCAGAGCCUAGAGUAUCAAGCUUGCGUUUUUUUUUACUGAAGACUGCAAUUUCAUCUCCUUCGAUCGCUGGUGGAGCGUAUUCAAUCUCUUGCGGAUUCUCCAGCGCCGAAAUUUCUGUAGUAAAGACUUUGGCUUGCAACCUCAGAUUUAAAUCUUGCUAUCCUCAGAUCCCUCACGUUUAACUAGUGUUUCCCAGCAUUAAAGGUAACCCUUUUAUCUUUUUCCGCUUAUACCUCAUCAGACUUGAAAAAAUAUAGUUGAAAUCUUUGCUGCCAUGCCUGCUGUUGCAUUUUUCAGCUUUCCUUCCUUCCUGUUUGUGAUUUGGUAGGAAAAGAGGAUUGUUGAAUCUUUGAUCUUGUGUCAUCGCUUGUUUAUUUUUGUUGGAUUGAGGCUCCUAUGGGGUUAGACCAUGAAUCCGUGAGUCUUGCUUUGGAUUAUUGCUGUUCUCAUGUGUUGAACAAAUUUCUGAAGUUGCAGAAUAUGGUUGAUUCGUUGAGUUGCAUAGUUUUGGUUUGUUGCUUGCUGUAGUGUCGACAAAUCCUUUUCCUUUCUUCGGUUGCUGGGGUUUUAGCUUGUUUGCGGUUCUUGACUUGCUUGCUGUUUGAUUGGGAUGGCCUGUCUAUGUGUACCGCAAGUCUCACUCCUUUCUUUGCUGCAUUUCUGGUCUAAUUGAUUUGAUUGGAUCUUCUAGGAUAGAUGAUCAUGUUAAUGACAAUAGGAUAAAAUCCUAGCACUUGGGUUUGGUUGUCCAAUAGAGUUUGUUUCUGAGUUUCUUGCGCACAAACAUAUCCAAGCUGAAAUAAAAUAAAAAGCUGCGUUCAUCCUUAUGACUUGCUGUGUUCUUUCCCGCAACAGCCUCACCAAAUGGGUUUGCCACCUAAUUUGCUAUGUGAUCUUGUGUUAGAAAGAGGAAGUUGAAUCGCUGGUGUUGAUUUUGUGUGUUGUUGGUUCAAAGGCACAUAGAUUAGGCUCGAAUAUUUGCUGGAAAUCAAGUUCCCGUAAUGGCUGGAAAAUGCAGAAUAUUGCUCUUCGAUGCAUGCAUGAUCAUGUUACCAAAAUUGCACUUUGCUCCCCUUAGCUUCUAUCUAUGCUUCUAUGGCCCAAAGAAUGGGAAAAAUCAAUCAAAUUGCCCCCUCAAACUUUCUUUUUCCUUUUUAAUUGGAUCCUAAUUUUGUGAAUAUGGACUGUUUAGUUAUUUAAAUGCUUUUAAUGAUUCAAUUUCAUAUUUAUGUGAUUAUUUGUGAUGCCUUGACCUUUUCUUUUAUUUUUGGAGAGUAAAUAAGCAAUUUCACUCCAUUAAGGCUCCAACUCAAGGGAGGUACAUCAUAUCCCUUAUUUCUUACUUUAUUUGACGUGCCCUAUGUGACUUUACGUGUUUAAUUGCAUGCCUCUUGGAUGUUUAUUUAUUUAUUUCAUUUAUUUAUUUAUUUGAUUUAUUGGCUUUAGCUUUGUAUAUUUAUUUUAGUUCAAUUUUGAUCAUUUGAAAAGCAUUUGAAUGCCAAAGUUGUAAUAGCUAGGUUAUUAUUAAUUAUUUUGUUCCUUUCCCUCCUAGAUUGUAGUAGGCUUCCCCCGAAUGUAAUAGUUAGGGUCUUAUUUGUUUUAUUUGCCUUGUGUGUUUUUGCAUGCCUAUGUGUUAUGUGUUACUCGCUUUCCUAGGGUCUUGCAUCUAGAUACCAUACUUAUGUGUUAUGUGCUAUAUGUGAUUUACGUGUUUACCUACUUUUAUUAGGUCUUACAUGAUUUAUUUGAUUGUAACUGAUGUGUGACGUCACCACACUAGUCCAACGCUAGUUGUGGUCAAUUUCUCGAAUCCACACUAGUCCAACGCUAGUUGUGGCCUUUUGUUCCGACAUUUCUCACUGGUCCAAUGCUAGUGAGAAAUUGUAGACAUAGGCUAGUCCAACGCUAGACCCUUAGGAACAAUCCGCACGUUAGAUCAUGAUUGUAUGAUAAAUCACUUCAUCUCAUGCAUAUUUUCACAUUUUAGGGCCUUUUAUCAUGUUUUGCAUGACAUCCCUCUUUAUACGUAUAUCCCUUCCCCCAUAUUUUUCCUUAUAUGUAUAUUACUUACCCCUUUGUAUGAAACAUGACAUUAGACUUGCAUUCCAUUUAAGCAUUAGACCUAGGUUAGUACAUUUGCUUGGUUAGACUAGAAAAAAUCCCUUGGAUAUGGGAUAUGGACGAGUUUGGCUUCUCUAACCUUAGCACGCUCGUAUUUCCUCUAUUAAAGGGAACAUUGGAGUCACGAACAUUAGUUCCCCCGUACCCGACAUGAUGCAUUCCUUUAGGCCACGUAUAUUUGUAUAAUUACUCUUAUUUUCCUUUUCUUUCUUUCGAGUCUCAUGAUUUGCAUUAUUUGUGACUUUUUCGAAGAGUCUUUAUUGGGCGUCACAAUUAAUGUGAUUGGUACCAAGUAAGUUUUGAAGAUACAUUUCGACCCUCCGAUACCCUAUUAGGUUUAGGGUUUGCAUUCAUAUAAAACAUCCAAAAUGUGAUAAAUCUUAAGGGUAAAAUAAGAAAAUCUUUGACUAAAUCGCGCAACUAGCCUUGGCUAGGUUGAAAGGGUGCCUUGGAUUCUUAUUCUUGCCUUCCCUUUUUUCAAAUGUGACUCCCGAAUCUUUUUCUCUGAUUUUCGUAGACUUGGAGUCGUUUAAAAAGCGUUUUCUACUUUUCCCUUUAAAAUUCAUUUUUUAGGUGACUUGGUACACCUUAACUCUAUACCAAGUGGCGACUCUAUUUUUUGUUCAAAAAAAAAUCCUUUUUAAACUAUAUUUUGGGUCAAAUCGUCGCAUUUUCAAGUCCCAUUUAGACCCACAUGUUUUUCAUUUUCUUUUUAAAUCAAAAAUUCAUUUUUUAAUCAAAAAUUGAAUCAAAAGCCAUUUUCCUAAACUCGUCUUUUAUUUUUCUCUAUUUAAAAAUGGAGCGCGACAAUUGGCGACUCCACUAGAGAUUUUGAGAGUCCGAGCAAAUUUGAUUUAGUCAAUCUUUUUUUUCUUUUAACCUUUUCAUAUAUCAUAUUUGGAUGUUUAGGGUUGCAUUUUUCCUUUUUAGGAUUUUUGCAUUUCACGCGUAUCAAUUCACUCCAUCACCCUUUGCAUACAAUUGAUUUUGAUGGAUGGAUGGUUUAUUUAUGUGAUCCCGUGCAUUGCAUUGCAUUUGGGUAGGGGGUAUUUCCCUAGAGUCUCGCGUUGAUUCUCGAUCCCUCCUCUCCAAACGAGCACUGGCAUACGUGCAUACGCUUUAUUUUUUAUCCCUCCUUUAUUUUUCUUUUAGUGGCUUGUCACGCCACUCUACUCUAUUAGGAUUAGGCGACCCACUUGGACGUAUGAUCGCGACACGACGUGUGCGUAACAUGAUCCGAGGGGUCACUCAAUCUUCUGCUUUAAGCUGUGGGUUAAUAACCUUUAGCUUUUAGUCGAAGGUUGAGGAUUUUUAUAGAUUCACUCAGACAUGUAGCUCUGAUACGACGUGUGCGUAGCAAUGUCUGGGGAAUCGCUCGAGCCACCGACAAAGAAUCUUGGGAUUGAUGACCCUUGGUUUCCCAGUCUGAAGGCUCGGGGACCUAAAACCUGUCGAGUUUAGAUGCAUUAGUGAGUCAAUACCUCAUGCAUCCAUAAUAGUUCAUCUAGGACAGAGUCUGUCUCACCCUAUUAGGGACACCAUUUGUUAGGAAAUUGGAUUAAUUUCUUUUAGGUAAAAUUCCUGUUUUGUGUGGAAGUAACUAGUUUCCUAAUUGGAUUUAGUUACUUGAAGUAGUAGUCAAGUAAAUUCCUAUUUAGCUAGAUACUAUUUUCUACUCUAUGUGAGUUUAGGAAAUAGUAUUGAUUUCCAAUUGUUAUUUGGUUUUUUUGGCAGUAAUGUUCCCUAUAAAUAGGUGGGUUGGCAUACUACAAAGAUACACAAGAAAGGAGCGAGAGAGUUCUUAGUAGGUGAGAGAGUUAUACAAGAGUUGGGGUUUGGGAAUCAAGUUGUAAUCUUGUGGUGUUUUUCUCUCAUAGUAAGAACAAGUUUUUCUCUCCGUGGAUGUAGGCUUGGUGAUUAAGCCGAACCACGUUAAUUCUUGUGUGUUGUUCAUCGUUCGUGUUAGAUAUUGUUUUCUAUUAAAUUGUUGGUCUUUUCUUUUUCAAAUAAUUGGCCUGAUAUCCCAACAAGUGGUAUCAGAGCCGAUGGUUCGGCUGGGCAGUGACUCCAGGAUAAAAAGCCAGUGGGAGUGGUAAGGCGUGGCUUGGAUAAGAGCGGGGAAAAAAAAAAUCAUGCAGACCUGCAGUGAGGUAAGGGCAUGUGGGCUCUUGAGCAAGAAUCGUACACUCUAGAUUGAAAUGGGCUUGAUGGAGUGGAUGGACUAGGGAGAGAGGUCCGAUGUGAAAAAGAUUCACAAUUGAGGGGGAGAUUGUUGGGAUAUCAAGUGUGAAUCAAUAUCCCACAUCGGAAAAAGAUGAGUAGAAUGAGGAACAUAUAAGAGAUGAGUAGAAUGAGGAACAUAUAAGUGGGAACGAUCCAUAGACCCAAUGCCUUAAGGUUUUGGGUUGGAUGUGGUGUCAAGCCCAUGGUUGUGGUUCCCAUUCUAGCUCAUGGUUAAAUUCUCCCCGGGUUUGGCUUUCUCCGAGCCCAACAAGUGGUAUCAGAGCUCCGUUGGGAUUUUGGUUAAUUAUUUGAAAUUGGGUGGUGGUAUACCAUGGGGUUUGGAACUAUACAGUUUCCAAUUCAACCAUUUAAUGGAACUACAAGUUUCACUCUUUGGCAAAGAAGAGUGAAGGAUGUUCUAGUUCAACAAGGUUUGGCAAAAGCGUUGAAUGGAAAGAACAAGAAGCCAGAGAGAAUGAAUGAUGAUGAGUUUGAAGAGUUGGACGCAAGAUGUGCGAGCACGAUUCGGCUCUAUGUGGCGGACAACAUCAUAAAUAAUGUGAUAGAUGAGGAAGAUUCUGCAGCAGACCUCUGGAAAAAGUUGAAAAAACUUUAUCUGGCUAAAAGCUUAUCCAAUAAGUUGCAUCUAAAGCGGCAACUUUAUGCACUAAAGAUGGUGGAGGGUGGCAGCCUCAUGGAUCACAUGAAUACAUUCAACGGAAUUUUGGAUCAACUCCAAAAGGUUGGCAUAGAUAUUGAGGAAGAAGAUAAGGCCCUUUUACUUCUUACCUCAGUCUCUGAUUCUUACGAAAGUGUCGUGACAACCCUGUUGUAUGGGAAGGACACUUUAGAGUUCGAGAAUGUGUAGUCUUCUUUGUUGGGUCAUGAAAAACAAAGGAAGGCAAACUAGGAUGUGACACAAGAAGUUGCGUUAAUUGCUCGAGGUGAGAAUAAAAGAGGAAAACAAUUUGGCGGUGAAUCUAAGGCAGGUGGUUCAAAGGCCAAGGGAAAGGGUGGAAUCCAGUGCUUUGGUUGUCAUGAGUUUGGCUAUAUCAAAAAAUAUUGUCCUCAUCGAAGGAAAAAUGAUGAGAAUGACUAUGAUAAUGUUGCUGGAUAUGCAUCGGGUGGAGAUAUUCUCACAAUCUCCAAAGGUAAUAAUACUUCUUCUCGUGAUGGUUGGAUUUUAGAUUCUGGAUGUGUUUCACAUGUUUGCUCCAGGUUAGACUAUUUUGAUACUCUCCAAAGAAAGAAGGCAGGUUUUAUGUCCUUGGGUGAUGGAUCUACUUGUCAAGCCAAAGGUGUUGGAGUGGUGAAAAUCAAAAUGUUGAAUGGAGAGAUUCGUUCUUUGGGUGUGUGGCUUAUGUCCCAAAAUUACGAAGGAAUCUAAUUUCUUUGAGCCAGUUAGACUCCGAGGGUUACCAUUUUUCCGCUGCAGGUGGAGUCUUGAAAAUCACACAUGGCGAUACGGUCUUGUUGAUGGGGAAGAAGUAUGGUAAUCUGUACCAUUUGAAUACCUCAAUGAAUUGGGAGCGGCAGGGGAUCCAAGAAUGCUCUCAAAUUACAAAUGGUGGUGAGAGAAAAAAUCCUGCUAUGGGAGAGGGUGCAUUGAGGCCCCUCUCGCGAGUCAACUAGAUGUUGGACUCGGUUAACUACGCACGUUCAUUUGCCGAUUGAAUCAAUUGAAAAUAAGACCGUAUUGAUUCGGGUGUGUAGUUAGGCACCAAGGUACUUGGUGGGAAAAAGCAAAUGGAGUUUUUUUGGAUGGUUUGCUGUGUUUGCUAAAAGAAAUUUUGCCAAGGUGGAGAUUUGUUAGGAAAUUGGCUUAAUUUCUUUUAGGUAAAAUUCCUGUUUUGUGUGGAAGUAACUAGUUUCCUAAUUGGAUUUAGUUACUUGAAGUAGUAGUCAAGUAAAUUCCUAUUUAGCUAGAUACUAUUUUCUACUCUAUGUGAGUUUAGGAAAUAGUAUUGAUUUCCAAUUGUUAUUUGGUUUUUUUGGCAGUAAUGUUCCCUAUAAAUAGGUGGGUUGGCAUACUACAAAGAUACACAAGAAAGGAGCGAGAGAGUUCUUAGUAGGUGAGAGAGUUAUACAAGAGUUGGGGCUUGGGAAUCAAGUUGUAAUCUUGUGGUGUUUUUCUCUCAUAGUAAGAACAAGUUUUUCUCUCCGUGGAUGUAGGCUUGGUGAUUAAGCCGAACCACGUUAAUUCUUGUGUGUUGUUCAUCGUUCGUGUUAGAUAUUGUUUUCUAUUAAAUUGUUGGUCUUUUCUUUUUCAAAUAAUUGGCCUGAUAUCCCAACACCAUUCACGAGGGGAGAGAUCCAACCCCUCUAUUCCUUUUAUUGCUUUACCUCUUUGUAUUGCUUUGCUACAAAUGUGUUAUAUGUAUUUAUCUGAUUGAACUAACUUCUCUUAAUUUUUUGUUUCCAUUGCAUUCAUAAGCCCUAGAAAAAUAAGAGUCCUGGCAUGGUACUCUCUAGGAGUCUACCUUAUUUGAUGUGACACGUUUAAAUUUAAUGCUUGGCAUUUUCAGCAUAAAUACAUGUUAUUUUAGACUCACCCCGACAUACUAAAGGGGGUUCCCUUUAGGUCACGUUUCAUUUGUAUACUACAUGUUUACGCGCUUUAAUAAACUGGCAUCAUGCAUCCACCUUAGAAGGGAAUGCCAUUUAGGGAAUCUCGUGUUAGGAACAAACCGCCCUAUGUCUCGGAUAUAUAAUCCAAUGAGACUUGCACGUUUAUAUUUCCUAUACUGUCCGAAGGGGUAGUGCACGAUGUAAGGUAGGAUCCGAUCUUUUCAAAGAUGGUAAAGCAAUUUUUUGCACAUUGGAAUAUGGGCAUCUAAUAAUUAUUUUUUGGCCAUUUUAAACAAAAUUGGUAAGAAAUUCCCUUGCGUAAAUGACAUUAACUUGAAGAAAUUCACAAAUGAUUCCUCACUGUUGAGACGAUAAAUGUAGAGGCCAAAUCUUGAUUUUAGAAGGGUCAUAGACUAAUGCAUCGCAAACUACCAGUGGAUAGAUUGAUUUUUAAAUAAACCAUCAAUUUCAUUCAAUCUAUUGAACCAUUUUAUUCAUCAAUUUCAUCCAAUCCAUUUUUUAUUUUUUUUAUUCACUCAUUUUUUUAGGACUAUCUAAGUCAAUUUUGAAUAAGUCAUCCUUUGUUUGAUCUGAUCAAUUUUGAAUAAAUCACCAAUUUCAUUCAAUUGACUAGUUCACUCAUUUUUAGGGCAAUCCAGUCGAUUUUGAAUAGAUCACCAAUUUCAUUCAAUUCAUUUGAUUAGUUUACCCAUUCUUAUGGCAAUCUUAUUGAUUUCGAAUAAAUCAUCAAUUUCGUCCGAUCCAUUUGACUAGUUUACCUAUUUUUUAGGGCAAUUCGGUCGAUUUUGAAUAAAUCAUCAUUUCACUCAAUCUGUUUGAUCAAUUGAUUUCAUUCAAUUCAUUUGAUUAGUUUAAUUUUUUUAGGGUUAUACAUUCAAUUUUGAAUAAAUCAUCAAUUUCAUUUGACCAAUUUACCAAUUUUAGGGUGACCCAGUCAAUUUUCAAUAAUUUAUCGGUUUCAUCCGAUCCAUUUGACGGUUUACGGUUUCGGUGCCAAAUUUUAGAAUUAAAAUGGCUAAUUGUUUUGAGGAAAUCAUCAAAACGCAUUCAUUCGACUUGGAUAGAUUAGGGUUUCGAUUCAUUUUAAGAAAUUUCAAAUUUCUCUAAUGACAAGCUCCUCAAAGUUAAAUCAAUUUGUACGAAUUCCUAUGCCAACCAAAACCAUUUCUUCAUUUAGAGGUUUCCUGCUGUUCAAUUGGCCCAAAAUUUUCAAAUUGCUUUCCAAUCAACUGUCAAUGAGUUGAUCGGAUCCAUCAGGUAUGGUAUAGUGCCUAUCUCAAAGGAUUACAUCAUGUUAGGCCUACCCUUGGUACUAAAAAGGUCCCCCAUAGGACAUGCAUACCGAUUUUGUAGUUUUGCCUACUAACUCGGGGUAUUUUUCUUUUGUUUUCCCCCCUCUCCUGCAUUCAUAAAAAUGUUUUAAUAAGGUGAAAAUAUUUUUCUAUGUCUGCUAAAAUUUGAAAAUUACAAGUAUUACUUGAUUCUUUGGUAAAUCCUACAUUGAAAACAUGAAAGAUGCAUCUGAAAGCUCUAGGCUAAAGCCUCUGAGAGACUUUGUAAUUGUUUUUCAAAGGAAAAUUCUGUUUAUUUGAUUUGUUAAUAUAUUUUUGUUCCAAAAAAGGGAGACAAAAGUGUAUAUGUGGGGUUUUUUUUAGAAGUUUUUUCUUCUCAUUUGUAUUAUAAUUGAAUGAGAAAUUUUGUUUAAACUUUUUCAGCAAUAAAGUCUUUGGACAAUUAUAGUUUUGUGUAUAUUUAUGUACAUUUGAUUUUGUAUCUUGCUCAUUAGAGAUUUCAUGAUGAAUUUUGAGAAAAAGAUUAAAUUGAGAUUUUUUCAACCCCCAGCCUGAAAAAUUCACAAGUGUAUGCCUUCCAAAAUCUUUACGUUCACAAGAUUAGUGAUCCAAACUGUACAAUAAGAGUGCCCGAAAUUAAAAGAAGCCACUCAAACUGAUAGAUCACUCAAAAGUCCCAAUGAAAUACCUUUUCUCCUUCACAAAGCACCCAAAAAUAAAAUAAGUCACUUUGACUGAUAAAAUGCAAAUUGGGGUAAUCUUUGCUUGAAAAAUGUUCACUGUGCCUAAUUAUAUUCAAUUCACAUCUAAGUGAAAGCAAAAUGUGCAUUAUUCUUGUUUGUUUUGAAAAAUUGGAAUGAUACUUCGAGCGCUCGUUUCUCUACCCAUACAGAUUUUAUCAUUUGCUCUCCCAUUUGAGCCUCUGAAAGAAUAAUUUCGUUUCAAAUAAGAGUCUUAAUAAUCACUACCCUACAUUGGAAAGUUCUUAGAUAUAAAAAAAAGGAGUGGAUUUUCAAUGACUAUUUCGUUACUUUGGUUGUCAUGAGGUGUAAGAAUGAUACUUUGGCCAUCGUUUCUACAACCUAAACACUAUUUAUCCUUUGCAUCCUCAUUUGAGCUAAAAUGGGUGUUUCUUGUCAAAAGCACUUACGAUCGCACCCUAUAUUGGGGAAAGAGAUUGGAGAAUUUUCCAAAAGGGGAAAAAUGCUAAAAUUAAAAGAAAGAGAGAACCCCGAAUGGGAAAAUUUAUUCUACCUGGGUUUCAAUUUUUUUUUAAAAAAAAAAAGAGAAAAGAAAAGAGAAAGAGAAAAGAAAGAAAAGUUGUCCGGCGGAUCCUCUAUGUUUCACGGAUAUGGAUGAACGGAAGUCAUCCUUGGUUAAUUGAUUCAGAUGCAUGCAAAAAAUUUCGCAUUAAUGAAAAUUUUCCUUUCAGAGUUAAUGUAAGGAACGGAUUAAAAGUCAGACCCUCUUCUUUUCCAAUCAAGCAUUCUAUUCCUAAUUAUCCCUUUUGAGCUUUCAAAAUAAAAUAUUUCAUUUGGCAACCCCUGAGAAUCGCAAACCCCACACUGGGACAAGUUUGAGUUGAAAAAGAAGAAAAGUCUCAAAAGGUGAAAAGUGAUAAGGCAACAAAAUCAAAAGACAAAGAAAGAAAAGAGAAUCUCAGUUGAACAUGAACCGGGGCAAAUUUUGAAAAGUUCAAAAGAAUGGCAGAACGCCAAAAAGAAAAAAGAGAGAAAAAUGAAAGAAGAAGACCCUCAAUUGAGAAUAAACUGGGGUGAGUUCUGAUUUAACCCUAAAAUAGGGUUGGCGCAAUAAUGCGAUCUCAGAUCAUUUAAACCACUUUUGAAAAUUUACUUUCAAAUCUUAACUUUUCUAAGCAUCCCACCAGACUCCAUUACAAAAGUCGAAAGUCCUGACUUCUGUUUCUUUGCAAUAUCUCUGUCAAGAAAAUUUCUAAUUGGCAAGUGAUGCUUGUAUACUGAUGCCAGAAUUUUUUUUAAUGUAUUUCUGAAUUGAUUAGCUGUGAAAUUGACAGUACUUAUCAUCUGAAAAUCCGCCAGGGCACCUUUGAAAAGAAAGGAAAAGGAUAAAGCAAAAAAAAUAAAUGCAAAGGAAAUGAAAAAGAUUUGAUAGUCCCUGUUAAGUGAUGACGAAAGUCACCAAAUCUAAGAUCUUUAAGUUCAAAAUAGGGGCAAUUUUGAAAAAAUGCGAUCUUCUGUGCAACGUUCUUGAAAGUCUUAUUCUUUAACUAUCGUUUUCAAGCCACAUUACAAGCUCAUAAAGUCCAUCGUUGACUUAUCCUUCAUGACAAUUCGAAGUGAGGAUUAUACUUUUGAGAAAUCCAUCAUUCAUUUGUGAUCUUAAGGCUAUAACCUUUUUCCACAUGUUUAAUUAUCGUUUCUGCCCUCAUAUUACAAGCCUAAAAAGCUUAUGUGUGACUAAAUUUUCUUAAGAAAUAGGGGUGACAAACUAUUUGCUUUCACUAAGAUGUGGUAUUGAAGGGAUUACAUAUAAUUUGGGCACAAGAAUAAGACAAAUCUUGGCCUCCCAUUUCCCUUAGUCACUUCUGAAUCAGAAAUAAUGCCCACUUGAUUGGUCCUGAAAGAUGAGCUAACAAGAGGUGGUGACCCAUUACCCUGAGCAUCAAUGCUAAACUAGGGAAGGAAUCUUUUGUAAUUUGGUAUUAUUUUGAGAAAUUCAUCAUGAAAUUUUCUGUUAGGAAGCAUAGUUUCUUACUUUGUUCAAAUAAAUGGAGAGUCAUCCAAACAAAUUUUUACAAUUAAAUGAGCCCACACUAGGGCAAAUUUUCAUUUGAGAGAUUUUGCAAAAUGAGCCUACACCGGGGCAAAUUUUUAUUUGUAAGAUUUCGCAAAAUAAACCCACACUAGGGCAAAAUUUUUUGUAACCCAUUUGAGAAUUUCGUCCAAGAGUCAAGUAAGACGUUUUUAAAUCAAUCAUACUGCUCUUUUCAUGAGUAGUAGAUGCACCAAAAAAUUUAAGUGCAUGUUGUACUUGGAUAAGCCCCUUGUGCAGGAAUCCAUGGCUUGAAAUCGAUGAAGAAGCGUAAGUCAGAAUCUUGCGAAUCAAGACCUUAAGGAGGAGCAACCUUGCCGUAACGCAAAUCAAAUGAUCGGCUGCACAAUAAUUGGUGGAAAUUGGGGCAAAUUAUUUUUUGAGAAGAUUCUCCCAAAUGGAAAAGUUGGAAAAAUCAAGAAAAAAAGAAGAAAAGAAAGAAAGAAGCAGAAGACAAAACAAAAGGGGUGGAGGCGACCUUAGCGAAAACCCGAAAGGGCACUGAGUGCUUUCGCCAACACCGGACUCCGGAGCAGAGAUAUUUGAAAGGGUCAAGACUGACGUUUCAUGCCAAAGAUUUUGCACAGUGUAUGAUCAUAAUUAUGGGAUUUGGGCAAGUGACAAUCUUUUAGUUUACUAAAAGCGCAAUUGGAUAUGUUCGUCCUUGGGAAAGCACAAUGGAACAACGAACAGUUGACAAUCUUGAUUCCAGACAGAGAAGUUUGUUUCAAUGGAAUGCCAAAAUUGAAAGUCUCAAAGUGGCUUGUUGUGAAAAUAACUCGUCGAACAAAAAUGAAGAUCACUUUGGGCUUGGACUUGGUGCCUCCUGCCAACAUCAAGACAUUCCGUUGGACUCGAACUUGGUGUCGCCCGCCAACAUCAAGACAUUCCGUUGGGCUCGGACUUUAUGCCGCCAAUGCAACCAAGACAGGCUCGGGUGUAAUCCCACUGACCAAUUCAUUAUAUUGGGGCAAAUUAUUUUUAGAAAGAUUCAAAAAAAAAUUCAAAAAAAAAUCAAAAUCAAAAAAUCAAAAAUCAAAUCAAGUUUCAUCACGGCAGGCUCGGGUUUAAUCCCGCUAACCGAUUGUCAGAGCAUUUCAUUUUGCAUUGCCACUAGCCAUGGGUCAAUCCCACUAGUGUGCAUUCUGAUUUAAAAUUUUGUUCGAUCCAAUCCCAUGAUUUUAAUUUUGUUCGAGUCAGUCCCAUGAUUUUAAUUUUGUUCGGGUCAGUCCCAUGAUUUAAAGUUUGUUCGGGUCAGUCCCAUGAUUUAAAAUUUUGUUCGGGUCAGUUCCAUGAUUUAAAAUUUUGUUCGGGCCAGUCCCAUGAUUUUAAUUAUGUUCGGGUCAAUCCCAUGAUUUUAAAUUUUGUUCGGGCCAGUCCCAUGAUUUUAAUUUUGUUCGGGCCAGUCCCAUGCUUUUAAUUUUGUUCGGAUCAGUCCCAUGAUUUAAAGUUUGAUUUUAAUUUUGUUCGGGUCAGUCCCAUGAUUUUAAAUUUUGUUCGGGCCAAUCCCAUGAUUUUAAUUUUGUUCGGGCCAGUCCCAUGAUUUUAAUUUUGUUCGGAUCAGUCCCAUGAUUUAAAUUUUGUUCGGGUCAGUCCCAUGAUUUAAAUUUUGUUCGAGUCAGUCCCAUGAUUUUAAAUUUUGUUCGGGCCAGCCUCUUUUAAAUUUUUUGUUAGGGGCAGUCCCCUUUUAAAUUUCUUGUUAGGGUCAGUCCCUUUUUAAAGUUCUUGUUCGGGUCAGUCCCGUUUUAAAUUUCCUGUUUUGGUCAAUUCUGUUUUAAAGUUCUCGCCUGGGUCAGUCCCAUUUUAAAGUUUUCAUUAAAGAGAUCAGUCCUCGUUUCAAUAAUGACAGUCAUUCGAGUGUCUGCAACCAAAGACACAGGUAAGUAUUUGGUGUCUACGUCUUUGUCUCAAGUUUCUUCGAAACUCAGACAAAGAGGGGCAAACUGUAGACACCAAAUUUUUUAUUUACUUUUAGCUUUACUUGUUUUCAAUUUUAGGUAUAUUUUAUUUUUAUUUCUAUUUUAUUAUUUAUUUUACCUUCAUACCAAAUUUCAAAAAAAAAAAAAAAAAAAAGAGAAGAAAGGAAAAAUCCCCACAAAAAAUUAAAUUUGUUUUAGCCCUUUAGAUUUGGAUUUAAAGCACUUUAAUGGUAAUAAAUUUUCUAUUAAGAAUUAAUUUCUGUUGUUUAAACUUGAAUAAAAAAAAAAAGAGAAAAAAGGACACGCGCUAUUUCCUCAUUUUUACAGGCUUCGGACAACACAGAAAAUUGCAGCUGGCCAUUUCUUCCAUUUUUUACUCAUUUUCCGUUGCAUUUUUUUUUCCUCCAAGUAUUCUCAGUACAAGGCCAACGCAUCUUGGUAUUAAGUUCCAGAAUCAAUGCCCAUCUAAGGGCCCAAAUUCUUGCCAAAAAUGCAGCUCCAAUCUCCUCCCUUUGUUCUAGGUUUUGGAGGGUUUCGGCAGCUAUAAAAGCUGAGGAUAACAAGCAAAGAGAGGGGGGGUGGUGACGGCUGAGAAUCGAAAAGGAAAAACAAAUGGGCAGGAGCGGCUAGGUUUAGAGGAAGAGAAUUUGGUGAGAGUGAGAGAUAGAGAGAGCGUGGGAUAGAGCAAAAAGAAAACAGCAAGAGAAGUAAAACAGGGGGUGAAUAGCGGCGGAGGAAAGAGCGAGAGGGGUAGGAGAUCGAGGGUGGCGUUCGGCUGCACAAGAGGAAGAACCAAGCGAGGAAAAUUGAGGGAAGGCAAGGUGAAGUGAGGUUUCGGCUAGAGGAAGGAAACCGAGAAAACAAGAAAGAAGAAACCCAGAGCCUAGAGUAUCAAGCUUGCGUUUUUUUUUACUGAAGACUGCAAAUUCAUCUCCUUCGAUCGCUGGUGGAGCGUAUUCAAUCUCUUGCGGAUUCUCCAGCGCGGAAAUUUCUGCAGUAAAGACUUUGGCUUGCAACCUCAGAUUUAAAUCUUGCUAUCCUCAGAUCCCUCACGUUUAACUAGUGUUUCCCAGCAUUAAAGGUAACCCUUUUAUCUUUUUCCGCUUAUACCUCAUCAGACUUGAAUCCAAAAUGUGAUAAAUCUUAAGGGUAAAAUAAGAAAAUCUUUGACUAAAUCGCGCAACUAGCCUUGGCUAGGUUGAAAGGGUGCCUUGGAUUCUUAUUCUUGCCUUCCCUUUUUUCAAAUGUGACUCCCGAAUCUUUUUCUCUGAUUUCGUAGACUUGGAGUCGUUUAAAAAGCGUUUUCUACUUUUCCCUUUAAAAUUCAUUUUUUAGGUGACUUGGUACACCUUAACUCUAUACCAAGUGGCGACUCUAUUUUUUGUUCAAAAAAAAAUUCUUUUUAAACUAUAUUUUGGGUCAAAUCGUCGCAUUUUCAAGUCCCAUUUAAACCCACAUGUUUUUCAUUUUCUUUUUAAAUCAAAAAUUCAUUUUUUAAUCAAAAAUUGAAUCAAAAGCCAUUUUCCUAAACUCGUCUUUUAUUUUUCUCUAUUUAAAAAUGGGGUGCGACAAGUACUUUUGCUUCACUUUUGAGGUUACUUUUUAUGACAAGAACUGACUUUGUUAUUAAAAAUAUCAAUCAAGGGAAGACCAGUGUAAUUUUUAAUAUUAGAGAAUAGUUAUGUGAGAUUGUCAGAAACCUCGAGGGAGGAUUCUGAAAUUUUCUCUUUUUUUAUAACUUUUGCAAUCCCUUUCAAAAUAUGAUAUUAAAAACUCAUUUGGGAAUAGAGGAUAUAAUCUCAUUUUAAAUUUACCCUUUUAUUUUGGACUCUUGAUUGUCAUAACACAUUAAUUUUCUUUCUUAAUUUUUGUAAAUGUGGUCAGCAUAGUUUUUUAAUUGAAAUUUAAAAGUUGGUAAUGGGGUCAAAAGACCUUUUAAUAGUUUUUUACGUCACUAGUUUGGACAAGAAAUAUAAGGAUAUUGAAAAUUAUAAAUAAUUAAGAAUACUUGUAAAUGACAUGAAAUAUUUUAUAACAAUGAAAAUGAGUUUUUGUGCCAACUUGAAAACAUCACAAACAAGUUUAUAUAUAAUUUUCAUCAUAUUUUAUUUUUCUAGUUUUCAAAUCAUUGAUUCAGAAAAAACCUAAAAAUUUGAAAAAAAAAAAGUAAACGAUUUAUAAAACUCCUUAACUCAAAACAUAUGGUAAAGAGAAUAAUACUUUUGUAACUUGUAGAAACUUUAAAUAAAGUUUAAAAUAUUAACUCUUUGUAUUUCAAAAGCGCACUAUAUUUUGUCCUAUUAGAAUUCAACUUUCAUUUUUUUAUUCUAUUUUUUAAUAUAUUCAAGCGUUUAAAAUUAUUAUAUUUGUUAAUGGGUAGUACUCCUUUUUUAUUUGUUAAUUUUUAUCACAUUUAUUGAGGUUUUGGUUAAAUUCCCCUCUUUCCUUUAUUUUUAUAUAUUAAUAAAGUAAGGACUAGCAAAAAUAUUUUGUACUAUGGACUUAGACAACAAAAGGGUAAAUUUGGAAUGAAAUUAUAUUCUUUCUCUCAGAAAAUGAGGAUUUUAAUAGUAUAUUUUGAAAUGGAUUUUAAAUGUUGCAAAAAUCUUAAAGUAAAUGAGGCAAAUGAGAUUUUUCAAAGUUGAAGAGUGUCAAAUAAUGCUGUUAAAAACCUCAAGAGAGGUUUCUAAAAUUAUCUCAAAGAUAAAAUUGUAUGUCUCUAAUUUGCAAGUGGUGGAUUAAUUAACUCAAGUAAACAUGUAUAUCUUUAAUUUGCAAGCAGUGGAUUGAGAGGUGACUAAUUUGCACUAUACUUUGAUGAAAUAUUUUGUUUGUUUUGUUCAUUUUUGGGAAAUUAUAGGUUGAAACAAAAUAAUUUGAGGUUAAAAGGUGAUUAAUAGUUUUUUGGAGUUUUUAUAUGGUUUAAGUCCCUUUUACUUGCAUUUUGUCUAUGUUUGUUGUAGGAGAUAGAAAUGGACUUCACUUGGGACGAGAAAUAAUUAUUCUUUAUGUGAUUGAAGUCCUAAAGGAUGCAAGGUUAGUGAGUUUCAAGGGUGGAUCGAGGCACAAGAACAAAAAAAAUGAGGAAACUUGAAGAUGAAGAAAAUUGGCCGAAUCCCUCUAUGAAUCCCUCCAAGAACCAGUCAGAUUGUCAGAGGGAUUCAUGGCAAAAUGUUGGCUUGAAGCAGAAACGAACAAAAGAAAAAUAGAGAAAGAAUCCCUCCAAGAAUCCGGCCAAGAUUCCAAUUGGAUUGCCCAAGGGGAUACCGGUCAAAUUUUGCGACUUUCACUUGCGCAACUUGUUUUCACCUCCAUUCUUUCACAUCUUUUGACGGAUGUUUGGCAACUAUUUUGCAGCUGUAAAAGUGACAGUUGAAGCUUUAUUUCUUAACUUGUUUCACUUAUAAAUAAAUCAUUUGCUUUAAGAAUCAAGGAGAGCUUGGAGAGAGCAAGGAAACACUGCAAAAAUGUAGUUUCUUAGCUCUUUCGUUUAUCGUAGUGUAGGAUAGUUUAGCUUAGUUCAUCCUUUCUUGUGUAGUAACUAGAUGAAGAUGAAGUUGGAGGAUGAAGAAACAAGGAGGAAACUCAUGUGACAAGGGUUACUCUACCUUUCUAACUCUUUAUCUUUUUGUAAUUGAUUCUAAAUUUAGUUAACAUAUAGGUUUGGAUUUUAUCUUCAUUAUGUCUUUCUAAAGUUUACGCCUUGAGUUUUGGUUGAAAUUUUUGUGAUUGUAUUGUGUUGAUUUCUUGGCUAUUUGAUGCUAUUAUUUUGACUAAAUUAUUUAGCACUUUUACUCCUCUAAUCAUAGUUAACUUGGUACCAUUAAUUAUGAUUAUCUAAAGGUGUUAUUUUUUUAAUGAAAAUGGGAAUUUAACGCUAGUUCAAGGAAGUGCUAAACCUAGAGAGUACACUCACAAGAAUUGAGGUACACCUUUGUGGCUUUGGUGGAUUUGUUCCAUAUAAUUUCAUUGAAAUAAUGAACUUGUAGCUAAUUUCAUAAUUAGAAAAGUAGGCAUGAAUUAGUUAUAUGUAUAAGUGAUUUACUACGAAAGUAUGUUUCACAUACAUAAGGAAAUUAUGCCAUAACUAGCCAAGGUAGUAGUGUUCAAUGAUCCAAAAUUUGCAUUUGCAUGAGUAGUUAGGGAUAUCAUGACCCAAGGAGUUUUUAUUUGCUAUUUUCUUGCACAUUUUAACAUAGUUUUAUUUUCUUCAAUUUGUUGAUUGUCUAAAUAGUAGAGGAAUCUUAAUAUUGCCAAUAGUUGUCCAUUCUUUCUUGUGGUUUAACUUAAUACCCUAUACUCAAUAUCGACUCGUAUACUUACAAAAAAUCGUGUGUGGGAUAUUUAAAACUUCAUCAAUCUAAAACUUAAUUAUGGAUUGAGCUUAAUUUUGUAUGCAUACCCCGCACUCGUCAAGUUUUUGGCGCCAUUGUUGGGGAAGAUUUGUGGCAAUAUUAGCGUGAAAAACAACUUCUUUAGUUUAGACAUUUUACUUGUUUUCUUGUAUUCAUUGUGUCUAGUUUUCUUGUAUAUUUGUUGAGUCUUUGUUUGUGUGCUUUUGUACAUGUCAAAUCACCUAUUUUUCUUGACUAAACUUAUUUUUGAAUUACUUUGAAGGCAUAUUUAGGAACUUAAGGAGAGUAGUAAACAUGGGUGGACAAAUUAUGAGAAGUGGAAAUUCAGCAAUAAAUUGUUAGUACAUGCAAGGGUCCAUGAAUAGAGAUAACCAAGCGGUGUUCAAUGAAAAACAGUAUAUAGGCAAAACAAUUUAAUAAUUUAAGUAGACAAUGAAGUUAGGUCAAUGAAGUCCACCUUUAACAAUUUAAAUAGGCAAAACAGUAUAUCAAUUUAAAACUUAAUAAGCACAAGAUUUCUUACUAUUUAGAGAUCAUGUCUGCCUGAAGUACCCUCAAUCAUAUGGGGACACACACGAAUAUCGUAAAUUAUGGGUGUCUCAAACCAAGGAAUCAUAAAAUGAGUUCCUUCAGGGUUUACCUACAAGAUGAUGGGGAUGUCUCUGCUGCCCAUCUAUCAACACCCAAAAUGUAAAAAGAAAUGGAAAAUUGAAGAAGGAUGACAUAAAGAGAUGGAAAAAUACAAUAGUUGGGUCCAUGAUUAUGAUUCUUUUGUAGUCUAGCAAAAAGAAUGCAUAGCAAAUAUGAACAUAUUUUAGGAUGCAUUUCUAUUAAAAACAAGAUGUUCGAAAUAGAAGUGAUCUAUUUUAGUUAAAUAUGCUGGAGAUAUUCAGGCAACUGCUUUUUAAGUACCUAAUGUAGAAUAUCUGAUACACUGUAGAGGAUUAAGCCACUUCACUAACAUUUCAAGGCAAAAAAUAUGCAUAUGCUUAGGGUUGUUCAACAUUAGCAUUGGCAUUGAUGAGAAAGGGAUGAGUCUUUCACUGAUUUUUCUUUCUUUUUCUAACUAAAUAUACAAUUUACACCUUGAGGAAAGCUAACAUCUAUAACAUAAUUUGCAGGCUAUGUAACAUCCAGGAUGCAUCAAACUCAUCAUCAAACCCAAUUCAGAAUGAAGCAAGAUAGAUACACAUGAAUAACGUUUUGCCAUAUUAAGCAGAGUUUCUUUCAAGUGGAUCAGAUUUCUCUCCUACUUCAACAUUGCCAUGUUGAGUAGAGUUUCAUUCAAGUGGAUUAGAUUUCUCUGUUAUUUCAACAUGAGUUGGGACACAUAACUCCUAGAAAAUAGACAAGUGAAUAUGUGAAAUUUUACAUUUAAGAACAUUUACCCAAUUACUAUAGUUAUAUCUUUGCAUAGUGUUAAGAAGAAACUUAAGAUGUAAAUGCAUUGCAAAGCAGAAUAUGACAAAGAAAAGAAGAUCUGGCUGCAAAGGAAAAUUGGGAAAUACAAUUUAUCAUUAACAUAGAAGGAAUGAAACUAUUUGACAUAAUGGCUAUUGGUUUAAGUGUACCUUCUUUUUCACACCAAUAAUACGAUUGAAUGCAACAUCUCUCUAACCUCCUUCCAUAUUGUAAAGGCUCUCUAACAAAAUAUAUGCUGUAGCAACUCCAAGAACUCCAACUUUUAUUAGAGCAAAGGCCCAUCCUAGCAACUUGGGCACAUUAAGCUUAAACUUGUCAAUGUUUGAAUUCUACAAGAGCAAGAUAUUGAGAUCAGCAUGUAAUCAUGUGCCAAUAUUAACACUAAAAAGCUAAGACUAAAAAUCAAACUCUUAUGACAAUGAGGUACCAUAUGUUCAUAGGCACCCAAAUUAAACUUACAAAAUAUAAUAAGCUACAGUUCCAAAGGAACAUAAAAAGAUUAAACAAUUCUAAAAAUUGUCAUUUCUCAUACUUAAAGCCAAUCCCCUUAAUUUGCAACACAAAUUGCCAGUAGCAGAGACAGAGAAACUAAUGAACUUAAAAAUUAAUAACAACCUUCAAAGUCACAUAAUAGAGUUUAGAAUAUGAAAAAGUAUCCCCCAGACCUUUUUAUUUUUUGAAAGAAAAACCUCAAAUAUCCUGUAAUCAAAACCCAGGUUAAAAUUCAUGAAAAUCAACAUAUAAUAAAAAAAUAAAUAACAUCCUAUAAAAUGCUUAGGCCCAAUAAAUGUAUACACUGCAAAACACAAAACUCACAGCCUCAUUUGCUGAAGAAAAAAUGAUAAGCAAAAGUAAAAAAAAUACCUUUUUUCUCUUUUUAGAGAAAAUAAAAGGCUAGUUUUAGUAGAAUGACUUUGGUGAACGGCCCUUCUAACUUGUGUGUAACUUUACCGUUUGAAAAAAAAAAGACUUUGGUAAACGGCCCUUCUACAUAAACAAGCAUAGAAAUAAUCAUAAAUCCCUCAAUUCCAACCAUCAAAAUUAGCUCAACUAUGACUAAAAGACCUAAAAUACACAAACCCCAAACACCAAACUCACUAUAAUUAACUAGUAUUUCGCCUCUUCCUAACCCUUAUCCCCAUUCCACAAAAAUGAAUUAAAAAAAAGAAAAGAAGAAAACCUCAGCCCAUUAGAAAAUCACAUCAAUCUGGGGAUAGAUCCAUAAGAGGAAAACAAAUAACCAGAGCAAAGUAAUUACAAGAAUAACUUCAAUCAAAAAAGAAGUUUACAAUAUUUAAAACAACAAUAUUACCAUAAAACUAACAUGUAAUGAUAGAAUUUGCUAGCAGCAUUCCAAUCCUGUGAAGAUCAUGAAGUUAUUUGUCCAAAAAAAACUUUUACUUGACACAUAAACAGAUAAAAACACAUGUAGAAGAAGAGGGCGCAAAAGCCCCCUUGAAGUAUAAGGGAAAAAAUUUUAAAAAAAUGCAUACGAAAAUUGAAAAAAAAAAUCCAUUUCCAAUAAAAAUAUUUAAAAAAGUGAAAAAUUUUCCAUUUAUUUUAGUUACCAGGUAUGUGAGAUUAAAAGCAAAAAGUUUGAUAGCUUAAGAGUAGGGAAGAAGCUUUUUUUAUACCCGAGUCUAUAUAUUUGCUCUUUUUUUUUCCUUCUGUCAAAAACCAAUGAUGCAACCAAUAAUGUUCAUGCUAUCUACCCUAAUUAUAUCCCUAAUUGAAAUGCCCUUGACAGAAGAAGCACCAGGCUUGUCCCCUUUGCCUUUUGAGGAAGCACCAGUUUGCUCCCUCUACUGCUUCUCUUAUUUCCUUUAUUUCCAUCCCCAUCUUUGUCCUUCUCUUUUUCCUUACUUUUGGAAAGGCCUAGCUCAUAAGAUUUUACUCUCCUAUGAAUCUUGAAUAUGAACUCCCUCUUGAUUUUUCCAAUCUUAUUGUGUCCAAAACCAGUACCCCAUGAAUUCUUGAAUUGAAAUAUCUCAACCCCAUUUUCAACCCAAAACCCCGUCAACAAAAUAGCAUAGUUUUCCUUGAGACUAUCUUCGAUAUUUUUUCCCUCUUCUGUUGGUCCAUGAUAAAUGCCCUACAAUAUAGUUAAGAUUCAAUUUUACAUCAUAUAAAAUGUUUGUGCUCGUACUUAAUUUUACUUAAUUCUGUUCUUAACCUUUCCCUUGAGAUGGAUGAAGCUUGGAUAUACCCGUAUUACACCAGUAAGAGGAAAUCAUGAGAGUGCCAAAUUGACUUCUUUUUUUGUGUGUGGCUUUAUAAAACUUUUUGCAAAGAAUCUCUUUGUCUGUAAAGACAAGGAUUCAAAGAUUUUUAUUUAGUAUUAUAUAUUUAAAAAAUUACAAAAAAAAAUUAACUAGAACAAACUUGCAUUAUGAGGUGGAUUACACCUCCUGUUGGUGCAAUCCCAUGGGUAAUCAUCAUUCAAACAAUAUCUUCGAGCACCUGCAUAUUCAAAUACCCAUUUAUAGGAGUUUCAAUUUUCCUUCACAUGGUUGAGAACUUGCAUGCUAUACUAGUAGUCUUAGCCUCUCGUAUAGACAACUGCUGGUGCUCCUCUUUAGGGUGGAGAACUUUAUAUUAUGAAGACAUUGCUUCCAAUCCAACAAUAGCUCAACAUAUAUCUUAAAAAUAAAUUACAACUACAUUAAGAUCCAAAACUACUGCUUACUACUCAUUACUGCUAAACUAAAAUAUUAUAUUAUAUUAUAGGACACAUAUCUUAAUAUACACAUUAAUAUCAAAAACUAUUGCUCACUACUAGUAAAAUAUUAUACUAAAUACUACUCAUUAAUAGUAAACUAAAAUAUUAAAUAUUAUAUUACAGGACACGUAUCUUAAAAUAGAUUAACGAAUACAUUAAUAUCCAAAACUACUGCCCACUACUAGUAAAAUAUUAUAUUACAGGAUAGGAAAUAAAGUCAUUAGCUAAGCCUAAGUCUUGCUUAAUGACUAGUAGCACAGCUCUAGCCUCAUUUAAUCAUGCAUGAUAUUCCUAUACAUCAUCAUAAUCAUAAAAAGUUUCUAGAAACAGAAAAAAAUUAGAAAAGUUUCCAAGAAUGUAAAAACAAAUUACAAGACAGAUGUACUAAGUUAUACUUUAAAAAAUUCAACUUUUUAGUAAGGAUGCAAGUUUUACAAAUAUUAUCAGUAACAAAAAUAGUGAAAAACACAAUUUUUUAGAAAAAUAAGUGAAACGAAGGGAUUUAUGCAUCCAAAACCUCUUUUUACCCAUGACAUCAAAAAUUCAAAAAAUAAGAGAUACUUAUUCCAGGAUAUCUAAUCUGUCAUUGGUCGAAAGAAGGAAGUUGAAAUAUAUGACACUAUUUUUGAUGGUUUUAGAUUUGCAGUACAUGUAGACGAGAACCAGUGAGCCGAAUUAAGGUGAAAUGCCGGACGAACUAGAAGUGGUUGGGACUAAUCCCCUAAUUUCACUCCGAUAUUUAAGUCUGAAGUUGUCAGAAGUUGUAGAGGAUAAGUAGGAUUGCAUACCUUUCAAGUGAAGAAGGUGUUAUUAUUUAUACUAAAAGAGAUAAAUAGAAAAUGAUGUGGUCUAACAGUAGUCUAAACUCAUAACAGAAGAUAUGGCUGCGAUGUCAAUAGUAAGGCUGAAUUGUAGAGUGGGUGAAUGUCAUAUCAAUCAUGCUAAUCACCAACUAUAUUUUAAAACUCAGACCGUGCAGGGACUUGAUCGAGGUCAAGGAUCAAUGGGUUUCACCGGGAUCAAAUCCAUUUAAGAAUCGGAUAAUGUCAUCAGGAUGUCAUAAGUAUAAUUAGUUUUAAAAAUUAAUAUACAAUGUAAAAUUUUUUAAAGUAUAAUAAUAUAAAAGUGUGUUCAUGCAUGUUUGAUUUAUUCAAAACUAUUGCUCACUACUAGUGAAAUAUUAUACUAAAUAUUAUAUUACAAGAUAGGAAAUAGAAUCCUUAGUUGAACUUGAAUCUUGCUUAAUAAUUAGUAGCACAAGUCUAGCCUCAUUUAGCCCCGAAUGACAUUCCUGUACAUCAUCACAUAUCAUAAAAAGUUUCUAGAAAUAGAAAGAAAAAAUUAGAAAGGUUUCUAGAAAUGUUAAAAAAAAAUUAAAAGACAAAGAUGUAUAAAGUUAUACUUUACAAAAUUCAGCUUUAUACUAAAGAUUUAAUUUUUACAAACAUUUUCAGUGACAAAAAUGGUGGUAAACACAAUUUUUAAGAAAAAUAAGUAAAAUAAAGGGAUUUAUGCAUUCAAAACCUAUUUCUUUUUACUCACGACAUCAAAAAUAUUAGAAACAAAAUGUACUUAUUCUAAGAUACCUGAUCUAUCAUUGGUCAAAAGAAAGAAGUUGAAAUAAAUGAUACUAUUUCUUGUGAUUUUAGGUUUGCCGUGCAUGCGGACGAGGACCAACGAGUCGAAUUAAGAUCGAAUGUCGGACGAGUUGGAAGUGUCGGGACUAAAUCUCCCAUUUUCACUCUGAUAUUUAAGUUAGAAAUUGUCAUGAGUUGUAUAGGAUAAGUAGGAUUGCAUACCUGCCAAGUGAGGAAGGUGUUGGUAUUUAUACUAAAAGAGAUAAGUAAGAAAUGAUGAGGUCUAAUAGUAGUCUGAUUUCGUAGAAUAAGAUACGGUUACGAUAUCAAUAGUAAAGCUGAAUUGUAGGGUGGAUGAAAUUUACAUCAAUCACAGUAAUCAUUAGCUAUAUUUUGAAAUUCAAACCAGUCAGAGACUCGAUCGAGAUUAGUAGUAGGGGUGACAAUCGGGUUCAAAUCGGGUUGAGUCCCAAUAAAAUCAAAAAUUCGCUAACCCAAACCUAACCCGUCAACUCGAAACGGGUCAGGAUACCUGACUUGAACCUGAAAUUUUUCGGGUUGGCGGGUCAAACGGGUUGACCCAAAAUGAUCCAAAAUUUAAUUUCAUUUUACUGAUUUAUUGGCUAUGAUUUUUAACAGAAUAAAUUCCAAACUAAAAAAAAAACACCAUAAGAGUAGAAACUAAUCCCAGUGGUUCAAUUGUUGCAUUUGGCUUGCAAAUUGCCACUAGCAACAACACAAGGCAGCUAAUCAGAUACAAUGAAUUUAAGACCAAAUCAUGUACCUUGGCUAAGAAUAACAACACCUGUUUCAUUUCUUCUUCUCUGAAACAGAGAAUAGAAAAAGAAACUAAUUCAACAAUAUGAUGGUCAAAAUACUAAAACAUACAGAAGCUAAGCUCGAUCUAAAUCAGUAAAUCUGCAUACAUUUUUCGCUUCUUCAAUAAUCGAUCUAGAUUAGGAAUUGCUUGCUGCUCAGACCUCAGAGAAGAAAAGCCGUUGCUUGCUUCUAACCGCCGUCUGCUAGUGACAGGUAAUGAGGUGAGGACCGUGAGGUGAACUGGUGAAGGGCAAGGCGGCACUUUCUGGUUUUGUCAUUUUGAAGAAAAGGUGAAAAAAGAUUUAGGUUAGGUGAAGUAGUGAACUGUUAAGAGGAAGAAAGAUUUCGGCUUCGGGUGAGGAUCAAGUGACAACAUUUGACUAUUUGGGCAACUUUUCAAAUUUUCUUCCUUGGCUACUGCUUAAACAAUCCACCUACAAGCUAGACAAAUUAAUAGGGCCAGCCAAGUCAAGUGAAUGUGAAUUGUUGUUUUGGUGUACAGUGGUAUUUACUAUUUAGUCUUUAGAUAAGUUUUUAAUAUUUAUUUAUUUAUUUUUAUUUUAGAAACGGGUUAGCGGGUCAACCCGAUUUGGACCUAUUUUUUUCGGGUUUAUCGGGUCUGACCCGAUUCUGACCUGAAUCCUCAAAAUCUAAACCCAAAUCCAUUAAUUUCGUAUUAGAUUCGUGUCGUGUUUUCAGGUCGUGUCGGGAAUUGCCACCCCUAAUUAGUAGUUCUGAGUCAAUCGAUUCCACUAGGGUCGGACCUAUUCAAUAAUCAAAUGAUGUCAUCAUGAUAUCAUAAAUAUAAUUAAUUUAAAAAAUUAAUGUACAAUGUAAAAUUUCUAAAAGCAUAAUAAUUUCAACAUGUGUUUAUGCACGUUUGAUGUAUCCAAAAGUAUUGCCCACUACUAGUAAAAUAUUAUACUAAAUAUUAUAUUAUAGAAUAGGAAAUAGAAUUAUUAGCUGAACAUGAGUCUUGCAUAAUAACUAUUAGCACAACUCCAGCUUCAUUUAGCCAUGAAUGAUGUUCAUAUACAUUAUCACAUAUCAUAAAAAGUUUUUAGAAACAGAAAUAAAAAAUUAGAAAAGUUUCUAGAAAUGUAAAAAAAAAAAUAAAAGACAAAGAUGUACUAAGUUAUACUUAAAAAAAUCCAACAAUAUAGUAAAAAUUUAAAUUUUACAAACGUUAUCAGUGAAAAAAAUGGUGGUAAAUACAAUUAUUUAGAAAAGCAAGUAAAACAAAGGAAUUUAUGCAUUCAAAACCUACUUCUUUUUACCCACGAUAUCAAAAAUACUAGAAGCAAGAUGGACUUAUUGUAGGAUACCUGACCUGCCAUUGAUUGAAGAAAGAAGUUGAAACAAAUGACACUAUUUCUUGUGAUUUUAGGUUUGCAGUGCAUGCAGACGAGAACCAACAAAUUGAAUUAAAGUUGAAUGCUGAAUGAGCUAAAAGUAGUCAAGACUAAAUUCCCUAGUUUCACUAUGAUACUUAAGUUAGAAAUUAUUAGGAGUUGUAUAGGAUAAGUAAGAUUGUAUACUUUUCAAUUGAGAAGAAUGAUGAUAUUUAUAUUGGAAGAGAUAAGUAGGAAGUGAUGAGAUCCAAUAAUAGUUUGAUUUCGUAGGAUAGGAUAUGGUUGCGAUGUCAAUAAUAUGGCUCAAUUGUUGGAUGGCUGAAUUUCACAUUAAUUAUAGUAGUCACCAUCUAUGUUUUGAAAUUCAAAUCGGGUAGGGACUCGGUCAAAAUUAGUGGUUAGGGUUUAAUGGAUUCCACUGGGUCAGAACCAUUCAAGAACCAGAUGAUGUUAUCAUGAUAUCAUAAAUAUAAUUAAUUUUAAAAAUAAAUAUACAAUGUAAAAUUUCUAAAAGCAUAAUAAUUUCAACAUGUAUUUAUGCAUGUUUGAUAUAUUCAAAAGUACUGCCCACUGUUCGUAAAAUAUUAUACUAAAUAUUAUAUUACAGGAUAGGAAAUAAGUCAUUAACUGAACAUGAGUCUUGCUUAAUAACUAGUAGCAGAACUCCAUCCUCAUUUAGCCAUGAAUGACGUUCACGUAUAUCAUAACAUAUCAUUAAAAAAAAAUUUAGAAAUAGAAAGCAAAAAUUAGAAAAAUUUCUAGAAAGGUAUGCAAAGAGUUACUAAGUUAUACUUAAAAAAAUCAACUAUACAGUAAAGAUGUAAGUUUUAUAAACAUUAUCAGUGACAAAAAUGCUGGAAAACACAAUUUUUUAGAAAAAUAAGUGAAACAAAGGGAUUUAUGUAUCCAAAACCUGCUUCUUUUUACCCCCAAUAUCAAGAAUACUACAACCAAAAGGUACUUAUUUUAGGUUACCUGAUUUGCCAUUAAAUCAAAAAAAGGAAGUUGAAACAAAUGACACUAUUUUUGGUGAUUUUAGGUUUGUAGUGUGUGAGGACGCGGACCAGCGAACCAAAUUAAGGUUGAAUGCCAAACGAACUGAAAGUAGUCGGGACUAAAUCUCACAAUUUCAUUCCGAUAUUUAAGUUAGAAGUUGUCGAGAGUUGUAUAAGAUAAGUAGGAUUGCAUACCUUUCAAGUUUCAAGUGAGGACGGUGUUGGAAUUUAUACUAGGAGAGAUAAGUAGAAAAUGAUAAGGUCUAAUAGUAGUUUGAACUCGUAGGAUAAGAUAUGGUUGCGAUGUCAAUAGUAAGGACAAAUUAUAGGGUGAUUGAAUGUCACUUCAAUCAUACUAGUCACCAGUUAUGUUUUGAAACUUAAACCAAAUAGAGAUUCGAUCUAGAUUAGGAGUUAGGGGUUAAUAGGUUCCAUCAGAGUUGAAUCUAUUCAAGAACUGGAUGAUAUCAUAAUUACAAUUAAUUUUAAAAAUUAAUAUAUAAUGUAAAAUUUCUAAAUGCAUAAUAAUCUCAACGUAUGUUCAUGCACGUUUGAUGUAUUCAAAAGUAUUGCCCACUACUAAUAAAAUAUUAUACUAAAUAUUAUAUUAUAGCAUAGAAAAUAGAGUCAUUAGCUGAACCUGAAUCUUGCUUAAUGACUAGUCACACAACUCCAGCCUCAUUUAGUUAUGAAUGAUGUUCCAAUACAUUAUCACAUAUCACCAAAAUUUUCUAGAAAUAGAAAGAAAAAAUUAGAAGAUUUUCCAAAAAUAUGAAAAAAAUUAAAAGACAAAAAUGUACUAACCUAUAUAAUUAAAAAAAAGUCCAUCUUUAUAGCAAAGAUGCAAGUUUUAUAAACGUUAUUAAUGACAAAGCAGUAGGAAACACAAUUUUAGAAAAUAAGUUAAACAAUGGGCUUUAUGCAUCUAAAACCUACUUUUUUUGACCUACGACAUCAAGAAUAUUAAAAGCAAGUGAUACUUAUUUUAGGAUGUCUGAUUUGCCAUUGGUCGAAAGAAAGAAGUUGAAAAAAAAAUGACACUAUUUUAGAUAGUUUUAAGUUUGCAGUGUGUGCGGACGAGGACCAACGAAGCAAAUUAAGGUCGAAUGUCAGAUGAACUGAAAGUGGUCGGAACUAGAUUCCCCAAUUUCACUCCAAUAUUUAAAUCAGAAAUUGUUGGAAGUUGUAUAGAAUAAGUAGGAUUGCACACAUUUUAAGUAAGAAAAGUGUUAAUAUUUAUACUAGAAGAGAUGAAUAUGAAAUAAUGAGAUAUAAUAGUAGUUUGAUUUUGUAGGAUACGAUAUAGUUGCGAUGUCAAUAGUAGAAUUAAAUUGUAGGGUGAUUGAAUGCUAUAUCAAUCAUACUAGUCACCAGAUAUGUUUUGAAAUUUAGACCAGGUAGGGACUCAAUCGAGAUCAGAGUUUAGGGGUCAAUGGAUUCUAUGGGAGUCAAACCCAUUCAAAAUCGGAUGAUGUCAUAAAUACAAUUUAUUUUAAAAAUUAAUAUACAAUGUAAAAUUUCUAAAAGUAUAAUAAUUUCAAAGUGUGUUCAUGCACAUUUGAUAUAUCCAAAACUACUAUCCAUUAUUAGUAAAAUAUUAAACUAAAUAUUAUAUUACAAUAUAGGACAUAGAGUUAUUAGCAGAACAUGAGUCUUGCUUAAUGACUAGUAUACAACUCCUGCCUUAUUUAAUCAUGAAGAUAUUCUUGUACAUCAUCAGAUAUCAGAAAAAAUUUCUAGAAACAGAAGGAAAAAAUUAAAAAAGUUUCCAAAAAUAUAUAAAAAAAUUAAAAUUAAAAAAGAUGUACUAAGUUAUACUUAAAAAAAAUUCAACUUUAUAUUAAAUAUGCAAGUUUUACAAACAUUAUCAGUAACAAAAAUGGUGAAAACACAAUUUUUUAGAAAAAUAAGUGAAACAAAGGGAUUUAUACAACCAAAACCUGUUUUUUUUUUUUACCCACGACGUCAAGAAUAUUAGAAGCAAAAGGUACUUAUUUUUGGACAUCUGAUCUGCCAUUGAUCGAAUAAAGGAAGUUGGGAAAAAUGACAUUAUCUUUGGUAAUUUUAGAUUUGCAGUGCGUGCGCAUGAGGACCAACAAGCCAUAUUAAAAUCGAAUGAUAGAGAUUCGAUCGAAAUCUGGGGUUAGAAGUCAAUAGAUUCGAUCGGGGUCAAAUCCAUUCAAGAACCAAAUGAUGUCAUCAUGAUGUUAUAAAUGUAAUUAAUUUUAAAAGUUAAUAUACAAUGUAAAAUUUCUAAUAAUCUCAAUGUGUGUUCAUGUACAUUUGAUAUAUCCAAAACUACUGCCCACGACUGGUAAUUAUUAUACUAUAUAUUAUAUUAUAAGAUAGGAAAUAGAGUCAUUAGCUGAAUUAGAGGUUUCGUUAAUGACGAAUAGCACAAUUUCAACCUCAUUUAGCCAUGAAUGAUGUUCCUAUACAUCAUCAUAUAUCAUUAACAUUUUCUAAAACUAGAAAAAAAUUAAAAAUUUUUCCAGAAAUAUAAAAAAAAUUAAAAGACAAAGAUUUACUAUAUGAUACUUUAAAAAAAUCCAAUUUUAUAGUAAAGAUGUAAGCUUUACAAACAUUAUCAGUAACAAAAAUGGUGGAAAACAAAUUUUUUUAGAAAAACAAGCGAAAUAGUGGGAUUUAUGCAUCCAAAAUCUGAUUCUUUUUACCCACAACAUCAAGAAAAUUAGAAACAAAAAGUACUUAUUCUAGAAUAGUUGAUUUGCCAUUGGUCGAAAGAAAAAAAUUGAUACAAAUGAUACUAUUUUCGGUGAUUUUUUAUUUGUAGUGUGUACAUAUGAGAACCAGCGAGUCGAAUUAAGUUCGAGUAUCGGAUGAGUUAGAAGUGGUUGAGACUAAAUCUCUCAAUUUUACUCUGACAUUUAAGUCAUAAGUUAUCGGGAGAUGUAUAGGACAAGUAGGAUUGCAUACCUUUCAAGUGAAAAAAGUAUUGAAAUUUAUACUAAAAGAAAUAAGUAGAAAAUAAUGAGUUCUAAUAGUAGUAUAGACUUGUUGGAUAAAAUACGGCAGUGGACAAGGACUCAAGGUUCCAUCGGAGUCGGAUCCAUUCAAUAAUCAGAUGAUGUCAUCAUGAGUCUUGCUUAACAACUAGUAGCACAACUUCAAUCUCAUUUAGCCACGAAUGACGUUCCUGUACAUUAUCACAUAUCAUAAAAAUUUUCUAGAAACAUAAGAAAAAAAUUAGAAAAGUUUUUAGAAAUGUAAAAAAAAAAGAUAAAGAUGUGUUAAGUUAUACUUAAAAAAAUUCAACUUUAUGAUAAAGAUACAAGUUUUACAAACAUUAUUAGUAUAAAAAAUGGUUGGAAACACAAUUUUUUAGGAAAAAAAGGUGAAACAAAGGGAUUUAUGCAUCCAAAAUCUGCUUUUUUUUUUUUACCCACGACAUAAAAAAUACAAGAAGCAAAAGAUACUUAUUUUAAGAUACCCGAUCUAUCAUUGGUCAAAUGAAGGAAGUUGAAACAAAUGACACUAUUUUUGGUGAUUUUAGAUUUGCAGUGCGUGCAGAUGAGGACCAGUGAAUCGAAGUAAGGUCGAAUGAUAUGGGCUUAGUCGAGAUUAGGGGUUAAGGGUCAAUAGACUUGAUCAGAAUCUGAUCCAUUAGAGAAUCAGAUGAUGUCAUCAGGAUGUCGUAAAUAUAAUUAGUUUUAAAAAUUAGUAUACAAUGUAAAUUUUCUAAAACAUAAUAAUCUCAAACGUGUAUUCAUGCACGAUUUAUAUAUCCAAAACUACUGUCCACUACUAGUAAAUUAUUCUACUAAAUAUUAUAUUACAUGAUAGAAAAUGAAUCAUUAAUUGAAUCUAAAUCUUGCUUAAUGAUUGGUAGCACAACUUCAAUCACAUUUUGCCAUGAAUAACAUGCCUCUACAUCAUCACAUAUCAUCAAAAUUUUCUAGAAUAGAAAAAAAUUGAAAAAGUUUCUAGAAAUGUUAAAAAAAAUUAAAAGACAAAGAUGUGCUAAGUUAUAUAUUAAAAAAAUCCAACUUUAUAGUCAAGAUACAAGUUUUGCAAAUAUUAUCAGUAACAAAAAUUAUUAGGAAACACAAAUUUUUAGUAAAAUAAGUUAAACAAAGAGAUUUAUGCUUCCAAAACGUGUUUCUUUUUGCCACAACAUCAAGAAUAUUAACAGCAAGGGGUAUUUAUUUUAGAAUACCUAAUCUGCCAUUAGUUGAAAGAUGAAAGUUGAUACAAAUGACACUAUUUUUGUUUAUUUUAGAUUUACGAUGCAUGUGAACGAGGAUCAAUGAGCCGGAUUAAGAUCGAAUGUGGGAAGAGUUGGAAGUGGUCGGGACUUAAUCCCACAAUUUUACUCCGAUAUUUAAAUAAGAAGUUAUAAAAAAUUAUAUAGAAUAAGUAGGAUUGCAUAUUUUUCAAGUGAAGAAGGUGUUGGUAUUUAUACAAGGAUAGAUAUGUAGAAAAUAAUGAGAUCUAAUUGUAGUCUGAUUUCAUAGAUUAAGAUAUGAUUGCAAUGUCAAUAAUAGGGAUAAAUUGUAAGGUGGUUAAAUAUCAUUUUAAUCAUACUAGUCACCAACUAUAUUUUGAAACUCAAACUAGGUAGGAACACGGUCGAGUUCAGGUAUUAGAGUUCAAUGCAUUUCAUUGGGGUCGGACCCAAUCAAGGACCGGAUGAUGUUAUCAAGAUGUCAUAAAUAUAAUUAAUUUUAAAAAUUAAUAUACAAUAAAAAUUUCUAAAAGCAUAAUAAUUUCAACGUGUGUUCAUGUACGUUUGAUGUAUCUAAAAGUAUUACCCACUAUAAGUAAAAUAUUAUGCACAAUAUUAUUUUAUAAGAUAGAAACUAAAGUUAUUAGCUGAAUCUGAUUGUUGAUUAAUGACCGGUGGCACAACUCUAGACUCAUUUAGCCAUGAAUGACAUUCCAGUACAUCAUCACAUAUCACAAAAAGUUUCUAGAAACAAAAAGAAAAAAUUAGAAAAGUUUCCAAAAAUGUAAAAAAAUUAAAAGAUAAAGAUGUACUAAGUUAUAUAUUUAAAAAAAAAAUCUAAUUUUAUAUCAAAGAUACAAGUUUUACAAACAUUAUCAAUGACAAAAAUAGUGAAAAACACAAUUUUUUAGAAAAAACAAGUGAAAUAAAGAGAUUUAUGCAUCCAAAAUCUGCUUCUCUUUACCCACGACAUCAAGAAUACUAGCAGCAAAAGAUACUUAUUCUAGGAUACUUGAUUUGCCAUUUGUUAAAAGAAGAAAGUUGAAACAAAUGAUACUAUUUUUGGUGAUUUUAGAUUUACAAUGAGUUUGUUUGGAUAAGAGUCUAUUUGGAUGAUUUAUUUAAUUUAAUUACUGUAGCACUUUUUGUAAUGCGAUGUAUGUGAGAUAAAAAGGUGAUUGAGAAGAUAAAAAAGUGAUUGGAAUUUGUGAAGCAAAUUAUUUUAUCUGAAAUGAUGCCAAUCCAAACAAACCCAAUGUGUGCAGACAAGGACUAGUGAGCCAAAUUAAGGUCGAAUGUCGAACGAGCUGAAAAUGGUCGAAACUGAAAUUUUCAAUUUUACUCCAAUAUUUAAUUUAGAAUUUAUCGAGAAUAUAGGAUAGGAUUGCAUACUUUUCAAAUGAAAAAGAUAUUUGUAUUUAUACUAGGAGAGAUAUGUAGGAAAUUAUAAGGUCUAACAAUAGUCUGACUUUGUAGGAUAAGAUAUGGCUGCGAUGUCAAUAGUAGGGUUGAAUUAUUAGGUGGUUGAAUGUCACAUCAAUCAUACCAGUCACUAACUAUAGUUUGAAAAUUAGACCGAGCAGGGACUUGAUCGAGAUUAGAGUUUAGGGGUCAAUGGGUUCGAUUGUGGUCAGAUCCAUUCAAGAACCAGAUGAUGUUAUAAAUACAAUUAAUUUUAAAAAUUAAUAUACAAUGUAAAAUUUCUAAAAGUGUAAUAAUUUCAACGUGUGUUCAUGCACGUUUGAUAUAUCCAAAGCUACUAUCCACUACUUACAAAAUAUUAUAGUAAAUAUUAGAUUACAUCAUAGGAAAUAGAGUCAUUAGUUAAACUAAGUCUUGCUUAAUGACUAGUAGUACAAUUUCAACCUCAUUUAGCCAUGAAUGAUGUUCCUGUACAUCAUCACAUAUCAUAAAAAGUUUCUAUAAACAAUAAGAAAAAAUUAAAAAGUUUUCAGAAAUAUAGAAAAAAAAGACAAAGAUGUACUAAGUUAUAUUUAAAAAAAAUUCAACUUUAUAGUAAACAUUCAAGUUUUACAAACAUUAUCAGUAACAAAAAUGAUUGAAAAUGCAAUUUUUUAGAAAAGAAAAUGAAACAAAGGGAUUUAUGCAUUCAAAACUUGCUUUUUUUACCCAUGACAUAAAAAAUACUAGAAAUAAGUGGUACUUAUUCUAGGAUAGCUGAUCUGCCGUUGGUCAAAUGAAGGAAAUUGAAAUAAAUGACACUAUUUCUGGUGAUUUUAGGUUUGCAGUGCGUGAGGACGAAAACAAACGAGUCGAAUUAAGGUUGAAUGACAGGAACUCGAUCGAGAUUAGGGGUUAGAGGUCAAUGAGUUCGACCAAGAUUGGAUCCAUUCAAGAACCAAAUGAUGUUAUCAUGAUGUCAUAUAUAUAAUUAAUUUUAAAAAUUAAUAUACAAUGUAAAAUUUCUAAAAGUAUAACAACGUGUAUUGAUGCAUGUUUGAUUUAUCCAAAACUACUGUUAUUACCGAUAAAAUAUUAUACUAAAUAUUAUAUUAUAUGAUAGGAAAUGGAGUUAUUAGUUGAAUCUGAGUCUUGCUUAAUGGCUAGUAGCACAACUCUAGUUUCAUUUAUCCAUGAAUGACGUUUUUGUACAUCAUUACAUGUCAUAAAAAAGUUUCUAGAAACAGAAAAAAAAUUGGAAAGUUUUUAGAAAUGUAAAAAAAAAAUUAAAAGACAAAUAUGUACUAAAUUAUAGUUAAAAAAUUCAACUUUAUUGUAAAGAUACAAGUUUUACAAAUAUUAUAAGUAAUAAAAAUGGUGGAAAACAUAAUUUUUUAGAAAAACAAUGAAACAAAGGGAUAUUAUGCAUCCAAAACUUGGUUUUUUGACCCACAGCAUCAAGAAUACUAGAAGUAAGAGGUACUUAUUUUAGAAUACCUGAUCUAUCAUUGGUCGAAAAAAGGAAGUUAAAAUAAAUGACACUAUUUUUGGUGAUUUUAGAUUUAUAGGACAUGCGAACGAGGACCAGCGAGCCAAAUUAAGGUCAAAUGCUAGACAAGUUAGAAGUGAUCGGGACUAAAUCCUCCAAUUUUACUCUGAUAUUGAAAUAUGAAGUUAUUGAGAGUUGUAUAGGAUAAGUAGGAUUGCAUACCUUUCAAGUAAAGAAGGUAUUGAUAUUUAUACUAGUAGAGAUAAGUUGAAAAUGAUGAGGUCUAAUAAUAGUUUGAUCUCGUAGGAUAAGAUAUGGUUGCGAUGUCAAUAGUAGGGCUGAAUUAUAGGGUGGCUAAAUGUUAAUAGUAGGGCAGAAUCAGAUCGGGCAGGGAAUCGAUCGAGGUCAGGAGUUUGUGGUCAAUCGGUUUGACCAUGGUCAAACCCAUUCUAUAACCGGCUGACGUCACCAUAAUGUCAUAAAAUAUAAUUAAUUUUAAAAAUUAACAUACAAUGUAAAAUUUCUAAAAGCAUAAUAAUCUCAAUGUUUGUUCAUGCUCAAUUGAUGUUUCUAGAAUAUUUUACAAGAAAAUGUAAAUAAAAUAAUAUAAUCAAGUAGCAAUCUAUACAAUUUAAUGCAUAUUCAACAAGUUUGGAAUUAAAUUGGAGGGAUUAUUUUAAAAAUAAUAAUAGAUUUAGGACAGAAGUUAUAAAUCAUAAAAUGUUACUAGCUAUAUUAAUAGUUUUCUAACACUAGGAGUCAAAUCAUAAAAUCAAGAAAAUUUUGAAACCCUAAAAUUGGUUUGAAUUCAAUGGUGUGGACCUGCGGGGCCCUCAGAGUGAGGUCCAACUGUCAGAUUUGACUCACUGAAAUGUGGAGUACAUACUAGUUAUCAUAGUGAAUGAAUUCCUACCUUUUAUCCUUGUUUAUCUCAUCACCUAUUUUCUUCCUUUCUUGCCUUGUCCUUUCUUUUCCAGUCGCAGUUUUCUUCUUGUAUUUCUCUCAUUUUUUUUCUUUUUUACAUCUAAAUCUUUGCAUCUUUUUCUCUAUUCACUACAAGAAAUCAACUUUUAUUAUUCAUGUUCUUUUUCCCUUUACUUCUCUUCUUUUUUUUCUCAAUUCUUUUAAUCCUAACUUUAGAUUGUUCAAUAUUAUGUUGAAAGAGCCAUAUGUGGUAGUAGCAGUGGAUAUGCGCUCAAGGAUCGAAUGCUAUAUUAAAAGUUUUAGGAGUAAAAAUGUUUGAAAUUGAAUUUUGGAAAACAAUCGAGUUUUCCCGGUUGUUUUGGGUUUUCAAUCAAACGCAGUUUUGAUCAGGUCCUUGUCCACCACAAAACUCAAACAUGACAUAUUUGAUGGGGUCCUUGUCCACCGGAUUUUUGAACACACUCAAACAUGACAUGUAUCCUAUUUUUGAUCCAAUUGGUUGAACCGAUUGGUCCAAUAUGAGUUUAAAAAUAUGGGUCACCAGUCACCAGCUACAUCGAUGACUAGUCGAGACUUUUGAUACCUCGGGUAGAUGGUCAUCUCGAGAUGAAUUCCUGUCAAAAAGCAUCUAGGCUGAGAUAUUAUCUGCGCCAGGUUAACAGAGAUGCUUUCUCAUUCAAGGUAGAUGAGGUAUUUACACUGAACCCCCUAAUUUCGGAAAGGAUAAAUAGUUCAAAGGACUAUCUUUUUCGAGGUUAUAACCCGAAUUGAUCAUGGAAUACACAUGACAAAGCAUAGUGCUACUAAAGAGACAAUAUGUUAAGAUGGAAUGACGAAUGUUAGCACAGAAAACUAAUAGCAUUAUUUUAUAGUGUCACUAAAAUUUUAGGAAACAUUUGUAGAAAAAUAAAAAUGUAAUCUACGAAUGCCAAACCUCCUUUCCAUACACAAUCAAAUGAUAUCAGAAGUUAGGGUUUUGUAAUCUAGAGCAGUUCUUAUCUGAUCAUGCCAUCUUGGCUAUCUUUAAGAACAGUUACCGGUAAUAACUGAAAAAAGAAAUUAGGGAAAUUUUUUUUUUCCAAAUGCAGAAAUCAUUCCUGUAGCAGAAGUAGGAUACAAAACUAACGCAUGAAACGGUCUCCAAAGUUCAAGCACCUGGUGUUAAAGUCAAAGUUAUCCAAAUAACCUUAAUUAAAAAUUAUAUAAUAAGUAUCUAACAGGACAAAUAAGUAAUUCUGAAAUGAAUUCCGAUCAAAGAGCAUUUAGCCCGAGAUAUCCUCUACACCAGAUUAAUCGAGAUGCUUUCUCAUUUGAGAUAGAUGAGGUAUUGACACUGAGCCCCCUAAUUCCGGAAAGAAUAAAUAGUUCAGAGAACUAUAUUUUUGAGGUUAUAACCCGAAAUGAUCAUGGAAUACGCAUGGAAAAUCAUAAUUCUGCUAAAAAGACAAUAUGACAACGUGGAAUGACAAAUAUGUCCCUCUUCUAAAAGGUGUUAGAUAAACUGUUAGUCAUUUAUGAGGGGUGAGAGUCGAGCACUUCAAGAUUCAAAAAGUCUACAUUUUCACCUUCCUUAACACCUAUAAAUAGGGGGUAAUUUAAUUCAUGACCCAUUUUCACCGUACAAUCAAAUUGUAAUUUUCAUCUAAGAUAAUCAAACGAGGUGCUUUGACAUCUCCAUCCUUGCCGAGGACUCUAUGAAAUAGUAUGCCAUAUUUUGUUGCAAUAGUUAUGGUUAAAAUAGCAACAACUUGCAAGGAAAGAGUGAGUCGAGUUUUUCUGAGAAAAAGAGGGCUAACCGUAUAGAAGAGGAGACAACGUAUACAAAUCAAACUUCCAGUUCAUGAGAGGAGUCUGUAGAAGAAUCCAAAAUAGAGAGGGUAGAAGGAUUAUCCCGGUCCACCAAGGAGUUAAAGGCAUUGUAUAAUGACGCUUUUGGUUUCGAGAUGCCUCAAGGCAUUGGGAUAGUUGUGCCUAAAACCCCUCUUAACCUCGACCUGGUUGGCUUUAGCAAACUUCCCUUAUUCAGAAGCACGAUUAAGGAGGCUGGGUCGAAAGUCUUGUUAUGAGCCUACCUGUUCUGCCAAGAUUACAAUACAUAUUGGUAGAGUCGAAUCAAUUAGUGGCCAUUUCACCCAAGGACCAAGUGGCAAUAUAUGCUGACCAUUUCCAAUUCCUUUGAAGGGAAGCACAAUCGAGGAGGCCGACUCGAGAGUCUGGUUAUGAGCCUACCCAUUUUACCGAGAUUACAAUAUAUAUUGGGUAGAACUGAAUCAUUCAGUGCCCAUUCCAUCCUAGGACCAAGUGACAAUAUAUGCUGAGCAGUUCCAAUUCCUCUGAGACAACCUUCAGUACUAAGGAACUCGGAUUACCUAGUUGACUCUGAAUGCCAUCCAAAUCUUGGUAGGGUUCAAGAUGUUAUACCAAGAAUAAGGCGUGGUUCCCAUGGUUAAUCUCUUCCAAAGGUUCUAUAUAACUAAGAGUGGUGGAAAUGAGAAGAGGUGAAUGUAAUUUGGCACCCAAUCCAAGAAUAUCGAGAAGUUAGUUGUGGAUGCCCUGACUUCCAUUAAAGAUAGACAAAUAAUUUUGCUUUUGUACCACACGAGAACUUUCUUACGGAAUUUUGGUGGAGAUCACAUAAUGCACCAGGCGACCCAUCUCUAGGACUCGUGGAAAAGUAAAAUUUUUAGAAGAUAAAAUAGUCAGGUCUCAAGAUAAAUAGUCGGUUCUUCCCUGAGGCAGUUCUAGUGGAUAGGGGCAUCAGCCAAACUUUGAUUAGCCUCAACAAAUCUCCCUAUUAUUUUUCUAGUUUUGGCAGUACUUGUAAUUUUUUUUCAUUAAGUAAUUUUGUAAUUAUUCCUAUUGCUAAGUAAUAAUUUGUCUUUUCUUUACAGUGGUGAAGGUAUUUGACUUGAUCAUCUCGUGAGCUAAAAUAGUAGCUAAAAAGCAGAAAUGCAAGCUUCUAAUGCAUAUUCUGGAGCGGGAAAGAAUUAGAAGAGUGUCUCAACCACUGCCGACUUUAGCACAUCAUAUAUCUGUUCCUAAGGGCAUUGCUACCUGAAGUUUCACUAUUAUCUUGGUUGGGCAUAAGAAGGAGAAGCUUCUCCACUCCUAUCCUCUAGUUAUUGUUGGGUCAUCUCUGCGGAAUAGACAUCUUACCCCUUUUCUGAAGCCUUCCAGUCCUGAGAUAAGGCACCUUGAGGAGUACUUUGGCUCAUCUUGGCAACUUACCAUCAAUGACCGAUCCCAAGAUCUAGGUCAAUCUCGGGAAUUGCUCCUUAACUCGGUACUGCCAUAAGAUGUUGAUUGGUCCUGAGCUGAUUGACCACCUGGCCAUUGUUUGGGUCUCGUCCAACAUCUUAGUAGCCAACAUGAUUCAAUGGUUUGGGGUCAUGUAGGAUGCCUAACAGUCAACUGCACUUCUCCUAAAGAAGGUGAAGGUUUUAGAGACAGAGCUGGAAGUGGUCAAAGCUAAAAGCGACCAUGCUAUUAUCGAGGCCAACUCCCUAAGGAUGACCUAUAAGGAAUAGCAAAAAGGACUUCAAGAGGAGAGAACAUCCAAUGAGAUAACCUUGGAGAAGGCUUGGAUCUCAGUGGUAGAGGCCUUCUUGAAAUCCAAAAAUUUUAAUAAAGACUUGGUGAGCUGACUACCUCGAGCUUUAUGUUUGGCUUCACUACAAUUAUCAAUAAGGUCGACCAUCUGCUGUCUGAGGAGGAAUUUGAAAGGAUCAAAACCAACACCAACUACAAUGAGGAUGCCAAAGAGUUGUGUGAUUGGAUGGCAGCUGGUAUCUCUCAUGCUGUUGACCUCUUCUCUUGUCAAUUGUCUUUGUAGCAAGUUCUUCUCCCCCUUUCUCUUCCUACCUCUAACAGCCUAGCCUAAUUGCCCAACUCCACCUGGCACGGCCUUUCGCAACCGAUAAUUUGCCCUGUAGGUACUGAGCAAUGGCUAGUUUUGAUUGUGUACAAAUGUUAAUUCUGUGAAGAAAUUCAUUUUGUAGUAUCAUGUUUGCUAAAUUCUUUCUACAUUUUCACAUUUUUAGAUGAUUAGUUAUGGAGUAUGUGCAUAGUGUUCUGAUUUUAUCUAAAUUUUGCUAUGUUAGGCUGAUUUUAUGGAAAAGGGCACUACUGACUGUCAUGAACAAUUUAGAUGAAGGUAGCCUCUACAAAAUGGAGACAGAUAGAAUAAAUAAUAGCAUACUUGCAUUAAAAAGCAUUUAUGGCCCGAGGUUCCUAAAUUGUUGAAGUAUUUAUCCUUUAGUUCUCUAUAUCUUAAACCAUCUGCUAUUGGUAAUAUAACUAUGACUAUGAAUUUCCAGUUUUUACAUACAUCAUAUCGUUGUUUACAAACUACAUAGCGAUAAAGUUGCAGAUAUUAGUAGAUGAGAAACCAUAACUGCAUAUGAAAUUUAUUGGAACGUGUUCUAUUGCUUGACUUCAAAUUUUCAGAUAUUUUCACCUUGAGCAGCUACAUCUGGAUUAAGUUUUCUAUAGUUAAAUAUCUAUAACAUUAGCUAUUAUAAUUUAUGAUGGAACCAGAACGGUUGCUUUAAGAGAGACUUUGGAGUGAACAUAUGAGUUUUUCAAAUUAUUGUGGUAGGGAAAAGUUUAAUUUUCAAGGACACUUCUAAAAAUUUUCAAAUCUUUAAGGGGAAAAACCAUGGAUUUCUAGGACUUGGGGUGCAUUGGCCCCUGCCUGCCUCCCCUUAGUUCUCGUGUUAAGUGUAAUUUGUAUAUUUACAAUUUUGAGUAUGCAUAUGCUUACAAUUGCUUAAAGCCGGGAAUCUAGUGGUAAUGAAUCUGUGCCUCUUUUUGGAAGAUAAAUUUGGAAGUGCAUAUACUUAAAUGUCUUAUGUUGUUUUGUGAAAAUUCUAGGUGUAUAAUCGAUUUACAUUCUAUAGGAUGAAAGUCUCAAUUCAUUCUUUUGUCAGUUGUUACGGGCUCUGCGGCUUUUUAGGAAGCAAGAUCAUGCCAUAGUGCCUGAGCUAAACCAAAGUCUUAGUUAGGUGAACGAGAUGUUGAUAGUGCUCUUUUCAAGAGAUAUAUCUACAGUGACUUUUUUUGUCGAUGUGUUUUAAUUUCUUGAAACCAUUUUCUUUGGAAAGAUAAUUGAGCUUUUUUUCUAUUGUUGGAAAAGAUAAUAGGUUGUUGACAUAAUAUUGUAGUUGGAGAUGACUGCUGAUUAAGUGUGAAUUCAGUUGAUUUGCACUCUUCAGAAGUUUAUCACAAGGUUGAACUUAUUCAUUUGGUCCUAUCUGGUACACAGUAUCACAACAAAUGGCUUCUAAAGGUAAAAGUUUUAUAGGUAAAAUGAAAAAAUUUCAUCUUCACAUUAAUUGUUAAAGAUACUCAAUGAAAGACGUGUCCAGAUUAUGGUAUGUUAUCCAUUAUAAGAUCUAAUUCAAUAUUUUUAAUUUUUUUUCCGUUUGUGGUUUACCCUUUCUAAAUUUUGUAUCUGGUCCCUUCCAUAAACUUUCUUUGAAUCUAUAUUGAAAAAUUUUAGGUUAACAAUGUAGUUGUUGUGAGCAAGUAUACGAGUCCACAUCAGUGUCAAAGGAAGGGGGAUUUCAAAAUAGCAAUCAAAAGUCCCUCACCUUAGGAAGUCUAAAUAAUUUACUAUUUUCUAUUUGUGGUUGCAAACUUAUAGCAUCCUAUUAUUUUGUGAUAGGUGAAAAAGAAAUAGCUUGUUAUAUUUCUUCUGAUAUAAUUAUUAGGAAUGCGUAUGUGUUACACUGAUGAAUCAUGUUGAUUUGCUUCAAGGUUAGAUUGCCAUGCUGAUGCCUCAUGAAGAAGCUUCCAAUUCCUUGAAGCAGUGUGAGUUCCCUUCUUCAGAAAUAUAUGUUAUGGGAAUUAACAAUAUGGCUCUGCAAACACAGCUGAAGUAUCAUUCAUUUAUGUGUGAGGAGUUUGAGCAUCCACAUAUGGCAAGGUUAUCUCAUGCGGAAUUCUACUGAUUGCCCAAAUUCUUGGUAAAAUGCUCUUGUCCUUUACCUGCUUCUAUUAAAGCCAAAAUCCACGCUUUAGGAUUGUCUUAGACCUGCUCAAAGGUCAGCAUGGUGUUAAAAUCAUCAAUCUUAUCCUAGAGCUGUUGAAAUCAGUGCCUUUGUGUCUUGAUAGAGAACUUUGAUCCCUCUAUUCUUUAAGGGCAAAGUGAACAAUCCAAAGGUAAGAGCCGCUAUGAGAUUGCAAUGGUUAUGGUUGACAUGAGUAUGGAAGCAAGCGUUGAGUGCACAUGGUGGGGUUAAGGUAUUAACACGGGACCAAUUAACAAUGAUGAGCAGAAACAUCUACGGGUACCAGAUUAUGCUUGUGCAUAUUAAAAAUGUGAUAUCCAAGAUCACUAAGAACGAAAACAGUCCAAUGAUAGAAUACAUAACAAUUCAGCUGCUGAGCUUCAAGGCAAAUCAGCAAAACUAGCUGUCGGAUUUAAAAUACACAACAAAAGUAGUGUAAGGUAUGCUGAGGCUAAUUCUUAGGUUGAAGAGCCUAUUUAUUCUGCUUUGAAUCCAAGAUACCUCCACAAGUAGAAAUGAUCGUGCACUAUGUUGAGUUGACAAUGCGAGUGUUGAUAACAUUUUGAAGUUGUUAAAUGUGGAUGCAUUUGGCAUGAUAGGCAGUACUUCUAUUGUACAUCAGUUGCAAUAUCCCAGGCACUCCUAGGCUAAUUGGUUGAUGUUUGAAAUUUUUUUGUUUUGUUUUGUUUGGCAUCACAUCAUUUGGUAUUGAAUCCGUUGACAAGAAACCGAGUAUCUCAUACUGUAGUAUCAUCCAAUAAUUGAUUGUUUUUUGAAAUGUAGUGACAAUCACUUGUUUGUUCUUAUUUAGUUCUAGCAUCACUUGUAACUUCUUGAAACAUUUGUAAUUGGCUACAGGCAGUUAACUUGGUUUACUAGCAUCCUAUAGGAUGAUGGACACUAGUGCAUUAUUUCUCAUAGUAUUUGAUGUAUCAAAAGCACUUGAUGUUUGCAUUUCUUUUUAGAAAUUAAGUUAGUGAGUCUUACAAAAGGAAAUUUCUGAAGUACAUGUAAUCUGCUUUUAGUUACUAAAUUGCAAGAAUGGUUUCUUCUUAUCGUGGAGCUGGUUGUUGUUGUGAAAUUGGAGGACUAGGAUGAUAUUGUUGCUAGUGAAAUUUCGGUGGCCUUGCAAUAUAACUAAAAUUCAGAUGAUCCUUCCACCCUGGAUUGUAGGUGUUUGAAUAAGGAUCAUAGUGCCUUUGAGGUGGAUCAGGAAAUCCCUCAUCUGUAUUCGCAUAUUCACUCAAAUCAUCCUAUAGUGUAGGGCACAUGUCAGUUGGGUGAUCUGAAACAUAGUAAUUCUAUAUGUUUUAUCCUGUUGUACCUGUCCUACAACUAAUUUUUCCACCAAAGAGGUUAGAGAAUCUAAUUUUUGUUCAAUAGAAGAAGUACUUACCUCAUUGACUUUUCUAGGGACAUAUUCCUAUCUAUCACCAAAUUGUUGACCAUUGACUACCAUACUUGAAAUUAGUUUCCUUGCUUCCAUUGGCGUUUUAUUUACCAAUACUCCUCCACUAGCAGCAUCAAUAAUUUUCCUAUCUGUUACUGAUAAUUCCUUAUAAAAAUAUUGAAUGAGAAGUUGGUCAGGAAUUUGAUGGUAAGGGCAACUUGCACAUAACUGUUUGAACCUUUUCAAUACUCGUGCGAAGCCUUUUCAUUGAAUUGUCUAAUCCCACAAAUAUCUUUCCUGAUGCUUGUAGCUUGGGAAGCAGGGAAGAAUUUUUUAAGAAACUGUGUUUUCAUCUGAGUCCAGGUGGUGAUUGAUCUAGAUGGUAAAUAACAUACCAGUCCUUUGCUUUAUCAGCUAAAGAAAAUGGAAAGACUUUUUUUUUUUUUUAGGGAUGUCCCGCAGGGAGUGGACCCCGCAGACUAUUCCCCACCCUCCACAACUUGCUGGCAGCAAGGUUCAAACCAGGGACCUAAGGCUCCAUCUUCAACAACCUCAACCGCCAGACCAAGCCCCGAAGGGCGGAAAGACUUAAUUUUAUUUGCUACUCUGUGACUCCUUGGAGCUUUAUGGUCGAGCAUACCACAUGAAAUUCCUUGAAGUGCUUGUAAUGAUCUUCACCUAGAAAUCCAUGAAAAGAAGGAAGUAAGUGAAUUAAACCAGAUUUUAACUCAAAUGGUACAUCUAAAGUAGAAUAUCUGAUGCAAAAAUGUUGUUGAUUUAAAUUAGCUGUAGCUAAUUCUCUCAAUUCUCUCGUUUGCCAUGCUUUUAAUCUUCUCUUUAGAUUCACUGGAAGAUUCAACUAAGCCAGAUGCCAGUUUUAGCCCAGGGAAUGAAGAUGAUAGCUUUGCUCAUUGCUUAGUUUCCCUUUCCAAUCUACGUGCUGUCUACUCUAUCUUAAGAUUGUAUUGUAAUUCACAUGUAUGAGAAGAUCGAAACAUAAUCUAGCAACAAAAUAAAAAGAAAAUAAAAAUGAAAAUCCAAAGAAAAUAAAUCAACAAAGGUACCAAUCCCCCGCGAUGGCGACAAAAUUUGUUGACUGUCAAAUCAACAAAUAUAAAAAUAUCUACACCAAAAAUAUAAAUUCAAUAGUAGUAAGAAGGGUAGUAUCCUCAGGGAUUGGGUGAUUUAUUUUAUUUAAAAAACAAUGACAAUAAAAUAAGAUGGGGGAUAUUGGAAAAAUUAAUCUAAGUAAUUUAAUCGACGAAAAAUAAUGAUGCAAAAUUAAAUAAAAAUAAACCAAUAUGAAAAAAGUCUCUAGUCAAAGGUUAAUCGCCACUUUGGUUCAUUUACUGAUCAUCUAUGAAAAGAAAUAAAUCAUUUAUUUAUAAACAAACCGGUUAUGGUUGUAAACAAACUCUAACAACCAGCCUCUCCGUACUUCUUCGAUAACCACAACAAACUUUGUGAUUAUUUCCUUUACCAAUUAAACAAUCCUAAUCAAACUCUUAGGAUUUAAUUUAUUAACAGUAUUAAUUAUUAGAAAGACUACCAACCUUAACCAACAAACACAUAAGAUCAGUUCAUUUAAACUAGAUUGUAUAUUCCCAUGCUAAUAAUCCGAAAGUUUCUACUACGAUUAAAUUAUAUCACUCGCCACAAAUACUAAAACUAUCAAACAAUUACAGAUUUGAUUUUUUUAGAUGACAGUAGAUUAUUCUAACAAUUAAAUAGUGAUCAAGUAUUUAACCGUAGAAAAUAAUCGUAUCAAGAACAAACAUAGAAUAUAUAAAUCUUCAUAAAUAAAUGUAACCAUAAGAACAAAUUAAAUCUCACAGUAUUCAUCGAACCAAAAUUUUGAUUAUCCUUUGACUAGAACAGGGAUUUAACCAUGCCUAAUGGUUGAAUUACAGCCAAAGACAUGAUUAGGGUUUGUUAUGGUAAAGGAAAGAAAGAAAAGAAAGUAUCUUCUACUUUAUUCUAAUGAAGGAUAAGCUAAAGCCAAAAAAGUCAGUAUUUUGCUCCUGACUUGUGAUGUACUAAUCAUUUUUAAAAGUCACUAUCAUCCUCUACUAAUACUUGCCUCCUUGUUCUCAAAAGGAUGAGAAUUUUUUAUCUAUAAUACUACCAAUAAUCCUAAAUAAAAAUAAAAGAUAUUAUUCCUAAAAAUUAAUCAAUAUGCAACUUCAAAAAGGAAAUAAAUCUCUUGAUCAGUAGAAAAAAAUUGAGCAGGGCCCAUUUCCAAUCUCGAGUUGUCCACACUUCACAACAGGUUAAGACGUGAUCGCAUCAUGUAAAGUAUGGUAUUUUGGAAAUUCAGCUUUUAAUACUCUUUUUACUCCCUUUUCACAAUAAAUUCCUAGAAAUAACACCAAAAAUCAAAUAUGAGUAAAAUCAAGCAAUUAAUACCAUAUUUUGGCAAAAUAAAAGGGAAAAAUAUAUACAAAUUAGUGUACAAUUAACCAUCUAACACCUUCACAAAUUUUUUUCUUUCCUGCUUGAAUUUUCUUAGCCUGCUUAGUGUCGAGCUUGAUCAAACACCACUAUGACAAUCAACAAUUUGGCAAGAUUUUUUUCCCUAAUCAGUGCACAACACCAACAAUCUCAACAGAAUCCCUCUUUUUAGACUUCAAUCUAAUUAGGAUCACUUUUCCCUAAUUCCAACUAAUGAACGAGUACUCUAAGACUAACUUUCACAGCCCAAUUUUUCAAUACACGAGUACUCUAGCAUAAUCUCUACACCCUUCUAUGGUAUAGGCAUCUCUAUCACAAACUCUACACAUCCUUCAGACACCACAGAUACCCUAAGAUCAAACUCUUGAACCUAGAGUUCUGAUACCACUUGUUAGGAUAAAAAAUCAUGCAGCGGAAGAAACGUGAAAUCUUCACAAAUAAUAAAGAAUAAGAAAGGCACGGGACGAAACAAAAUAUUUUGCUUCAAUUCAACUACAAACUUAGGAUUCCAAGUCCUUAAAUAGAGAAAUAUAACCACAAAUCCUAUUCUAAUUAUAAUACCAAAACAUGACUCAACUCUAUUUCCUAAACCAACUAUGACACCAAAUCUAAUAUAAUUACCAAAUAACAAAUCAAUUUCUAAAACUAUUAAAAUUCUAAAUAUGCUUGAUUUAAAAUAUAUCAACAAAUUGCAUAUGUCCCCACGUCUAUGAUUAGUUAAGGGAUAAUUUCAGAAACGUCCUGUAAGGUUUGUAGCAAUAUUACUUGGUACCUAUGAAUUUUGAGAAAUCUCACCUACUUCCCUUAAUUUUAACAUUCUGUAUCAUGAUCAACCCAAUUCGAAACAUUAUCAAGAAACUCAUAUUUGGAUAUAGCAAAUAUUUUCAUGCCAAAAUUGCCCUUGUAUUAUCCUACUAUUUUUCCAAAAGUGAAGAUAUAUUAUUGAAAGCAUGAAAAUAAAGACAAAUGGUGUGAAAGCAUAGUUCUACUAGAAUAAAUUAUAUCAGUAGGUGUUUUUAAUGUACAAAAGAUUAUUAUUUAAAAGUAUGUUUAAGAUGCUUCAAGUUAAAAAAUUAUUUCAUUCACUAUUAGGUGCUUUCGUUAAUUUGAGGAGUUUUAAAAAUUUAAGAAUUUUGCACUUUCUAAAUUGUUUUGUAUAAACUGAUGACUUGAAUAUUAGAAAUAGGCACAAUAUAUAAAAUUAUAUUUACAAACUCAUUUGAGGUAUUUUCAAAAACGUAAAAAUAACUUUCUUUAUUACAAAAUAUUUUUGAAUGAAUUUAGAAUUUUAUAAAUUAUUUAGAAUUUUUUUAAUGCUCUAACUUUUUGUCCAAAUUGAUAACUUGAAAACAAGAGAAUGAUAAAUUAUUAACAAUACAUUUAGAAACUUAUUUGAUGUAUUUUCACUAUGCAACAUGUUAUUUUUUACAAAUUAUAGAAAAAAAUUUCUUUUGCAUUUCUUGUCUAAACUGAUGACUUCAAAAAUUGCAAAUGAUCUUUCAACCUAAUUAAUAUGUUGUAAUUCUUAAGCAUUUAAUUUGGUUUGUUAUGAAAAAUUAAGGUCCACAAGAAAAGGACAAUUUUGAAAUAGAAAUGUUUUAUCUCUCUCAAAAUGAGUUUUCAAAUCACAUCUUUUGAAAUGGGUUGAUAAAGUUAUAAGAAGUUAAAAAUAAGGGUGGUAGAUGAGAUUUCUUAAAAUUUAAGAGUGCAAAAUGAUAUUGUCAUAAACCUCAGGGGAGGUUUUUGAAAUUAUCCCAUUAGUUAAUUACGACGACUAUUUCUUUGGCUUUGCAAUUAGAGAUUCAUGCUCGUCUCCAUGAUAGUAUUUUGACAAAGGAGAUUUGGAACUAUAUGAACAAAUUAAUGUUAAGAGUGUGACAUUUUUUUAACGUAGUUCAAUUUCCCGACCUCCACCCUCAAAACGGCCUUUGAAUUGUGCUUUCUCCUAUUUUGAAAAGCUAACAAGAAUACGGUCAACAAGGCAUCGGUUGAUAAUAGUAAAAUCUAAAAUCUGAAUUCUAAAACCUAAAAAUUAAUUACUGAAAACAUUACAUUGCUGAAUUGAUGAAGUUAUAUCUGUUUGAUAGCUAAGUGCAUUUAAGCAUUGAAUUGAGAUAUCACACAAGUACAGGAACUUUAUUGUUAAAAAAAUCGUCUUUAUUUGUGUAUUGGUGAGAAAGGAAAUUAUACGUGGGAGAGAGAAAACAUUGAAAUAAUUGGGAGGUGGUCUUUAAGUAUGCUUAUUUGAGUGUGAGAAUGUGUAUAUUUAAAGAGAAAAAGAGAAAAAAUGUACUUUAUACGAUAUCAUAUAUAAGAGUGUAUUGUGUAUAUGAGAAGGAUAAUAUAUGUAGCCAAUUCAGAAAAUUUAGUGAAAAUUUUUCGCUUAAAAUUUUGAAUGAAUGCGGGAUGUAUUAAAUGGUAAGACAUUUCCAUUAUCAAACAUGCUAAAUUUAAAAAAUUCUCAAUAAAUUACUUUUCAACAGAUCCAAAAUCUAGUUUGUACACGAAUUCCCUGAAUCCAACCAUAGUUUGUGCCUGCGUGUGUGUGCUCGUCGGGUGCACUGAUGAUCAUGGGAGAAAUUGUCCUUCCCAGUUUUGAUUUGACCACUACAAGCAUACUCAUACUCAAACAUUGAACUCAAAAUGAGGGGGCAGGGGAGAAAUUGUCAGUGCAUUUGACAAAAUUGUCAGUGAUUUUUAUAAGUUUAAUUUGACAAAACAAGCUUUUAUCUAUAUAUUUUUAUUGCAUUUUUCAUUACUAUUCAAGGAUCUACUUCAUCUCCCACCGCUGGUUCAUUCCCAGGGAUGUUCCAAGGACUCGAGUCAAUCGAUCAGAAAAGUAAACAAUGCUAGCAUGAUUUGUUGGGAAAAAAGGAAAUCUAUUAAAUGUCUAGUUAGAAAUUAACAAGGACCAAAGUCCGGAAGACUCCAGCAACUAAGUUUCCUGAACUUGUAAUUUCUUUACUACUUUUUGCCAAAAUUGAUCAUAAAAUGAAAUGCUCGUACAAAUAAAUGAUAGUCAAAUAAGAGUUUAGCAACAAAUAGGGACCAUAGACAAAGAACAACUGCAAUUUCCGGUAGCAAGUUGCUGGCAUUUUACCAAAGAACAUAUGUGCAAUAAAUGAUAAACUCAACUUUCAACAACUGACUGAACACAUUAACUUCGUGCAUAAGCUGUGAAUGAGGCAUUUCAAUACUUUAAAGGGGUAAGAAAAAAAGGGUUUCUACUUCUCCUAGCAAAGCUUUCUUUAACAAAUCCAUUUAAACAGACUUUCAAACUACAUAGUGGAUGUAUUAUGUUGAAUUGAUUGCCAAUUUAAGAAUUUGAAAAUCAUUCUCAUACUCAAUUGGAGCUGCUACUAUUUCUACUGAUUGGCAAAAACCAUAUCAGAGAAGAAAAAAACCUGGCUCAAGUUCUACUCGUCUAAAUCUGGUGGUACUUAACUUGUUAUAGCAGUUACCAACAAACUAAAAUACAAAUAAUAAUAAUAAUAAUAAAUAUCCAUUAGCGACUUCAAAAUUUAAAUCAACUACAAUCCAAAAAAUAAAAGCUGAAGAAAUUAGGCCGAUUCAACACUUCUAGAAAAAUUUUGGUCAUCCUACCCAAUAUUCCAUGAGUAAGCUGAAGAAAUUAGGCCGAUUCAAGCUUUCCAUGAAAAGACAACCACACCACACCUCAUUAAACCAAGUUACAAUCAUAAUUUUUCUUUCACAAGUUACAAUCAUAAUUGAGGGCUAUAAAAGAAUUACAUGAGCAAUAUUUUUGUCAUCACGCAAAAUCAACCUCGGCAACCGUUUGUGCCGGUUGUAUUCAUUUUUCACUGCGCGUAACUUCCAUUGCACACGAUAUAACUUACUUUAUACAUGACGUAAUUUUUCAACACUUUUUUGUGAACCCCACACAUGACGUGAAAAUCGAAUUACAUGCUAUAAUUUGAGCCGCACACAUUUUUUAGGCCACAUCGUAACGGUUAACCUUCAGGAACGGUUGUCACUGUCCUGCCCCAUUUCCAUCAACCUCACACUUACCAGCCAGCUGGCCACAUACAACCAUUCAUGCCACCAAAUACCAUAAAAGUCCAUAAUCUUGUCAUCCAAUCAGAAGAGAAAUAAGAGGACUAAACCAAUCCCAAUUGAAAAUUCCCUCUUAGAUUAGUCAAGAUAGAAGACACUACAAACAGUAAGGUUGUCACAUCAUCAGUGACAAGGAAAGGCAAAACACGGUUCAUCAAUAAUUGAAAUGACUAUUCAGGGCUUCGGAUAAUUAAAAAAAUAAAGUAAAACUGAAUAUAAUAAUUGGGGCAGCUCGUGGGAAGAAACUGGACGGAUCUCAUAAAUCAUUUAUAAAGAAUUCCCAAAAAAAAAAAUGUCAAUUAUUACAUUUCCUCGUUGAGUUCAUAAAGUUGGUCUGAAGUGUUUAUUGUCUUCUACCUAUGAGCCUUCAGAUAAGACGCUUAAUUUCUCCUGCAAAAGAUUCUGCAAUAAUCUUAAAAUAGUCAAAACAGCCAAAAGAAAAAUAGUAAAGAAAUGAAACUACUGGCCCCGGAUAUCCAUUCAAUCAUUCAUACAUGAAAAUUGGAGUGAAACACCAAAUUCCUCUCCCUCUUGCUUCUUGAUCAUGGAGAUUCUAUUGAGUGUUCUGAUUCUGAUCUUCUCCAUCUCGAUUGCUCUAAUACUAUACCUCCAGCGAAAGGAGAACAAACAGCCUCCAAGUCCACCAGCCCUUCCAAUUGUAGGCCAUCUCCACCUCUUGAGAAAUACUGCUCCUCACUUGGCAUUUCAUAAGCUCUCCAUCAAGUACGGCCCCGUGGUUUCCCUUCGUUUUGGGAUUCGCCGCAUCCUUGUUGUGUCUUCUCCAUCACUUGCAGAGGAAUGCUUUUCCAAGACUAAUGAUAUCGUCUUUGCAAACCGACCUGAGUCCAUUUCCAGUAAGCACCUUGGCUAUAACCACACAACUCUUGUUUUCUCCCCGUACGGAGAUCACUGGCGUAACUUACGCCGACUGACCGCCAUCCAUAUCUUUUCUUCAAUCAGUCUCCUCCAGUCCUCCUCAAUUUGGACAAAUGAAAUGCGUUUUAUUGUCAAAAAACUGUUCUCAAGUUGCUCUGAUGAGAAAAGUUGGAAAGUUGUGGACCUGAAUUCUUUGUUCUUGGAACUGGUUUUCAAUGUGGUAAUGAAAAUGAUUGCUGGCAAAAGAUGGCCAUCCGAUCAGUCAGAUGAUGCAUUUAAGCCGAGUGUUUUCUCGGAUAUUUGUGAUUAUAUUCCAAUUUUAAGGUGGAUUGGUUUUAGAGGGCAGGAGAAGAGUUCGAUUAACUUGCAGAGAAAAAGAGACAAAUUUCUGCAGGAUCUGAUUGAAGAAACUCGGAAAAGGAAUGGUGAAGAUGUUUCAUGUUCAACUAAAACAAAAGAAAUUAUUCAAGCGUUGUUGUCUCUACAAGAUGCUGAUCCUGAAUACUACACAAAUGAAACUAUCAAAGGAAUAAUGCAAGUAAGUCUCUUUUUGAGUCUUUUCUUUUCAAAGGAUAUAUCCCUCUACCAGCGCCUUUUUAUUAUAUAUAUAUGUGUGUAUAUAUAUAUAUAUAUAUAUAUAUAUAUAUGUAUAUGUAGUUCUAGGUAGGGCUGCAAACGAGUCGAGUCGAGUCGAGUUUUGAGCUAAUCGAAUCGAGUCUCGACUAAAUUUUACCAAGCUUGAGCUCGAGCUCGAACUCGACGAGCCAGCAAUUUUCGAGCUCGAGUUCGAAAAAAAUAAAAAAAUAAUAAUUAUUUUAUUUUUAAAAAAAUAAAUAAAAUAAUAUUUUUUUCUUAAUAAAUAAUAAAAUAUUAAGGAUAUAUACGUAAUUUUACUAUGAAAAUAAAAAAUAAAAAAAUAUAUAUAAUAUACAUAAUUUUAUUAUUAAAUAAAAAAUAAAAAAUAUAUAUAUACUCAAGUUCGCGAGCCGGCUCGCGAGCUAACGAGCUUAAUAUUCUGAGCUCGAGUUUCUGGAGCCGGCUCGAGCUCGACUCGAGCACUCGCGCGCGGCUCGAUUCGUUUGCAGUCCUAGUUCUAGGUUGCCCCAUACUAUUUAGGGCACAGGUUCAAUGUGCACUAGGCGAAAAUUGAGCAUUUGAGAUGAAAUUCAACAACUUCGGACUUUGCUGUCGCCUCCUAGGUCCUUGGAAUGGAGGGCUAAAUGGAAAUUUAGUGGAAUCACUGAAUAGCCUUCUAUUUUAUAAUGGCCUAUACAGUGUCCCCGCUGGUGUUGCCUUAUCAGGGCGGCUGAGAUCAAAUUUUUCUUGGUUAAAUACAAAAGACUCCCUUAUAGUUUAAUUGAAUGUUAAACUUAAUUCUCUAUAGUCCAAAAGCUUACAAUUUAGUUUCUCGUAGUUUGUGAGCUUUUGAAAUACCUACAAGAUUCAUGAUUAAAUACUUUCCAGUCAAGAACACUUGACAAACCACUGCAAAAUUUAAAACUACAACACUUUCAAUUCAAAUUGAGGGACAGUUAUGAAACGAGUAAUUCUCUGUUCAGUCAAAUAAUCAUUUUUAAACUAUGAAAAUUUAAAAAUUACUAAUAAAAUGGAUUGGAGCUAUGAUGUAUAAUCUUGGCAACCAACUAUUGUAAAGGCCAGGACUUCAACUGCUGAGGUUCCUAAUAAAUAUAUAUACCUUGGUGUUAGCUCUAAAAACCUGGCCCCUUGAAGGUUUCCAGGACUGAGUUUUGAUGCACAAGGGGCUGCCUAAGUUGGCAUGUUAAAAACAUUUCUUUUUGUGUGAUAACAUGUAAAACUACUAGGUUUUUUUUUUUUUUUUUGUAAGUCUAACAAUCUAGAUUUUGAUAAACAAUAUGGAUAGUUGAUUGGUAUUAUAAUGUAAUUUUCCAUAAUAGAGGGAAAUGAAGGUCAUUUUGUAAUUAAUCUUGUAAUGUAGAAACAUCCCGUGAUACGUCUUAUAUGAUCAGAAAAGUCUCAAUGUACAAAGUUGAUCUUCACUGAUGAAUAAUAAAAGCAAUUCUGUUUCUAAAAUUAGAUAAUUUUUCCUUGGAAGUGGAACUAACAAUUACUAUUAUUUCUGAGCAUUUAUUUCGAGUUUGCUUUGAUUUUGACUAAACUUCAGUUUGUUUGUCUAGAUUAUGUUUACAGCAGGAACACACACUUCAGCUUUUACCAUGGAGCGCGCAAUGUCAUGUCUGUUAAACCAUCCUGACAUAUUACAGAAAGCAAAGAAUGAAAUCGACGACCAAGUCACAUACUCUGGGCGUUUGCUGGAGGAUUCAGAUCUCUCCAAAUUGCCAUAUUUACGUUGUAUAAUUAACGAAACACUUAGAAUUUUUCCUCCUGCACCAACUCUUGUACCACAUUAUUCAUCUGAAGAUUGCAUCAUUGGAGGCUACAAAGUUGCUAAGGAUACAACUCUGUUUGUUAAUGCGUGGGCCAUUCACAGAGACCCCAACUUAUGGGAAGAGCCAAGCGAGUUCAAGCCAGAAAGGUUCGAGGGUUUGGAUGAAGGAUUUAAAUUUCUUCCAUUUGGAAAAGGGAGGAGGGCUUGUCCAGGGGCUGCAAUGGCUAUGAGAUUGGUUGGAUUGGCGGUGGGCACGUUGGUUCAAUGCUUUGAGUGGGAAAGUGCAGAAUCUCAAAUGGUGGAGUUUGAUGAAAAAUCUGGCGUCACUUUGGGCAAGACCAAGCCUUUGGAGGCAUUGUACAAGCCACGCCUUUCCAUGAUCAGCUUAGUUUCUCAGCUUUGAGUUUAUAUAAUAAUUUGUUUUUAAGGUAAAACAGAGACAAAUUUAAUACUUUAUCUUUUUUUUUCAGAAACGAUAAAAAUUUUAUUUCUAAUAAUAAGGAAAUAACGAUACAUUGUAUGAGCAAGGGCUCAAACUUAGACUUUACAAAAGUGGACCAGGCCACUGAGGAGCUUUGAAUUCCUCAUCAAAGUAUAUGCAUAGCUAAUCUACUCAGUUUUGCACUGAGUCUAUUCAUUUCAACAGGCAAGCUAUCAAAUGAGCAUUUCCUAAACAUUGAGCUAAGAUCUUUUAUAUCCUCCAAGUGAGUUGCCAGCCUUAAGUUGCUAGAAGCUUGAUACCUUAUCAUAUUUAGGACCUGAGUGCAUGGCGUUUGGAUCUUGAUAUACUGCCACCCUUUCUCCUUUAGCUUACAAAGUGCCAAUUUAAUGGCCAAAAAAAUGGUCCAGCACUACUGACCCAGUGCUUCUCUCCUUUAGUAUCCAAGCUGCACAUUUCUGGCUCAUGUUGUUUUCUGCUGUAACUCCAAUUCCCAUAUUUUGACCUUCUACAUGUUGUCCCACCUCAACACUAAUGUUCAGCAGGUUAUCAUCCUCCCCCACCCUUUCCUCCUCAUCUUGUGCUAUUUCUGUUUCUGAGAUGCUCAUCUGAUGUUCAGUCUGUUGUGAUUGGUGAUACUCCUCCCAGUCCUUGAUUGCUUUCCUGAUAACUUCCAUUGGAUGUCUAUUCUUCUCUUCGAAUUCAGCUUCAUUCCUGGCUUUCCAGAUCUGCCAAAGUAUUUCCACUGUUAAGGCUAUGUGUUCACUUCCAUCCUUUCUCGUCUACACUUCCAUUAACAUACUCUAUCAUCUCCUGAAAUCAGCAGUGUGUUCCUUAAGUCCAUCCCAUUGGAGAGGUGCAUCCGCUAUAUCAUUUGUGCUUGUUUGCAGUGAAAAAAAUAUGUGUUCCACUAUUUCAAUAUUUUCUCCACAUAGCUUGCAAAUUAUGUCACCUUUGCCUGUUCGCUUAUGUAUUGCUUCCCUACUUGGCAAGGUUUGGUUCAGGCUUUUCCAAACAAACAGUUUUGUUUGUGCUUUAUCUUCAUCUUCCAUAGCUGUUUCCAGACUUUUUCACUUCCUCCUUCCCAGCUUGUCUCUCCCUUGACUCUUUUGUUUACUUCCUGCUACUUAUUCUCUCUUGUUAUUGCUUCAUAUGCUGACCUAACUGUGUAUUGUCCAUUCUUGCUGUGGCUCCAAAAGGUCUACCAGUUAGGCUUACAGGGAUAUUGAGUAUCUAUCCCGCUUCUCUUGCAUUAAAGGUCCUAAAAAUUAAUGGUGAGUUCCAUCUAAAGUUGGAGAUCAGUUCACUCACUUUGCUAAUCUUGCACCCUGGGGGUUUAGGGGACUCUAAUUUACCUUCUUUGCCAUCCUGAAUCCAAGCAUCCUCCCAAAUUCUAGUGCCAUUGCCAUUCCCAAUUUUUUUCCUUGCUCCUCUCCUUACUUCCUCUCUUGCUCCCAUCAUCAUGCUUUUCCAUAUCCAGGAGGAGUUGCUUGUACUUCACAGCUCAAAGGUGACUCAUUUUAAUAAUACUUGGCUUUCAUCACCUUGCUCAUCAGCAGGUUUGGGCAGGUGAGGAGCCUCCAGAUUUGUUUGCCCAGCAAGGCUUUAUUAAAGCCUUGUAAGUCUUUAAAUCCUAAGCCACCAUUGUGCUUUCCAGAUGCCAUCUUUUUCCAUGAGCACCAGUGCACUUUCCUUUUUCCAUUAUCCUCUCCCCACAAGAACCUUGCCAUUAAAGCAUGUAUGUCUUUGCAAAGUUUCACUGGAAGCUUGAAGCAUGACAUUGCGUAGGUUGGCAUUGACAUGGUUAUAGCUUUCAGUAACACCUCUUUUCCUACUUGGGAGAGCUUCUUGUUGCACCAAUUAGAUUGUUUUCUGACAUUUGUCUCUGAUAAAUCCAAAAAUCUGGUCCUUGGUUCUGGUGAUGACCAUGGGCAGCCCCAGAUACCUCCCUUGAUGUACCACCUUUAUAUUUCCUAGUCUACUACAGAUUUCCUCUUGUUCCUCCUGUUCCAUAUUCUUGCUAAACAAGACUGAUGACUUUUCCAUGUUAUCAUUUGUCUUGAGCCUUGUUCAUACGUUUCCAGUAUCCUCAUCACCUCUUCAGCUUGAGCCUUCUCAGCUUUGCAAAAAAUCAGGGAGUCAUCUGCAAAGAAAAAGUGAUUGAUUGAUGGUCCAUUUCGACUUAUCUUCAUUCCUGUCAGCUUAUGGUUCUCUGCUUGACCCAAUAAAUUGGAGAAACCUUCUGAUACUAAUAGGAAAAGGUAAGGCGACAGGGGGUCACCUUGCCUAAUUCCCCUUGAAGGUACUACGUAUCCUUUUGAUUUCCCAUUUAUGUUGAAGGAGAAGGUAGCUAUUGUGAUGCCUUCCAUAAUCCAGUUGAUCCAUAUCUCACUGAAUCCCAUUUUGGUCAUCAUUGCCUUCAAGUAUCCCUACUCCACCCUGUCAUGGGCUUUUGACAUGUCUAACUUUAAAGCCAUGAAACCUUGAGAUCCCUACCUUUUGUUUUUAAGGUAGUGCAAGUACUCAUGAGAAACUAUAACAUUGUCCAAAAUUUGUCUUCCAUGCACAAAGGCUGCCUGGUUUUUACUGAUGCAGUUAUCCAACACUUAUUUUAGUCUGUUUGCAAGAAUUUUGGAAAUGAUUUUAUACAGAACAUUGCAAAGGCUUAUAGGUUUGAACUGCUUGAUUUCAAUGGGGUUUUCUACCUUAGGGAUCAGGGAUAUGAUACUAUGAUUGACUGCUUUUAGCAUAUGGCCAGAGUGAAAAAAACUGUUGAUAGCCUAAAUGAUGUCUGUCUUAAGGAUGUGCCAAAAUUUCUGAAAAAAGAUUGGUAUCAUGCCAUCUGGGCCAGGAGAUUUUGUUGGAUUCAUGGAGAAUAAGGCUUCUUUAAUUUCUACCUCCCUAACAAGUGUAGUAAGUCCUAUGUUCAUUUAGUUAGUGAUGGUCUGUGAUAUUCCCUGUAGCACAAAUUUAAUACUUUAUCGAGUAUAAUUACUAGCAUAGAUGGCAAAUGGGCUGGACGGACAAACUUUGGACAGGAUUCAAAUGGGAUCGAAACAUAUGGUCUAUAUCAAAGCAGUCUCAUAUUAGUCACGGCAUUAAUAUGGGCUAGUCCCAUUUUGAUAAUGGACCACACACCUAACAAAUUGCCUGUUGCCUUUUUUUUUGGAAUCUUCUCUUCUAAAAAAUCGGUGUGCUGCAAUUUUUCUAUGUACUUUGUUUGUAAUUUUAUUUAUUUUUAAUUUGUGAAAGCUCCAUACUUCUUUUUAUUCAUCAAGCAAUGAUUUCUUUAAAGUAAACAUUUAUAUUGAAUUUCAUUCAUUCUUUUCCUUGUCUCAUUGAACCCAAAAAGUUAACAUAGAUGUUGAUUUGAUAAAUUAAUGUUAAAAAAAUGCCGAAUAAUAAAACAGCAAACAACUAAAUUAUAAUAAUAAGACAAAUCUAUACUACUAUUACUUUCUAUUGUGUAAAGUCAAAACUUUAGUUUUAACAUUGGGAAAAAGUAUUAUAUCCUUUAUUUUUGAGUAAAAUGAAAGAUAGAAAAGAUCAAUUGGUACAUAAAAGUGGAAGUUGUUAAAUCGGAAGUGGUGCGCCACACCUCCCAACACUGUACCAGUACUACUAUAGUAUUUCAAGUUUCACAUCAAAAAAAACUUGAGACAUGAAGAUGGUAUUCGUACGUUUUCCUGAAAAAAAAAAAAAAAGAAAGAAGAAGAUGAAGAAGAUAGUACCAGAGUAUAUUUAAAAAAGUAAAUCUUAUAUACACUGUCAGAUAGUGUAUACACUAUCACCGUUAAAUUUAUGAUAUUUGUGCAAAAGUUGAAUUUCAAAUUCAAAUUUUACACAGUUAUCACUCUUCCAACACUGAAAGUGUAUACACUGUCAGUGUAGGAAAGAUUAAUUCUAUUAAAAAAUGAAUUCUUUUUUUUUCUAUUAAAGUAGAUCAACGCUAUAAAUAUAGAUGACCAUGCUAAAAUGAUUAAUAAACAACUAAAAAAAUGAAAAUCUUGUAAAUUGUCACUUUGGAAUCUCACAUGAUAUCCAAGCAUUCCCAUUUAUAGUUGGGUAUUGUUGGGAUUAACCUCAUUUAAAACCCAACCUCCAUCACUUAAGCCCAUUCCGUCCAAAAUUCUUUUGGACACGGAUAGCUCCAUUGGAAUUUGAGAUCAAUGCACUUGAUAAAAAAAAAAUAAAAGAAAAAAAGAGCUAAAGAAUAAAUUAGAAAAUCACAAAUGGCACAAAAGAAAUUUUAAGCAAUGUCAAUGAUGAAUUUUGCAAACUGACAGGUAGAAAUAUUUUAACUUUUUUUUUUUUUAUCGUUUUGUUUCUCAUCGUAUGGUCAGUAAAAUUAUUAGCAAUACUUACGCAUAUUGUAGGAAUUAAGUAAUUAAUUAACUGCUCAGCCAAGAUUAGUUUAGAGUCAAAGUCUUAAGUCUUAAACUUCGAUUAGUAAGUGCGUUUAAAGUAUUGGGGUCAAAAUUUAAAAUGUAAAGUAUAGCAUACGUGGGAAGUACAUGCAUCCUAAGACAUCUUUAUUCAAUAAUGAACAACCUAAAAUCAUAAAAAAAACACCAAAAGGUAAAAAUCAGCACAAAAAAAAAAAAAAAGUGUCUGGCAUAGAGUGUAUCUUGAUUAUGAUAGAAUUAUUCCUUUAAUGGAACAAGAAUAUUGAAACAACUAUAAUCUUCUUUAUCUUAAAGGCUCAUAAUUGUAUCGUAUUCUACCCUGUUUCCCAGGGUUUGUCAUAAUUAGUUAAUUAUGUCUUCGGCUUUAGAAUUAGAGAUUAAUGGUCUCGUAUUAGGUUCGAUAAGAAAAAUAUUGAAUCGAAAGAAAGAAAAUUGUUAAGAGUUCAGUAUUUUGAAGAUAAAAUAAAGAAAAGAGGUAAAUUACUCAUAACUAGGGGCAGAGGUAAAUGUCCAUGAGGGUGGGCAAUUGCUACCCCUCGAAUUUUUUAAAAUUGCUUUGUUACCCAGCAAACAUUUUUAGUCAUGCUUUAAAUUAGUUAUGAUUGUGUUGGUUGCACCCCCUAAAAUCACAAAAAUUGUACCUUGCACCCGUUCAAACAAAAAUUGAAGGGCAAAUCACCAAGUAAAAUCAAUUGAAACCCAAUGUAUUAUAAGAAAGAAGUUAAGAGAAAACAAGUUAAUAUAGGCAUAUAUAAAAUCAAGCUACCAUAUUGGAUUGAGAGCAACAAUUUAGGAAUGCAUUGACAAUUGACAAAAACAGUUGAUGUCUGUAAUGAAAGAAACAAGUUAAUUACGUGGAAAGAAAUAAACAAAAUGAGAGAAAAGACUAGAAAAAGGAAACAUAAAGGUUUUGAUACUACAUAUGGAACAAAAUGUACAUAACAUAUUUCUUUUUUUUUUUAAUUUGAUUUACUCCUAACUCUUACAAUCAUUCACUUUUGUAAAUUAGCAACAAGGUUUUACGCCGACGAUUUUUAAUUUUUCUAACCGAUUUAGAUAUUAAAUAGUUUACAAUUCAAUCGGUGACAAAUUACAAAUUCAUUUGUGGAAUAGUAUUAUUGUACUAAUUCACUAUGUGAAUGAAGAUGCCAAAUUCUAUCACUUUACGGACAAAUUAUCCAUAUUCUCCACCAUGGAGAUCCUCGACAGCUGUUUGGUCCUGAAUUUAGCCAUAUUCUCAAUUACUCCGAACUCCGAUGUACUUACUUCAAAUGAAUUUUUAUAUUGCACGUUUCAUUUUACUUUUCUUUAGCUUUAUGUUCCAUCUAUUUUCUUUCAUAAUGGUACCACGCCAGCAACCUUGGUAUUAAGAAAGUGGAAUAUACAUGGGCAAGAAAAUCAAUGUUUUUAAAUUCGUAUUGGUGAGUGAAUUGGAUGAACUUUUGAUCCUGAUUUAAUAGUUUGGUCAAAUGUUUAACUUUUUUUAUUUUCUUUAAUAUCAAAUAAUUUGGAUAAUACUGAAAUAUAUAUUAAAAAAAUUCAGUGGUAACUGGGUCAAUGGUCUGGAUUUUGAUCAAUUUAAUCAGUUUUUGACUGAGGUUAAUGGAAUUUUUUUUUCCAUUUUCUGAGCUUAGCAAGUAAUUGGACUAGUGCCAUUACUAGUUCGCAGUCCAACAGGCCAAACCACUUAAUCAGGUCUGAUUUUUAAAAUACUUAAAUGAGUUUAUCAAUCCAUGCGUGAAGAUCAUUGUAAAUGCAUGAUUGAUUACCACCAUCAUGGAAAUACAUCACAUGGAGUUGAGGAUUAUAAAAUGAAAUAAUAAUGUUUGAUCUUUUGAAUGAGCAAGAAAGACGUGCAAAUAAGUUUGAUGUCUGCAUCACAGUUUUUGAAACGAUUAAUGGGAGAUAAUGGUUGCUAUUAGGCUGCAAUUUAAAACACAUUCUUCCAUUUUUUUGAUUUUUAUUUUUUUCUUUUGAUAUAAUCUUUUACUCUUGGGAUAAUAUAAGCUAAGCCAUCUUAUUUGACAAAAACAUGCUAUGACAGGGCAACAAGACAGAGAAAUAAAAGAUGCCCUUCCGUAAGCAAAUUGAAUUGAGCUCGUUGUGACAACUGACAGGCUUUGUUGAAUAUGUAAUUUUUUCAGAAAAUAUCUUUGGUAAAAUGUACAAAAAUUUGAUUAGUGUGUAAAUCUUUGUUGACUAUUCCAUUUCUGAUUGUUUAAGUUAUGUACUCUUACACGUUUGGCAAUAUUUUAUUUUACAUUAGUAGACCAAGAUGUUUGCAGUAAUAUACUCGAUCUUCUUUUGUUUUUUAAGGGUAAAGUACGUCAAAGGUUAUCAAACUUUUCAAUAGCUUAGUUUUAUUCUUGUAACUUUUUUUUGGUACUAAAUGGUCCACUAAAUUGUUUUAAAAGUCUCAUUUUAUUCAUUGAACUAUUUUUUUAUAAGAAAUUUCUCACUAUUUUUUAAAAUUUAUUUUACCCACUCAACUACUUUUUGAACCAAAUAACCUACUAAACUUUUAAAGUGAUUUAUUUGGAUCGUUCUAUUAGAUUCUACCAUUAAGAUAGAUAAAAAGUUUGCCAUGUAGUCGUGUUUUAAAUGGAUAAAUUUGUCAUUUCACACCCAAAAUCUAUAUGUCCAAAUCAAUUAGAAAAAUUUAUAGCUUCAGAAAAACCACAAAUUCUAUUUUGGAUAGGGCCAAAAAUAGUUUCUGUGUGGAUCGAGAUUUUAUUUUGGGAUUUAGGUAUGUUUAAAAGUGAUUGAAUAGUUUAAUCCAUUGGGGUAGAUGGAUUUUAGGCCCGCAACGAUGAAAUUGUCCAUUUAAAUCAGGCUCACACGACAAACGUUCGUCUAUCUUAAUGGUAGAAUUUAAACAAAAUAGUCAAGAUGAAUCACUUUCAAGAGUUUAAUAGGCUAUUUGGUACGAAAAGUAGUUGACUGGGCAAAAUAAAACUUUUAAAAUGUUUAGUAUGUAGUUUUAUAGAAAGAAUAGUUCAAUGAGACUUUUAAAAAGUUUGAACACCUUUAAUCAACAAGUAGCAACCUUAUAUUAUUUUCUAAUGGCUGAUAGAAAGGACUAAAAGUCUAAAACAGUCCCUUGUCACAGUCGUAUCUACUCUUGUCUAUUUUCAGUUAACAAUCGUCCAAUAAUUGCAUUAAAAGAAAAUGCACACAUGAAAAAUGAAGUGAUAAACCUUAACUUGUUCAGUAUAAAGUCAACACCAAACUUCUCUCUUUCUUCUUGCUAGUUGCAUCUUGAAUUUUGAUCAUGGAGUCACUCUACAGCAUCCUAAGUCACUUAUUUUUUUUAUAUCUAUUAUUAUUUUUACUCUAACCUAUUUUAGGGGAAGAUUCAGCUAAACCUACAAAGGAAUCGACGGAAAUUGAAUCACCGUCUAACUAGACGAGUACACUAUGCAUCCAUAUAAAUCUAGAAGAAGCCACUUAAAGUGGCAAGACACAUAUACCCCAUGUCUAAUAGUAACGUGAAUUAUGAAUUUUACAUGCUUAUCAAAGCUCGGAAAGAGCGUGCUGCAGCCGGACCAUAUCACUUGCCUUAAAUAAUGAGUUUCCAAUAAAUUGCAUAUUUCGCCAGGUUAAGGGCACAAAUGGCUGCCAUGUGAACUGUUUCGGAAUGAUUUUGUCUAUUUUAACAAGAUCUAAGCCUUUCAUUUAGUCAUGUAAAUCAUUUUGAAUGCAAUGUAAAUUUAAAAUAAAAUUUUCUGAAUUCGAUAAAUAUGAUGUGAAAACGAUUUACGCCACAUGAUCUGAGCCUUAUAUAUAUUUUGGGUUAAUCCGGAUUCUCAAACCUCUCCAAAACUUCUACUGCCCUAGUUGUAUUUCCCCCCCACGGUUUGCUAUGACUGGUUUCUUACGACGGCUGAUAGAGAUUUAUACUAAUCUCCAUAUUAGUUUUGACAAAGAAGAACUUGAAUUAAAUUACAAAAUAAUAUUAAGAGAAUAGUUAAUAAAAUACGGAGUGAGAAUAAUACAGUGUUAUGCAUACCCGCAUUGCACAAGUUUUUUCUCAAAAGUAUGAUUAGAAGUUCAAUUGUAAAUGCGAGUUUAUUAUAUUUACACUUAAAAUUACACACUUAUUUUGUAGGAAAAUAAACCAAGCUAUUUUAGUUUCCUAAUUCUUUUUGGUAUCUUAUUUGUUUAGUUUCCAUAUUAGAUUAGGAAAUCUCAAGUCAGUUUCCAAAUACGUUUUGGCUUACAACCGUAUUAGCUUUAAGAAAUUUUCGAGCCUAUAAAUACUAACAGUCUAGUAGGUUAUUUGUGUGGAGAGUUGAGUUGAGUCUAGAGAUUAGACUUGAGAGAAAAUCUCAUAGUUGAGGUUUGUGAGUUAUUGUGAGCAAAGGCUACGACUUAAUAUUUGUUUUGAGUUAAAUAAAUUAUUGAGUGUUUGUUCUUCUCCUCUUCCCACAUAUUUUUUAUAUGUGUUAGAAUUGCUUCCGCUGUGUGCACGGGGAUUCUUCGUGCCAAGAAGUGAUAUCAAAGCCAGGUUUUGAUCCUAGGGCUUGUUUGCAAAAUUGGGGCUUGGAGCUUGUUCGUGAAAUUAAAGUAUGGAUCCGCAUUAUUUGCACAAUUGUCACGUUUUUAUCUUCUAUGGUAAAAACGAUUUUGAGGCUUGGAAGUCGAUGAUGAAGAAUUUUUUCCAAAAUAUUGGAGUUUGGAAUAUUGUCGAGACAGGAUAUACGGAACCGGUAGCACAUAUAGAAUUAUCAAGCAAUGCAGUUAAAGAAUUAGAGAGAAAUAGACAGUUGGAUUGCAAGGCAAUGUACUAUCUCAACACUCAAGUCCAGUUGCAUGUUGCAAAAAAAUUUAUACAUGCAAAGUCGACAAAAGAGGCUUGGACAAUGUUAAUGAAUUCAAAUCGAGGUGCUGCUAACAUAAAAAAAAUCAGAUUGCAGGAACUUAGGAGACAAUUUGAGUUGGCCCAAAUGAAAUCCACAGAGUCAUUAAAGAUUUUAUUGGUACAAUCAAAGAAAUUGUCAAUGAUAUGGAGUCCAUUGGUGAGAAUUUGGAAGAGGUUAGAGUUGUUGAAAAGUUAUGAGAUCUCUAACUGCCAAAUUUCACACCAAGAAGACAGUCCUUGAAGCCACAAAGGACCUUGACAAUUUGUCACUUGCUGAAUUGGAAGGUGAAUUGCUGACGUCUGAGAUGUUCCUGAAUCAGCAGCCAUCGGAUAUAGUAGAGGAGGUGUUACAAGGCAAGGUGGAUCACCUAAAAGGAAAAGAGGAGGUGAAUCGUAUAGACACAAAUUAAAAGGGCAAGAACUUCAGAGGUAGAGGACGUGGAGGCAGAGGUAACUUUCGUGAUCGUGGAAGAGGUAAUUAUUCUUACCAACCCAAAAAUAAUUCUAAUAGGGAUCAGAAAAACAAUCAGCAGCAAAGUCGAAGAAAUAAUUUUCAAAGACAUGAUAGAUUUAAUGUCCAAUGUUAUUAUUGUGAUAAAAUUGGUCACUAUCAGAAUGAAUGCUGGUCCAAUAAAGAGGUGCAUGCAUGCUAAAGUGGCUGAAAAUACUAGUGAUAGAGAGGAUACCUUGUUAUAUUCUAGUUCUACAUCUGAAGAGUCUAUGAAGAAUGAUUGGUUUAUUGAUUCUGGUUGUAGUAAUCAUAUGUGUGGUAAAAAGGAGAUGUUUUCUAACCUAGAUGAAUCUUUUCAUGCAUCUGUGAGAUUUGGAAACAAUGAAAAGUGUCUGUUCUUGGAACAGGAAAAAUCAGAAUUAUCUUGCAAGAUGGUCUUCGAAUUUAUUUCUGAUGUUUUUUACGUGCCAAGUUUAUAUCAUAACUUGUUGAGUUUGGGACAAUUGUCCGAGAAAGGUUAUGAUCUGCAUUUUAAAUAUGGUAAGGGCAUCAUAAGUGAUGGAAAAUUGGGAUUAAUUGCCAAGGUAAAGAUGAACCAUAGUCGUUUGUGGCCUCUUUCCCUUAACUGUGGUGAUUUACCUUGCAUUAAUUCCGUGACUUGUGAUGAUUCUUGGUUAUGGCAUAUGCGUUUUGGGCAUUUGAAUUUUGGGAGUUCGAAAUUUCUUGAAAGAAAGAAAUUAGUUAUUAGGUUGCCUUCUGUUGAGUUUCCUGACAAGAAGUGUGAGUCUUGUAUUUUGGGAAAGAAACAUAGGGAUUUUUUUCCAAAAGGCAAGGCUUGGAGGGCUCAUCGACCACUUGAACUGAUUCAUUCAGAUUUAUGCUCAGUUGAAGUUCCUUCCAAUGGUGGCAGUAAAUAUUUUAUUACCUUCAUUGAUGAUUUCAGCAAGAAGAUAUAGGUGUAUUUUUUAAGAAAUAAAUCUGAUGCAUGUGAUGUGUUUUAAAAAUUCAACUAUUAUGUAGAGAAGCAGAGUGGCUAUUUUAUUAAAACUCUGAGAAUUGAUAGAGACACUGAAUAUCUUGUUUGUGAUGACUACUUGGUGGAAAGUGGCAUAAAACAUCAAUUGACAGCCAGAUAUACACCUCAACAAAAUGGUGUGGCUGAAAGGAAGAACAGGACUGUGAUGGACAUGGUGAGAUCUAUGAUGCACUCCAAAGGUAUUCCUAUAUCCUUUUGGGCAGAAGCAGUAUCUUGUGCUAUUUAUGUUUUGAAUAGGUGCCCUGCUAGAUGCAACAUUGGGAAGACCCCACAAGAAGUUUGAAUUGGUAUGAAACCAGGUAUUUCUCACUUCAAGGUAUUUGGUUGUCUUGCAUAUGCGCAUGUUCCAGAUCAUUUGAGGAAGAAAUUAGAUAACAAAACAGAGAAGUAUAUUUUUAUUGGAUAUAGUCAUGAGACAAAGGGAUAUAAGUUAUUCAAUCCAAACAAAGGAAAGGUGAUUGUUAGUAAAGAUGUGACUUUUGAUGAACAUGGAGUUUGGAAUUGGUCCAAACAAGACCCUAAGACAUCGCCAAACUAUCCAUCCAUUUCUCCCAUUAUAGGACCGAGUGUUAAUAAGCAAGCAGUGGAGCAAGUUGUGCAACCUCAUGGUGAUCCCUCACCUUCCACUAUUCAGGUUGAGACAUCCAGUCGACCACAGAGAGAAUGCUGCAUGCCAGCCCGAUUUGAUGAUUAUGCUGUUGGUAAAGAUAAUGAUUUAACUGAUGAAGAGAUUGUGAAUUUUGCUCUUUUUGCAGAUUGUGAGCUUGUCUCAUUUGAAGAAGUUGCCAAAGAUGAUCGUUGGGUUCGUGCAAUGGAUGAAGAAAUUUAUGCCAUUGAGAAAAAUGAUACAUGGGAAUUGACCACUAUCCCACUUGAAAGAAGCCACUUGGAGUGAAAUGGGUAUAUAAGACCAAAUAUAAGCCAACAGGAGAGGUGGAUUACUUCAAAGCAAGAUUGGUUAUCAAAGGCUAUAAGCAAAAAGCAGAUAUUGAUUAUUUUGAAAUUUUUGCACCAGUUGCUAGACUUGAUACGGUUCGUAUGAUUGUCUCACUUGCUGCAAAUAAUUGUUGAAAAAUUCAUCAAAUGGAUGUAAAAUCUGCAUUUUUAAAUGGUUUUCUUGAAGAAGAGGUAUAUGUUGAGCAGCCUGUUGGUUAUGUUAGAAAAGGUCGAGAAAACAAAGUGUAUAGAUUGAAAAAGGCAUUGUAUGGUUUGAAACAAGCUCCUAGAGCUUGGUAUACUCGCAUCGAUAUUUUAUUUUAUUGAGCAUGGUUUUCUGAGAUGUCCAUGUAAGCAUACUCUAUACAUGAAAUUCAACCUUGGAGGAGAUGUCCUUAUUGUAUGCUUGUAUAUGGAUGACUUGAUAUUUACAGGCAACAAUACCAAACUAAUUUUUGAAUUCGGAGAGGCCAUGAUUAGUCAAUUUGAGAUGACAGAUUUGGGAUUGAUGUCUUAUUUUCUUGGUAUUGAGGUUCAUCAGUUGGAUGGUGGAAUUUUUAUCUCACAAAGGAAGUAUGCAAAUGAUAUUUUGAAGAAGUUUAAGAUAGAUAUGGCUAAACCAAUGAUGACCCCGGUUGAAGAAAAAUUGAAAUUAACCAAAAAUGGUACCGGUGAUUUUGUUUAUGCUACUUACUUUAGGAGAUUAGUAGGUAUUUAACUUCUACGAAACCUAACAUCACUUAUGGAGUUGGUUUGACUAGCAGAUUCAUGUAAUCUCCGCGCCAGUCCCACUUGUAAGCUGGUAAGAGGAUUUUAAGAUAUGUUCAAGGUACGUAGUCUGACGGUAUAUUUUAGUCAUUUUCACAUGGUAACAACCUUGUUGGAUACAUUGAUAGUGAUUGGGUUGAUGACAUAAUACAAAUGAGGAGCAUUUCUGGUUAUGCAUUUUACUUGGGAUCUGGUGUAUUUUCUUGAUCCUCAAAGAAACAACAGGUGGUUGCUUUGUCCAUAGCAGAAGUGAAGUACAUGGCAGCCACAAGUAGUGCUACUCAAGCACUUUGGUUGCGAAGAAUGCUUGAAUUCUUACAACACAAGCAAGACGGUCCUACCAAAAUAUUUUGUGAUAGUUUGUCUGCGAUUGAGUUGACAAAAAAUCCAGUUUUUCAUGGGCGCAGCAAACAUAUUGAUAUCAAGUAUCAUUUUAUUCAUGAGUUAGUUCAACAACAAGAAAUUGUCAUUGAUUAUUGCAGAAGUGAAGAUCAAGUAGCUGAUAUUUUGACAAAACCACUCAAAUUGGAGAGGUUCAUGAAAUUGAAGAAGAUGCUCAACAUGGUGAAAUUUGAAGAGCUUGGUUUAAGGGAGGCAAUGUAGGAAAACAAACCAAGCUAUUUUAGUUUCCUAAUUCUUUUAGGUAUCUUAUUUGUUUAGUUUCCAUAUUAGAUUAGGAAAUCUCAAGUCAGUUUCCAAAUAAGUUUUGGUUUACAACAUUUUGGAGUCUAUAAAUACUAGCAGUCUAGUAGGUUAUUUGUGUGGAGAGUUGAGUUGAAUCUAGAGAUUAGACUUGAGAGAAAAUCUCAUAGUUGAGAUUUGUGAGUUGUCGUGAGCGAAUGGCUACAACUUAAUAUUUAUUUUGAGUUAAAUAAAUUAUUGAGUGUUUAUACUCCUGCUCUUCCCAUAUAUUUUUUAUAUGUGUUAGAAUUGCUUCCGCUGUGUGCACGGGGAUCCUUCGUGCCAACAUAUUUACCAUAAAUUUUAGAUCUUAUGCUUUAUUAACAGUAGUUUUAAAUUGUAUUUUUGUACAUGAGACAUGAUAUUGAUUAUAAUUUCAUCGAACAGUUAUAGAUGCAAGUAUAUGAAAGAAGUACCAUAUGAGUCUGUUAUUUUUUUAUAGUUCAUAAAAUACAUAUUGUUUGAAAGGAAAUUUUAAAAUUUUGUCAUGAAUUGAUGUUUUUUCUGAAGUAUGAUAUCAUAAAAGUUUAUUAGGUGCUUUUGUUGAAAAGUAUGAAUAAUUUUUGUUGGAAAAUAGUAUUCAAGCCCUUGCGUUUUCAGUCACUUUUGUAUUGUUGGUAAUAAGGGUGGUCACAUAGGAUCACAUCCCAAAGGAUUUAUAAAUUGGCGGUAGGGAAGACAUUGGUUUUCUUUGUAAGCCACAUGGAGUUUUUAUCUUUGGAAAAUAAUAUUCCAUACUAACACAACUUUAUGAUAUAGAAAUAGAACAAAAGAUGGUCCACCUUGUAUUUCUUGGAUUGCGUAAUUUGAGUUGCUUUUUGUAACUGAAUUCUUUGUUAUGUAAAGUGUCACUUUCAUUUCUUUUGGGUUGUUGCUAGAGCCUUCACAUAUUGUUAAAUUAAAAAAAUUAUUCUUAAAACUUAAUUUAGUUGGUAGGGACAUUUUUUGAGGUGAUACAAGUUAUGAUUUGGAAUGAAAGAAAAUUUCUAAUCCACUUUGUCUACAAACAACGAAGUUAUAAGUAAUGCAACUAUAAAUCUCAUGAAGAAUUUGAUCCUGACUCAAGAUGAACGCUGGUGGCGAAGUUUUUAAUUCAACUUUCAAGCCUUUCUCGUGUAAGACUUUGAGUCUUUUCUUGAACCAAAAAAUUAAAUAAAUAAUAUAAAGCAAAACAUCUUUCCUUUUGCAUCUUCAUUGAUUUUCUUGAGGACUUUUGCUAUGAACGUAUACUAUUCGAUAUAAUAUGAGUUUUUCUACACUAUGGUCAGUAGGAUGGUACUUCUGUUGGGGGAGGAAGCCGAGCAAAGUUGAUUCAAUUUCCCAACGUCUACCUUCCGACCCUCAGUUUUGCUUUAAGAGUCCCUACCCAAAUGAUUAAAAUAGUCCCUCAACCUUUUUUGUUCAAAAGUUUAUGUCCCUCAACUUUAGUUCAUUAGCUGAUUAAGUCACCAGCUGUUUAACACUCAGUAACUUACUUUGUUUGGAUAGUGAAUUAGUUAAAAAAUUUACUUGCUUGCAUCAAUACAUUUUUUAAUUAUCUUUUUAUUUCAUAUAUAUGAUAUUAAAAAAGUGAUAGACUAUCAUUUUAUCUCACAUACAUCACAUCAAAAAAGUGUUACAGUAUUUUUUUAAAACAUUAUCCUAAAUAAUCUACUAUCCAAACACAUAGCUUUGCAGCAUCGAUGAAAUCUCUUGCAAGGUUGGCAUUUUUCCAAGAAGUUUUUAUAUGUGUUAUCUUAGAACAAUGGCAAUAAGCAAUUUGAUUUGCUAUGAUCUGGUGCCCCAACCAUGAAAUUCCAAACUCCAAAUAUUGGUCAUUGUACAAGUUGAUUUAUAGAUGAUGGUAACAUCUGAUUUUGGGAAAAGGUUUUCUUUCAAAUAUUCCUAUUUUCUUUGCCUUAGAUCUUCUUUUUUUUUUUGAAACAUGAACAAAUAUGUGCUUAGUGCGAUUAAGGAGGACGGACAAUCUGCCUUUUAAUUGGAGCCUUUGUGUCCUCCAAACAUGCCUUUUGAAGAUGGCUUCCUUCUAAGCUCCCGAAGUAGAUGGCUUGGCCUUUCCCUCUACCCCUGAAAAUAUCAUAUUUUUAUUAAGUUGAAAUCAAGGAAAAAUUAACCCACACGUAUGGAGGUUCCAAUGGCCAAUACCAAAAAAAAAAAAAAAGAACAAUCAUACACUACUAAACUAUUCAACACGCUCUAAAUAAAAUACAAUCUAACUAGUGGAACUACAACAAUAUACCACUAGCAAAUAAGUCAAGUGAAAAUUUUCCGAUCUAAGUCUCAACUCGAACUAAUCUUCCAAUUCUUUCUAAACCUAUCUACUCUUAAGGGUACAAUUUACAUUAUGAACAAUUCAUUCCACCACUAUAGAGGAUGCAUAUUUGAUGGUUGACUAGUUAGUCUAGAGAAAAUGUAACAUUUGGGUGGCUCAAUCACAUAAGGACAAAAUUGGCUACCACAAAAUACUUCGAGGACUUAGUUAGCUAACAUUCAAAGUUGAAGCACCAAAAUGGUUUAGUGAAAAAGUUGAGGCACUAUUUUGCUCAUUUGCUCUAUUUCCUCCAACAAAUUUAGGAAAAAAAAGAUUAUUUCGCCCAAGUCCACUGCCACUGGCACUUCUAGUAACUUAUUGUGAUGGUAAGCUCUUCUUGUAGGAAUAUUAAACCAAACAUCAAUAAUUAAUGUCCACGUGUCUUUGUUUUAUUGGUUAACUAGAUAGUUGCAUUGUGAGUUGGUAAAGUUGGCCACAUUGGAUUAGGCCCAUAGUAUUAGUAAUAGAAGUCAGCCAGCAAGAGAUGUAGUACUAUAUAGCCUCUCGUCCGUCCCCUUUAAGAAGUGGCUUCGUUGUUUUGUAUUCUGGCCAGAGUUUCAUUUGAUUAAUAGAAAACUUCCUUUGGCUCAAUAUCGUUCUUUAUUUGAUUGUUCCUGUGGGUUUCUGUGUGUUUAUUUGUUUGGGUCCUACAAAGUGAUACCAGAGCUAUAGUAGAUUGAAGUAUGAAAAACCCUAACCCAAUAUUAUUUGUUCUAUCCAAAAACUCAAAACAAAGGCGGAGUUCAAUUUCUGACAGAAACAAAUGAUAACCAAUCUCAAGGCAUGCAAAUUACAUCGAUAUAUUGAAUCUGCACUUGGCCAAGAUGCUAGUGAGGAUGAUAAGGCAACAGAUAGCUCGGCUUGGUCACAAAUUCAUUAGGUAAUUGACAUGUCAGCUUUUGGAAAAAUUUCUACGGCUGAUACGACAAAGGAGACUGAGGAUAUAUUGGAGAAAACAUACAAAGGGAUUGACAGGGUCCAACAAAAUAAUUUGAUGAUAUUGAAGAGGAAAUUUAAACUUGUGACAAUGAAGAAGUGGGAAUCUAUUGAGUCAUAUUUUUUUUUGUUUAUUAGAUAUUAAAAACGAGUUCAAACUCAAUCAGUAUAAUCUUCCUAACUGAACAUUUGUUGAGAAAGUUCUCAAUACCCUACCCAUGAAAUUUUAUUGUAAUUCAGGAAAUGAAAGAUUUGGAGGAUUUGAGUAUUGAAGAUUUGUAUGGAUCAUUAAUUCUACAUGAACAAAGAAUUAAUGAAAAAUUGGAGAAUACCUUGAAGAAGGAUACAGUAGAGAAGGUGUUGCAAGCGCAGUUGAAUUUGAGAGGCAAUAAUGAUGUCAGGGAGUAAGGCAAAUCCAGUCAGAGGAGUAGAGGUGGUUACAAUAACAAAAGUGAUCGUGACAACAAUAAUAUAGGCCGAUGAGGUACAUCAAAUCUUGGACGUGGUGGAGGUAAUAAUUUUAAUUUUAAAGGUGGUCCUGGUAGAGGCAUAGGUGGUAAUUUUGGCAGUGAAAAUAAUUUUAAUCAGAAUAAUUUUGGAUAGAGAGUUCAAUGCUAUAAUCGAAGAAAAUUGGGUCAUAGACAAUUUGAAUGUAGAUUUGGAGAAAAUGUAGAUAAAAAUUUUCAGGCUAAUGUUGUUGACAAUUAGGUGCAAGAUAAUAAUAAAAAAUUUGAAACUUUAUUAUCAGCUUGAAAUGCUGUUGAUGUGGUUGAUAAAAAUAAAUGGUACUUGGAUACGGGUUGUAGUAACCAUAUGUCUGGCAAGAAAGAAUUAUUUGUUGAGGUUGAUGAAUUUGUAUGUGGUGAAGUUAAAUUUGAAAAUAAUACAGUUUUACCAAUGAUUGGCAAAGGAAAAAUUCUUAUUAACCUGAAAAAUGGGUCUACUGAUUUUAUUUUUGAUAUUUUUAUAUUCUUGGGCUACAUCAAAAUUUGUUGAGUAUGAGCCAGUUGUUUGAGAAAAAAAUAUGAUAUUUGUAUCAGGAAUGGUAUUUGUACUAUUUUUGAUAAAAAUAUUGGAAUGAUUGCCAAUGUACCAAUGACUUCAAAUCACUUAUUUUCAUUGAAUUUGAGUAGUGCCAAUUUUUUCUAUUUGAAUACAGUGAUAGAUGACAGUAAUUGGUUGUGACAUAUGCAAUUUGGUCAUUUGAAUUUUGACAGUUUGAAAUUUUUGGCCAAUAAAAGAAUGGUUGGUGGAUUGCCUAAUAUUAGAAAUCUUGGUAAAGUCUGUGAUAUGUGCGUUUUGGGAAAAUAACAUAAGGAUACUUUUUAGACUGGCAAAUCAUGAAAGACCAGAAAAUCAUUAGAAAUUAUUCAUUUAGAUGUAUGCACUGUGGAUAUUCCUUCUAAUGUGGUUGCAGGUAUUUUACUACCUUUAUGGAUAAUUUUAGUAGAAAAACUUGGGUGUAUUUUUUGAAACAAAAAUCUGAUACCUGUGACACUUUUAAAAUUUGUGUUGAGAGGCAAAGUGGGUGUCAGAUUAAAAUUUUGAGAACAGAUAGGGGUCAAAAAUAUUUGGUGUGUGAUGAUUUUCUUGAGAAAAUGAGAUACAACAUCAGUUGACUGCUAGGUAUACCCUCCAACAAAAUGGAGUGGCAGAGAAAAGAAUAGGACAGUUAUGGAUAUGGUGAGAUGUAUAUUGAAGUUGAAAAAUAUGCCAAAAUCAUUUUGGACAGAUGUAGUUUCUUGUGCAAUUUAUCUGUUAAAUAGGUGUCCUACCAGAAGUGUUUCUGGAAAAACUUCUGAUGAAGUUUGGAGUGGUAGAAGACUAUUUGUUGGUCAUUUCAGAGUUUUUGGACCUAUUCACAUGUCCCUGAUCAAUUAACAAAGAAACUUGAUGAUAAGGGGGAUAAGUGUGUAUUUAUUGAUUAUAGUGAAGUUUUUUAGGUUUAUAAGUUGUAUAAUCCUAUGACAAAAAAGGUGAUAGUGAGCAGAGAUGUGACUUUUGACAAAAGAGGUGUUUGAGAUUGGUCUACUGGAGAUUUUGAGGUAGUAGAGGUGAUUCUAAAUUAUCAGCAAGAGAAGGAUAAUUAUGAUAUUCAGUCGUCACCAGUUGCUCAGAGUCCACAAACUGAGUUAACUAGAUGUCCCCAGCGUCAGCGAUAGAUGCCAACUCGUCUGGAGGAUUAUGUUAUUAUACUAGAUGAUGUUUCUUCUAACAAAGAUAUUGUUAAUUUUGCUUUGUUUGCAGAUUAUGACCCAGUUGUGUAUGAGGAAGUAGACAGUGAUGAUCGUUGGGUGAAAGCAAUAGAGGAAGAUAUUCAUGCAAUAGAGAAUAAUGACACCUGAGAACUUACUUCUCUUCCAGUCGAUAGAAAAGCCAUUGGAGUGAAGUGGGUGUACAAGAUAAAAUUUAAACCCAGUGGAGAAGUUGAUAGAUACAAAGCGAGACUAGUGGUGAAGGGAUACAAGUAGAAACUCAGGAUUGACUAUUUUUAAGUGUUUGCACCCGUUGCCAGGUUUGACACAGUCCGUAUAAUAAUUUCUCUAGCUGUUCAAAAUAACUGGAGAAUUUAUCAAAUAGAUGUCAAGUUAGCUUUCCUGAAUGGAUUCUUAAUGAAGAAGUGCAUGUGGAGUAGCCAGCAGGAUUUGUCAGAAGAAGUUAGGAAAAUAAAGUGUAUAGAUUAAAGAGAGCCUUAUAUGGAUUGAAAUAAAUCCCAAGAGCAUAGUAUACAAGAAUUAGUUCCUAUUUUCUAACUCGUAAUUUUCAGAGGUGUCAAUAUGAGCACACUUUAUAUAUUAAAUUUUCUACUCGCGGUGAUAUUCUUAUCAUGUACUUGUACGUAGAUGAUUUAUUUUUUAUAGGAAAUAAUUCAAAGAUUGUUGCAAAGUUCAGGGAGGUUAUGAUUAAGUAGUUUGAGAUGACAGAUAUGGGACUUAUGUCAUAUUGCUUGGGAAUUGAAGUUUAUCAGUCUGACAGUAAGGAUUUUAUAUGUCAAAAGAAAUAUGCAAGUGACAUUUUAAAUAAAUUCAAGAUGAAUAUAGCAAAACCAAUUAUGACACCAGUUGAAGAAAAAUUGAGGUUGACCAAGGAAGGCGCUGGUGGAUAUGUGACAAACAGGUUGAUUCUACGAAGAUUUAUUGUGAUAGUAAAGUCAGCAAUUGAAUUGUCCAAAAAUCCAAUACUCCAUGGGGUCUCAAGCAUAUUGACAUCAAAUAUCACUUCAUACAAGAGUUGGUUCGAGAAAAGGAGAUUGAAGUUGAUUAUUGCAGAAUUAAAGAACAAGUGGUUGACAUUUUUACCAAGACAUUAAAGACAGAGUCUUUUGUCAAGUUGAAGAAGAUGCUGGGUAUGUCCAAAUUAUAGAAGCUUUGUUUAAGGGAGGCAAUACAGAAAUAUUAAAUCAAACAUCGAUAAUUAAUGGCCACGUGUCUUUAUUUUAUUAGUUAACUAGAUAGUUGCAUUAUGAGUCAGUAAAGUUGGCCACAUUAGAUUAGCCCCAUAGUAUUAGUACUAGAAGUCUGCCAGCAAGAGACGUAGUACUAUAUAGCCUCUCGUCCAUCCCCUUAAGAAGUGGCUUCGUUGUUUUGUAUUCUAGCUAGAGUUUCGUUUGAUUAAUAGAAAACUUCCUUUGCCUCAAUAUCGUUCUUUAUUUGUUCCUAUGAAUUUUUGUGUGUUUAUUUGUUUGGGUCGUACACUUCAUCAUUUUUAUUUAUUUCCCUUUCCUUGAAAUUUGAUGUUUGACACACUUUCUUUGGUUAUAUCAUAUUGCCAAGGUUUGUAUUAACAAAGUUGAGAAUAUAAAGGGCAAAAAAGUUUAUCUAUCCACUGAUGGAAAUUUGUGCAUGGUGAUUACCUGGAAUUCAGGCUUUAUGAAAUAUAGUCAUGAAUCAUAUAGUUCUACUUUUACGGUCAAAAGUUUCCUCAACUGGUACGUUUACAAGGCAAAAUCUAUACCCCUGAGAACUAUGCUUAUUAUGUUUAUGAAGUGCUUGAUGAAAUUCCCCUGAGAACGUUGAAUUCAAUAUUUGUCUUGCAUAAUAUGUGUAACCAUAUAAUAAUCAGAGUACCUGGCUAGAAAAUGUCGGCCAUUAUCUGUCUAGAACCUGUUCUGCAGAUGUGGGGUUUUUUUUUUUUUUUUUUUUUUUUUUUUUUUUGGGUUCACCAUUUGAGACUUGCAACUUAUGUGGUGUAAACUAGCUAGGAGGAGGAAUUCAAAGUUGGUAUCCUGAAAAAUGGGAAGAAGUUAACUUGCAAUGGCUUUCGAAUGUCAAUUUGUCUUGCUGUUUGUUGCCAGAAAUCUUUCUGAAAUCUUCAUUGUAUAAUCUUUCUGGCAGGGAAUUGUCAGUUCUGGACUAUGUGUGGCUGCAGUUUUCUGGAGCUCAAUGAUGGAAGGCCCUUUGUUCGUGUCUUCUUUCACUCCUUUGGGACUAGUAUUCACUACCCUUGCUGGAUCCCUCUUUCUAAAAGAGGAGCUGUGUUUGGGAAGGUUAUGAUAUGGGGAAAAGGCAAGGAGGCAACUGCAUCUCAAGAUGGAGAAACUGAAAGCAGGAGGGAUGAAGUAACCGAUGGUAGCCAGGCUGCGCCUCUCAUUGUCCCCGGCCAUUGCACUGAUUAUCAAACAAAUGGGGUUCAUCAACAAUUUAAGCAUGAACAUGUUUUACAAGCUCGGUUAGCAUUGCCAAGAAUUGAUUGAAUAUUGCUGAGCCACUGUAUCCUUUUCUUUUUCCUUUUUUUGUCUUAGCAUUUUCUGUUAAAACAGUAGGCGAAUGGAUCUGAAUUCUGUUUCUGUAAUUCGAAAGAUGAAGAGCCACUCUCUUCUCAGCGCAUUUUUUUAGCUUGUCAAAUGUAAACUAUCCUGAAGAGUUAUAAUUGCUCUUGAUUGUGGAACCUGCAUAAUUGCUUUAGGUGUUUUGCUUUUGCGUUCUUCCUUCUUUCAGUUCAAGCACUGAGCUACAAAAUCUCAUUGAAGGCCACAAAGUUAUCCUUAUCGAUGCCUCUUAAACUUUUAUCAACUCUAACUGAUGUGUGGAAGAAAAGGAAAAACCUAAAAUUUGUCCUCCUCCUUGUCCAAAUACAUCUAAAAUUUACAAGUACAUAAAAAAGUAUCUUCAUAUUACAAGAAAUGGUAAUGUAAAAAAAAAGUAACAAAAAUAUUUAAAUGGAUUAUAAAUGGAUAAUUGAUUUUUAUUUAAUCCAUUUAGAUCCAUCCAUUUAGAUCCAUUUAAUAAAUGGAUCUAAAUGGAUUGGAUAAAUUUCAUCCACCAUCCAUUAAGUCAAAACCAAUUAUGAACCAUUUAUCCAUAUUGCCACCUCUAGUCAUGAUGUUUGAUCUUUUGCAUUUUGAGCAAGAGAGACGUAUACUUUUUUGUCUUUUCGAUUUCUUAAGGCAGAGUUUGUUUUCUUUGGCAGGGUUCAUCAAACCAUAGCUCUAUUGUCAGGCUUUAAAAUAAAACACACUUAACUUUUUUCGAAAGCAAAUAAAAUUAAAACAACUCACAACCUUUGUUGAUGCCACUGAAGUAUUGGGGCUGGUCAUAUGUACUAUAUAAAUAUUGGGUACUGCCAGCAAAUAUCUCUGGAAAGAUGCACAAAAUUUAGAUUAUUACAUGCAUAUGGUUUAAACUAUUUCAAUUUUGAUUAUUUUGGUUUUGUACCACUAUUACACUUUUGCGCUCUGACUUUGUUUAUGUUCAACCAAAUGCUAUUACUUAAAUUAAAAACCCACUGAUUUCUGAAUUUAAAAUGUUAAAUUACAUCACGCAUGAUCCCAAAUUUGGGAAGCACGUGCUUAAACUAUUUGGAAAGCACCAAAAUGUAGAAACAUGAUAGAAGGAACUAAAACCACCAAACUUAACCCAGUGCCCACCAUCAAAGUUGGUGGGGUGAGAGGUCAUAGGAUGGGAGGUCAUGGGAUCAAACUAGAGGUGUCAAAAUGGGUGACUUGGGUGGGUUUGGGUUGGGUAAAAUGGGUAAUGGGUAUAAGUGAGUCAACUCAUUUAUAGCCAUUUAAUUAGAUGGGUAUAAAUGGGUAAGUCAAAAAAUGAAUUAGGUAACCCAAUUACCCAUUUAUAACUCAUUUAUUUUAACUUUUUGCAAACUCAUUUAAAUUCACUUUUGCAAACUAAGUUAUCAAUUUAUACCACUCUUUGUACCCAUCAUUAGUUUUAAAUAUUUACUUAUAAUGUUCAAUAAACUUAAUUACCAAUUUUUUUCAUUUAUACUCUGUCACAAAAUUACCUAUUAUUUAAUAAUUGAAUAAUACGAAUAUAAAAAUUUGAAUUAAGUACUAUAAAAAUUAAUAUAAAAACUUAAUUCAAAAAUUUUGAACCCCUAACAUUUUUUUCAUAUAUAAAUUUAAAAUUUCAUUUUAUAAAGAUAAGAAAAUAGGCUAAAAUUUAUCAUAAAUUGGUAAUGCUAAAAAAUGAGCAAGUUAACAAACUAAGAAAAAAUAAAAUAAUAAGAUAAAACCAACAAAUAAUAAUAAUAAUAAUAAUAAUAAUAAUAAUAAUAAUGUUAACAUCAUGACAAAAUGAAAAUUUUGAAAAAAAAAAAGGUAGGGAAAAAGAAGAGACUUGGGGGGAAGAGAAUUUUAAAUGGGUUAAUUGGGUUUGAUGGGUUAUCCAAUAAUACCCAUUUAAUAAAUGGGUAUUAUUGGGUAACCCAUUUAUACCCAUAUGCAAAAAUUUAAGAUAUCCAUACCCAUCUAUUCAUGGACGGGUAUGGGUAAAUCUAGUUAAGUGGGUUGAUUUGCCACCUCUAGAUCAAACCCUACCCCCUACCAUUGGUCGCAAAAUGUGGCAAGCCUGCAUAGCCCAUUCGUUUGGGCUGAUAAGUAGUAUAAAUAACUGUAGGCCCACGUCUCAAUCCUAUCCACUCUCUGUAUUCAUUUCAAAAUUGCCCAGCAAUUACAUUAGAUCUACUUUUAUCCCCACAUGCAAGAUGAAGUGAAACAUGAUAGCUGCAAGAAGGACUCUCGUCAAUGGUCACUUGUCAAAGCAACUCCACUAUGCAAUUUAUGCUCCUUAAUUAUAUUAAUUAAGUAAAUGAUAUUUAUAGUAAGACAACUAUUAAUGAGGAAAAAAAUUACACCCUCCAUCUUAUUUUAUUAGGCUUGAUUUCUAUUUUAGUUUGUCUCAAAUUAUUUGUCAUAGCCAAAAAGAGGAAAAUGAACAGAGACCAAUUUCCUUUUUUUUAUCCUUCAUUAAAAAGAGUAUUAAUGUCAUGUUUUAGAAUCGAAUGCUUUAACAAACUAUUAUAAAAUUCUCAAAUUCAAAAGCAACAAACAAAAUUUGAAUUCAAGUCAAGGGGUAAUUAUGGAAACAGUUAUUUGUUGGUUGGCCAGAAAUCAAAUUCCUUAAUCUAUGUGCAAAGUUAUACAUGACAAGUCAAAUGAGACUGGAUUGAGUAUUUUGUGUUUUAAUGAUGUCAUCUUAGUGCCUAGAUUUGUUGGCUUAUUGUCCAUUUUUUUGAAUUAAUAUUGUAACUUUUAGUAAGUGAGAGAUUUUGAAUCAAGAUCUCUUACUCAUCCCUUCCAUUCUACUAUUCAACUCAACCUGGCCCAUCCCACCCCCUUUAUAUUGAAUCAAUAUUGAUGCUCAUGUAUGAAACAACUGAUACUGAUGAUCAGAGAGUGCCCAAAUGCAAAAUUACUACACUGCACAUAAAGUCAACGACAAACAUCUUUCUCCUUGCUUCUUGCAUCUUGAGCCUUGAUCAUGGAGUUACUCUACACCAUUCUAGGUCUCUUCAUAUUCUUGAUUGCUGUAAAGUAUCAGUAUCUCCGAAAAAAGAACAGAAAACUGCAGCCCCCAAGUCCUCCAGCUCUUCCAAUUUUGGGCCAUCUUCACCUUGUGAAAACUGCCCCCCACCUUGCCCUGCAAAAGCUCUCCAUCAAAUAUGGUCCCCUGAUUUUCCUUCAUUUUGGGAUUCGUCCUUUCCUUGUUGUUUCCUCGCCAUCUCUUGCAGAGGAAUGCUUAACCAAGACCAAUGAUAUUAUUUUCGCGAACCGGCCUGAGUCAGUUUCCAGUAAAUACCUUGGCUACAACUCAACUAUUCUCAUACUCUCCCCUUAUGGAGAUCACUGGCGAAAUCUCCGCCGAGUCACAACCAUCCAUAUGUUUUCUUCGAUUCAACUCCAGCGUUUCUCCUCCAUCUGGACUGAAGAAAUCCAUUUCAUCAUCAAAAAAUUGUUUUCCAGUAACUCUGAUGAGAAAACCUGGAAAGUUAAGGACAUGAGUUCUUUGUUCCGGGAGUUAUUAUUCAACGUGAUAAUGAAAAUAGUUGCUGGAAAAAGAUGGCCAUCUGAUCAGCCAGGUGAUAUAUUUUCACCGCAAGCACUCACUGAUCUUUGUGAUUAUAUUCCAAUUUUGAGGUGGAUUGGCUAUGGAGGGUUGGAGAAAGGUGUAAUCAGUUUGCACCAGAAGAGGGACGAGUUUCUUCAGGGCCUGAUUGAUCAAACGCGGAAAGAGGAAGCAGAAGACGGUUCUUGUUCGACAGAGAGAAGGAAAACAAUUAUUCAAAAAUUGUUAUCUCUACAAGAAGCAGAACCCGAAUACUACACUGAUGAAAUUGUUAAAGGAAUUAUACAAGUAAGUCUCUUCUACUUGAAUCUCUUUCUCAAAUUGGUCUAUAAUUCAUUAGGACAAGGUCAUCUCACCCAUGUAGCAGCAGUAGUACAAAUUGUCUUAGCCAUAUUUAGUGGUAGCGCUAAGACUAGUGGUGAGGGAUGCAGUGAUCCGCAACCGCAUGCUUUUCAUGGUUGAAAUUGGAUCAUAUUAGCUCGAUUUGAUCUGAAUAUUGAAAUGAUCAAAUUAAACCGUAUCUUGAUGUUGUGGUCUGAUCUGAACUGUAGCAAACACGUCCGACUGUAGAUAGGCACCGGAUCUAGUGGCGGUGAGUGGGGAAAUGGUAUAUGCCACUAACUUCAAUGUUGGUGUCUAGAUAAGGAAUUUGGUGAAAGUCUUUUCAAAAAUUUGGUGCACAUGUUUUCAACAUUAAAUAUGCCAACAUCUAGAGGUGACUGGUGAGCUGGGGGCCUGGGGCAUUCGUCAACUUGCAAAUUGGAUUAGUCUUCUUGUGGUGCUUCUUGUGGUCCAAUUGUUAUAUUUUUUAUAUUAUUUGGUGUGUAAUUAUAUGAUAUUAUUUUAUUCGAAAUAAAAAUGAUAUACAUGAAUAAAAUAUUUGAUACAUAUUCAAUACAAUAUUAUGAUAUAUUCGUACAUCAAAAAAUUUAAACAUAUAUAGCGAUUGGAUGAAAUUGCAUAAAAUAUAAUUGUACUAAGUUCUUGCCCCAAUUUAUGGCUGUAUCUAUCAUUUUACACCAUAAAAUAAUCAAAGAAUCUUUUAUGGUAUGGGCAAUGUUUAAGGUUUUAACAAUCUUUUCCGCUAAUGUGGAUUUAGGAAUCCAGUUCACAAAAUUUAUAGACACAUGAGCAUAACAUAAACAAACAAAAAAAUUUAUGUCAACAUGUUACUGUCCUUUUUUUUUCCUCAAAUAUCAUGGAUGUAAUUGCCUUAAGAUGCCCUUAUAUUUUGGCUUGACAACAAUUGUCAAUAUAACUAUCUCAACAACGUUCAACUUUCGUAAUAAAGUAAAAUUUAUCAAAAAAAUAGUAUGCACAACUUUAUUACAAGAAUGUUAAAAAUCAGCCUCUUCUUAACGAAAAAUACCGUGUAAUUGUAUCCUAAUAUUAAUUAGGGUUAAUCACAUUUUAUCCCCUUAAAAAAUACCCCAUUUCUCAGUUUACCCCAUAACCUUUAAUUUUGCUCACUUAACCCCCUUUAGGACAAAAUUGCCCUUGCAUUAUUUUGACUUUUCAUUUACCUUGUUUUCCUUUCUUUUAUUUCUUUUUCUCUUUCUUCUUUAUUUAAUUCUUCCUCUUUCCCACAAAAAUCUUCACCUUAAUGAUUGAAAUUAAAAAAGAGGAAUUACAAAGAUCUAUCUUCUUCUUAAAUGAUCAAAAAAAAUUCAAACCACUUUUCUAAAAUACAAUUUUUUUAGCCUUUCAAUUCUUUUAAUUUUGGGUUUUCCUCUUUCCUUUCUAGUUUCUCAUUUUAUUCUCAAGAAAAUAUCAUAAGAUGAAAUUGUUUUCCUUUCUUUUAUUUCUUUUUCUCUUUCUUCUCUCUAUCAUCCUUCCCAAUAGAAAAUUCGAUUUCCACAAAAAUUUUUUGUUUUGAGUUUGUAAUCACAUAUUUUUGGGCGAAGGUUUAAAAGACAUCAAAAACUAAUUUUGAUUUUUUGUAUGAUGUCACGUGUCACAAAUUUCAAUUGAUAAUUAUUAAUCAGGUCACAAUUUCAUCUUAAGAUAUUUUCUUGGGAAUAAAAUGAGAAACUAGAAAGGAAAGAGGAAAAUCCAAAAUUAAAAGAAUUGAAAGGCUAAAAAAAAUUUGUAUUUUAGGAAAGUGAUUUGAAUUUUUUUUAAUCAUUUAAGAAAAAGAUAGAUCUCUACAAUUCUUCUUUUUCAAUUUCAAUCAUUAAGGUGAAGAUUUUUGUGGGAAAAAGGAAGAAUUAAAUAAAGAAGAAAGAGAAAAAGAAAUAAAAGAAAGGAAAAUAAGGUAAAUGAAAAGUCAAAAUAAUGCAAGGGCAAUUUUGUCCUAAAGGGGGUUAAGUGAACAAAAUUAAAGGUUAGGGGGUAAACUGAGAAAUGGGGUAUUCUUUAGGGCAAAUUCCACUUUACCCCCCUGUGGUUUAGCGUUUUUUCACAUAACCCCCCUAUGGUUUCAAAAGCUAUACAUAACCCCCUUAUGGUUUGGAUUAAAGUGUCAAAGUAACAGAAAUAGUCACUCGUAACGGCGUCACCUAAAAUGUCAAAAAUACCCUUAUGUAAGGUUGAAAUUUAUGUAUUAACCAAGGGAGGUUAUGUGUAUAUUUUGAAAAUCAUAAGGGGGUUAUAUGGUAAAGUAUUAAACCAUAAGGGGGUUAUAUGGUAAAAUAUAGAAAUCAUAAGGGGUUAAUGUGUCAUGUAUAUAUAAGGGUAAUUUCGACAUUUUUAGAAGUUCCGUUACGAGUGACUAUUUCCGUUACUUUGACACUUUAAUCCAAACCAUGAGGGGGUUAUGUAUAGCUUUUGAAACCAUAGGGGGGUUAUGUAAAAAAAGGGUAAACCACAGGGGGGUAAAAUGUAAUUUACCCUAUUCUUUAAUGGGAUAAAAUGUGAUUAACCCUAUUAAUUAUACACUUUUUAAAUGUUGUUUUGUUGGCCCAAAUUGAGGCCUUUAAAAUUUGGGGAAGGUUGCUACUUGCUCCCAGCCCCCACCCCUGAUGGAGGACAAAUAGGUAAAUUCACAUUGGUGAGGUGAUAAGCUGACAAUUGAUACACGUGAUGAUAUUUGACAACGGACAAUAGAAGCAAAUCAGAUUAGGUGAUGAGACAUUAACCGUGAUACUUGUGGCUGGGUUUAAGUCAACGGUGGAGGCUGUGAGAUAGUUUUAGAAUUGGUCGUCCAUUAAUUGAUGAAAUUAUUAAUUUAUCCUCCAUUAAAACUUAAGUGAUAAAAUACUAUUUUGGUGGGGAAGAUUACUAAUUUAAAUAGACUAAUUUUCACUUUAUAUCAAAAAGUCUAAUUGUUAACACAUAAAAAAUAGAUUUGGAUGAGGAUUAAGACUAUUGGGGUCAAAAUGGGGGCAAAAUAUAGAAAUAUUGAGUGAUUACUGUUGCAAUUUUUAUAAUCUCAUAAUUUACUUCAACGCAUCAUAAUGUAGCAAAAUUUCAUUUCAAAUAUUCACAAGCAUAAAAUUGGAGUAGAACCCAAAAAUUUGCAUAUGAAUUUAGCACUAUAAUUGCAAUAAAAUUUCAAUACCGAACCAAAAUUAGAAGCCAUAUAUUAGGUAACAAAAUAUUGGGCUAAAAAAUUUUAAUAAAACACCAAAAUUAUUUACUUUUCCUUGACAACAAUCUUUUCUUACCUAGGCUAACUUGAAAUGCGUAGUAAAAUAAGGUUGAUGAGAUUCUUGAAUUGAAUUUAUUCCUUUUCUUGUUUUUUCCUGCUUCUUUUGUUUUAAUUGUCAUUCAAAGUGAUCAUAUAUUUUAUUGUUAUAUGUUUCCAAUUAGAAUUUUAUUAUGAAGUGAAAAUUAAUCCAUUUAAAGUGACAAAUUUUUUCUACCAAAGGGGUAUUUUUGUCACUUAAAAGCUUUUAAUGGAGGAAAAAUUGGUCAUCUCAUCAAUUAUUUAGAUGGAAUUAAUUUUCUUAUUAUUUUAAAGUUGACUAAGGGUGAAAAGUGCCUAUUAAAAUAGUUUAGGGUACAAAAUGCAACUAGUGUAAUAGUUCGUGGGGGUUUUCUACAUUUAACCCCCUAUUUAAUUUUGGCUUUUCAGUUUAUACUCUGAACCAUGAAUUGUGAUACUUAAGUAUAAUAUACUAUCAAUUUUGGGGCACAUCGUCCAAAUAAGAUAAAAUCAAUUAAUUCUUUUAGCAACUUUAGAAUAAAAUACUUUAAUACCCCUAAACGAAUUAGAGAAUUUGGACAAACAACAGAUUAAGGAUACUUGAAGCCUUCUAAACUAACUAUAGAAAAAGUUAUUUGGAUUUGACCAAUGGGCCAACAAAAGAACAAGAUACUGAAGUUCUAAAAUUAGCAAUUUAGAGAGUAACAAGCAAAUUGGUGAUAAUUUAGGUGUGCAUAUUGGCAAUAACACCCAAAAAAAGGUAGUUCCUUCAUGCCUUUACACAUAAUUGAGGUCUAUAGAUAUCACAUGCCAUAAUAUAUAGUUCCCUUCUUAUGUUGACUGGCGGACAUUUAUUCGCGAUCAAUGUCAAAAGUGUAAAUUAUUGAUUCAUGAUCUAUAGCAAGAGAAAUGACAUUAUUUGUCAACAACUUGAUUCUAAAAACUAAUUCCUAUUCUUUUCUUAUUCAUUCAAAAAGUUGCAUUGAAUUUGACUGUACAUUACUUCUUGUGUAGAUAAUGUUAUCAGCCGGAACACACACUACAUCUCAGACAAUGGAGUGGGCAUUGUCCAGCCUAUUAAAUCACCCUAAUGUACUGCAAAAGGCAAGAGAUGAGCUAGAAAAAAUGCAGCCUGGCCAUCUGCUAAAUGAUUCCGAUCUCUCUAAAUUGCCUUAUUUACGCUGCAUAAUCAACGAGACACUAAGGUUAUUUCCUGCGGCACCAACUCUUGUGCCUCAUUUUUCAUCCGAGGAUUGCACCAUAGGAGGCUACAAGGUUCCAAAAGGUACAACUUUGUUAGUGAAUGCUUGGGCCAUUCACAGGGACCCCAAUGUUUGGGAAGAGCCCAACAAGUAUAAGCCAGAAAGAUUUGAAGGAAUGGAUGAGGGAGGGUGGAAUGAAGGGUUCAAAUUUCUUCCAUUUGGAAAAGGCAGGAGAAUUUGUCCCGGAGCUGCCAUGGCCAUAAGGUUGGUUGGGCUGACAUUGGGCACCCUGAUUCAAUGCUUUGAGUGGGAAAGAGCAGGGCCUGAAAUGGUGGAUUUGGAAGAAAAUCAAGGAGCAACUUUGGGCAAGGCCAAGCCUUUGGAGGCAUCUUACAAGCCACGCCCAUCGAUGAUCAAAACAAUUUCUCAGCUUUAAGUUAGAUAUGUUGUUCUAUUGAGAUAAAUUGGGAUUUCUUUUUUUUUUUUUUGAAUUUAAAUAUCAAGAGAUGAGUGUCUGAUUUUUGGUUUUGAGCUCCUCUUACAAUUUCAGAUUUGUAGUUGUAACUUUCUUUCAAUACAAGUUGAUGCUACAAUUAUACAAACUUAAGUAUUUUACAUGGAAAUGUGGAACAUUAAAUUUUUCCAAUUCUAAGUAGCAUAAACAAAAUCACCAGUACCAUCUUUGGUUAAUUUCAAUUUUUCUUCAACCAGGGUCAUCAUUGGUUUAGCCACAUCCAGCUUAAACUUCUUUAGAAUAUCACUUGCAUACUUGCUUUGUGAGAUAAAAAUUCCACCAUCCAACUGAUGAAUCGCAAUACCAAGAAAAUAAGACAUCAAUCCCAAAUCUGUCAUCUCAAAUUGACUAAUCAUGGCCUCCCUGAAUUUAGAAAUUAGUUUGGGAUUAUUGCCUGUAAAUAUCAAGUCGUCCACAUACAAGCAUACAAUAAGGACAUCUCUUCCAAGGUUGAAUUUGAUGUACAGAGUAUGAUCAUAUGGACAUCUCAGAAAACCAGGCUUAAUAAAAUAAGAAUUGAUGCGAGUAUCCUAAGCUCUAGGAGCUUGUUUCAACCCAUACAACGCCUUUUUCCAUCUAUACACUUUGUUUUAUUGACCAUUCUAACAUAACCAGCAGGCUGCUCAACAUAUACCUCUUUUGCCUUUUGCUUAUGGCCUUUGACAACCAACCUUGCUUUUGUGACGACCCUACCUCCCCCUAAGGCGAACCAAGGGGUUCGGCGGACCGCCUACCCAAUUCUCGCCAGGACUCGUUCACUCACUUAUAGCUUCAAGAGCAAGUAAGAUGUGCCAAUCAAACUUAACAUAUAUACAAUCAUUAACACAGAUAUACAAUCUUCAAGGUUAAGUACAAAAGUUCAGGAUUCAACCAACUACUAAUACUAUCACUAUUACACAACAAAAGUUCUAGUCAAAAGUUUAGUCUUUCUCUAAUCACCCGUCCUUGCUCAAGAACCCUGUAAGAAAAACAAAAACUAAAGGAAUGAGCUAAAACUCAGUGAGGUUCCCAUGCACAUAACCAAGUAAUUGAAACAAGGAUAUUAUUCAGUUAAUAACAAUCAAUCGAGAAAACAUUUACAAUAUAAAAACAAAGAGAAUACACUCAUUAAAAGGAUACAUGCUCGCGUGGGGCUAUUCGUUCAAUCAUUCAUUCAUUUAGCUAGUCAUUCUCUUUCAUUUAAUCAUUCAUUUCUUCCCUUAUAAAUUCAACAUUUCCAUUCAUUCAUUUCAUUUCUCGCUACUAGCCAAUUCACUGGCCAGUUCUCCACCAAAUUUCGUGGUCGUACUCGAGUAUAUCAAAAAUUAUCUCAGGGUCACCAGUUGCCCGACCAAGUCCAUUUCUGACUCAAGUCGACUGGCAACAAAGGGCAAGGGUCCAAUUCAGCCAAUGCGACCAUACAACCCACAUAGCUUACAUUCAUGCACAGGUAAUGCCCAAUCAGUUAAUCAUUAGAAAAUUCACUUUCGCUUAGGUCAAGUGCAAUAAAGUACACACUCGACCAUUGAAAAUCCAUUUAACAGUCAUUGGAAGGCAUUUAACACUCAAUCGAAGAUUCACAACAAGUACACAGUCAUUUAAUACACAAACAUGCAAGAAACACUCACCCUAAACAAGUCACGUUUUAUCAAAAUUUAGUUCAAGACCAGCAUCUUGGACACUCCCGAAAUCUGCAGUCAAAUAUUAUCCACAAAGAGCCAAUCAUACAUGAGUGCAAGCUACAUAACUUAUAUUUCUAUAUGAAAGUAAAAAGGCAAGAAAAGGAUAGUAAGUCAUAUAGGCAAGGUGCACACAUAAUUUGUAAAAGAAAAUGAUCAAAAACGGUUAAGUUCAAAACCAAUAUGUGCAACUAAAAAUCAUGUUUCGAAUACUUGUUUAGAAUGUUAGAAAUCAGGUUUAGAACACUUGAGAAGUAUAUGUUAAGUCGGAUCAAGGAAACGAAAAACAAGAGAAAUGCAACGAGAAACAAUGAAGAUAGCAGCUUUACCAUCCUUUGGUGUUUUGAUCACAACUGAAACUACACUUAUCGGAUCGAGGAAAACUUUAUGAUGUUUCGAAAUAAGACCUAGACUUACAUUUGCUAUGAAGACAUCACCCAAUUCUCAUAUUUUCAGGGUAAAAAAUGGACAGUCAAAAACACAUGAAAAACAGGUCAGGAAAAUUAGAGUUUUUGCGCAGUCAGGAGUGCUCUGGCCAAAUUAUAAGCUAAAAUGAUCCAAUUGAUCUGAAAUUUUGCAGGAGACCCCGGUUGUCCUAAAAUAUGAUUUUAUGUGAAAAUAAUGGAUUUUAGGGUAAUUUUUAUUCCAAAUAAUUCGAAAAUCCCUAAUUGGGAAUUUGAGAAACCCUAAUUGUGCAAAAAAUUGAAAAUUUUUAAGCGAAACCCUGGUUAGUCAUUUCUAAUGCAAUUGCAUGUUCGGAUGUGUAUUAGAUAUGUGCAUGUAUGUUGUCGUAUAGUAUUAUAUAGGGUUAAGUGGGUUUAAAGGGUUAGAAAACCCUAAUCAAGGAAAAACUCUAGUUAAAUGGUGAAUGAGAAUGAUUAAGUUGGAAUCAUACCCUAAUUUUAGGUGUGACAUGGAAGUGUUUACUUGUUGGAUUUUAAGUGUGAUAAAGAUUGGUAGAGAAUAGAUAAGUAAGGUUUAAGGGUGAUUAGUGCAAUUGCUAAGUAUGAUUAGGAAUUUUAGCCUAGGUUAAUUAUAUGCUAUGGAGUAAUUUGAAAGAAAAGGAAAGUUAGUUGGGCAAGAGUUGAGAAAGUAAGAAAUCAUGGAAGCAAGGACUUAAAGGCAAUUGGCAUACUUUCUUGUGAUUGGCUAAGUGUGAUUUGAUCCUAUUCUGGUCAAAUCUGUUUUGGUUUUGAUGACCGGUUUCCGUUCAGAAUUUGGGUUGUCGGCCUUCAUGAAAGUUGUUCCAUUUGAAAUGAAUUAUCUAACUGCCAAUUUUCAGCUCAUUUGGCCAUGUGUAGCAUAGAAAACGGUUUGCACCCCAAAACUGACCAUUUGUACAUUGAUCAGAUUCCGUGGGUGACUUUGUUUGGUUCUUUUGGGACUGAAGCUUCCAGUUUCAGUUCUGGAUGUCUUCGUAACAAUUGUUGUUCAGUCUUUAAGCUUCGAAAUGGCGUCUCAUACGCCUUAAUCCGAUAUUCGUAGCUCAACUUAUGAUCAAAAUGGGAACAAGUGUCAAAUCUGCCUUUUCUCACAAACGGCCGUUUCCGUUUUCGCCGACCGUUUCCGUUUCCGGUUGGUCGUUUCUACGCGCGCGCGUGCCGUUUUUUUUGCCGUUUGCUUGUGAUCUGCUAUAUGUUAGCCGUUUUAGCCGUUUUUAGUCUAAAGUUAUAUAAUUUUCUAUUGCAGACAGCGGCGAACUUGACGGAGCAACUGGGACCCACUAGCGGACCCCACGACGUCUAGUUCCUUGUUUUGCUCAUUUUGUAUUUUUGUAAGUAUCUGGGCUAUGUGCAUAAGUUAAGGGCCUUAUGUGAUAUGUUUUAAAUGAAAGGGGUCUUAGGCGAGAGUGUACUUUAUCACACUCGACCUAAACCCUCAUUUAUACUGAAAUGGGCAUGUGAAUUGUGUGAAUGACAUGUUGUUGGGCUGAACCCCUAGAGCUUGUAGCCCGGGGUGACAUUUGUGAUGUGCAUGAUAUGAGAUAUUUGUGGGACCCGAUCUCAGGACCUAGUUAGACUAUUCGAGCCGGCAGGGGCUUGGUCGGAGUUAGUCUAACCUAGGCAUGAGAUCGCUAUGAUAUUCUGACAUGCAAAAUUGGUUAUAUAAGAACCAAACAUGUAAACCUCAGUGCAUGAACCCUAUUGCUCGAGCCGUUAUCUGUCUGUGGUGACUGGCCAGUGUGGGUGUUAAGGUAGUUGGCGGUUGACGAGUGAAGUUCUACGGACCAUAAAUUGUGCUCGACGGAGUGUCGGCAGGCGAUCAAUAGUGGCAAAUUAUUUGGCUUUGAAGCCAAUCUGUAUCCUACACCUAUGUUAUAAUCUGCUUUUAAUUUGGCAAUCUGUGUUCAUACUUGCUCCGAUUCUGUGAAAUUUACGCUUUUACCCCUGCAUACUUACUAAGCAUUUAGCUUACCCCUCCCUUUGUUUUCCUUACAGGGGUUCGACGCGGGGACCACUUUUGGACGCCGAACUAGUUUAGUUAGGUUGGAAUACUUUGAUCGGGACUUCCGGAAUGCGUGUAAUAGUAAUAGUAGUUCGAGUUCGGACCACCUUAGGGUCCACCUUUUGGUUGUAGUUAUCAUAAUAGGAUAAUGUAGUAAGAUGAGCUGCUACUUCUGAAUUGUACAUAGGGCACUUCUGCUACUGUAAAUACUGUACAUAGUAAACUUUUGGCCGUGUAUAUAAUGUGAAUGGCAACUGUUUGGGUGUGAAUAGUAUUUCUUAGUUUUUAUUUUAUUUUAUUUCGAGUCCUGGCGCGAGUUAGGCAGACGGCCUGCUAAGCCCUUUGGUACGCCUCUGGGUACGGUGGGGUCGUCACAGGUGGUAUCAGAGCGCCUAAGUUAGAGGACUUGGGUAAUUGGGACAUACAUGAUAGGCAGUAGGGUUCUGUGAUUUAUUUAAAAUGAAUGAUCUCUUUUAAGCUGAAAUGCUAUCGAACUGACCAGAUAAUGUUGAAAUUUUGUAGGGAUGGAGCCUGGCGAGCCUAGUGGAUCCAGAUCUGAACUGCGUCCUCCGAGCGUCGGGGACCCAAUUAACCAGGUUUUGUGCCGCCGAGUUCUACGCUUCCAGAGGAGGCCAAGUAGGCCUUAUGUGAUGUACUUACCUUUUGGCCGCAUGAAUAGGCCAUGUGAGUGUAGGCAUACCUAUGGGUAUCCGGACGAAGUAGUACUUGCUGUUGAUGAUGAGCGCCGCCGCCUGGCUAAGGCAAACGAGCGCUUGGACAGUCUGUUAGCGGAGGCUAGGCACGUGGGCCAUGGGCAGGUCAUGCGUAUUAGAGAGACCGAGCAGAGUCUGAGAGAGGAGGAGGAGAGGACUGAUGCCUUUCGCCAGCAGCUACAGGAGACGCGACAGCAAUUUUCGGCGAUUAAGAGGCAGAUACGAGAGCGCGUUAGAGGGAUUAUGUUUGACUGCGAGGCUCUCCUAGACAUGAUUGCGGAGGUACCGCCUCGUGCUAUCGGCCCGGAGUCGAUGGACGGGGUAGACUCUUUAGGCUCGGUUGGGGACUGGCCACCUAGGGGAGGCGUAUAAGGCCGCUCUGGAGCUUCUGUGCAUUUUCCUGCUUACUUUGGGUUUUGUAUCCGGUGGGUUUAGACCGGUUUUGGAGCCGUAGUGCUCUUGUAUGUAUUGGAUUUUGAACCGACUGGAUGUCGGUUAAUUUGUAUAUCUUUUGGCGUGACUUGUCUAUAAGACUGGUAUAUAUGUAGUAUGGCCUUUUGGGGUCAUCUUUUAUGUGUAUCUUGCGUAUUUGUUUUCAAGUGUUUUCCUUGUUUAAAUUCGAGUUGUUAAGCACUUAUUUUGUUUCUGUUGCUUUACUUUAUUAAUUUUCGCGAUAUUUAAUAUACGUUUGUUUCAAUUCUAGACUUUCUGAACCUAAAUGGACUCCGGUGGUCGAGGUAGUGGCCCAGAGGGAGAAAAUGAGAACGAACCUGACCAGGUAGCCACAGCCAUUCAGCGUAUGGCUGACUUACUUGAGAGAAUGGUUAAUCAACAAGGUCAAGGUCAGGGCCAAAAUGCUGGGAACCCUGGAGGAAAUGCGAGAAAUAAUAAUCAUGAUAGAGAGGACGGGGCAUUAGAACGGUUUCAAAAGUUUGCCCCUCCCAAAUUUGUAGGUGGACCGAACCCAGACAUAGCUGAGGGGUGGUUAGACCGAAUGCUAGAUAUCUUUGCCGCACCUGGAUAUACGAAAGAGCGGCAAAUCUUUUUUGCAACUUUUCAGUUUGAGGGAGCCGCCCGAGCUUGGUGGAAUGUCAUUAAGACCAAGUGGGAACGGGAGCAGACUCCCUGGACCUGGGUUAAUUUCACCUGGGAAUUCAAUGAAAAGUAUCUGCCACCCAUAGUGCAAGAACGGCUGGAGGACGAGUUUAUCCGCCUGCGCCAAGGGGCGUUAAGUGUGGCUGAGUACGAGACUCGGUUCACUAAACUGUCUCGUUUUGCUCCUGAUUUGGUACUCACAGAGCAAAGACGCGUUCGAUGCUUCAUUCAGGGGUUGAAUGUGGAACUCUAGAAGGCGUUAGCGGCUGUCCAGGUGGACACAAUUAGUCAGGCGCUAGAGAAGGCGCAGAGGGUAGAAGCAGCCAGGGGUCAGGUUAAAGCCUUUCAUGAGCGUAAACGUAGACAACCGAGCUCGAGUACCUACACCCCUGGGCAGAGCUCGAAGAACGAGCCACCCACCAAGUUGGGUAGAGUAGUAGGAGGUCCGCGGCCUGUUGGGACCCCAGGCUGAGGCAAUUUUGGACGAGGGCAGGCGGGGCGAGAGCCGCAGAGAGGUGGUCAGCGCGGAGGACAAAGUUCAGGACCUAAGUCGACCUGUAACUUUUGUGGAGGCAAUCAUCCCUUCGAUAAUUGUUGGAAGUAGGAUUCAGUGCGGAAGUGUUUCAGAUGUGGCAGCACAGAACACCUCAUUGCUCAAUGCCCAAAGGCUCCGCAGGAAGGAACUAGUACCCCUCAGGCAGGAGGGACUGCACCUAAGCCGAUCAAUGCAGGGGGUAAUCGACCUAAAGUACCGGCCCGAGUGUACGCUAUGGGUCAUCAAGAGGUGACUGACCCUUCGGCAGUCAUCGAAGGUACACUUUCUCUCUUUCGGCGUACCGCAAACGUUUUAAUUGACCCUGGCGCCACGCACUCUUUUGUUAACCCUGCAUUCAUGGCUCACAUUGAUGUUAAGGCUGAAAAGUUACCAUAUGACCUAGAAAUUAAGACCCCUAUCACCAAUAAGAGCUUACUUGCCAAUAUGGUUUAUAAGGAGAGUGAAGUAUGGGUCGGGGAGCAGAAAUUGCUAGUGGACUUGAUUGAAUUAGCCCUUAAGGGAUAUGACGUCAUACUAGGUAUGGACUGGUUAGCUAAAUAUUAUGCUCACCUGGAUUGUCGCACUAAAACAGUUGAUUUGCACAUACCGGGCGAACCUACACUCCAUCUAGAUGUUCGAAGAAAGUUAACCUCAGCCACUCUCAUUUCCGGGAUUAGGGCUAGGAAAUUGCUAAGUAGAGGAGCUCAAGGGUACUUGGCUGUAUUGAUUAAUACUCCACAGGAGCAGUUGAAAGUUGAAAAUGUACCUGUAGUGUGUGAAUUUCCUGAACUUUUCCCUGAGGAAUUAACUUCGCUACCGCCAGAAAGGGACAUAGAAUUCAAGAUCGAGUUGCAUCCUGGAGCUGAACCAAUUUCGAAAACCCCUUAUCGAAUGGCUCUUGCCGAACUUAAAGAGUUAAAGAUUCAAUUGCAGGAACUAUUAGAUCGAGGAUUUAUACAGGAGAGUGAAUCACCUUGGGAGCCCCGGUAUUAUUUGUCAAGAAGAAGAAUGGAGGAUUACGGAUGUGUAUAGAUUAUCGGGGAUUGAAUAACUUAACCAUUAAGAAUAAGUAUCCCUUGCCUCAUAUUGAUGAAUUGUUUGAUCAACUGCAAGGUGCAGUUGUAUAUUCGAAACUAGAUCUUCGACAGAGGUACUAUCAAUUGAGGAUUCGGAAGGAGGACAUACCUAAAAUCGCCUUUAAUUCGCGGUAUGGGUAUUUUGAGUUUGCAGUUAUGCCCUUUGGGUUGACAAAUGCUCCAGCCGCAUUCAUGGAUUUAAUGCAUAGAGUUUUCAAACCCUAUUUGGACCAAUUUGUGGUGGUCUUCAUUGAUGACAUUUUGGUCUACUCUAAGACUCGAGAGGAUCAUGAACAGCAUUUGAGGUUAGUAUUACAAACCCUUAAGGAUCAUCAGCUAUAUGCUAAGUUCAGUAAAUGUGAAUUUUGGCUGGAAGAGGUGUCCUUUUUAGGUCAUGUGAUCUCAAAAGAUGGGAUAGCAGUGGACCCCGCUAAACUAAGAGCGGUAACAGAAUGGAAGAGACCGGAAAGCCCGACUGAAGUUAGAAGUUUCUUAGGGCUUGCAGGAUAUUAUCGCCGUUUUAUUAAGAAUUUUGCUAAGAUAGCUGGCCCGUUAACGGAUUUGACUAGAAUUCACAAUCAGUUUGUUUGGACCCCGAAGUGCGAGGCCAGUUUUCGAGAGCUAAAAGGAUUAUUAACUUCCGCCCCAAUUUUAACACUACCUAAUGGAAAAGACAGUUUCGUGGUAUACACAGAUGCAUCUAAGAUGGGUUUAGACUGCGUACUUAUGUAAAAUGGACAGGUGAUAGCGUACGCAUCCCGGAAAUUGAAGCCUCAUGAGCAAAACUACCCCACUCAUGAUUUAGAAUUGGCAGCUGUAGUUUUUGCUCUCCAAAAGUGGCGUCAUUACCUCUACGGAAUAACCUUUGAGGUAUUCACCGACCAUAAGAGUUUAAAAUACUUGUUUUUCCAAAAGGAAUUGAAUUUAAGGCAACGUCGGUAGAUGAAAUUUUUAGAGGAUUAUGACUGUACCAUAAAGUAUCAUCCGGGUAAAGCAAAUGUAGUAGCCGAUGCUCUUAGUCGAAAAGCUCAAGUAUCCAGUUUACAACUUAAAGAGUGGGAGUUACUAGAAAAAGUCGGGGAGUGGAAUCCUCAACUUAAGCUACGGGGAGUACUUUUUAGCAAUAUAACAGUUACAUCUACUUUACUCCCUCGGAUAAAGGAAACGCAAAAGGAGGACACUCAGGUACAGAAGUGGACGGAGAAAGUCGAACAAAGGACGUUACCUGACUUCAAUGUGAGCUCGGAUGGGCUAUUACGGUACCGUAGCCGAUAUGUUAUACCCCAGGAUCCGGAAUUAAAGCGGGAGAUAUUAGAAGAGGCACAUAGGUCAAAAUAUACGGUACACCCUGGCACAACCAAGAUGUAUCAGGAUUUGAAGCAGUUGUACUGGUGGGAAGGCAUGAAAAGAGAAAUAGCCCAAUUUGUCCAAAUCUGCCUAACCUGCCAGUAGAUAAAGGCCGAGCACCAAAAGCCGUCUGGGUUGCUCCAACCAUUGGAAGUGCCAGAAUGGAAAUGGGAGAACAUCACUAUGGACUUUGUCUCAGGACUACCAAAAACCCAAAAAGGACAUGAUGCUAUAUGGGUGAUAGUAGAUCGUCUAACUAAAUCAGCCCAUUUCCUACCAGUGAACAUGAAGUACCCCUUAGAGAAACUAACUCAACGUUAUAUGGACGAAAUUGUACGCCUACAUGGAGUAGGGGUGGCAAUUCGGGUCCAAAUCAGGUUGGCGGGUCGGGUUCGGGUCAACCCGUCAGAAAAUCUGUUGAUCCGAACCCGACCCGCCAACCCGUGACAGGUCAGGUAUGCUGACCCGAACCCGAAAAUUUCAGGUUGACGGGUUGGCGGGUCGACCCGAAAUGACCCGAAACUUAAUUUUAAUUUAUUAAUUUAUCAUUGUAAUUUCUAAUAAAAUCAAUUUCUCACAAAACUAAUUACAUAAUCAAGUAAUAAAAAUUUAAAUAAGUAAUUUCAAACCAAAUCUAAAAUAAAUUAAACACCGUAAAAGUGUUUUAUCCCAAACAAAAUAUAAAAUAAAUUAAAACAGUAUAAAAGUAAAAAAUAAUAUAAUAUAUUAUUUGUCCAAAUAUAAUAAUUUCAACUUCACACAAAUUAAAUAAAUUCAUUUAUGAUUAAGUAAUUAAUGCCUUUGAAAAAAAGAAUAACUUAGGUUAGUUAGAUAAAAUUAUUUUUAUAUUUAUUAAAUUAUUUUUAAUUCGUAAACGGGUCAUAUCGGGUCAUAUCAGGUCACCACGGAUUGACCCGAAAUCGACCUGUUUUCUUUUCGGGUUCAUCGGGUCCAACCCGAUUCUGACCCGAAUUUCCAAAAUCUCAACCCAAAUCCAUUAAUUUCGUGUUAGGUUCGUGUCGCGUUUUCAGGUCGUGUCGAAAAUUGCCACCCCUAACAUGGAGUACCAGUGAGUAUAGUUUCGGAUAGAGACCCACGAUUUGUGUCACGGUUCUGGCAAAAGAUGCAGAAGCUUUAGGAUCGAAACUAACCUUAAGUACAGCCUACCACCCUCAGACAGACGGACAGUCGGAGCGGACGAUACAAACGCUUGAGGAUAUGCUCCGAUCGUGUGUAUUGGAUCUGGGAGGAAGUUAGAGUCAACAUCUCACUCUCAUAGAAUUUGCCUACAAUAAUAGCUAUCACUCCUCCAUACAAAUGGUACCGUGUGAAGUUCUUUAUGGACGCAAGUGCCGCUCACCGAUCUUUUGGGAUGAAGUGGGUGAAAGGAGGGUUCUAGAUGUUACCGCAGUGCCAUGGAUAGAAGAAGCGGUGGAAAAGGUUAAAAUCAUUCGCCAGAGAAUAUUAACAGCUCAAAGCCGGCAGAAGAGUUAUGCCGACCAUCGAACGAAAGACCUUGAGUUCGAAGUGGGAGAUAUGGUAUUUCUAAAGGUGACGCCACUCAGAGGAAUCAUUGCGGCCGAGAAAGGAAAGAAAUUGAAACCAAGAUAUGUAGGGCCGUAUAAGAUUCAACGACGGGUUGGAACGGUGGCGUACCAGUUGGAGUUGCCAGCUAGCAUGUCUCGUAUUCAUAACGUUUUUCAUGUCUCGUUGCUUAAGAAGUACCAUCCAGAUCCUACCCAUAUUUUACAUCUUGAGGAUGUAGAGCAAGAGGAAUCCCUCACCUACGAGGAACAACCAGUACAAAUUUUGAAUCGCAAGGUGAAGGAACUGAGGAAUAAGCAAAUCCCUUUGGUGAAAAUUUUAUGGAGAAACCACGAUGUAGAAGAGGCUACAUAGGAAAUAGAGGAGGAGAUGCAGAAGAAAUAUGCUACCUUGUUUGCCCAAAAAGGUAAUAAUUUCGAGGACGAAAUUCUUUUAAGAGGAGGAAAUUGUGAGACCCCAGUUGUCCUAAAAUAUGAUUUUAUGUGAAAAUAAUGCAUUUUAGGGUAAUUUUUAUUCCAAAUAAUUCGAAAAUCCCUAAUUGGGAAUUUGAGAAACCCUAAUUGUGCAAAAAAUUGAAAAUUUUUAAGCGAAACCCUGGUUAGUCAUUUCUAAUGCAAUUGCAUGUUCGGAUGUGUAUUAGAUAUGUGCAUGUAUGUUGUCGUAUAGUAUUAUAUAGGGUUAAGUGGGUUUAAAGGGUUAGAAAACCCUAAUCAAGGAAAAACUCUAGUUAAAUGGUGAAUGAGAAUGAUUAAGUUGGAAUCAUACCCUAAUUUUAGGUGUGACAUGGAAGUGUUUACUUGUUGGAUUUUAAGUGUGAUAAAGAUUGGUAGAGAAUAGAUAAGUAAGGUUUAAGGGUGAUUAGUGCAAUUGCUAAGUAUGAUUAGGAAUUUUAGCCUAGGUUAAUUAUAUGCUAUGGAGUAAUUUGAAAGAAAAGGAAAGUUAGUUGGGCAAGAGUUGAGAAAGUAAGAAAUCAUGGAAGCAAGGACUUAAAGGCAAUUGGCAUACUUUCUUGUGAUUGGCUAAGUGUGAUUUGAUCCUAUUCUGGUCAAAUCUGUUUUGGUUUUGAUGACCGGUUUCCGUUCAGAAUUUGGGUUGUCGGCCUUCAUGAAAGUUGUUCCAUUUGAAAUGAAUUAUCUAACUGCCAAUUUUCAGCUCAUUUGGCCAUGUGUAGCAUAGAAAACGGUUUGCACCCCAAAACUGACCAUUUGUACAUUGAUCAGAUUCCGUGGGUGACUUUGUUUGGUUCUUUUGGGACUGAAGCUUCCAGUUUCAGUUCUGGAUGUCUUCGUAACAAUUGUUGUUCAGUCUUUAAGCUUCGAAAUGGCGUCUCAUACGCCUUAAUCCGAUAUUCGUAGCUCAACUUAUGAUCAAAAUGGGAACAAGUGUCAAAUCUGCCUUUUCUCACAAACGGCCGUUUCCGUUUUCGCCGACCGUUUCCGUUUCCGGUUGGUCGUUUCUACGCGCGCGCGUGCCGUUUUUUUUGCCGUUUGCUUGUGAUCUGCUAUAUGUUAGCCGUUUUAGCCGUUUUUAGUCUAAAGUUAUAUAAUUUUCUAUUGCAGACAGCGGCGAACUUGACGGAGCAACUGGGACCCACUAGCGGACCCCACGACGUCUAGUUCCUUGUUUUGCUCAUUUUGUAUUUUUGUAAGUAUCUGGGCUAUGUGCAUAAGUUAAGGGCCUUAUGUGAUAUGUUUUAAAUGAAAGGGGUCUUAGGCGAGAGUGUACUUUAUCACACUCGACCUAAACCCUCAUUUAUACUGAAAUGGGCAUGUGAAUUGUGUGAAUGACAUGUUGUUGGGCUGAACCCCUAGAGCUUGUAGCCCGGGGUGACAUUUGUGAUGUGCAUGAUAUGAGAUAUUUGUGGGACCCGAUCUCAGGACCUAGUUAGACUAUUCGAGCCGGCAGGGGCUUGGUCGGAGUUAGUCUAACCUAGGCAUGAGAUCGCUAUGAUAUUCUGACAUGCAAAAUUGGUUAUAUAAGAACCAAACAUGUAAACCUCAGUGCAUGAACCCUAUUGCUUGAGCCGUUAUCUGUCUGUGGUGACUGGCCAGUGUGGGUGUUAAGGUGGUUGGCGGUUGACGAGUGAAGUUCUACGGACCAUAAAUUGUGGUCGACGGAGUGUCGGCAGGCGGUCAAUAGUGGCAAAUUAUUUGGCUUUGAAGCCAAUCUGUAUCCUACACCUAUGUUAUAAUCUGCUUUUAAUUUGGCAAUCUGUGUUCAUACUUGCUCCGACUCUAUGAAAUUUACGCUUUUACCCCUGUAUACUUACUAAGCAUUUAGCUUACCCCUCCCUUUGUUUUCCUUACAGGGGUUUGACGCGGGGACCACUUUUGGACGCCGAACUAGUUUAGUUAAGUUGAAAUACUUUGAUCGGGACUUCCCGAAUGCGUGUAAUAGUAAUAGUAGUUCGAGUUCGGACCACCUUAGGGUCCACCUUUUGGUUGUAGUUAUCAUAAUAGGAUAAUGUAGUAAGAUGAGCUGCUACUUCUGAAUUGUACAUAGGGCACUUCUGCUGUUGUAAAUACUGUACAUAGUAAACUUUUGGCCGUGUAUAUAAUGUGAAUGGCAACUGUUUGGGUGUAAAUAGUAUUUCUUAGUUUUUAUUUUAUUUUAUUUCGAGUCCUGGCGAGUGUUAGGCAGACGGCCUGCUAAGCCCUUUGGUACGCCUCUGGGUACGGUGGGGUCGUCACACACUCAAAUCCCAAUAACUUCAUGUUUUGUCCGAAAGCUGAUUCAGUCUAAAACAUGGAGAAAUUCGCGGUCCAAAUUGAUUCCAAAAAUAGGGUAGAGCUGAAAUUCACCAAAUUGUCUAGUUUUCUUCAAAGUUUCAACUCCCACCUCAAACCCAAUCAAGAUUACAUCACUACGCUACCUCCUGUUAACUUAACCCUAGAUACAAAACUUUCGGCAGCACCUCCCCUAUUUUCAAUCCUUUUCUCCUUGAAAAUCAAGGUGUAAACCAUAGCAAUCCCAACACAAUCAAAGCCACAAGAUAUUACAAGCCUUAUUCUAGUCUUUCAAAACCCUUCAAAAUUCACACAAAUAGAGAUUAACCGAAAGACAUCAAAGCUGAAAUUUCCCAAUUCAAGUAAAAAAAUCACUUAUUGAAGUUGUAAACAUGCAUAUCAAAGUUCAAUCACAUUCUAAUACGAUUGGACAACCUAUAUCAAAAUUACAAACUUAACAAAAACUGAAAUUUCACUUCUUAAGGUAAACUUUGCAUAUAAUUAUCACUAAUUGCGAUUAAAAGUUAGAAAUUCCACCUUAACACUAAACUAGCUUCUACUAAUCAUAUACAUGCCAAAAUCAAAGAUGAAAUAACUUAUAUAAAAUCAGAAAAAUAUCAAUAAAAUUGAAAUUUAUCAUCCCAACCCUAAAAUCGCAAGAAUCUCCAAAAAAAUCAAUAAAAAUCAAGUUAUCCAACAACUUAAUCACAAGAUUAAAGAACAAAAGAUUCUUCUAACGAUUACACCUUCCAACACCUUGAAAACAAGCAAAACAAAUCCUUUUCUUCUCAAAACACUCCACCUUUAGUUUGCUAUCACCUUAGAUGCAAAGUUAAUCAGAGUAGAUUUUGGCAAUUGGAAGAAAUUUCUCAAGAUUUGGUGAAGGAAAUCAAAGGAAAAAUGGACUUAACUUGCUUGGUUUUACUCCUCUUGAGGUUCGGCCAGCUUGGAGAAAAAAGAAUGAAGAGUUUUUGUGCUCCAAAUGAAGUGAUAAAGAUGAAGACUUAAGUGUUCCAAGACUAAAUAAAAAUGCGACACGUGGCACUACUUUGACUAUUACUUAUCUCGUGAUCUUUCUUCUUAGUUUUCAAUCACUCAUCUAUGUAGUGUUCCUCUAACUCACUCUUAACACUUCUAGGCAUAUAUUCCUUGGUAUAUAACAUCCAUUCAUGUCCACUAAAUUUAAUAUACACUUACUAGUGAGCCACACUACCAAAUGUAAUAUAACUAAACACGCACCACAAUAUAAAGCAAACAAUUAAAAUUUAACUCAACUAUAAAAAUAUCUUAUAAAUUAAAGGAUUUAAACUAGAGUAGGUCAAAAUAUUAUUGAACGCAUGCAAAAUGAGAAAAGAAUUUAAAUUUUUGUUUCAAAAUUUCACAAUCUCUCCCCUUGAAAGAAUUUCGUUCUCAAAAUUCUAACCUUCAUAAGAUUUUGGAACGGGUUGUUGUUCCAAUGAGUAUACUCUAGUUGAUGCCCUGGAUUUGUUUCCUCUUUCUUGGUUCAAUUUAGAAGUAAUCUGAUUCCUUUAUUGUAUAUUCAACCCUCUUUGUUGCUUUUUUGGACAAUUGUGAAGUUGAUGAUCAGCACUUCCUCAUAUCAAGCAUUUCUUUCCCUUUACCCAGCAUGCAUCCUGUGAUACCACGACUUUUAGGAUAUUACGGUUUCUAUAUUUUAUUUUGUUUUAAGACAUUGUUUUGUUUUAAAGAUUAGAAACCCUACUUGUACUCAAAACCCUAGUUUUACUUGUGACUAACAGGUUUUCUUAAAUCUCUCAUAUUUUAGUCGAAACACUAAUUUUAUUCUAUGAAAUUGUAAAAUCCCUUAUAUUUUCUUAAAAUUCCUUUUUCUUUGGUAUUUAUUCCCUUAUAAUAGCUAUACUACUCAUUUACCUCUCCAAUGUUUGGAAUAAAGAAUAGAAUUAAGAGUUUUCCCUUUUCAUUCAUCGUUAGGGUAAACUAAGGUUUUUACGUCUUUUCGUAGUGUGAGUACCUAGUACGGAGUGUGUACUAAAUUUAGUGAUUAAGAGUGAGUUUUAGAUAAAAUAAAGUGUGUGAUUAGAAGUAGUAAUAAUAAGUUAGUGAAUGGUAAGUGAAAACCCUAGUACGUGCGAAAUAAAGAAAAUCGGGUUAAACCGACGGGUGCCGUUUGUUACCGAUUGAACACACCAUUUGACCACCACUUUCUUACGAUAAAAUAUCAUUAAUAUUAGUGCAAAAUAUCAGCCCUUAAUCCAGCUAAAGAUGGCCGAAAAUAUUGACCAAGAAAAGGGAGGAAAAAGAAAAAUAUUGAGAUUGAAUCUUGUGGUGACACUUGGCUGUCAUCCAUCUAACUUUGACCCAAACUAAUUACCAUUUUAUUAACCUUCUUGAAGCUUCAUUUUCUCCUCCAUUCCAUCAACUUGGCCGAACCUCAAGGAGAGAGAGAGCAAGAGAAGAAAACUUCAUUUCAUCUUGAGCUUAACUUGUUUGAGUGAGAAAUCAAGCAAACUAAACCGAUUAACUUCUAAUUGGAGAGUUUAGGAAGCUUGGGGAGCUAAAAUUUUAUAAGGAGAGGUGAAGGAUAUCUUUUGAAAGCCUUUUAUUGAGGUAUUAUGGCUGUUCAUCUUCUUCCUUCCCCUUAGGCUUGUUUAAGUUAUGUAAUAACUUGUAUUCUUGUCUUGUGAUACCUAUUUAAGUGGUUUUGAUGAUUGUGGUGAUGAAAUUGUGAGUUAGGGUUUUGAAUUGUUCAUUUAUAUUUCUUGUUGUUUGGAUGGUAUAUGGUGUAUAUAAUCUUAUGUAGGAAGUUAUAGUAGUGCUUUAAGUUAGAAAUGUGAAGUUUACACUUUGAAUUCACUAGAUUCCAGAUUUGAGUUUUCAUACUACCCUUUUUUGACCGGUUCCAUUUGGCCAUGAUGGAGGCCGAAUUAGACUUAACUCCAAACAUGAAAGUUGUAGGAAAUAUGUUUUAUAGCUUCCUACAAAAUUUCAGCUCAAUCCGAGCACUGUAACUUAUGAAAUGACAAAAAUACCCUUGACUGCCAAAUGUAUUGUUUUGCGGACAGUUUCUAUUUUCCUCUGAGAUGUCACAUUUGGACCUUAAAAAUGAACUAAUUUUCUAUUGAUGUCUUAUGAGACUUGUAGUUCUCCGUCUUAGCUUCAAAACGGUAUAAGUUGUACCCCAAUCCGAUAAGCGUAGCUUUGGUUGUGACCGAUACGCUAAGAGACGUCAAAUCUGCCAUUUGGCUAUUCGUCUUUAAACUUGAUUUCUGGUUGCCGUGUUAAGACCUGUGUUGUAAUUGGAUUAUUUUGAGCCUAGUUGAAGGGCUAUUGUGUUCCCAUUGCAUACGUGUGAUUUUAGGACUGAUUUGAGAAAAAUAUUGAAGGCAUAAAUGGCUAGAAAAUAGGUAAACACAAGGGGUAAGCCGCCCAAAUUUUCACUAGAGGAAUAAAUUAGCCUUUGGAGUUCUAGUUCUGUAUUUUGCAAAUUUGACCUGGAUCCACUGAAAACUGGGUCGAGUUAUUUUCAUAAAAGUUGUAACCUUUUGUCUUAGCUUCGAGACGCUACCUAGUACACAUUAAUCCGAUAACCACAGCUUUAGUUAUGAUCAAAACCGUGUAACCCAUUUUCAUACCAUUUUUAUUUCCGCGCACGCGCAUAUGCAUUUCUUGGCCAUUUUUGCCGUUUUGGCCGUUUUAGUCCUUAUUUCCAUUUGUGAUGGUUAUUUGAUUGAUGGUUGAGUAUAAUUUUCUGCCACAGGCAAUGACGAACUGGACGGAGUCGGUGGACCUGUAUAAAGGGCUUUGAUUUGCGUGCUAACUAUUUUGAGUGAGUAAUUGAGUUGGUUUAUACGAUAAAUUAUCGAUGUGAUUUGUAUAUGUUGAAUGGGUACUUAUGCGAGGGUGUAUUUUAUCUCACUCGACUUAAACCCAUUCUCUGUUGUUGACUCAAUAUGUGAGAAUACAUACUUUGUGCUGAGUAACACCUUUUUGCUGUGUGCUGUUAGGGUGAUUACACGACUUGAGUUAAAUCCCUUGUGCUAUGUGCUGUUGAGGUGAGUAUUUUGUUGAAUACUUUGUUGAAAGAUAUCAUCUAUUGAGAGAUGGAUAUCUCAAGGCUUGGUUCCAGCCCGGUUCCAAGGAUAGACGGACUAUUCGAGUCAAUUGGGGUUUGGUCGAAAUUAGUUCCAUGCUAACCUUGGAAUUUCGUUCUUUGUUAAAGCUUUGUUUAAAGCUAAAUGAUUUAUUUUGCUCGAACUGCUAUGUACUGUUGACUGACCAGCGGGGGUUGAUAAGGUGAACGGGAAAAGCAAGUGGAGUCUACGGACCAUAAGUAUUUUGGUUGACGGAGUGUCAACAGGCAUUCAAGCUCGGGGAAUUAAACUGGUUUUGAAGCCACCCGUAUCCUACCAUUGUGAUGUUACAUUUCUGUUUAUUGGUGUGAAAUAUCUUGGUUUACAUGUUUAUUUGAAUGUGAUUUUUGUGUUUUAUCGCCGAUUAUUCACUAAGCAUAUAGUUUACCCCAUUUCAUUUGUUUUCCUUAGUAGGGGGUACGAGCGAGGCGUGAGACUUGUACAGAGUAGUCUAGUUUUGAAAUUUUGAAUUGUACUCGCACUAGCACCCGACUGAGGUUGUUUGGACUUGGAUUGUAAACACAUUAAUGUAUUUGGGCGUGUAUAAGCCUUGUAGUUGGAUCGAGUAUCAAUGUAUAUAUUAAGUUUGAACUUGUUGUGUUACUUAUUUGCUAUGAAUGUAAGUCAUUUUCUCAAGUUUCGAGUGAGUGAGUCCUGGCGAGAGUUGGACAGGCGGUCCGCCGAACCCUGGGGUACGCCUUAGAAGGAGGUGGAGCCGUCACACAUCCUAAGUAUGAUUUAUUUUUUCACAGUAAACACAAGCUAAUCGAGGAGCUUCUAUUGGAUUCUUUAGAGAGACUUCCUCUUGUCGUCCUCUUCCUACCUGACUUUUCCUUGUUGAACUUCUCUCAUAUUGUCCUUGCAUCCAUAGUGGGUAAGAUGGAAUGAUUACUCUUCUAGCUUUGGAAGAUGGUAGGAUGUCCUUAAAUUCCUCAGACUCACUACUCAGCACACUUCUUUUUCGUGUUUGAAAUGUUUUUACUUGCGCCCUUGCAAUUUCAACCCUUUGAGCUUUCUCAAGAACUUCUGUGAAUGUAGUAAUUUGAGCUGCCGCAAGAACUUUCUGGAUUUUCACAUUUAAUCCCUGUACAAACCUUACUCUUCUUUGCUCCAUAGUUACUAAUUCAGUGGUAAAUUUAGAUAAUUUAGUGAAUUGAGUUUCAUAUUCUGACACACUCAAGGCUCCUUGACGUAAUCUAAUGAAAUCGUCCUCCCUUUUUUCUUAGACUAAGGGCGGAAGGUAUUUCUCAUUAAAUUCCCAUACGAAAUUUACCCAAGUCCGCGCUAUUUGUUCCCUCUCCCACUUAGCUCUAAUCACGUUCCACAAAGCAUGAGUUGACCCUUCAAAUUGAAAUACUGCAAAAGUCGCUUGUCUCUUCUCUGAAUAAUUUAGCGCGGCAAAAAUAUUAAUCAUUUGUUCUAACCAACUCUCGGCUGCCUCCGGAUUAGAUCCUCCAAGAUAUUUAGGAGGAGAAAACUUCUGAAAACGCUCUAGGGCCCUAUCCCCUCCCCCCUUAGGUUCCCUGGAUUGGUUAAUAGGUGCUUGCCCUUGUUGUUCCACUAAACGCGCCAAAAUAUCGGUUAUUCAUUGUAUGGCUGUUGCUACCUAAUCCCCUGUUUCGGCCUGUGGUUCAUGUUGUUAUUUAGCUAUCGCUUCUCUUUCUUCUAUUAGUUCUUGAGCUUGCCUAACCCUACGUCCACGAUUAACCCCUCGUCCUCGGUUUCUUCAUCCAUCCAUACCUUUUUUUCUAUAAACUAUAUACGUGUAUGAGCAAAAAUAGAUCAGCUAUAUAUAUAGAAUAAGAAUAAAACAACGUAGGCCAAAAAUGAGAAAUACCCUUAGAAUACAUAACACAACAAAUUACAAGCUAAAUCACAAAAUAUUAUACAUAUUAUCCUACCAAAAUCAAGUUCACAAAACAUGUCUAGUACACUAUACAUAGUAGUCCGCAAUACAGCAAACACAUACAUACAUACAUGCAGAACAAAAUAAGAGACAACGAUUUUUCAAUUUCUCCAAGGGUAAAUUAUAAACCAAGUUCAUCCGUCAAAGAAAGUUCAAAAGAUCUCUACUAAAGCAAUCACUCCAAGAAUUAUAUCUAGUUCCUUAUAAAUGCAAAUGAAUGUCAAAACUCUAAAAGAUACCUUAAUGAUCUUUAAAGUCAAAGUUAGUCCCAUAGUUGUUCAAAUAGUAUCGUUGUUCAAGAAAAUGAUCCAUUACUCUUCACAUCAAUCUCACACAAUUCUCUUCUCUUCUCACUAAUCCAAUAUAAAAACCUCAAACAUCAAAUCUUACUAUCCAUCAGGAACAUAACUGCUUAAUAUUGCACUUAAACUUCACAAUACCCCACAGUCCAGCAUUCUAAACUUUAAACUUAUGUUACACUAUAGAGAUCUAAAAUCUAAAAUCUGAUACCAAUUGUGACGACCUCAUCUCCCCUUAAGGCGAACCAAGAGGUUCAGUGGACCGCCUACCCAACUCUCGUCAGAACUCAUUCACUCGCUUUUCGCUUCAAGAGCAAGUAAAGAUGUGCCAAUCAAACUUAACAUAUAUACAAUAAUUAACACAAAUAUACAAUCCUCAAGGUUAAAGUCCAAAGCUCAGGAUCCAACUAACUACUAAUACUAUCACUUUUACACAACAAAAGUUCUAGUCAAAAGUGCAGUCUUUCUCUAAUCACCCGUCCUUGCUCAAAAACCCUAUAAGGAAAACAAAAACUAAAGAAAUGAGCUAAAGUUCAGUGAGGUUCCCAUGCACAUAUCAAAACAAGGACAUUAUUCAGUUAAUAACAAUCAAUCGAGAAAACAUUCAUAAUAUAAAAACAACGAGAACACACUCAUUAAAAGGAUACAUGCUCACGUGCAGCCAUUCGUUCAAUCAUUCAUUCAUUCAGCCAGUCAUUCUCUUUCAUUCAAUUAUUCAUUUCUUCCCUUAUAACUUCAACAUUUCCAUUUAUCCAUUUCAUUUCUCGCCACUAGCCAAUUCACUGGCUAGUUCUCCAUCAAAUUUCGUGAUCAUACUCGAAUAUAUCAAACAUUAUCCCAGAGUCACCAGUCGCCCGAUCGAAUCCAUUUCUGGCUCAAAUUGAUUGGCAACGAAGGGCAAGGGUCCAAUUUUGCCAAUGCGGUACCAUACAACUCACAUAGCUUACAUUCAUGCACAAGUAAUGCUCAAUCAGUUAAUCAUUUGAAAAUUCACUUUCGCGUAGGUCAAGUGCGAUAAAGUACACAUUCGACAAUUGAAAAUCCAUUUAAUAGUCAUUGGAAGGUAUUUAACACUCAAUCGAAAAUUCACAAUAAGUACACGGUCAUUUAAUAUACAAACAUGCAAGAAACACUCACCCUAAACAUGUCACGUUUUAUCAAAAUUCAAUUCAAGGCCGGCACCUUGGCCACUCUCGAAAUCUGCAGUCAAAUAUUAUCCACAAAGAGCCAAUCAUACACGAGUGCAAGUUGCAUAAUUUAUAUUUCUAUAUCAAAACAAAAAGGCGUCAAAAGUAUAAUGAGUCAUACCUUCAAGAGCAAGUAAAGAUGUGCCAAUCAAACUUAACAUAUAUACAAUAAUUAACACAAAUAUACAAUCCUCAAGGUUAAAGUCCAAAGCUCAGGAUCCAACUAACUACUAAUACUAUCACUUUUACACAAUAAAAGUUCUAGUCAAAAGUGCAGUCUUUCUCUAAUCACCCGUCCUUGCUCAAAAACCCUAUAAGGAAAACAAAAACUAAAGAAAUGAGCUAAAGUUCAGUGAGGUUCCCAUGCACAUAUCAAAACAAGGACAUUAUUCAGUUAAUAACAAUCAAUCGAGAAAACAUUCAUAAUAUAAAAACAAUGAGAACACACUCAUUAAAAGGAUACAUGCUCACGUGCAGCCAUUCGUUCAAUCAUUCAUUCAUUCAGCCAGUCAUUUCUCUUUCAUUUCAAUUAUUCAUUUCUUCCCUUAUAACUUCAACAUUUCCAUUUAUCCAUUUCAUUUCUCGCCACUAGCCAAUUCACUGGCUAGUUCUCCAUCAAAUUUCGUGAUCAUACUCGAAUAUAUCAAACAUUAUCCCAGAGUCACCAGUCGCCCGAUCGAAUCCAUUUCUGGCUCAAAUUGAUUGCAACGAAGGGCAAGGGUCCAAUUUUGCCAAUGCGGUACCAUACAACUCACAUAACUUACAUUCAUGCACAAGUAAUGCUCAAUCAGUUAAUCAUUUGAAAAUUCACUUUCGCGUAGGUCAAGUGCGAUAAAGUACACAUUCGACAAUUGAAAAUCCAUUUAAUAGUCAUUGGAAGGUAUUUAACACUCAAUCGAAAAUUCACAAUAAGUACACGGUCAUUUAAUAUACAAACAUGCAAGAAACACUCACCCUAAACAUGUCACGUUUUAUCAAAAUUCAAUUCAAGGCCGGCACCUUGACCACUCUCGAAAUCUGCAGUCAAAUAUUAUCCACAAAGAGCCAAUCAUACACGAGUGCAAGUUGCAUAAUUUAUAUUUCUCUAUCAAAACAAAAAGGUGUCAAAAGUAUAAUGAGUCAUACUGUUGAGUUUGAUCCCUAUCUUUUGAUGUUUACAAAACAAAUGGAUGAUACUAAUAUUUCUUCAAGAUAUAUUUUCAGUUAUGAAAUUAUUUGAUUCCAUGAACAAGUGCAAUUGGAAGAAGACAAAGUAUGCUGAAGCUGUCGGACGCUCAAAAAGACUGCAUCGGACGUCCGACAACCAUUGAGUAUCUUCGGACGCAGAAAACCAGCCUAUCGGACGUCCGAUAGCACUGUUUUAUGCGUCCGACAGCAGUCAGUGAGUUUGAGAAAUUUUCUUCAAUUCUUUCGGACGUCCGAUAGGCUGGUUUUCUGCGUCCGAAGAUACUCAAUGGUUGUCGGACGUCUGAUGCAGUCUUUUGAGCGUCCGACAGCUUCAGCAUACUUUGUUUUCUUCCAAUUGCACUUGUUCAUGGAAUCAAAUAAUUUCAUAACUGAAAAUAUAUCUUGAGAAAUAUUAGUAUCAUCCAUUUGUUUUGUAAACAUCAAAAGAUAGGGAUCAAACUCAACAAUCUCCCCCUUUUUGAUGAUGACAAAACAAUGGAUGGAAAGAAACAAAAAUAAGUAUAAGCUCCCCCUCAAUCAUUGCAAUCAAAACUUUUAAGAGCCAAACUGCCAAACUCAUAAUCUCAUAAUAACUCCCCCUUACACAUUGCAUCCAUCUCUCCCCCUUUUUGUCAUCAUAAGAUGAGAGUAAUAACCAGCAACCAUAUAAAUAGUGGUUGCUAGUUGACGUCCGACACUACCAACGGCUAGUUGACUGUUCAGCUACUUUCUAUCCGUUGGAAGCUUUAAUGAGGCUCUUUCUUGGUCCUAUAUAAAUAGUGGUUGGUCAGAUACUUCAAAUAACUUUGGCACACUGAAGAUACAAAAGAUCUAGAGAGAUUUUAGUGAGAAAAUACUCCAAAAAGAAUAUUUGUAGUCUUAGUGGUGUGAGGUUCAUUGUAAGCUUUUCAUUUGUGAGUGAAUCUUUCAUGAGUGUAGCUCUGUGAGGGUUGUCCUGAGGGAUAGUAAAACGUCCUGGCUUGACCGAGUGCUGCUUGGGGCAAGGAGGAGGUGAACCUUCCUUUGUACACAAGAGUGAUUGUAAUUCAUCAACUUGAAAUAGCUUGUUUCAAUUAAUCUACAAGCUCAAGAGGAGUUGGGUAGUUAAUUGGUUUGCAAUCCUUUCCUUUUUAUUUACUUAUUGUUUCGUUUAUGAUCUUUGCAUUGGUUGUUUUGGGCCUUACACAUACAGGUAAGGUGCACGCAUAAUUUAUAAAAGAAAAUGAUAAAAAUGGUUAAGUUCAAAACUAAUAUGUGCAACUAAAAAUCAUGUUUUGAAUAGUUGUUUGGAAUGUUAGAAAUCAGGCUUAGAACACUUGAGAAGUACAUGUUAAGUCGGAUCAAGAAAAUGAAAAACAAGAGAAAGGCAACGAGAAACAAGAUGGCAACUUUGCCAUCCUUUGGUAUUUUUAUCACAACUGAAGCUACACUUAUCGGAUCGAGGUAAAUUUUAUGGCAUUUCGAAGCUAAUACCUAGAGCUAUAUUUCCCAUCAAAACAUCAUCCCCAGUUCUCACAUUUUUGGGGUAAAAAAUGGACGGUCAGGAGCACAUAAAAAAUAGGUCAGGAAAAUUAGAGUUUUUGUGCAGUAAGGAGUGCUCUGGCCAAAUCAUAAGCUAAAAUAAUCCAAUUGAUUUGAAAUUUUGCAGGUUGAAAGUUAACUCAAAUCCCUAUAACUUUCGUGUUUUGUCCAAAAGCUGAUUUAGUCUAAAACAUGGAGAAAUUUGCAGCCCAAUUUGAUUCCAAAAACAUGGCAGAACUGAAAUUCACCAAAUUGUCUAAUUUUCUUCCAAGUUUCAACUACCAACUGAAACCCAAUCAAGAUUACAAAAGUUUCGGCAGUACCUCCCCCAUUUUUGGUCCUUUUUUCUUUGAAAAUCAAGGUGUAAACCACAGUAAUCCCAACACAAUCAAAGCCACAAGUCAUAAGAUAAUACAAGCCUUAUUCUAGUCUAUCAAUGCCCUUCAAAAUUCACACAAAUAGAGAUUAAGCGAAAGACAUCAAAGCUGAAAUUUCCCAAUUCAAGUAGAAAAUCACUUAUUGAAGUUGUAAACAUGUAUAUCAAAACUCAACCACCCUCUAAUAUGAUUGGACAACCUAUAUCAAAAUUACAAACUUAACAAAAGCUGAAAUUUCACUUCUUAAGCUAAAUUUUGCAUAUAACUAUCACUAAUUGCUAUUAAAAGCUAGAAAUUCCACCUUAACACUAAACUAGCUUCUACCAAUCAUAUACAUGCCAAAUCAAAGAUGAAAUAACUUAUAUAAAAUCUGAAAAAUAUCAAUAAAACUGAAAUUUAUCAUCCCAACCCUAAAAUUGCAAGAAUCUCCAUAAAAUCAAUCAAAAUCAAGUUAUCCAACAACUUAAUCACAAGAUUAAAGAACAAAAGGAGCUUCUAAUGAUUAUACCUUCCAACACCUUGAAAACAAGUAAAACAAACCCUUUUCUUCUCAAAACACUCUACCUUUAGCUUGCUAUCACCUUAGAUGCAAGGUUAAUCAUAGUAGAUUUUGGCAAUUGAAAGAAAUAUCUCAAAAUUUGGUGAAGGAAAUCAAAGGAAAAAUGGACUUAACUUGCUUGGUUUUACUCCUCUUGAGGUUCGGCCAGCUUGGAGAAGAAAGAAUGAAGAGUUUUUGUACUCCAAAUGAAGUGAUAAAGAUAAAGACUUAAGUGUUCCAAGACUAAAUGAAAACGCGACACGUGGCACUACUUUGACUAUUACUUAUCUCUUGAUCUUUCUUCUUAGUUUCUAAUCACUCAUCUAUGUGGUGUUCCUCUAACUCACUCUUAACACUUCUAGGCAUAUAUUCCUUAGUAUAUAACAUCCAUUCAUGUCCACUAAAUUUAAUACACACUUACUAGUGAGCCACACUACCAAAAUGUAAUAUAACUAAACACGCACCACAAUAUAAAACAAACAAUUAAAAUUUAACUCUACCAUAAAAAUACCUUAUAAAUUAAAGGAUUUAAACUAGAGUAGGUCAAAAUAUUAUUUAAUGCACGCAAAAUGAGAAAAGAAUUUAAAAUUUUUUUUUCAAAAUCUCACAGCUUUGAAGCGAUCCACUUCUCCUGUUGGCUUAUAUUUGGUCUUAUAUACCCAUUUCACUCCAAUUGGCUUCCUUUCAGGUGGGAUAGUGGUCAAUUCCUAUGUAUCAUUUUUCGCAAUGGCAUGAAUUUCUUCAUCCAUUGCACGAACCCAAUGAUCAUCUUUGGCAGCUAUGAGACAGGCUCACAAUUUGCAAAAAGAGCAAAAUUCAAAAUCUCUUCAUUAGUUAAAUCAUUAUCUUUACCAACAGCAUAAUCAUCAAAUCGGGCUGGCAUGCGGUGUUCUCUCUAUGGUCGAUUGGAUGUCUCAACCUGAAUAAUGGAAGGUGAGGGAUCACCAUGAGGCUGCACAACUUGCUCCACUGCUUGCUUAUUAGCACUCGGUCCCAUAAUGGAGAAAUGGAUGGAUACUUUAGCAAUGCCUCAGGGUCUUGUUUGCACCAAUUCCAAACUCCAUGUUCAUCAAAAGUCACAUCUCUGCUAAUAAUCACCUUUCCUAUGUUUGGAUUGAAUAACUUAUAUCCCUUAGUCUCAUGACUAUAUCCAAUAAAAAUACACUUCUCUGCUUUGUCAUCUAAUUUCUUCCUCAAAUGAUCUGGAACAUGCGCAUAUGCAAGACAACCAAAUACCCUGAAGUGAGAAAUAUCCAGUUUCAUACCAGUCCAAACUUCUUGUGGGGUCUUCCCAAAGUUGCAUCUAGCAGGGCACUUGUUCAAACCAUAAAUAGCACAAGAUACUACUUCUGCCCAAAAGGAUUUAGGAAUACCUUUGGAGUGCAGAAUAGACCUCACCAUGUCCAUCACAGUCCUGUUCUUCCUUUUAGUCACACCAUUUUGUUACGGUGUAUAUCUAGCUUUCAAUUGAUGUUUUAUGCCACUUUCCACCAAAUAGUCAUAACAAACAAGAUACUCAGUGCCUUUAUUAGUUCUCAAAAUUUUAAUAAAAUAGCCACUCUGCUUCUCUACAUAAUAUUUGAGUUUUUUUAAACACAUCACAUGCAUCAGAUUUAUUUCUUAAAAAAUACACUCAUGUCUUCCUGCCGAAAAUCAUCAAUAAAGGUAAUAAUAUAUUUACUACCACUAUUGGAAGGAACUUCAACUGAGCAUAAAUCUGAGUGAAUCAAUUCAAGUGGUCGAUUAGCCCUCCAAGCCUUGCCUUUUGGAAAAGGAUCCUUGUGCUUCUUUUUCAAAAAUACAAGACUCGCACUUCUUGUCAAGAAACUCAAUAGAAGGCAACUCAAUAACUAAUUUCUUUAUUUCAAGAAAAUUCAAACUCCCAAAAUUCAAAUGCCCAAAACACAUAUGCCAUAACCAAGAAUUAUCACAAGUCACGGAAUUAAAGCAAGGUAAAUCAUCACAGUUAAGGGAAAAAGGCCACAGACGACUACGAUUCAUCUUUACCUUGGCAAUUAAUCCCAAUUUUCCAUCACUUAUGGUGCCCUCACCAUAUUUAAAAUGCGGAUCAUAACCUUUCUCAGAUAAUUGUCCCAAACUCAACAAAUUAUGAUAUAAACUUGGCACACAGAAAAUAUCAGAAAUAAAAUUCGAAGACCCAUCUUGCAAGAUAAUUCUGAUUUUUCCUUUUCCAAGAACAGACACUUUUUCAUCGUUUCCAAAUCUCAUAGAUGCAUGAAAAGAUUCAUCUAGGUCAGAAAACAUCUCUUUUUUACCGCACAUAUGAUUACUACAACCAGAAUCAAUAAACCAAUCAUUCUUCAUAGACUCUUUAGAUGUAGAACUAGAAAACAACAAGGUCUCCUCUCUAUCACUACAAUUUUCAGCCACUUUAGCGUGCACCUCUUUAUUGGACCAACAUUCAUUCUGAUAAUGACCAAUUUUACCACAAUUAUAACAUUGGACAUUAGAUCUACCACGCAUUUGAAAAUUAUUUCUUUGACUUUGCUAUUGAUUGUUUUCCUAAUCCCUAUUAGAAUUAUUUCCGGGUUGGUGAGAAUAAUUACCUCUUCCACGACCAUGAAAGUUACCUCUGCCUCCACGUCCUCUACCUCUGAAGUUCUGGCCCUUUUGAUUUGUGUCCAUAUGAUUUACCUCCUCUUUUCCUUUUGGGCGAUCCACCUUGGCUUGUAACACCUCCUCUACUUUAUCUGAUGGCUGCUGAUUUAGGAACAUCUCAUACGUCAGCAAUUCACCUUCCAAUUCAGCAAGUGACAAAUUGUCAAGGUCCUUUGUGGCUUCAAGGACUGUCUUCUUGGUGUGAAAUUUAGCAGUUAGAGAUUUCAAAACUUUUUCAACAACUCUAACCUCUUCUAAAUUCUCACUAUUGGACUCCAUAUCAUUGACAAUUUCUUUAAUUGUACCAAUGAAAUCUUUAACUGACUCCGUGGAUUUCAUCUGGGUCAACUCAAAUUGUCUCCUAAGUUCUUGCAAUCUGAUUUUUCUCACGUUAGCACCUCGAUUUGAGUUCACUAAAAUUGUCCAAGCGUCUUUUGCCGACUUUGCAUGUAUAAAUUUUUUUGCAACAUGCAACUGGACUUAAGUGUUGAGAUAGCACAUUGCCUUGCAAUCCAACUGUCUAUUUCUCUCUAAUUCUUUAACUGCAUCGCUUGAUAAUUCUAUAUCUGCUACCGGUUCCAUAUAUCCUAUCUCGACAAUAUUCCAAACUCUAAUAUUUUGGAAAAAAAUUCUUCAUCAUUGACCUCUAAGCCUCAAAAUCGCUUUAACCAUUGAAGAUAAAAACGUGACAAUUGUACAAUUAAUGCGGAUCCACACUUUAAUUUCAUGAACAAGCUCCAAGCCCCGAUUUCUCUCAGGCCUAAUCUCUAGACUCAAUUCAACUCUCCACACAAUAACCUACUAGACUAUUAGUAUUUAUAGACUCAAAAAUUUCCUAAAGCAAAUACGGUUGUAAACCAAAACUUAUUUGGAAACUAACUUGAGAUUUCCUAAUCUAAUAUGGAAACUAAACAAAUAAGAUACCAAAAAGAAUUAGGAAACUAAAAUAGCUUGGUUUAUUUUCCUACAAUAAAAUGUACAAAAAUUUGAUUAGUGUGUAAAUCUUUGUUGACCAUUCCAUUUCUGAUUGUUUAAGUUUUGUACUCUUACACAUUUGGCAACAUUUUAUUUUACAUUACUAAAUCAAGAAGUUUGCAGUAUUAUUAUACUCGAUCUUUUUUGUUUUUUAAGGGUAAGUUACGUCAAAGGUUUUCAAACUUUUCAAUAGCUUCAUUUUACUCUUGUAACUUUUUUUGGUAAUAAAUGGUCCACUAAUUUUUUAAAAAAAAUAAAUUUAUUGUACCCAUUCAACUACUUUUUGAACCAAAUAACCUACUAAACUUUUCAAGUGAUUUAUCUGGAUCGUUUUGUUAGAUUCUACUCUUAAGAUAGUUAAGAGCAGACAACCAUAUAACCAAAAUCGAAUUCGCGAGACAAAAAAAUACAAAUUACAGAAUUCAAUUUAUUUCUUAAUAAUCAAUCAUAUCUAGUUCUGAUAUCACUUAUUGAGCACCACUUAUUGAGUGAUAGUUUAUAUUAGUCUUUGGUGAAAGCAAUCACCUGUUAAAUCCAAAAUUUUUAUGGCGAUUAUUAAGAAUAAAUUAAUAAUAAAAUUACAAAAGCGCACCUGAAUUCAUGUUGACAAGCUGGCACUUGAAUCCUUGAAGAUUUUUUUGGGGAGGUCUUUCAGGUCAACACCUAUUCGCUAAUCCUUAAGAGAGCCCUUUAAUCUCUGAUAUCUCUUAUGACGAUGGGAUAUCGAGAAAAGUUAUUUUGUGAUACUAAAAAAUACGAUAAUAAUAUACAUGUAAUCUGGGAAUCAUAACCCUAUUUAUAGAUAAAUUUCUGUUAUCUUUUGUAUUCUUAUUUUAACCCAUCAUAGAAAUAGGAAACACCCGUAAGUCUCUACAUAUUAAAGAUUCAUAUUCUAUUAGAUAUAUUAAAGUCCAAAUCAUAUUUGAUCACUUUAAUUAGAUCUAAUCUUAUUUGACAGUAACAUAUAAUUAUUCAUAUAUAAAUCCAAUGUUGGAUUAAAGAUUCAACAAAAACUGCUUAAAAUUAUGGUUAAUAAUUACUUCACAGUCGGCUUUAAUUAUUAACAAAAAAUGGAUUGAUCAUACUUGUCCCCUCAAGGUUUGGAUUAGUCACGCUUUAUCACCCCAACUUCACAAAUAUAUAAUUUACCCCGUCUUGACCAGUCAAAAUAUUAAAAAUGCUUAACACUGUUAAGACAAAAUAAAGUGCUGAGGAGAUUAAAGGAUCCAUGAUUUGUUAGUGAAGGUACAAUUGUACUCUUGUAUUGGUGCAUAUGGCCUGCGAAAAAAUAAAAGAAAAGUUAUUGAUAAGUGGGAAAAAAAAACUGACAAUCGACAGCAACUAUGAUAAAAUAACUCUUGAAAAGGCCCUGAUGUACACGGGAGAAGGAGUCAGAGAAUCCUCAAAAGCACUGAAGGGCUUUUUUUUGGGGUUGUAGUGACUUAUUAAAAAACAUUUAGGGCCUGUUUAAGAUUGUUGUAUUUUUGCUAAAAAAGUAUUUUGGAGGUCAAAAAUACUUUUAACAUGUUUAAUGAAAAUCAUUCCUUAAAUUUGGAAGUAGAAUUUUUGGUCAUAAAAGCACUUUGGUAUAAGUUCAAAAUUGAUACAUUUAGAGUAACUUUUGUAUUUGAAACAAAUAAAAAAUUAAGUUUAAUAAUUUUAUUAUAAAUUUUGAACUCAAUAAACAGAUAAAUAAGUUUUGUAACCUCAAAAUUGCACAUUAUCAAAUAGAAAAAGUACUUACUCUUGUAAAUCCAAACAAUAUGAUUUAUCAAUUAAUAAAUACUUUGACUAAAAACUGUACUCAUUGAAAUGCUUUUCGAUAAGCCACCGUAACUCAGAUAGGCCCUUAAUUUAGAAGAGUUAUUCGUCAAAGUAUUUAUGAAGAGCUUCUUGUUCGAUCUAGAUUUGAAGCCCUAUUGGUAACUGGUGGACAUCUGGUCGAGGCAUUUGGUUUGGAGCGAUGUCGCAUGAGUAUAGACCUUGAUUCUGACAGGUUCUGUAGGACGAUGACCUGUUGGUAAUGUGCUUUAGUGACACUUUCAGUUGAGUACUGCCACACAAGUUCUGGUGUAGUGGAGCAAUAGUUUCCUUAGGACUCAACCUGGGAAUUCUUACAAGACUUGGAGCAGUAAUUCCUACCUAAUUUCCAUCCCUGAGGACAAGGGCUCUUUUAGAGAGGGGUAUUUGAUGCACUGAUUUUAGUUGUAUGAUUGAUUGACCAUAAGAGAUUAUAAUAGAUAAUGGUGGAAGUGAAAGUUAAUAAGUUAAAAGAAUAUUGCUGAUGCUAGUAGUUAGUUAGCACAGCCAAAGAAGUGGUUAGCUGCAACCGACUCUCCACUACUUGCUUAUAUAUUAAGCUGCGCAUAAGGAGAAACAUUCAUUUUGAUGUAUUGCUACAAAUCAUUGGUCAUUCUUCUUGUAUCUUCUCUGAGUUUUCACUACAAUAAAAUACAUGAUGCUCCCUUGAAUUUCGAAUUACUUCUUCGUCAUUUUUGUAAUUCUGUAAUGAUUCCACAGGAAAUAGGACAAAAUAGUUAGCCAAAUUCUGUUAGCCAAAUAUUCUUGGAUUUGUUAUAGUGGCAACAACUUGCAGAAAGUUAGUUACAAUUAGUUAGUUGGGGGGAACUUCUAUGAAUAGGCCAACACUAAUGUAAGGAAGGACAUGCAAAAUCUGAUCUCUAAAGAAUACAACUUCCCCGCCUCUUUUUCAAAUUCAUCCUUGCUCUCUCUCUUUCUCUUGUUCCUUCCUCUCUAUUCUUUUUUUCCUAUACUUUCUGUACCUUAGCUGAAUCAUCAGAUUCUCAACCAUUACAUUUGGUAUCAGAGCUUGCGGUCCUGGGAUUUGAAAGCUCCAAUUUGGCAACAAUGGCGGAAGGCACCAGAAUGAAGGGAUUUGAGGAAAUGCUGAAGAAACAAGAUGCAAGGAUCCAAACUAUCCUCGAAUCCAGUACAAUCGAACGUCAAGCGUUAGAGGAAAAGAUCGAGUCUAACUAUGUGGACAUGAAGGCUCUGGUGGAAGCAAACAAUGUUGAAUUAAAGGAAGAAAUGAAGAAUUUGUUGGGAUAUGCAACUUUUCCUACAUAUUUUGCUAGAUUAUGUUUGAUAUCAAAAUAAUUUAGUUAUUAGAAAAAUAAGGAUAUUUGUUAACCAAAGAUCAUGUUGGUUUGUUAACAGAUAUUUUAGAUAAGAUUUGCUAAUAGAAGGAGUUUAUAUUUUGUUGAGAUUUUUAGAAUAAUUGUUAGUUGGAUAUUUUGCUAGUUUGUUUCAUGUAAUCACUAUAAAUAGUGAGUUGAUGAAUGUAGAACAUAAGUUCAUUUUUUCCACCUUUAAUACAAGUCUCUUAUAGCUUUUAUGCAAUCACUAAGGUUGUUGUUUCUUAGUUUUAUGCCCAAAAAAAACCAACAAAGGUGGCUAUCAACGAGCCUAUAAUCAAGGGCCUUUGAGUCUUUUUUUUUUUAGAGUGAUGCAUUGGUGAGGAUCCUUUAUAAGUUCAAAGCCAUGACAGGAAAGAACUUUUUGUCAAAUGUUUCAACUUUUAGUGGUAAAACUUACCAAAUUUGGGCUAUUAAAAUUUUGGACUUAUUUGGUAGUCAAUGAUCUACGAGAUAUGGUGGAGACGAAUUUUGUUUCACCAGCAUUUGAAGAGCUGAUGGAUACACAAAUUAGAGAUCACAAAGUUGCCAGUUAGACAGAGAUCCAAGGCCAGCAUUCACAUAUCAGUUUUUGAUGCGUUUUCACAAAGAUAAUGGCUGAUGAUUUGAUUGAGAAUAAAUUAUUCUCAAUUAAAAUAAAAAGGAGAAGUUUCACUAUGAAUUGGUCAGAUUUUGACAAUUCUAAAGUGGAACAUGAUGAUGAAAUCAAGAAUUCAGAUCCUGAAAAAAUUCAGGAGGAGAUCAUUAAUAAGUGAGGAGAUAUCAAAUUGAUUCCUGAUAUUUGUCAAGAUUAUAACAUUUCUAUUUUUGAGUCUACAGAUAUUGAUGGUGAUGACAAAAUGAAGAACCAUGCAGAAUUUUAUAUUUUCUGUAUAGGUUCAAAUAUCGUCAAAAGAUGUUCCAUUUUAAACCUAUGAGAAGGUUAUUUGGAAACAUAAAAAAAAAAAAUCAUUUUUUAUGUGGAGUUUGGCACGAGAAGAUAAAAGAAGUGGUUCGUUGCAAGACUAAUAUUUAGCUUGCAUAAAAACCCAAAGGAAGAAGUUCAUUGCAAGGCUAAUCAUCAAUUGCAAAGCUUCUUACAAAAGUCUCGUUCAAAACAAGAUUCAAAGAUUUGAGAAGACAAUUCAAAAUCUGUAGCAAAAGUGGCAAGGAGGAGUGUUGGGAUGUGCAACUUUUCCUACAUAUUUUGCUAGAUUAUGUUUGAUAUCAAAAUAAUUUAGUUAUUAGAAAAAUAAGGAUAUUUGUUAACCAAAAAUCAUGUUGAUUUGUUAACAGAUAUUUUAGAUAAGAUUUGUUAGUAGAAGGAGAUUAUAUUUUGUUGAGAUUUUUAGAAUAAUUGUUAGUUGGAUAUUUUGUUAGUUUGUUUCAUGUAAUCAUUAUAAAUAGUGAGUUGAUGAAUGUAGAACAUAAGUUCAUUUUUUUCACCUUUAAUACAAGUCUCUUAUAAGUUUUGUUUGCAACACUAAGGUGUUGUUUCUUAGUUUAUUCCCAAAAAAAAACCAACAGAAUUUCAUGGUCACGAUGAAUGCUCAAUUCAAUACCCUCAUGAGGAACUUACAGGGGGAAAGGGGAAUUCUAGGCCAACCUCUUAACUCAUCUGAGCGACCUCCUAAUCAAAUACUUAGCAAAAGUCAUGAAGGAAGCCAUCCUUUUCUGGGGGAAAAGAGUCGUUUCCCAAUAGGAGUUCCCAAACUGGAAUUUCCUAGCUUUGGAGGCUCUAAUCUAUGAGAAUGGAUCAGGAAAUAUGAGAAGUUUGUUCAGCUAUAUUAGAUUCCAGAAGGACAGUAGAUGGAUGUGGCUGAACUGUAUUUGGAAGGCAAGGCUGAUCUCUAGUAUCAAAGCUUCAAGAAGGACAGAGGAGUGGUGCAAUGGGGGGAUUUUGGCUCAGAACUUUGUAGAAGAUUUGGGGAUCUGGGGGGAGGAGAUGUGGUAGAGGAGUUCAACAAAUUGUAGCAGGAUUCAUCAGUUUUAGCAUAUCAGGACAAGUUUGAAGAAUUAAGAGCUGCUGUCAUGGUAAAACUACCCCUCCUCUCUGAAUAUACUAUGUUUCUAGCUUCCUGAGUGGGCUGAAGGAGGAGAUCAAGGCUGCUGUGAAAAUGCACAUGCCCCAGACCUUACAGGUAGCAUUCGAAAAGGCUAGAUGGCAAGAAUAGUAUUUGAGCAUCAUCUUAAGGCAGAAUAAAGUACCAAUGAAGAUAUCUCCACCAAUUUCUUCUGGAAGUAAACAUACCCACCCUAAUGACCUGAGCCACAAGAAACCUGCAACUCAUGUGUUUGAGAAUAGUAUUAAGAAGGAUUCUUCUCGGGUAAGAAAAUCUCACCCACAGAAUUUCAGUACAGGAAGGAUCACAACCUGUGUUUCAAGUAUGGGGAAAAAUUUUCUCCUGGACAUAUCUGCAAGAAUAGAGGGAUACAUUGGUACUAGUAGAUGAAGAAGGAUUGCAUGGCACUGAAGUAGAUGAGGAAGAAAGGGAAAUCAUUGAGUAUCAGGGGAAUAAGUCUAGCAAGGAUGUAGCCUUCUCACUACACUCAGUCUCUGGACACAUGUCUUCUAAUACCAUUAGGAUGAUAGGACACUAUAGGGGGCACGAUUUAUCCAUUCUGCUUGAGGGGGGGAGUACCAACUGUUUUAUCAGGUUAGCCAUUACUCAACUACAUCCUGAUUCUGUGCAGAGUCAUAAGCCCUUCAAGGUGAGGAUAGCUGAUGGAAAGGAGUUAAUGUGCAAUCAGUGGAUUCCAAAUAUGAAGUGGGAAAUGCAGGGACACAACUUCACUCAGAAUGUAUAUGUGUUGGACUUAGAGCCAUAUGAUUUAAUCCUUGGGGUGGAUUGGAUGAAACAUUACAGUCCAAUGACUUUUGAUUUUAAGGAGUUGACAUUGUCUUUUGAUAAGGAGGGUGAAACUGUGUUGCUGCAAGGAGACUCCCACACUGCCAAGGUGAGGAUGAGGCAAGGGACAGCAGCACAAAGGCAUAUCAGGAAUAAAGUCAGGACUUCUUUGCAACACUCUUGCAUGAUCAGAGUACAGAACAGUCAGGUAACUCCUGUACCAAAAUCACUUACUCAAUUGCUUGACCAAUGUUAGGACAUCUUUGAGGAACCUACAUCCUUACCCCCUAUCAGAGAAUUAGACCACCAAAUACCCCUCAUACCUGAUGCCAAACCCUUCAAAAUCAAUCCCUAUAGAUAUCUCCACAUGCAGAAAUCAGAAAUAGAACGACAGGUCAAAGACCUGUUGUAAUUUGGUAUCAUACAACCUAGCCACAACCCUUUUGCAUCCCCAGCUCUCUUGGUAAAAAAAAAGGAUGGAAGUUGGAGGUUUUGUAUUGAUUAUAGGCAGCUCAACAACCUUACCAUCAAAGAUAUCCCAUUCCUACCAUUGAUGACUUGCUUGAUGAAUUGCAUAAUGCAAAAAUAUUUUCUAAAAUAGAUCUAAGGUCAGGUUACCAUCAAAUUCGUAUGAACCCCUCUGAUGUCCCUAAAACAGCCUUUAGAACUCACUCUAGCCUUUAUGAAAACCUAGUGAUGCCUUUUGGCCUCACAAAUGCCCCUACUACAUUUCAAGCCUUAAUGAAUUCCAUAUUGGAACCUUUCAUCAAAUAGUUUGUGCUUGUGUUUUUUGAUGACAUUCUUGUUUAUAGCUCAGAUCUGGACAGCCAUCUUAAACACCUAUCCCUUGUUCUUAACACCUUGAGAACCCAUUCAUUAUAUGCGAAGAUGUCUAAAUGUUCCUUUGGUCAAGAUAAAAUUGAGUAUUUGGGACAUGUAGUUACUGCUGAAGGUGUUUCUGCUGACCCUGCAAAGGUAGAGGCAAUGUUUUUCUUGCCAGUUCCUGAUAACAUUAAGGCUCUUAGGGGUUUUCUUGGAUUGACGGGGUACUACAGGAGGUUUGUCAAGCGCUAUGGGAAAAUAGCAAAGCCCCUAAUUGAGUUGCUUAAAAAGGACAGUUUCGUAUGGAAUGAAGCAGCUACUUCUGCCUUUAAGCAGCUCAAGGUGGCUAUGUCACAGGCUCCUAUACUAGCUUUACCUAACUUCUCCAUGCCCUUUAUAUUAGAGACAGAUGCAAGCCAAACAGCUAUGGGAGCAGUACUGAUGCAGCAAGGGAGACCAAGAGCAUUCAUGAGCCAAGCUUUGGGACAAAAAAAUCAAUCAGUGUCCAUUUAUGAGAAAGAGUUGCUGUCCCUGAUCACUGCUGUAGGAAAAUGGAGGCAUUACUUAUUGGGAUCUCAUUUCAUCAUCAGAACAGACCAUCAAAAUCUAAAGUACUUGCUAGACAAAAGAUCACUACUUCCCUACAACAGAAAUGGAUUGCAAAAUUGAUGGGAUUGGACUAUGAAAUCCAAUACAAAAGAGGCAAGGAUAAUACAGUUGCAGAUGCUCUUUCUAGGAGGCAAGGAGGUUCUGCAGGAGGAAGCAAUCAGGAGAGUUACAAUGGAGUCCACUCUAUAUCUGCAGUCAAACCUCUAUGGCUCUCCAAGGUAUCAGAGAGCUACAAUGGAGAUAACAAGGUCAAAGAAUUAUUAACAACACUUGCAAUAGACAACUCUAGUACACCUGAUUACUCCUACCAUCAAGGGAUUAUCAGGUACAAGGGGAAGGUAUACAUUGGAGCUACCACUGAAUUUAGGAGGCAACUUGUUAGCUGCAUGCAUGAUUCUGUAGUUGGAGGCCACUCUGGCAAUCAGGGGACCUAUCAAAGAUUGAAGAGUUAUUUCUUUUGGCCAGGAAUGAAAAAGGAAGUGGAAGCUUAUGUACAAGCUUGUGACACCUACAAGAGGAGCAAAUGAGCAAGCUAGUUACCCUGGCUUGCUACAACCUCUCGCAAUACCAGAGCCAGCUUGGCAGCAUAUCUCAAUGGAUUUUAUCGAAGGUUUGCCAAAAUCCUUGGGGCAUGAUGCCAUAAUGGUCGUGGUGGACAGGCUUACUAAAUAUGCGCAUUUCAUAUCCAUGGGGUCUCAUUUCACAGCAAAGAGUGUUGCACUGGUGUUCUUCGAGCAAAUCUAUAAACUGCAUGGUUUGCCAGUGGACAUUAUAUUUGAUAGGGACAAGAUUUUCACAAGUUUAUUUUGGCAGGAGCUUUUUCAUCAGGUGGGAACUACCCUUAGUUUCUCAUCCUCAUAUCACCCCUAGUCUGAUGGACAGACUGAGAGAGUAAAUCGAUGUGUGGAAACCUACUUGAGGGCUUUGUGUUUGCAAUAGUCUGGUCAUUGGAAAAGGUGUUUGCCUGCAGCUGAGUAGUGGUACAACACUAAUUUCCAUUCUAGUUUAUAGAUGACACCCUUCCAAGCACUCUAUGGUUAUAAACCAAAACAGCUGUGCCUACAACCAGACAACACCCAAGUACUUGCUGUGGAGAUUGGUUAACUGAGAGGGUGAAUUGGAACUCCCUACUGAAGGAAAAUUUGUUGCAUGCUUAGAACUAUAUGAAAUAGUUUGCAGACAAACACAGGACUGACAGGACAUUUGCUGAGGGGGAUUGGGUUUACCUCAAGUUACAGCCUUGUAGACAGACCACUAUGGUUGUUUGAAAAAAUUGAGCUAGCAGCUAAGUACUAUAGACCACAUCAGAUUGAAAAAAGGAUUGGAGCAGUAGCCUAUAAACUCAAGUUACCACUAGGAGCUGCUAUUCAUCCUGUAUUUCAUGUUUCGCUUUUGAAACCUUCCGCAAAAGGUGCUCCAGCUAGCACAAUAUUACCUCAGCCAAGUGAUGAAGGCUUCUUUUCGAUCACCCCAUCCUCUAUACUGGAUCGAAGAUGGAUUGAUAGGGAUGGACACAAGGUGGAGCAGAUUUUGGUGCAGUGGAAGGACUUACAAAAUGAGGAUGCAACGUGGGAAGACUUCUCAGUCAUCAAGAGUCAAUUCCCUGACUUCAAUCCUAGAGACUAGGAUUGUUUCGAGAGGGGGCAAUUGUAAUGAUUCCACAGGAAAUAGGACAAAAUAGUUAGCCAAAUUCUGUUAGCCAAAUAUUGUUGGAUUUAUUAUAGCAGCAACAACUUGCAGAAAGUUAGUUAUAGUUAGUUAGUUGGGGGGAACUUCUAUUAAUAGGCCAACACUGAUGUAAGGAAGGACAUGCAAAAUCUGAUCUCUAAAGAAUACAACUUCCCUGCCUUUUUUUCAAAUUCAUCCUUGCUCUCUCUCUUUCUCUUACUCCCUCCUCUCGAUUCUUUUUUUCCUAUACUUUCUGUUCCUUAGCUGAAUCAUCAGAUUCUCAACCAUUACAAAUUCCUAGGUCAGGGAAUUGAGACCUCCACUGACCUCUGUAUCAGAUGCCUUCACACUUGGUGCAACUACCUAUACUUUCUCAAAUGCAUAUAGAUGUAAGCAGGUCCAUUUGCAAUUCCAGAUGUUGAGGAGGUCUGCUACUUCUUUGUUGACACACUAGUCCAGCGUAUCUCUUGUUCAAUUCGACCUUUAAAGAUUGAGUGACAGAAUCAGGCUAGGUUUGAGCCCUUGCAGGAUGGUUCCCUCCUCCUUAGGUAGUAUAGUAGCUCUGUUGGAUCUCGUCUUAGUAGCAGCUUUGUUGAAUGGUUUCCCUUGUCUUAGUAGUAGCUUUGAACCUUGGAAAUUGUACCCUUGUUAUUUGUGUUUUGUUAUGUAAUUUUCUUGAGAUUUGGGUGUACUCCAAAGAAAAUUACGACUAUCGUUGUAAUUAAUCGUGAACUAAAUAAGGCUGUUUAAAGGAUUGAGCUACUUUGAGAAUGUACUACUAGAAGAACGCAAACAUAUCUGACUAGACCAAGAAUAAGGCCCUCGGAUCACUGAAUUAAGAGACUUGAAUUGUUUCCAAAUCAUGAAUGUUUGAGGGAAAGAGCAAGAAAAGAACAAAUGCUCACAAGUUUCAACAAUAUUUCAACAAAAAUCACAAGUAUCAUCCUUUACUACACUCCACUUCCUCAGCCUGCUUCUUUUAUAAAGUCUCUCACAUCAAGAAAGCAAAUUUGGACACGAGGUUCAACCACACCAGCCUGUUUUCUUUUGACAUUGAAAAUUUUUUGAACUUGUGGGGUGUUAUCUUUUGCUUUCUAGUAGACAUAAGUGGUAGCCCUAGAUACCUCCCUCACAAAGUUCGUAAAGGCAUACAAAGCAACUGAUUCAGGUAGAGCUGUCUUUCAGACUUUGUUCCAGCAUAAACAAUUCACUCUUUUGAAGAUUGGUUUGCAAUCUAGACACUCCUGUAGAGAUAUAUCAGAUGCAGAAGCCAAAAAGAAGAGGUCAUCAGGAAAUGUUGAGUAAGGUUCAGCGUCUCAACUUUGGAUGAUAAUCUGAUCUGUCUUCCUGAAUAAUUUAGCCAAAACACUAGAGAACACCUCCACUGCAAAUAGGAACAAAUAUGGUGAGAUUGGAUCACCCUGUCUAAGCCUCUAAUCAGUUCUAAAAAUCCAAUCAGAGAUCCGCAUAGAUUCAAGGAGAAACUGGCUGUAGUCACAUACUUCUAACUCCACACAAAACACACAGUUCUAAAUUUCUUGAGAUGCAUAACCUCAAAAAGAGACUCCCAAUUGACUGAAUCAUAAGCCUUCACUACAUCAACCUUUUUGGCUACUCUAGGUUUUCCAUUAAUGAGGUGACAAUGACAUUGCUUGAUAAGUUCAUGCAUGAGCAAUACAUUAUCAUAAACGGAUCUCAUUUUAAGAAAAGCACUGCCCGGUAAGAGAUGGCAUCACCACUUUAAUUCAGCCAGUGAUCACUUUUGAAAAACAUUUAUAGAGAAUGUUGCAACGAGCAACAUGCGUAACAUCUUUCACAGUGACAGGGGAGCAUUCAAAUGAAAAUAGAGAUUUUGGGAUGAGAACCACGACUGUACAGCGCUAACAAACUCCUCCCCAGUUGUCUUCCAAUUCAAUAUGGAAAAAAUCUACUGCAAAGCCAUGAGGACCAGGGCCUGUACCUCUUAUCAUUUUAAACAAUGUGCUUUUAUUUUCAUCCUGAUUGACUAGAGCUCUGAACGACCUCCUAUGACAAACUGCUUGAGCUUCAAGGAUCCAAGGGCCAUUUACCGAUCUGUAGAUAUAGGCACCGUGUCGGCAAACAAAUCCAUAAAAAGAAUGAGAGCUUCACUUUGAUUCGUUUAUAGUGAUUCAACCGUGAGCCAUGCUAAUAGUACGAAGUCUAUUUCUUUGCAAAGGAAGUUUUCAAUUUGAUUAUAUUUUUUUCUUAACGCUCUUUUCCUAAAUCCUCUUUACUGCUCCACCUUCUUCCAUGAACUCUAGUGGACUCCAUUCAUGACCUCAAUUAAAAUUUUGCAAGUACUAGGCUUCGAGCAUAUUUUAUCAGAUAAAUAGAAAUUAUUGGGAGCAAUUCAUGCCUGUCAAUGCUGCAUUGUAAGAAUACUUCUCAUGUAGUUGGCUUAUAUUAAAUCUGUAUACAUUUGAAUACCAUGAGUCUUAAACACAAUAACUUGAUUCAAUCGAAAUCCCCUAUGAUAUGCGGUCUGAAUUUAGAUCCACUACCACCUGGCUGGCGGAAAAAAUGUACUGUUUUGUCAGUUUAAUCUUCUACUCCUACUCCUAUCAAGCUGUGGUUGUUGCACAACAUUUUCCAAGGCUGUGAUUUUCACCUUUCCUUAAUAGACAUUUUAUCUUGCUGAAUCCAUAAUUAUCAACUGCAUCUAAUCUGUUCUAGAUUCUCCUUUGCAUAUGUCAAAGAGGUACUUCAGGAAAUAUUUAAAGCUAAGAUGGUAGAUAAUAAAUGACUACUUUAAAUUUCAUUAAAAACACAAAUAUUGUUAUUAAAUAUAGCAAUUGUCACAAUAAUUUUUCUACAAGGACAGGAAAGGAAACUAAAUACCACAUCAUUACUUCAUGUGGGAAAUGAUACACCAAUGAAUGUGGGACACAAAAUUUAAAUUAUAUUUAACUUAUCAUAUUAACACCUGAAUCCCUCUUAAUGAGUACCCAAUGGGCAUUUGAUUUAAUUUUACUUUUGCGAAUGACUUAAUUAAUGCCAAUAUAGUAGUUCCUAAAUUACCAAAGUUUGAAAGUUCUCUGACUAAAAAUACACAAUGUAGUCUUUACAAAUUUAGAUAUUUCUCCAAUAUAAUUUUCAGAAGGGCAAAGUAUUUAUUAGGGGGUCCAAUUAUUCAAUUGCUAGAUACGGCAAUCCUGACCUACUAAUUUACUAAUCUAUCUCUGUUCAGCGUGUGAAAGGCGUGUGAACUGACACAUUUGCAAAACGAAUUGAAGAUUAAUCUGUAAAGCAAAUUUCUUGGCUUUCUGACUUUUUAUUGUAAAGCAUUUAGGUUGAUUAAUUCACGACUCACGUGUAAGCGAAGAUUUGGGGAUUUUUCCAAGCAUUUUUUGUUGUUUCGGAUAUUAAGAGCUACUAGAAGUCUAGGACUUUACAUACUUGGUCAUUCUUUUUUGUAUAACUGGCUUCAACUUCCAUCCAUCUCUGUUCGUAACUCAUCAAGAUUCUGUUUGUGAGGAUUGGCUUUAUCUCCGUUAUUGUAACCAAACAUGGAAAAGUCCCAUGUUGUUCUUUCUCUGCUUCUGGUUCUACUGUUUCAUGUUGGCAUAGCCACAGCAGUUAAAACUGAAGAUGGAUCAGAAGCGUGGGGCUAUGUUCCAGUCAGGCCAAGUACACUAAAUCUUUUCUACAAUCUUUAUCCCAAUUUAGAUAUUUUAAGGGCAGAGAUAUAUGGAUUUACUUGUCAAUGAUGAACUUGAAUUGUUGUGCUUUUUGCAGAGGCUCACAUGUUCUGGUGGUACUACAGAAGUCCAAACAGGAUUCAUGAUCCAAAAAAGCCUUGGCCAAUAAUUCUUUGGUUGCAGGGUGGACCUGUAAGUAUCAGAAUUCUCGUGGGAUUCUCUCUAGUUUCAAUCUUUAUUGCUUGUUCAUACAAUCAACAGUAAUUUGUUUACUGAAGGGAGCUUCAGGAGUUGGACUUGGUAAUUUCGAAGAAUUCGGGCCUUUAGAUGUGUUCCUAAAGCCAAGAAAUUCGACAUGGUUGCAGAAAGCUGAUCUUCUGUUUGUGGUAGGUACAAGGUUGCAUAACGUUGGUGAAUAAUCACUUCAGCAUCAAUACUGUUUUACAAAAUAAAAUGGGAUUUCCCUGCAGGGUUUUUCUUUCAUCUGCUUAUCCAAAUUCAUUUUUGCCCGUUUCCAAUGUAAAUAGGAUUAUCCAGUUGGGACUGGUUACAGUUUUGUGGAAGACGUUAAAAACACCACAUUGUUUGUGAAGAGUGAUGUGGAGGCUGCAAAGGAUGGAACUAAAUUCUUGACUGAGUUUUUCAACAGGAAUCUGACUCUCCAAAAGAGUCCUCUGUUUAUUGUAGCAGAGUCUUAUGGAGGCAAAUUUGCUGUAACUCUGGCAUUAUCUGCUUUAAAAGCUAUUGAGGCUGGAAAGCUGAAGCUAAAUCUUGGAGGUAACAAUUGCUUUUUCAUUCUCAAAAUUAAAAUUUUAUUCUCUCUUCAAUCCUGAAGUCUUGAACUUGCUGUUACCUUUUCUGCAUAGGAGUUGCAUUGGGAGAUAGUUGGAUUUCACCAGAAGAUUUUACCGUAUGUAGUUUCUGUUCUUCAUUCGUCUCAUGAUUACUUAGUUGGAACAGCUGAAUUGAGUUCUGGCGAUCAAAAUACAGUCUUCAUGGGCUCCUCUUUUGAAAGACGUCUCAUUGCUUGACGGCAAUGGUUUCCAGAUAUCAAACAGGUAUUAAGUUAUAAUACUUGAAAGAUGGCACUAUCCUGAAUCCACGCCUCAAAUGCAUCGAUGAUGUGUUUUUUUAGUAUUGAAACUUGCGUGAAUUUAACAUUUCUGUCUAACCUAAUCAAGCUCGACAAUUUUAAGUUGUCUAAUAAGCCUAUUGUUCAAUGCAGGGUUGCUAAUCAAAUUAAGAAGCAAAUUGCAGCAGGUAAGUUUGCGGAGGCCACAGACACAUGGAAUGAAUUGGAAGAUCUAAUUACCAAGUACAGUAACAAUGUGGUAUGAAUUUGAAGAAUUUAUGUUUAAUCACAACAAAUUGUUAAGUAUGUGCUUGACGAUUCCUUUUGUGGAUAAAUACAGGACUUCUACAAUUUCCUCUCAUUUGCAGAGGACGACCCUUCAUCGCUGUCAGCUGCUUCAGAACUAAAACAACGUAUUGCAGUAAAACGGUCCUCUCCUGGAGGUGAUGGAGAUCUUUACAGCUUGAUGAAUGGUGAUAUUAAAAAGAAGUUGAAGAUUAUACCACCAAAUGUUACGUAAGUUUUUCUCCUUAGAAAAUUUUCAGACUUUUUCAGAGUUCAAUACUUUACUGUCAUUAAAGGAGUAGUGUGAUAUCAACAGAUGGGGAGGGCAGUCCAAUAGUGUUUUUGAAGCCCUGAAAGGUGACUUCAUGAGACCCAGGAUUAGUGAGGUAACUAAAGCAGCUGCAUUUUUUUUUGGUUAGGAAUUAAUCACAAAGUUUAGGAACUUUUGGUUUUUAGUUUGAGCUACACCAAGAACGUUUUUUGAAUUUCUGGAUCAGCAUUCUUUGACACAUCUCAAUUGCGAUAAGAGCAGUUACCCAAUUAUAUGCAGUAAAUUCUAAAGCAUUUGAUCAACUGCUUUUGGCAGGUUGAUGAGCUUUUAGCAAAAGGAAUAAAUGUGUCUAUCUACAAUGGACAAGUAAGAUUCUGUAAUGCUUUAUGUUGUUUCUCACAAUAUUCUCCAAAGAGGAAUGGAAAAAUAGUGUAUUAACAUUUCUGGAAGAAUGGGAUUUACACAGAAGCAGUAGAUAGAUAUUCAAGGAAAAACUUGAUAGGACUUUCUGGUUGUACUAUGAUUCCACUGCAUAGCAUUUGUUUUCAAAAAUUGGCAAUAAGAUAAUAUGGCAAUAAUGGAACAUAAUAAUGGUAACCAGGUAAAGGAUGAUAUUUUGGAGUAAUCGUACUUGUAAUUUGAUAUUUGCUCACAAUAAAUUGUGAAUUCCAGUGGAUAAACUUGAUCAGGGCAGCUUUAAUAUCCAUGCUACAAAUUUCACUGUUUUUUUUUUUUUUUUUUUUUUUUUUUUUUUGUGUUUGGCUAAGUAGUUCAAUUUUAAGUGUUGUUUUGUUGUUGGUUGUAGUUCGAUCUAAUCUGUGCAACCAAGGGAACCAACGCAUGGGUUGAAAAGCUCAAGUAAGAAAAAAAAAAUCCCAUAAGUAAAUAAGCACCAAAAUUUCUUCCCCUGAUCAGUAAUUUUUUUUGCCUAUUUUCACAGGUGGCAUGGGAUAAAAAAUUUCUUGAACAAGGAUAGAACGCCUCUCUAUUGUGGAGGUGACAAGAGUAUUAAGGGUUUCACCAAAUCAUACAGAAAUCUUCAUUUCUACUGGAUUCUAAAUGCUGGCCACUUUGUAAGUCAACAAACCAUUGUCAUAUUUCUGCUGCAUUUGUUUGUUAGUUUAAAAUUACUGUUACUUUUGCCUACUUGACAAGGUUGAGAACACAACACACACUUGUCUCAACUCUCAAUAGCUUUAGUAUGUCAUAGCCAAUCUCCACAUUUGAGAAAUGCUAAAGUUUGCAUAAUAUUGUCUUUGUCCAAGAAACCAUCAAAGGUAGUAGAAAAAGUAAUACUCCCUCCAUUCCAUUAAAACGUUCACUUCUCAUUUUUGCAUUUUCCAAAAUGCUUGUCAUGUCCAAAAGCUAAACAUAAUUUUCGCUCUCAUUUCAAAUACUCUUGUUCAUUGUCAUUUUGGGGAAGACAUUUCAAACAAUUGAGAUUUUACUCUGGGAGCAUGAAGCUGAGAAAGCUUAAAUAAUUAUCAGUAUCAGUUCCAUUGAAAGGUGGAUUGCGAAAAUGUGGCAAAACUAUGGGAUUGAAAGUAGUAAUUGCCAGACUUAUAAUGAAACUUCGGAUUAUUGAGACAAAGAUGAAACUGUGUGUGUCUGAAAGAAGAAUUGAAUGAAUUUGACAAGUAACAUCACACUUGUAUCUACUUGAGGACAAUGAAACUGGUUCUGCUGCGACGCAAUAACUACCAUUAAAGUUAGGGUAGAUCGGACUUAUACCAAUAUGUCUGGCAUUUAUUGGUGGUAAAUCUACCAAACCCUGUGGGAAUAUCCGAAUAUGAGAUGUUUAAGAACAAAAGAAAACUAUGGAACAUCUUUGUGAGAGAAAUUUUCCAUACCAAUUAUUUGUUGAAGUUGUUUAUUGGUUAUAGACAUGAGAAGGGCAAGCAGAAUGGACAUUAAGAUUUGUAGCGAAUAUGUUCUCGCUAAGUAAAUACUAUAUUUGAUAGAUUUGUAAGGAAAUUUUCUUAUAAUUAUGUAGGGGUGGCAAUUUCUGACACGACCCGAAAACACGACACGAACCUAACACGAAAUUAAUGGGUUUGGGUUGAGGUUUCGGGAGUUCGGAUCAGAAUCGGGUCGAACCCGAUGAACCCGAAAAAAAAAAUAGGUCAAUUUCAGGUCAAUCCGUGGUAACCUGAUAUGAUCCGAUGUGACCCGUUUACGAAUUAAAACUAAUUUAAUAAACAUUAAAAUUAUUUUAUCUAACUAAACUAAAUCAUUCUUUUUUUCCAAAGACAUUAAUUACUUAGUCCUAAAUGAAUUUAUUUAACUUGUGUGAAGUUAAAAUUAUUAUAUUUGGAAAAAUAAUAUAUUAUGUUAUUUUUUACUUUUAUGCUGUUUUAAUUUAUUUUAUAUUUGGUUUGGGAUAAAACACUUUUAUGGUGUUUAAUUUAUUUUAGAUUUGGUUUGAAAUUAUUUAUUUAAAUUUUUAUUACUUGAUGAUGUAAUUAAUUUUGUGAAAAAUUGAUUUUAUUAGAAAUUACAGUGAUAAAUUAAUAAAUUAAAAUUAAGUUUCGGGUCGACCCGCCAACUCAAAAUUUUCGGAUUCGUGUCAGGUACCCUGACCCGUUUCGGGUUGGCGGGUCGGAUUCGGGUCAGCAGGUUCUUUAUUAUACUUAAGCCUCAACCCGACCCGCCAACCCGAACCCGACUCGAUUGCCCCCUAUAAUUAUGUCAUAUAAAUUUAUUUGCCCUUUUCGAUUCUUUAUAGGUCCCUGUUGACCAGCCCUGUGUAGCAUUAAAGAUGAUAGGAAGCAUCACACAGUCACCUGCUGCUUCAGGGUUGGUGUCGCUUUCCAACUUAGCCAAUACAGAGGACAGAUACUGAAGAAAUAUGAACCGAAGAAUAACAUAGAAUUCUCUUUUGAUUCUGAAAAAACCAUCACAGGAAUGAGAAUUAUUUCAGAGGAAAUUGGAAAUUAUUUUUUAGUAUUUUCGUCUUGUGGAGUCUUUAUGACAUUUUUUUUAGGGCAAGUUUUACUUUAUCCCCCUGUGAUUUAAGUAUUUUUUUUUUUUUUACAUAACCCCCAUAUGGUUUUAAAAGUUAUAUAUAAUCCCCUCAUGGUUUGGAUUAAAGUGUCAAAGUAACGGGAAUGAUCAUUCAUAACGGAGUCACCUAAAAUGUCAAAAAUACCCUUAUAUAAAGUUAAAAAUUAGGAUUAAUCACAUUUAAUCCCCUUAAGGUAUACCUCAUUUCUCAGUUUACCCCCUAACCUUUUAUUUUGCUCACUUAACCCCCUAUAGGAUAAAAUUGCCCUUGCAUAAUUUUGACUUUUCAUUUAUUUUGUUUUCCUUUCUUUUAUUUCUUUUUCUCUUUCUUCUUUAUUUAAUUCUUCCUCUUUCUCACAAAAAUCUUCACCUUAAUGAUUGAAAUUAAAAAAGAAGAAUUGCAGAGAUCUAUCUUCUCCUUAAAUGAUUAAAAAAAAUAUUCAAAUCACUUUGCUAAAAUACAAUUUUUUUAGCCUUUCAAUUCUUUUAAUUUUAAAUUUUCCUCUUUCGUUUCUAGUUUCUCAUUUUAUUCCCAAGAAAAUAUCUUAAGAUGAAAUUGUGACUUGAUUAAUAAUCAUCAAUUGAAAUUUGUGACACGUGGCAUCAUUAAAAAAAAUCAAAUUAGUUUUUGAUGCCUUUUAAACCUUCACCCAGAAAUAUGCAAUUACAAACUCAAAACAAUAAUUUUCGUUGAAAUGGAAUUUUCUAUUGGGAAUGAUGAAAGAGAAAAGAAAAAGAAAAAGAAAUAAAAGAAAGGAAAACAAUUUCAUCUUAUGAUAUUUUCUUGAGAAUAAAAUGAGAAACUAGAAAGGAAAGAGGAAAACCCAAAAUUAAAAGAAUUGAAAGGUUAAAUAAAUUGUAUUUUAAGAAAGUGAUUUGAAUAUUUUUUUAAUCAUUUAAGAAGAAGAUAGAGUUCUGCAAUUCCUCUUUUUUAAUUUCAAUCAUUAAGGUGAAGAUUUUUGUGGGAAAGAGAAAGAAUUAAAUAAAGAAGAAAGAGAAAAAGAAAUAAAAGAAAGGAAAACAAGGUAAAUAAAAAAUGAAAAUAAUGCAAGGGCAAUUUUGUCCUAUAGGGGGUUAAGUGAGCAAAAUUAAAGGUUAGAAGGUAGACUGAGAAAUGGGGUGUAUCUUAAGGGGAUUAAAUGUGAUUAACCCUUUAUUUAUUUAUUAACCAAGGGGGGGUUAUGUGUAUAUUUUGAAAACCAUAAGGGGAUUAUAUGGUAAAGUAUUAAACUAUAAGAGGGUUAUAUAGUAAAAUAUAAAAAUCAUACGGGAUUAGUGUGUCAUGUAUUUAUAAGGGUAAUUACGACAUUUCUAGAAGUUCCGUUACGAAUGACUAUUUCCGUCACUUUGACACUUUAAUCCAAACUAUGAGGGGGUUAUGUAUAGUUUUUGAAACCAAAGGGGAGUUAUGUAAAAAAUGCUAAACCACAGGGGGUAAAAUGUAAUUUACCCUUUUUUUAUGUAGAAAAAAUAGAAUUUCAUUGCUGAAUUUGCUAAAAAUCAUCCAGCAGAUUUUGUUUAAGAAAGUUAGGAGGUCCAUUUUAUAGAUAUCCAUCGAGUUACUGGACUUGACACGAUUUGAUUUGCAUGUCCUUAUAGUUGGUGAAUAAUUCGAGACAUGAUAUUUGACUAGCUAGUGAUGCAUCACGUUGAGAGAUACAAACUACAGGUGCUCAAACCGUUUCAAUAGGUUUGCAAUUGAACCAGAAUCAAAAGCUUCAAAGAUAACACUUUACAUUCAAUUUGCCACAACUAAACACUCAAGCUAGUUCCUACGGUUAAGAUUUGAGGGAAAAAAAAUUACAGAAAAAAGUAGCCUACAAUUUUGCGCUACAUGUCCGAGAAAAAAAAUAUUAGCAAGUAAAAUGUCAUCAACAUACAAUAUCAAAAAAUAUACUUGCUCCCACAGAACUUAUGGUAUAUAAAAUCAUCUAUUAAAUUCAUUUCAAAACCAAAUAAGAUGAUCACUUGAUGAAAUUUGAAAUAAUAUUAUCGAGACACUUGUUUGAAUCCAUUGAUGAAUUUUUUAAAUUUGCAAACCACAUUUUUUGGAUCUCCCAGUACAAAAUUUUUUUACUACACCAUAUAAAUCGUCUUAUCAAUAUUACCAUUACGAAAUGCUGUCUUUAUAUUUAUUUAGUAUAAUUCAAGAUUAAAAUGUGCCACUAAUGUCAUGAUAAUUCUAAAAGUCUUUCGAAAAAAUCGGAGAGAAGGUUUCUUUAUAAUCGAUAUAUUGUUUUUGUGUAAAUCCCUUAGCAACAAGACGAAUUUUAUAUUUUUUUUACAAUAUCUUUCAAAUCUCUCUUAAUUUUAAAUAUUCAUUUACAACCAAUGGUUUCACUCCUUCUAACAAUUGGACAAGAUUCUAGACAUCAUUGUCUUUAUGUGAGGACCCGUAAAUUUUUCUUAUUUAUUUUAUUUUUUCGCGUGCAUUUUUCUUACUUUAUUUUAUUAUCGUAAUUUUUCAGAAAUUUUUAUAAGUGAGUAUAGUUUUUAAAUUAUUUUCUAGUAUAAGUUAGUUUGGGUCAAUUUGGAAGUGUAUUAAGGACAUGAGACCAGCUAGUGCAGUUAGUGCGAUAAAAUUUUGAACGACUAGAUUAAGUUUCGUAUUGAGAAAUAUUAUUUUACAAGGUACUAGGAGAUAAUUAGAGGUUAGUUAGAUAGAUUAGCCAUUGGAAGAAAGAAGAUAAGUUUGAACAAUUAAAAGUGCCAUGUGUUGCGACCCGAUUGGAUGGUGAACUUACCUAACUUUCUUACCUUUACUAAAAUCCCAAUUUUGACCAAGAAACCAUCUUCAUUUCCAACCUCUUGGCCGAACCUCUCAAGGAGGGAAAAGAAAAGAAAGCUUCAACUACUUCUUCCAUUUCUUGCUUAAAUCUUGAAAUCCAACCGAUUAAAUCUUGAAUUUAUCCACCAAAGUGACUUGUUAAGAGAGUUUCAAGGUAUUGGUGGAGUUGAUUUGGAGGAAAAACCCCUAAACUACUACCUUUCUUGAGCUGUGUAGGUAUUUUGUUUGGAAACUCACUUUUGUUCCUAAUAAUGGUCAAUUAGUAGUUUGUAGUGGCUAAAUAUGCUAUUUCAUGGAAGAUUUUGUGGUUUGAGGUAGAGUUAGUUAAAUUUUAGAUUUUAUUAGUGAUUUUUCUGAUUUUAUAUGACAGUUAUUGGUUGGCCAUGAAUGAUGGCUUGAUAUGGAGUAAAAUGAAGCUUUUAUAUGUUAGUUGUGGUUGUUUGCGGAAAAUUUCAGUUUUGUGCGGAAAUUUCAGUUUUAAGGUUCCAAUCUGCCCUGUUCUAACCGGCUUUAUUCAUGCAUGUUAGAGGCCGAAUCAGGCUUAAGUUAAAACAUAAAAGUUGUAGCAAAUGGUGUUAACUAGCUGCCUGCAAAAUUUCAGCUCGAUCCGAGCACUAUAGCAUGUAAAAUGACCUAAAUACCCUUGACUGCCCAUGAGCCCUGUUUCGCGGAUAGAUUUCUGUUUUCCUCAGGAAUUCCAUUUGUGACCAUGAAAAUGCAUGAUUUGGCUUUGGAGGUUUUCAUAAGAAAUAUAGGUAUAUGUUUUGGCUUCGAAACGCCAUAAGAUUCGUUUCAAUCCGAUAAGUGUAGGUUCAGUUGUGCUUAUUGUGCCAAAAGAUGUAUUUGAUAGUUUAUGAUGUGUAUGUGGUUGAUUUGAGAUGAAUUGGUGUUGCUUAUAGGAUGGAAAAGUAAGGAAAUGUAGGGAAUAUGUUGUCCAAAUUUUGGGAGUGUUGGAUUUCUUCGAGUUUGGUUGGAUUUGGAAUAUAUAUAUAAGAAAGGGUUUUGGGGUUGUUUGAGCCCUAGGUCUUCAUGUUACCUUUUCGUCCCCAAAAAUUAUGUUUUGCACCCUUGCAUUAGUAAUUAUUUGGCGAGGCAUAUGACUAGUAGUCGAGCCUCACUUAUGCAUUCCGUUUACUCAAUUUUGGAUGUGGAACCUUCAAUUGUUCUACUUUGGUUAUUUUAGAGUUUCUUGGCGAUUAAUGCCACUCUGGCAUUGAAACUUUUGAAGUAUCUGUACUUGAACCGGUAAGUGUACCACUCCCUUGAAUUAUUACUAAACUGGUUAUCUGUACUUGCAAAUUGCUAUUUGAAUAUUUUUCUCGACUGUUUAUUUUGUACGAGACAAGUGUGUACUUUAUCACACUCGUUCUCUGGCCUGUGUGGCUUGUUUCCUAUAUAUACUUGAAUCUGUUACCUGCGCCUAUUAUAAUGUCGUUGGAAGUGCAUCCAAUGACCUUCCUGUUAAAUCUGAACUCAACCUCAUUGGGAGUUAAUUGAAUCGAGCCAGCAAGGGCUUGGUCGAGAAAAUUGACAAUCCGUGGGUGCCUGUUCCUAGGGAAUCUAUAGGUAUUGGAGACUCUGGAUUUUCAGUAUACUCGAAUAUUACCAUUUCUGUUCCUGUUUGGCGUUCGGGCUCAGUAAGGAGUGUGUUUGGUGAACAGGAUUUUGGCGUUAAAGUGGUGUUCUACUGGACUGGUUCUUUAUUUGAACGUUGACGUAGGGUCAACGAGGCUGGAUCAAGUAUUGCAACGGAGAUUUGGCUCCUGAGAGCCACCUAUAUCCUUUACAUUGUGGUGUUCAUUCAUUUCUCGUAUUUGAUAUGAAUAUGUGCCUUAAAAGUGAUUUCUCAUGAGUUCUACCGUUUAUACUUUUGGUACCUCAUUGAGCUUUUAGCUCACCCCAUUCCGUUAUCAUUGUUUUCCUUACAGGGAGCAAUCUUUUGGAAUUUCGAUGUUUUGAAGAAUGAGUUGAGCUAGAAAUUCUUCUGUUCUUUUGGUAUAGCUCCUCGACAAUUUGAAAAUCCUAAAUGUAUCUUAAUACAAUGUUUCCUUUUGAUUUGUAAACUUAUAAUAUAUAUAUUUUAAAGUGUUUCCUCAUGUUUAUGUGACAUAUAUUUGGAAAUGUAAAUUCUCUCAUGUUAAACAAAGUUUACUUGUACUUGGUUGGAUUGUGACGUGGUAGCGGCACUUCCAUCUCGUUUUGAUUUUUCGUGGGAACGUUGUAGCCAAGAUUUAUUGUAUCUUUUAGUUCGGCUCAAUUGGGUUCUGAAUGUUUAUCUUCUCAAAGUUCUUUUGAGCGUUUGGUAGGAGUUACGUUUGUUCCAGAUCUGUAGUCCCGGCGAGAGUUGGGCAGGCGGUCCGCCUAACCCUUUGGUUCCUUUUAAGGUGAGAUGUGGCUGUCACAGGUGGUAUCAGAGCCGCUUCGCAUGGUCUCUACGUGGAGUGAGUUUGGGCCAAGUGAUGUUAUGAUUCUGAUUUCAUGAAUAUGUCUAAGUACUCGUAUGAGUAUAAGUUAUGAAUCGAGCAUGUUAUAAGUGUAAAAAUCUUUAUCAUGGAACUUGAGGAAGAUAGAUAUGUAUGUCGGGUCGGAAUCUAUAAUAUGGAUGAUUUACUCUUGGGACCGGCCGGCUCAAGUUGUGAAUUAUUUAUUGUGGAUUCUUUACUUGAGUACCAAGUAGUGGAGAGCGUGAGAAUAAUGGUCUGUAUCUUGAUUGAACUUGAGGUAUGUAUGGAUGACAAAGGUCAAUGCACGGAAGAUUUUACAUUGGACCUAGUAAUUAGACUGGUUGAAGGGGUUUGAUAUGAAAAUGUUAUCAUGAACUACUCUUAUACUAGUCUGGCUCGGGUUUUCUAGAGGGUGGUUAGAUUAUAAGGGAAUUCGCAUCUAAGACCUGUUCCCUUUUGCUAUGACCGUGAGGACUUGAUAAGUGUUUACUUGACUUUGAGUUAAUCUAUCUACAACCAUAGAGGUAUUUUCUACUCCUCUUGUGAGAUUCGAUACCCGUAGUUGGCGCUCGAUAAACUACCCUUACCUAUACUUUCUUGAUAUUUAUCUCUUGAUAUCAAAGUAUGGACCUGACUUGAUUAUUAUUGUGUCGAGAUCGAGAAUUUGGAAUUAGGUAUGGAAAUUUGAGAGAAAGGAUUUGGCCUCUAUACCUGUAUGCUUCUAAGUUUAAAUUUCCAUGGUUCGAUUGGGAGUAAGGGAACUUAACAGUUAUAUGGUUAAAGUCCCAAGUGUACUUGGUUACUUAUAUUGAUUUUCUAAUUUGCUUGGCAGGCUAUCCCUUGAGUUCGAGCGAAUCGAUAAAAUGGCACAUUUAGCUGAUAUGUAUAAGGAGAUAGAGAUUCUUCGAAAGGAAGUAGAAUUUCAAAAGAGAUUAGUUGAGCACUGGGAAGGGUAAUGGAAACAGGAGUAUUCGGAAAAAAUUGAGCUACUGCACAAGAACAUAGAGAUGAAAAGAAAUACGAAGGGAUUCUGGAAGAGGUACGAAAUAAGUUUGGGCUAGUGCCUUCAUCUAGUCAAAUGGCCUCUCAGGACAUUUCUAAUAAUAAAGAUGAAAGAGGUGAAGGAAGUGCUCGUGAUAACAAAGGGACACAUAAAGAAAUAGAUGGAAAAGGAGUUGCUAUGAAGGAUAAGGGGAGGAAGAAGAAAAAGAAUGGACACUUUAAAUAAGAAGAAAUGUGUGGCUGCUAAGUGUGAAAUGUGUAACAAAAGUCAUACAGGAAUAUGUUAUGUGAAAAUUGGUGCAUGCUUUAGAUGCGGCCAACUGGAACACCAAAUGAAGAACUGCCCAGAACAAAUGAAUUUUGGGAGGGCGAAACUGCUGUCAUAGUUAAAGUCAGCAAGUAGUGAUGUGUUAGCUGAAAUAAUUGUAUUUAUAGACCUAUGUGUAUGCAACCUCUAUGUAAUGAGUAUGUUUCCGAUAAAAGUAGUUGACCUAAUACUUGAUAUUUUGAUGAGUAAUAUUAAAUAUUGGUGAUUUAACAGUAUUGAAUCUCGAUUCAUGAAUCUUUAUUAUCUUUUAGCCUCGAUAUUAAGUGAAAUUUGUGUCUGUGGUUCGGAAAGAGAAACUUUUGAUGUCUUCACUGAUUUUCUUAGCAUGGCAUUUUAAUCAUAGUAUUAUUGCAAUUUCUCUCUAGAUAGAUUGUGGUAUGAGGAGAAUUUCGAGAACAAAAUUUUUUUAAGGGAGAGAGGGUGUGAGGAUCUGUAAAUUUUCUUUAUUUAUUUUAUUUUUUCGCGUGCAUUUUUCUACUUUAUUUUAUUAUCAUAAUUUUUCAGAGUUUUUAUAAGUGAGUAUAGUUUUUAAAUCAUUUUCUAGUAUAAGUUAGUUCGGGUCCAUUUGGAAGUGUAUUAAGGACAUGACCCGUUAGUGCAGUUAGUGCGAUAAAAUUUUGGACGACUAGGUUAAGUUUCGUAUUGAGAAAUAUUAUUUUACAAGGUGCUAGGAAAUAAUUAGAGAUUAUCUAGAUAGAUUAACUAUUGGAAGAAAGAAGAUAAGCUUGAACCAUUAAAAGUGCCAUGUGUCGCGACCCGAUUGGAUGGUGGACUUGCCUAACUUUCUUACCUUUACUAAAAUCCCAAUUUUGACCAAGAAACCAUCUUCAUUUCCAACCUCUUGGCCGAACCUCUCAAGGAGGGAAAAGAAAAGAAAGCUUCAACUACUUCUUCCAUUUCUUGCUUAAAUCUUGAAAUCCAAUCGAUUAAAUAGUGAAUUUGUCAACCAAAGUGACUUGUUAAGAGAGUUUCAAGGUAUUGGUGGAGUUGAUUUGGAGGAAAAAUCCCUAAGCUACUACCUUUCUUGAGGUGUCAAGGUAUUUUGUUUGGAAACUCACUUUUGUUCCUAAUAAUGGUCAAUUAGUAGUUUGUAGUGGCUAAAUAUGCUAUUUCAUGUAAGAUUUUGUGGUUUGAGUAGAGUUAGUUAAAUUUCAGAUUUUAUUAGUGAUUUUUCUGAUUUUAUAUGAUAGUUAUUGGUUGGCCAUGAAUGAUGGCUUGAUAUGGUGUAAAAUGAAGCUUUUAUAUGUUAGUUGUGGUUGUUUGCGGAAAAUUUCAGUUUUGUGCGGAAAUUUCAGUUUUAAGGUUCCAAUCUGCCCUGUUCUGACCGGCUUUAUUCGUGCAUGUUAGAGGCCGAAUCAGGCUUAUGUUAAAACAUGAAAGUUGUAGCAAAUGGUGUUAACUAGCUGCCUGCAAAAUUUCAGCUUGAUCCGAGCACUGUAGCAUGUGAAAUGACCGAAAUACUCUUGACUGCCCAUGAGCCCUGUUUCGCAGAUAGAUUUCUAUUUUCGUGAGAAAUUUCAUUUGUGACCAUGAAAAUGCAUGAUUUGGUUUGGGGUCUUCAUAAUAAUGUAGGUAUAUGUUUUGUUUCGAAAUGCCAUAAGAUUCGUUUCAAUCCGAUAAGUGUAGCUUCAGUUGUGCUUAUUGUGCCAAAAGGUGUAUUUGAUAGUCUAUGAUGUGUAUGUGGUUGAUUUGAGAUGAAUUAGUGUUGCUUGUAGGAUGGAAAAGUAAGAAAAUGUAGGGGAUAUGCUGUCCAAAUUUUGGAGUGUUGGAUUUCUUCGAGUUUGGUUGGAUUUGGAAUAUAAUAUAAGAAAGGCUUUUGGCGUUGUUUGACCCUAGGUCUUCAUGUUACCUUUUCAUUCCCAAAAAUUAUGUUUUGCCCUUGCAUUAGUAAUUAUUUGGUGAUGGAUACGACUAGUAGUCGAGUCUCACUUGUGCAUUCCGUUUACUUGAUUUUGGAUGUGGAACCUUCAAUUGUUCUACUUUGGUUAUUUUAGGAUUUUUUGGUGAUUAAAACCACUCUGGCAUGAAAACUUUUGAAGUAUCUGUACUUGAACCGGUGAGUGUACCACUCCCCUGAAUUAUUGUUAAACUGGUUAUCUGUACUUGCAAAUUACUAUUUGAAUGUCUUUCCUGACUAUUUAUUUUGUACGAGACAAGUGUGUACUUUAUCACACUCGUUCUCUGGUCUGUGUGGCUUGUUUCCUAUAUAUACUUGAAUCUGUUACAUGCGCAUCUUAUAAUGUCGUUUGGAAGUGCAUCCAACGACCUUUCUGUUAAAUCUGAGGUCAACUUCAUGGGGAGUUAAUUGAAUCGAGUCAGCAAGGGUUUGGUCGAGGAAAUUGACAAUCUGUGGGUGCCUAUUCCUAGGGAAUUUAUGGGUAUUGGAGACUCUGAAUUUCCGGUAUAUUCGAGUAUUACCAUUCCUGUUCCUGUUUGGCGUUCGGGCCCGGUAAGGGGUAUGUUUGGUGAACAGGAUUUUGGCAUUAAAGUAGUGUUCUACUGGACUAGUUCCUUUAUUUGAACGUUGACGGAUGGUCAACGAGGUUGGAUCAAGUAUUGGAACGGGGAUUUGGCUCCUGAGAGCCACCUGUAUCCUUUAUAUUGUGGUGUUCAUUCAUUUCUCGUAUUUAAUGUGAAUAUGUGCCUUAAAAGUGAUUUCUCAUGAGUUCUACUGUUUAUACUUUUGGUACCUCAUUGAGUUUUUAACUCACUCCAUUCCGUUAUCCUUGUUUUCCUUACAGGGAACAAUUUUUUGGAACUUCGAUGUUUUGAAGAAUGAGUUGAGUUAGUUAGAAAUUCUUUUGUUCUUUUGGUAUAGCUCCUCGACAAUUUGGAAACUCUAAAUGUAUCUUAAUACAAUGUUUUCUUUUGGUUUGUAAACUUAUUAAUAUGUAUAUUUUAAAGUGUUUCCUCAUGUUUAUGUGAUAUAUAUUUGGGAAUGUACAUUCUCUCAUGUUAAACAAAGUUUACUUGUACUUGGUUGGAUUGUGACGUGGCAGCGGCACUUUCAUUUCGUUUUGAUUUUUCGUGGGAACGUUGUAGCAAAGAUUUAUUAUAUCUUUUAGUUCGGCUCAAUUGGGUUCUGAAUGUUUUUCUUCUCAAAGUUCUUUUGAACGUUUGGUAGGAGUUACGUUUGUUCCGGAUCCGUAGUCCCGGCGAGAGUUGGGCAGGCGGUUCGCCGAACCUUUUGGUUCGCCUUAGGGUGAGGUGGGGCUGUCACACUUUAAUAAAUUUAAUUUCUUCAUUCAUGACAUCAAUUCACUUUUAGGAAUUUGAACUUUUUUGAUUUGAUGGAAGUUAUUUGGAUCAUCUUCCAUCAAUUCAAUGUCAUCCUUAUAUUUUUGAAGAAAAAUAAUAUAAUCAUCUAACACUGCACUUCUUCUUUUUCUAGUGGAUCUUUUUGAUGACACUGAUUCUUGAAAAGGUAGAGUUUGCUUUUCUAUAAUAGUUUGUUUUUCAACAUCAUCUUGAUUUGUUGUGUCAUAAUCAAUUUCAGAAAUAAGAUUCUGAACAAGAUUAAUGACACAUGUGAAAAUAUUAAUAUAUUUCUCUUCAAAGAUAAGAUUUUUAACUAUAUCUUCUCCCUCAAACUCAACAUCUUCAAACAAUUGAGUAUUUUGUUUCUCGAAAAUCGAUUUAGUCGUGGGAUUAUAAAACUUGUAACCCCUAGAUCUGUCAAAAUAUCCAUAGAAUAAUAACUAACCGUCUUUGAAUCUAGUUUUUUUUUUCAUUUGUCCUAUAAGGUCUUGUCUCAAUUGGACAUCCGUAAAUAUGUAAAUGUUUCAAAUUGGUCUUUUUUUCUAUCCAAAUCUUAUAAGAGAUUUUGAUAGUUAUUUUAGUUGGAACUCUGUUAAGGAUAUAUGCGGCAGUUUUAAGUACUUCUUCCUAGAAUGAUUUUGGUAAGGUAGAAUGACAUAUCAUAUUCCUUACCAUGUUUUUAAAUAUUCUAUUUCGUCUUUCAAUUAUACAUUCAUAGUAGGUGAACCCAACGUAAUAUACUGUGGGAUGAUACCGCAUUCCUUUAGGUAUUUAACAAAUGAUAUUGGACAUUGUUCACCUAAACCGUCAUAUCUACCAUAGUACUCACUACCAUGGUCAGAUCUGACGCUUUUAAUUCUUUUGUUAAAUUGUUAAAUUGGUUCUCAACUUCAACCUUAAAAUUUUUGAACAUGUUCAGCGAUUGUGAUUUUUUAGAAAUGAGAUAUAUGUAACCAUAUUCUGAAAAAUUAUCUAUGAACGUUAUAAAAUAUUGUUAACAAUUCCAAGCAGAUGUAGGAAAUGACCCACAAAUAUCUGUACAUAUAAGUUCCAAGAUGUUUAAGGACCUAUUGAUUUCAAAUCUCCUCUUAUUAGUUUGUUUCCCCUUUAUACAGUUAACACAAUUAUAAAAACUAUAAAAUUUAAGUGGUCAAGAAUUUCAUUUGACACAAGUCUUUUCAUUCUCCGUUUGAAAAUACGUCCCAAUCUCUUGUACUAUAAUACAGCUGAAUUCUCAUUCGUUAAUUUUCUCUUUACUCCUCUAGUACCCAAAUGCAAAUAUUCAUUAAAUGAGACAAUUGUAUCAAUUAAAUAUAGAUUAUCAUAAUGCAUUAAAGAACUAGAACUAAUCAAUUUUAAAUCAUGAAAUAAUUUAAAAUUUUCAUUUUCAAAUGAACAAAAAUAACCAAUUUUGUUCAAAGAAGAAAUAGGAAUCAAAUUCCGUCGAAAAGACGGUAUAAUAAAUAUUUCAUUAAGAUCCAAAUAAAAUUCGAUCUUUAACAAUAAUUUAAAAACUCCGAUUAUCUCAACUUGAACUGUUUUACCAUUAUCCACGUAAAUAUAUCUUUCAUUAUCAUUAGGUGUUUGACAAUUCAGCCAAUCCUGCAUAGACAUACUAAUGUGAGUUGUUGUACCUGAAUCUAACCACUAUGUGUGUUUGAGUAUCGAAGUUAAAUUAAUCUCAAAAUAAACCAGAUUAACAAAUAUACCUUUCUUAGUACGCUAAGCGUGAUAGUUGAUGCAAUAUUUCUUUCUAUGCCCUUCAACUCCACAGAAGAAAUAAUUAUUCUUUCUCGGAUUAAUCAAUUUUUUCUGUUAUUUCUUUUGCGGUGCCGUACCUGUAGAUUUGUUAUUCUUCUUUCUCUUAAAUUCCUUACUUUUAUUAGUAGUGGUUGGGACCAAACAAUACUCUCUGUCUAGUUUUGUUUCAAUCUUUCCUCUUCCUCUACACAAUGUGCGAGGAGUUCAUUUAGAGAUCAAGCCUUUUUUUGACAGUUGUAACUCACCUUAAACUGAUUAAACUGUGUGGGAAGGGAUAUUAAAAUCAAAUGGACCAAUAACUCUUCAGAGAGUACCAAUUUAAGUGCAAUUAAUUUCGAAACAAGAUGAGACAUCCCUAUAUUGUACUCUUUGAUAUUGUUUUUGCCAUUAUAUUUCAUUGAAAUUAAGCGUGUCAAGAGCGUAUUAAUUUCAAUUUUUCGUUCUUGAUAAAUCUUUUUUUAAUGUUCUGAAAGAACUCUUUAGCGGUAACUGUUGUUUUUGACAUUGUUUCUUUGAAUGCUUCUGGAACGGCCUUUUUAAUGAUCGUCAAAUACAAGUGAUUUGAUCUUUCUCACCUUUCCUUAUCCCUCUUUUUAUUAGAGGUACUUUGAUCUAUAAGAGGUGGAGAAUAAUCAACCCUUAACGCUAGUUCGAGAUCUAUUAUUCCAAGUACUAUUAAGAGGUUUUCUUUCCAAGAUUUGAAUUUUGUGCUAUUCAGCAUAGAAAUAUUAUUGAUGUUGGUAAUAAUAUUUGUAACAUCAUUCGCAGCUGAACAAAAAAAUAUAAAAUAAUUAAACAAUCUCACGUAAAGUAAAAUAAUAAUAAAUUCAAAUAAAGGUAACCCCAUCUCAAGAUACCAAUGUUUCAUUAAUAUUUUAUUUUUGGACAAAAAUAUUAACUUUUAAGUGAUAUCUUGAUGCAAUAAUAAACACUGAUAAUAAUAACAUGCCAAAAAUUAAUUUUUCUUUAGGUCAAUUUAUAAUUUACAUAUAAAAAGUCGAAUAAUUAUCGCGUGUUUAUUAUUACAAGUGCACAUGUAAUUUUGUCAAACAUUGAUCUUCCUUUAGACCAAUCAAUAUUCACAAAAAUUACAAAUACUCAAUAUUAUAUUCUAGAAUAAAUUAAUUUCCACAAAAGAGGUCACUUUGGUGGCAUAUUGUUUGAAUUAAUUUAUUCUAAAAUAUAUAUAAUCAAACCAAUAUUUAAAUUUAAAAUUACACAAAUUACAUAAAAUUUUUUAUUAAAGUCAACUUUGGUCAACUCUGAUCAAAAUGUGGUCAAAUCAGUCAAAUCAGGUCAAAUCAAUCAAUUAGAUCAAGACUUAUUGGACCAAAAGUCCAUAUCCAGAACUUGACCCAAAUUUAUCAUUUAACUUCAAAAUUUUUUUAAAGUCCAUAAUGCCUUAUAAGACUAUAUAUUUAAUGGGCCAACCUUAUGAAUUUUAUAAGAUUUAAAUGUCUUAUUUAACUUUAUUAGGGUUUAUUCAAAUUAGAGAAACCCUAAUGUGUAUAUUGGCUCUUAAACAAGAAAACAAGUCCAAGAAUUCAAGUUAAUAGUCCUAAUUUUAUAACCGAAGGCAUACCCAUAGCUGGAUUCAAGUGAUAUAAAUUAAACAAUUAACUAGGACAAGUAAACAUGAUUCGUGAAACACGUGCCAAUUAGUUUUAGUUUCAAUCAAAGGCAAAUGUUUGAGAUGCAAAAGUAGCCAAUCGGCCAACUAAAAUAGCAUAAGGAAACAAUGGAUCGGCCAAAGCAAUGAAUCAAUGAAAUCAAAGUGGAUUCACUGAAUUCAAUGUUAAAACAAUGGACCGUACAAUUCAUGAAUUGACUAUUGUCAUGAAAAUUGCAUCAUAACAUAUGCAAACAAUCAUGACUAGAAUUUGACCAAAAUUUUCGUGAAUCAAAACUAGAACCACGGAAUAAUUAUGACCAAAAGACUAAAGACAAAACUAACAAUCAAUCAGGACAAGCCAAUUCACACGACAUAAAUGAGUUUCAAUACAAUUCGUUUCAAGCAAAUUCACGCGAUUUCCAAAUUUGAACAAUCGCCCAUUACCGGAGUAUUCUUGUUUAAGAGCAGACAACCAUAUAACCAAAAUCGAAUUCGCGAGACAAAAAAAUACAAAUUACAGAAUUCAAUUUAUUUCUUAAUAAUCAAUCAUAUCUAGUUCUGAUAUCACUUAUUGAGCACCACUUAUUGAGUGAUAGUUUAUAUUAGUCUUUGGUGAAAGCAAUCACCUGUUAAAUCCAAAAUUUUUAUGGCGAUUAUUAAGAAUAAAUUAAUAAUAAAAUUACAAAAGCGCACCUGAAUUCAUGUUGACAAGCUGGCACUUGAAUCCUUGAAGAUUUUUUUGGGGAGGUCUUUCAGGUCAACACCUAUUCGCUAAUCCUUAAGAGAGCCCUUUAAUCUCUGAUAUCUCUUAUGACGAUGGAUAUCGAGAAAAGUUAUUUUGUGAUACUAAAAAAUACGAUAAUAAUAUACAUGUAAUCUGGGAAUCAUAACCCUAUUUAUAGAUAAAUUUCUGUUAUCUUUUGUAUUCUUAUUUUAACCCAUCAUAGAAAUAGGAAACACCCGUAAGUCUCUACAUAUUAAAGAUUCAUAUUCUAUUAGAUAUAUUAAAGUCCAAAUCAUAUUUGAUCACUUUAAUUAGAUCUAAUCUUAUUUGACAGUAACAUAUAAUUAUUCAUAUAUAAAUCCAAUGUUGGAUUAAAGAUUCAACAAAAACUGCUUAAAAUUAUGGUUAAUAAUUACUUCACAGUCGGCUUUAAUUAUUAACAAAAAAUGGAUUGAUCAUACUUGUCCCCUCAAGGUUUGGAUUAGUCACGCUUUAUCACCCCAACUUCACAAAUAUAUAAUUUACCCCGUCUUGACCAGUCAAAAUAUUAAAAAUGCUUAACACUGUUAAGACAAAAUAAAGUGCUGAGGAGAUUAAAGGAUCCAUGAUUUGUUAGUGAAGGUACAAUUGUACUCUUGUAUUGGUGCAUAUGGCCUGCGAAAAAAUAAAAGAAAAGUUAUUGAUAAGUGGGAAAAAAAAACUGACAAUCGACAGCAACUAUGAUAAAAUAACUCUUGAAAAGGCCCUGAUGUACACGGGAGAAGGAGUCAGAGAAUCCUCAAAAGCACUGAAGGGCUUUUUUUUGGGGUUGUAGUGACUUAUUAAAAAACAUUUAGGGCCUGUUUAAGAUUGUUGUAUUUUUGCUAAAAAAGUAUUUUGGAGGUCAAAAAUACUUUUAACAUGUUUAAUGAAAAUCAUUCCUUAAAUUUGGAAGUAGAAUUUUUGGUCAUAAAAGCACUUUGGUAUAAGUUCAAAAUUGAUACAUUUAGAGUAACUUUUGUAUUUGAAACAAAUAAAAAAUUAAGUUUAAUAAUUUUAUUAUAAAUUUUGAACUCAAUAAACAGAUAAAUAAGUUUUGUAACCUCAAAAUUGCACAUUAUCAAAUAGAAAAAGUACUUACUCUUGUAAAUCCAAACAAUAUGAUUUAUCAAUUAAUAAAUACUUUGACUAAAAACUGUACUCAUUGAAAUGCUUUUCGAUAAGCCACCGUAACUCAGAUAGGCCCUUAAUUUAGAAGAGUUAUUCGUCAAAGUAUUUAUGAAGAGCUUCUUGUUCGAUCUAGAUUUGAAGCCCUAUUGGUAACUGGUGGACAUCUGGUCGAGGCAUUUGGUUUGGAGCGAUGUCGCAUGAGUAUAGACCUUGAUUCUGACAGGUUCUGUAGGACGAUGACCUGUUGGUAAUGUGCUUUAGUGACACUUUCAGUUGAGUACUGCCACACAAGUUCUGGUGUAGUGGAGCAAUAGUUUCCUUAGGACUCAACCUGGGAAUUCUUACAAGACUUGGAGCAGUAAUUCCUACCUAAUUUCCAUCCCUGAGGACAAGGGCUCUUUUAGAGAGGGGUAUUUGAUGCACUGAUUUUAGUUGUAUGAUUGAUUGACCAUAAGAGAUUAUAAUAGAUAAUGGUGGAAGUGAAAGUUAAUAAGUUAAAAGAAUAUUGCUGAUGCUAGUAGUUAGUUAGCACAGCCAAAGAAGUGGUUAGCUGCAACCGACUCUCCACUACUUGCUUAUAUAUUAAGCUGCGCAUAAGGAGAAACAUUCAUUUUGAUGUAUUGCUACAAAUCAUUGGUCAUUCUUCUUGUAUCUUCUCUGAGUUUUCACUACAAUAAAAUACAUGAUGCUCCCUUGAAUUUCGAAUUACUUCUUCGUCAUUUUUGUAAUUCUGUAAUGAUUCCACAGGAAAUAGGACAAAAUAGUUAGCCAAAUUCUGUUAGCCAAAUAUUCUUGGAUUUGUUAUAGUGGCAACAACUUGCAGAAAGUUAGUUACAAUUAGUUAGUUGGGGGAACUUCUAUGAAUAGGCCAACACUAAUGUAAGGAAGGACAUGCAAAAUCUGAUCUCUAAAGAAUACAACUUCCCCGCCUCUUUUUCAAAUUCAUCCUUGCUCUCUCUCUUUCUCUUGUUCCUUCCUCUCUAUUCUUUUUUUCCUAUACUUUCUGUACCUUAGCUGAAUCAUCAGAUUCUCAACCAUUACAUUUGGUAUCAGAGCUUGCGGUCCUGGGAUUUGAAAGCUCCAAUUUGGCAACAAUGGCGGAAGGCACCAGAAUGAAGGGAUUUGAGGAAAUGCUGAAGAAACAAGAUGCAAGGAUCCAAACUAUCCUCGAAUCCAGUACAAUCGAACGUCAAGCGUUAGAGGAAAAGAUCGAGUCUAACUAUGUGGACAUGAAGGCUCUGGUGGAAGCAAACAAUGUUGAAUUAAAGGAAGAAAUGAAGAAUUUGUUGGGAUAUGCAACUUUUCCUACAUAUUUUGCUAGAUUAUGUUUGAUAUCAAAAUAAUUUAGUUAUUAGAAAAAUAAGGAUAUUUGUUAACCAAAGAUCAUGUUGGUUUGUUAACAGAUAUUUUAGAUAAGAUUUGCUAAUAGAAGGAGUUUAUAUUUUGUUGAGAUUUUUAGAAUAAUUGUUAGUUGGAUAUUUUGCUAGUUUGUUUCAUGUAAUCACUAUAAAUAGUGAGUUGAUGAAUGUAGAACAUAAGUUCAUUUUUUCCACCUUUAAUACAAGUCUCUUAUAAGCUUUUUUUGCAACACUAAGGUGUUGUUUCUUAGUUUAUGCCCAAAAAAACCAACAAAGUGGUAUCAAGAGCCUAUAUCUUAAGGGCCUGAGUCUUUUUUUUUUUAGAGUGAUGCAUUGGUGAGGAUCCUUUAUAAGUUCAAAGCCAUGACAGGAAAGAACUUUUUGUCAAAUGUUUCAACUUUUAGUGGUAAAACUUACCAAAUUUGGGCUAUAAAAUUUUGGACUUAUUUGGUAGUCAAUGAUCUACGAGAUAUGGUGGAGACGAAUUUUGUUUCACCAGCAUUUGAAGAGCUGAUGGAUACACAAAUUAGAGAUCACAAAGUUGCAGUUAGACAGAGAUCCAAGGCCAGCAUUCACAUAUCAGUUUUUGAUGCCGUUUUCACAAAGAUAAUGGCUGAUGAUUUGAUUGAGAAUAAAUUAUUCUCAAUUAAAAUAAAAAGGAGAAGUUUCACUAUGAAUUGGUCAGAUUUUGACAAUUCUAAAGUGGAACAUGAUGAUGAAAUCAAGAAUUCAGAUCCUGAAAAAAUUCAGGAGGAGAUCAUUAAUAAGUGAGGAGAUAUCAAAUUGAUUCCUGAUAUUUGUCAAGAUUAUAACAUUUCUAUUUUUGAGUCUACAGAUAUUGAUGGUGAUGACAAAAUGAAGAACCAUGCAGAAUUUUAUAUUUUCUGUAUAGGUUCAAAUAUCGUCAAAAGAUGUUCCAUUUUAAACCUAUGAGAAGGUUAUUUGGAAACAUAAAAAAAAAAAUCAUUUUUUAUGUGGAGUUUGGCACGAGAAGAUAAAAGAAGUGGUUCGUUGCAAGACUAAUAUUUAGCUUGCAUAAAAACCCAAAGGAAGAAGUUCAUUGCAAGGCUAAUCAUCAAUUGCAAAGCUUCUUACAAAAGUCUCGUUCAAAACAAGAUUCAAAGAUUUGAGAAGACAAUUCAAAAUCUGUAGCAAAAGUGGCAAGGAGGAGUGUUGGGAUGUGCAACUUUUCCUACAUAUUUUGCUAGAUUAUGUUUGAUAUCAAAAUAAUUUAGUUAUUAGAAAAAUAAGGAUAUUUGUUAACCAAAAAUCAUGUUGAUUUGUUAACAGAUAUUUUAGAUAAGAUUUGUUAGUAGAAGGAGAUUAUAUUUUGUUGAGAUUUUUAGAAUAAUUGUUAGUUGGAUAUUUUGUUAGUUUGUUUCAUGUAAUCAUUAUAAAUAGUGAGUUGAUGAAUGUAGAACAUAAGUUCAUUUUUUUCACCUUUAAUACAAGUCUCUUAUAAGUUUUGUUUGCAACACUAAGGUGUUGUUUCUUAGUUUAUUCCCAAAAAAAAACCAACAGAAUUUCAUGGUCACGAUGAAUGCUCAAUUCAAUACCCUCAUGAGGAACUUACAGGGGGAAAGGGGAAUUCUAGGCCAACCUCUUAACUCAUCUGAGCGACCUCCUAAUCAAAUACUUAGCAAAAGUCAUGAAGGAAGCCAUCCUUUUCUGGGGGAAAAGAGUCGUUUCCCAAUAGGAGUUCCCAAACUGGAAUUUCCUAGCUUUGGAGGCUCUAAUCUAUGAGAAUGGAUCAGGAAAUAUGAGAAGUUUGUUCAGCUAUAUUAGAUUCCAGAAGGACAGUAGAUGGAUGUGGCUGAACUGUAUUUGGAAGGCAAGGCUGAUCUCUAGUAUCAAAGCUUCAAGAAGGACAGAGGAGUGGUGCAAUGGGGGGAUUUUGGCUCAGAACUUUGUAGAAGAUUUGGGGAUCUGGGGGAGGAGAUGUGGUAGAGGAGUUCAACAAAUUGUAGCAGGAUUCAUCAGUUUUAGCAUAUCAGGACAAGUUUGAAGAAUUAAGAGCUGCUGUCAUGGUAAAACUACCCUCCUCUCUGAAUAUACUAUGUUUCUAGCUUCCUGAGUGGGCUGAAGGAGGAGAUCAAGGCUGCUGUGAAAAUGCACAUGCCCCAGACCUUACAGGUAGCAUUCGAAAAGGCUAGAUGGCAAGAAUAGUAUUUGAGCAUCAUCUUAAGGCAGAAUAAAGUACCAAUGAAGAUAUCUCCACCAAUUUCUUCUGGAAGUAAACAUACCCACCCUAAUGACCUGAGCCACAAGAAACCUGCAACUCAUGUGUUUGAGAAUAGUAUUAAGAAGGAUUCUUCUCGGGUAAGAAAAUCUCACCCACAGAAUUUCAGUACAGGAAGGAUCACAACCUGUGUUUCAAGUAUGGGGAAAAAUUUUCUCCUGGACAUAUCUGCAAGAAUAGAGGGAUACAUUGGUACUAGUAGAUGAAGAAGGAUUGCAUGGCACUGAAGUAGAUGAGGAAGAAAGGGAAAUCAUUGAGUAUCAGGGAAUAAGUCUAGCAAGGAUGUAGCCUUCUCACUACACUCAGUCUCUGGACACAUGUCUUCUAAUACCAUUAGGAUGAUAGGACACUAUAGGGGGCACGAUUUAUCCAUUCUGCUUGAGGGGGGAGUACCAACUGUUUUAUCAGGUUAGCCAUUACUCAACUACAUCCUGAUUCUGUGCAGAGUCAUAAGCCCUUCAAGGUGAGGAUAGCUGAUGGAAAGGAGUUAAUGUGCAAUCAGUGGAUUCCAAAUAUGAAGUGGGAAAUGCAGGGACACAACUUCACUCAGAAUGUAUAUGUGUUGGACUUAGAGCCAUAUGAUUUAAUCCUUGGGGUGGAUUGGAUGAAACAUUACAGUCCAAUGACUUUUGAUUUUAAGGAGUUGACAUUGUCUUUUGAUAAGGAGGGUGAAACUGUGUUGCUGCAAGGAGACUCCCACACUGCCAAGGUGAGGAUGAGGCAAGGGACAGCAGCACAAAGGCAUAUCAGGAAUAAAGUCAGGACUUCUUUGCAACACUCUUGCAUGAUCAGAGUACAGAACAGUCAGGUAACUCCUGUACCAAAAUCACUUACUCAAUUGCUUGACCAAUGUUAGGACAUCUUUGAGGAACCUACAUCCUUACCCCCUAUCAGAGAAUUAGACCACCAAAUACCCCUCAUACCUGAUGCCAAACCCUUCAAAAUCAAUCCCUAUAGAUAUCUCCACAUGCAGAAAUCAGAAAUAGAACGACAGGUCAAAGACCUGUUGUAAUUUGGUAUCAUACAACCUAGCCACAACCCUUUUGCAUCCCCAGCUCUCUUGGUAAAAAAAAAGGAUGGAAGUUGGAGGUUUUGUAUUGAUUAUAGGCAGCUCAACAACCUUACCAUCAAAGAUAUCCCAUUCCUACCAUUGAUGACUUGCUUGAUGAAUUGCAUAAUGCAAAAAUAUUUUCUAAAAUAGAUCUAAGGUCAGGUUACCAUCAAAUUCGUAUGAACCCCUCUGAUGUCCCUAAAACAGCCUUUAGAACUCACUCUAGCCUUUAUGAAAACCUAGUGAUGCCUUUUGGCCUCACAAAUGCCCCUACUACAUUUCAAGCCUUAAUGAAUUCCAUAUUGGAACCUUUCAUCAAAUAGUUUGUGCUUGUGUUUUUUGAUGACAUUCUUGUUUAUAGCUCAGAUCUGGACAGCCAUCUUAAACACCUAUCCCUUGUUCUUAACACCUUGAGAACCCAUUCAUUAUAUGCGAAGAUGUCUAAAUGUUCCUUUGGUCAAGAUAAAAUUGAGUAUUUGGGACAUGUAGUUACUGCUGAAGGUGUUUCUGCUGACCCUGCAAAGGUAGAGGCAAUGUUUUUCUUGCCAGUUCCUGAUAACAUUAAGGCUCUUAGGGGUUUUCUUGGAUUGGGGGUACUACAGGAGGUUUGUCAAGCGCUAUGGGAAAAUAGCAAAGCCCCUAAUUGAGUUGCUUAAAAAGGACAGUUUCGUAUGGAAUGAAGCAGCUACUUCUGCCUUUAAGCAGCUCAAGGUGGCUAUGUCACAGGCUCCUAUACUAGCUUUACCUAACUUCUCCAUGCCCUUUAUAUUAGAGACAGAUGCAAGCCAAACAGCUAUGGGAGCAGUACUGAUGCAGCAAGGGAGACCAAGAGCAUUCAUGAGCCAAGCUUUGGGACAAAAAAAUCAAUCAGUGUCCAUUUAUGAGAAAGAGUUGCUGUCCCUGAUCACUGCUGUAGGAAAAUGGAGGCAUUACUUAUUGGGAUCUCAUUUCAUCAUCAGAACAGACCAUCAAAAUCUAAAGUACUUGCUAGACAAAAGAUCACUACUUCCCUACAACAGAAAUGGAUUGCAAAAUUGAUGGGAUUGGACUAUGAAAUCCAAUACAAAAGAGGCAAGGAUAAUACAGUUGCAGAUGCUCUUUCUAGGAGGCAAGGAGGUUCUGCAGGAGGAAGCAAUCAGGAGAGUUACAAUGGAGUCCACUCUAUAUCUGCAGUCAAACCUCUAUGGCUCUCCAAGGUAUCAGAGAGCUACAAUGGAGAUAACAAGGUCAAAGAAUUAUUAACAACACUUGCAAUAGACAACUCUAGUACACCUGAUUACUCCUACCAUCAAGGGAUUAUCAGGUACAAGGGGAAGGUAUACAUUGGAGCUACCACUGAAUUUAGGAGGCAACUUGUUAGCUGCAUGCAUGAUUCUGUAGUUGGAGGCCACUCUGGCAAUCAGGGGACCUAUCAAAGAUUGAAGAGUUAUUUCUUUUGGCCAGGAAUGAAAAAGGAAGUGGAAGCUUAUGUACAAGCUUGUGACACCUACAAGAGGAGCAAAUGAGCAAGCUAGUUACCCUGGCUUGCUACAACCUCUCGCAAUACCAGAGCCAGCUUGGCAGCAUAUCUCAAUGGAUUUUAUCGAAGGUUUGCCAAAAUCCUUGGGGCAUGAUGCCAUAAUGGUCGUGGUGGACAGGCUUACUAAAUAUGCGCAUUUCAUAUCCAUGGGGUCUCAUUUCACAGCAAAGAGUGUUGCACUGGUGUUCUUCGAGCAAAUCUAUAAACUGCAUGGUUUGCCAGUGGACAUUAUAUUUGAUAGGGACAAGAUUUUCACAAGUUUAUUUUGGCAGGAGCUUUUUCAUCAGGUGGGAACUACCCUUAGUUUCUCAUCCUCAUAUCACCCCUAGUCUGAUGGACAGACUGAGAGAGUAAAUCGAUGUGUGGAAACCUACUUGAGGGCUUUGUGUUUGCAAUAGUCUGGUCAUUGGAAAAGGUGUUUGCCUGCAGCUGAGUAGUGGUACAACACUAAUUUCCAUUCUAGUUUAUAGAUGACACCCUUCCAAGCACUCUAUGGUUAUAAACCAAAACAGCUGUGCCUACAACCAGACAACACCCAAGUACUUGCUGUGGAGAUUGGUUAACUGAGAGGGUGAAUUGGAACUCCCUACUGAAGGAAAAUUUGUUGCAUGCUUAGAACUAUAUGAAAUAGUUUGCAGACAAACACAGGACUGACAGGACAUUUGCUGAGGGGGAUUGGGUUUACCUCAAGUUACAGCCUUGUAGACAGACCACUAUGGUUGUUUGAAAAAAUUGAGCUAGCAGCUAAGUACUAUAGACCACAUCAGAUUGAAAAAAGGAUUGGAGCAGUAGCCUAUAAACUCAAGUUACCACUAGGAGCUGCUAUUCAUCCUGUAUUUCAUGUUUCGCUUUUGAAACCUUCCGCAAAAGGUGCUCCAGCUAGCACAAUAUUACCUCAGCCAAGUGAUGAAGGCUUCUUUUCGAUCACCCCAUCCUCUAUACUGGAUCGAAGAUGGAUUGAUAGGGAUGGACACAAGGUGGAGCAGAUUUUGGUGCAGUGGAAGGACUUACAAAAUGAGGAUGCAACGUGGGAAGACUUCUCAGUCAUCAAGAGUCAAUUCCCUGACUUCAAUCCUAGAGACUAGGAUUGUUUCGAGAGGGGGCAAUUGUAAUGAUUCCACAGGAAAUAGGACAGUUAAUUCUGUUAGCCAAAUAUUGUUGGAUUUAUUAUAGCAGCAACAACUUGCAGAAAGUUAGUUAUAGUUAGUUAGUUGGGGGGAACUUCUAUUAAUAGGCCAACACUGAUGUAAGGAAGGACAUGCAAAAUCUGAUCUCUAAAGAAUACAACUUCCCUGCCUUUUUUUCAAAUUCAUCCUUGCUCUCUCUCUUUCUCUUACUCCCUCCUCUCGAUUUUUUUUUCCUAUACUUUCUGUUCCUUAGCUGAAUCAUCAGAUUCUCAACCAUUACAAAUUCCUAGGUCAGGGAAUUGAGACCUCCACUGACCUCUGUAUCAGAUGCCUUCACACUUGGUGCAACUACCUAUACUUUCUCAAAUGCAUAUAGAUGUAAGCAGGUCCAUUUGCAAUUCCAGAUGUUGAGGAGGUCUGCUACUUCUUUGUUGACACACUAGUCCAGCGUAUCUCUUGUUCAAUUCGACCUUUAAAGAUUGAGUGACAGAAUCAGGCUAGGUUUGAGCCCUUGCAGGAUGGUUCCCUCCUCCUUAGGUAGUAUAGUAGCUCUGUUGGAUCUCGUCUUAGUAGCAGCUUUGUUGAAUGGUUUCCCUUGUCUUAGUAGUAGCUUUGAACCUUGGAAAUUGUACCCUUGUUAUUUGUGUUUUGUUAUGUAAUUUUCUUGAGAUUUGGGUGUACUCCAAAGAAAAUUACGACUAUCGUUGUAAUUAAUCGUGAACUAAAUAAGGCUGUUUAAAGGAUUGAGCUACUUUGAGAAUGUACUACUAGAAGAACGCAAACAUAUCUGACUAGACCAAGAAUAAGGCCCUCGGAUCACUGAAUUAAGAGACUUGAAUUGUUUCCAAAUCAUGAAUGUUUGAGGGAAAGAGCAAGAAAAGAACAAAUGCUCACAAGUUUCAACAAUAUUUCAACAAAAAUCACAAGUAUCAUCCUUUACUACACUCCACUUCCUCAGCCUGCUUCUUUUAUAAAGUCUCUCACAUCAAGAAAGCAAAUUUGGACACGAGGUUCAACCACACCAGCCUGUUUUCUUUUGACAUUGAAAAUUUUUUGAACUUGUGGGGUGUUAUCUUUUGCUUUCUAGUAGACAUAAGUGGUAGCCCUAGAUACCUCCCUCACAAAGUUCGUAAAGGCAUACAAAGCAACUGAUUCAGGUAGAGCUGUCUUUCAGACUUUGUUCCAGCAUAAACAAUUCACUCUUUUGAAGAUUGGUUUGCAAUCUAGACACUCCUGUAGAGAUAUAUCAGAUGCAGAAGCCAAAAAGAAGAGGUCAUCAGGAAAUGUUGAGUAAGGUUCAGCGUCUCAACUUUGGAUGAUAAUCUGAUCUGUCUUCCUGAAUAAUUUAGCCAAAACACUAGAGAACACCUCCACUGCAAAUAGGAACAAAUAUGGUGAGAUUGGAUCACCCUGUCUAAGCCUCUAAUCAGUUCUAAAAAUCCAAUCAGAGAUCCGCAUAGAUUCAAGGAGAAACUGGCUGUAGUCACAUACUUCUAACUCCACACAAAACACACAGUUCUAAAUUUCUUGAGAUGCAUAACCUCAAAAAGAGACUCCCAAUUGACUGAAUCAUAAGCCUUCACUACAUCAACCUUUUGGCUACUCUAGGUUUUCCAUUAAUGAGGUGACAAUGACAUUGCUUGAUAAGUUCAUGCAUGAGCAAUACAUUAUCAUAAACGGAUCUCAUUUUAAGAAAAGCACUGCCCGGUAAGAGAUGGCAUCACCACUUUAAUUCAGCCAGUGAUCACUUUUGAAAAACAUUUAUAGAGAAUGUUGCAACGAGCAACAUGCGUAACAUCUUUCACAGUGACAGGGGAGCAUUCAAAUGAAAAUAGAGAUUUUGGGAUGAGAACCACGACUGUACAGCGCUAACAAACUCCUCCCCAGUUGUCUUCCAAUUCAAUAUGGAAAAAAUCUACUGCAAAGCCAUGAGGACCAGGGCCUGUACCUCUUAUCAUUUUAAACAAUGUGCUUUUAUUUUCAUCCUGAUUGACUAGAGCUCUGAACGACCUCCUAUGACAAACUGCUUGAGCUUCAAGGAUCCAAGGGCCAUUUACCGAUCUGUAGAUAUAGGCACCGUGUCGGCAAACAAAUCCAUAAAAAGAAUGAGAGCUUCACUUUGAUUCGUUUAUAGUGAUUCAACCGUGAGCCAUGCUAAUAGUACGAAGUCUAUUUCUUUGCAAAGGAAGUUUUCAAUUUGAUUAUAUUUUUUUCUUAACGCUCUUUUCCUAAAUCCUCUUUACUGCUCCACCUUCUUCCAUGAACUCUAGUGGACUCCAUUCAUGACCUCAAUUAAAAUUUUGCAAGUACUAGGCUUCGAGCAUAUUUUAUCAGAUAAAUAGAAAUUAUUGGGAGCAAUUCAUGCCUGUCAAUGCUGCAUUGUAAGAAUACUUCUCAUGUAGUUGGCUUAUAUUAAAUCUGUAUACAUUUGAAUACCAUGAGUCUUAAACACAAUAACUUGAUUCAAUCGAAAUCCCCUAUGAUAUGCGGUCUGAAUUUAGAUCCACUACCACCUGGCUGGCGGAAAAAAUGUACUGUUUUGUCAGUUUAAUCUUCUACUCCUACUCCUAUCAAGCUGUGGUUGUUGCACAACAUUUUCCAAGGCUGUGAUUUUCACCUUUCCUUAAUAGACAUUUUAUCUUGCUGAAUCCAUAAUUAUCAACUGCAUCUAAUCUGUUCUAGAUUCUCCUUUGCAUAUGUCAAAGAGGUACUUCAGGAAAUAUUUAAAGCUAAGAUGGUAGAUAAUAAAUGACUACUUUAAAUUUCAUUAAAAACACAAAUAUUGUUAUUAAAUAUAGCAAUUGUCACAAUAAUUUUUCUACAAGGACAGGAAAGGAAACUAAAUACCACAUCAUUACUUCAUGUGGGAAAUGAUACACCAAUGAAUGUGGGACACAAAAUUUAAAUUAUAUUUAACUUAUCAUAUUAACACCUGAAUCCCUCUUAAUGAGUACCCAAUGGGCAUUUGAUUUAAUUUUACUUUUGCGAAUGACUUAAUUAAUGCCAAUAUAGUAGUUCCUAAAUUACCAAAGUUUGAAAGUUCUCUGACUAAAAAUACACAAUGUAGUCUUUACAAAUUUAGAUAUUUCUCCAAUAUAAUUUUCAGAAGGGCAAAGUAUUUAUUAGGGGGUCCAAUUAUUCAAUUGCUAGAUACGGCAAUCCUGACCUACUAAUUUACUAAUCUAUCUCUGUUCAGCGUGUGAAAGGCGUGUGAACUGACACAUUUGCAAAACGAAUUGAAGAUUAAUCUGUAAAGCAAAUUUCUUGGCUUUCUGACUUUUUAUUGUAAAGCAUUUAGGUUGAUUAAUUCACGACUCACGUGUAAGCGAAGAUUUGGGGAUUUUUCCAAGCAUUUUUUGUUGUUUCGGAUAUUAAGAGCUACUAGAAGUCUAGGACUUUACAUACUUGGUCAUUCUUUUUUGUAUAACUGGCUUCAACUUCCAUCCAUCUCUGUUCGUAACUCAUCAAGAUUCUGUUUGUGAGGAUUGGCUUUAUCUCCGUUAUUGUAACCAAACAUGGAAAAGUCCCAUGUUGUUCUUUCUCUGCUUCUGGUUCUACUGUUUCAUGUUGGCAUAGCCACAGCAGUUAAAACUGAAGAUGGAUCAGAAGCGUGGGGCUAUGUUCCAGUCAGGCCAAGUACACUAAAUCUUUUCUACAAUCUUUAUCCCAAUUUAGAUAUUUUAAGGGCAGAGAUAUAUGGAUUUACUUGUCAAUGAUGAACUUGAAUUGUUGUGCUUUUUGCAGAGGCUCACAUGUUCUGGUGGUACUACAGAAGUCCAAACAGGAUUCAUGAUCCAAAAAGCCUUGGCCAAUAAUUCUUUGGUUGCAGGGUGGACCUGUAAGUAUCAGAAUUCUCGUGGGAUUCUCUCUAGUUUCAAUCUUUAUUGCUUGUUCAUACAAUCAACAGUAAUUUGUUUACUGAAGGGAGCUUCAGGAGUUGGACUUGGUAAUUUCGAAGAAUUCGGGCCUUUAGAUGUGUUCCUAAAGCCAAGAAAUUCGACAUGGUUGCAGAAAGCUGAUCUUUCUGUUUGUGGUAGUACAAGGUUGCAUAACGUUGGUGAAUAAUCACUUCAGCAUCAAUACUGUUUUACAAAAUAAAAUGGGAUUUCCCUGCAGGGUUUUUCUUUCAUCUGCUUAUCCAAAUUCAUUUUUGCCCGUUUCCAAUGUAAAUAGGAUUAUCCAGUUGGGACUGGUUACAGUUUUGUGGAAGACGUUAAAAACACCACAUUGUUUGUGAAGAGUGAUGUGGAGGCUGCAAAGGAUGGAACUAAAUUCUUGACUGAGUUUUUCAACAGGAAUCUGACUCUCCAAAAGAGUCCUCUGUUUAUUGUAGCAGAGUCUUAUGGAGGCAAAUUUGCUGUAACUCUGGCAUUAUCUGCUUUAAAAGCUAUUGAGGCUGGAAAGCUGAAGCUAAAUCUUGGAGGUAACAAUUGCUUUUUCAUUCUCAAAAUUAAAAUUUUAUUCUCUCUUCAAUCCUGAAGUCUUGAACUUGCUGUUACCUUUUCUGCAUAGGAGUUGCAUUGGGAGAUAGUUGGAUUUCACCAGAAGAUUUUACCGUAUGUAGUUUCUGUUCUUCAUUCGUCUCAUGAUUACUUAGUUGGAACAGCUGAAUUGAGUUCUGGCGAUCAAAAUACAGUCUUCAUGGGCUCCUCUUUUGAAAGACGUCUCAUUGCUUGACGGCAAUGGUUUCCAGAUAUCAAACAGGUAUUAAGUUAUAAUACUUGAAAGAUGGCACUAUCCUGAAUCCACGCCUCAAAUGCAUCGAUGAUGUGUUUUUUUAGUAUUGAAACUUGCGUGAAUUUAACAUUUCUGUCUAACCUAAUCAAGCUCGACAAUUUUAAGUUGUCUAAUAAGCCUAUUGUUCAAUGCAGGGUUGCUAAUCAAAUUAAGAAGCAAAUUGCAGCAGGUAAGUUUGCGGAGGCCACAGACACAUGGAAUGAAUUGGAAGAUCUAAUUACCAAGUACAGUAACAAUGUGGUAUGAAUUUGAAGAAUUUAUGUUUAAUCACAACAAAUUGUUAAGUAUGUGCUUGACGAUUCCUUUUGUGGAUAAAUACAGGACUUCUACAAUUUCCUCUCAUUUGCAGAGGACGACCCUUCAUCGCUGUCAGCUGCUUCAGAACUAAAACAACGUAUUGCAGUAAAACGGUCCUCUCCUGGAGGUGAUGGAGAUCUUUACAGCUUGAUGAAUGGUGAUAUUAAAAAGAAGUUGAAGAUUAUACCAAAUGUUACGUAAGUUUUCUCCUUAGAAAAUUUUCAGACUUUUUCAGAGUUCAAUACUUUACUGUCAUUAAAGGAGUAGUGUGAUAUCAACAGAUGGGAGGGCAGUCCAAUAGUGUUUUUGAAGCCCUGAAAGGUGACUUCAUGAGACCCAGGAUUAGUGAGGUAACUAAAGCAGCUGCAUUUUUUUUUGGUUAGGAAUUAAUCACAAAGUUUAGGAACUUUUGGUUUUUAGUUUGAGCUACACCAAGAACGUUUUUUGAAUUUCUGGAUCAGCAUUCUUUGACACAUCUCAAUUGCGAUAAGAGCAGUUACCCAAUUAUAUGCAGUAAAUUCUAAAGCAUUUGAUCAACUGCUUUUGGCAGGUUGAUGAGCUUUUAGCAAAAGGAAUAAAUGUGUCUAUCUACAAUGGACAAGUAAGAUUCUGUAAUGCUUUAUGUUGUUUCUCACAAUAUUCUCCAAAGAGGAAUGGAAAAAUAGUGUAUUAACAUUUCUGGAAGAAUGGGAUUUACACAGAAGCAGUAGAUAGAUAUUCAAGGAAAAACUUGAUAGGACUUUCUGGUUGUACUAUGAUUCCACUGCAUAGCAUUUGUUUUCAAAAAUUGGCAAUAAGAUAAUAUGGCAAUAAUGGAACAUAAUAAUGGUAACCAGGUAAAGGAUGAUAUUUUGGAGUAAUCGUACUUGUAAUUUGAUAUUUGCUCACAAUAAAUUGUGAAUUCCAGUGGAUAAACUUGAUCAGGGCAGCUUUAAUAUCCAUGCUACAAAUUUCACUGUUUUUUUUUUUUUUUUUUUUUUUUUUGUGUUUGGCUAAGUAGUUCAAUUUUAAGUGUUGUUUUGUUGUUGGUUGUAGUUCGAUCUAAUCUGUGCAACCAAGGGAACCAACGCAUGGGUUGAAAAGCUCAAGUAAGAAAAAAAAAAUCCCAUAAGUAAAUAAGCACCAAAAUUUCUUCCCCUGAUCAGUAAUUUUUUUUGCCUAUUUUCACAGGUGGCAUGGGAUAAAAAAUUUCUUGAACAAGGAUAGAACGCCUCUCUAUUGUGGAGGUGACAAGAGUAUUAAGGGUUUCACCAAAUCAUACAGAAAUCUUCAUUUCUACUGGAUUCUAAAUGCUGGCCACUUUGUAAGUCAACAAACCAUUGUCAUAUUUCUGCUGCAUUUGUUUGUUAGUUUAAAAUUACUGUUACUUUUGCCUACUUGACAAGGUUGAGAACACAACACACACUUGUCUCAACUCUCAAUAGCUUUAGUAUGUCAUAGCCAAUCUCCACAUUUGAAAUGCUAAAGUUUGCAUAAUAUUGUCUUUGUCAAGAAACCAUCAAAGGUAGUAGAAAAAGUAAUACUCCCUCCAUUCCAUUAAAACGUUCACUUCUCAUUUUUGCAUUUUCCAAAAUGCUUGUCAUGUCCAAAAGCUAAACAUAAUUUUCGCUCUCAUUUCAAAUACUCUUGUUCAUUGUCAUUUUGGGGAAGACAUUUCAAACAAUUGAGAUUUUACUCUGGGAGCAUGAAGCUGAGAAAGCUUAAAUAAUUAUCAGUAUCAGUUCCAUUGAAAGGUGGAUUGCCAAAAUGUGGCAAAACUAUGGGAUUGAAAGUAGUAAUUGCCAGACUUAUAAUGAAACUUCGGAUUAUUGAGACAAAGAUGAAAUGCUGUGUGUGUCUGAAAGAAGAAUUGAAUGAAUUUGACAAGUAACAUCACACUUGUAUCUACUUGAGGACAAUGAAACUGGUUCUGCUGCGACGCAAUAACUACCAUUAAAGUUAGGGUAGAUCGGACUUAUACCAAUAUGUCUGGCAUUUAUUGGUGGUAAAUCUACCAAACCCUGUGGGAAUAUCCGAAUAUGAGAUGUUUAAGAACAAAAGAAAACUAUGGAACAUCUUUGUGAGAGAAAUUUUCCAUACCAAUUAUUUGUUGAAGUUGUUUAUUGGUUAUAGACAUGAGAAGGGCAAGCAGAAUGGACAUUAAGAUUUGUAGCGAAUAUGUUCUCGCUAAGUAAAUACUAUAUUUGAUAGAUUUGUAAGGAAAUUUUCUUAUAAUUAUGUAGGGGUGGCAAUUUCUGACACGACCCGAAAACACGACACGAACCUAACACGAAAUUAAUGGGUUUGGGUUGAGGUUUCGGGAGUUCGGAUCAGAAUCGGGUCGAACCGAUGAACCGAAAAAAAAAAAUAGGUCAAUUUCAGGUCAAUCCGUGGUAACCUGAUAUGAUCCGAUGUGACCCGUUUACGAAUUAAAACUAAUUUAAUAAACAUUAAAAUUAUUUUAUCUAACUAAACUAAAUCAUUCUUUUUUUCCAAAGACAUUAAUUACUUAGUCCUAAAUGAAUUUAUUUAACUUGUGUGAAGUUAAAAUUAUUAUAUUUGGAAAAAUAAUAUAUUAUGUUAUUUUUUACUUUUAUGCUGUUUUAAUUUAUUUUAUAUUUGGUUUGGGAUAAAACACUUUUAUGGUGUUUAAUUUAUUUUAGAUUUGGUUUGAAAUUAUUUAUUUAAAUUUUUAUUACUUGAUGAUGUAAUUAAUUUUGUGAAAAAUUGAUUUUAUUAGAAAUUACAGUGAUAAAUAAUAAAUUAAAAUUAAGUUUCGGGUCGACCGCCAACUCAAAAUUUUCGGAUUCGUGUCAGGUACCCUGACCCGUUUCGGUUGGCGGGUCGGAUUCGGGUCAGCAGGUUCUUUAUUAUACUUAAGCCUCAACCCGACCCGCCAACACCGAACCCGACUCGAUUGCCCCCUAUAAUUAUGUCAUAUAAAUUUAUUUGCCCUUUUCGAUUCUUUAUAGGUCCCUGUUGACCAGCCCUGUGUAGCAUUAAAGAUGAUAGGAAGCAUCACACAGUCACCUGCUGCUUCAGGGUUGGUGUCGCUUUCCAACUUAGCCAAUACAGAGGACAGAUACUGAAGAAAUAUGAACCGAAGAAUAACAUAGAAUUCUCUUUUGAUUCUGAAAAAACCAUCACAGGAAUGAGAAUUAUUUCAGAGGAAAUUGGAAAUUAUUUUUUAGUAUUUUCGUCUUGUGGAGUCUUUAUGACAUUUUUUUUAGGGCAAGUUUUACUUUAUCCCCUGUGAUUUAAGUAUUUUUUUUUUUUUUUACAUAACCCCCAUAUGGUUUUAAAAGUUAUAUAUAAUCCCCUCAUGGUUUGGAUUAAAGUGUCAAAGUAACGGGAAUGAUCAUUCAUAACGGAGUCACCUAAAAUGUCAAAAAUACCCUUAUAUAAAGUUAAAAAUUAGGAUUAAUCACAUUUAAUCCCCUUAAGGUAUACCUCAUUUCUCAGUUUACCCCCUAACCUUUUAUUUUGCUCACUUAACCCCUAUAGGAUAAAAUUGCCCUUGCAUAAUUUUGACUUUUCAUUUAUUUUGUUUUCCUUUCUUUUAUUUCUUUUUCUCUUUCUUCUUUAUUUAAUUCUUCCUCUUCUCACAAAAAUCUUCACCUUAAUGAUUGAAAUUAAAAAAGAAGAAUUGCAGAGAUCUAUCUUCUCCUUAAAUGAUUAAAAAAAAUAUUCAAAUCACUUUGCUAAAAUACAAUUUUUUUAGCCUUUCAAUUCUUUUAAUUUUAAAUUUUCCUCUUUCGUUUCUAGUUUCUCAUUUUAUUCCCAAGAAAAUAUCUUAAGAUGAAAUUGUGACUUGAUUAAUAAUCAUCAAUUGAAAUUUGUGACACGUGGCAUCAUUAAAAAAAAUCAAAUUAGUUUUUGAUGCCUUUUAAACCUUCACCAGAAAUAUGCAAUUACAAACUCAAAACAAUAAUUUUCGUUGAAAUGGAAUUUUCUAUUGGGAAUGAUGAAAGAGAAAAGAAAAAGAAAAAGAAAUAAAAGAAAGGAAAACAAUUUCAUCUUAUGAUAUUUUCUUGAGAAUAAAAUGAGAAACUAGAAAGGAAAGAGGAAAACCCAAAAUUAAAAGAAUUGAAAGGUUAAAUAAAUUGUAUUUUAAGAAAGUGAUUUGAAUAUUUUUUUAAUCAUUAAGAAGAAGAUAGAGUUCUGCAAUUCCUCUUUUUUAAUUUCAAUCAUUAAGGUGAAGAUUUUUGUGGAAAGAGAAAGAAUUAAAUAAAGAGAAAGAGAAAAAAGAAAUAAAAGAAAGGAAAACAAGGUAAAUAAAAAUGAAAAUAAUGCAAGGGCAAUUUUGUCCUAUAGGGGGUUAAGUGAGCAAAAUUAAAGGUUAGAAGGUAGACUGAGAAAUGGGGUGUAUCUUAAGGGGAUUAAAUGUGAUUAACCCUUUAUUUAUUUAUUAACCAAGGGGGGGUUAUGUGUAUAUUUUGAAAACCAUAAGGGGAUUAUAUGGUAAAGUAUUAAACUAUAAGAGGGUUAUAUAGUAAAAUAUAAAAAUCAUACGGGAUUAGUGUGUCAUGUAUUUAUAAGGGUAAUUACGACAUUUCUAGAAGUUCCGUUACGAAUGACUAUUUCCGUCACUUUGACACUUUAAUCCAAACUAUGAGGGGGUUAUGUAUAGUUUUUGAAACCAAAGGGGAGUUAUGUAAAAAAUGCUAAACACAGGGGGUAAAAUGUAAUUUACCCUUUUUUUAUGUAGAAAAAAUAGAAUUUCAUUGCUGAAUUUGCUAAAAAUCAUCCAGCAGAUUUUGUUUAAGAAAGUUAGGGAGUCCAUUUUAUAGAUAUCCAUCGAGUUACUGGACUUGACACGAUUUGAUUUGCAUGUCCUUAUAGUUGGUGAAUAAUUCGAGACAUGAUAUUUGACUAGCUAGUGAUGCCUGACGUCGAGAGAUACAAACACAGGUGCUCAAACCGUUUCAUUAGGUUUGCAAUUUAACCAGAAUCAAAAGCUCAAAGAUAACUUUACAUUCAAUUUGCCACAACAUAUAGGCGGAUGCAUCCUAGACACUCAAGCUAGUUCCUACGGUUAAGAUUUGAGGAAAAAAAAUUGCAGAAAAAAGUAGCCUACAAUUUUGCGCUACAUGUCCGAGAAAAAAAAAAAAGAAAAAGAAAAAAAAUAUAUAUAUAUAACUCCUAAAAUUCACCUAAAAUGCCUUAGAUUCAACAGGGUAAUUUUUGUACCUUAAAACAUCCAAAUUGAAUUUUAAACAUGAAAAAAUAGCAUUUUGGGAAACUAUGAAUAUUGGAAAUUGAGUUAACUAUACUAAUCCAAAUUCUAGGGACCAAAAUGCAAAAUUAAAAUUUUUUGCUAAUGUAAAUUUGAUUUCGACUAUUUGUCAAGUUUUCCUUCUGUCUAAAAGAAGAAAAUUUUAGUACACAUUUAUUUUGCGUGAGACUUUAGAAAUUAAUUUUGCUCAUAAACCAAACAUUAGGAAUCAAAAGUGCAUUUCUCCAUUUUCAGAAAAGGAAAGUAAAACUUCCUUUGCCAAUUUGAUGAAAAUGCUCGGCAAUUUUUUCAUGCCUUCAACCAAUUUGAAUUCUAUUUUAGUAAAUCAUUCUAGUAUAAUUUCAUGAGUUUUGUCAUAAUAACAAAAACUGCCUUGCCUUUCUUUUUGUUCAAGGAAAAUUCUAAACUAGAAAAAGAGGGAUUCAGAGUCGAAUGAAGGGAUCUGACGGUUCCUGACUAAUGUCCUUGCCAACUAGUUUGGGUCUUGAGACAAUAUAGAGAGACUUAUUGUGUAAAACCUAUUUUCUAUGCAUUUGAAAUCAAAUGCAAAAAGUAAAUAAAUCAGUAAAGUGUUAUCGCCUCUGUGCAAUUUAUGGUGGGUUAGUUCAAUUUACUCUUUUACCUACUUUUAAACAGCCUAACCACUACAUGGAUAUUUAAAAAAAUUAAACUAAUCGAUUUAUUGAAAAAAAAAACCUACAAUUAGUUAAUAGUAGCAUGAAAUUGGACUCAAAAAUAAAUAAUUGAUUAGCAAUGCCUAGGCCUCAAUUUCACAGCCAAUGUGGAUUGAUCCUUGCUUGGUCAUUGGUUAUUCGAUUACUAGACUUCCGUUAAUAUUUGGUUAUUUUCAAAUAAAUUAAAAAACCAGAUCCAAUACCAAACCAAAAUUUACUUCGGUUGCGGAUAAUCGAUAUUGCUAUUAUCAGUCACUAGUUUAACGGUUAACAAAUCUUAAAUGCCUUUUAGUUUUAUGGAGGGGGAGAAAGACAUCUCAAAUACUCGAACAAUAAUCCAUCCACAAUGCAAUAAAAUGUGUGCCUCUAAAAUAUAAUCAAAAAAUAAAUAAGAAGUUAAAUUUUCACUAGCCUUGUUAAAAUAUCAUAAUAUCAUUUGUCCCUAGAGAAACACCUUCCAUUAUUAUCUCUCUCUCUCUAGAACUCAAUUUCUCUUUCUUCUCUGCAAUUUCUUCCAACCAAAACCUCAUUUGACUUCUUUGGGAAAGAGAUUAGAUAAUUGGUCUUUUCUCAUGGGAUGUAACUUUUCUCUAAUUUUAUUUCUUUAUUUGAAUAAAUUCACUUUUAAGUUUUCUAGUGAAAGAUUAUUCUCUUCUAGGGUUUCCUUGUAUGAAAAUCUUCUAUCCUAGAUUUUUAUGAUAAGAGUUUUAUUUUCUCUUAAAAUAUUCUUAUGAGAGUUUUUUUUUUUUUUUUAAUGGGUGAGAAUAGAGAUUUGGUAGAUCUCAAAAACCAAAUCAAAAAUCAAUUCUAAAUUAUUUUCUUUGGACUUGAAGUAGUUUUUAUCAAAUUUGACUAUUUAAAGACAUGCUUAAAGAUAUAUUGGAUUGCAAUGAUAUUCAUCUAAUAGAAAAUACUCUUGGAUUGCAAUGUUAUGAUCAAGUUUAUUGCUUUUUAUAUUUGUUGUGUCAAUUGAUUUUCAAAUUUGUAUGUUUACAUCAUAUUUGAUGUACUUGCUAUCAUGAAUGUAGAUAUUACAUUGAAAUUAUCCUUUUUAUCCAAAAAAAAAAAGGUAUCAUUUGUCCAUCUAGCAUGAUGAAGCCAACUAAUAGCCAACAAUAGGCCAGGGGGCUCUUGGAGGGAAGGAAGAUUGAGGUUCGCCGGAUUGUGAUGAGAUGUGAUAAAAAAGGCUGUUCGGUUGUGAAACUCGAAAAAAAAAACAAUUGGGCAACUUUGAAAUGUGUGAUUAACUUUGGGCUUAAUUCAGAUAGUCAAUAUGCUAGUAGGAUACCACUGGUAAAAGACUAGUACUAUUUUGGUCGGCCGGCUAUUAAUCAAUAACCAAAUAAAAAGUUCAUUCAUUCAUUAUUCAACUAUUCGAAUAUUAAAUUUCGGAGUCUAUUUGGUAUUAUUUAAUCCAAUUCUUGAGAUUCACUUUAGAAUAGACAAUCCUAAUAAAUUUCCAAUAACUAAGGGUGUGUUUUGAAAACUAAAAUUUGAAAUUUAAAUCUAUUAAGUUAUUGAAUUAUUAAAUAUUAAAUCUAAUACAUUUGAAUAUAUACCACAUUUAGUGAUGAGUGAAUAGUUUAUCACUUAUUUUUUGGAGCAAUUUUGCUUAGUAAAUUAAUCAGAUGUUCAAUUUUUGUUAUCAAACGCAUCUAAAUAUAUUAAAAUUGAAUCUAUUAAAUUUAAGUGCAGAAUUACAUUAUCAAACAGUUGAUAAUGGUGCAGUCGGUUUUUUUUUUGGUUUAUUCAAACUGCCCUCCAGAUGUGUCGUUCUUAUCUUCGAAAAUGUAUUACAUUGUCAAAAAAAAAAAAAAUUUUACUUUGGAACUCUGGGGUUGCUUUCUUCCGUUAGAGAAUGUGGAAAAUCAUGAAGAAGAAAGGGAGGACAGAAACAACUAUUUUUUAUAAUAAAAUAUUUCUUAAAAUUGCUUCGAAGUUGUAUACACAUAAAGUAUGUUAUAAUCAGUAGUAUUUGCUUACGAGAAGAAAGAUGGUUAAAAUUAAAUGUCAAUUUGCUACUGUAUUGGAUAACCUUGAAACUCUAGUCAUUGGAUGUUUCAAUGUUGCACGAAUAAUAUUUGGGUCUUUCUUAACAAGACAUUUGGUGUUUCAUGAAUAGAUGAAUUGAUAUCUAUUAUUCUGCGAUUAGUAUAUGCAAGUUCACUUAACAAUCAUUUUCUAGGUAUAAAACUAGCAAAACAUGAAGGACACAAACAAGAACCAAGUUUGUAUUAUAACUAACAUUAUAAUUAACACAAGAAAUAAAGUAAUAGGAGAAAUGUCACCAUUUUCACAUGAGUUUCGAAACCUCUAUCUUCAUCCUCAACUUCAUCUAGGCUUAGUUACAUACAAGGCUUGAAUGAAACAAACUAUACUAAUCUACACUACAAACUAAUGAACUAAGAAAACUAAUGAAGAUUACAUUUUUUGUGGUAUUUCUAGCCUUCAAAAGUUGUUCAAAUAAGCUCUCCAAAGGCUAUAUUUAUAGAGAAUUCAAUAUCCAAAUGAGUUGUUAAAGUUGAUGUAGAUUGCAUCUUGAAAUCAUCAAAGUUACUUCUUGAAGUCUCUAUGCUUGCUUGCUCAUAUCCAGCUGAAUUUCUUAUAGAAAAAUUGGUCAAAAACUUGUGAAACAGAGACACAAGUUGUAGAACAAGUUGCAGCCGCAAUUAAAGAAAAUGCAGGCUCAGAAAAUGUGGGCUGAGGUCACAUAUUUAUCCCAUGUUUUCCUCUUUUGUGGGUUUUCUCAUUUUUGGUCAGUCUUCAACUUUGCUCUAUUUUUGUAUCAAAUUCAACUGAUAUUUUCUAGAUCAUAGAACCUGAACUAACUCUUGCACGAAACAUGAAAGUUGUAGUCUUUGAAUGAGCUUUCCAAUGCUUCAAGAAUCAUUCAAUUUAGAGCUCUAUGUACUGAGAAAUGACCAAAAUACCCUUAAUUAAUCAAUUCUAUUUCAGCUUUCAACAACAAAAAUGAAUAGAGAAUUUUAAAAAUUUUAAAAAAUGAGUGUAAAGGAUCUAAAAAUAUUCAAUUUAACACUAGAGAUAAAGCAUGUGUUGUAGAUGCACUCUAUUUAUUUGUUUUGAAUACUAUUUUAACAAAAAAAGUAAGCAUUAAUUUGUACAUGCACUUUUAUAUACUAUUAUGUACAAAUUAUGAAUUCUUAUACCUACCAAGUGUUUUAUUUGAUCAAAAGUGAAUAUCUUAUACUUAUUUUAUAGAGUUAGCAAAUUUUUUGUCAAUUUUUCUAGAACGUUUCUAUAAUUUUUAUAGAACUUUUGUAUAAUUUUAUCAUAUGAUAAUAAAUUUUAUAGAUUGUACAAAGCACUAAGACCCAAUAUGGUCAAUUAAUAUAUUUUAGGGGCUACCUUUUUUCAGAUUGAAAAUUAAGGCACUAAUUUGAUCAAAAUUGAAUACGUUAAAGACUACUUUUCUUUUGUCUAAAACUAUGAAAACUAAUUUAGUCUAACCCAUAAACUUUGAGAACUAAAAUUUGCAUUAUAAGACAAAAGAGUUGAUGCAUUUGGAAAAGUGUAAGGGUCUAUUUGUUUGGACUGAAAUUGUUUUCCAAAAAAUGUUUUCUGAAAUUUCUGGUGUUUGGCUGUCAAAAAGGUCGCAAAAAUUUUUUCUCGUAUAAAAUGUUUUGCACAUCAAGUGUAAAAUACUCCCUCAUCUAAUUAAACGUAUCAUACUUUCAUUUUGAUUUGUCCCAAAAUUAAUAUCAUUAUCACAAUUAGCAAUGAAAUUUCACCCAUUUCCAUCUCAACCCUUAAAUAUACCAAAUUCUUUUAAUCUUUUGAUGGGCCCCAAAAAAUUAAAAGAAUUAUGCUUGGUACACGUGUGUCCCACAGCAAGUGCAACCAAUGGUUGUGCAGGAUACUUUCCCAAAAAUUGUUAGGAGACAUUCUCAAUGCUUGGAUCCAGAGUCUUGUCACCACUACUUUAUCUUUCUACCAUCCAACAAGUUUUAAUGCAUAGAAACUACAGAAGGUAUUGCUAGAAGUUAGACCAGAAUCAUUUGAAGUCUUAGCACUAUUGAAAAUAAGUUCUGAGUCUUGAGUGCGACAAAUAUUUUAGGACAGAGUAACUUAGGGUCUGUUUGAUAAUAUAAAAAAGUGUUAAAAUUGAAUCUUUUCAAACAUUCGGAUAUUUUAAAUAUUUGAUAAAUAAAAAUCUAUCUGCUAAACUUGUGUCUAUUCUUUUCAGCGCUAGAAUCCUAACUGAAUGUUUAAUUCUGAUAAGAACCAAUAAAAUUAUUUCAACUAUUUUAUCUUAUAUAAUUCUUAUCUUAUCUUAUCUACCUAACCUACCAUUGUUUAUUAAUUAUAUUUAAAAUUCUUAUAUGAUUAAACAACCUAAUAUUCUCUAUCUAACAGUUUUCCAUUUCUCUUUUCUCCUUUUUUAAUGACUUUCACAUCUUCGCCAAACUCCUCAUAUAAUAUACUUCAUUUUUUAUACUAAUUUGAUUUAAAAAUAUAUAUUAUCAUUUUCAUACCUAACAAUUUUAAAUUAAUUAAAUCAUAGGUUCUAUUUUUUUUGGUUGGAAAGAUACAAGGGCAAAAUUGUCAAAUUUUACUUAUUCAAUAUUCAAUUAUAAAUGUUUAUCAAAUAAUAUUAAUAGGUUUAGUAUUAAAAUUCAGACAUUCAUAUAUUUCUUUUUAGUGUUUAAAAUUCAGCAAAUUAAUUGUUUCAAUAUUCAGAUUUUCGAAUUCAGAUUCAGUUUUAUCAAACGGAAUCUUAUCCAAGGAAUGUACUGUGGUACUGAAGUUAUUUUCCCUUGAACAAUAAAACUGUCGGAGCUAAUCAUCUCACUAUCCCUUUAAAUAUCAAAAUUGUACGCAUGACAAAACAUCCCUCAUGAAACUUGCUGAAUAUCCACUGCCAGCGACCUCCCCUCUUCCUCACUGUUCUCGCUUAACCUACACUCGCAGCCGCAGGCACCACCUGCCAUCCUCCUCUUACUCACCUUUCUCAUACUAAUCCAUUCCUUUCAUACCAGUAUACAACUAUAUGCGUGGGAUAGAGAAACUCCACUUCUAAGGUGGGUUUUGUCUUGACAAGUUUUUUGGAAGAAAAACCUGGAAAAAAGAAAGAGAUGCUAUUGGAAAGAUCUGUUAAAGAAUUUAUACGCAUCAAAUUCGAAGCACUAAUUUUGCAGAUGAUGGUUAGAGUAAUCAAAUUUGAAACGAUUUUAAUUGACAUAUCAGCAUAUAACUAGUAUGAUAUGUAAUUGGUUUGAGAUAUUAUGAAUUCCCUUUCAUGGAGUUUGAUCUGAUUUUUGGGAAGUCGAAGGAUUUGCAUUUGGAUGGAUGGUCAAUCAACGUUGAAUCGGGUGGUGUCAUGCUGGCAGUAGGGAAGGGAAUGGAUUGGGUACCUGCCCUAGGCAUCAUUUCGCUAACCCGAUCAGUACCUUACAAAUUAGCAAUUUUUUGUUCCUUACCCGCUUCACAUAUCAGUGGGUAUCUGCUGAGAUAGGAUCGAGUCAACAGGUAUCUAUCUCGCCCCGCUUAUCAUUUAAUUUUUUAAAAAAAUUAAGUUAUAUUAAUAAGUUUUGUAUUUUACAUAUUCUUCUAAAAUUUAAUAAAGAUUUUUUUUCUGAAAAAAAAGUUUUAGAAACAAACAUGCUAAGAGAGUACAAGAAAAAGAAAAAAAUUGAAAUAUGUAGCACCUAUAUGUUUCACAUUAAUUAAACUCUUUUUUAAAAAACAUAAGAUCAUGACCUCUACAAAUGAAUCUUGUAAACAAACUAUAAUCUCCCAUAUUUAUAAUGCAAUUUGUUCAAUGAAAUUGCUUACUUAUCUCUAAAAAUAUUAUUUUAUUAUAUGUGCACAAAAAUAAAAAUUAUAUACAUAUAUAAUGUAUAUAAGCCGGUAUCCGAUUCUCUUUUGAUCUAAUCAAAUAAUACAGAUUGGGUAUCUUAAUUUUUGGAUUAGAUAGGAUCAGAUAUGACCGAUUUUCGGGUUAACAUGUAUUUUUACUCACCCCUAAUUGGCAGACGUAAACAGAGGAAUCUGAGGGGAAUAUUCUUGUUUUGAUUUUGGGGACAGUGCACCAAAUACAUGAGAAUCGAAGAACUUCCUUGAAUAAAAUUAUUUUCAUCCAAAAUCUUUUCUUUGGGAAAAAGUUUUACACUGACUAACGGACCCUAAGUGUUCCUCUAAUUAUGCAACGCAAAUAUGGCAAUUUGAAGAGAUCUGAAUGCUCCCUCCAUUGACUUGAUUGUGUAACAUCAUUGUCUAUUUUCACUCCUUGCCCUUUUUCAAUACCUCAGGGUGGCUCAGCAUAAGAGGCAUAACCGACUCCAAUGCAUGUAUAGUCAAACAGAACAAAAAGCCCAAGCAAAACAAGAGCACAACGUUAUGGCUGACUACAAUGCAUGUAUGGUCAAACAGAACAAAAUGCUCGAGCAAAACAAGCGUACAACAUUAUGCCGACUCCAAUGCAUGUACGGUCAAGCAUAAAAAAUGCCCAAGAAAAAGCAAAAGGACAGCACACAUUAUGGUGAACGGUAAAAGAUGUUCAACAAGAUUUUGUAUUAAUUGAGGAAUAAUGCUUUAUAAUUGCUGCAACUGACAGUAUAUUUUUAUGGAUGCUACCAAAGAAAACCAAACGAUUUUUUGUGAAUAAAAGUUUCUUGUCAGAUUCCAUAAUGUAAUAGAGGCUACUCUUGUCUGCUUUAGCAUUUCCAAAAUUUCUCUCUGGAGAGAUUCUUCAAAACAACCGUUGUUUAGAGAUUUAAAGCCUACUUUGGUUUUAAAAGUUGUAAACAGCAAUCGGUAUUUGAAAAAGAACCUUAAAAUUAAAUUUCAAAAAAUAAAUUUUUUCUCUACAAAUGAUUCACAAGGAGAAGACAAAAUCAAGGAAGGAAACAGUUAAGACAAAGUUUCUAAGUUUAGGCCCAAAAAAAGAAAAAGAAAAGAGAAAACUAGCUGAUUUUAAGGAAAACAAUACAAUAGCAAUCGAAAAUGCAAGUUCUUGAUUUGUUAAAAUGUUUAAAUUGGGACCCUUGUCUUAGAUCUUUUAUUUAUUUGGCGACCUAUUAUGAUAUAAAAAAGGAUAAUUUUAUAAACUUUCCUUAAGCUUUCUACAAAUUUUGCUUCGCCCCUUACAGAUUUCACUAUUAUAUAUAAUGCCCUUAUUUUUCAAAUUCAAUGUAACAAUGGCACUCCAUGCAUAUAAAAUGUUAUAAAAUAUUUCGAUUAAAAAAUUAUCCUUCCAUGGCCUUUAGAAAAUUAAUAUAAUAAAUUCAACUAAAAAUAACGAAAAUGUUUCAAAUAAAAUCAAAGAAAUUCAUAAUAAAGUAUGAUAGUCCACAAAGAAUUAAAAUGAGGUAUAAAAACAAUUGAUAGAAUAAAUAUCUAAAGCUAAUCCUUGAAAGUACCUAGGGUCACAAGAAAUUGAAAUAACAAACUUAAAUUCUAAAAAGGGUUUGAAAUUGCAAAAUAAAAACCGGAGAGAAAAUUCCUUCAUUAACAAUAGUUUAAUAGGCUACUUGAUCACAUAUACCAAUUUCUAAAAAUGAACUCUUUAAUUAUCCCAAGCAACACUAGUAUUUUCUUAAGUGUUCCUAAGCAUCAGAGUUUAGGUUUUUAAUUCUCUAUAUGGCUUUGUUAUGAUUUACCUUAUUAGAUUUUCAUGAAUUUUUUCAAAACAAAAAAAUAAAAUCAACUUAUCUCAUUUUCAUUUCAUUUUCAAAGUCCUUUGUUGGAGUUUAAUUGAAUGUAUGACUUUUAACAUUUUAUGUGAAUUUAUUGGAUAAAUGGCCGACUUUGUUGCAUUGAAAUUCAAAAUAAGGAAGCCAGGGAGGUAAGCGUAAUAUUUCCAGCUCCCCCCCAGCCCCAAGGGAGCCAAGGCGAAGUUUUACUUAUCCUUCAAAAAAAGUGCUAAGUGCUUGUGGAAUGGGGUUUAUAUUUAAUAGGUAACAACUUAAACCCUCCCCCCUCCCCCACCCCUUCCCCUCCAAAAAAAGCCCUUAUAAUUAUUUAGAUAUUUUCUCACAUUUUUUCCCCUUCACUGAAGUAGACAGCUAAUGGAUCCAGCUCCUCUCCAUUACUUAUUUUCUCCAGUUAUCCUCAAUAUAGCAAUAUGAGUUUGACAUGUGUCCAAUUUGAAGUCAAUGUCCAAGAUUUCUUUUGCUCAUAACCAGCAUCUUAACCUUGGUUAAGCACAAUCUAACAUACCAUGUUUACCAUAAUUUGGAGUAUUUGAAAAAAAAAAAAACCACCUUUUCCAGCCAAAUUUUAUAUGGGAAAAGUAAAAGAAAGAAAAGUCAAAUCAUGGAAUUUCAUGGAAAAGAAAAAGAAAGAAAAGGCAAAUCAUGGAAUUUAAGUUACAGGUAUAUCCUGCCCAAAUCAUGAUCUUGCAUCUUUUUUCUCAAACUUUCAGUGAAUUGGUAAUGUUUUUCUCACUUGAAACGGAUUUUUUGUUUUGGGAAUCUCAAAAUUGUUCUCAAAGUAAAUAUUCAGAUUAAUGUUAGGAUCCAAACACGGAACACACAACUAUUGAGAUAUUAAGUAUACAACAGUUUAUGAAAAAUAAGUCACAAGCAUGAAAGAUAAACGACAUUCAAUAUUUAACGUGGUUGAAUUAGCUCCACCAUUGAGUUUACGUGCAUAGAGAUAAUGUGAAGACUCAUAAAAUUUAUCUAUUUUAAACUUCUAAUUCUAGCUCAUUUAAUUAUUUAUUUGGCCAAUUGUCCCGAAUAUUAUUUUCUAACCUUUUUAGACCUAAUUAUAUGGAUCUAUAGCUUAGUUAUAUUUUUAAAGUGACUUGUUUAAAAAUUUAAUAUUUGAAUGCUCGUUAAGUGAAAAUAGUGAAUACGCGAUUCAAGUCAAUAAUCGAUUCGAGAAUACAAUAAGCUUGAAAAAUUGGAAACUUGCACAUUAGUCUUGAAAUAGGUAUUUUUAUGUUUAAGUGCUCAAUUAUUAGUUAGUGAUACAAUCGUUAUAAGAAUUUCUUGAAAAUUUCGCUUUAUCGCGCAAAAAUCAGAAGUACGCGUUUUUACGCGCACGAUUAAUUGAGGGACUUUAGACCUUUAUUUUUAGACCAUUAAGAGUGAAUAAUAAUAGUAUGAAUGUAAGUGCAUUAGAGGUUUAGUGCACUAGUGCAACAAACCCGAGAGGAAUCGGGCGCGAAACACGCACGAACGCGCACUAUUCCCAGUUAACUUUUGGGACAAAUCUUGGCCACAAAUUCUCAAGCUUCCUCAAGAAGCUACAACACUCUACGCUCUCUUUUCUCUCUUGGUGGCCGGCCAAAACAGCAAGGAAGGAGGAAGAAAAGCUUCACCAUUUUUACUCCAAAUCUUUGAACCAAUCUUUCUCCAUUUCAUCUCAAAAUCACACUACACUUUGCUAACCACUUGGAGACCACCUCAAGCUAGGAAAAGAGCUUCAAAUCCACGGUUUUUCUUGAGCAAGGAGGACCAAAAAUUUUGCCUUAAAUCAUCUAGGAAAGUAAGUGACGAUCAACCUUGAAAAUCUUGACUUAUGGAAGUUGUUUAGCACUUAUGAGUUCAUAAUUUCUUAUGGGUAACUUAAAUUGUUGGAAAAUUGGUGAGUGGGCUCUAUGAACUCCCACUAUGGCUUGAUGGACUGAUUUGUGGUGUUUUGAUAUUAUUAAUGUUGGUUUAGUGCUUAAAUUAAUAGAAAUGAGUGAUAUUAUGGAUGAAAGCUCAAAGGGAGUGAAGAUGGAAAACUUUCCGUUUCUGCCCUUGAAUGUCCGUGACCCUUAGAGCAAACUUUUGUGGUUAUAUUGACUUGUUUAUGAUGUAUACAUGUUGUGUGGGUGGUGUAGAAAGUUUCAUCAAAAAAUUUCAUGAUUUGGUUGGCCAAAUGAUGUGUUUUCGGAAAUCAGCAAAAACUGGAAAUUUUCCCGUAAUUGCUCUGGCAGUGUUUUUAUUUGGCUAUAACUUUUUUCUCCGACAUUGAAAUCGAGUACCGUUUGCAGCACUGGAAACUAGACAUUCCUAACUUUCCAAAAGUAUAUAAUGCACAUCCUAGUUCCACCUGAGUAGUCCAUGCCAAUAGUUUGAACAUGACUGUCCUGUUUCGCGUCUACAUUGGGAGCUCUGGUUUGAGCAGCAAAUUGAUGCUCAAAUAUAAGCUAGCUGUGGACAGAUUUUGAAAAUGAUUUCUUCUAAAAAUUAUAGAUUUAUGAAUAUAGUUUUCAACACCACUAACACGCCGAUUCCAAGUUGAAUUGAGUGAGUUGUGGCUGAAAUCCGAGACUGACUCAAUGAUUUGAAACCCUCUUUUGGCUAGUAAAUGUCCAAAUCUUGAUUGGGACUUGUUGUUUCGAAAUUUUUGGCUUUAAUCACCUAUCAAAUGCAUCUGGAUGUUUCUUAGACAUUACCUACACAAAGGAACUAUGUUUGAGAUAUUUUGUUGGUUAAACGUUUCAAAAACGGAAAACUCAUGUACAAGGCAAAUUUGUCUUGGAAAUUUGGAAACUUUGGUGAUCUGGUUAACCAACUUUCCGUACGUAUUUUUCCAUGAAAAUUGAUAGAGGAAUAACCCUCAUAUGGUAGUAUAAUAUUGCUGAAUUUGGUGCCAUUCCGAGUUCAUUCCAAUACUCAAACAAAGUCCAAAAUUUGUAAAUUGAACCUGGAAAUUUGCCUAACAGUCUCAAUUUUUCAGCAACUUUGAGCCACUAUAUCUUGGUGCUCAAAACUCCGAUUCUUAUUCCACUUAUUUUAUUUUAAACUUUGAUUACAACUCUAAUUGAGUUUCAAAUCUGAGAGGCUAAUUCAAAUUUUGUGAAUUUUUCGAAUUUCCAAAUUUGGCGAAAAACCAACCUCAAAACUGUCUCGCAAGCCUAAAACAGUAACUUUGAGCCAAUUUUUGAAUACUUUCCGUUGGGAAUCAUGGGAAAGUGUAUUCUAAUAACUUUUAGUACUUUGGAAGAAGUUUCCAACGGUACCAAUUUUUCCAAUUUGGGACUUAUAAAGAGUGAGAUACGAUUUUUCAAAAAUCUCGUAUCAAAGCUGAAAUUUUCGAAAUUUCAGGAAAUGGAGUUUUUCGAAUUCUCCUUUUCCCCUCGAUAUCACUUGAACGUUUACACUUGAUUUCAAAGAUGAAAACUCGAUUUCUCUUGUGCUUUAAAAAUCCCAUUUUUGAGCCUUGAUUCGCGAGUAAUUAGGCUCGUUUUCGUGAAAUUUUCUUAGAUUGUACAAGUGUACAAUCAUUCGUGAUAACCGGGAUUUAUAUAUGAUAGUUCACUAUUAAUUGCUCAAGCUCGCACGAGAACCUUCAAGAGGUUCCCACGAUGAGCACCUGAACUUCGAGUGACAUUUCUUCCUUGUUUAUUUGGUGAGUGUCAAGUGUAUGUAAACCUGAUACGUGCUUAAUUGUUAUUAGUGAUUGGAGAUUUUGAAAAUGCUGAGUCGAGUGUGUACUUUACCGCACUCGAUCUCAUUUAAAUGAAUCAUGAAUGACUUGAUUGAAAUGAAAUGAAUGAUUGAAUGUAUUGAAUGAUUGAAUGAAAUGAUAAAUUAUGCUAUGACUGCAUAAGUCGAUUGGAGUGAUGCCUCAUCGACCACUGAACGAUUGUAAGCACCACACCGAUUCGGGUGGGAGGUACCUCUCGAGUCAUCUCAGUACCCUAAACCUCUGAACGAUAGUAAGUAUCACACUGAUUUGGGUGGAAGAUACCUCUCGAGUCGUCUCAGAACUAUAAAGUAUUCUAAGUCGAUUGGAGCGGAGUCUCAUCGACCUCUAAACGAUAGUAAGUACCACACCGAUUUGGGUGGGAGGUACCUCUCGAGUCGUCUUAGAACCAUAAAGUAUUCUAAGUCGAUUGGAGUGGAGUCUCAUCAACCUCUUAACGAUAGUAAGUACCACACCGAUUUGGUGGGAGGUACCUCUCGAGUCGUCUCAGAACUAUAAAUCGAGCGAUAGCAAGUACCACACUGAUUUAGGUGGAAGAUACCUCUUGAGUUGUCUCAAAAACAUAAAUGGAAUAAGUGAAGUGCUACGAAUUUGAUUACCUACCCGGGUGACGGGGUGCCGUCACGAGAAGGUAUUAAAUUGAAUUUGGGCAAAGCAAUUGAAAAUUAGUUCCUAAGAGCUCCUGCAUCCUACUCAAGUGUGUUUAUUAUAAAUUAUGAAUUAAUUAAAUGUUAUAGUUUUCAUUAUUGUGUAAGUGCUAUUGUUAUUAAACUACGUGUCUUGCAUGUUUUCUUGGCCUCACGAGCAUUCGCUCUCCCGUUAGAUUUGUUUUCCUUAACAGGAACGGAUAUGGGAGGAAUUAUAGAGAAGUUUACUCGGUGACCCAUUUGAUUAGAAUUUUAAAUGUAUUUGUUUAGAAGACUUUUGAAAGUUGUAUAUUUUGAAAAAAGUAAUUGUAAGUUUGAAAUUGUGAUGUAAGAUUGAAUAUUUAAGUAUGGAAAUGACUUUGUACUUUUUUUUAUUUUCAUUGUUAGUAUUAGACUUUAAGUUUGAAUUGGAAUUGUCUCAAGUCCUGGCGAGAGUUGGACAGGCGUCCCGCGGAUACCCUUGGGUUCGCCCAUGGGAGAAGUGGGGGCGUCACAGUUGGUAUAAGAACUUAGGAUUUAGAUCUUUAUAGUGUAUUCUAGGCCUAAAACUUUAGGAUGCCGGACUGUGGGAUUUGAUUGUGUAUUAAGUGCAACGUGAUUUUGGUGUUUGAGGUUAUAGCACCAUUUUUACUCACAAAACACUAUAAGACUUUACUCUUCAAGUUAGGUUGGAGGUGGGUCAAGAUUAGAAAAUCUAAAAAACUAUCUAGUGAGUUUAAGGGUUAAAAACCUUGCUUUCCUACUCUUUUGUUUGUCAAACAUUUCGAAAGAAAAGUUGAACCAUUUGAACAAUUUUGGGCUCCACUUUAAACUUGAAAAUGAGACAUCUUUGCAUUCCGUUUUGUGAUCAACAAAAAGAAAAAUCUCAAACUGGUCAAGCCGUGACUCCUCACGUAACUUGUGGAUACUGUGGUCAGAUUAACCACACUGAGGUUGAGUGCUGGAGAAAACAAGGAAAAUGUCUGAGUUGCGCUAGUACCGAGUAUAAGUUUUCGAAUUGCACUAAAGCUUCUAAGGGAAAAGGAAAUUCUUAACAACCUGCUAAAUCCACUGCAAAAUCAGUCGAGUGCCAAAAGGAGUAAUUAAUGCUAAUGAUUGUAAGAGGGACCCAAGUAGUAGAAACUCUAUGAGUAGUGGUAAAUCUAACUCCACUCGACAAAUAGAGAUUGUAGUUUCAACCUAACAUAAACUGGCACUUUCAGAUGGUGUAAUCUUUUGUAUAGGGAUGACAUCCUUUUGAUAUAUAUUGCGACUUAACACGUUUUGAUCUUGUUGAUUCCCCUUUUCUUUUGAAAUGAUUUGAUGAACUUAUUAUAAUUUAGUAUAACUAUUAUGAUCUUUUAUGGUAUAUGAAAAUUUACCUUACUUUUGAUUGAUUUUACAGCUUAUAUAUAUCUGUAAUCUGUUGCUCCAUGUCUCAAAACCUGUAAUAAGAUCAUGAAUGGCACUUGAGAAUGGUUAAGUUCCACAAGUGUGAGUUUUGAAUGGGAGAAGUAAAAGUGAUGAAAAUUGGUCACAUGAGGGAAUGACCGGUAAAAAUUUUGAUCGAAAAGUGAAGGGGUUAAAAACGCAAGCAAGUCCUCUAAUGAAGGUUUUAUAGAGAGAUUAUGAACUAAAGGAAGCAACCUAGGAAGUAACCAUUCGAGAAAAGUAUCCAGACCUGUUCGCAGAUCAAAGUAAAUUUCGAGGACGAAAUUUUUUUAAGAGGGAGAGAAUGUGAAGACUCACAUAAUUUAUCUAUUUUAAACUCCUAAUUCUAACUCAUUUAAUUAUUUAUUUGGCCAAUUGCCCCGAAUAUUAUUUUCUAACAUUUUUAGACUUAAUUAUAUGGAUCUAUAACUUAGUUAUAUUUAAAAAAUGACUUGUUUAAAAAUUUAAUUUUUGAAUGCUCGUUAAGUGAAAAUAGUGAAUACGCGAUUGAAGUCAAUAAUCGAUUCGAGAAAACAAUAAACUUGAAAAAUUGGAGACUUGCACAUUAGUCUUAAAAUAGAUAUUUCUAUGUUUAAGUGCUCAAUUAUUAAUUAGUGAUACAAUCAUUAUAAGAAUUUCUUGAAAAUUUCGCUUUAUCGCGCAAAAAUCGGAAGUACGCAUUUUUACGCGCGCUAUUAAUUGAGAGACUUUAAACCUUUAUUUUAGACCAAUAAGAUUGAAUAAUAAUUGUAUGAAUGUAAGAGUAUUAGAGGUUUAGUGUACUAGUGCAACAAACCCGAGAGAAAUCGGGCGCGAAACACGCACGAACACGCACUAUUUUCGGUUGACUUUUGGUACAAAUCUUGGCCACAAAUUCUCAACCUUCCUCAAGAAGCUACAACACUCUCUACACUCUCUUUUCUCUCUCUUGGUGGCCAGCCAAAACAGCAAGGAAGGAGGAAGAAAAGUUUCACCAUUUUUACUCCAAAUCUUUGCACCAAUCUUUCUCCAUUUCAUCUCAAAAUCACACUACACUUUGCUAACCACUUGGAGACCACCUCAAGUUAGGAAAAGAGCUUCAAAUCCACGGUUUUUCUUGAGCAAGAAGGACCGAAAAUUUUGCCUUAAAUAAUCUAGGAAAGUAAGUGACGAUCAACCUUGAAAAUCUUGACUUAUGGAACUUGUUUAGCACUUAUGAGUUCAUAAUUUCUUAUGGGUAGCUUAAAUUGUUGAAAAAUUGGUUAGUGGGCUCUGUGAACUCCCACUAUGGUUUGAUGGACUGAUUUGUGGUAUUUUGAUGUUAUUAAUGUUGAUUUAGUGCUUAAAUUAAUAGAAAUGAGUGAUAUUAUGGAUGAAAGCUCAAAGGGAGUGAAGAUGGAAAACUUUUCGUUUCUGCCCCUGUGAAUGUCCGUGACCCUUAGAGCAAACUUUUGUGGUUAUAUUGACCUGUUUAUGAUGUAUACAUGUUGUGUGGGUGGUGUAGAAAGUUUCAUCAAAAAAUUUCAUGAUUUGGUUGGCCAAAUGAUGUGUUUUCGAAAAUCAGUAAAAACUGGAAAUUUUCCCGUUACUGCUCUGGCAGUGUUUUUGUUUUGGCGAUAACCUUUUGCUCCGACGUCGAAAUCGAGUGCCGUUUGCGGCAUUGGAAAGUAGACAUUCCCAGCUUUCUAAAAGUAUAUAAUUAACAUCCUGGUUCCAUCUGAGUAGUCCAUGCCAAUCGUUUGAACAUGACUGUCCUGUUUCGCGUCUACACUGGGAGCUCUGGUUUGAGCAGCAAAUUGAUGCUCAAAUAUAAGCUAGCUGUGGUUAGAUUUUGAAAAUGAUUUCUUCUAAGAAAUUAUAGCUUUAUGAAUCUAGUUUUCAAAGCCACUGACCACGCUCAAUUCCAAGUUGAAUUGAGUGAAUUGUGGCCGAAAUCCGAGACUGACUCAAUGAUUUGAAACCCUCUUUUGGCUAGUAAAUGUCCAAAUCUUGAUUGGGACUUGUUGUUUCGAAAUUUUUGCCGUUAAUCACCUACCAAAUGUAUCUUGGAUGUUUUAUAGACAUUACUUACACAAAGGGACCGUGUUUGAGACAUUUCGUUGGCUAAACGUUUUGAAAACGGAAAACUCAUGUACAAGGAAGAUUUGCCUUGAAAAUUUGGAAACUUUGGUGAUCUGGUUAACCAACAUUCCAUGCGUAUUUUUCCAUGAAAAUUGAUAUAGGAAUAACCCUCAUAUGGUAGUAUAAUACUGCCAAAUUUGGUGAGAUUCUGAGUUCAUUUUGAUGUUCAAACAAAGUCCCAAAGUUUGUAAAUUGAACCUGAAAAUUUGCCUAACCGUCUCAAUUUUUCAGCAACUUUGAGCCACUAUAUCUUGGUGCUCAAAACUCCGAUUCUUGUUCCGCUUGUUUUGUUUUAAAAUUUGAUUGCAACUCUAAUUGAGUUUCAAAUCUGAGAGGCUAGUUCAAAUUCUAUAAAUUUUGCCAAAUUUCCAAAGUUGGCAAAAAAUCAACCUCAAAACUAUCUUGCAAGCCUAAAACAGUAACUUUGAGCCAAUUUUUGAAUGCUUUCCGUUGGGGAUCAUAGGAAAGUGUAUUCUAAAAACUUUUAGUACUUUGGGAAAAGUUUUCAACGGUACCAAGAUUUCCAAUUUUGGACUUGUAAAGAGUGAGAUACGAUUUUUCAAAAAUCUCGUAUCAAAGCUGAAAUUUUCGAAAUUUAAGGAAAUGGAGUUUUUCGAAUUCUCUUUUUUCCUCGAUAUCACUUGAACGUUUACAAUUGAUUUCAAAAAUGAAAACUCGAUUUCUCUUGUGUUUUAAAAGCCCCACUUUUGAGUCUUGAUUCGCGAGUAAUUUAGGUUCGCUUUCGUGAAAUUUUCUUAGAUUGUACAAGUGUAUAAUUAUUCGUGAUAAUUAGGGUUUAUACAUGAUAGUUCACUAUUAAUUGUUCAGGCUCGCACGAGGACCUUCAAGAGGAUCCCACGGUGAACGCCUGAAUUUCAAGUGACAUUUUUUCCUUGUUUACUUGGUGAGUAUCAAGUGUAUGUAAACCUGAUACGUUCUUAAUUGUUAUUAGUGAUUGGAGAUUUUGAAAAUGCUGAGUCGAGUGUGUACUUUACCGCACUCGGUCUCAUUUAAAUGAAUCAUGAAUGACUUGAUUGAAAUGAAAUGAAUGAUUGAAUGUAUUGAAUGAUUGAAUGAAAUGAUAAAUUAUGCUAUGGCUGCAUAAGUCGAUUGGAGCGAUGCCUCAUCGACCACUCGAGUCGUUUCAGAACCAUAAAGUAUUCUAAAUUGAUUGGAGCGAAGUCUCAUCGACCUCUGAACGAUAGUAAGUACCACCUCGAUUCGGGUGGGAGGUACCUCUCGAGUCAUCUCAUAAUCAUAAAGUAUUCUAAGUCGAUUGAAGCGGAGUCUCAUCGACCUCUGAAUAAUAGUAAGUACCACACUGAUGUAGUGGGAGGUAAUUCUCGAGUUGUCUCAGAACUAUAAAUCAAACGAUAGCAAGUACCACACUGAUUUGGGUGGGAGGUACCUCUCGAGUCGUCUCAGAAACAUAAAUAGAAUAAGUGAAGUACUAUGAAUUUGAUUACCUACCCGAGUGACAGGGUGCCGUCACGCGAAGGUAUUAAAAUGAACAUGGGCAAAGCAAUUGAAAAUUAGCUACUGAGAGCCCCUGCAUCAUACUCAAGUGUGUUUAUUAUAAAUUAUGAAUUACUUGAAUGUUAUAACUUUCAUUAUUGUGUAACUGCUAUUGUUAUUGAACUACGCAUCUUGCAUGUUUUCUUGGCCUCACGAGCAUUCGCUCACCCAGUUAGAUUUGUUUUCCUUAAUAAGAGCGGAUAUGGGAGGAAUUAUGGAGAAGUUUACUUGGUGGCUUAUUUGAUUAGAAUUUUGAAUAUUUUUGUUUAGAAAACUUUUGGAAAUUGUAUAUUUUGGAAUAAGUAAUUGUAAGUUUGAAAUUGUGAUGUAAGAUUAAAUAUUUAAGUAUGGAAAUGACUUCGUACUUUUAUUCCGAUUUUCAUUGUUAGUAUUAGACCUUAAGUUUGAAUUAGAAUUGUCUCGAGUCUUGGCGAGAGUUAGACAGGCACCCCACGGAUACCCUUGGAUUCGCCCAUAGGAGAAGUGGGGGCAUCACAGAUAAACCCAUUCUUUAUUAUGAAAGGAAAAUCUUACACAAGAAUAUAAUUUAAACCCAAAUCCAACCAUUGUAUACCAUCUCUUAUUUCUCAUGAACCCUAUCUGACCCCAUGGAUAAGACUACAUGUUGCCUCUUGUGUGCCCCCUUGUGUGUCUCUUUGUAGUAUGUCAAUCCACCUAUUUAUAAGGAACAUUAUUUGGCCAAAACCCAAAUAACAACAGGAAACUAAUUCUAAUUCUUAGACUUAUACAGAAUAGGAAAUAACUUCUAAUCUUAAACAAAAUACGAAAUUUCUUGGCUACUACUUCAAGUAACUAAAACCAAUUAGAAAACUAGUUACUUCCACACAAAACAAGAAACUUGCCUAAAGAAAUUAAGUCAAUUUCUUAACAAAUGUCCACCUUGGCGAAAAUUUCUUUUAACAACCAUUUGCCUUCAACUACUAAAUAAUAUGGUACCAAACUAUACACCCGAAUCAAUACAGUCCUGGCACCAAAUUGAUUCAAUCGGCAAAUGAACAUGUAUAGUUAUCCCAAGUCUACCUUCCAGUUGACUCGUGAGAAAGUACCUCAAUUCACCAUCUUUGUUUACAGGAUUUUUUCUCACCACUACUUAUAAUCCGAGAUCUCCUUCUGUGAGUUCUAACCCUAAUCAUUAAGGCAAUCAAUUGAUAAAAUUACCAUAUUUCUUUUCAUGCUCAGGACUGUCACGCCAUGUGUGAUUUUCAAUACUUCACCAAAAACGAAAAAAUCGUAACUGUCAAAGUCUUCUGGGAUGUACCACAUCACACCACACAAAGAACUAUCAGAGACUUCUUUGUUUCUCUGGGACAUACCACACCACGCAAAGAACAUAACCAAAUUUUAAAAUCCACUGGAACGCAGUAUCAACCGUUGGAGGUGUGAGAAAAUCUCUACCGAUUCAUGUCCAAAAUCAAAAUUAGACUCUAUCUUUUUCUUUACCCUUGAAUCACCUGGCUAAAUUCACCGUUAAGUGCCUCCAUGCAUUUCGACUUCCUAUCCUUCACCAUCAUUUUUUUUUUGUCAAGUAAUUGAAACAAGGAUAUCACUCAUUAAAUUGUCCAAUUAGUAACAAUUAUAAAUUCACUUGAUCUCAAUAGUUAACCAAGAUCCAAACUCUUGAUCCAACCAUUCAGUUUGUUGGGAUCUAAGUGCUUGUGAGCAAUCCAAUCUCACAACCAAACUCUGAUACUACUUGUUAGGAUUCAAGCGCGGAACACACAACUAUUGAAACAUUAAGUAUACAAUAAUUUAAUGACAAAUAAGUCACAAGUAUGAAAGAUAAAUGACACACAAUAUUUAGCAUGGUUCGACUCCACCAUUGAGCCUACGUCCACAGAGAGAAACUCGUUCUUUAUUAUGAGAGGAAAACCCUACACAAGAUUAUAACUUGAACCCAAAUCCAACCCUUGCAUACCAUCUCUCAUCUUUGAAGAACCCUUUCUCACCCAUGUAUAAGACUAUAUGUUGCCUCUUGUGUGCUCCUUGUGUGUCUCUUUGUAGUAUGCUAACCCACCUAUUUAUAGGGAAUAUUAUUUGGCCAACACUCAAAUAACAACAGAAAAAAUUCUAAUACCUAGACUUAUACAGAAUAAGAAAUAACUUCUAAUUCUAAACAAAAUAGAAAAUUUCUUGGCUACUAUUUCAAGUAACUAAAAUCAAUUGGAAAACUAGUUACUUCCACACAAAACAAGAAAUUUGUCUAAAAGAAAUUAAACCAAUUUUCUAACAAUUAAUCAUAUCAUUCUCAUCUUUUUAUCUUAUUUCAUCGUUGGUUUUCUUGCUUAUGUAAUCGAUUUAUGAUUUUAGAACUUGAGUCACUAGAAUAAGUUCCAAAAGGACAAGAUAUUCUAAUUAUAUAAUUGUCUAAUGCAUAUUAACUUUUUCUUGAAGCACAACAUAUGCUAAUUGGACAUAUAAAAAUUUUUACAUUUUCAAAAGGGAGGUAGUGAAACUGAAUUUUACUAUUCAGUUUUAGAAUUUGGAAGAACUGAUAAUGUUUAGGGAUCUUCUACAGUGGAGCGGUAAAAUGAAGAAGCUGAUUAGAUGAAUAUAGAAAGGAAGGCCUAGAAUUUUGCUUCUACUAAUUUGGAUGUAUUGAAGUCAGUUAACUAAUGUUAAGAAAAUAAAUCUUAUCCCUCUAAAUACUGUAAGGACAAGUGUCAGAAUAUCCAAAAGCAUAUUUAGGGAAAUGGAAAAGGUGUUGGGUGGGUGUGUGUGUGUGUGUGAUGGAAGGAGCCAAAUCCAACGGGUAACUAGGCAUCUAGGACAAAUCGCCCAUGUAAUAUAUCUAAUCAAACUUUCCGAGCCUUCGACUUUCUUUAAUCCUUGCACACAAAUUUGCAAAGUUUGUUUGUCAGGAUUAAUUUUAUCUAUCUUUUGUGUCCGAAAUGGAAAGGUCACACGUUGUUUCUCUUCUUAUGGUUCUAUUAUUUCAGGUGGGAAGAGCCAUAGUAGUUGGAAGUCAAGAUGGAUCAGAAGCGUGGGGAUAUGUUCAAGUCAGACCAAGUAUGUUUCUGAUGUUUUAAAUGCCAAUUAAAAGGAUCACUUGUCAAUGCUGAUAUUGAGUUCUUGUGUUUGUUUCAGUGGCUCACAUGUUCUGGUGGUACUCAUGGUUCGCCAUAUCAAACGAUACUAAUACAUAUUGGCCGAGUCGUAACAGGAACGGAGGGGACCGAUACGAUACCAAUCUGUGAAUCGCGAAUAUUACUAUAUCCAUGCCGACUCGCUCUGACUCGAUCAAUAUUGGCCGAUUCGAAUCCGUGAUGCAUGAUAUCGGCGCGAUAUAUCGAAUCAACUCGGAGUCAACUGGGAUAUUUUUUUAAAUUAUGUCUUUUUAAUAUUUUCUAUUUUUAGUAAUCUUUUCGAAAUUUUGGGAAACUUUCUUGUGCUAUAAUGUGCAUAUCACCCGAUAUUCAACUGAUAUGUCGCGACGGUUGCGGAACAACCGAGACCAUAACGCGACCGCAACCCGUGAUGGCGAACCAUGGUGGUACUACAGAAGUCCAAACAGGAUUCAAGAUCUAGAAAAGCCUUGGCCAAUUAUUCUUUGCCUGCAGGGCGGACCGUGAGUAUCAGAAUUCUCAUGGGAUUCUCUCAAGUUUCAAUCUUUAUUGCUUGUUCAUACAAUCAACUGUAUUUUGUUUAUGAAGGGUGCUUCAUGAGUUGGAUUUGAUAAUUUUGAAGAAUUUGGGCCUCUAGACAUGUUUCUAAAGCCAAAAAAAAUUUGACAUAGUUGCAGAAAGCUGAUCUUUUGUUUGUGGUUGGUACUAGGUUGCAUAAUGUUGGUGAAUAAUCACAUCAGCAUCCAUACUAGUUUUCACACUGAAAUGGGAUUUUCCUACAGGUUUGUUUCUUGUAUCUCCUUAUCUAAAUUUAUUUUCGCCUGUUUGCAAUCUAAAUAGGAUUAUCCAGUUGAAACAUGCUACAGUUUUGUGGAAAACGUUAAAAACACCACAUUAUUUAUGAAGACUGAUGUGGAGGCUGUAAAGGAUGGAACUAAAUUCUUGAUUGAUUUUUUCAAUAGGAAUGAGACCUCCAAAAGAGUCCUCUAUAUAUUGUGGCUGAGUCUUAUGGAGGCAAAUUUGCCAUUACUCUGGCUUUAUCUGCUUUAAAAGCUAUUGAGGCUGGGAAGCUGAAGCUGAAUCUCAGAGGUAACAAUUCGUUUUUCAUUCUUAAAACUAAAAUCUUAGUUUCUCUUCAAUCCUAAACUCUUGAGCUAGCUCUUACCUUUUUUGCAUAGGAGUUGCAUCGGGGGAUAGUUGGAUUUCACCAGAGAUUUUAUCGUAUGUAGUUUCUGUUCUUCAUUCAUCUCAUGAUUACUUAGUUGGAAGAGGUGAAUUGAGUUCUGGUGACCAAAAUACAGUUUUCAUGGGUUCCUCUUUUGAAGACAUCUCGUUUCUUGACAACAAUGGUUUCCAGAACUCAAUCAGGUAUCAAGUUUUACACCUAAAGAUGGUACCAUCCUAAAUCCAAGCCUUAAAUGCAUCAAUGAAAUAUGUUUUUUACUAUUGGAACUUGUGUGAAUUUAGCAACCCCACUUGUUUGAUCUAAUCGAGCUCAAAAAUUUUAAGUUGCCUAAGAAGCUUGUAUUGUUCAAUGCAGGAUGGCUAAUCAAAUUAACAAGCAAAUAGCAGUAGGUACGUUUGCAGAGGCCAUAGACACAUGGAACAAAUUGGAAGAUCUAAUUACCGAUUACAAUAACAAUAUGGUAUGAAUUUUUGCAUAGUCUAAUUGAACUUAUGUUAAUAACAACAAAUCGGUGUGUUUGUGUGAUAGCCCCACCUCCCCCUAUGGCGUACCCAAGAUUUGGCGGAUCGCCUGCCCAACUCUCGCCAGGACUCAGUCACAAUUCAUGAAAAUUUAUAAAUAGAACCUCAAAAUACAACGAUAUUUAUUACAACCAUCAAUAUAGAUACAUUCAUGGACCUCCAAUGUUCAUACAGUCUAUAAUACAUCCAAAGAAUCAAACUUGCUAAAAAUCAAACCAAACAAGUCGGCUAAACACCUAUGCAAUGCUCACACGAGCAACUAACAAAUUUAGAAGAAAUCAAGACCUUCCUCAAUUCAAUCUCUCAAGUUCUCAUCCCUGUAAGGAAAACAAAUGGCGUGGAAUGAGCUAAAAAUCCAGUGAGGUUUCAAGUAAUUAAAUAGGUAAAAUACAAGACAAGUAGCAUAUCUAGACAUCGAGAAACAAGUGAAACAUGAAUGGAUCAUGACUCAGUAUAUAGCUAAGCAAGUAGCUAGAUAAAACAUGCAAAAGGUAUAGUAAGAAACACAUUCAUGUCAAGCGAUACAAGUUGCUCUUCGCGAGCAAAGUUCUACAGUAGCUUGAUCAAGAUCCGUUGACUCUCCGUCAACCAUGGAAGUAUAACGUCCGUAGAUCUUCACUUUACACCAAUUCCGUCCACCUAUCAACCCCCUUUCCUGGCCGAACACCACAGGAGUACCUAAGGUUUGUCAAUCUCAUCGACCAAACCCUUGCUAGCUCGAUUCGACCAACUAGCCUUAGGUUGGGACUUAUAGUCCCAGAUAUUCAGAUUGGAGACGUUAGUUGUCACUUACGCUCCAUAUUCAGAAAUAAACAGAGAUGGUAUUAUUCGAGCAUACCAAUAGUCAAGAAGAUAACACUCCACUCGAUAAAACAGAACAGAGGUACUGAGAUGGGAUGAGAGGUACAUCCCACUCGGAUGGAGUGUGGUACGUACAGCCACUCAGCACUUACAGGUAAAGCACAGCACAAGCACAAGUACAGGUCAUAUACAAAUCAAGUUACUUGUUCAUGUAUGAAGGGGAUAUCAAGUGUUUAGUUAUAUCAAGUUAAUUGAGUGUAUAUAAGAGCAUCCUCGCCUACACAAGUUCAAAUCACAAAUAAGUUCAGCAUAGCAUGUUUCCAAGCAUAUCAAAUAUUUCAAAUCCAAACAAUUGAAAUCAGGUGAUUAAGAACUCUAAUCAAACAAGAAAACUGGAAGGAAGCUACAGAAAUAAAAAAUUCUCUCAGUAAAUCUGGCCACCAAUCCGGCCAGGUUUUGGCCGGAUUUUUAGGGGAAACUUAAAAAGUUUGAAGCUCACUGCCUCAAAUCCAGCUGGCAAUCCGGCCAGAAAGUGGCCGAAAGUUGUAACAAACGGCUAACACAUGUUUUUAACAAAAUAUCACAAGUUCAGUUGAGAUAGGUCAAGUGCAAUAAAAUACGCACUUACCUAUGAGACGAGAAAUCAAGUACCUAGAAUUGUCUAACAACAAUGAGCAUGUAACACGUAAGUCAAGAGAAUAACCACUCGAGUGACCAACAAGUCAAGUGCAAGCAAAGCAAUUCUUUUCCUAUCAAUAUCACAAAGUGAACUACAUAGGAUCGAGUAUGAUAAAGUACAUCCUCGUCCCAAAGAUUAUCAGUUCAAGAACAACUACUUUAACCAAGUAAACAUAUCAUUCAAUCAAGGAGACAUUCCACGUAAAUAUUUUCAUGUACUUGGAACAGUCACCAAUCAAAUGCAACCCUUCACUUUAUCCCUGGUUCAUCCUCUUGAACUCUCUCAAAUCCUGUGAUUAUAUACUAUAUCAAAAGACGUGCAAUACAAAGUCAAAAUACAUGAAGAAAUUAAGAUUUCUAAGACUUCAUUUCCUUUCUCUUAAACCUCAAUUCCACUCAUAAACCAUACCCAAAACGAUUGACCAACUCCAAACUUAAAGUGAAAAAUGAAAGUACAAAUGGUUCUAAGGGAAUAGAAUUUCUUAGCUUUAUGCAACACAAUUUGAAAAAUCAUAUCUUAAGCGUCUUAAGUCCAAAAUUUUUAAAAUUUAUAUUGUCGGAAAAUAGACUCAAACAGUUACAAUUUCUCAGAAUACACUUUUGUAAGAUUCAUACCACAAGUCAGUCAAAUUCGAGCCACAAAUUGCUGCUUCAUCCAGUAAAAGACAGAACAGUGAUGCAAUUUUGGCCAACUUUGAAAAAUCAUAGAUAUUCAUAAGAAUUGAGAAAAAGGAUGAAAUUUUCUCAGUUGAUAGUAUUCUGAAUCUAGUUUCAAAUACAACAAACAGAACUCAAUUCUAAUAUUCCUACAACAAGAUAUAGUAGAUUUCCUAAGGAUGCCCACGGGUUCCUGAGAACAAAAUUUUCAACAGAACCCCCUUUGUGUUUACUACUUUUUCCAGCCAAUUUAAGGCUUCAUUCUUACCACAAAACAGCCUCAACUCAAUCAUAUACAUACCAAGCCAAAAACUCAUUAAAUCAAGCAUAUAACCAUCACCUACUCAACCUAGAAAAUGAAACCCUAAGCUGAAAUUUAUGCAUACAAGCUGAAAUUUCCUUUAGGCAAGUUAAACUAACACAUAAAAACUAGCUAUUUCACAUAGCAAAGCUACCAAACCAUGGCCAACACUUAACCAUCAUGUGUGGGCAGAAAAUUCACCAUAAAAACUGAAUUUUUCCAGAACAUCAAUUCAAAUCAUAAUAUUUCUUAUAAAACUACCAAAGUUGAAACCCUAAACCGCUAAUUGACAAAUAUUUGAAGUAGAGAGAGUUUCUUGCCAUAAAUACCUUGUAACUCCAAGAUAGAUGGAAGCUUAGUGCUUUUCCUCCAAAAAUCUCUCCACUCAAGCCCUUAAUCUUCCAUAGUGAACCACUUUUAUGGAGUAUUUUGCAAGCUUGUGGACUGAAACUCAAGAUUCAAGCUAGCAGUUGAGGUGGAAGAUGAACUUUUCUCUUGGUUUCUCCCUCUCAAAAUUUCGGCCAAGCUAGUGAAAAAUGAAGACAAUUUUUGGUCAAAUUUGAUUUUAGAAAAGUUAAGAAGACAUGGUCAAAGUCCAACAUCCAAUGGUUUCGCGACACUUGGCUCUUUAGGGUUUUGAUCUCAUUCUCUUGUCUUCCAAUGGUUUUAUCUAUCUAACCUCUAAUUAUUCCCUAACACCUUGUAAACUAAUGUCCUUUUAUGCAAGACUUCACCUAGUAGUCAAAAUUUUACUGCACUAACCGCACUAGCAGGUCCCACGUCCAUAAUGCACUUCAAACUUAACGUGUACUAACUUAUACCAAGAAAAUGAUUUUAAAACAUUACUCACUUAUAAAAAUGUCAAGGAAAUUAAGGCAAUAAUUUAAAGUAAAGAAAAUGCACUCAAAGAAAUAAAUAAAUAUAACCUAAUUUUCCAGGGUCUCAUAGUUUGUGCUUGAUGAUUUCUUUUGUGGAUAAAUACAAAACUUCAAACAAUUUCCUCUCAUUUGCAGUGGACGACCCUUUAUCGUUGUUAGCUACUUCAGAACUAAAACAACGUAUUGCAGUAAAAAGGUCCUCUCCUAGAGGCGAUGGUGAUCUUUAUGCAUUUAUGAAUGGUAAAAUUAAAAAGAAAUUGAAGAUUAUACCACCAAAUGUUAUGUAAAUUUUUCUUCUUAGAAAAAUUUCAGACUUCUUUUGAGUUCAUCACUUAAUUGUCAUUCAACGACUAAUAAUGGAAUCAACAGAUGGGGAGGGCAAUCCGGUCCUGUUUUUGAAGCCCUGAAAGGUGAUUUCAUGAGGCCAAGGAUUAGUGAGGUAACUAAAUCAGAUUUUUUUUGUUAGUAGUUAAUUAUAAAAGUUUAAGAACUUCAGACGUUUUGGUUUGAACUAUACCAAGAAUGUUUAUUGACUUUCUGGAUUAGCAUUUUGUUACACAUCUCAAUUGAAAUGAGACCAGCUUAUCCAAUUAUAUGCAGUCAAUUCUAAAGCAUUUUUCCAACUACUUUUUUGCAGGUAGAUGAACUUCUAACAAAAGGAGUAAAUGUGACUAUCUCCAAUGGACAAGUAAGAUUAUGCAACUCUAAGCAAAAGAAAUCUAAAUCUUUAUGCUUAGAAUGUUCUCCAAAAAAAUUUGAAAAAAAAUACUAUUUUAAGAUUCAUGGAAGAAUAGAUAUUUGUAGAUAUCCAAGAAAAACUUCAUAGGACUUUCUCUUUCUGAUUGUGCUAUGAUUCCACCGCAAAGUAAUUGUUUAUUGAAUUUGCUGAUAAAAAUAAUAUAGACAUCGUAGAUUAUUGGCUGCAAUACAACAGCGUGAAUAAUGGAACAAAAUAAUGGUAGUCAAGUUGGAUGGGAUUUUGAAGCAGUCAUAAUUAGUAUAAAUUUGAUACACUGACAUGGCCUUAAUCAAGUUGAAACAUUUUUUUUGUGGUCACAAAAAUUGUGACUUCUAGUAGAUAAACUUGACCUGGGAUUUUUUAUUAUCCACGCUAUGAAUUUCACUCUCUCCUUGUAUUUUUCUUUUUGGCUAAAUAGUUCAAUCAAAGUGUUAUUUUACUAUUGCUCGUAAUUUGAUCUCAUGUGUGCAACCAAGAGAACAAACGCAUGGCUUGAUAAGCUCAAGUAAGAAAAAAGAAUCCCACAAGUAAAUAAGCACCUAAAUUCACCUCCUAAGAAGAAAAAUGUACAAAAUAAAAACACCCUAUUACCCUAAUCAAUAAUCUUUUGCCUAUUUUAACAGGUGGAAUGGGAUGAAAAAUUUCUUGAACAAGGAUAGAACGCCUCUCUAUUGUGAAGGUGAUAGGAGUGUAAAGGCUUUCACCAAAUCAUACAGAAAUUUACAUUUCUACUGGAUUCUUAAUGACAGCCGCUUUGUAAGCCAACUAACUAUUGUCAUAUUCUGCUGUAUUUCUUUUAUUGGUCUAAAUUACUGUCACUCUUGCCUACUUGGCAAGAUUAAGAAGACAAGGCACACUAUUAUCCAGAAUUGGAACAAAUACGAUUGAGUUACGUCACAGUUAGGCAUGGUUAUUGUACUUUUUUCAUAAUUUAGUGUAUAUUAAUUGACACGAUUAUAUUUAGGGUUAAUUACAUUUUAUCCCCUUAAAAAAUAACUCAUUUCUCAGUUUACCCCCUAACUUUUAAUUUUGCUCACUUAACCCCCUUUAGAACAAAAUUGCCCUUGUAUUAUUUUGACUUUUCAUUUACCUUGUUUUCCUUUCUUUUAUUUCUUUUUCUCUUUCUUUUUUAUUUAAUUCUUCCUCUUUUCUACAAAAAUUUUUACCUUAAUGAUUGAAAUUAAAAAAGAUGAAUUGCAGAGAUCUAUUUUCUCCUUCAAUGAUUAAAAAAAUAUUCAAAUCACUUUCCCAAAAUAUAAUUUUUUUAGCCUUUCAAUUCUUUUAAUUUUGGAUUUUUCUCUUUCCUUUCUAGUUUCUCAUUUUAUUCUCAAGAAAAUAUCAUAAGAUGAAAUUAUUUUCCUUUCUUUUAUUUCUUUUCUUUCUUUCUUCUCUGUUUCAUCCUUCCAAUAGAAAUUUCAUUUCAAACAAAAAAUUUUAUUUUGAGUUUGUAAUUGCAUAUUUCUAGGUGAAGGUUUAAAAGGUAUCAAAAACUAAUUUUGAUUUUUUGUGUGAUGCCACGUGCCACAAAUUUCAAUUGAUGAUUAUUAAUCAGGUCACAAUUUCAUCUUAAGAUAUUUUCUUGGGAGUAAAAUAAGAAACUAGAAAGGAAAGAGGAAAAUCCAAAAUUAAAAGAAUUGAAAGGCUAAAAAAAUUAUAUUUUAGGAAAGUGAUUUGGAUAUUUUUUUUAAUCAUUCAAGGAGAAGAUAGAUCUCUGCAAUUCCUCUUUUUUAAUUUCAAUCAUUAACAUGAAAAUUUUUGUGGGAAAGAGGAAGAAUUAAAUAAAGAAGAAAGAGAAAAAGAAAUAAAAGAAAGAAAAACAAGAUAAAUGAAAAGUCAAAAUAAUGUAAGGGCAAUUUUAUCCUAAAUGGGGUUAAGUAAGCAAAAUUAAAGGUUAGGGGGUAAACUGAAAAAUGGGGUAUUUUUUAAGAGGAUAAAAUGUGAUUAACCCUUAUAUUUAUGUGUUGAAUUGAUGUAUAUGAAUAAAUUUUGAAUACAACAAAGUUAUAUAAAAGUAUACCAUAUUAUGUAGAAAGUACAAAAUCGGACAAUUACACCAAAAUUUCAACAGAACUUGUUCCUGGUCCCUAUUAUCCCAAUAGUUUUCACAAUUUGAUCGAUGUCUAAGAAACCACCCAUGUAAAAGAAAAAAUAAUACUUCCUCCAUUCUAUGGGAAAUGUCACUUCCCUUUUUUUUCACAUCCCAAAAUAUUUGUCAAGUCCAAAAAGUUAAUACAUAAUUUUUGCUUUUUUUUCUACUUUUAUUCAUUAUCUUUUUGUGGAAGAUGUUGCCAAUUCAGGUUUUACUUCAGGAGAAUAAAGUUGAGAAAGUUUAAACAAUUAUCAGUAUCAGACCACUUUUAUUAAAAGUUGGAUUGCCAAAAAGUGACAAAAGUAGUAAUUGCCAGACUUAUAUUGGAACUUUAUAUGAUGAUACAAAGAUGAAAUUGGUCCUGCUGCCAAAGCAAUAACUGCCAAGCUUUUUUUUUAAAAAAAAACCACCAAACUAUGGUAGAUUACGCCUGGCAUUUAUUGGUAAAUCUAUCAGACCCUUAUGGAAUACGAGACGUUUAAGAACAAAAGAAAAUUGUGGGACAUCUUUGUGAUAGAAAUUUCCCGCACGAAUUAUUUCUUGAAAUUAUUUAUUGGUUACAGACAUGGGAAUGGCUACCAAAAUGGACAUUGAGAUUUACUUUGAAUAUGUUCUUGCUAAAUGAAUAUAAAUAUAUAUAUAUAUGUGUUGGAUUCGUGGGCCAGCUUAUUUAUGGGACAAACUACAAAACAAACCUUAGGUUUUCAUUCUUGUGAAGAAGGAAAAAAGUCAGCCAUCACUUUUGCCUUUGGAGGAAAAACGAAGAGAGAGAAAGAGUGAAGAAGCUAGAGAAAGAGAAACUUCAAAGUCUUGAUUGGAGGGUGAUUCAAAAUCCAAUUGAGAUGAAAUUUUACACACGCGAUCCUCUCAUCAAGCCCUACUCAUCUACCUAUUCAAAUUUUGGAUUUUCUUUUUGUUUGGUAAUACUUUUUCAAACUCACUUCUUUGACAAUUGUAGUUUUUGGGAGUGAUUUUGUAGCGAUUUGACUUGGUUGAUAUUGGCAAUAUUAUUGUCAUCUGGAUGUUUCAGAUAGACCUGUGUAUUCCCAUUAUUGUGAUAGUGGAGAUUUUUGACUUGGCUAGGUCCCGUGAUUUUUUCAAUUUGGAUUUUGCACGUAAAAAUCUUGGUGUCCUGUGUCUUUUAUUUUUCUUGCAUUCUAUUAUUACUGCUGGCAUCGUUGCUUGGUGAUUUGAUUUAUUCAUAUUUUAAUUGGUACUUGGGAAAAAAGAAAUUUGUUCUGGGUUAAUUUUAAUAAUGUGUGCCUGUACCGUACUCCUUUCCCAAAAAAGUAGUAUCAGAGCAGUCAGGUUAGGUUGUUUUUUCAUACUAGUUAAAAAUGGAUGAUUCGGAUAGUGGUUGCAUGACAAAAUUAGAUGCUAAUAAUUAUUCGAUUUGAAAGUCUAGAAUGAAAAGCUAACUGUAUUGUAGAGAUUUGUUAGAACCUGUUUUAUGGUAUAAGGGUAGACCAAGUGAUAUGAGUGAUAAAAAAUAGGUUGUUAUGCACAGAAAAACUGUUGGUAAUACUAGAAAAUGAAUUAGUCAGAGUAUUUGCUAAUGACACCAGAGUUGAUAUGUUAUGAAAAAAGCUUGAGAGUAUGUAUGAACGAAAGACCAGUUUGAACAAAACUAGUUGUCUGAAACAGAUUACUAGAAUGAGAUAUAAAAAUGGGAAAGAUACGACUGAAUAUUUGAGUAAUUUUUAGAAAUUGGUAAACCAGGCAACUACGUUAAAUUUGAAUUUGGAUGAUGAAGUGUAGGCUCUAUUAUUAUUGAAUUCACUAUCGAAUAGUUGAAAAACCAUGAUGGUCUCUGUCAGCAAUUCAGUUCGAAUGAUGUGUUGAUCAUGGCUAUUGCAAAGGAGGCUGUGAUGAAUGAAGAGUUCAGGAGGAAGGAAUAAGAAAUUGUCUAUGAGUCACAGGCCCUGAUGACAGAAAAAAAAAAGAAAGAAGAGGGAGGAGCAAAAGUAAAGGACCCUACAACAAGAAUGACAAAUCCAAAUGCAAGUCUGAGUCACGAAAAAAUAUUGCAUGCAAUUAUUGUAAAAAAAAAAUGGGCAUUAUAUGAAAGAAUGCAAAAUUUUAAAAUGGGAACAAGCUGAGAAAAAGGGUAAGAGGAAAGAGAAAGGUGAUAAAGAGACUAUAGUAGUUGUGGUAGCUCAUAAUGAUAUGUUUGUGUUCUAUGAUGAUAGUCAGGUGAAUAUUAUUCAUUAUGACAGUGAUAGGGUAAUUGAUUCGAGUGCAUCCUACCAUAUUACUGCUCACAGGCAUUUCUUCUCAAUUUACACCGAAGAAUAUUUUGGAUACAUUAGAAUAGGAAAUGAGAUCUCAUGCAAAGUUGCUGACAUAGGAGACAUAUAUUUAGAUACAGAUGUCGGAUGUCAGCUGAUAUUAAGAAAUGCUCGACAUGUCCAUGAUAUUCGUCUUAAUCUUAUUUCUAAAAGAAAACUUGACGAUGAGGGUUAUCAUAACUUGCAAGGUGGAGGCAAAUAAAAACUCAGCAAAGAGAAUCUUGUUAUUGCUAGAGGAAAGAAGCAGAGUACCCUCUACUUGAUGGAAGCCAAGUUGGGGAAGAGAGAAAUGAAUGCAAUUCUUGAUUCAUCAAUUGAUUUUUGGCAUAGGCGACUUGGGCACAUUGGUGAAAAGGAAAUUCAAACACUUGUUCGCAAAUAGUUUCUACUUGAAGUUAGAGGUACUGCACUUAAAUCUUGUGUUGAUUGCAUUUAUGGAAAACAACAAAGAGUUGUAUUUUAAAAUUUUUCUCGAAGUAGAAAAUUGAAUCCAUUAGAAUUGGUGCACACUGAUAUUUACUAUAUGAAAGAUAAGUCUCUUGAUGGUGCUGUUUAUUUUAUAAGUUUUAUUGCUAAUUUUGCUAAAAAGGUUUGGUGUUUUGCUUUGAAAUCCAAAGAUCAGGUUUUGGAUGUAUUUAAAGAUUUUCAUAACAAAAUUGAAAGAGAAACUAGUAAGCAGUUAAAGUGUGUACGUACUGAUAAUGGUGGUGAGUACAGAGGACCAUUUGAAAUCGAUCACAAGUCCCGUGAGAUCAGAUUGGAGAAAACUAUACUAAAAACUCAUCAAGAGAAUGGAGUAGCAAAGAGGAUGAAUAGAUCCAUCACUGAGCGGUUAGAUGUAUGCUCUCUAAUUCUAAGUUGCCAAAAUCCUUUUGAAGUGAGGCAAUGAGGACUGCAGUUGAUUUAAUUAAUUUUUCUCCAUUAAUUCCUUUAGAUGGUGAUAUCCCAGAGAAAAUAUGGAUGGAAAAAGAUGUAUCUUUUAAGUACUUGAGAGUUUUUAGUUGCCGGACAUUUGUUCAUAUUCCUAAAAAUGAGAGGUCAAAACUUGAUGUAAAAUCAAAACAGUGUAUUUUUUGAGUUAUGGACAUGAAGAUUUUGGCUAUAGGUUGUAUAAUCCUAUUGAUAAGAAUGUGAGUAGGAGCAAAGAUAUUGUUUUCUUUGAAGAUCAAACCAUUAAAAACAUUGAUAAAGGUGACAAUCCAAAAUCCUUAUAUGACAUUUCUGCUAGUUCAAAUCUAGAUCCAAAUCUAGUUCUAGUUCAAGGGAGAGUUGAGACAGAGUAGAAAGAGGAUGUUAAUGAUGGUAAAAUCCUGCUGCCAAUGAACCUGAGCAUGAGGCGUCACCUACUCCACCACCUCCACCACAAGAUGAGUUUAGGAGAUCUACUAGAGAGAGGAGAUCUUCUAACAGAUAUAAUCCCCAUGAAUAUGUGUUAUUGACAGAUGGAGGAGAGCCAGAGUCCUACUGUGAGGUUCUAGAGCAUGAGAACAAAGAAAAUUGAUUGCGAGCCAUGCAAGAGGAGAUGGUAUCCUUGCAUGAGAAUCACACUUAUAAGUUAGUGAUAUUGCCUAAGGACAAGAGAGUUCUGAAAAACAAAUAGAUCUACAAGUUGACGACUCAAGAGUAUAGCUCACAACCAAAGUACAAAGAAAUUUUGGUUGUGAAGGGAUUUAGUCAAAAGAAGGGUAUAGAUUUUGAAAAAACUUUCUCUCCUGUUGUAAAGAUGUCGUCAAUUCAAAUUGUUCUGGGUAUUGCAACCAAUUUAAAUUUAGAGAUUGAAUAACUUGAUGUGAAAAUAGCCUUCCUGCAUGGUGAUUUGGAAGAGGAGAUCUACAUGGAAUAGCCAGAGGGUUUAAAGAAAGUGGAAAGGAAAAUCUUAUAUGUCGCCUCAAGAACAACUUGUAUAGGCUAAAACAGACACUGAGACAAUGAUACAAGAAGUUUGACUCCUUCAUGACAGACCAUGAGUACCACAGGACUACAUUUGAUCACUGUAUUUAUGUGAAAAAUUUUUCAGAUGGUGAUUUUAUUAUUCUCUUGCUGUAUGUUGAUGACAUGUUGAUUGUUAGCCAUAAUACUAUAAAAAUUGAUAGGUUGAAAAAGGAGUUAAGUAAAUCCUUUGUAAUGAAGGAUUUGGGUUCGGUUAAACAGAUACUAGAGAUGAAAAUCUCACGAGAUGGGCAAAAUGAAAAGUUUUGGUUGUCUCAAGAAAAUACAUUGAGAAAGUAUUCAACAGGUUUAACAUGAGCAAGGUUAAGUAAGUCUCAACUCUACUUACGGGUCAUUUUAAUUUGAACAUCAAGCAGUUGCUCAUGCAGUUGGAGUAGUUAGUCGGUAUCUCUCUAAUCCUAGCAAUGAGCAUUGGAAUGCUAUCAAAUAAAUUCUCAGAUAUUUUAAGAGAACUUCCAAAUUGUGUUUGUAUUUCGACAAUGGUAAAAUUAUGCUAGAUGGGUACAUCGAUGCAGAUAUAGCAAGUGAUCUUGAUAAUAGAAAAUCCACAUUUGGGUACUUGAUGAUUUUUGUAAGGGGAACAGUGUCAGGGCAAAAUAAAUUACAGAAAUGUAUCGCUCUUUCCAGUAUAGAGGCAGAGUAUAUCGCAACACUGAAAUAUGCAAGAAGACUCUUUGAUUGCAAAAAUUCCUUCAAGAGUUAGGUAUGAAACAAGAGAAGUAUAGUCUUUACGGUAACAGUCAGAGCGCUAUUCAUUUGUAUAAGAACUCAACAUUUCACUCUUGGUACAAACACAUUAAUGUGAGAUAUCAUUGGAUUCGAAAAGUAAUGGAUAACAAGUUGUUGACACUUGAGAAGAUUCAUAUAAAUGAUAAUGGUGCUAACAUGUUGAUCAAGGUAUUACCUAAGGAGAAAAUCUUGUUUUUUAGAUAGGAAGUAGGUUUGACUAUACUCUCAAAUGAGUUGGAGAGGGAAAUUGUUGAAUUUUUGGGCCAAACCACAAAAACAAAUCAUAGGUUUUCAUUCUUGUGAAGAAAAAAAAAGUUUGCCGUCACUUUUGUCUUUGAGAAAAAACGAAGAGAGAAAGGGUGAAGAAACUAGAGAGAGAGAAACUUCAAAGUUUUGAUUGGAGAGUGAUUCAAAACCCAAUUGAGGUGAAAUUUUACAUAUAUGAUCCUCUCAUCAAUCCCUACUUAUCUACCUAUUCAGAUUUCGGAUUUUCUUUUCGUUUAGUAGUAUUUUUCCAAACCCACUUCUUUGACAGUUGUAGUUUUUGGGGGUGAUUUUGUAGUGAUUUGACUUGGUUGAUAUGUUUUAGAUAGACUUGUGUAUUUCUAUUAUUGUAAUAGUGGAGAGUUUUAAUUGGACUAGAUCGCCUAUUUUUCCCAAUUUGAGUUUUUCACGUAAAAAUCUUGGUGUCUUGUGUCUUUUAUUUUUCUUGCAUUCUAUUAUUACUAUUGGCAUCGUUGUUUGGUGAUUUGGUUUAUUUCUCUUUUAACUGGUACUUGGAGAAAGAGAAAUUUGUUCUGGACUAAAUCUAAUAUUGUGUGUCUGUACUUGUACCCCUUUCCUAACAAUAUAUAAUAGAUUUGUAAGAAACUUUUCUUAUAGAGUUAUGUCCUGUAAUUUUAUUUGCCCUUUUCGAUUUCUUUAUAGGUCUUUGUUGAUCACCCCUGUGUGCCAUUAAAGAUGAUAGGAAGCAUCAUGCAGUCACCUGCUGCUUCAGAAUAGGGGUGGCUUUCCAAUUUAGACAAUAUAAAAGACCAACGCUGAAGAUACAUGAACAGAAGAAUAACAUAGAAGUCUCUUUUGAUUGUGAAAGAACUAUCACAGGAAUGUGAAUUAUUAAGAGAAAAUUGAAAAUUAAUCUUUAGUAUAUUCAUCUUGUGGUGUCAUUAUGACAUUUUCUUUUAUAGAAAAAAGAGAAUUUUCAUUACUAAAUUUGAUAAAAUCAUCCAGCACAAUUUAUUUAAUAAAGUUAGGAGGUCCAUUGUUAUUGAACUUAACAUGAUUUAAUUUGCAUGUCCUUAUAUUUGAUGGAUUAUUCGAGACUUGAUAUUUGAUUAGCUAGUGGUGCAUCAGGUCAAGGGAUACAAACUAGAGGUACUCAAACCAUUUCAUUAGGAGGGUUACGUUAGGUGAUAGGAUGGGAGGAAUUGUAAAUAUAAGAUAUUGGGUACAAGACCUCCCACUUAAGAAAAAACGUUUCCGUUACUAUUGCGAUUGAAGCAGAAUCAAAAGCCUCAAAAUAACUCUUUACAUUCAAUUUGCCACAACACAUGUAACUGGAUGCAUCCUAAACACUUGGCUAAUUCCUAUGAUUAAGAUUUGAGGGAAAAAAUUACAGAAAAAAGUAGUAUUGUAAAACUAAUUAACCAUACCAUCCAAAUUCUACACGUUAGGGACAAAAUAUAAAAUUAAAUUUUUUACUAAUGUAAAUUUGAUUUCGAUUAUUUGCCAAGUUUUUCUUCUAUCUAAACAAGAAAAUUUUAUUGCCACAUUUGUUUUGCGUGAAACUUUAGAAAUUAAUUUUGCUCAUAGUUCAAACAUUGGGAACCAAAAAUACAUUUCUCCAUUUUCCAGAAAAGAAAAGCAAAACUUCCUUCCGUUCAAUUUUAUGAACUUGUACUGGUGGACUUUGGUUGAAUUGAAUGUUGGUUUAUGGUUGGACAUUUGAGACAGUUUGGUCAGUUUCAUUAUGGUUGUAUAAUUGUCUUUCGGAAUGACAACUUCAUUUGUUGUUUUAAAUUCAUUGUUGGAUUGAGGAUUUCUUAAAUUAGGUUGCAAUAUUGUGUGUUGGUAAUAGGGUUUUGAAUGAGAUUAAACAUAGGUUUAAAUUUUAGACUAGCAGUACCAAUUCGAAAACUAGAAAAAUGAGUUAAACCAAACUCGAGUUGGUUUGUCGAACUCACACAAAUUGAACUUCAUUGAGCCAAGCUCAAGCAUAGGAAUUUUUUUGCUGAAUCAAGCUCGAGCCUUAUUUUUCUUGGCUCAGCAAGUUCAAGACACAAAAUAAUGUCAAGUUUGGCUCGAUUAACAAAAUGUUUGAUUUGAUGUGGAUCAUUUGCACCCCUAUGUAUGAUUAUGCAAGGGUAAUUUGGAAAGAAAAUCAUUUUAGCAUUUUAUGUGAAUUUUUUUUGGAUAUAUGGCCGAUUUUGUUGCAUUGAAAUUCAAGAUAAGGAAGCUAAGGAGUUAAGCAUAAUAUUCCCAACCCUAGGGGAGCCAAGUGAAAUUUUUAGAAGUUGAAGGAGGUUUUUGUAUUUAUGUCUGAAAAGAAGUACUGGGGAAAUGAAGAAUGGGGUUUAUAUUUAGGAUUCACUUUUUAUAUACUACUAUUGUAGUGAUUUUUUCACAUUAGUUGUUAUGGAUGUCUGCUAUAUGUUCAUGAUUUGAAUUCAAAUUUGAAUUCAUGUUAUGUGAUAAUUUAAACGUGCUAGUGUAAAAAAAAGUACAAUGAUAGUAUGAAAAAAACUUACUCUUAUAUCUAAGGGCAAAUUACAUAUAACCUUCCUAUAGUUUUGCAUAAUUCUAGAUGACUCCUCUAAAAUUUUAAAAUAGUCAUAUAACCCCCUAUAAUUUUAUGUAAAGCGAACAAUGGAUGGAAUGCACAAUCAAUUAUAACAAUUAAACCACACACAUUCUAAAAGUGCAUGUCAUGAAAUCAUAAUAUCCAUUUACGUUAUGAUUUGUAUAAAUAUCCACUUUAUUCUCCUAUAAUUAUUGCAUUUAUCCACAUAAUUCUCUUAUGGUUUUAUACAAAGUAGUUUAAGUCAUCAUUUGAUUUAGCAUUUAAGUAAGGGCACUAUUGGUAUUUCAAAUAAUGACAUUAAAUAGGUUAUUUUCAAUUAAAAUUUUAGUUUACUAAAAUCAUAAGGGGUAAAGUGAAUAUUUUGAAAUUUUAUGGGAGUUAUGUGGCAAUAAAUAAAAUCAUAAAGGGUUAUUAGUAGUUUACCCUAUAUUUAAUAGGUGACAACUUAACCAAAAAAAGACCCUUAUAAUUAUUUAGAUAAUUUAUCGCAUUUUCUUCGUCCAUUCUUGAAGUAGCUAGCUAACUAGGAGUUAAGGACAAAUUGCCCAUGUAAUAUGUAUAAUCGAACUUUCCUAGCCUUUGACUUUAAUUAAUCCCUCUGCUCACAAAAUUUUCAAGUCUGUUUGUUAGGAACAUGUUUAUCUAUCUUUUGCUUCCGUUGAAGUGGUAUUUCCUUCCAACGAGCUAAACUAGAUAAGUAAGGCGAGAGCUCAAUCACAUGAAGGCAGAACUCUCUAAAAAAACCUAUAAGGAAAGGACCAAUUUGUGAGGAGUCUCGAGGUCAACCCCUCAAGGUCAUUCCACAUUCAAGUUAGUUUUUGACUUGAGGAGAAGGAUAUCCUCCUAGGUGGGUGUUAGGUGUUUCUAUAUAUAGGUUUUCGUACAAGAGAGUGAUAAAGAAAUUAAGAGAUACCGAGAUCAAGAGAUAAAGAUUACCUCUUUUUGUUUGGUAUGAUAGACAUUAGUUCAAAUGAUGAUAUUUCAUCAUUUUUAAGAUAAAGAUAGUCACUAUCAUUAACAAACUAAGAUCAACCGCAUCUUCAGGUAGUCAAAAUCUUAUCCUAUCCCCAUGGUUUGAGUUCAAGAUCAGCUGGAUCUAUACCAAGUUGGGAUAGUUUGGGUGGCCACAUGGCAUACAUGCAAUGCAUAGCCCUCAAGUCAAAUUUUAUUCUUAUCUGAAUAAAUUUUACCUUUAAUGAACUAGAUAUGUAGCAAUCUACCAUUAGCCAAGCUAGAUCACCAUUACUUCCUCAAUGCCUGAAUUGACAUUCCAAGCACCACUUCGCUAAGAAAUUGUGUCCACCAAUCAUGUCAUCCCCAGAAAUUCAUAAUCCUUUUCAAAUUUUACAUGCAACUACCUUUAUUGAAUUUUCAAAAGUCCAAAAAAGUCUACAUUCUUCCCCCAUCUUCGUUCUAUAAAUAGAAGACUUCUCAUAUCUAUUUUACUCUUUUUGGCUUCCAAUAUUCUUCUUCCAGUUCUAGGUUUUCAAUUUCGAAAAACCAUCUAUCUAGGAAAUUUUGUCUUUUCUCCUCUAGUGAAUACUCCCUUCUGUAAUUUUUUUAGGCAAUCUUAUUUCUACAUCUUAAUCAGUAAGUCUCUCUUCCAAUUUAUUUAUCUCUGAUAACUCCAAUAUCUCUAUAUCUUUAUUGAAGCAUAGGUAGAUUCCUGUGAUUAUUACAGUAGCAAUCAUUUCUUCUUCUUCCUCUUCUUCAUUGUUGCCCUUUUCUUCAUUUGUCCUAAGUAUCUCCCAGAACUAUUGGAACCCAUAGAAGUAAUGAGUUCUCAUACUUUUAGAACCCCAUCUACUAACCUUAGAGUAGAUCCUGUAGAGCAGGCUAACCCUUCCGAGUAGCUCCCUAUUGUAUAACUUGCUUCUUCAGAAAAGUUUUGUACCAAGUAAGGAGAAGGUUAGGUCAGUGUUAGUGACCAAUGUCACGACCCAUGCGCUCAGGUUUACCUACCUAACCAUGGCUUCAUUGACUUUAGCUACAUCCCCAAUUUCUCCUUUACUCUUUCUCAAGGGGACAUGGACGAGUUAGCUACCAAUUAUUCCAUCUUAGAGUCCUUUGGAGCCCAAGCAACUAGCCCUAACAAAAGGGUCAAUUGACUUUCUCCUAACUAUGUUGCCAUUUAUAGGGAACGGGUUCUCUCGGGUAUAAGACUUCCUACUCCUAUGGCCCUUUUCAACAUCUUGGCCUACAAGAGGAUUAGGAUUAUUUUACUUUAACUCCAUUAAAACCACUAUAGGCUUCCUAAUCUACUAUAGUCUUUGUGUAAUUUCUUAUUCUCUUUCCUUAUUAUGAGCAUACCAUAUGCUUAAGACUUCUCAGCUUGGGUGGUUCUAUUGAGUUCUAACCCUUAUUUUUGGUGGUUCUAUUGAGUUCUAACCCUUAUUAUGAGCAUACCUAAUCUACUUUAGUAAGAGCACCCGUGAUAUUUCUAUUGAGUUCUUUAUUUCAUUAAAAGGUGAAAGAAUGAAUUCUUUUUUGUAAAAAAUCGACUUCUUUCCUCCUAAUUUUGGAAGGUAGGGGAAGUCAAAACUGAUCCUAUCAUGUCGAUCUAGACAUGGAUGCUUUUUGACUUACUCUUGAGACCUAAAGCCAAAUUACUUACCAAGAAUUUCUCCUCUAGUCAAAUUGCAACAGUCGGACUGGUCAAUCCUCUUUCCAGUGACUGGGAUUGGGAUUUACACUAAGAGGAAUACAAGAAUUGUAAUUUUUCCUUUCUCUUCCUUCCUCUCUCUCUUUACGUAGAGCUCUAACCCUUAUUUUUCUUCUUUAUAGUGAGAUAAUUCUCUCAACUCUUAUUCUUUGAGACUUCUACUCAACUCUUCACAAGCUAGUAGUAGUUCUCUUACUCAAUAGGUCAGCUCUCCUCCUACCUAGACCCCUACGGACACCAAGCAAAGUAAAGGGGGAAAUUAAGGGCAAAAAGGCGGCACCUAAGAGGAUCGUUGUGAGAAGUUCUGAUGCAAGGGAGACAGUCCAUUGUGGGCUUAAUUCGGCUGAGCAGCAGGCAGACCAUGUAUCACCACUAUUAACAUGGAACUUCAGAUAUGCAACGCCACUGAAACCUAGCCAAUAUCACACUAUCCAUGACCCCUAUUACUUUUAUUCAUCAAUGAUCGAGCUCAGUAUCCAUAUGUUGUCCACGAGUUCACUCGCAGUUCACUGUUGCCAAGGGAUAAGAGAUUCAUGGAGUUGGCUUCCAACUUCAAGUUGUUAGGCGUCUUUUAUUCUUUCUAAGCUCAGGUAGGAAGCCAAAGCUUUUGAACCUCAUCUUUUUUUUUUAAAGCAAGUUUCCCUUUAAGAAGAGUGUUUUCUAUUUUUACUAAUUUAAUCACCAUGUUUCUCCUCAAAGGAAAAUGAAUCAGUAAUGGAGGUGGCCUACCACUUUGAAAAGCUAAUGCUUGAUCUAGAGAAGGCAACCAAGAGGAAUCAGACCCUCGAAAAGUAGCUCAACACUGCAUAAAAAGAGCUUGAUUCUCUUCAGGCUCAGCUCCAAAAAGCACAGGAUUGGCUACUUAACUUGCCUUGCUUCAAAUUAGCUUGCAAGAGAUUCAAAAGAGCAAUUAAAGGGUAUGAUGUGAUCUUAGGGAUAGAUUGGUUAGCCCGUUACAAUACCCAGUUGGACUGUAGAACAAAGAUUGUAGAAUUGGGUAUUCUAGGAGAACCGACCCUGAAAUUGGAUGUAAAGGGUAGGUUAGUUUCAUCUACACUUAUCUCAAGGAUUCGGGCUAGAAAAUUGUUAAGUAAGGGAGAUCGAGGAUAUCUGGCUUUUCUUAUCAACACCCCUAGUGAUAAGGUGAAAUUAGAAGACAUGCAUGUAGUGAAAGAUUUUUCAGAUGUAUUUCCUGAAGAGUUAGAGUCUCUACCCCCGGAAUGGGAAAUAACUUUUAAGAUUGAUGUGACUCCGAGAGUAGCACCUAUCUCUAAGAUACCAUAUCGGAUGGCUCCAGCUGAAUUGAAGGAAUUGAAAUUACAACUACAGGAUUUGCUAGAAUGGGGGUUUUAAAUCCAGAAAAAUGACAUAAAACUUUGGGCAAUUCUGAUUGAUGUUUUCUUCUAGCUGUUUACGUGGGCAGUGCCUUGUUGCUGUUUCUUGCUGUUUUCCUUUCCAUUUUAUUCUUAGCACCUUGUUUGUUGUCGUGUUGGGCUUUAGAAUUUUUCUCGAAGUUCUGAGUUAGGGGUUAGUAAAUGUUUAUAUUUCCUUACGCUGUUACUGAACUUCGGUUGGGUUGGAUGGAUCCGUUUCAUUGCCUUGCUGCAUUUCAUGUUCAGGAACUUUAUUGAAUCUUCCCUCUCCCCUUUGUCCCAAGUCUUUUAUGCUGGAGUAAGUUAAGACUUGUAUUAAGUCCCUUCUAGGUUAAUGCAUAGGAGCUUAGGGAGCCGAGAGUCACCCUUGAUCAUGUUGCAGCUGUGCGAUCAGCUUCCUUUUUCUCUUGAGGUGCUGAAUUUUUUUUUUUUUGGUUUGCUUAACUUUUAGGCUUUGUUUGCUAUUCCUGGGUUGCAUUUGUCAUUUCUCUUAGCAUGGUGUAGGGGUGCGUAAUGGAAAUGGUUUCCUUGCAAAAGAGAAAUUUUUCUUUCAAUCAAGUCGUCUGAAGGGACCAGGGCAUCUCAGUUCCCCUAUUCUUUACCUUGCGCUUUGUCUUCCUAUAGUUCUAGCCUUCCCCUUUGAGUGUUCUGAGUCUUCUUAUUGAGUUUGCUUUCAUUCGUAAAACCAGAGGGAGGUGAAUAAAUCUGUUGCAAAUAUUCAUGUUGCUUUGCUGCAUUUUAUUGCUCGAAUGAUUUGAUUAGAUUUGUUGAGGUAUAGAUGAUUGUGGUUGGGUGAAGUUAACAACAUGAAUUAAAGAUCUUGUAGUCGUUUUGGUUUUCUUCUGUUGAAUUGGUAGACUUUACUUGGCCCCUUCACACGAACAAACUUGGGUGAAUAAUGAAACAUUUCUGCAGUUUCGAACCAAUGAGAAGCUAACUGAAUCCAUAUUUCAGAAGUUCCGUGGCAGAGUUCUUUUUUGUGUAGAAUGUUUAGCUCACGUUUUCAUCAUUUCAAGAUGGGUUGUGUUGUGUCUUGAAUCAAAAGAUGAUGCUUUCCUGGGACGUGUUCAAUUAGUUGUCAAAUGCCACAUGUUGCAGAAUGAAGGAAAAUAGAAAAUGCAGAAAUCUUCUUCGUAUGCAUGCAUGCAAAUCUUCAUAAAGGUUGCAUUCUUACCUCCCAAGUCCCCCUUUGUUCUAAUAUGGCCCGAAAAACUUUUAAUUUCUUUCAGAGAGGUUCCUAAUUUAAUUGCAAAUAGGCCCCUAAACUUUAUUUUUCUUUAAUUUUGAUCCUGAAACUUUGUUAAUUUUCACAAUUAAGUCCCUUCUUCUUUUAAUUUCUUAAAUGUGGGUUGCUUGCAUGAUUUAAUUGAUUCAAUUUCAUGUUUAUUUUUUAUCUUUUGUGAUUUAUUUCUUAACUAAAGUGAUGCCUUGACUUUUUUUUUGAUUUUGGAAGGUAAAUAAGUAAUUUCAUUUCAUUAGGCCAUCAACUCAAAGGAGGUACACUCUAUCCCUUGUUUUGACUUUAAUUGAUCCUAUGUGCCCUUAUAUGAUUUUAUGUACUUAAUUGCAAGCCUUUUGAAUGUUUUCAUUUUGUUUAUUUAUUUAUUUGCUUUAUUUGUUUUAAUUUUGGAUAUUUAUUUUAGUUCAAUUUCAGUUAUUUGAAAGGCAUUCAAAGGCCAAAGUUGUAAUAGUUAUGGGUUUAUUUUUAUUCUUUCCCUUUUUAGAUUGUAGUAGGGCCCCCCAAUGUAAUAGUUAGGGCUUGUUUGUUUUAUUUGCUUGGUAUGUUUUGCAUGCUUAUGUAUUAUGUGUUAUUCGCUUUCUUAGGGUUGCAUCUAGAUAUCAUGCUUAUGUGUUAUGUGCUAUACGUGAUUUAUGUGUUUACAUGCUUUUAUUUGGUCUUACAUGAUUUAUUUGAUUGUAACCAAUGUGUGACACACCACACUAGUCCAAUGCUAGUUGUGGUCAAUUUUUCGAAUCCACACUAGUCCAACGCUAGUUGUGACCCUUUAUUCUGACUUUUCUCACUAGUCUAAUGCUAGUGAGAAAUUGUAGACAUGGGCUAGUCCAACGCUAGACUCUUAGGAGCCCUCGAGCGUUAGAUCAUGGUUAUGUGAUAAAAUCACUUCAUCUCAUGCAUGUUUUCACUUUUUAGGGUUUUUACCAUGUUGCAUGACACUUUCUUAUAUAUGUACAUCCUUUAUCCCAUAUUCCUUUCUACUUAUAUCCCUAUUCCGUAUUUUCCCUUAUAUAUAUAUAUAUAUAUUCCUUACCCCUUUGUAUGAAAACAUAACAUUAGACUUGCAUUUCAUUUAAGAAAUAGAAAUUAGGUUAAAUCAUUUGCAUGCUAGAUUAGGAAAACUCCUUGGGUAUGGGAUAUGAAUGAGUUUGGCUUUUUAGCCUUAGCACGCUCAUAUUCCCUCUAUUAAAGGGAACAUUGAGUCACGAACAUUAGUCUCCACCCGAUAUGAUGCAUUCCUUUAGGUCACGUAUAUUUAUACAAUUAUUUUUAUUUUUAUUUUUAUUUUUAUUUUUAUUUUCUUUUCUUAGAGUCUCAUAUUUUUGCAUUAUUCGUGACCUUUUCAAAGAGUUCACAUUGGACAUCACAAUUAAUGUGAUUGGCACCAAUUGAGUUUUGAAAAGAAAAUUCGAUCCCUUGAUACCCUCUUAGGUCUAGGUUUUACAUUCAUAUAGUACAUCCAAAUGUGAUAAAUUUUUAGGUUAAAAUAAGAAAAUCUUUGACUAAAUCACGCAACUAGUUUUGGCUAGGUUGAAAUGGUGCCUCGAAUUUUUUUAUCCCUGCAUUCCCUUUUUUCAAAUGUGACUCCCGAGCACGUUUCUUUGAUUUUCGUAAAUUUGGAGUCAUUUAAAAAGGGUUUUCUACUUGUUUUCUUUAAAAAUUUAUUUUCAGGUGACUUUGUACAUUUUAACUCGAUAUCAAGUGGCGACUCCGAUUUUUUUCAUUAAAACCCUUUUUAAACUGUUUUUGGGUCAAAAUCGUCGCAUUUUUUAUGUUCCAUUUAGACCCAUAUUUUUCUUUAUUUUCUAAAAAAAAAUCAAAAACUCAUUUUUUAACCAAAAUUAAUCAAAAAUUCAUUUUUCUAAACUAAUUUAUUUUAUUUCAAAAAUGGGAGCGACAGUUGGCGACUACACUGGGGAUUUAGAGAGUCCGAGCAAAUUUGAUUUAGUCAACCUUUUUUUUCUUUUAACCUUUUCAUAUAUCGCAUUUGGAUGUUUAGAGUUGUAUUUUUUCUUUUUUAGGAUUUUUGCAUUUCGCACGUAUCAACUCACUCCCUUACCCAUUUGCGUACGAUUGAUGUGAUGUGAUGGAUGAUUUAUUUAUGUGAUCCUGCGCUUUGCAUUGCAUUUGGGUAGGGGGAUAUUACUCUAGAGUCUUGCGUUGAUUCUCAAUCCCUCCCUCCAAACGAAGUACUAGCAUACAUGCAUACGCUUUAUUUUUUAUCUCUCAUUUAUUUUUCUUUUAGUGGCUUGUCACGCCACUCUUUCCUAUUAGGAUUAGGCAACCUACUUGAACGUGUGAUCGUGACAUGACGUGUGCGUAGCAUGAUCCGAGGGGUCACUCGAUCUUCCAUUUUAAGUUUUGGGUUGAUAACCUUCAGCUUUUAGUCGAAGAUUGGGGAUUUUUGAUAGAUUCACUCAGACAUGUAGCCGUAACACGACGUGUGCGUAACAGUGUCUGGGGAAUCGCUCGAACCACCGACAAAGAACCUUGGGAUUGAUGACCUUUGGUUUCCAAGUCUGAAUGCUCGGGGACCUAAAACCUAUCGAGUCUAGAUGCAUUAGUGAGCCAAUACCUCAUGCAUCCAUGAUAGUUUACCUAGGGUAGAGUCUGUCUUACCCUAUUAGGGACACUAUUCACGAGAGGAGAUCCAACCCCUCUUUUCUUUAUUACUUUAUCUCUUUGUAUUGUUUUGCUAUAGUGUGUUAUGUGUAUUUAUCUAAUUGAACUUACUUUUCUUGUUUUUGUCUCUAUUGCAUUCAUAAGCCCUAGAAAAUAAAGAGUCCUGGCAUGGUACUCUCUAGGAACCUACCCUAUUUGAUGUAACACGCUUAAAUUCAAUGCUUCGCAUUUACACCAUAAAUACAUUUCAUUUUAGGCUCACCCCGGCAUACAAAAGGGGGUUCCUUUAGGUCACGUUUUAUUUAUGUAUUGCAUAUUUUAUUACUUUAAUAAACUGGCAUCAUGCAUCCACCUUAGAAGGGAAUCCCAUAUUAGGGAUAAGCCAACCCUAUAUUCCCAUGGGUAUUUAACCCUAUUUUGGAUUUGCACGUUUAAAUUCAUGUUUUGACCAGAAAAAUGGGACCUGUAGGUAAGGUACUUGACACCAGCUUUUUGUUUCUAGAUGGAAAGUCCUCGCCGAGUCCAACAGAUGUUAGUAGUACCGAUUGAGGUACAAAGAUGGCCCAUGUUGCUUUCACCCAGUGAAAUUAACCAAGUAGCUGCUCGAUUAGGACCCAUUGCAAAUUUUAAGGAUAUUAAGUCCGAUGGCUAUUUGGUAGAGACUUUAGUGCAUCUAUGGGACCCCACUUGUUCCAUUUAGACUAGGGAAAAAGGAAAUGACCAUAACAAUUGAGGAGGUUGCUGGAUUUCUUAAUUUAUCGAUUCAGGGAACUGCUGUGAUGUUUUCAUUAGUGUCUAACAAAGCUGAAUUUUGUCAUUUCACCGGGUUAAAGGAAUCAGUAAUACAAGGGUCGGACCAAAAUAUAGAGGCAAAGUUCUUAUUUGAUCGAUUCGCAUUAAGAGAUGGUUUUGAUAGGCACUUAGGAGAUUUCUCGUUUACUUCCAAGGAAAUGUGGGAACGAAAGAGAGUUUGGAUAUAUGGAUUAGUUAUGGCUGGAACCUAUCUUUUUCCCUAGGAAAGACAAAAAGAUAACCUUUAAACUCACUAAAAUCUUGUAUGAUCUGUUUCUAGGAGUCAAAGAUAAGCAAUGUUCUAUUAUUCCGACUAUUUUGGCCGAUAUAUUCAUAGCUUGCACUACCUGUCAGAGAAGUGAAAAGUUCUUUUGUGGUUCAAAUUUGAUCUUACAUGUAUGAGGUAUGGAGCACUUCAUGAGACGAUCGUCUGUUCCCGAAAGUCUACCAGUGGUUGGGUACAACUGGAUAAUCACGCAUCAUAAGCGAGUCAAUGGAGAGGGUCUGCCGAGCAAUGCGUUUGAAUGUGUUAAAUACUUAGAGAUGCUGACGGAUCAAGACAUUAGGUGGAUGCUAGACUGGACGAAUUGCUGCAGACCAAUACUUCGUACUAAAGUGUCAAAAUUUGUUCUCUUGCUGGGUACCAAGGAAUUGCCGCAUACCCAAGGAAUUGCCGCAUACACCUAAAAUUUCUGCCGAGCAAUUGUACUAAUUCCAUGUGCGGAACCGCCUUCGUGACAUGAUGUAAAUAUAUUGGCAAGUUUAUCAAUGAAAUCGACAUUUUCUUUGCACUUGUACAAAAUUGUUGUAAAAAAUAGGUUUGUGUAACGGGUCCCAUUUCGAAGGUGCUGCAUCAUGCUAGGCCUAUUCUUGACACAAAAAGGGUUCUCCCAUAGGAUAUGCACCCAAAUUUUUGGAUAGUUACUAACUCUUGUCUUUUUCUUUUUCUUAUUUUAUUGUUGUUGGAAAGGCUAAGCGAGGGAUAAAUCUAAAGGCAAUUUCUUUCAAAAUUUUCUGGUAAUAUUUAAACAUAGCUACCCGAAGAAACCCCAUUAUCACCCGAUUACGUAGUCAUGUUUCGAAAGAAAGUGUAAACAUGAGUACCCAUCCAGAACCAUCUGAUAGGCCCACAACAACAUCAUUAACUGAUUUGGCGAAUCUGGGAGCUCAGCUGAGCGAAAUUCUCAAUCGAUUUAAUGAGCUAAGCGUUGAAAUGAUGGCCCAACGGCGCGUAAUCGAUCAAUUGGUAGCUAGUGGUGCUAGCGGUGAACAACAUGAGCCAUUACCCCAGCCAAUCUGAACCUCAACCCAUAUGUUUACAUUAUACUCAAACGUCUGUUACUUCACAAGUCAUAAACCCACCUGAGGAAGCCUUUACUUAUCCCAUUCAUGGCCCACCACCUACUUAUGCACCUCACAUCCAAACUAACCCUCCUCAUGUCCAAAUUUCUAAAAUUAUCUGUCAAUUACUAUGAGCAUGCCAUUCAAACCACAAGGACCUCAUUAUUACUCCACCGCUGAGCCAUUCACCCUAGAUACCGCCGCUCAAGGAAAAGCUGAAGUUGGGGAGUCAUCCGCACCAGUGGACAAGAAUUUACUAAAGAGAUUGGAUCGGUUUGAGGAGUUUAUAAGGAAAAGCCAAUGUGUGAGCAAGCAAGGAGGUCUAAACUACAAUGAACUAUGCCUGUUUCCGGAUAUGCAAUUGCCGGUAGGUUUCAAAACACCCAAAUUUAUCAAGUACGACGGAACAGAGAAUUCCAAGACCCACCUUCGAAUGUUUACGAACAAACUAGGGAGACCAAUAGAUGAUGAGAAUCUGCCUGUGCGCUUAUUUUUCGAGAGUCUAGAAGGCGACGCGUUGGAUUGGUAUUCCAAUUUGAAGCUCAAAGAUAUGAGAUCUUGGAUGGAUUUGUCAACCGCUUUCGUGAGGCAGUAUGAAUACAAUGCGAGCUCGCUUCGACGAGGACCACAUUGGAGGGGACCAAGAGGAAACCAUCGGAGGACCACAAGACGUAUGCGAAGAGAUGGAGGAAAUUGGCCGCGAAGGUGGAGCCUCCUAUGACUGAAAAUGAGAUUGUUCGCACGUUCAUCAAAGCUCAUGACCCGCCUUACUUUGAGGAGAUUUUUCGAAUGACAGGAUGCUCCUUUGCAGAGAUUGUUAAUAAAUUGGAAAAAUAUGAUGAGUUUAUGAGAGCAGGAAAAAUUGUUAAUGCUUUAGGUUUGAAGUCACAGUUGGAAGCCAUGCAAAGCCAAAGUAGCAGUAGUAAGAAGUCUCAAUUUAAGAAAAAAGACGAGGAAGCCUCUUUUGUCUGGAACCAGGGCUCUUUUUCCCGGCCUAGAUAUCAACAAAAUCCCACCUACUCAUCUCGUUACUUAUACCAACCACGCGUCCGCCCUGUUUACAACACCACUAUCAACCAUCCCCGUCCUCGACCAAAUUAUCCAAACACACAUCAACGCCAUUUCACAUUUCUCCACCAAACUUUCAAAUUAGACCUCGUCCUCCUUUUAACCCAAGACCUAUUCCACCCCCUAACCCAAACUACCAAUACCAACAACCCGUGAUACCCAAAAUCCAACCCCAUACCGAACAUUUACCAAUCUAGGUCGCCCUGUUGACCAAUUAUAUGAGCAAUUGAAAGCUGCUAGGAAGAUUAGUACGAUACCCCCUAAAACCUAUCCCAAGGGAUUUCCCAUUGGUUAUGAUCCUCAAUCAUUUUGUACUUAUCAUUCGGGAGCCCCACAUUCAACGUCCAAUUGCUAGGCACUUAAACAAAAAAUUCAAGAUAUGAUUGAUGCUGGAGACAUAGUUCUGAGAAGGAAAGAUGGACAAAGGCCGAGUGUUAGCAACAAUCCUCUUCCUCAGCACAAGGAUACCGUGGGAGCUGUCACCAUAGAGGAAGAGAUCGAGGAACAUACACAGUACAUUAUAGACGAGGCCGAGAUCAUGGGGGUCAUUGGAGAACCAUUCAUAGUGAAGGAGGAAGCCUACGAAGUUAAGGAAAAUAUUGAUCCUUUUAUUUUGGAAAUGAUACCUUUCGAGUGUGAGCUUUCGGAACUCGUGGUACUUGAAUUGCCUGAGCAAGCUCCUGUUCUUAAUUUACAAGAGGUCCCGUGGAAUUAUAGCGAGCCUACACUGUUAAUUGGAGGAGAGAAGGUGCCCAAAAAGGAAGUGGAUGCCAUCACUAGAUCAGGGAGAAUCAUAGGGGAACCGCAGUUGAUGAAUCCUCAAAGCAAAAGAAUGUGCUACGCCAACAAAACCAGUUGUGACAGAUGAAGAGGCUUUUAAUUUCCUUCAAAAGUUAAAGAAGAGCGAGUACCAGGUGGUCGAGCAAUUGGACAAGAUGCCCGCUCAAAUUGCCAUAUUAAAUUUGCUACUUACCUCGGAACUUCACAGAGAGGCUCUGGUCAAGGUCUUAACUGAGGCUCAAUUGCCUAAGAAUAUUCCAAUUGACAAAUUCACCAAUGUAGUUGAACAUUUUUUAGCUUCCAAUCGGAUUUCUUUUUUUGACGAAGAUCUAACUGCUGAGGGGAUUGGACACAACAAAGCCUUGACAUCUCAGUCCGCUGUAACGAAAACUCUUGCCAAAGGUUCUGAUAGACAAUGGAUCCGCUCUCAAUAUCUGUCCCUGGAAUAUCUUGGUUAAGUUAGGAUUUCAAGAGGCUAAAUUGCGGCCGUCAACCACCGUGGUGAGAGGAUUUGAUGGCGCAAAAAAGGGAACCAAUGGGGGAAGUGAAUUUAGUGCUGGAAAUCGGACCUGCCCAAUUUCAAGUCAUAUGCCAAGUCAUGAAUUUUUCAAGUGUUUAUAACAUUCUCCUUGGACGGCCUCGGAUUCACACUUCGAGCGCUAUACCCUCUUUACUUCAUCAAUUGCUGAGAUUUGUGGUGAAUGGUCAAUUGAUCACAAUUUUUACGGAGGACGAUUGCACAAUGAUUGUUAAUUCUGGACCAAAUGAGGAGGACAGUAAAAAAUCUCUGUUUUCUCCUCACUAUGUGGCUGACAUUGUUUCUGUAGGAUGGAUAUCUAAGGAGAAGCCAGUGGUGGAAAUGAAUUUGCCAGAAGCUAGUGUUAUGAUGGCUAAAGAGAUGAUUCGAGGAGGAUAUGAGAUGGGCAAGGGCCUCGGGCGCAACCUACAGGGAGUUUUGGAACCAAUAGAGAUUCAAGGAAAGAAGGACACCUUCGGAUUGGGGUUUCAACCUACUAUCAAGGAUAAGAAAGAAAUGAUGAAUCGCAAAAAGGCGGAGAAGGAAGGAAGGUAACUUAUCAUGAAUAUCCCACCAUUGUAUUGUACUUUUCCUUACCCAUCAGAGGUGAUUAGAGCUGAAGUAGAUCCAAUCGAGGAAGUGGAUGUUGGAUUGUCUGAGCUAUUUGUGGGGGUUGCUUCUGAGAGGAAGCCAUUGGAGGACCCAGAAUUUUCAGAGGUGUCUACCAAAACAAUGAAGAAUUGGACUAGUGAUUUUCUUCCCUCUCGAAGGGAAUUUCGGUAAAUCUGGGGAAUUGCCUUUGGUUGCCAUGAAAGAAUUUAUUCGCAUUAUUUAUCUGUUGUCUUUCAGUUUCGUAAAUAGUUUUUAAUCAAAUGCUUUUCAAUGCAAGUCUUAUGUUGAAUCUCUUGUUGAGUCGCAUGUUAUGAUCCUUUACCUUCAAAUUCAAUGAAAUGCGUAGUGUUUAUUUUCCAAAUUAAUUUGCUUAUGCAUUGUUUUAUCUAUUUUAUUCUUUUCUAGAUGGCCAAAAAUAAAACACAUUGACCCUUUGGAUAUCACUAUUCUGAAAUUUGAUGAUUGUAAUCUCGAUAUCUCUCACGAAGUUGAAAUUUUGGAAUCAGAAAUUCAAGACGAGAGGGAUAACGAGGAAGAAUCUGACUCUUUAUUAAAGAAUCUUGAACAAUAUGAAGAGAAAUCCAAAUCGAACUUGAAGAAACAGAAGUUGUUAAUAUUGGCACUAGGACUGAGGUUAAGGAGAUAAAAAUUAGCAUUCAUUUGAAUAAAAAAUAGAGAAAAGAGAUGAUUGAAUUUUUGACAAUGUUUCAAGAUGUGUUUGCUUGGUCCUAUGAUGAUAUGCCUGGAAUUUCAAUAGAUAUAGUGGUCCAUCGAUUGCUAACUGAUCCAAAUUUUCUACCCGUGAAGCAAAAACCUCGCAAGUUUAAGCCUGAUAUAAGCCUUAAGAUCAAAGAACAAAUCGAGAAGCAGCUCAACGCUAGAAUUAUCAUGGUGUCCCAUUAUCCCAUUUGAGUUUCAAAUCUCGUACCUGUCUUGAAGAAAAGUGGAGAAGUGCGAGUCUGUGUUGAUUAUAGGAAUCUUAAUAAAGCAAGUCCGAAAGAUGAUUUUUCAUUGCCAAACAUCCAUAUUCUGCUAGACAAUACCGCAGGACAUGAGAUCGAAUCAUUUGCUGAUUGUUUUGUCGGGUAUCACCAAAUCUUAAUGGCCGAGGAAGACAGAGAGAAAACUAUUUUUAUCACACCGUGGGGGACAUUUUGCUACCGAGUAAUGCCAUUUGGAUUGAAAAAUGCCGGAGUCACUUAUCAAAGGACCAUGACAACCCUGUUCCAUGAUAUGAUUCAUAAGGAGAUGGAGGUUUAUGUGGACGACAUCAUCAUCAAAUCCGAGAGGGCGGAGGAUCAUUUGGUUGAUUUGGAAAAGAUAUUUGAGAGAUUGAGAAGAUAUAAUUUGAAAUUAAACCCUGCAAAGUGUGCAUUUUGAGCCCCUGCCGGGAAGUUAUUGGGAUUCAUUGUCAGUAAGAAGGGUAUAGAGAUAGACCCGACAAAGAUUAAAGCUAUUUGCGAAAUGCCAGUGCCAAAAAUGUAAAAGGACGUGAAGAGUUUCUUAGGAAAAAUUAACUUUAUCGGAAGGUUCAUUGCUCAGUUGGCCCACACAUGUGAGCCUCUGUUCAAGUUAUUGAAGAAAAAUGUGCCACUGCAUUGGAGUGAAGAGUGCUAGCAGCCGUUUGAUAAAAUUAAAGACUAUUUGUUGCAUCCCCCGAUCUUAGUACCACCCAAGUUAGGUCGACCAUUGAUUAUGUACUUGUCCGUGCUCGACGAGGCUGUGGGAUGUGUUUUGGAGCAGCAUGACGAUUCAGGAAAGAGGGAGCAAGCUAUUUACUAUCUCAGCAAGAAGUUCACGUCUUAUGAGGCAAAAUAUACAUUGCUUGGAAAAAGUUGUUGUGCAUUGGCCUGGGCAGCUCAGAAGUUGAGGCAUUAUUUGCUUAGUCAUACCACUUAUCUUAUCUCUCGUCAGACCCUUUGAAAUAUUUGUUGGAAAAACCAAUGCCAACUGGACGCAUGGUUAAAUGGCAGAUGAUUCUUUCGGAGUUUGACAUCAUUUUUACCACGCAAAAAGCUAUCAAGGGUCAGGCGAUAGCGGAUCACUUGGCCGAAAACCCAAGGAGGGAUGAUUAUCAACCAUUUUACACUUAUUUUCCAGAUGAGGAGGCCCUGUUCGUUGGUACAGCAGAAGACAUGAAUGAAAAAUGUUCUGAAUGGAGGCUAUUCUUUGAUGGUGCCUCAAACUCCUUUGGAGCUGGUAUUGGAGCUGUUCUGAUAUCACCUGAAGGGAAGCAUUAUCCUGGUUCCGCUAAACUGCGAUUUUUUUGUACUAACAAUAUGGCUGAAUAUGAAGCUUGCAUUUUUGGGCUAAAAAUGGCGUUGAAAAUGGAGAUUAAGGAUUUAAUAGUGUUCAGUAAUUCCGAUUUAUUCGUUCAUCAGACUCUCAAAGAAUGGAUCACUCGAUAUUCAAAGAUCGUGCCUUAUCAUUGUAUCUUAUUGGAUUUGGCGAAUAAAUUUAGAAGUUUGGAGUUCCGACAUAUUCCACGUGCCAGGAAUGUCUUCGCCGAUGCUUUGGCCACUUUAUCUUCCAUGAUUCAACAUCCAGACGAGUUGGUGAUCGAACCUAUCCAGAUUCAUUUGCAAGAAAAACCAGCUCAUUGCCUAGUUGUGGAAAAAUCUCCCGAUGGCCAUCCCUGGUAUAGUGAUAUUAAGGAAUUUCUCAAAAGGGUCCUACCCUCCUGGGGCCGAUACAACUGUCAAAAGCUUCUUGCGCAGAUUAUCAUCUAAAUUUUUCUUGAAUGGAGAGGUGGUAUACAAAAGAACGUCAAAUUUGGGCCUUCUGAGAUGUGUUGAUGAGGAUGAAACAGAUUAUUUGAUGAAAGAAGUGCAUAGUGGCGUGUGCGGAUCACAUAUGAAUGGCCAUUUAUUAGCAAAGAAGAUCAUGAGGACGGGCUAUUUUUGGCUUACUAUGGAGCAUGAUUGUGUAGUUUUUGUUGGGAAAUGUAUCAAGUGUCAAUUGCAUGGAGAUUGUUAUGUGUGCACUCCCUCUACAGAAUUACACAGUAUGACUGCUCCCUGGCCAUGUUCAAUGUGGGGUAUGGAUGUGAUUGGAGCCAUUGAUCCUCCCCACAUUCAAAUGGGCAUCGAUUUAUUCUGGUGGCGAUUGAAUACUUUACCAAGUGGGUCGAAGCUGAAUCUUAUAAGCAUGUGACUAAGAAGGUGGUGACGGACUUUCUAAGGAAGCACAUUAUUUGUCAUUUCAGUGUGCCAGAGACGUUAAUCACCGAUAAUGCCAAAAAUCUCAACAAUAAUAUGGUAGAUGGAUUGUGCGAACAGUUCAAAAUCAAGUAUCGAAACUCCUCUAUUUAUAGGCCACAAUGAACGGAGCAGUAGAGGCUGCAAAUAAGAACUUGAAGAAGAUAAUCCGUAAGAUGACUGAGAGACACCGUGAUUGGCACGAGAAGCUCCCUUAUGCAUUAAUGUCAUAUAGAACUGCUAUUCGGACUUCUAUUGGGGCAACUCCUUACAAUCUCAUGUAUGGAAUGGAAGCAGUUUUGCCAGCCGAGGUCGAAAUCCCUUCUUUAUGCAUUUUAAUGGAGGCCAAACUGGAUGAGGCUGAUUGGAUCAAACAACGUCAUGAGCAGUUGUCUUUAAUCGAUGAAAAGAGGUUAAAUGCCAUUUGUCAUGGUCAAUAUUAUCAAAAGAGGAUAGCCCAUGCUUAGAAUAAGAAGGUUAGACCACGCAUAUUUACAGAAGGAGAUAAGGUGUUGAAACACAUUUUGCCAGUACAAUAGAAAGCCAAAGGAAAAUUUGCACCAAAUUGUCAAGGCCUUUUUAUUGUCCAGGAAGUUUUGCCCGGGGGGCGCUCAUUCUUGCAGAAAUGGAUGGGCAAGUGUUCCCUCAACCAAUCAAUUCGGAUAUGUGUAAGAAAUUUUUCAUAUGAUUUCCCUUUUAGGGUUAAUAUAAAGAAUGGAGUGAAAAGUCAGGCUUUCUUUUUUUUCAAUCAAACAUUUUAUCCCUAGUCACCCCUUUUUGAGCCUUCAAAGCAAAUUAUUUAGUUUGGCAACCUCUGAGAAUCGCAAACCCCACACUGGGGCAAGUUUUGAGUUAAAAAGGUUAAAAAGUUAAAAGAGAGGUUUCAAGGGUAAAAAUCAUAGAAAAAUAAAAAGAAGAGAAACUCAAAGAAGAAAAUCUCGAUUGAGAAUAAAUUGGGGCAAUUAUUAGUAGAGUUAAUUUGAAGAUGCGAUCUCAGAAAAUCUAAACCUUCGUAAAUCCGCCUUCGAGUCUUAACCUUUUAUAAGCAUCCUACCAGAUCCCGUUACAUAAAAUCAAAAGUCCUGACUUCUAUUCUUUAUAUUACCUUUUUCGGACGAUUUCUAAUCAAAUGGCACAUGAUGUCAAAGACACCUUCACCUGUUUUGCAAAGGAAGGGUUGUUAUACUGAUGCCAUUAUUUCUUAAAACACAUUUCUGAAUUAAUGCGGGCGAUAGACGAGAUUUGUUUAUUUGGUGAAAAUCCGUAAGGGCACAUUUGAAAAGAAGAAGGAAAAGAAAAAAAAAGAAAAGAAAAAAAAGAGAAAAUAAAAGAAAAGAAAAGAAAAAAGAAGAAAAGAAAAAGAAAAAAGAGAAAAUAAAAUAAAAGAAAAUGAAAAGAAAGAAAAGAAAAGAAAAAUAAAAUAAAAUGGGCGGGGGUAACCUUAGUGAAAAUCCGAAAAGGCGUUAAGGUAGGGUUUUACAAGGAAAAGUGAGUUUGGAUCUAAAGUGCUGGUGACUUAGUUCAUUGGAAAUUCUCCUCACAUUGUGGUUCUAUUGUCAAACAUUUGAACUCCGAAGAGAUGAUAUCCAAAGGGUCAAGCAUAGCAUUUUGUUCGAAAACCAAAGUGUUUGAUUUAUCAAACACGAAAUUUGAGUAUACAAACUUAUUUAUUUGAAAUGAUUUUUUAUGCAAUAAAAGUAAAGGGUUGUGUUUAUAUUGUUAAGAUUUUUCAUCAUUAUGUGCAAUUAGAAUGUUUUUCAUGUGUUGCAUGGUCACAUUUGUCUCUUUCGUUCUAUCAAAUGGCAAUCCCUAUGAUUUAUCGAAGAGAAUAGAUACUAGAUGACACGUUGAUCUGCAUAUGAGAAAUUAUGAAAACUUGAUAUUGCUCGCAGGGCAAGAUUGAAGUACCCGCUUCGCCAAAUAAGGAGUCCAAAUGCUCAUGUUUACACUUCUCUUGAAAAAGGGGUUGAUCGGAUGGAAGCGGUAUUAUCUAUCAUUAUUUCUUUUCUUGCAGGUCUGAUAGUCCAAUAAGCAUUACACUGGGGCAAUUUUAGAGGAAGUUAUUUGUCUCCCUUCUCAAAAUUCUACGAAAGUUUUGUACGAAUCGACCGAAUGAAGAAUGAAGGCAGGCUCGGGUGUUCAUCCCACUGAGCAAAUGAAGAAUGAAGGCAGGUUCGGGUGUUCAUCCCAUUGACCAAAUGAAGAAUGAAUGCAGGUUCGGGUGUUCAUCCCACUGACCAAAUGAAGAAUGAAGGCAGGUUCGGGUAUUCAUCCCACUGACUAAAUGACAGAUGAAAACAGGCUCGAGUGUUCAUCCCACUAACCAAAUGACAGAUGAAGACAGGCUCGGGUGUUCAUCCCACUGACCAAAUAACAGAUAAAGGCAGGUUCAGGUAUUCAUCCCACUGACCAAAUGAGGAAUGAAGACAGGUCCAGAUAUUCAUCCCACUGAUCUCUUUUGAUUAUGUGUUUCAGAUCACAGUAGAAUAAAUACAGGUAAAUAUUUGGUGUCUACGUCUUUGUCUCGAGUUUCUUUGAAACUCAGAUAAAGAGGGGCAAAAUGUAAACACCAAAUUUCAAUUUAGAUUUAUUUAUCUUUAGCUUUUAUUCGAUAAUUAUCCGAUUUUACUUAUUAAAAUCAUGAUUUCGAUAUAAAAAAAAAGAAGAAAAAAAAAAGAGAAAAACUGGGAAGCCACGCCUGCGUGUCUUGCACGCGCGCUGCAUUCCAUUCAGCUUCGUCCGAAGCAGCAAAGCAGCGAGAAGGUUCAGGGAUUUCUUCCAGUUUUUUUUCCUUCCAUUUUUUCUCCCUUUUUUUUAGCUCCGUUAGAUGAUGUUGGUAUAGGCCAUCUGGCCGUUAUCUUGAGCCUAAAUUUCAUGAGGAACAAAGGCCGUCAGAUGGUUCCCCAAAUAUCGGUGGCUUCAUCUAAACCAUCGUUGAGAGGGUUUAGUUUUUGGGGUGCUAUAUAAAAGGAUGAGGCGGGUUUAAGAGAAGGGUUGUUGAGUGUUGAGAGGAGGAAUUGGCGGCUGCCUAGCAAAGGGAAACAAAAACAAAAAAGGAGAGAAUAGGGGAGCAGAGAACGGCUAGGGGUUUCGGGGAAAAAUCAAAGGAAGGGAAUAAGAGUGAGGGUUGGAGGAUAGAAAAGAAUGAGUGACGGCUGGGAAGGGUUUUGAGAGGGAGAAUCGGAUAACAGCGGAGAGGAGUUUGGGGGCUGAGAGUAUGGGAGUGACGGCUGGGGGUUGAGAGAAUAGAGUGAACAGCGGCUGAGGAAACUAAGCAAGAGAAAGAGCUCCAAGGGAGAAACCAAGAGAGAGUGGAGGCGGAGAAGAAACGAAAACAGCAGCGAAUGAGCUAACAAUUGCGAGUGAGAUAGCAAGCGCAAAAGGGAGAGAAAGAAAACUGGACAAAGGAGAAGGAAAAAGGCUCUGGAGGGGAAUGGAAAACAACGACUGAACAAGAAAGUCAGAGAAGCAAGAAGGAAACUGCAUUCGGAAGCAGCCUCUGACCAUCCUUCUGUUUUCAUCUCAACUAAGAUUCAUCCUCAGGUAACUCUUAAUCUGUUUCUCUGCUUUCAUUCCAGUUCAAUGAGUCUACUGGGUAUGAUGCAUCUGGUUUGAUUAAGAAAUAAUAAGACCUAGGAGAUACUGUGAAGGUCAUUAGAUAUGAAUAAUGUGCUGCAAAACUUUAUUUGGAAUCCACGUAUAAAAGAUUUCUGCUUUUGCUUUGUGAAUCUGGUUGGGCUUAAGGGAAGGAGGAAGGGCUCUAAUCCAUGGGUGUGGGUUAAGCUAGAAUUUUCGUUGUUUGUCUCUUGAUUAAGUUUCCUUAAUUCUUGUUGAAGUUCCAUUAGUUUUCCCAUUGAUUUCUGCUCUUUUGGUUUAUGGCUGAUGCGAGGAGUUUUCGUUUGAUGUUUAUGGUUGAUUCUUGUGUGUUUGAACAAGCAAAUCCAGAAAAAUGGCAUAAAACUUUGGGCAAUUCUGAUUGAUGUUUUCUUCUAGCUGUUUACGUGCGGCAGUGCCUUGUUGCUGUUUUCUUGCUGUUUUCCUUUCCAUUUUAUUCUUAGCACCUUGUUUGUUGUCGUGGUUGGGCUUUAGAAUGUUUUCUCGAAGUUCUGAGUUAGGGGUCAGUAAAUGUUUAUAUUUCCUUGCGCUGUUGUUGAACUUCGGUUGCGGUUGGAUGGAUCCGUUUCAUUGCCUUGUUGCAUUUCAUGUUCAGGAACCUUAUUGAAUCUUCCCUCUCCCUUUGUCCAAGUCUUUUAUGCUGGAGUAAGUUAAGACUUGUAUUGAGUCCCUUCUAGGUUAAUGCAUAGGAGCUUAGGGGAGCCGAGAGUCACCCUUGAUCAUGUUGCAGCUGUGCGAACAGUUUCCUUUUUCUCUUGAGCUGCUGAAGUUUUUUUUUUUUUUUUUUUUUUGGUUUGCUUAACUUUUAGGCUUUGUUUGCUAUUCCUGGUUGCAUUUGUCAUUUCUCUUACUUUGGUUUUAGCAUGGUGUAGGGGGUGCGUAAUGGAAAUGGUUUCCUUGCAAAAGAGAAAUUUUUCUUUCAAUCAGGUGGCCUAAAGGGACCAGGGCAUCUCAGUUCCCCUGUUCUUUACCUUGCGCUUUGUCUUCCUAUAGUUCUAGCCUUCCCCUUUGAGUGUUCUGAGUCUUCUUAUUGAGUUUGCUUUCAUUCGUAAAACCAGAGGGAGGUGAAUGAAUCUGUUGCAAAUAUUCAUGUUGCUUUGCUGCAUUUUAUUGCUCAAAUGAUUUGAUUAGAUCUGUUGAGGUAUAGAUGAUUGUGGUUGGGUGAAGUUAACAACAUGAAUUAAAGGUCUAUUGAGGUAUAGAAUGUUUAGCUCACGCUUUCAUCAUUUCAAGAUGGGUUGUGUAUUGUGUCUUGAAUCAAAAGAUGAUGCUUUCCUGGGAUGUGUUCAAUUAGUUGUCAAAUGCCGCAUGUUGCAGAAUGAAGGAAAAUAGAAAAUGCAGAAAUCUUCUUCGUAUGCAUGCAUGCAAAUCUUCAUAAAGGUUGCAUUCUUACCCUCCAAGUCCCCUUUUGUUCUACUAUGGCCAGAAAAACUUUUAAUUUCUUUCAGAGAGGUUCCUAAUUUAAUUGCAAAUAGGCCCCUAAACUUUAUUUUUCUUUAAUUUUGAUCCUGAAACUUUGUUAAUUUUCACAGUUAAGUCCCUUCUUCUUUUAAUUUCUUAAAUGUGGGUUGCUUGCAUGAUUUAAUUGAUUCAAUUUCAUGUUUAUUUUUUAUCUUUUGUGAUUUAUUUCUUAACUAAAGUGAUGCCUUGACUUUUUCUUUGAUUUUGGAGGGUAAAUAAGUAAUUUCAUUUCAUUAGACUAUCAACUCAAAGGAGGUACACUCUAUCCCUUAUUUUGACUUUAAUUGAUCAUAUGUGCCCUUAUGUGAUUUUAUGUGCUUAAUUGCAUGCCUUUUGAAUGUUUUCAUUUUGUUUAUUUAUUUAUUCGCUUUAUUUGUUUUAAUUUUGGAUAUUUAUUUUAGUUCAAUUUCAAUUAUUUGAAAGGCAUUCAAAGGCCAAAGUUGUAAUAGUUAGGGGUUUAUUUUUAUUCUUUCCCUUUUUAGAUUAUAGUAGGGCCCCCCAAUGUAAUAGUUAGGGCUUGUUUGUUUUAUUUGCUUGGUAUGUUUUGCAUGCUUAUGUGUUAUGUGUUAUCCGCUUUUUUAGGGCCUUGCAUCUAGAUAUCAUGCUUAUGUGUUAUGUGCUAUACGUGAUUUAUGUGUUUACAUGCUUUUAUUAGGUCUUACAUGAUUUAUUUGAUUGUAACCGAUGUGUGACGCACCACACUAGUCCAAUGCUAGUUGUGGUCAAUUUCUCGAAUCCAUACUAGUCCAACGCUAGUUGUGGCCCUUUCCGACUUUUCUCACUAGUCCAAUGCUAGUGAGAAAUUAUAGACGUGAGCUAGUCCAACGCUAGACCCUUAGGAGCCCCUCGAGCGUUAGAUCAUGGUUGUCUGAUAAAAUCACUUCAUCUCAUACAUGUUUUCACUUUUUAGGGUUUUUACCAUGUUGUAUGACACUUUCUUAUAUAUGUACAUCCUUUAUCCCAUAUUCUUUUCUACUUAUAUCCCCUAUUCCGUAUUUUCUCUUAUAUAUAUAUUUCUUACUCUUUUGUAUGAAAACAUAACAUUAGACUUGCAUUUCAUUUAAGAAAUAGAAACUAGGUUAAAUCAUUUGCAUGCUAGAUUAGGAAAACCUCUUGGGUAUGGGAUAUGAAUGAGUUUGGCUUUUUAACUUUAGCACGCUCGUAUUCCCUCUAUUAAAGGAAACAUUGAGUCACGAACAUUAGUCCCCGCACCCGAUAUGAUGCAUUCCUUUAGGUCACGUAUAUUUAUAAAAUUAAUUUUAAUUUUAUUUUCCUUUUCUUUUCUUACAGUCUCAUAUUUUUGCAUUAUUCGUGACCUCUCCAAAGAGUCCACAUUGAGCAUCACAAUUAAUGUGAUUGGUACAAAUUGAGAUUUGAAGAGAAAAUUCGAUCCCCUGAUACUCUCUUAGGUCUAGGUUUUGCAUUCAUAUAGUACAUCUAAAUGUGAUAAAUCUUUAGGUUAAAAUAAGAAAAUCUUUAACUAAAUCACGCAACUAACCUUGGUUAGGUUGAAAGGGUGCCUCGAAUUUUUUUAUCCCUGCCUUUCCUUUCUUCAAAUGUGACUCCCGAGCACGUUUCUUUGAUUUUCGUAGAUUUGGAGUCAUUUAAAAAGGGUUUUCUACUUUUUUCUUUAAAAAUUCAUUUUUAGGUGACUUGGUACACUUUAACUUAAUACCAAGUGGUGACUCCGAUUUUUUUCAUUAAAACCCUUUUUAAACUGUUUUUGGGUUAAAAUCGUCGCAUUUGUUUUGUCCUAUUUAGACCCAUAUUUUUCUUUAUUUUCUAAAAAAUCAAAAACUCAUUUUUUAACCAAAAUUAAUCAAAAAUUCAUUUUUCUAAACUAAUUUAUUUUAUUUCAAAAAUGGGGUGCGACACAAAUGGCUCCGUAUGAAGCGCUUUAUGGUAAAAAAUGUAAGUCUCCGAUUUGUUGGGAUGAAAUAGGUGAACGGAAGAUCUUAGACCCGAUUACAGUGUCUUGGAUUGAGGAAGCUAAUGAAAAGGUAAAGUUGGUACGCCAGAGAAUUCAAACUGCACAGAGCCGUCAAAAGAGCUAUGCAGAUAAUCGGAGGAAGGAUUUGAAAUUUGCGGUUGGAGAUCUAGUAUUUCUUCAGAUCACGCCUUUGAAAGCAAGUUUGAUGCCUGGAAAGGGAAAAAAAACUACAACCGAGGUUUGUAGGGUCUUAUAAGGUUAUCGAGCGCGUGGGACAGGUAGCGUACAAGUUGGAAUUACCACCGAAUCUAUCUCGAAUUCAUAAUGUGUUCCAUGUGUCUAUGCUUAAGAAGUAUCAUCCAGACCCUUCACAUGUCUUACACCCGGAAAGUAUUGAGAUCGAUGAGACAUUGACCUAUGAGGAGAAACUGGUUAACCUUCUAGAUAGAAAGGUGAAAGAAUUGAGAAAUAAACAGAUACCACUAGUAAAAGUUCUCUGGAAGAACCAUGGGUUAGAGGAAGCUACUUGGGAGGUCGAAGAAACAAUUCGAGAAAAGUAUCUAGACCUGUUCACCAAUCAAGGUAAAUUUCGAGAGCGAAAUUUUCUUAAGGGGGAGAGGAUGUGAGGACUCACAAAAUUUAAUAUUUUAAAUUUCAUUUCGAGCUUAUUUAAAUAUUUAAUUGCCCAUUUACUCCGAAUAUUAUUUUUUAACCUCAUUAGACCUAAUUACAUGGAUUUGUAGCUUUAUUAUAUUUUAAAAGUGGCAUGUUAAAAAUUUUAAUUUUUGGAAGUUCGUUAAACGGGAAUAGUAAAUACACGUUUGGAGAUUAUAGCUGAUUUGGGGAUACAAUAAGUUUGAAAAAUUAGAGACUUGUAUACUAGUCUUGAAAUCGAUAUUUUUAUGUUUAAGUGCUCAAUUAUUAGUUAGUGAUACUAUCGUUACAAGAAUUCUUGGAAAUUUCAUUUUAUUGCGCUUAAAUUGAAAAUACGCGUUUUUACACGCGCGAUUUAAUUGAGGGACCUUAGACCCUUAUUUUGGGAUAAUUAAGAGUGAAUAACAUUUAUAUGAAUAUAAGUGCAUUAAAGGUUUAGUGCACUAGUGAAAUAAAUUCGAGAGGAAUCGAGCACAAAAUGUGCGUGCGCGCGAAGGAGAGUUGACUUUUGGGUCAACAUGGGCCACACAUUAAAGCUUCUCUUGGAAGUUUCAUUUGAACAAACACUCUCUCUCUCUCUUCCCUCUCAUUUGGCCGGCCAUCAAGAGGAGGAAAACACCAAGGAGCUCUUCCAUUUUUCUUCUCCAAUUCUUCACAAAAUCAUCACCCAUUUCACCUCAAAUUUCACGCACACUUAGUUAAACACUUGGUGAUCAUCUUAAGCUACAAAAGGGAGCCGCUUUCCAUGAUAUUUCUUGAGUUAAGAAGGGCCGAAAAUUUCUGCCUUGCACAUCUAGGAGAGUAAGUGACGAUCUACCCUUUAAAUCUUGUUUUAUGGAAGUAGUAGUGCAUAUAUAAACUUAUGCAUGCAUGUGGAUAGCUUGUUUAUGUUGGAAAAAUUGUUGUGUGGACUCUAUGAACUCUCACUUUGGUUGGAUGGACUGAUUUGAUGAAUGAUGAUGUUAUUAAUGUUGGUUUAGUGCUUAAAUUAGUGGGAUAAUGUUGUAUUGUGGUAGAAACUCAAGGAAGGUGCAAUGAGCAAAAGUGACCAUUUUAUCCCUGCCAUGUUCGUGUACUUUGGUGCGAAUUUUUGAGAUUCUAAUGAUUUGUUUAUGAUGUAUACAUGUUAUAUGGAUAGUGUAGAAAGUUUUGUUGAAAAAUAAUAUGGUUUGGUUGGCUAAAUGUAUUGAUUUCUAAAGGAUAGCAAAACUGAAAAAUUUUCCCGGAUUGCCCAGGCAGUCCUUUUGUUUCGGCUAUAACUCCUUGCUCCGAUGUCGAAAUCGAGUGCCAUUUGCGGCACUAGAAACUAGACAUUCCCACUUGAGUGAGCCAAACCAUUCGUUUAAAAAUUGCUGUCCUAUUGCAUUGGUUCACUACAGGGCAAAACAUGAACUACAACUUGAUGCUCAAAUGUGGGCUAGUUGUGGAUGGAUUUUGAAAAUGGUUUCUUCUGAGAAAUUGUAGCUUUAUGAAUGUGUUUUCCAACGCCACCAACCACGCUCAAUUCCAAGUUGAAUUGAGUGAGUUGUGAUCAAAGUUCAAAACUGACCCAGUGUUGAACACAACCUUCUUUCGGUUAAGUGAAUGUCCUGAUCUUGUGUGGGACUUGUACUCGAAAUUUUUGGUGUUAAUCACCCCAAAUUGUGUUUUGGAUAUGUCUUAGACAUUUUCUAUACAAAUGGACCAUGUUUGAGGUACUCUGUAGGCCAAAUGUCAUGAAAACAGAAAACGAAAAACGGAACUCACAAGGCAGAUUUGCCUUGGAAUUUUGGAACUUUGGUGAUUUGGUUAACCAACUUUCCGUGCUUAUUUAUCUAUGAAAUUUGGUAGAGGAAUAGCCCUUAUGUUUUAAUAUAAUCAUACCAAAUUUGAUGCUAUUCCAAGGCCGUUUCAAUGUACAACUAAACUCCUAAAAUCUAUAAUUUAUACUUGGAAAAACCCUUGUUUAACAAGGAAAUUUUGGUAACUUUGGGUCACCAUAUCUUGGUGCUCAAAACUUCAAUUCUCAUCUCACUUGAUUUGUUUUAAACUUGGAUUACAACUCUAAUAGAGUUCCAAAUUUUAAAGGCUAGAUCAAAUUGACUGAAUUUUGCCGAAUUUUCUAAGUUGGCCAAAAACCAACUUAAAUCUGUCUUGAUAACUCAAGUUAUCAAUUUCAAGCCAAAAUUUGAAUGUCUUCCACCUAGAUUCAUGGAAAGGUAUCUUCUAGACACUUUUAGUACUUUGAAAGAUGUUUCCAACGGUACUAAAUUUUCCAAUUUUGGACAAUCAGGGAGUGAGUUAUGAUUUUCAAAAAAUGUCCCAAAAAUCAAAAUUUUUGGCCGUUUGAAAGAAAUUCGCGCGGAAAACUUCUCACCAGAUUCCGGCCUUGAAUCCGGCCAGUUUUUGGUUAGAUAAUCGGCUGGAUUGCUGUUGGAAUUUGAAAAAAAAGGAGGUUGGUCUCUGCCUCCAAUCCGGCCAGAAUCCGGCCGGAUUGUGACGUGGCUUGUCCUGUUCCGACUUCGGUCGUUCGUUUUGAAGCUUAUUUGCACGUACUCGUUCUCAUCCAAUGAUUUUAAGGAUAAUGAACCGUUUUUACUCGAGAUUUGUAACCCUAUUGAGUCUCGAUUUUCAAAAAAGAAACCUAGGAUCGAUUUUCGAGAUAUAUUCUAAUAUCGUACUAGUGUACAACCUUCCUUAUCAUUGGAAUUAUCAGUAAUAUCCCAUUAUUAAUUGCUCAGGCACACAAAAGGACCUUCAAGAGGAUCCCACAGUGAACGCCUAAAGCUCCGAGUGACAUUUCUUCCUCAUUACUUAUAUUGGUGAAUGUCAAGUGCAUGUUUACUUGAACUCCUGUGAACUUGAUACAUGUCUACUUGUUACCAAUGAUUUAAGUUUUGAAAAUGGAGUCGAGUGUGUACUUUAUCGCACUCGUUCUCAUUCGAAACUAAUAAUUUGUGAAUGACUUGCUUGAUAUGUAAUGAAUGACCUGAUGGAUAUGACAUGGAUACUAUAAUAUUUCAAAUGCUUGCUAAACAUGAAAUAGUAUGCUAUGGUUGCAUACGUCGCUGGAGUGAAUCUCCUCGACACCCAAAUGUACAUAGGAGACGCCCAAAGUCACAGGCCGACCUUGGACUCGAGCCGGCAUGGGCUUGGUCGGGAACCUUGGCGAGCCAUGAGAUAAAUAAGCUCGACCUAAUGAGAGGUCUUGCUUGGCAUACUCGUGGAGUAUCGCCUCAUAAAUAUCUUGCGGGCCCGGAAGAUGUACGGUGGACAGAGGGAAGUAAGUGGUGAUCUACGGAAUGAAAAUACCGACCCGAUUGAUGGAGUGUCAUCGCGGGAAGGUAUACGAAUGACAUCGGCAAAGCAAGUGGAAUUUAGCUCCUGAGAGCUACCAUAUCCUUGAAUUGUUUCUGUUUAAAUUUCACUAGAAUUGUUAAUUUCAUGUAUAUUCUCAUUUGACCUAUUGACUGGGCUUUUUACUUGGACUAUUUACUUGCAUGUGUGUUCUUGACUUCACGAGCGUUUUGCUCACCCUGUAGAUUUGUUUUCCUUAACAGGAAUGAGCUUGAAAUGGGACUCGAAGGAGUUCCCCUUUUGAUGCAUUUUGUAAUGAAAUUUCGAUGUAUUUGACUAGGCAUUAUGACUAUUGUUAUUUUGAGAUUUCAGAUGUAUUUUGGAAACCCGAUGCAAGGAUUGGAUAAUUGUUAAAUAUUAUUAAGAUUGAAAGCUUCCGCAUCAAUUGCCUUUCAUUAUUUGGUUGUGAUGCUUAGUACUAUAUUAAGCUUGAAUAGAAAUUGCCUGAGUCCUGGCGAAAGUUAGGCAGGCGUCUCGCGAAUACCCUUUGGUUCGGCUUAGGGAGAUGUGGGGGCGUCACAGUGUAAGACUUUCCAAAAAGGGGAGAGUAAAGCCGUCAGAGAGUUCAUUUGCUCCCCCAAAUUUGAGGAAGACUUAGUCACUCUCAGUAGACCAACCUUCCAAACAACCUAUAGUCUAGGGCCUUCUUCCUUUGUACUCAAUAGUUUUUUGUAUAAAAUAUUUCACAUUUUAAUGAAAAUCUUUCAAUGAAUUCCUCACAUUGCUGUCUUCUUUCAAUGAAUUCCUCAUAUUGCUAGCUUUUUUCAAUGAAUUUGUCAUAUUUUUGUAAUAUGUCUUGAUAUAUCUUGCCCCUAAUGUACUUAGAAAAUUUUUUAAAGUAUACUAAGUUAAAAGCACAUCGUCACCUAUUUAUUGGAUAAUUAAAAAUUAUCCAAUUUAAAUGACGAGUGUUCAAAUACAAUAAGAAUUUAGGCCAAAAAAAUAUUUUUAUUUCAAACACAUAGAAAGUACAAAAUCAAAGUUCCGAUUACUUAUUACUGGAUAAAGAGUUUCAAAUUAGUUGUGUGCCAGGGGUGCGGGAUCUCUUCUCUACUGAGAUGAGAUAGUUUAUAAUAUCCAACUUGUCUAGCCUCUAUAAUUGUGUACGGACCAUCCUAAUUAGGAUCUAAUUUAUUAGUUGCAUGUGUGUGGCUAAUUAAAUUUUUUUCUUAGGACAAGACCUCUUACCUUAAAUCUCCUUUGCAGAACUUUAAUGCUAUAGUACUAAGCUACUUGUUCUUUAUAUUUUGCCAUUCUUAUUGUGGCUUACUCCCUCUUUUGCUCUAUCAUAUCCAAGUUAUAUUUUAUUUCUUUAUUAUUGACUUCUGAAAUAAAAUUCUGAGUCCUAGAUAAGGGGACACCCACUUUUGUUGGUAUAACUGGUCUUACCCGAAAGUCAGUGCAAAUGGAGUUCCCUGAGUUGUUGUCCUUUGAGUAGUUGUUUGAUAGGCCCAUAGGAUGUUAGGCAAUUCAUCCAAUCAUUCCGAUUGUACUUGCUUCAUCUUGGUUUUCAACUUGUGCAAAACCGCCAUAUUCAUAUUUUUCACCUGCCCAUUAACUAACGGAUGUUCUACUAAAGUGAAAUGCUAUUUUACUUUCAACUCUUCAUACCACUUCGUAAAGGGAUUUUUCACAAACUACUUUCCAUUAUCCGAUAUCAGUACAUAUGGUAUCCUAAAGCGACACAUGUGAGAACUCGAGAAUUUAUAGGUAUACCUUGAAUUUAUUUUAUUUAUUUUGUUAUUAGAAAUAAUACAUAUAUUCUACAAUUGAUUAAAUUAAGUGUUUAAUUUAUUUUAUUUAUUUUGUUAUUAGAAAUAAUACAUAUAUUCUACAAUUGAUUAAAUUAAGUGUUUAAUUGAUUUCUUAUAAAUUGAAAAUAAAAAAAUCCAAGAAUGGUGUAGAAAAAAUUCUUAUAGGGGUAUGUAAAUUGGAACAAACUAAAGUUUGGGGCAAUAUUUGAAGUUGAUAGAAUAACAAAUCCUUAACCAGUAAAUAAACCAAAGCUAAAAGACCAAUUUAACCCUAAAACUUCAGCAAUCAACCAUGCAACCAAGAGGACCGCCUUCUGGAAUAGAACCGAAAGAAAAAUGAUAGGUUCUGCCAAUGCAUUUGGGCGGUGAAUUGAGAUAGCUGCCAGGAAGGAAAUGUUACUAAGCCAGCUGAGUAAGCAAUAACCAAAUAGAGAGCAGCUUAAAAGAAACAAAAACUGGCGGUGGCCGAAAGGUAACAAUCUGAUCUCCUUAAUCAAUAAGGCCGAGAGAGUUGAGAAGAAAAGUUGUCUUCCUUUCUUGCUUUCUUCCUAAAGCAGACUCGAGUGAGUGAGACGGAGUGUGAGGGAAAAGAAAGUGUAAGCUUCACCAACAGCUAACUAUGCGAACGAAAAACAGAAGGGAGGUCGAGUGAGGAGUUGUGAUAGCAAACUUGAGCAGCCUGCAACAUCGAACUUUAAGGGAACAGGUAAGAGCUAUAACCACUCUCUGUUUAGUUGAUUUAAUCCGUUAAACAUAAGCCUUAUACGUUGAAUUUAGCUAGAGGCUUAGUUCUGGUUCAAGAAAAUGUUUUGCAGAAUUUGUAACUAAGAGCAGAAAUGAGCUAUGGUUUUGUUUAGUUCUUGAAUUUAGUCUAACAUUUGUUAAGGACAACCUGUAACCGAAGAGAUGUUCCCUGCAUGCUAACUGGAACCUGAGAUUGAAGGGGAUCCUAAGGAACUAACAAAUGAUACCUUGUUGCAAUACGCAUGUGAAAGCAUGCAAAUCUGAUGCAUGCUGCUAUGCACCAGAUUACAUGCAUCAGAUUUGCAGCUAGCUGCAGAAACGAAGCAGAACUCAGUUUUUUUUCCUUUGAACCCUGGUCAUGAACUACCUUGUUUAGCUUAGAGUAACCCGCAGUAGGUUAAGUGUCCUCUGCAUAAAUGAUUGAGACCAAAACUCAGGAACCUUAACUAGUUGAUGCAACCUGCUGUGAAUCCGAGAGGGAGGAAAUUAACCUUGGGAAAGAAAAGCUGCAAACCCUUAAACUUCUAAACUAACUUACAGAGUUGAACCUGUUAUAAUGCCUCUAAACCUCCACCAGAAAGACAGAAAUGAGUAGGAACUAAACUGAUUGUUGAAGGCAGAAUAAGUCUAGUGAUGGCAGGUAACUUGUCCGAAAGAAUGAAGCAGAAUAUGCUUUUGAUCGGCCAUAUUUUACCUUGAAAAUGUGAGAAUUGGGUGUUGAUGUCAUCAUAAGAAAUGUAGGUGUAGGUCCAUAUCUUAGUUUCGAAACAUUAUAAAAUUUACCUCAAUCCGAUAAGUAUAGCUCCAGUUAUGAUCAAAACACCAGAGGUUGGCAAAGCUACCUUUCUCGUUGCCUUUCUCUUGUUUUUCCAAAUGCAUUCUACUUGAUGCUGGCCGUGAGGAAACUUAUUUUUUUAACAGCAUUUCAUCUAAUUCCCAACCCUGUAAGCAUUCAUAAAUGAUAGUUAAGGUUGCUCUGAGAUUUAACGACUAUAUCUAGUUCCACGAGUAGAGUUAAAUUAAAGCAAAUGAGAGGAAAACUCAUGAUAGUUAUAUAUCUAAAUUGGCUUCUAAUCACUUAAUAUUGUCUUUACAAAUAUGUUAAAAACAUAAAAUUUGAGGGACGAGUGUAGUGGAAUAAAAUUUAAUUUACAAAUAACUUGGAGUUUAACUAAUUUAAAAAAGGAACCAAUGGAAUAUUCCUAAGCUUUAAACUUAGAAUCUUGAGUAGAAAAUGAUUUAAUCCUAAUGUAAACAUUUUUUAAAUUAUUAACUUGAAAAGUAUGUAUAUUUCGUGAUUUAAGAUAAUAAAGUCAAUAAGUCUCGAAAUAAAUUGGGGAAUAAAUAUUGCGUAUAUUUUAUAUUUUAAAGUCAAACCUAAUUCAAAUAAUUUAAAUAAUAAGUGAACAUAUACAAAUUAUAAAUUUAUCAUGAAAUUAUAUAUUUAUCUCAGGAAGUAACUGUGAGCCAGGAGACAAGCCGAGGCUCAAGAGUAAAUUAUUUGGAUAAUUGGUGAGUGUUUUCUGAAUUUAUGUGUUUAACUGUUUAUGUGUGUCUAAGUGAAAUUAUGUGACAAAUGUGCUUAUCAUGAAUUAUUACUAAAUGAUUCCUUGUGAAGUGUAUCUCAAUUGUUUCUCGUCUUCUAAGUCAUGGGUGUACUUUAUCGUACUCGGUUUAGUUGAGUUUGAAGGUCGAUAAUUGACUGAAUGUUAUUGUAAGUGUGCAUGAAUAUAAGCCGUAUAUGUGCCUCGCUGCAUCGGCUGAACUGGGCCCCAAAACCCUCUGUUCAACGGACUAUUCGACCCAGCAAAGGGUUUUGUGGUGGUAGGAUGGUAGAUUUGAGUAAAUGUUUCGGUAUACUCGAGUAUUACCAUGAGGUUGGGAGUUAUUGAACUAAUUAUUGAAUGUAGGGGAUUGUUUGUUGUAUUGAAGGACAUAAGGAGGUGAAUCAGCGGAAUGUGCAAUGAUAUUGAAAUGAAUGUACAAUGAUGGUGAAAUGAGUGCCUCUUGAUACUGAAAUGAAUGCUCAAUGACCUUGAAGUGGCUCUAAUGCGAGCACCAUAUCCUUUUGAAAGUGAUUGUUUAGUGAAGUGCUUCCUCGAUUGCUUAAUGAAAGUGAUUGUAUAAUAAAAUGUGCACUACUUGCUUAAUUGUACUGAUUUAAGUGUUUAUUAAAUGUUGCAUACUAGGCAAACCUCACUGAGGUUUAGCUCAGCCCUUUAGUUUUUUUCCUUACAGGAGCUGGUGGUCAGGGAACGAACGAGGGAUCUUAGGAGUUAACGUGAAGAUUUUGUGAUUGUUAAUCCUUUAGUUUCAUAUUAUGGUUGAAACUUUUGUAUUGAACUUGGUAUUGUAAAAGAUUUGAGCGUUUGGUUUUCGUUAUCAAAAUAUUAUCUUUGAAGUUAAUGUAAGUGAGUGAGCCCUGACGAGAGCCAGGCAGGCGAUCCGCUAACUUUUAGGGUAUAUCUUAAAAGAAGGUGGAGCCCUCACAACACAUGAUAUUCUUUCAAAAAAAAUUUGAAUUGUUCUCCCUGUUAUAGAACUCAAGGGUUUGGUCUCUAUCCAAUUAGUAAAAUAGUUUAUGGUUACCACCAAGUAUUCAUAACCUCAAGAGCUCUAGGAAAGGAUCUAAGUAGAUCUAUUCUCUAUGGAGCAAAAGGCCAACAGCUUUGAAUAAGGAUUAUAUCCUAAGUAGGCUA
rnacentral:lncRNA from 1 species